rnacentral:lncRNA from 1 species
AGGUACGUAGGUGUUAGUAAUUCUUGAAUUCUUAAAGGCAAAAUGUACACAAUAAAGCGGGAAAUAAUAGGAGCACUGGUUAUUUUGAGACGGGGUGAGAUGAAAUCUGGAGUUUUGAUCGGAGAACAGAUGAAUUUUAUAAGAGCAAUAAGUGCACAUUUUCGUCGUACUUAGCAGUGUCCAUGCAACAAGGGCAACGAAAUUGCAUGAUGGCCCGAAUUUCAUCAGACGCCUCCAAUUCUCGUGGACACGGAGAGACAGAUGAGAUGCUCCAGUUAAAGCGUUUUUGUGGCACAGUGUAAAGUUGGGUGGUGGAAAGUUAAUGCGAUAAGCAUCUUUUUUUUUUUUUCUGUUUCUUGGUUUUGGAACAAUGUGCCUUGUUGAGCUAGAGAAGCAAAUGCAUGCAGUCAAUGAUCACUUAAUAAUCUCUUUAUCGGGAAUGGUUGUUUUCUAUCGCCAAUUUUUCUGAUUGGUGACGAUUGAUCAGUCACCAACGCUAUGAAUUCAUCCACAAGACGCGUGCGACCUGCAAAGCGUCAUUGCUGCAUUUGGUGGAAUUUCUUUCAAGCCGCCCUAAUCUUCAUAGCCCCCGUCCUUUCAACAAUACCCUACUUUCUUGGUGCUCCUGAUGCAUAUUUUGACUCGAGCCAGUGGCUGGAAGAGGAUGUCCAGCGUGUGCUGGCAAAAUUAUGGAGACAGUAGUAAAACAUACUGUACACUACAAUCACAUCCCCAGCUGAUUUGGUAGGAAUUGAGCUGAGCUGAGCUGAUGGUAAGUACUGUCACUUUGGCCAACAAAGCCAAGCACAGGACAAAAUACAAGUACACAGAUAAAUUUUAUUGUCUAUUUUAUUGCUAAACAUGCUUCUUGCAAUAUUAUAGACAACGCUUCAAAGUAUUAGCUCCAAAAAAAUAUAUAUAUAAACUUAUUUUUUGUAAAAUAGAAAGGGAGAGAAGAGGGAAGAGCAAACCAAUCUAUCUAUCUAAUAGAAUAAAAUCGCGAGUUGACAAUCCUCAGAUGUUAGCCAGGGUUUUAUUUUAUUUUAUUUUACUCGUCUUCCAGUUCAGUUGUUAUUGCUGACUUUUGGGAAGAGGGGAUGGUCCCAUUGCAGCUUGCACCAGCUAGAAAAGUCUUGUUUGGAGGAGGACAUCAUUGCUUGCACCAUUUCAUUUCCUUCUUACUAUCCCUAUGGCUAUGAGAGUUUGAGAAAGAAAUUUAUAUAAAUUCCUCGAGUUUCCAAGGCUUGGAAGGAAUACAAUAAUGCAUUGGGAAUUACAUGCCCCGUUUAUUUUAAUGAUGCCUGGAACUAAAAAAAAAUUAUCAACACUACUACUUCGUUACAGCUUUCUAUCCAAGUUUAGUGGGUCACAAUCACAUAUGUCGUCUUUGCCAAUGCCUAGGCAUAUAUAGGUUUCAUCGGGCUGCAAACAAAGUUGUUAUUACAACCACCACAAUUGUUUAACGAUUACUUGCAAACCAAAAAAAAAUAACAAUAAAAGCCUACGGUUACCGAUGCUUAGAGCGAGCAUAAAGAACCAAGACCCUAUUUUUUCCUAGGGCUUGUAAAGUUCCCAAAAGAAAAGAAAAGAGUGUGCAAUCCCAGAAGGCAUGUCUUAUCACCUUUUGUUCUUGGUCAAAAUAAAGAAGAAUAAAAAUCUUUAGGGAGCCACCAUGCCUGUCCUUCCUUUGUCCUUGCCGGUCUUUUGCUGCAUCAAGUUUGGUGUCUCCUUGCUAGAGCCUAAGUCCAAAGGCUUUCUAGGGUUCUGGCUGUCUUUCAUGAUUUCUAGGUUGCCCCCAGUCACAUUUUGGUAUUUGCUGCUGCUCCUCUCUUGUCUCCAUUGGAAUGAGUUCUCCUGUUUGUCCUAGCUUGCAUGCUAAACAAACCGCGAUCAAUCAACUCCUCCCACAAAUAUCGCACCAAUGAACCACCGGUUUUGGUCCAGCAGCGAUCACCAAAACCAAAAGGAGAUUAACAAGUCUCUUUUUGAGUUGUAGACAGAAAAUUCGAACCUUAUUUAUAGGGAAAAAAUUUCAGAGAAGAUACUGGAGCGCCUUUUUAAUCUGGUUGGAUCUCUAUGUCUGCUAAUCCCAUCAUCAUCUUUAGACUCCUUUUCAUGUAGAAUAGGAUACAUUAGUUUUUACGUAUGUAGAAACAAAAAAAAAAAAAAAAAAAGAAAACCACGCCAAUAGAUGAAAUGUAUUGCAAACAGAAAAGAACAAUAAUAUCAUCAUUACUUGAUUUGAAAUGUAUUCUUUUUCCAGAAAUUUCAAUAAUGUUUAAUAAAGUUCAAAUUAUCAGCUGAAAUCCUAAUAAUUUUUAAAAUCCAAUCUUUUUGCUUAAUAAUUUCAAAAGCUGUUUGAUUUUAUAGAGCAUCAAAGCAAGCUACGCUCCUAGCAACGUAACAUUGGAAAAGGUUAUUAAAUCACUCGCACCCAUAGGUAUUACGAAUAACAACAUGCAUCAUGAGGUUCAUGUUAUCUCUCGUUAUGUCAAGCUUAUACCCUCUUUUUUCCAAAACAAAUUGUCAUGAUAUAUAUAUACACACACACACAUUGGAGACAAAAUAAGAAGGGUGUCGGGGAUUAAGCCACACUUCUCUUGGUGAUUAGCAGCCGCAUUAUAAGUGUUUUGUUGCAUAUGAUCAACAUUUUAAUUUUUGUUGCACACAUCUUUCAUAUCUUCCCACAAACUCUAACUUUUGUAACCUCCUGUGAAACUUAAAUCCUAAACUCACAAAUCCCGACAGAUCAAUGUGGGACACAGAACGGAAAAAUAGGAAGGUUGCUACUAAGCCCCGCUAAUGGAACUCAUCCCACUCUGAUUUUUAACCUUCGCCACUGAUCAGUUUUCUUUCCACUGAAAUCGACAAAUUUAACAUCUAAACUACUCCCACGGGAUCAUUAGUUUUCUUUCCACUCUGAUUUCAGGUGUUAAUCAAAGCAUCAUUAAUUAGUUAGUGGUUUGCGAUGAAAAAUCCUGAUGUGGCAAGCCACAUGGCACGUGAGUGACACGUGGCUGGUGGUACUUUUCAAGACUUAACCUGGAUUAAAUCAAGCCCGGACGAAUGAGUUCUGACCUUUGAUCAAGUUCCAAAGCCUUGAGCUCCUGAUGCCAGAGUUAGUAAUGCAUUAAUUAAUUGGAAUUUUCAACUGCACCCCAUGAACUAAUUGGAGUAUUAUAUGUACAUGUUCUACUUACAAGCUGCAAAUCCUUUGCAUUUCGCGGCCCGGAAAGCGAGAAUCAAAUACUAUAAAAAUUGGAUGUUGGAGUUGGACAACGAUUAAGAGCAAUAAACAAAUAUUUGAUAAGAUUGGAAGAAGUCAUGAUCUUUUUUAGCGUGAAAGACACCUUUGGGGGGUACUGUCCAUAUGAAAGUUUGGCAACCUAAAGAUGACAAAAGUUUGCUCAUGCAAAGCAAAAGAUUUGAGAAACCCCAUAAGGGUUAGUAAGACUAAUAAGCAGUCUCCUUGAGAUGCUUCUCGCAUCCUCCCUAUAUAUAUAUAUAUAUCAUAAGGCCUUCGAGGGUACUACUUCUUUAUAUACGCUUUUGUCUUUUAUAAUGUGGGGAGUUUAGCAUGUUAGAAACCGAAUUUGACCAUGCAUUAGUUGGAGGAUUAAGGCAUUUAAUUAGGGGUUAGCAAUGUCAUUCCAAGCAUGGAUUGCUGAUGCAGUCGAAGAGGGUGCCCAAGAACUUCCCAGAAGGUAGGAUUUCAGCGGAAAUAUUUAAUGCAGCAAACUUUUAUAGGGAAUUGAGCACCCCCCCCCCCCCCAACCCCCAAACUUUUUUCCUUCUUAAUCGUUUGGACCAACAUGCAUGAGUUAUUCAAAGCUAAUGUCACAUGCAACGAGAUUAAAAAAAAAAAAAAACCCCAAAAGGGAUUUGAUUAGUUAAAUGAUUAAUGAGGAUUCUUAUGUUUGAAAUCUACCAAAUAAUUAUCGAAUAUUCGCACGCUUUAGACCAGUGGGAUUAUACCAAAUGGGAAUCCUUCUUUGCAUAGUCGUCCCUGUCAUGUGAGAGGAUCUCGGGAUUGAGUCUCUCUGCACGAGCCCUGCGACAGGUUUUCCCUUCUUGCAUGAACAUGAAUGUAUUGAUCUCUCAAUUCUCAGCCACCAGAAAUGUGAAAAGCAUAUUGUCUCGAGGCAUUACAUAUUAGCAUCCUCAUCAUCAUCAAGUUCAGAUGAAAUGGUCCAAGAAACAACUUGAUUCAUUACCUAAGUUAUGACUUCAUCCAUCGGUACUUUAAAAAAAAAAAAAAAAAUCUGUUAUGCAACUGAAGGUUUAUAAUUUUAGUAAGUAUUAUCUCGUCCAGGAGCCAAAAAUGAUACGCAUGCAAAGCAUUUGGAAAUUUUUUGUCGCUUGCCUUUUGGGAGAAAAUUGACAAUGAGAUUUUCAUCAUUGAAGCAAACGAAUGGAUGCAUGCAAGUCCACAAUACUAUGAAUAUCAUCAUGCUCUUACAAAGGGAGUUAGUUAAAAAAUAAUAAUAAUUUUACAAAAAGAAAGAAAAUUCCUCCACACUAAAUAAGUUGAAUUAUUUCUUUUUAGUAUUAUUUUUGUGAUAUAUUGGCGAACCAGAUUAAGCACCUGAAGAUUAAGGAUUUUGCUAGUUUUUAUUUUGCCGAAGAUAUAGAUAUGGAUUUGGAUUUGAGAGCUUAGAGCAGCCUCUACCGGCCCAUUUACUCAUCCCAACAUUGGCGUCCAUGUUGACCCAUUUGUAAUCCAUGGACAAGUCUUCUUGCUGGAUCUUACCUGAUUCAUUGAUGUUAAAUUUAUAUGGAAGCAGUCAAUCCAUCGCACGACUUGAUGUGACAAAAUUGAGCUUUAGCCAUCCGGAAAUCCAACUCAGAAAUGUUAAUUGGGCUUUAACCAUCCGAAAACCCAAAAGCAAAAAUGUCAAUUGGGAUGAUUCAUCCAUCGAAAGCCCAAACAAAUGUCAAAGUUGGAAUAGCUGUAAACGGAAACAAGUUUCCAAGACCGGCCUUAUUAGUUAGGCGAGUUCCUGAUUUGAUUCUCAAAAUCUUUUUGUUUAUAUUUUUUCUUUGUAAAAUGUAGAGCCUCUCAUUAAACUGAAGAAAAAUUUUUAAAAAAAUUGAAACAAUAAGCACUCCAAUAAACAAUACUAAUAAUAAGAAAAGGAAUGCUUAAUAGUUUGAUAGACAAUAUACAAUAGGUAGAUGUUAACAUAGAUAAUUGGGGAUGUUUUAUCAUUUUUAGCUAAGAACUUAAUUGCUUUAUAGUUCCUAAAAAAUUAGUAGAAUUUGAUUUUAUGCAUAGAAUUUACUCAAAUGUUAUUGACCAUACAUGAAUAGAAAAAAAGAACAUAAUCGAAACAAAAGUUUCACUUUGAAGGGCUUAAUUAUGUUUCAUUCACUAUUCGGAUAAUUUGGGCAGCUCAUGAAAUUAUAUGCAUGUUACACGAAACAAAUAUAGUCCAAAAUUACUCAAUUGUACUUUAAUCAAAAAAUUAUAAUAGUAGAAACUGUGGAUCAAUUUAAUUAACCAUUUAGUGGGCAAGGAAGAGGCCUUUUUCGAGGGAGUCGAAUUAGAAUUAAUCCUAGCCCAUUUGUUUAUUAAUAAACGAUGGGGAUAUUGUCACUGAAAAAAUUUUUAAUUUAUUUGAAUUGCUAUUUUCUGAAGUUUUUGAUAAAAAAAAUAAUAUAAUAAUUUGAUAUAUAUGAGAUAAAGAGGUAAUUAAAAAAUGUAUUUGUGAAAAAUAUAUAAAUUGUGAUAACGGAAAAUUUGAGUGUGGAAAGGGAGAGGUAUUAGAGAUUCUUAUUCGUAUUUAGUUAUGGGUAAUAUGCCACCACGAUUCUUAUUUGGAUCACCAUUGGAUGCUCUUACAAGACAGACCUUUUUUUUUUUUUUUUUUUUUUUUUUCAAAACAACAACGUUCUAUUCAUAACACAAACGUAUUACAAGAAACCGGGACAACUGCCCCUACAAUCAGACUGCACAAGUUCUUGCAGCCAUGCUGGGAAGUUAACCUUCCAUUCAGCAAAAUCCUCCAAGCUAAUUGCCAAUUUGGCUAGCGUAUGACUAACAAAGUUGUUUACUCUCCUAGUGAAAGUAAAACAACAUUCAUCAAAAUUUUCCUUCAAACUCCUUAUAUCCUCUAUCACCACAGAACCUAUCCUAUCAUUAUCCUCCCUAUUCAGCUCUUCCACAACUUGUAAGCAAUCUACCUCAAACACCACCUUUUUCCACCCUUGUAGCUUUGCCAUUCUCAUAGCCAUUCUAAGUGCCAUUGAUUCCUCCUGCUUAGGAUUCGAACAACUUAAAGAAGGCACAGCCCACGCCCCCAACACCAUCCCCUGCCAAUCCCUUGCAACCAUUCCCCAACCUGCUCUACUUUCCUUGCUAUUCAGAGCAGCAUCUGAGUUCAACUUUAUCCAACCUUCCUGUGGCCUUUCCCAGCCAUGUACUUCCCUUUCCUCCUUCAUUCCACCAUCCCCCAAUUCCACUUCCACCUCCUGAGCCUCCUGAUAUUCUUGCCAUUCCAUCACAGCCUUUUGAACUGCAACCAGAGGAUCCCUUCCACAAUCCUGGAACUGUUUUUCAUUUCUAGAUUUCCAAAUUUGCCAAAGCAGGUUUACUAUUAGACUGAUACGCUCAUCACCCUUUUCCUUGGCUGCCACCUCCUUCAACGCAUCCCACCAAUGCCAAAAUUUAUUCCUAAAAACCUGCAAGCCCUCCCAACUCAGAGGUGCAGCUUUCCAUAUUAGUCUAGCUUUGCAACAGAAGAAGAGCAUAUGUUCAAUAGUUUCUGGACCUUCCUCACAUCCUUUGCACACUUGAUCCCCCUUUGAGUAUCUUUCCUUUAGUACUGCAUUUACAGGCAGUAUCCCAUGCAAACAUUUCCAAAUAAAAUUCUUCAAUUUAUGUUUCACUUUCAAACCCCAAAGGAAGUUCCAGUUCUGAGUUGCUCCUAACCUCCUGAUACUAGUGCCUUCCUCUGUCCUUUCAGCAUCAUACCUCUUUUUCUUUCUCUUUGCCAACCUAUAUCCUGACUUGACCGUGUACAUCCCAGUGUUCGAAAAAGCCCAAAAUAGCCUGUCCUUCCUAGGUCCCUCGCUAAGAGGAAUGUUCAGGAUCUUCCUUCCUUCUUCCUUAUCAAACACCCGUGCAAUCACCUCCCUGUCCCAUACUCCCCCCUUAAUAAGAUCACAUACAAGCUGUAACUCACACACCCUCCCUUCUCCUUGUUUGUACUUUUCCACUCUCAAAGCCUGGGAUCCACCUAUCCUCCCAAAUAUUUAUAGAUUUAUCAUCCCCUACUUGUUUCCUCAAUCCCUCAUCUAAUAUAUCCUUUGCCUGCAACAAACUCUUCCAACACCAUGAAUCUGCAUCAUGACUUUUUGUUCUCCAAAUUGAUGUCCCCUUAAAGUACCUGGCCUUUAGGAUUUUAGACAUCAGUAAGUUGGGAUUGGUCACAAUUCUCCAUAGCUGCUUUGCAAGCAAAGCCAAAUUGAAUUCAUGGAGCUCCCUAAACCCCAGCCCCCCCCACUGCCUUUACUUCAGACAUCUUACUACAGCUCAACCAGUGCACCUUACUCUCCUUUUCCUUUUGCCCCCACCAGUACUUUGCCAUUUCAGAACAAAUCUCCUUGCACAGUACUUUUGGGAGGAGACAAGAGGACAUAGCAUAAGUAGGCAGGGCCAUGAUGACUGCUUUCAAUAAGACCUCCUUCCCAGCAGGACUCAACAUUUUCUCCUUCCAUCCUUUUAACCUGGUUAUUGUUUUCUGCCUUAUAAACUCAAACACUUGCCUCUUUGAUCUACCAAUCACCAAUGGUAACCCCAGAUACCUGCUUUGUGAGACCUGCUGCAUUCCCCUCAAUUCACUCAGCACCUCUUCCUGCUGCCUUCGACCCAUAUUCCUGCUGAAAAACACUGAGGACUUCUCCAUGUUGAUCAACUGGCCAGAAGCCUUCCUGUACACUUCUAAAAUCCUUCUUAGUUGAUCUGCCUCCCUCCUACUUGCUUUACAAAAUAUCAGAGAAUCAUCUGCAAAAAAUAAAUGAGACAGACCAGGAGCCCCUCUAGCAAUUCUCACGCCUGUUAGAUUGCCAUUGCUGUUAGCUUGUUUGAUCAGUGAUGAGAAACCUUCAGCACAAAUCACAAGACAGACCUUAUCCAUCCCAUAUUUGUUUGGAAAGUUUACGAAGAGAGUGGAAAAGCACAACUGUUUCACUUUCUGUGACAUUUACUGUUCUAUUUUUGUUAUAUUAUUAUUUUUCUUCAUAAUCAUCAUAUUUUAAUUUUUUUUUCUUAAAAUCCGAUAACUAUUAGUUGAAUAAUAUACAAAAUUUUAAAAACUUAAAAAAAAAUCAAAACGCAUAAAAAAUGAGAUUUUUAUGAGUUUUCUGCUCUUUUUUUAAUUUUUUAUUAUAUAUUACUUUUUUAAAAUUAUUUAUUUAUUUAUUUUUACUCAGUUAAUAAUUAUUGAAUCCUAAUGAAACAAAACAAAACAAAAAUAUAAUAUCUCUUAAAAAAAAUUAUAAUGUAAUAAAAAAUGAGACAUAAAGUAUCACAGGAAGUGAAAUAGAACAUCGUGGGAAAAAAUGUGCACUUCACCCUUACUUUCAAUUUAAAUAUUUCAAAACUAGAAGUCUUUUACAUGACGCAUCGCGUAAUUGGCGGUCCACCUGUCAUGUUCCGGAAUGUAAGAUGGAUAUGUGUCACUGUUCAAAUUCACUUCAAAGAAUUUUACUCUUUUUUUUUUGGUCCCUUGAGAUUAUUCCUCGCUAAAAUAAAUAAAAAAAGAAAAGAAAGAUUAAAGGACGAAAACUGGCCAGUAGCAUAACGGACUUCAAAUCAGAAAAAAAUGAACAUAAACACGAACAAUUAAUUUUCAUUUAUAGUUCCUUAAUAAAUGCAAUCACUUUUAUUUAUCCAAUUUUUAUGAAGCCUUGUCAUCCCCUCUCCAAAAUUAGAGUUUGACCUCAACCGUAUAAGCCAGUAGAAGUAUAUUUUCCCUCAAAUUCUGACUUAGAAUCCCUUAGAAAUACUAACUACUGUUUUGCAUCUUGCAGCAGCAGGAGCAGGAGCAGGAGCAGGAGCAGGAGCACCAUUUCUUAGCCCAGACAGAAAAAUAAAUUAAUGAUUUCACCAUUGCUCUGAAAAACCCUAGAAAAAUAAGCUACGACUUCUUCCUUUUUCUUGUUUUGCUUUAAUUUCCUCAUAGAGAGAGAGUUCUGAUUUGUUUGCUUUUUGUUGUGUAAUUAUCUUUUUUUUGGGGUCCUUUUUGGAGGGAUUGGUAUUUUUUGUUGUUGUUCUGAUGGAGGAUUCCUCGGACCAGUGCAAGCUGUUUGUGGGAGGGGUUUCAUGGGAGGCGACGGAGGAUGUCCUGAGAGAACACUUUGCCAAAUACGGCACCGUUUUGAGUUCGGUGAUAGCCAAGGAUAGGCUAACCGGUACCUCCAGAGGAUUCGCUUUUGUUUCGUUUUCUGACGCUGCUGCCGUUGAUUUAGCCCUUCAGGACUCCCAUGAGAUUCGCGGAAGAACGGUUCGUCCUUUCCAAAUAACUGUCUAUUUUUUCGGUUUUUUUUCCAUGUUAUGUUCCCCCCCCCCCCCCCCCCCCCUAGACUGUUUCCAUUUAGUAUUUUUGUUUCAAUUUUAUUAUGUGGGCCUUCAGCUUUUAUCUUCUGCCUGUGCCGUUUGGGAAAUUCGGAUUUUGUAAUUUAAUACGUGUUGUCUGGCUCAUAAGGAUUUUACAAUUUGUGAGGGACUUUGAUAUGUGUAAUUUAUUUAUUUGGGGCUGAUUUUUAAUGUCACAGCAGAGUGAUUAUUUUAGUAAUUUUGGUUACUUGUAUUACGUCAAUGCUUUACUGGAUUUUUGGUUCACAUUUUUGUGAAAUUAGCAACAAUUUUGUCUAAAUCCUGCUAGCAAAUUUGGAUUAUUUGCAUUCUUAAAGCAAUGCCCUCUACGGGAGGAAAAACCUUAUUCGUCAUGCUUUUUUGUGUUGUUUUUUCAAGGAUAGGACUUUACUCCAUUAACAUUUCAUAUGAUCGUUGCAAUGUACUAUGUCCUUUUUUUUUUUGGUAUAUUCUAUUCAUUAGAGCUUUAUUGUAUUUGUAGGUAGAAGUGAAGAAAGCAAUACCCAGGGGUGAGCAACACCAAAGCAAACAGCCACAGAGUAGGGGUUUGGGUAGGAACAAUAGAACUGAUGGUAGUAGGAGUGACAAUCAGUUUAGGACUAAGAAGAUUUUUGUAGGGGGUUUGUCCGCUAAUUUAACUGAAGAAGAAUUCAAGAGUUAUUUUGAGAAGUUUGGUAGGAUUACUGAUGUAGUUGUGAUGCAUGACAAUGUGACUCAUAGGCCCAGGGGCUUUGGCUUCAUUACGUUUGCAUCGGAGGAUGCAGUUGAGGAAGUGGUGCAGAAUAAUUUUCAUCACUUGAAUGAUAAACUAGUAGAGGUGAAGAGGGCUAUACCUAAAGAGGGCAAUAACAAUGUUAAUGGGCAUAGCGGAAGGGCAGAUAAUGGUAGAGGGUCUAACUACAAUCUUUAUCCUCAGGGUACUUAUCCCCUCUAUAAUCCUAGGUUUGGGAUGUUUCCUAGUUACAGUUCAGUUCCGGGAUAUGGAGGUCUUUUAGGUUACCCUUAUGGGCCGACUAUUUAUGGUGGCAAUUAUCCUUUCGGAACAUAUGUGGAAGUUGGUUACGGAGUUGUUCCACUGCCUGGUUCAUGGGUUGGUGGUGCUACGGCAGACAAUGCAGGAGGCUCUGACUAUAGCACAAUCUAUCCUUAGUUGUGGAUAUGGUGGAAAAUCGGGUUGACCGCUAUUAUUGAUGUGUAAAGAACAACUGAUUCAGCAUACUUAGGUUGACCAUUAUUUGCAGGUGACGUCUGCAUGUUAUUUGCAGGUGACGUCUGCAUGUGCAUAAUGGUUUUGACAUACAAGGAUUGAAGCACUGAUGUUUAUAUUGUUUCUUGCUGUUUAUAUUGUUCUUGUUAUUGAAUCUUUCUGUUCGGUAAAAUUUUCUGUUUGAAUUCAUGGGACAAUGUUUAACUCAUUUGUAAUAUAAUGAUUUCUUGAUAGACUCCAUUUGCAUGAUGUCUUCUCAUCUUAUUUUGGUGUAUCAAAUGUUCCAUUAGUUUGGUGGUUUCUAUUACUCAUGGGGAAGUAGAAAUAGAGAGUUUUUGCUUUCUUUCUUAAGUUUGAACUUUAACGUUAGCUGUUUGCAUUGCUCAACUCAUUUGGGACCUAAAAAUGGGUGGUUUUCUUAUUUCUUUUUUCCAUUGUUUCUAAUUUAGUUAAUUUAGUGUUAGCUGGCUUGGCAACUAAGGUAAAUAUUGUACGAGUCUGUUGUUGUAUACUGUCUGUAUCUAUUUCAGUGCUCAUUUUGUACUUUGCGAUUUUUAACACAUUUGGGACUUAAAUGGGUGGUUUUCUUAUUUCUUUUUUUCAUUGUUUCUAAUUUAGUGUUAGCUGGCUUGGCAACUAAGGUAAAUAUUCUACAAGUCUGUUGUGGUAUACUGUUUGUAUCCAUUACGGUGCUUACUUUGUGAAGGGGCGAGGCAAGACGAGGCGAGGCUUUCAAAAGUUUUAUACAUUAUGUGUUUUUAGGGUUAAUUACAAGGGUACACCCCAUUUCUCAUUUUACUUCUUAACAUUUAAUUUUUAGUUUUUAUCCCUUAACUUCCUAUAAGACGAAAUUACCCUUUCAUUAUUUUGACUUUUUAUUUAUCUAUUUUAUUUUUCCCCCUCUUUAUUUCUUUUUCUCUUUCAUGUUUCUUCUCUCUUCUAUCCUUCCCAACAACAGAAAACUUGUCUUAAAGGAAAAUUUUAUCUUGAGUUUGUAAUUGCAUUUUUGGGGUGAGCUUUAAAAGGCAUUAAAAGCUAAUUUUGAUCUUUUGUACGAUGCAUGUGUCACAAAUUGUAACUAAUGAUUAUUAAUUAGGCUACAAAUUCAUCUUGUGAUAUUUAUUUGAGAAUAAAAUGAGAAAUUAGAAUGGAAAGGGGGAAAAGCAAAAGAAUUGAAAUGUUAAAAAAUGGUAUUUUGGAGAAGUGGUUUGAAUAUUUUGUAAUUGUUUCAUGAGAAGAUAGAUUUUUACAAUUCUUUUUUUUUUUUUGCUUUCAUCACUAAGAUGAAAUUUCUUGUGGAAAAGAAGAAGAAUUAAAUAAAGAAGAAAGAUACAAAGAAAAUAGGGGGGAGGGGGGGGAAUAAAAUAGAAGAGACAAAGAAAAAGAGAUUAGAGUAAUAGAGGGGUAAUUUUAUUCAAUAGGAGUUAAGAUGAGACACAAAAAAAUUUAAAAAGCAAAGUAAAAAAUGGGGUAUACUUAAAGGGAUUAAUUGUGAUUGACCCUUGUUUUUUUUUUUUUUUUUACUUCAAGAACUUUAUUAAUUAAAGUUUUCGCCCCUCAAACUAAGGAACUGGAUGAGUUCUAUGUUUUGCUUAUUUUUCUUAGGCAUUUAUUUAUAUACGUAAAAGCCGUGUCCACGCCGGGCAACUUAAGCUGUGUUAACAUAUUCGCUUACUUGGACAGACAGAAAUAAUUUAUAAUGUUUUAAGUCAUUGUUAAUCUUGGGAGAAAUUUGUGCAAUACGCAUGAAUUUAAAAAUGUCAAAAAAACAGAGUAGAUGACGGAUGCUAAUCAUAGAGAUGCUCCACUACUAUAAUUAUAAAAACAAAAAUAUUAAGGCUAUAAAAAUAAAAUUGGAAGAGACAAAUUUAAACUUAAACCACAAAAAUGGGUGGUUCCUUAAUUUUUAUUAUUUAUUCAUCUUUUGGUCACUUGAGAACUCAACGUGUUUGCAAUCAUUUCUUUGUUAAACAUUCAAACUAAGAAAGUUUUUCUUUUUUGUCCCCCUCUUAUUUAACCCCAAUUCUUUCUUCUUUUUAUUUGCUCUCGAAACUCCCAAAUAGAACUGCAAACGAAUCGAGCGGCUCGAGUCAAGCUUGAGUCGAGCUUGAUAUUAAUCGAGCUUGAGCCAGCUCGAGUCAAACUCAAGCUCGAACUCGAGCUCAAAAUAUUAAACUCAUUAGCUCGCGAGCCGGCUAGCGAGCUUGGGUAUAUAUAUAUAUAUAUAUAUAUUUUUUUAUUUAAUAAUAAAAUUACGUAUAUUAUAUAUAUAUUUUUUAUUUUUUAUUUUCAUAGUAAAAUUACGUAUAUAUCCUUAAUAUUUUAUUAUUUAUUAAGAAAAAAAUAUUAUUUUAUUUAUUUUUUAAAAAAUAAAAUAAUUAUUUUUUAUUUUUUUUCGAGCUCGAGCUCGACUCGACUUGAUUCGAUUCGAGCACGAGCUCGAAAUUUGGCGGCUCAUCGAGCUCGAGCUCGAGUUUGGUAAAAUUUAGUCGAGACUCGGCUCGAUUAGCUCAAAACUCGACUCGGCUCGACUCGACUCGUUUGCAACCCUACUCCCAAACUAGGCCUAAAUCUUUAUUUAUUCAAUAAUGAACAUCACCUUAUUAGCACUAUUGUUUAAAGACUACUUGCUAAAUACUACUAUUUUUGAAGGAUGGUAUUUGAACCUAAGUUUUAUAGGAUUUUAUUAGAAUAAAAUUAGAAACUUAUGAGCAUCAUUUAUGUGUAUUAAGUAAAAAAAAUUUAAAGUUAAUGGCUUUUCUUUACUAACAUUACUAACAAAAAGGUACUGACUUUAUUUACUAUUACUAUUCGAAUUAUCGUGGCAUUUUUUGGUGCAGUUAUUUAGCUUUUAGCAGACUAUCUUAGAUGGAGAAAAAAAAAUUCAUUGGCAUGGAAGAAAAAGAGUCAAAAAUAUUUUUGUUGGACUAUUAGUUAGAGAAAAAAUUUUCAUUGGCAUGAAAGAAAGCGAGUUAAAAAUAUUUUGUUUUGUUGAUUAUUAAACGAAGGUAUUUCAGAUUAAACUGAAAAAUAAGUAUAGUGGGUAAAAAGUGAUUUGUAAGCGGGUAAAUUUUAGGAAUCAACAAGAAAUUAAACAAUAUGAUUGUAGUGUAAUUUACAAAAUCUGUCUAAAAAAUCGCAUCCAGAGAAAAUGAUAUUUAAAUUUCAUAUCAAUAUGGUUACAUAUAUGUUAAUUACUAAUAUUAUGGUGAUGCAUGACAAUGACAAUAUGACUCAUAGGGCGAGGGACUUUGGUUUUGAUUACUAUCGCAUAAGAAAAAAGUUGUGUAGAAUAAUUUUCAUCUAUUGAAUACAUUUCAUCUAAUGUAGUAGAGGAAUUGCGCAGAAUAAUUUUCAUUACUCUUGCAUUAUAUAAUGUACUUGAGCCCUCCGGGGCUUGGUCUGACGGUUGAGAUUGCUGAAGAUGGAACCUUAGGUCCCUAGUUUGAACCUUGUUGCCAGCAAGUUGUGGAGGGUGGGGAAUAGUCUGCGGAAUCCACUUCCUGUGGGACACCCCUAAAAAAAAAAGUACUUGAGAAAGUCAUGCAGAGGGACUUAACAGGAUUUUUACUAGUUAUACUUCAAUUUCAAGAUGUAAAGGUAUUUUAAGGUUUGCUUAUGGGCAGACUCUUUGUGACAACAGUUACCCUUCUACAGAAUAUAUGUAAAUUGGUUAUGGUUCUUCUAUUGUCUAGUUCAUGAGCAGGUAGUGCUUGGAUAGACAAUCCAAAAGAGUAUAGUUUCAUUUUACCCUUAGUAUUGGAUAUGCUUAGAGUUGUGGAUAUAAUGGGAUGGAAGGGCAAGAAGAGGUGGGAAAAUUCAAUAGAGUUUAGUUCAAUUUUAUCCUUAGUAGUGGAUAUAGUGGUUUGGUAGGGUUUAGAGUGGUGAAUAUGGUAGGAUGGAAGGCAAGACGACGUGGGAAAUCAGGUUGACUAUCAAUAAAUACGAUUUAUCAUACAUUAUUAUUUAUUUGCCAGUACCCUCCGCUGGCUUGUGGAUAACGGUUUUGACAUAUUGGUUUUGAAGCACCGAUAUUAUCUAUGUUUGUUGUUUCCUAUUAUUGAAUCUUUUGUUUAUUUGUUAAAAAGAUAUUAAUUUUGUGUGAAAUUUUAUGUUUGAAUUCAUAGGGCAAUGUUUAAGAUCAUUUGAAUAGUGAUUUCUUUCUAGACUCGAUUUGCAUCGAUUUCUUUAGGAUCAUUUUAGUUGUUAUUGAGGAAAUUGCAGAAAUUAGUGCAGCAAUUUACGGAAUGAUAUUUCGGGAUCUUUAGCUAAUAAAUUAGUGGAUGUAAUUUUGGUAGUUUACUAUUGUAUAGGAAAUCUUUAUUUGUACAGAUAUAGAAAUUAUAUAGGUAGGAUCCUUAUCUUUGUAUAUAAAUACACCUUUGAAGUCAAUGACAAAAUCAUCUCUUUUGAUCCCAGUAUUUCUGUUUUCUUCAUGGUAUCAGAGCAAUGCCUCCCAAAGACGAAGGAAAUUCUAGUUUAGAUAAGAAAACUUUCUAGUUCUUAUGCUCUGAGCCUCAAUGACAAUCCAAGCAACAUAUUUACCCAGGUGCAGUUGACGGGAGAAAAUUAUGAAGAGUGGGCACGGGCAGUGUGGACUGCAUUGAGGGCCAAAAAGAAGUAUGGUUUCAUUGAUGGAACUGUGGAACAACCGGCAGAUGAUUCGCCGAAAAUUGAAGAUUGGUGGCCAGUUAAUUCCAUGCUGGUUUCAUGGGUAUUUAACACCAUUGAACCCUCUUUACGUUCAACUAUUUCUCGUGUGGACAAUAUUGGAGAUUUAUGGGAGGAAAUAAGGCAGCGCUUCUCAAUUGGGAAUGGACCAAGAGUCCAGCAAUUGAGAUCGGACUUGACGAACUGCAAGUUGGAGAGACAAACCAUAGUCAAUUACUAUGGACAGCUUAAAACCAUAUGGGAUGAACUGAAUAAUUACGACAAAUAACCAUUGUGCAGUUGUGGUGGAUGCAAGUGCAAUCUCACAACUGAACUGGAAAAGAAAAGGGAGGAAGAAAAAGUUCAUCAAUUUUUGAUGGGCUUGGAUGAAGAACGCUAUGGUACUGCGCGUGCUAAUAUUUUGAGCACAGAGCCAUUACCCAAUCUGAAUAGGGUAUAUGCAAUGGUUGUUUAGCAAGAACGAGUAAGAACAAUGUCACGAACAUGGGAAGAGAAAGGCAACCCCAUGAGCUUUGCAGUUCAGGUUGGUGGACUAAAUUCAGAGGGGGACAAAGCUGCAGUAUACUCACAUUGCAAUCGUGAGGGACAUAAUUUAGGUACCUGCUUUCAACUGAUAGAGUAUCCAGAUUAUUGGGGAAAUAGACCUUGCUCCAGUACUUCAGGACAAGGAAGUGGGUGUAAGCGCAAUGGUGGUGGAGGCCAUGACAGGAGUGGUAUACCACGAGCAAAUGUCGUUCAAACAUUUGCAACAGAAGAUGAUCACAGAGGAGUCACAAAAACUGACAGAAAGGGGCCUAGUGGGUUGAAUGAUGAACAAUGGGGCAUUUUGCUGGGACUUUUGAGUUCGUAAAAGACUGUAUCCAAUGAAAGAUUAAUUGGUAAGUAAGAAAUUUUGUCUUGAGUAAUAGAUUCAAGGGCUUCCCAUCAUAUGACUGGGACAAGGGCCUGCCUGAGAGAUGUGUCUGACAUUGUUCCAUAUUUAGUUGGAAUGCCAAAUGGUGAAGCAACUGUGGCACUGAAAGAAGGAAUGGUGCAUCUUAGAGGAGGAUUGAAAUUGCAACAUGUUCUUUUUGUGCCUAAUUUAAAAUAUAACUUAAUCUCUGUUUCACAACUUCUUAAUGACUCAAAUCUGGUACUGCAAAUCACUAAAAAAAUUUGUGCUAUACAGAAUCGAAAUAUGAGGUGACUAAUUGGAGCGGGUAAACAACAGGAGGGGCUGUAUUUUUUUAAGGCGGUGGCUUCGGCAAAUGCUCGUAAAAUUUCUGGAGUUUUAGACUUCAAUCUUUGGCAUAGGAGAAUGGGUCAUCCGUCGAGUAAGAUGCUAGAAUUGAUUUCUGCAGCAAAUAAAUUUAGUAAAAAUACUGAUAAUUUAAGUUGUGAUGUUUGUUUUAGAGCAAAACAAACUAGAGAAAUGUUUUAUUCUAGUGACAAUAAAGUUAAGAAUUGUUUUCAUUUAAUGCAUUGUAACUUGUGGGGGCCUUAUAAAGCUUUGGCUUUUUGUGGAGCUGCUUAUUUCUUGACUAUUGUUGAUGAUUGUUCUCGUGCUGUAUGGAUUUAUUUGCUAAAAGGAAAACAUGAAAUUGCUUGUGUUCUUAAGAAUUUUAUUGCUAUGGUUAAACGACAAUUUGAGAAGGAUGUGAAAACUAUUAGGAGUGAUAAUGGCACUGAAUUUAUGUGUCUACAAAAAUAUUUUUAAUGAAAAUGGUAUAUUGCACCAAACUUCUUGUGUAGGAACUCCCCAAUAGAAUGGACGAGUUGAGAGAAAGCAUCGUCACAUCCUUAAUGUGGCGAGAGCUUUGAUGUUUCAGGCACACUUGCCAAUUGAUUUUUGUGGUGAAUGCAUUCUUACCGCUAGAUACUUAAUCAAUAGGAUACCAUCUGCGGUUCUGAAGAGAAAAACUCCUUAUGAAAUUCUCUUUGGACAACUUCCUUCCUAUAAUCAUAUUAGGACUUUUGGGUGUCUGUGUUAUGUGCAUAGACAACUUAGAGAUAAGGAUAAAUUUGUCAGUCGAAGCCCUAGGUGUGUUUUUGUGGGGUACCUUUUUGACAAGAAAGGAUGGAAAGUGUAUAAUUUAGAAACUUCUGAGUAUCUUGUCUCAAGAGAUGUGGUGUUUGUAGAAAUAAAAUUUCCAUACUCUGCAACCAAUGUUUGCAAGUGAAAAUUCCACUAAAAAUGCGGAUGGAGCUCAUGAGCAUAAGAAUUGGGAAAUUAUUGAGGAAGAUAGGGAGAUAUUAGAGAAAUCUCCUGAAGGCUGUCCUCCUACUGAGGAAAUUACAGAAAUCAAUACAGCUGAAAAUAGGGAAGAAAAUUCAGGAGAAGAGGUACUAGUAAGAGAUCAGCUUGGUCGUGGACGUAGGAUUAAAUAGUCAUCCACUCGUCUGAAGGACUAUGUGACAAAUAAUGUGCAAUUCAGCCCCUCGCAGCAUUCACCGCUUCAACAGCAUUCCUCAGGUAUGUCUUAUCCCAUAGCCAAUUUUAUUGGCUAUGAUCGAUUUUCUUCACAAUAUCGGUUCUUCUUGGCAAGCAUUACUGCAGGUUCAGAACCAGUUUCUUAUAAUGAGGUAAUGAGAGAUGAACGAUGGCGUGAAGCUAUGAGAAAAGAAAUUCAAGCUUUGGAAGAGGAUGGAACUUGGACGGUGGAAGACUUACCCGUUGGGAAGAAGGCUUUUGGCAGUAAGUGGGUGUACAAAAUAAAAUAUAAUUAUGAUGGAAGCAUUGAACGAUGCAAGGCUCGAUUGAUAAUUCUUGGCAAUAAUCAAAAAGAUGGUAUUGACUAAUGCCACCAGGUUUUGCCUCUAAAAAUCCUGGGAAAGUGUGUAGACUACGAAGGUCUUUGUAUGGCUUGCGUCAUGCACCCCGUUGUUGGUUUGCUAAGCUGGCAGAUUCUUUAAAGAAGUAUGGCUUUCAUCAAUCUUGCUCAGACUAUUCAUUGUUUGCUUUUCGUGAAUAGCAUAUGCAAAUACAUGUUCUAAUCUAUAUAGAUGAUCUUAUUAUUUCAGGUAAUGCUGCCACUGCUGUGCAGCGACUAGAAAUAUUUGAGCAGCUGUUUUCAUAUGAAGGAUUGGGGACAGUUGAAAUAUUUUUUAGGUAUAGAGGUAGCAAGAAAUACUCAAGGAAUUUUUCUUUGUUAGCGAAAAUACGCCUUGGAUGUCAUCUCUGAGGUUGGUUUGCUGGGAGCUAAGCCAGCGAAAACUCCACUGGAGCAGAAUCAUAAACUUGCACUUGUUGAAGGGGAUGAUGCUAGUGACCCUGCUCAAUAUCGUCGGUUGGUAUGCAAACUGAUUUACUUAACUAUUACACGACCUAAAUUGAGCUACUGUGUCCAUAUUCUUGCUCAAUUUAUGCAGCAACCAAAGAAGGUCCAUUGGGAAGCUGCAUUACGAGUAGUCCGAUAUUUGAAGGGUAAUCCUGGACAGGGAAUCCUUUUGCGGGCCAACUCUGAUCUUAAAUUGUAUGCAUACUGUGACUCCGAUUGGGCAAGUUGUCCCUUGACAAGACACUUCUUGACAGGUUAUUUUAUUUGCUUGGGCAGAUCACCUGUCUGAUGGAAAACCAAGAAACAACAGACUGUUUCACGCUCCUCUGCUGAAGCAGAAUAUCGGUCAAUAACUAUAGCAGCUUGUGAACUUAAGUGGUUAAAGGAUUUGAUGCUAUUUCUUGGUAUUGAUCAUUCUAGUUCAAUGCGCUUGUACUAUGAUAGUCAAUCAGCUUUACACAUUGCAACGAAUCCUGGAUAUCAUGAGCAUACGAAACACAUCGAAAUUGAUUGUCAUUUCAUUUGAGACGAGAUACAAAAUGGGAACAUUGAAACAGCUCAUGUACGUACGACUCUACAACUUGCUGAUAUUUCACUAAAGCUUUGGGUACCGAUCAGUUUCAAUUUCUUCUUAGCAAGUUGGGCAUAUCCAAUCUUCAUGCUCCAACUUGAGGAGGGGUAUUGAGGAAAUUGCAGAAAUUAGUGCAGCAAUUUAUGGAAUGAUAUUUUAGCAAAUUGCAGAAAUUAGUGCAACAAUUUAUGGAAUGAUAUUUUGGGAUCCUUAGCUAAUAAAUUAGUAUAUGUAAUUUUGGUAGUUUACUAUUGUAUAGGAAAUCUUUAUUUGUACAGAUAUAGAAAUUAUAUAGGUAGGAUCCUUAUCUUUGUAUAUAAAUACACCUUUGAAGUCAAUGACAAAAUCAUCUAUUUUGAUCCCAGUAUUUCUGUUUUCUUCAGUUGUUUGUAUUACUCAACUCAUUUGGGAGUUAAAAUGGGUGGUUUUCUUUUUCUUUCAUCAUCUCUAGUUCAGUUAUAAAAUGGUUUAUUUUUUUUAUAAUGUUUUUCGCCUGAGAGUUCAGUUAUAAAGUUGUUUAUUUUUUUUCUAAUGUUUUUGGCAUGAGAGUGUUUGUUAGAAUUGGCAAGUUUUUGUAUACGAUAUCCAUUACAACAUUCUAAAGUGAUUAGAAGUUGUGAGCGUUGGUCUAUGAAUUAGAAAUUUUUGAGCACCAUCUAUUACUUAGUAUUUAGUAUUUAUUGCAAAUGUUAUUUUUUAUAAUACUGAAAACAAUUUGAUCCAAAUAAAAAAAAAAAACUUGAAGUCAUCAUUCAGCAGCAGGUUUUUACCACUGAAUCCAACCUCAUUGAUUUAUCUUCACUAACUUUAGUAAAAAAGAGGAAGUGUAGGACUCGGUGCAGUAACGAUUGCAUCCUGAAGGUUAUGUGCAUUUGCACGCGGCAUGAUUCUGUUUGCAUACGGUGUAACUUAUUUUCAACAACGUGUAAUUCUAGAAUAAAAUUUUGUAGAUCUCACACAUAUUAUUAAAAACGAGAUAUAAUAUGAAAUCUGAACCUUAUAAUUUUUUUUAGCCAAAUCUUGGCCAUAAACUGCCAAGAACCUCCUGCCCCUCUUCCGAAAGUGCAUGGCUUAUUUGCUACCAGUAUCCACAUUAUGUUUUCCAACUGAAUCCAACGUCUAUGGAUUUUCUUCACUAGCAUACAUUAGGAACAGCCGUAGAGGAACUGGCCUUAUUAACUAGUAAUAUCCUCAUUAUUAUCGUGGCUUCUUAAAUCGGAUAAAGAAAUUCAUUUUCCCCUUUUGUUCUGAUCCAAAGUUCAGCCGCCCCACCUCUUCUUUCUUUUUUCUUUUUUCUUUUUUCUUUUUUUUUCCUAUUUUCUCUAUUUCCUGGAAAAUUCAAUAUUUUAGUUUUUGAUAGUCGAUCCACCUAUUUAGAUUGCAAUUAAUAUUGUAGACCAGCAAGUAAAAAUAUUGAUAUUAACACACAAAGAAGGAAAAAGCUGCAUUUUGGCAAAUUAUGAUAGUCAAUACUUAGCAGCUAAGUAAUCCGAUUCGUCAUGCAAUCAAAUACUACCAUAUAAAAAUUUAAGAAAAGGUUAGUAGUAUUACAACUAUGAAACUCCAUUAGCCACUUUUAAUGAAUUAAUAAAUGAAGCAGCUAGGCAGUCUUAACUCUUUUUUUUUUUUUUUUUUUGGCUGUAAAUGUCAAAGCAUAGUAAAUCACGACAAGAAAGGUUGUAGCCAUCCUUAUUUUUUUACCAAAUGAAACCUUUUCUAUUAUUUGCCUAGUUUCCUUAUAUUAUAUUUACUCCAUGAUAUAUACUACUAUAAUAAUUCAAGUGCAAAUGUGGGUUCAACAGCUGAAAAUUUAUAUGAAUUUUUUCAAUGAUACGUCUAAUUUAUCAUGUGAAUUUAUACACUCACAUUAAAUAUAUUUCAUGUGUUUAGAUUUUUUUUUUCAAUUUAAUUUUAUUCUUACUAAAAAAUUAACAGGGAUAAGAAUACUUUUCCAAAUGAAUUCACUCUUACUUAAAAAAAGUUAACAGGCUCGACUUGACCAGUUAGCCAAACCAAAUUUAUAGUACUGCCAUUUUCGCGGGUAGAUAGCCAUUCGCCUAUUUUUCUUUGAUCAAAGCCAUUCGCCUGUUGAGUUCGCUACAGUCCUUCUGCUCAACUGACAUAAUACAAAGGGAAAAAACAAAAAUGUAGUAGAAAUUAUUCUUCUUGACCUGGCAAACAAAAAUACCAAGUAAAUAUCUUUUCCAUUUCUACAAGAGCCAUACGUUGCGUGAAAUUAGGGGCUCCUAUCCAAGUGCUUACUUCGUAUCAAAGGCGUUUGAUAAUUUGCCUGAGAGAAAACAUGAAUGUUCUGAGCAGCCAAGCUGCAGGCGGAGCAGCAGUGGCGGCAGUAUCCUGUACCCAUCGCUGUUCCCUUCAAUUUACAAAUCCAGUUCCUCCUCUUUUCUCCAAUCGCAGACCACCCAAAUUCCCACCCGCUAAUACUCAUAAUUUCCCCAGACGCCGCACUGUUGCCAAUGCUGAAUCCACCACAAGCCGCCCCUCUGCUACUCCUACUGGUCCUUCCACUCCCCCCAAUUCCGCCAAAGAGGAUGUUCCCAUCACUUUGGUGGGCGAACAGGAUGUUCCUCUAGAGGGUGUCAUUCAAUUCGAAAAGCCCACUUCUUCCCCUUCUACCCUCAUUUCUAAAUGGGGGUAAUUUCUUUCCCUCUCCUCCUUGUUUCUAUCUUGAAUGUUUUUCUUUUAAACAGCUGGGAUUUUCCCCCCUCUGAUAUGAUGAAAAAUUGGUUUCAUUUUAGGUGGGUGGCUUUGUUGGCCGGUGGGGAUGCGUUGGCAUUGCUCUUGUUCUCAGCAAUUGGAAGGUUUAGUCAUGGCUUUGACGUUUUUGACCUCGAGACGUUGAAAACUGCGGACCCGUUAAUGGCUGGUAUGCUUUUCUCUGACUCAAUUUUAGUUGUAUAUAUGUGGAGAUAAUAAAAAUUGGACCUAGGGGCUAAGAAUAAUUAUUUUGUAUGGUCCCUUGGUAAAAUUAGGGUGGUUCUUGAGUGCUUAUUUCCUUGGAGGAUAUGGGGAAGAUGGUCGAGGCAUGAAUGGCCGCUCUCAAGCUAUAACUGUAGCUGCCAAGUCUUGGGCUUUGGGCAUUCCGGUAAGUCCCUUUUAGCAUUCUGUCGGACAACUAUUGAACUCGUUGAUAUUUUUAAAAUAUCAAUUUUUUUUAGAAUGGUGAAGGAUUGUGGUUGAAAUGUGACUGAGUUAAAUGCCACCGGUUGCUAGUGAGCAUAUAUGUGGUUCAGGAGAGGAUUUAGGUCGGGGAUAUGGACUUUGGGAAACAUCAUAUCGCAGGACUCUAGUAGCUCGAAGCUCUUUUUUUCAGUUUAUAAAUUUUAGCAGGAAUCUUGUUGAAAAAAGUAUAGGAAUCUUGUUGAAGAUAGUUUCCGUCCAGUAUUUACCCCAAAUACACUUGAAAUUAGAGUUUUUAACACAAGAAUAGUGGUUGUUUACCUCUAGAGAUUUUCUGGACGUGCAAAUACCAAAGUUUCAUUCUAAUGCUUAUUGAGAAGGAGAAACAUACAGCAGUUAGGCUGCAACUUACAAUCUAUGAAGAUGUUAUCGUCUCUUGAAACUUAGUAUGAUACAAAAUUGUAAGUUAACGUGACAGUGAUCAAUCUGUAGUUGUGAUACAAGAAAUUUUCUAUUCACAGCUAAUUUUGGAUUUCAUUGUGAUUUAAUAACGUUUUUAGUCUACCCGUUCUCUUUGGAAUGGGCAUCCUCUCCUCAAGUUGAAGAUGCCUACAAAGUUGAACAAGUCCUUCCAAAAUUUAGGCUGCACCUCAAGAUCAGCAAAGGCCAGACAUGAAACCAAGAGCAGAAUGACCAUUAGGUUAGCGUCGUUUUCUUGUAUUGUUUGAACUAUGAAUCUGAAGGACUUCACGACAUGCGGAAUUUGGACAAGUUGGAUAGUCUUGGAUGUUGAUUUUCUUUUGGCCUUUGAUUUAACAAGGAUUUGAGAGUUGGGUUGACACACUUAACUUCUGGAAGGACAACAGCAGAUACUGUUGUAUCUCAUAUCAUACCUCAGAAGGUAUAAUUACGAGCAGAAGGCUGUUCCGCAUAAGUUUAUGUGUGAUGAUCAACAACUUUGUUUCCUCAUACUAGGCAUAGUAUUCCUAAUUCUAGUGUUCCUAGCAUUUGCCUCCUUUCUUGUAUUGGAUGUGAAAGAUUCACAAUGAAACAAUGAAUCUCCAUCAUUUGUUAGCUGUCCUGUAAAUAGAUUGUAAAACUUGCUCUAUUUGUGGUUCCUUAUAAAGGAACUACUACAUUCCUUGGCACUGCAUCAGAAUGGUCAACAACCUAUUUUGGGUUCAGUUACCUGCACAAAUGGAACUUUGAAUCAUUAAUGCUUGUGACAGGCAUGUCUCAUGCGUCAUCAUGCCUAAUGGACUCUCUUUUGAAUUUUGGCUGUAUUUUGAUAUCAAUUUCAACUUAUUUCUUUGUUCUUAUUCAUAAAGGACUUUGCUUCAAUUUUUGGUUCCCUCAUUUGGCAGCUGGGCUUGAUAAUAAGAGCAGCAACAGUCAGGCAUAUUCCGCCAAUCAACUUUAUCUUAGUAACCAUGGGAAGUACUGCUGUGUUACUAAUUGGAUGGAGAGCACUGUUGUUUAGCACAUUCUAUCCUGACAAAAGCAAGAAGAAUGAUGUCUAUAGACGGGGGAGCCCUUUUGAACUGUUUGAGGUAUGAUUGUUUUUUUUUCACCUUAAGUCACUGAGUUGAAAUAUAAGGUUAGAGUUGUGUUCAUCUUGUAAGUGAAUUUUGUUCAAAUGAUUUCGUUAAAUGACCUGAAAAUUUUGAAAUUUGUUCUUUGCCAAUGAUUUAUAUACAAGUCUUCUCAAUAAUUCAUGACAAUGGUACUAGAUCUAUGAAGAACAAAAAUUUUGAGGUGUCAGUGUGCAUAGAAGAUCAGGGUCAGGAUUCUCGUCCCUAACCAAUCUGUGCUUAUUCAAUCAAAAGCUAAAACAAGAGAAUGGACACCUUUUAAUGAACUUUUGCUCUGUGAUGUUGAAUUGUAAUUUAAGCGCAAAUCAGCUUCAGGCUUUACUCAAUAGCUGAUAUAAAGAUCAAAAGAAAGUGAACUAAGGGUAAAUGAAGCCAUUUCGUGUUUGUUUACAUAUUUUAAAAGUGAAUCUGUUUACAUAUUUUUAAAGUGAAUCUGGUUUUAACCAUCUGAUGAAGUUAAAAACAUGGAUCCAAGAAAUUGCGUUGUAUCUGAUGAAGUUUUUUACGACAAACAGUUGGAAAUCAGUGUAUUAAGAUAGUAUACAUUCCUGAUUGAUACCCUUAACCAGGAUGAAACAUUGUUUGGUUUUAAUUCCUGAUACAGACAAUGUUUUGAUUUUGCAGUUGCUCACGUCAUUGGUGAGAAGGUGGUAGAUCAGGUAGUGACUUCCUACAAAUUUGUACAUGCAUUUCCUCUUUUUAUGUAAGAAGUGACAUUUUAGAAGCAAUCACAGUUUUGUUUAUGAUGUUUGUUACCUGUAUGUAUAGAAUUUCUACCACUUGAAGAAGAGCUUGUUUUUAAUAAUAUUAUUAAACAUGUAGCAAAGAAAGUCCAUAAUGAAGAAUGAAGCCCUUGUAAUGCUUUUCCACAUGCUCCUCAUCUUCUAAAUAUAUCCUGCAAUCCAAGGACUCACUCACUUGUUCUGCUGUAUUAUUGUCACAAAUUUUGGGAACUGAUGUACUGUCACUUGAUUCCACAUUCUGAAAGAACUGAAGUUGCAGUGCUGCUUGAGGUUGUUAAGUCGUGACAUUUCUUAAACCUCCAUUGGACAAAUAUUUCGGUACAUGUUUUUGAAUCCAGCAGGUGUUUUUUUUUUUCUUCCUUUUUGGUUUCUGUACGUUGGUAAUUGCUAUUGUUGGGUUUUUCCUCGAUUGGUAACAAACUGUUGAAGACUAAUUCGUGCAAGAGUUGGUAAACUUCCCCCAUCGUUCUCCAUUGGGCUGAUGGAGUAUACAGUGACAGCAGGGGGCGUGGAACAGAGGAAUGAAUGAUGACGGGAAAAAGCUAUUCUCUUCGUAUCUGAACUUAUUACCUGAUGCGUGAGGCGCAUGGCUUAAAUGGUAUCAUUGGAUUAGAAUUAUCAACUCAUCAUGGGUUCUUGAUUAUUGUUGUUUGAAUACGGAAAGUGCCAAAGGUCAAUGAUGCUGAAAUUAUCAACUCUUCUUGAUUUAAUCAUUUGUUCCGUUCGUAUUACCAUAUCAGUCAGGCAAGGAGCCCACUUGUGGAGAUGAGUUCUUGGGCCUUGUGGAGUUUUUAGUGCCUGCAAGGCUGCAAGGACCGGUGGUCCUUGUACAUUGUUGUGGCUUUUGGUUCCAAAGACAGGAGAGUGAAAACAAAAAGAAACAAAAAAGCAAAAAAUUUUAGCAGUGGCAGGUAAUGAUCCGAGGGCAAUGGAAUUCUCAGCCAUCAAAACUUGGAAAGUAUUAGAACAAAAACGUACGAACUAAACUGGCUUGAGUUUGAACAUGGAAUUUCCAUCUUCCUCACUGCGGGAAGGGUUUAAAUUUUUUCAUCUACAGCUGCCAAAGAGUCAGUACUGUUUACAACUGAUUCUUUUAGCCAGGAGGGGGGCUACCAACCUGUAGGCCACACAAACAAGCAUUGCCCCAAAAUUCAUGGAACAGUAGUAAAUCUGUAAUGCAAACGUUGGGACAAUAUAUAUUUAUAUAUUUUAAGUUACUUAACUGCAGAUUUCACCAUAUAGUUUUUGUUAAUAUUACUGCGAAACUAAUUUCAGUUGUUCAGCGUUUUAGAUAAGACAACUUCAACCAUCAACCAACCUCAAUGUGUAAACCUGUCGAUUGCAGAGCCCCUGGUUUUGUCCAUGUAGUUGAAUAUUUGGGAAUUGUAUGAUGUUCCAAAAGAUUUUCAGGAUUGCUGCCUGAUGCCUAUUGUCCGCAUUCCAGUUGAUCUACAGCCCCUCCUAUGGAUAUGAGUUUCAAAGAGUUAGGUCGGCGAGAAAGAUGGCAAUACAGGCGCAGCAGCUGUAAACUGCAAUACUGGGGAUCUUAGAUGAUAAGACGGAUGGUGUCCCAUCCGAUGGAUCUUGGCUGCCAAGAAAUGCCACCCAUCAAUCUCUGUCUCUCUCUCUCCCUAGAUUUUGUCUUCACGGGGAACAGUCUGAUCAUCACUCUCUGGUUUGACUAUUUGCGUUUGCAUUAAAGAAGUCAUUUUAAACACAUCUUCUGGGAAUCUAGCUAGACUUUCUGCAUCUUUUUGUCGAGCGGAUUUUUCUUGCACCAAGCCUAGGAACUACUGCUUAUGGGUUCCAGAGUCAAAACCUUUUUUUCCCCUGAAUACUGGCUUAUCUUUUACUAGUACGAAUAUGCUCUACAGUAGCAUUAUUAUUAUUGUUUUUAAUGUAGAAUUUAAUAAUGUGUUUGUGCUGAAUUUGUCCUGCUUGCUUAGUUGCUUUUCAAGUUGCUUAAUUGGUUAAUUUACGCGUCAAAAUCCAGUUCGUCGAGUAACACGAGCGACGAACUUGAGAACGACAGAACCAGAUUAAUUUGCUGCAUGUAAUUAAAGCUGGACCCUGGCAGCCCAUGUCCAUAGUCGAUGCAACUUCCUCUGGCUUUCCCGAGGAUAUGACAAAACUUAUGCACGGACAAAUUCUGCUUACAUGCGUGGAAUCUCUAAGCAAGAACUGGAGAACUGAACUGGAAAGACAAGUGCUGAUUCUCCAGUAAUGCGCUUUAACCGUUCGGGCUUAUUAUCCUGAAAAUGAAUUUUUUGUUUUUGGUCCAAACUUUAGAACUCCAAAACAUAUCAUGGUGUAAAUAUUUUUGAAAUUGAACAUUCUCACGAGAAAUAAAGAUACACGAAACAGUACGUGUUGUGCCCACCAGGCACCAACCACUGAAUGAAGCUUUUAAUUGUGGGGGGUAGGGGGCAUGGUGUUAUUAUUUGUUUUGGUCACAUUACAUUCUGGACAAAUUGAAACAUGUUUGCUCUGAAGAUCCAACCAUGUCAUAGCGGGAAACAAGCCUUGUACUAUUCCCUUUUCCAUUUAUAGUGAAAGGAAAAGGGCAAAAGGAGAGGAAAUUAAUAACAUCUUCAGGCCUUUGCCAUCAGCAGCCAUUAAAGGCAUAUCUUGUUUCUAACUUGGUUUGAACUUUGAAAACUAAACAGAGAAAAUAGGCCCACAACCCUCCUUCUUCUUCUUCUUCUUCUUCUUUUGGAAGGAACAACCCAUCUUCUUUAAAUACUCUCUUAAGUUCAUCCCCAAGAAGAAGAAGUGAAAAAAAUAGCCAAAAGCAUUUGGCACCUAGCUAGGGUUGUCUUUGCUGUGUGUAUGGUUUGUAUUUUUGAUUUGUCUAUUUUUACUUAUUUAGGAGUGGUAUCUAGUGUCUGGUAUCCAAACUCUAGAUGGCUUCUGCUUCUUAGGUUAUUACUCUAUUGGUGUUAAAAAUAGUAGCUUGUGAUGGAGAGAGAAAAUCUAAGGUGAUUGUGACCAGACAGUUUGCGUUAGAUUGUGACAUAUCAUUCUGGGGUUAAAGGGGGAGAAUUCAGGGCUUAGGGAUGAAGAAUCGAGUCGUUGUAACCCCCUAUUACCAGUUAAAGCAUCCAGGAGUUAUGGCUUUUCUUUUACUUUGCUUUGAAGUCUCCUUUUACAGUAGUUUUACUUGCCUUUUUCCUUCAUUCCCAUAACUCCAUCCAUUUGUCACUCAUCCAUUUCUUUCAUUCUCAAUUUGUGAAACAUGCCAUACAGUUGUCUUUCGGAGCCUUUUGGACACAAGGUAAAUUGCACUCUUUAACUCCUCUCAAAGUUUGCCAACAUUACAAAUAAAAUAAAGGGCAUCUCUUUCUUUUUAAUUUUUCUUUUCAAAGGUUCGUUACACUAAUAAAUACUUAAUUCUUUCUAGGUGGCAAACACACACACACACACACACACACAGUACACACACGAAAAAAAAAAAAAAAAAGAGAGAAGGCUUUCGAAAAUGACCUUUUAUGGAUAUGGCAUAGGAAUGAAAUAGUAGGUGAUUGAAAAAAAGAAGAAGAAAUUGGAAAUCAAAUAUGGAGACAGAUUCUGAUAUACACAAAAGGUUUCCAACUCAAAGAUGCAAAACGUAAGGGUAGGGGAAGGGUUAAGGUGAGGUCAUAGUCUCUUUUAACUCUUUUAGAAGCAGUUGUCGUUCCCAGCUGUUAAGGUAGUAGCCAACGAUCGAUGACGAUCACAAAUACUUGUGACAUAUGUAGUAGUAGUAGUAGCAGCAGUAACUACUAUAUAUUUUUUUUUAACACAAAAAGUAUUUUUUUAUCAAACUAAUAUCUCUGUGUCUGUUCACCUCGCCCUAAAAAAUACAUUAGAAAUAGAUAAGCGACUCGAUCACAUGAAUUCGAGACCUAACUACGCUAUUUCGAAAUCAUCCUACCCAACCCUAAGUCCAACUACUAGCAAAAGUGUAAACCAUGCAUUAUUACAUGCGCGUGUAUAUAUAUAUAUAUAUACAAAUGUAUCAGACUUGGCCUAUUGCUAUUUUGCAGCUGUUCCAAGUAUCUUGUUUAAGAUUGUACUGUUUUGGAUUUUGUGUUCUUCUUCUUCUUCUCUUCUCGCUUCUCACGUGAACCUCUAUAUUUACUCCCCUCCUCCUCCAGUCCUCCUCCUCUAUUUAUUUCUUUCUUAGUGCAUAUACCUCAUUUAUUCUUCUCUUUCAAUUCUCUGUCUCACUGCUGUCUUCCUCUGUCUGUGCUCUCUGGGCCUUAGGUCCAAGCCAACUGAUUGGACAGCUGCGGCUGGCUCUACAACUGGCCUACAUUUCCUGAACAAUUCUUUUUUUUUUUUUUUGGUAGAAAACUGAACAAGUCUUACUCUAUUAUGUAUGUGAAUUCAUACUUCGUGUGCCUUAACACCCCUGGCUAGGACGUGUUUGGUUCAGGAGUUCCUGGAAUCGGAAUUGGAACCAUAGACUGAAACUAGUAGUGAGUAUAAAGUUUUGGUCAUUUCCCUUUCUUUGUUUGGUCCGCGGAAGUGCAAUGGAUUUCAUUUUUAUUCAAGGGAAGAGCUAAUUAAUUUGAAACUCAAAUUAGAAGUAAAGAAUGAUAGGGGCACGAUCUAUUAGGCCUUGUUUGGAGUGAAUAUAUUUUCCAAUCACCUUCUUAUCUCACAUAUAUCAAAUUGUUACAGUAAUUUUUCUACAAAAAAAUUCAGAAAAAUGCAAUCCAAACAUAACCUAAUUCUUCCAUUUUGAUUGACUGAUUCUGAUUGUGAUUUACUACAAAACAGAUACGGGCAUCGUUAACUUUGAUUUCCAUUCCUGACCCUGAUACCCAUUUACCAAACAUUUCAGUACUUGUUGUUCAGUGACGGAGUUAGGAAUUGCAAUUAGAGGGGCGAGUCUCUGUUAUUUGGACCAAGUCUAAAUAACUUUCAAACAUUAUUGUUUGGGUCCUUGGGAGGGGGGCAAAGUAAAAUUUUUUAUCAAUAUUCUGGUUGCCCCCUCCCUCCGCCCCUGUUGUUGUUUCGCCAUUAAAAUAAUUAUGUAAACUACGUGAUGGUUCCUUACCCAAAAAAUUAUGUAAGCAAGGUACCUGGAUGGAAGAUUAUUUUGGAUAAUUUUUUUUAAAAAUUAUAACACUUUUUUAAUAUAAUGUAUAUAAAAUAAAAAUAUAUUUAUAAUACAAGUACAUAAAUUUGUAUUACACAAAAAAGCAGAUAAAUUUGCAAAAAUAAUUUGCUAUUAUUCGGUUUCCAGAGUUGGUGCUUGGAUGCAAGAUAAUUUGCUAUUUUAAUGGCUUUGUUAGCGAAUUCAGUUGGCUUUCUAGAGGCAGUAGUCGUUCCGAGGCGGCCUGUAGUAAAACGAAAGGCAGAAAUAGAACCACACCAGAAAUUUAUCUGAAUAUAAUAAAUCUUCUAAUAUGGGAUUAAAUACUGAGUGAGAAGUAGUAUUUGUAUCUGAAUCAAUAACACAAAAUUUGAAGUUGCUGCUGAUGACAACUUUAAAGAAUUUAAAUGUCACACCGCAUGCAAAAAUGAUGGCUCCAAAAUCUUUUGUUUUCUUUCUGUCUCUCAACAUAAUUUAAUAUUGGCCCUCUCUUUUGACCAAAAUUCUGUUUUUAUUUCAUUUGCAGGGAAAUACCGAACAUAGAGACAAGGCAUUUCUUGCUGUCCUUUUCUAUUUAAUCUCUCUGAAUUUCUAUGUUUUUUUUUUUUUUGGUAACAAAUAGUAAGAAGUUGCAUAAAAGACAAACUAGUUUCAGUUUACACAACGAGGCAAGCAAGAAAAAUUAAAUGUCAACAGUGUGAAAAAGCAAGAAAAAAUCAUUCAAAAUGUUUUUUUACACGUUGUCAAAUAAAUUUUUUUGUCUUUUACUUUUAAAAUGGUAACUUCACAUCCCUCACAAAAUCAAGUAAAUAAAAUUUCAUCUCAAUCUAAGUUUUUGAAAAUUUUUUAUUCUGAAUCUAAUUAUUCUGAAAAUUUUUUAUUUCGAAAAUAUUUUAAGAGUAAAAUGGUUAUGUCCUAUUUGUAGUUAAAUAAAUGACUUAAUUUAUAUUCAUUUUUAUUCCUAAAAAAUAGAAUCUAAUCCAAGUCAUAUUCAUUUUUUCUUAAAACAAGUGAAAUCAAGCCCAUUCUACAUUAAUUUUUACUAUUCAAAAUACGAGAUUUGACCUUUUUGUAUAUGAAAAAUGAUUGCAUGUGGAUUGUACGGUGAUUUUAUGCUAAAAAACAUGGUUGAAAGCUAGAUUGAAACUAAAAUUUACUAACUUGAAUUAAUAAGGAACAUAAGGUUAAUAUUUUAAAAGUACAUGGCGAAAAAAAUUUAUGGAUUAAUCUUAUAUAUCACCAUUAGAUAUAUAACACAUGUGCAAUAUUUGAAUUUGAAAUUCAAAAAUUACUUAUGUAUCGUCCAUCCAACUGUGAUAAUGUAUACACUGACAGUAGCGUAUAUAAAAUUUACUCAAAAUUUAUUUGAUUAAAUGUAAGGGACAUUUUGAAUAGCUUUCCCAAGAAGCAAAGCUAACGAAUUCAAAGCUGUUCUCUUUCUUGAAAUGAAUCAUGUUGGAUAAGGUUUUAGUUCUUUCUCUAAUUUCUGCAGGUGAACUACGUAACACCUAUCAAAGUACAAAUAAGUUAAGCUGCAGAGCAUAAAUGAUGGGGGGCAAAAAAUCUCGGACCCUUUUUUCACCUCCUCUAGCAAAAGAAAAGUCCAGUAUAUGGGAAUGCAAAACAAUUUUCAGAAGCAUUAAUUAACCUUAAUCCCACGAACAAAGGAAUGACUGAUGAAAUUAGAGCGAGUAAAAGGUGAAAUCACGAGGGCGCACUUGAGAUCCCUUUUCCAAAGAGCAUUGAGAGCAAUUAGUAAUAAUUCAUCGGCAGAAAAAAUAAAAUUUUGUGAAGUGGUUUCCUCUUGUAGGCAAUAGGGAGUUGGUGGAUUCGCUCAUCAUUACCACAUAAUCAAGACAGUCCCUUCCACUUCCACAUGCACAAAUCUCUCAUUCCCUCCCUCCUUAGUAGUUAGUACCAGUACCACCACUUCCACUUUUCUUUCCUUUUCGUUUCCCUCCCAAAAAUCGUGGUCUUCCCUUGAAGAUUCAAACCAAAUCAUUUCCAUCUGAAAAUCUGUCGCCACGAAAUCCUUCAUGCACUUCUGCAUGCAACAUUCUCUUGAUAAAGAAAGAUCCAAUUCCAAAAGUAACCAAUCCACUCCUCGGUUGUCCUUUUGAUUAAUGACCAGUGCCCACUUGUAUUUUGAGAAGCUACACUAAUAAAAAAUUAAAUAAUUUUUCAUCCAUUUGCUUCCAAGCUAAGGUAAUUCUCUACAACUGCGCCACAAGAUUUGAGUUAAUGUAUCCUGGUAUUUGCUUUUCCUUUUCCUCUCUGAUUUGGCUUCAUCUUGGGGACAUCUAAUGCGGAGAUGUGGGAUAAAAGGUGCAAUAAUUUUAUGUAAGGCUUUGCAUGGCCAGUUCACUUGAACUGCUCGUCAAUAAAAAGUCAAAAGAAAAUCUUGCUCUUUAAUUUAUUUUUUUAAAAAUAUGAGCAUACCCCAUGGGCAGGGAAGGAUGCCAGCCCUCAAUUUGAUUGAUUAGAGAAUGAGGUGACAUAUAACUAGUUUAAAACACAACUAAAACGCAUUUAUAGGGUAUAAAACAAUAAGGUUGUGUUUGGAUUGCAUUUUCCGUCAUUUUUCAUGGAAAAGUUACUGUAGCGAUUUGAUAUAUGUGAAGGAAAAAGAUGAUAGGGAAAUGUGAUCACGGAAAAUGACAAUAUUUUCCGACGAAAACAAGCAAUUCAAGCAGAGUCUAAUUUUUCCAAAAUUUGAAGGGGAGGUUUGUUUUGGGGGGGGGGGGGGCAAUUGGAACUUCCUUCAAAUACAUCAAUGUAUAAACAAGUUGAGUUACAUGACAUCUCAAGAUAAGUUCCAGAAAAAACACUAGAAUUAGCUGGACAUUAUUCUUGUACUCGAGUUCUUUUCUUAAUCAUCAGAAGAUAUCAGAUACAAUACAGUGAGUGCUUCCUUAGUUAAAAGAGAUGUUGGCCUCUUUCGUGAAACAUGUGGAAGAACAGCAACAUAAACGGUGGUGUAGAGUUGUACAUCGAAGAAUAAAGAUCCAUUACUUUGUGAAAUUAACUCCAUUAAUUAAUGAAUCAAUGGGAAAAAUCAAAAGAUUGGAAGCUAGCCACAAUAUCCCACAUUUAUUAGGAAAAGCCCUUCCUUUUUUCUCGAACAUGAGGGCCCUUUGCUCAUCAUUCCUGGAAUAUUUCAAGCAUGUCUGAGACCCACCCCCCCACUUUCUGUCUGGAAGCAGGUGUUGACUAAGCACCUCGUUGCAACAGGAAAUUUCGGCAAAGCAUCAUCUUUGAUCACCUCUCAUCUUCUUCCCCCUUUUCGGUUAAAAAGAUUUAAGCGAUUGCAUUAACCAGCUAAAAUAACACUUGGUACUACUAUUAAUUGAGUUUUAUAAGUUUCACUUUCCUCUCAUCCCACUCCAUGCCGACAGAUGAUCAAAAAAGGAGGUUUGAGCCUGCAAGUGUUUGAAAUUUUAACCAUUUUUUGUCUACGAAUCUUGCAAACUCAUGGAAAUCGUUCUCUCUCUUUACAUUGACUUAAAUGGUAUUCUGUUUCAUCUGGCCAAAUCUGAAUAUCCAUAGUUUGUAAAUCUAAAAAAGAAAAAGAGGAGAAGAAGAAGACGUGAUCAUCAUAUAUUGAAAUAAAUGUAAUCUUGCUUAUUUGUCUUACCACGCAAUGAGAAUAGAAAAACAACAUGCCCUGGCGUAGCUGGGGACGGGCAUACGGCAGGCCAAUAUUCAGAGUAUCAUGCUAAUGAACCUCGGCAUAAAUGCGUAUUGGGUACAAAAAUCUCUACUUCAGAAGGAUGUCAAUUCUGGUUAAGGGAGAGGGGAGGGGGGGGGGGUGGUUAACCGCAAUGCAAAAUGACUAGGGAAAAAAAAAAAGAGAGAGUAGAUUUUGCCUAGAAAAAGUAGUCAUUAUCAAUAAUCAACUCUUUGUAUCCUAAAAUUACUGCUUAAACAUGCAAUUUUACACGUUCAUGAGUACAUCAAUCAUACUCUAUUACGUGAUUCACCAGAGUUAAUUACUAAGCACACGAGGGUACGACUUUGGCAUGCUUUAGCAUCCAACUUCUAAUAAUAAAGUAGCAUUUGAUAAUGAUUUUGCACAUCGCAUAAUUACAUGGACAAUGAUAAUACCCCCAUUUAGUUUGGUCAGAUUCUCCUUUGAAAAUCCUUGCUUAAUGCUCUGUACUUCUUUACACUUUAUCUUUGCACCUUUAUGUGUUACAUUUUGUAUCAUUUGUUGCAGCCAUUCCAUGCAUAAGAAAAGUAUGGAAUAGCCAACUUGAUCAAUGAAUGGAAAAAGCAAAUGGGAAUAUCAAAAAGCCACUACAGCAUGAAAUGAGCUCCUCUUUCUGUCAAAUCUUGUGGUCUUCAGAAGCCUUAUUUAUCCCAUCCCAAGGUCACAAUAAACAGCUUCUCAAAACUUUUUUUUUCCCCUAAUAGAAAAACUCACACUUAAUGGAGCGGCAAUAUUGAAUACCUUCUGAUUUUAUUAGUAUCAAUUAGGGUGGUCAUUCUUUUUUUUUUUUCCCCCUCUCAUAGGAUUCCAAUUGACUGACAAUGUUGAGAUCAAUAUAAGUAAAUUACAAUUCAGCAAUAAUAUCUCGACUAACCUACAAUGUAUCGUGAAUGAUUCUUUAACAAUUAAAUGUUGUUGUUUUGUAUAUGUCAGGACACUAUUUUGGAAAGUAAAAAUAAAUGCAAGGGAUCAUAGUAAUUAUUUUUUUGCUAAUUAAUAAUCAUUUUGUUGGGGAGAUUAUUUUACGAUAAAACAUAUUAUUCUUACAUCUAGUCAAAUGAAUUACCGUAGCACAAGGUCCAUGCAGCGUUACUCAAGUCUAAUUUAAGCAAUAAGAUAAGCCCAAUAGUUUGCUCAUUUUAAAAAUCCAACCGUAGACUUUUACUUUAGUUCCCAUACAAAUGAGCAAUCGUUGCAUUUUCUUACUUUUGAAAUAAAUAGUAUGAUAUCUAUUCCUUUUAGAGGAAGGAAAAAAAAUUACUCUCCAUUUGUUGUUGUUUUUUUUUUGGUUGAUAAUCCAUUUGUUUGUUGAAUCUAGUUAAGUCCGAAUUGAAUUGGGGAGGUAAAAGGACGAAGGUGGAUUUAAAAGUUUUAAAUUCGGACUCGCACAGACUAGGGUGGGGCACAGAGGAUCUGCACUCCAGAAACUUGUACUGUAUGAAGUGACUGGAUGGCCAGAUAUACUGCCUGUCAAAUCUAUCCCAACCCAACAAACAAAGCCCCUCCUUACAUAGAUAUAGACGGACUGUGAAAUGAAUAAGACCAAUUUUGUUCUGUUUUCUUGCUUUGUCACUAUAUACACCCUCCUCCGCAAAACCCACCACUAGAGUCAAGUGGCUAUUAUGUUUAUUAGGGAGUAGUAAUAUUUAAAACAUUUCAUUUUUUUUUAUAGCCUAAAAAAGGAUGGGAUAAAGGAUAAUAGUGGGAUUAGCAAUCCAUUAAAUGGCCCUUGGAUUUGGGUGCAGGUUUUUGUUGUAGAUUUUGUUAGCCUGGGUUUUAAAGGAAGAGGGUAUUAACGUUAGAAGGAUUAAAGUGAAAGAGGGAAAAAAACUUCAUUCCUGUGGUGGUAUUAGGCCCUUUGGUCCAGCCAAUAUAAACACAGAUCCCUAUGGAGUAUGGGAAUGCUGCUGGGAUGCAACCCAGCAUUGGUUUGCUUCUUGCUAAAAUUCAUUCCUUUUGUUUACUUCUAGUUUAAAGGGACCAGUUUCUCAAGACAUUUUUGGGUCUCCCACCUCUCUGUUUGUGUGUGUUUAUGAGAGAGAGAGAGAGAGAGAGAGAGAGAGAGAGUAGAAAGCAAGAGAGAUUUGUGGAGGGUGUGCAUAGAUAUAAGAGCUAGCUUCCCUUCUGUGUGUUGUGGGCUUAUUGUUUGCAUUUCUUGGCCAGCAGCUUCAUGAGUGUUCUUCUGCAGCAAGACUACAAAGAUCUUUAGAGGGAGAGAGAUUUGUUAGAAUGAUUACUUUAUAUCCUCUCCCAAUGAUUGAGUUGCCUUGAGGAACAGGAAAUACUGCUAAGAAGUAAAAAACCUCUAGAAGGAAGAAAAAGAAGAUGAAGUCUGUGAAUGAUAACAACAAUGGCAAUGAUGCUAGCAGUAAUAAUAAUUGUAACGCUCCAAACUGGUUGGGUUUUUCUCUCUCACCCUACAUGAAAAUGGAAGUUACUUCUUCUUCUUCUUCGUCCGAACAUCAUCAUCAUCAGUUCAAUCAUCAAAAUCAGCCACCUCCAACUUCAACUUCUACUGAUGUUCCAACAAGUUUCUGUCUUUCUUCUCCUCCUCACCUCAACAACAUAGCUUCUCCCGUCUGCUUUGGUGUCUCUGAAAAUGGUGGUUUUCAUCAUGCACCUCUGUCUGUGAUGCCUAUUAGGUCAGAUGGUUCUCUUUGUAUCAUGGAAGCCCUCAGAAGAUCUCAGACUGAAGGUUUAUGCUUCAUUCUCUAUUCUCCUGUUUUGUUUCCUUUUAACUUUCUUGCACGUUUUUCUUAUGUUUGUUUCUUGUAUGAAGCUAUGGGGCCAAAUUCUUCUCCCAAAUUAGAAAACUUUUUUGGUGGUGCAACCAUGGGAACUCAUCAAUAUGGAAGCCAGGACAGAGAAACAAUGGUUCUUAGCUUAGACAGCAUCUUUUACAGCCAAAAUGUCGAGCCAGAAGGAGAGCCUAUUAGGCAAGAAAAUCCGUACUUUUCUGGUCUGCAAUGCCAGGAUAUGUAUCAACAUCCUUUACAUGAGGAAAAUGAUGAGACCAGAGUUGCUGAUUGUGAUACUCAAAUCCCAACAAUGGCUGGGGAGGACCUGAAAAACUGGGUCGCUGUGGACUAUUCGGAUCAGCAUGCACUUGACCAGCAGCAGCUAAACACAGCUCCCAUGGUUGAAGGAGGAAAUGGUUCUGGUUCUGGAUCAGUUGGUUCGGUGGGUUGUGGUGAUUUGCAGUCCUUGAGUUUAUCUAUGAGUCCCGGCUCUCAGUCCAGCUGUGUUACUGCCCCUAGACACAUUUCACCAACUGAGGCUGAGUGUUUGGCCAUUGAAACAAAGAAGAGGAGCUGCGGAAAAGUUGCACAGAAGCAACCUGUUCAUAGGAAGUCCAUUGACACCUUUGGCCAGAGGACAUCUCAGUAUAGAGGUGUAACAAGGUCAGUCUUGACUCUACUGAUAUCUUUGACCGCUUGUAUAUUUUAUCGGUGUUGUUUACUGAAGUGAACUGUUUCAGCCAUUUAUUAACUUCUUAGAAUUCCAUGAAGAUCAGUUUUUGGUAUUUCUUGGCAACUUUUUUGCUAUAGAAUUGAUUCCUUUCUGAGCUUGUUGUGUUCGUAUUAUGAAAAGUAAGCACCUCGUGUUAGUAUUUGCUUAGUGUUUUGCUCAGUCAACUUGGCACUGGUUAAUUAAUACAUCUUGUUAUCAGACAUCGUUGGACAGGUAGGUAUGAAGCACAUUUGUGGGAUAAUAGUUGCAAGAAAGAGGGUCAGACAAGGAAAGGGAGGCAAGGUUAGUAAGAAAACAACAAAUGACUUGGGUUCUAUACUAUUCUUUUGGAUGUAUUGCUUUUGACUACCAUAUUUGGCUGUUUUAUUCACGUUCUGACUUUGUUUUGAAUUUUGUUGUCGUCUACAUGCUCGCCUCGGAUUAUGCUAUUCCUAUCACAUGAUCCGUAUUUCAGUUUAUCUUGGUGAGGAUAGUAUUUUAAGUUGGUUUACAAUUUCUCUUAAAAACAAGAAUAUAUUCUUGAAAAGUAUGUUAGUUCUAAUGAUUAAUGUGAAAUAAACUUGUACCCUAGGUGGAUAUGACAUGGAAGAGAAGGCUGCAAGAGCUUACGAUCUGGCGGCGCUUAAAUACUGGGGACCUUCAACUCAUAUUAACUUCCCGGUAUGGGUUGAUCUCUCUUGAUAAUGGUAGCUUAUAUGGUGAAGUUUUUUAAGAACUAAUGGUUUUUUGGUGGAUUUUACAGCUAGAAAAUUACCAGCAAGAACUUGAGGGGAUGAAGAAUAUGAGUCGCCAGGAAUAUGUUGCGCACUUGAGAAGGUGAAAUAGUAAAUAACUAUGCCCCUUUAUUGGUUUUAUAAUUUUGUACCGUUAUAUGUAUAUGUUAUGUGGCUUAAAUUAAUGCUUUAUCUAUCAAAUAUCCCUCUUCCACUUUCAGGAAAAGUAGUGGAUUCUCGAGGGGUGCCUCAAUAUACCGAGGAGUAACAAGGUUCCUGUAACUUCUUGUCUUAUCCUUGUCGAUAUUAUUCUUGAAGAUCGGUGCAGCAGUUGUUUAAUUCAACUGAAGCAUUUUUUUUUUAACUUGAAAUAUCAAUAGGCAUCAUCAGCAUGGAAGAUGGCAAGCCCGAAUUGGCCGUGUGGCAGGGAACAAGGAUCUCUAUCUUGGGACUUUUAGUAAGUGUUCUUUUGUGAUUAUUUGAGUAUGAAUGUUCCUGCUGUAAAAAUUGUUUCCUAUUUUAAUUCUGAUGUGAUGAUUUUGCAUGUUAGUUUUCAUGCAUUACAAGUUUCAACUUUGAAUCCCUGUUUUCAUCAUCUCAUGUCUCCCUCCUUUUCUUUGGGCCACUAGAUACACUUUUCUAAGGCUGAUAAUGCUGCUAGCUUUGACCGUACGUAGCUAAUUUUCAGCGGAACGCAACUCCUUUUGUAAGGCUGUUCCCUGCCAGAUCAAAUGAUAAAGGAGAAUGAACAGAUGUCCUUUUGUUAAAAAAUGCUAGAUUAAAGCUUAAAAAGUUUUAGGAGCUCUAAAAUUUGUUUUCUUUGUAAAGCUUUCCUAUAAUUCGAGAAAAUCUUGAACUUCUUCAGGCACUCAGGAGGAAGCAGCUGAAGCUUAUGACAUUGCUGCUAUCAAGUUCCGUGGUGUAAAUGCUGUCACCAAUUUUGACAUAUCAAGAUAUGAUGUGGAGAGAAUCAUGGCCAGCAAUACCCUGCCUGCUGGGGAGCUUGCUAGGAGGAACAAAGAGACCGAGCCGAAUAAUGAGACCAUUGCAUACGCCAAUGCAGCCCACAAAAGCGAGGAAUGCUUUCAACCCGAGAGAAAUGCGAACGUUUCGGAUUGGAAAAUGGCCCCAUAUCAGCCCCCUCAGCAGCAGCAAAAUCUGCCCAUGGACUCUUUCAAUGAGAAAAUAAUGAACGUUGUGCAUUAUCAAAAUCCCUCCUACUCAACUGCUCUACAUGGCCUUAUUGGCAUCGAUUCGGGGAACUCGAGCCGGGGCAUUGUGGAUGAAUCUGCUAAGUUAGGAGCUCACUUUUCUAACUCAUCCUCCUUGGUUACCAGUUUGAACAGCUCCAGAGAAGCUAGUCCUGAUAGGUCCGGAACCUCCAUGCUCUUUGCUGCAAAGCCUACUUCUGCUGCUAACUACGUCAACCCUACAGCAAAUGUUGGUUCUUGGAUUCCAUCGGCACAGUUAAAGCCAGUUCCAAUCUCCAUGGCUCACUUGCCAGUAUUUGCUGCCUGGGGUGAUAUAUGAUCAGGCAUGCGUUUUGUUACAUGUAAAGUUUUUGCAUGGAGCGGAGGGUAAAAAAGGGCAAGUUGGUCACAAGAGAAAAAGGAGCAAGGGGAUGUAGGAUUUUUAGGACUCUUUUCAGUUAUUACUAGUUUUAUUUUGCUGAAUUGCGAGUGGAUAGCACUUGAAGCUUAAUGGGGAUAUAGACAGGAGGGGUGGUGGGGGGUCCCCAGUUAUCUGUCUGUAACCAAGUGUUGGGAAACUUUUUCAAACUACAUGCCUUUUUGCGCAUAUUGGGGUGUUGAAGAUUUUGCCAAAAUGAAGGGAAUGGUAUUCGGCCACUUUUGGAGCUGGAUGGGGCUUCCAUGAUUCAUGAUUAAAUCUUGUGAAAUGAUAUUGCCAAUAUGGAGGUGACCCACGUAUUAUUGAAUCUGCUUUUUCCAUCUUUUUAAGGUCACCUUAAGUACAAAAACCAGCUCAAUGUUUCUCAAUAAUGCAAAAAGGUAUUUCUUUGACCAAAAUGAUCUCGUUGCAUUCCCCUCAAUCUGCUGCUCAAUCUAACAUUACACUCUAUCAUUGAUGAUUGCCCGCAUACCUCUUUUCUGCUCUGAGCUUUUCCCCAAAGGCGACAGACAAUUCCUCCUCACUGUUGAAAAAAGGGGCCUAGGGGUGGUGGGGGGGGGGAUUCCUCUGCGUUGUGAGAGAGGACCAAAUGGUUUUGCUUUAGGAGCUACCAUCAUUUCUGGGUAAUAAUUAGCUACGGAUCUGUCUGCUGUUUGCUGAAGAAGCAUUUCUUUUGUUAAAAAAUCUAUCUAGCUUUUGAAAUUCCUCUAGUAUGAUAAAUAUUGGCCCCCGUCCCCCAAAAAGCAAUUCCAUGUCUUGAUGUGGCAAUUACGGACUACAAAUAUAGAAUUUGCAUUUUGCCUUGGCCUGAGAACUUGACUGGUGUACACCUGGAUCUCAGUGAAGGGGUCAAUUUCAGUUAUCACAGAUAUUACAAUUAAAUCAUACCUUUUCUGUUUGUGUGGGAAGUGGUUCAGAUAAAUAAAUGGAUGCCGUGGUCACUAAACCACAAAAUUUGGUAAAAAGCUGCAAUUAUUUACUUCAAAAAAAAAAAAAAAAAUUUCCCCUGUUUGAUGUAAUAUAGGUGCUUUACAAGUUUUUGAUGUAAUUUUGGGGUCAAAAGGGGUUGCAUUAUUUUGGUUUAGGAGGCGACAAGGAGGAUAUGAUGCCGGGGAAGCUGGAAAAAAGGGGAACCUACCAAAUAAAGUUGAAUUACAACUGUGUACCAGCAUUAGUUGGAAGUCAGUCUUAUAAACAGCAAAAGUAGAACAAGAGAGUUUCCUGUUUUAAGUGCGCAAUCCAUUCAAUAUUUUAUCUUCUUCGCAUUAAGCCUAUUGGCUACUUCCGUUCACAUGUUUGAUCAAUUUCAAUUUUGAAGUCGUUAUUUGGCUCCAGUAAGGAUCGAACUCAUCUCCUACUCAUGAUAAUGACCCUAUUGUUGGUUUCUUGCCGAUGCUCUAAUAAAAACCUUAGCAAGAAACAAAAAUACGAAGGGCCAUAAUGGGCACAAUUGAUCGCUGUUGUGUUGUUCUUCUUGAUGCUGGAAAUGGCAAGAAUAUGAAGAGAGGAUGGGGGGGGGGGGGGGGGGAAUGCCAUGUUUAGUACUAAUUUUCUUGCAAUAGCUUAUGGGUCUGACUAACGAGUGUCUAAUGGACAUGCAUCAAGAUACAUUUCAAGUGUUAGAUUUUUACAAAUAUUAAAAUUAAUUGCGAAAAAUGUGUUAAUGCAAGGAAAUUGAUUGAAAACAGUAGUGUAUAAAUACAAGAAAAAUAUAGUAAUUUUUAGUAGUGUGUGUAUAUACACAGUAGGAUGGGUGGAAAAUUUUUUUUUUUUUUUUUAUCGACACAUGGGUGUUCAAGUCAAUCCUUAUGGAGCCCGACUAAUCCCCUACAGCCCGAACCCGGCGCUCCAACCCGACCCAAGCACGGUAAGUGCAUGAAGAAAUCCAGCGGAGCAGAGACCCGAUCUUGGGAUCUUUCGGUCACCACUAGUGGAAGGUGCUACCGCUGGAUCAUUCACGCGAGGCAGGAUGGGUGGAAUAUAAAUGUGCUAACGAUUGUCCAUUGGAAAUCCAUGAUGAGGCUCAGACAAAUAAUUUCCUGUAGAUUCGCAAAUUUAUAACCUUAAUCUAUACAGGGCAAAUAGUCUCUUUUUGGGGGGGCAAAAACGGCAGAGUAUUCUUUUGCUUUGAACUUUGAAGUCUAAUCUAAAUACCUCUUUAAAUUGCCACUAUGUUUGCCUAUUGUUAAACACCCUCGAGCUUAUUUUAUAUAUAUAUAUAUAUAUGUUCUUUGGGUUCUUUCUUAUGUUUAUAAUUCCAUUAAACCUCGUAAACUUCACUGCUUACAUUUUCCUCGUUAUUGGCUUAUUAUUGUCUUUAGAUUGGUAAAAAGAUAAUUUCAAAAUAGAAAUGGAAAUUUGAUAGAAUGAGUAAUGUAAUUACAAUAAGUAAAGAGAAGCUUUGUAAUUGUACUGUAUCUUAAUGAGGUACCUGUAUGGCGCAAGGAUAGCAAUAAGAAAUCAUCAAAUUUCCUCAUCUUUUUCUUUCCUGCUUUGAGACUUGGUCGGUAUCCAGAUAAAUUUUCUUUUUGAUUAAAAGUACAGGUGACUUUUUUUUUUUUUUUUUUUUUGGAGGGCGCCCAAAGAAAUUGUCAAUUCCAAAUAGCCUUCUAAUAACAAGAAAUUGAUAUAUGAUGAAGGCAUAUAGCCCUCAGCAUCAUUAAGGCCUUAUUUGGAUUGUAAUUUUUUAAAUAAAAUAUUAUAUAUUUUUCAUAAAUAUAAUUUUUUAUUCACAUAUAUCAAAUUAGCAACCCAAACGAGACCUAAACUUUCUUGGUGGAAAUUCAUUAAAUAAAUAGUCAAUAAUAAUGCCAUCCGUGCGAAAAUGUAUACGAGUAAAUCAGAAACUUCUCCGUGAUGGCCAGAGAAAAAGGAAAUGUUCUCUCAGUACAUAAAUUUCUCGCGUUUAGUCAAGAACAAUCAUUACAAAUUGGUUAAUUGACAGCUUGACUGAUUGGAAACAAAAGUUAGCUCUCCAAUUAUUCAGCAAAUUUUGUUUUCAUUUCCCCCCCCCCCCUUUUUUUUUUUUCCACGGUUUAGGUUCUGCGGACCAAUUUGGUCCACGAAUGACCUGACCUGCCUUAUAACAAGCCGUCAAAUACAGCAGCUAACAACAAUAAUAAUUGUAGAUGAUUCCAUCAUUGUCCAUGAAUUAUAUAUCAAGAAAACAUGACAUCGUACAAUUCACACUCCAAGGAAUAGUACCAUGUCGAUAACUCAGGUAGCAAAGCUGCUAUAAUUGAAGAUGUAAUUUCUUUCGUGGCUGGCAUAAUAACGCUGGCAUCACUUAUCAAAGUACCCCAAUUGUGCUAGUUUUGUCUGAUAAUUAUCGGAUUUAGGCGAAUGUCAACUCAUAAAAGGGUGAAAACCUGUACUUCCGUAGACCAUUAUGAGUUGUAAUGCAUUUUUCACUGGCACAAAAAAAUAUUUCUAGUCAUAAGAAAUUUACUGCAGUUCAUUCUUCAUGUGACCAUCUAACAUAUAGGACGUAGAAAAAAAUCCAAAGUCCAAUUAUGCAACUCAAUUAUCAAGUCAUGACCAUGUUUUCUCUUUCAUGGUUGGUCAACUAAACCUGUCCUAGUAACAAGGGAAAAAGGGAAAAGAAAAAAUUAACUAUUUCAGACACGGUGCAAUUUCAGUGGAAGAAGGGAUGAGUUGAAUGGUUCGGAAGGGGGAGUAUAAGCAAGAGGUCUCAUAUUCAAAUCUUCUUACUUACAUUAAACAAAAAAAAAAAAAAUCUUGCAAUUUCAAUGUCAAGUUUGAUCGAUCAUGUUACUGAUGAUUGUAGAGGGAGGUAUGGGUCGGUUGGUAUUAAUGAAUGGACCGUAAGUGAGAAAUUUGGAGUUUGAGAUCUUCCACUUUUUAUUGAUAAUUGUCACCACACGUAAAAGUCUAAAUAUUAUUAUGGAACGAGAGAUAGGUUGGAUGGUAUUAAAGGAGGGAGUGUAAUUGAGAGAUUUAAUAUUAUUGUGGAAUAAGAGAUAAGUUGGAUGAUAUUAAAGGAGGGAGUGUAAUUGAGAGAUUUGAAAUUCAAGAUCUCUCACUUACACUAAAAAAAAAAAAUUUAUUGAUGAUUGUCACCACGUGUAAGAAUCUAAAUAUUACUGUAAAACACAAGGACGUCCCAUGAUGGAAAUAUAUAUAUAUAUUUUUUUUUUUGAAUGCAAUGCUAUUUUCUAAACAUCAAUUACAAAUAUCACGGCCGGGCGGACCACAAUUCAAUUGGUACAAGGACGAACCUGGUCUGGCUGGUAGAUUUUGAGUCAGUCGGACCAUUUUAAAUCGGACAAAGAGAACCAUGAGUGGACAAUAUAUACAAAUCGUGUGGCCUGACCCUGACCUGACCUGCUCAUGGUCCCAAGAACUGCAAGGCCAAUUCGGCCAGCGAAAUUGCAAUUAACUUGGCCAGUUAUUCACAGUACUAUACUGAUGGUGAAGAAGAUGUGACAAACACUUGGUUUGAUUUCCAGUGAACUGCUAGUGCAGGAUUUAAGAAGAAAGGGGACUCUCUAUUAUUGAAACUGAUAUAUACCAGAUGUUCCCUACAAAGGGAGCUUGUUUCCUAGCAUGAAACUGGCUUUCCAUUCCCCAAAUUAUGGUCCCUCCCAUAUAUGUGGAUUUGCCUAUGCUUGUGCCCCUUGCCCGCAUUCAUGAAUCAUGCCAUACAACCAUCCUUCCACGUGAAGGAGCAGAUUUUCUUCGGCUACUUGGGGCACUUGGGAUCAGUGAAAAUGACUCAAGUUACUACUAUAUGGAACCCAAUCUCCAGUACCAUAAAUUUUACUAGCAUCUACAGCAACUUGCGACGUCGAUAUCAUAGCUUAAUUAGGGUUUUUUUUUUUCUUGUGAGAAUUUUGGUCAAAAUCUUGGCGGGAAGCGUUGGAUUCAAUUCAAUACUGCAAAGUCUCUUGACCUUUGGCUGCCUUGGGCCAAAUGUGGCCUCUUAAGUCUUAACAGAUCAUAUCCAUGCCAAAAUCGACAAUAACUCUGAACCGGAUUUGAUAAGUAAGUAGUAAUUCCAGAUUAAGAUGAGGAUUUGUUUACCCGUUAAGUCUUAUUUUUGUAGCUCGAAAUUCGGAUCCCAUCACUCAUAUCGGGAUUCGGACAGGAGAAAUCCGAUCCGUAAAAUUAAUUUAAUUUAAUACCUUGUUGAAGUUUGCUUGAUUCAUAGCACAUAUUUCUCUUUCAAGAGAAAACACAUGGGCUAGUGACAAAUUAUAAUGUAUGUAUUUUAUUCGCUUAUUCAUAUAAAAUGGGUUAAUUAUAGAAUUCUAUUUAUUGAUCGGACCCGUUUAUAAUAAUGUGGAUAGAUCCGAGUAAAUGGACCUACGAGGAAUUUCGAGCCUAGAAUAUGGACUGAAUCUUGCUUGGGUCACGUCUCGGCUCAACUGGUUCAUUGACAAUCCUAAACCGGAGGUGGAAAUGUUGCUUACCAAAACAAAUAAAAAUGAAAAUAUGCCUUGUUUUGACUGCCAAUUUUUUCUUAAAAGGUUUUUACGUUUUUUGAAAACAUAUUUUUUAAUUAAUUUUUUUAUUUUAUAUAUAUUAAAUCGUUAUAAUAUAUUUUUUUAUAAAUUUUUUUUGACAAAAAAUAGCAAUUCAAAGGGGAAUAACAGCCUGACUUUACCUGUUGUGUUAAAUGUUAAUGAUCUAUGUCCUUUUCCAUUUUUGCUUUUGUCUUUUGUGGAAGGCAGGGGCGGGGACAAUGUAAAUCAAAUUCCACGGAGCAGUCUUGUGCUGUGGGAACCAUCGGAAAUUUACGGUGGUACUUUAAUAAUGAAGCCUUCAACGACCGAGCCCAGUUUCACGUUAAUCAUGCUCAUCAGUCUGCUCAAUCAUUUAUUACCUCCGCAGACAUUUGGUGGUAAUUUCCUACAGCAAUUAUUCCCCUUAUCUUCUUCAAUCAUUUGGUUAGAGGAUGACUCUAUAGCUAGUUUUCUUUCUUACAGCUGUUCGUAUUAAUUGCUCUCGAAACAUUUUCAGAUGCAGCCAAAGGCGGGAAAAAAAAAAUUAUUACUCCCUCCGUCCCAUUUUGAUAGUCCAGUAUUCCUUUUUUAUCUGUCCCAAAUUAUAGUUCACUUUUCAAUUGAAAAAUGUAAUUGUAUUUUAAUUUUUCUAAAAUACCCUUAUUCAAUGUAAGUAGUUAUUACUAUAAACCUACUCCAUUUGAUGAGAGUUAAUUUUUUUUUUUUUUACCAUCAAUUCAAGUUCCAUAAAGUUGUACCAUAUCUAAUGUGAGGGUAUUUUAGAAAAACAGCAAUCUAAAUUUACGAGUUAUGCAUUUAGGCAUGAGUACUGAAUAGCGAAAAAUCUAUGAUCUGUUCGUGGAAAACAUAAAAUUUUACGAGUAUAAUUAAUUAUACAAGUUUAUGUCCCUCCCUUUAAUAAUUAAUAAAAUUCAGGGUUGGCAUCCCUUUCACCUGUGCCUGCGCGCACGCGCUCGCACGCACAAAUUUCAUGUUAUUAAGGUACACUUGCAUGAAUGUGUCCAUCCAUAUACAUGCUCGUUAAUCCCACAAAACAGUUUCAAAGAAUUGGUCGGGCACCAGCAGCAGUUCAUCCUUUCGAACAGCUAGCUAGGGACUGCAAAAGGGAAUGAAGUAAAGGUAAAAUCCUGCUAGCAUGUCAUGUACCAUGUAAAUGUAAUUUUGUUGAAAGCAAUAAAAAGGGAAGAGCUGUCAACGUCCAAAAAUCUAAUGCUGAAUCUUGUUUCAAUUACAAUCUCUCUGCCUCGAUCUGUCAAUAAUCUAUUGUUGGAUCUUUUAUCAUAAAUCUUCUCUGCUAAGCUGUCGAUAUAGGGAAGAAAUAGAUUCGGAUCAUGAGAUGGUGUUCUUGCUUGCUUCACCACUGCAGAAAAUUCACAGUUGUACGUGGCACUGCGACACUGCAACGACGCAGGCCUCAGCCCUGUCGUUUUGGGCCACCCUAAUUUACCACGGUUGCUGCUGCUGUUCUUUGGCUUUGUCGUACUCUUUGCCGGCCGCAUGCAUGCACCGGUUCUUUUUGACCAUAAAUUCAAAUGCACCGCCCGCAUCUUCGAUUGCGAAUGCAAGUGUGUGUGUGUGUGUUUAAAUUAAGGAUUAAUCUUCUAUACACUCACAAUAUAUACACUUUCACCAUUAGAUGCAUGACACUAAUCCGAAUUUGAAUUUAAAAUUCAAAUUUUGUAAAUGUGUCAUGCAUCCAACCGUAAUAGCGUAUACACUGUCACUGUCACUGUACAUAAAAUUUGCUCUUAAAACUAAUUAGGCGUACAUUGUUGUCAUCUCUCGAGCUAAAUUGAGCUGGGAUUGAGGCUAGGCAGCCAUAUUUCGUAAGGGCAAUACAUCUUCUUCCAUGAAAUAUUAUUCAUCUAAGGUUUGGAGUCUCCAUUAAACCAACAAAAAAUGAUUAUGUAAUAAAAAAAAAUGGAGUUUCAAAGUAAGAUAUAUAAUUAGUUAUUGUGAAUGACCAAAUUUCAAGCGUAAGAAUGCAAAAAGAAGCAACAAAGUGAAAAUGUAAGACACGAUAUGUUUGAUUUCCCUUCGAAGUGACUUUCAUCCAAGAGAAUUAUACACUUGAUUCGCAUGUGGAUUUUAUAAUUCAAUUUGGCUAAUAGUACUGCGUCGUUUCAUUAAAUUCCACCAAAAGGGGAAACAUGAAUCAAGAAGGAUUUCAAGUCCUUGACAUUGAGCCCCAAACGAAAGCCCAGAACUAAUACCAAUUUUGACUGGAAGAUGUAACCAAUGGGCCUGAGAUCAACCACAAAUUGCCAAUUUAACUUGAAACGAUUCACAAAGAAACUAGGCCCCGAAACGACACGACACCAAUGACUAAGGACCCAGUUGAGAUUUUGCGCUAUUUGUAUGCUUUCUCAAUUGCUUUGUUCCAUUAAGAGAAGGCGGUUUUUAAAAGUUUAGUUUGGGCCUCAACUCUCCUUCCCUCAGGCCCCAUGUCUAUACCAACCCUUUUGCCAUAUCAACAUUUUUUAACGUAAUUGGAUAUCCAACAAAUGUGGAUGGCAAAAAGAAAAUCACGAAUUCGUUAUCGAAGUUUGAAAAAUUGGGAAUUGGUAUUCAUACUUCCAUUUUAUUCUCUUGCACUUCAAUCCACUCAUUAUAUAAUAUGCCUCCAAAGAGUGCAGGAGCCUAAUUUGGGAGUGCAAAUAUCACUUCCCAAAAAAUUUGAUAGUAUUAUUUGGAUGAAAGUGGAAUUUGGGAAUUGAAGAGUUGUUUAUUAUGAUAGGACUAGAUUGCAAAUGAAUCAAAUCACUCGCGAGAGCGCUCACAAGCCAACUUGGUCAAAACUUUAUUCGAGCUCGAUCAAAAUCGAACUCAAAUCGAGUUCGAGUCGAUCAAGUCGAGAUAAUGAAUUCAAACUAAGCAUAGAGAAACUUAAUUCGUUAGUUUGCGAGUCAAUUCGAUUAUAUAUAUAUAUUAUUUUUAUUUUAAUAGUAAAAUUAUAUAUUCCAAUAUUUUUAUUAUUAUUUCAAAAAAAAUAAAAUAUUUAUUUUAAAAAAAUUUUAAACUUGAGUAGCUAGGCUCAAUUUUAAACUUGUGUUUUACAUUGAAAGGUUGUCGAGCUCAAGUUUGACAAAAUUGAAUUUCAACUUAACUCGAUUAGACCAAAUUUCUACUCAAUUCGAUUCGUUUGUACCCUCUUUGUAUGGCUACAAUACAAAUGAUAUAGUAACUGACUUAAAGAUGGUUUCGGCGUGUGAUUAAGAACUCAUAUCCCGUUCCCCUUAUGGCACUAUGACGUCCUGAAAAUGAUAAUCACUUAAGAAAAUUGAAAUUAACUCUUCAACUUUUAUAAUUUAUAAUCUAAGUAAGGAAAAUUAAAAAAAAAAAAAGGAAAGCUCCUACCUUGCAUAAGGGGGUGAAAAAUAUUAUAACGAAAGCAAGCACUACACAACGUUUAACUCAUCCAAGAUGCAAUUUGUCUCUUUUUUUUCUCUCUUCUUUUCAAUCUUGUUUCUAAACUUUUAUAUUUCAACAAAGAACUUUUGCAUCUACGAUGUAUGAGCAAAAUUCCCGAAGGGGAGGCACUGAAUAGAACGAAAAUGAUUGUUAGAUCGGGUACCUGAGGCCUCGUCCUAAGACUCCUAACCAUGUCUCGUUGCAGCAAAUAAACAAGCAUCGUAUUUCCAGCUUCCUUAACAGUAGCCUUUCUGCUUUAAUCUUAAAGAACACAAAAUUAAUGAUUACUUCGGUUCUCCGCAUGCUUCACCUCUUUUAUCUGUAGAUACUGUAAUAUGACGUCCAUUUAUAUACCGUCCAUAAUGAUUUCUAGGAAUUUAGAUGGUCAUCAUUCUCUCUUAGUUUCAUGUACUUCUAGCCCUUUUUUAUUUGUUAAAAGUUUGAUCUACUUUGGAUUAGUCAUCCCAUUAGUACAAUAAUUAACAACAUGUGAAUUUUGGCUUCUCACUCAUAUGAAGCAAAAUCUCUAGAAUUGGAAAAAAGAAAAGCGGGUGGCAACUUUCUCUAAAGGGGAGAGAUGGGAAAAAAAAGUUUCUUCUUGAAAAGUACAAAUCUUCCUCGACAAAAAGAUUGAUUAGCAGUAAAGCAUGAGUCAUGAACUCAGUAAAGCAAGGCAUAACACCAUUUUUUAAGCAAGUAAUUAUGGGGUUAAACCUUUGAGGCUUGCCAACCAAGGGUUAGAAUUAGUGUAGACGUGAGCUCAUGAACACUUUCUAGUGUUGAAAGUUAAAUGUAUGUUAUUUAUGGGGUUAAAUGUAUAACACUUGUGAUUUUGAAAGUAUACCUUGACUCAUAUUAGCAAUAGGAGUCAAACUUUUUUCAUAACAAAAAAAAAAAAAAGGAUAAAAGGGAUAACGUGUGUGUCUCAAUUGAUUGCACAUCAUUUUCAUGUUUCAGAAUAAUCAUAGUCGAUUCUUAAAAAUGGUUUACUUGGUUUAGAAGGAGAUUCCUUCCUCCGCUGCCAUUAAUGCAUAAUUUCCUUGGAAUCAAUAAAACGAGAGUUUUAACCAUUGGUCGAAAUCCAAUAAUUAGGAAGAAUCUCUUAGAGUGUUCUCGUGCACUAGGUCGGAGGUUCAAAUCCCGUCUAAUGCAUCACAAGGAAGCAUUGCGCUUCAUUUUUUUUUUUUUUUUCAAGAAAUUCAGAGAGUGCAAUAUCACACACUUGUGUUUGGUCUUGAGGUUCAUACCCCAAUCCUUUUCAAGCCCGGUUGGGCUCCCUUUCCCUCAUAGUAAAUUGAUUGCGGUAGGUUCAUACCCCAACCUCUUACAAGCACGAUAGGGCUCCCCCUCUCUCAUAGUAUAAGAGUAGUGUAGACUGUUGUCGUUAGUAAAAAAUAAAAUAAAAAUUUUGAUAUGCCAAAAAAUUUAAAAAGGGUUAAAUAAGCCUGUAUAAUAUAAGAAUCCACCUAUAAAAAAAAGAUUGAAAAUUACAACAUUUCUAAACAAUAUACACAAAUAUAGGAAUUUCUAAAAUCAAAGAGGCGAGCCAUCUUUUCGUUUGUUUCUAUCACAAGUCAUAUGCCAUCUAGCAUAGAAUUUUCCAUAAUAUAAUAGACUGAUGUGAAAUGAGAGAAGAAUUCUCUUAUAGAACGAACAUACCUUAUCCAUCUUCUCACAUGUUUAACCUAAAAAACUAUGAUUAGCCAUAAUCUUUUGAGAUUCCUUACCUUUAUCCCUCUUCGGUAUCACACCAUCAUUGCUAGUUAGGAAGGACCACCUCUUCUGGAACUGCUAAAAUUAGGUCCACCGGGAGCCCUAUUGGGUGGCGCAGGCGUGACGGUGUGGGGAUCAUUUGCUUGAGGUUUACUAGUUAAUUAUCAAGUUGAUUAUGUAUUUCAAGUACAAAUCAUUGAUUGCGUAACACAUGCAAAUAUUGCAACUGAUUUGAUAUGUUUCCCAGUGAAGCUAGCGUUUUCCAUUUAUUCUUCUUCAUGUAUUCGAACAAUUGAUUCGUGCCGUAAUUGAAUUGAUAUUCGAGUUUGGUUUGUCGCCUUCCAUUUAACAGCAACUUAUGGAUGAAUAUUCUCCUGAAAACUUUUCUUACUCUCUCUUUUUCUCCCUUCGGUUUCCAAAGUUUCUCAUGAUCUAUGUGUCUCUUGAAUUUAAAUUAAGUGAGCCGAUUUCUAACAAUUUUAUCUUACUUAAAUUCGAUCGUUAAGCAUCGAUGAUAUCAUGAAUCCUCGAAUCAAGCAAGCUUUCUCUUGGAACUUUUUAAUUUGCUGCUCAAAAUUCUUGAUCCAAGAAAUACGGCCAUUUGAGUUGUUUCGUUGAAAUGAAUCCAAGAAACAUCCUUUUAGCUAUUACGGAGUUGGAUACAAAUUUAUUAUGGUUGUGAAUAAUUUUGGCCCCAAAACCAAUGCUACUGCAUAUGUAGUCAAUAAUUAACACAUAUAAUUGAUUUUGCAAAUCAAUUAAUGAAAACAUAGAAGAUAGAUCUCGAAUCUAUAAGCCAUGCGGUCCAAGCUACCCGUACCAUACUAGAAACGCAUUCUGGAAGAAGAAUGAUUUGGUGUGUGAGUACCCACACUGAUAAGUUAGCUGUGCAAUCUCAAUCAUCAUCCAUCAUAAUCUCAAUUACACACAGUACUGUUACUUUGACUCCACAGCACCCGUCUUUCUCCUUGUCCCGAGCCCUCAUUCCCACUCGAUUAAAGGCAAAAUAUUCAGAAAGAUUUUGUUCAUGAGUUGUCUAUAUAUUAAUUAUCAUGCAAGACUUAUUUUUGCAUUCUCUAAUGCUUUUAUUCGGUCCCUUGGAAUUGGCUCGGAUGGUCUCGGAGUGGUCUAGUUAGUUAGGUUUCGAAGUCGUACGCUCGAAUCAUCUCUUUUCCGCUUGUUUGUGUAUCCUUGAAGGAAGGGGUGAACAGGCGUGCAAGAAGAAAGAUUAGUUUGAUAAAUUUAGUGAAAAAAAAAAAACUUUUAUCCGACUUAUUAUCUAUAUUUAGCCCACAAACAAUCUUAACUCCCAUUCUUCCCUCGUUAAAUAUUUUAGACCAGUUUUCUGAACCAGACUAAUACUAGAUCAUGACCAAGUGAGCAGAAUGAACCAAACCGUUCAUUUCGGAAUAACUUCAAAGUCCAGCAAGAUCACAGCCUUGCAAGGGGUUGACCGGAUGUUUCAGGUUUGACCAAUCGGUCGGGGUCUCUUCUUCAUUUCUUGUUACUGUUUUGAUCAAUAGCAGCUGUUCAAGAAUCAUAAUCGCUUGAGCCAGAAGCAGCUAUAUAUAUAUAUAUAUAUAUAUAUAUAUAUAUGUUCAUAAUAGACAAGUACAACAGUUCAGAUUAUAUGAGGUCUCCCUUAUAGAAUAGAAUAGACAUCUACAGCUGGAAAAAAAAACGUACGAGGACAAUGAGGUAAAUUACAGGAUGAUGAGAUUCCAUUAUUCCUUGUGUUGUGAGAGGUCCAAAGGCUCUGCAGUAAAAGAAAAAGAUUGCACUGACAAAAAACCAAUAAACAAAUCUAUCUAUGAAAGAAAAUGGGAAAUUAUCCGCUGUACAUCACCUGCAAUAAUAUUAUAGUGUGAUGGAUGGAUGACCUCAAAUCUUGAACCACACACCACGUACAAGAUGAACGACUUAGGUUGUACAGAGCAGAGGGCAUCUUCUGCAUGGGGUACAAUACAAUCUGCCCACAUUAUAAAUGUACGAGUCGGAUUUGGUGGGGACGGGACCAGACUGGGGAUGAACAGUGGUCCUCAUGGAGUGUGAUGGAGCUCAGGUGCAUAAUUGGGGUUCUCAAAAGAAUUGUUAGGUUAGUUGGUACUGAGAAAAAUGAGUGUGUAACAGCAAAGAGAGGUCUGUUAGAACAGUUGGCAAAUGUGUCAGUAAAAAUACAUUAUUAUUAUUAACAAAUAAAGGAAAAAGAAAGCUUGGGGUUCAAGAGAGGAACCAAUCAAAUCUGCUGCAAGCAUGAAAUACAGACUACUACUACUACUUGUUAAAGGAAAGAAUUUUUUUUAAAAAAAAAGUAGAUAAAUCUGGAUUUUGAUAAUAUUAAAUGGGAGAGUAUGAAUGGCAAAAGGAAAUUACAAUAUGGGAGGAAAAAAAAAAAGAAAAAAGGAAAGAUUAGGUUCUCUAAUAAUUUAACUGCAAAGAGCAGUUGGCAGUAGUUAGUCUGUCUUUUAAAAUCAUACAUGUCACCUGUUGUUAGCUUGGGCAGGUAAAGUACUGGGGCUGUAGCAGUAGGCUUUCUUUAACACUUGGCGCUUUAUUUAUAUGCUGUCACUUGGGAGGACUCUAAAUUGUCAUUUUGACCCUGUAAUAAAGAUUGGAACUUGAUGCUUCUUUUUUGCUGUGUUUGCAAGUACCCAGUUGGUGAAUUUCGGUCUCAAGUAUUUUUGUAGCAUUUAAGCAAGCAUUUGAUGCUCUUAAUGGGGUACCAUCAAGUACCCAAUAUUGGGGGACUGUUCUGAUACCCUGCAAAUUUUUCUGCCCCUCUCUAUUAUUCAAAGUAGAAUUUUGUGCUUUUUGGUCAUUUUUAGCUACCUGUCUCAGAAUAUGUUAAAAGGGUCUCAGCAAUUGUUCUCCUCUUGGAUUCUUGUGGGGUUUCAUUGAAUUUGAGUAUUUCCUUCAAAGCUUCAACCUUCUUCAACAACUGGUACAUGUUACGAUCUUAAAUAUGGCUUUCUUGCCUAAGACCAUUUCAUUGACUUAUUUAAUGCUAUGUGUUUAAGGUGAUCAUGCCCAAGAUACUUAAACCUUGUUAAUUAAGUAGUGUCUUGUAAAACUGGCCUUUCGUUUCAUUAGAGUCCUGAGUGUGGUGAAUGUUGGGAGUAUUAUGCUUAUUUAGACUGAGAAGAAAAGGAGAAACAAAAGGGAAUCUGCUUUCUUUUCAUUAGUCUGGUGAGCUGUUACUUAGCCAUUGUCUUUCCUUUCUUCAUUGUCUACUUUAUGCUCUGAAAGGUUCAUACUUUCUUGUCUCCGUGAACUGCUUUUUCCACAUUACAGUAGACUUGAUCCUAGGGCUCUUGAAAGAAGAGUUAAGUAGCUGGUGCUCUGCUAAGAUUUUAUGCCUGCUACAUUGGAUUUCUCCUUUUCCUUUGUGUCUGUUGGAUGCGUCAAUAAGAAAUUUCUUUCGCUUUAUCAUAACAAAUAAGCCCCUCCUCUCAGACUCAGUCCUAUAAAGCUGCCAUUUUUAUUUGUUCCUUGUUGAGUCCUGCAAGAAAUUACCAGUCAUUUUUUGGUCAAACUUCUACUUUGCCUUUACUUAAGUGGUUUCUUUCUUCCUUAAAUAAGUACUACAACUAUCUAGUCUUGGUUUUUGGGUUAACAGUUCAACCUGGGGAAGGAGCCUUUUUCAAGGUGCAUUGGUGAUUGAGUUCCACAGUUUUGGGCGGAGAUUUUCUUUUUUGUGGUGUUUGGGCCAUGAGUAGCACUGAGAAUACCACAGGUGAUAUGGGAUUCCAAGAGAGUGGGGGUGGUGGUGAUAGCAUAUUGAAUUGCCCGUCUUCUGGGAUGGACACAAAUUCAAUGUCUGACAAGGUUGCAGGAAUGGCAAUGUGUUCUGAGUCCAUGUUCAAGUCUUCAACCGGGGUAGACCCUUUCUAUGGGGGGACUGGAUGGGACCCACUUGUAUCACUGAAUCAUGCUGAGAAUUUUGGUGGCUCUCCAGUUAUUCCUCAUCACAAUGAGUUUGGAAAUUCACAUUACCCUGUUGGGCUGGAAAAUCAGGCGAUUAGUAACACUUCCCAUCUGGUUCAUUAUGCAUCUGAUUCAGGUCUGGGUGAUAUGGUGCCAAAAUUAUCGUGCUUUGGCAGCGGAGCAUUCUCAGAAAUGGUCAAUUCUUUUGGACUUCCUGACUGUGGCCAGGUUACAGAAACGAGCUUUCAUCAAAAAUAUGCUAAAAAAAAGGGAGUUGGUGCUCAGGAGGAUUGCCAAAUUUCAGAAGAGAGAGCUUUGGGUGGUAAUGGAAAGAAGAAAAGAAAAGCAUCAGAUUUUCAAUCUCCAUUGAACCCCAAGAAGGUAAAUGAAUAUCUUGUAACUCUUGUUUAUUGUCUGUCAUACUUUAGCAAUCUGAUACUUAAUUGUUGACUUGUUCUUGCUGAAGAAUAUUGAAGGGGAGCAGCAGAAAGACCUCUCUGCUAACAGUUCAGAAUGUUCCAAGGAGCAAGACGAAAUGAAACAGAAAAUGGAGCAAAGUAAUAGCACAAAUUUGCGCGGUAAGCAAGCUUCAGGCAAACAAAUCAAGGAUAAUUCUGACAGUGGAGAACCUCCUAAAGACACUUACAUUCAUGUGAGGGCCAAGAGGGGCCAGGCCACUAACAGUCACAGCCUUGCUGAAAGGGUGAGGCUCCUAAUUUGACAUGAGUCCUUCAACUUGAUAUUUGCUAGACUGUAGAUGACCAAUAUGAAGUAUCAAGUACUCUUUGAUUUGCAGGUGAGAAGAGAAAGGAUAAGCGAGAGGAUGAGAUUGCUUCAAGAACUUGUUCCAGGCUGCAAUAAGGUAAUAAUUCAUUGUGGUAUCUUUUGAUCAUCCUUAUCUCUUGAUUCUUAAUGUUAGAGCUGAAUGUUUAGAAUUUCAAUUGUUAAGAUAACUGGCAAGGCUGUGAUGCUUGAUGAGAUUAUCAACUAUGUACAAUCCCUGCAACAGCAAGUGGAGGUAUGCCUCUUAGAACAAUGACAGAUGCUGCUGGUUCUUUUUUUAUUUAUUUAUUUGUUUUAUAUUACUAGUAGCCAAAUGCAAUCAAACUCCGUGCAAAAUUAAUAUCCAUCAAGAAAUGCUUUUCGCACAUAAGAUUGAUAUUUGUGAUGUAUCUAGAAAUGUCAGUUUAACACUUGAUCAGAAACUGCUUGACAUAAACCACAAGCUCUGGGAUAAUUUUUUGAUAAAAAAAUACUAUAAUACUUUUUUGAUGUGAUGUAUGCAAGAUAAAAAGAUGGUUGGAAAAUAUGUUAACGAUGCAAGCAAAUAAAUUUAUACAAAUAAGAAACUAUCCAAACAAAACGUCACUUUAUACUUGUAGUGUUUAUCUGAAAUUUUUCCUCUGAACUCUGAGCACAAAUACUCCAUGGAUAGAUUGCUCGCAUAGGUCUUGAUGAAGGCAUUAAAUGCUCUGGAGAUGUAUUCCUGUUCUUUGUUUAAAUGGUCUAGUGAUUUCACCAAAUUUUGGGUGUACAAGUGCAUGUACAGUUUUGGGUGUGCAUGGGUACACCGAAUUUUGUUAAAUGGUCUGGUGAUUGCUUUCAGUUUUGCACGUAGAGUAAUUCCUUGAGCAUAACUAACUUUAUGGAUUUCAGUUCAGCAUAUGAUGUUCCCAACUGCAUCUAGGUGAACGAGUAGGUUCAUCGACACCUUAGUUGAUUUUGGAUUCAAAGACUCUUUUUACUUGUGUAGCUACAUGAUCAUUGAGAUAUGUCUUCUCAUUUGAUAAGGUUGAAAUCACUUCCUUGCAGUUUUUAUCAAUGAAACUGGCAACUGUGAAUCCAGAGCUAAACGUCGAUCUUGACCGGAUUUUUCAAAAAGAUGUAAGCGAAUGUAAACUCCUUAUGAGCUGUUUGUUAAGCAACUUGGAAAGACUCUGGAGCCCAUGUUAAUUUUUGCUUGCAGAUUCUUCAUUCACGAGGCAGCAGUGCAGCCACUCUUGGAAUUGGACCAGGAUUGAACUCCUCUCAUCCAUUCCCAGGGUAUCCUCAGGGAUCUUUCCCAGGUAUCUCAGGUGCUGCCGCCCCGUUUCAUCCCGUGCCUCAGGUAGCAUAAUGUUCCUGACUGUAUAGUUUCUUUUUUUGGAAAGAAAAAACAAUAACUGAAAGAGAUGAUCAUCUUCAUUGUAUCCUUGUAGGCCGUCUGGGAUAACGAGCUCCAGAGCAUUUUGCAAAUGGGCUUCGAUACUAGUCCCUCCAUCAACAAUCUAGGACCAAAUGGUAAGCUCAAUGAGCAACACCUAGAUUUGUUGAGAAAGCAUAAUGUAUAUACGAUUUUCAUCUUUCUCUGUUCCUGGUGUGAUUUCCUGUCUUCUAAUGAUAACAUGAUAAUUUAUGAUGCUUAGCAGGGCGGUCGAAAUUGGAGCUAUAGAGCUGGGGAAAGUCUCGAGUUUUCCUUUGUCCAUCAGUAACUACAGCAUUCAAAUAUUGACUGCAGAUUUGAUUUCAAUACUGAAGCAAGAGAUAAUAGCUAAACAUUAUUCUUGGGAUUGUAUAGGUCGCAUCUCCUAACUGUUUCGUUCUUCGAAUUUUAGAGAAGAAAAUGACCUCUUAGAUUUACAAAAUCAUGUAAAUUCACAGCAAGACUUCAAUUGAUGAAGAUGAUUGUUUUGAUUGGUGUUCUUGUAGAAUAUGAUUUAUGUGUAGUUUCUCGAGAAUUUCGAGAAGAAAACGAUUUGCUAGUCAUCAGUGUUUUGAUUGGAAGAUGCAUGGGAUGAGUCAUGAGAUGGAUUGCUACAUAUUCUACAUGCCUUGCUCCAUUUAGUUAAAUGGAUCAUGUUUCUAGUUACUUGUAUUUUGAUCUUAACCAGAAACAAUAUCUCGCUUUUAAGCUUAAUUGUAUAUGCAGUUUAGAAUACAAGAUAGAUCAAGAAAAUCAAAUCAUGUCAAAACACCACCAUCACCAGAUAAUAUGAUGAAUUAAUAAAAAUGUUGGAAUAAACUUGUCAAAUUUUAACAAGAGCACCAUUAUUUGGUCAAAGGUGUCUCUCUCUCUCUCUCUUCCCUUUUCAUUUCUUGGACUAGUGUUUGGAUUGGAGUUAUUUUACGUUUUUGUGAGCAUUUAUAUAUAUAUAUAUAUAUAUAUAUAUAAUAUAUAUAUAUAUAUAUAUAUAUAUAUACACUAGCAUGGGUCAGCAGCCUACCCACUGAUAUGACCAACUAAAUCUGUAAUAAUGAGGAUAAUUUGCUAAAAGAUCAUAAUGUAUAUAUAGGUUCCAGAGAUAAAUAAUAUGCAAAUCACAACCAUACAUUAUAUAAACUCAAUCAUUCAUGUCUUAGUAGAAUACAUACUUGAGUGCUAGCCAUAGUUACAUAUUAGGAGGCUUAAAUAAGCUUCAUUACCUAUUGAAUUACAACCAGAGUUAUUAAACCCGGCCCGGCCCGGCGGUCGAACCGGUCAAACCGGUGGACCGGUCAUUGGACCGGGCCGGGUUUGGAAUCAGAUCGUUUGUGCAAAGAGACCGUUGACUUAGUCAACGACCGGGGGUCGAACCGGGUUAAACCGGAAACCCGGCCGGUUUUGGCACUAACCGGAUUUUGUGGAAAAAUUAUAUUGUUAUUGUUGGGACUCAAACUUCCGACCUCUGCCCCCACACUACCGCUUGCUUACCACCAAACUACUUCCAAAUAUGUUGAUAUAGUAGCUUUAGUAUGAUAUAUAAAUGUUUUUUCAAUUCUAUCUUUUUUUCUCUAAAACAAAUUUAUUUGGAAUCUUUUAAUAAAAAUUUAUUAUCCUCCAAACUCUAUAAGUUAUAAAAUGGAUUCCAAAAAUAACAUAUUACAUAAUUCAUUUAAAGACAAAUAUUAUUUUAAAUAAAUUUUUACACUUAAAAUUCAUAAAUAAGCUAGAUAAUUACACUAAAUAUAGAUAAAAUUUUACACUUGAAGUUUGGUAUAUUAAUAAAUAACUUUAUAUUUGAUUGAUUCUUAUAUGAAUUAAUUAUUUUAUAACAAAUUAAAUUAAAUGAGCUUUUGUUAUGGCAUUAUUUAUUACAAUUUAUAUCAUAUAUCUUAUAUAAAUAAUUAUGAAAUAUAAUAUUUAAAUAUAUGUAGUGACCCACCGGUUCAACCACUCACCCACCGGUUCAACCAGUAACCCGUUGACCCACCUCCUUCGCCGGAUUCCUUCCCGGGUUGGGUUUAAUAACUAUGAUUACAACAUUGAUGGUUAAAUUAUUAAUAGUUAUAUUAGGAUCCAUUACUUUUUAAGUCAAAAGAAUAAUGGAUCAUAAUAUAAUUUCAAAAGAUAUUGUCUAAGCAAUGAAGGCAAUCACCAAGGCAAUGAACAAAAGAUUUAACAAAAGUACAGAAUUAGGCCAUAUCAGUCUUCCUUUGCUUUAGCUUUCUUUGCUGGACUGACUUUGAUAUUGCCUGGUGGACUAUACGGUUUUGCAGGUUCUUUGGCAAACUGUUCAGGAGUCUUUGUUGCAUGUUUAGCAAGUGUGUCUGCUAGUAAAUCUUCUGGAAACUCAAGGCUUCUUUUUGCUCCACUGGUUGCAGAUGUCUGGCUUUCUUUGUAAGAACUAGUUCCAGCAAUUUCUUCAAGUACCAACUUUGUGGUUGGUGUGAACAUUUGAUCAUUUGAUGAAUUUUCUGCAUGCCUUGCUGAUGAACUGCCAAGUGCAGAAGAAACUUGAGUGUUUUCUAGAAGUGCUAGUGGAAGUGGAUUAUGCGAUAGUUCAGCUGCAAUGUGAGCCUUAAUGACAGUAUUCUUUCUCUGGAGUUGACCUUGGAAGGGAGUCUCAUAGGAUUUCAGAAAACAAACCACUGUGUACUUUUUCAAGGCAUGAUUAAGUUCAGCGUCUAUCCCAAAGCCAUACACCAGAAAAAAAUUUUUAGUUAGGUUUAGUGAAUUCUUUUCUAUGUAUAUUUGUAUUUAUGGUUGAAUAUAAGAAAGAAAAUUUUUACUUACAUCUUCUUGUGCUUGCUUAUGUUGCAGUGGAGUGAACUCAAUCAUUUUUUCAAUAUCUUCUCCAGAUAUAAUGCAAUGUAUUGAGCUCGAAGCAUCAGUUAUAAUAAUUGGAAUGCGAGCCCUUUAAUUGAGUGAAGGAAUUAAGAUUAAUAUAUGGUAACAAAUCCGAAUAAUGUUUAAUUUAGAAGCAUAAGUUAAUGGUCUAACCUGAGUUCAACUUCACUUUGCUGUUUGCAUGAAGGACAAUGGAUGAUCCAGUCAAUGUCAGCAUUCACAAUUUUGUAACAAUUCACACAUGCAGUAGUCCAAUAUUUGGUGAAUCCAUAUGCAAGUUUGACAGCUCCUUGCACCCAAGCUGUCUUUUGCUGAGUCAACCAACCAUUAAUGGUAUUUGAAUGUAAAUUAGAAACAACAUAGUUAUAUUUAAGCAAAAUUUUAAAAUAACAAAUAACACUUACAACUGAAAAUGAUGCUUGAAAUUGCUGAUUGCUUUGACAUCUUCUUCAUUUGGAGGAGGAAGUAAACAGUUUGCAUCAUUGUAUGUUUUAGCAUCAAGCAAAUUUUUGAUUUCUUCCUUGUUUAAACUAAACCUGAAUGGUUAUGUUUAGAACAUAAAUAAAAAAUUUACCAGUAAAAUAAAUUGAUAAUUUAUGGUAAAAAAAUAAAAAGAAAAUUAUACUUACCAUUGCCUGAAAGAGAGGUCAUUUGCGAGUGGAGGAUUUAUCAAAAUUUCAGAUAAAUACCUUGUAGUGAAUGACAAAGCUGUAAAAAUGAUGAAAUGUUUUAGUAAUAUAACAUAUCAAGUACUUAGAAGACAAACAGUAAAGAAAUUAUAAUGCAUAAUGAAAAUUUUACUAUUAAAUGUGGUCACUUUAAUACGGAGAGCUAUGAUUAGAGGGGCAGUGCUAAUCAUGUCUGCUAUUUUGCUCUCUUCAUUAUGUUCAAAUUCAUUCUAGAGAGUCAUAAACAUGCGUUUCUUCCUGUCAGGUAUAACAAAAAAUUGUAACUGCUAUCAUUAAUCUAAAAUGACUUAAUAAAAAGGUAGUAUUCAGGUUUGAUUUACUUUUCAUUCACUAUUAUAAUGUCUCUAGAAGUACAAUCUGAAUCUGCCUGUUAUAUUGGUAAUACCUGAAUCACAAAGCCUCUAAUAUCUGAAAUAAAAGUAUUGAUAUGAAUGUAAGCAAUCAAUAAAAUGUCAAAUGAUUGUCAAGUAAAUUAAAAAAUAAUGUAAAAAAAUUACUACAAUGAUUAUCUGAAUCAACAUAUUUGUGCAAAUCAAAGAAGUUUGCCAGUUCAAAUAUGCAAGGCAACAUAGGUGGCACAGGUUCAGCAUAAUUUUCAAUCAAAGUCUUGUAGUUCAAAAUUCAGGAGCAUUCAUAGGUCCCAAUUCUGUAUGUUGGGUCAGCAAGAACGACAAUUGCAUUAGAGACAUAAUAUCUUUGAUAAGGCUGCAGAAAUUUGCUGAAGACCUUGAUGUGCUAUUCAUAGGUCACAACAGAAACUUUUGCUCCCUGAUUAGGAUUAGGAAAAGUUAGUUUUAUAUAUAUUAUGGGUUAAAACCAUAACUGUCAUGUUGAUGGCUAAUAUCAUAUUUAUCACACAGAAAUUAAAAUUAUAGGAAUGAAUACUUUAAUAGUUAGGUGAUUAUUCACUUGCAAUGAAACUAUGGUUCUGAUAUCAUAGUAUGUAUAAACUUACAUGAAUACUAAGGAUUUUUUCUUAAGCAAAUGUAAUGAACAAACAAAUCAUGAAAUGUUCUUAUACAAAUUCUAAAAUGUUCUCAUAUAUGAAUUGAAUGAGCAGCGAAAUAGGAAAUAUUUGCUGACCUCAGUAUCUGUGAGCAAAAAGCACAUAAUUUGUCUAGGCGGAACUUUACAAGUCAGUUGAUUGUGGCCUCUAUGAACAACUUGUGCUAGAACAAUCCACUUUUCUGCUCCUUUCUGAAUGUCUAGCACUGAAAAUAUAUGUCUAGGAAUGAUGGCCUAUAUUCGUAGAGAAAUUAGAUAGUCAAUUAAACAAAAUAAUAAAGUUCUAAACAAAAAAGGCCAUGAAUAUUAAAACCUGAUAAUAUAAUCUGGGAAGCUUCCAGAAUUUCUUUAUAUACUAUAUUUUUAGUAUGAUCAGUGCAUGAUUCAUCAAAAUAAGUUGGCCUGAUAAGCACUUUUACAGCUGAAGUUGUUUUGACUCUUGAAAGUGCAACAUAUAAUUGGUCAUGUGAAAACACAGGUUCUUUCAAAUAAAUACCAACAAAAUCUAAAUUUUGGCCUUGUGCUUUAUUUAUUGUCAUCGCAAAGUACAAACGAAUUGGAAAUUGUAUUCUCUUAUAUGGAAUUGGAUAUUGUUCAUCACUUGGUGGCUGCAUGAAAAUUCUAUGUAUAAAAACUUCUUUGCCACAAAAAUCACUGACUGCAAUUUUAGCACAAAUAACAUUCUUGCUCAAACUUUUUAUUAUUAGUCUCGUUCCAUUGCAUAAACCUUCACUAGGAUCAAGAUUUCUUAAAAGAACUAUUGGGGCAUUGGGUUUUAACAGUAACUUAUAUGGAGGUAAAUUGCUAGGCAUAAGAGUAUUCAAGAGAUUAAUAUAUUCAGAUUGAUGAUUUUCAUUCAGUGUUUCAUCAUAGCUUAAGUACUCAGUCAAAUCUCUUGGAAAUUUUUCGAUCAAUUGAUCAUUUAUUUCAUCUACAAAAUUAUUCUUUGUAGUUAAAAUUGUUCUAUUUUAUGAGUAAUGUAGUUUCUUUGAAGGAUUUUUAAAUUCAUGAUACACAAUAUUGAUUAGCUUUUCAAUUGCAACAGUCUCAUUAUUAUAGUGAAUUAUAAUUGAAGAUGGAAGUUUUACUAUAUCAUUCUCAUCUGCUUCCUGUGUUCCAUCUCCAAUUUUUAAAAGCAACUACGUGAAUGAAGGAUCUAAUUUUGCUCUCAUGUUCUCUGUUAAUUGCAAUUUUUCUAAUUUAUGCCAUAAUGGAGAAUUUAUCAAACAUGCAUUUAUCACUUCAGCUUUUGUUCUCUCUCUAACAACUGACAAUGUUUGUCUAAAAUCUCCACCAAGCACAACUACCUUUCCCCCACAUACUUCCUCUAAAUUCAUUAAAUCUCUCAAGAGAUCAUCUAAAGCUUCAAUUGCUGCUUUUUUAGAUAUUGGUGUUUCAUCCCAGAUUAUUAGUUUUGAUUCUUUGAUCAUUGCAGCUAAAGAAGUUUAUUUACUGACUCGACAUGUUGCAUCAUCAAAGAUAUCCAUUGGAAUUUUAAAUCUAAAAUGUGCAGUCCUUCCACCUAGUGAAAUAGAAGCUGCAAUUCCUAAUGUAGCUGUAGCAAGUGCAAGAUAGCCUUUAGAUCUAACAUCAGCUAACAAAGUUCUGUACAGAAAUGUUUUCCCAGUACCACUUGGACCGUCAAUGGAAAAAACACCAGGUCUAUCUGAGUAAAUUCUCUUAAAUAUGACUAUGAAUGCUUUUUUCUGUUUUUCAUUGAGUGGCUUAAUUGAAUUCAAGUCAAUUUCUGAAAUGACAAUGUUUUUUUCUGCUCUUAAUUCUCGAGUUUCAUUUUCUAUAUUUUCAUAAGAGAAUCCAGUGGGAAUCAAAUUAUAUGAAUGUAUACUUUUUCCUAUGGAUUGCAAAAAUCCAUCAAUUUGUUGCAAGACAUUUCUUUUCACUUGUGCAGAUGUCAUUGCUGAACAUUUGGCAAAAUCUUUUGACAUAGAAGAUUUAAAAUUUUGCCACAACACCUUUGGAUCAUUAGGACAAGAAUAAACAAAAAGUGUUGCAAAAAGUCGUCUCAUUUCAUAGGGCAUAUGAAACAGUGAAACUUCUUGUAAACAAAUUUCUUGGCUGUUAUCAUUUUGUAACAAACCUCAAAUUAAUGCUGCUUCUUGGAACGUUUCUACUUGAACUCCAUUAAAGGUUUUUAAGUCAUCAAAUAAAGUUGGACAUCGAACCUUUGAUAAGAGUAAUCUCAAGUAGUAUCGUUCUCCUUCAGAAGGAUGAGCAGUCAUUAUUCAACCUAUUGAUUCACCUCUUUCUCUCAAUUUACAGUAUUUUUGCUUAGGUAACCAGACAAAAUGAUCAGGAAACUCUACAUAAGUACAGUUUAGAUCCUGAGCUGCUUUAUCUAUCCUAUUCAUGUUAAAAAAUUCAGUGAGCAUUUGUUUUUCAAAUGAUUUGACAACAUUUUGAAGAUUAGUUGUUUUUUUAAAACUCAUUGACUGAUAAUUCUCCAAAUGUAAUUGUAAAUGAAUAAUAGUUGGCUUUAUUUCACUCAUACAAAAUCUAAAAAUUCUCUAUGCUGCCUCAGGUGGAGAAACCCACCUAGCUGAUACAUAUUGUUUAAUUUCAUCAAUUUCUAAAUCAGGUUUAUUAUUUACUACACAAAAGUUUGUUCUAUCAUGACCUUUAUAAAUAUACUUGUAAAUGUAUUUGACUGCCUUAAUUGUAGAGCAUAUUUCAACAUUAAGAUGGCAAUCAAAUUUAGCCAAAAGAUAUGAAUUGUAUGGUACAACCUAUCUGUUAUCUAAAAGAGCUGAUUUGAUCUUAAUUUGAACUCCAUCUUCUCUCCUUCGAUAUUCAGGACAUGCAUUAAGAGUUUGGAUAGUUUUCUCACAAAAUUUUUUAGAAAAAUUAUUUUUGCAAGUUCUAUUUUUUCUCAUGCAUACACUUGUUGGAUCAAGUGAACCACAUGGUCCAUGAAGCAUAUGUUUAAUGACCAAAUUAUAUAGAUGUUCAUUUUUCUCUUUAUUUGGUAUCUCAGCACAAACAAUUUUAUCAUAUUCUUCAGGGGUAUACAUCUUGAAUUUUGACUUUAAAAUUAGAAAGAAAUGUGCAUGUGGCAAUCCACGUUUUUGGUAUUCAAUGAUAUAAGUGUAAGUUGACAUUUCACCAAAGAUGCAUUUUUUCAAAAGUUCAUCUUUAAGCUGCUCUAACUUAUCAUGAAAUACUCUAGCAAGCAAAUCUGGUAUGUUUUGUGCUACUUCUUUGUCUAUUAAGUGUUUUUUUAUUUCUGGCCAAUUAGGAUUGCAAGUCAUGGUCAGAAAUAUAUCUGGUUUACCAUACUUCUGUACUAAUGUCAUUGCAUCCAUGUAUUUACGUCUCAUAUUUCUUGGCCCUCCAAUAAAGGAUAAUGGUGAUAUGAUACGCUGGCCAACAUUACAUCCUUGACUCUCACCUAAUCCUAAAACAUCUAUUAUGCCUUUCAAGAACUCUCUUCUAAUUUCCUCCUGUUGUAAUCUAUAGAAGUCGAGUUUUUGGGUCUCAAGCUUCACAUAUUGAUCAAUAAUAUAUUGUUGUAGGAGUCGAGCAAAAUGUAAUAACCAAGAUUCAUCGUUGUCCCUAAUCUGAAAUUUAUAACAAUAAUAUUCUCGAAGGGACACAAAAUUUGGAUAUUCUUGUAUGCUUUCCAUUGCUGUGAAAAUAAUAAUAGUACAUCAUUAAAUGUGUAAUCAUAAAUAUUAAAUAUGUAAAAUGAAAGAUCAUGGUAAAUAGUUAUUGUACUAACCAUGUUCUUCAUUUUGGAUUAAUUGUUCUAUUGUAGCAACAUUUGCAGGUGAAAUCAAAUCUAUUACAGGUUGCUUUUUUUCCCCUUUUUUCCAUAUACUUUUGCACUCUUUUUUGGUAUUCCUUGGUGCCAGCCAAGAUUACCAAAAGAAAAAAGUAUUGAAUAUUGGAGUGGAUCAUAACAUCCAUAAUAGUAUUGUAUAUUUUUUGAAACACCACUAUGGGUAUGAACUAUAAUAUCAUGCUUCCUGGUCUCUCCAUUUUCUUGCCCCUCAACCCACAAGCCAGCAACUUGUGAAGUUGUUGGUCUAUUAUAAACUCUUUGAUCAACACCAGGCAGAGUUUUUAACACAAUGUAGUAGUUAUCUAAAUUACGUAUCUCUCUCAAAUUUCUAAAAAAUUUUGUAUAUGGAUUAGACUCAAGAACUUGCAUAAUUUUCCUAAUUACACUUUCAAAUAGUCUAGGACAAGCUGCUAAUCGAUUGCUUACUUCAGUUUCAAAGUCAUUGAAAUAUAACUACAAAUUAUUACUAUGACCAUUACUUGAAUUGAAAUCAUUCAGAAAAUGAUAUAUUUGUCCUUGAAUUCUAAAAGUGUAAAUUCCUUUAUUCUUCUUUAAGAGAGUCAGAUCAGCUUUAACACCGAGGGAAGUGAAUACAAAAUGAUUAUUAUACGUUCUAAUAAAAGUUCUAAAAGAUUGUGCCUUUUGUGAAGAUGAAGUCAGUAACUCUUUAAAGAUAUCUGAAAUUUUAUUUUGAGCCAAAACAACUUCACCAUUUUGGCAACAAAAAUAUGCUGUCUCAGAAAAAACUUCUUGGCUCCGCAAUAAGGACAAUCUAGUUGGCAUGGUAGGAUAUCAGCUUUGUCAGGAAUUAUAUCCAACAAAGCUCUUCCUAUUUUGCACCCUCUUCCUAAAAUAUAAUUAUUUUAGAGCAUUUAGUAGUCAAAUCAUUCAAUUGAUUUUAAUACUAGUGUAAAAACAGAUAUUAGAAAACUUAAAAAGUAUUAACUAUAGACCUGGCUGAGUUUUUUUGAGAGAUAAUCUGCGAUGCUUGGAACGAGAUCGAGAACUACACUGAACAUCAACAACUGAGGAACACUCAUAACAAUUGUGAUGCUUGUUCAAUUUUCAGUUAUAUUUAUAGAAGCAAUUGAUCUAGAUUUUGCUCUCAAUCUUUCCCUUUUCCAUCUAAAGUAGGCCUAUCUCCUAUAUUUUUUCUUAUAUAUUCAAGAGGGCUCUUAUCAUAAGAUAUAACAGGAGAACUACCUAUUAUAGGUAUAUGCCUAUUCAAAGAGAGAGGAGGAGUAUAAUUAGUUAGUUCCAUAUCUAGAUUUGAUAUUUCAGAAUAACUAUUUUUCCCUUUCACGUUUGUGACUUAUUCACUCUGAAACUGAUUUUCUAUAACAAAUAAUUGCCCAUUGCAGUUCACUUGUGACGAACCAGUAGGUUCAACAUCAGAGAGAUUGAUUAAACAUGAACUCAUUGUGGGCAAACAAUGAUUGUCAGUAGAAUCAGAGGUAUAAUGAACUUCUCCAGCAUUUUCUGGAGGAAAGCAAACAUUUUUACCUCUGCAGUCAUUUGGCAGAAUUAGAUUUCUAUCGAUGUGAUUUUGUAAAGCACAUGUUUCAACAAAGUGCUUUUCACGAAUAUCAUUCUCACAGUUGAUUACAAAAGGAGAAUAUUGCUGAGAAACAGAAGAAUCGACAGUAAACUUCAUAUGCUCAGUCAGCAUAUUUAAGUUUGUCUUUUUGUUUCUUUCUAACAUUCUUAGAUCAAAAGCAUCAUCAAACAUCUCAUCUAUCAAUAUAAAACCUGUACUAAAUUUUCUUUUUUUUCUUUAUUUUGAAACACAAAAGAUCAAAAUCUAAUUUUACUAUAAACAAAGCAAGAUACUAAGUGGAAGGCACACAACAAUGACAAAAUUAAAGCAUCCUAGAAUAGCUAAAACUAACUAAUAUAUAUAAAAUGACUACCUUAAUAAUCCAAACUACAAUGAUACUAAAUGAUGUAAUUAUUGAAUAGAUAAACAACUAACAACAUCAUACAACAUUUGAAAUUAAAAACAGAGGGAAAAGUAAACCAUCAUAGCAUAACAUCAAACACAUGACAUUCCUUAAUUAACUGAAGGCAAUAAACAGAGACAACAACAAUGAAACAAAAAAAUUACAGUUCAAAAUAAAAAGAGAGAAAAUAGAAACAUACUUAUAUUUUCUUUGCUCGUCUGAAUGUUGGCAAAAGUCAAGCAACAUUUGAAAUGAAUAAAAAUAGAGAAAAAAGUAAACAUAAGUUAGUCGAAAAAUUACCAUUAUAAUUAUUCUUUUAUGCAUAAUAUCAAACACAUGGCAAUCUUUAAUUAACGGAAGGCAAUAAACAGAAGGCAAGAACAUUCAAACUAAAAAAUUGCAGCUCAAAAUAGAAGGAGAGAAAAUAGAAAAUACCUAUAUUUUCUUUGCCCGUUUUCUGAAUACCGGCAAAACUCAGAAACAGAAGUAUAUAUAAGGCUGGGAAUAGUAAAUUCUGAAAGCUGUACCAUAGAUGAUAAGUCGGUAUAGCAGUCAUCCCUAAAAUGAGUUGAUUUUGGGGGAAAAGAGAUUUCAGUGAGAUGUUUUUUAGGGCAAAAGAAGAAUUCACGUGAAUGUGGAGGAUUUUUUGGGAGGCAAUCGAAAGAAAGUAAAUUAGUUGCUCGAGGAAUUGGCAGAAAACUGAAGAUUUUGCAGGCUCGUAGAUUUUGGGGAAAAGAAAUUUCACUGACAUAAUUUUUUAGGCAAAACAAAAAUUCACGUACGUGUGGAGGAUUUUCUGGGUUGCAAUCAAAAGGAAAGACAAUUAGUUGUUGGAGGAAUUGGUAGAAAAGUGAAGAUUUUGCAGACUCAUAUAGCUACCUAUUUGAGGGAAAGAAAGAGGCUAUUCGACAGAAAGAAAGGGGAAGGAAAUUAUGGCUAAAUGAAGAAAAAGGAACUUCGCUGACUAAUAAGACCAUUAAGGUGGUGUUGACUAACUUACAUCAUCAGUCACCUGUCAUACUAACGGCCAUGAAACAGGAACAUUAGUUCUAACGGGCAUGACUCCAUUAAUUUAUAUAAUUAAUAAUAGAAUAUAAUUCAAAACAACCCAUGUGAUAAAAGGAUCCACAAAUAGUCUACAACUAUUUGCAUUUGACCAGAAAAUUAUAAAAGAAAUAAUUUCAAAUCUACAAAAAUAACCCUAAAUAGUUAGCAAUUAUUUAAUGAGCUAGUUUUCAUAAAAGGAUUCAAUUGACCUUUCCAACCAAUUAAAAACCAAACAAAAGGAACAAAUGAAAAUAAUUAAACCAUUGUUACCAAUUAGCCCCUAAAUAGUAAGGAACUAUUAAGCCCUUGAAUUUGGAGACCAAGUCUCACAUAGACAUUUCUCACUCUUUAAACCCCAAAAAUCAGAAAAUAAACUCCUUCCUUUAAUAAUAUAUUGACACUUGGCAUUCAAUGGAGAAUUUCAAUUGUUCUCUUAUCUAGUUAGUAGAGAUUAGGACUGCAAACGAGUCGAGUCGAGUCGAGUUUUGAGCUAAUCGAACCGAGUUUCGACUAAAUUUUACCGAGCUCGAGCUCGAGCUCAACGAGCCGGCAAAUUUCGAGCUCGAGCUCGACUCAAAUCAAGUCGAGCUGAGCUCGAGCUCAAAAAAAAAUAAAAAAUAAUUAUUUUAUUUUUUAAAAAAUAAAUAAAAUAAUAUUUUUUUCUUAAUAAAUAAUAAAAUAUUGAGGAUAUAUACGUAAUUUUACUAUGAAAAUAAAAAAUAAAAAAUAAAUAUAAUAUACGUAAUUUUAUUAUUAAAUAAAAAUAAAAAAAAUUAUAUAUAUAUAUAUAUAUAUAUAUAUAUAUAUAUAUAUACCCAAGCUCGCAAACCGGCUCGCGAGCUAACGAACUUAAUAUUCUGAGCUCGAGCUUGACUCGAGCCGCUCGUGAGCGGCUCGAUUCGUUUGCAGCCCUAAUAGAGAGCGGUUCGAGUCGUUUGCAACCCUAGUAGAGAGAUAUAUAUAUAUAUUAAUCACUUACAUCAAAUUGCUAUAAUGUAUUUUUUAAUAAAAAUUUUUAAAAAAAUAACAAUCCAAUAGGUAUGAUGGAAAAUUGAUCAAAUUUCUAUACCCGUUUUUUGGUCCAAAAUGACUACCAUUCCUGAUUUAUUAUAUAUAUAUAUAUAUAUAUAUAUUAAUCACUUACAUCAAAUUGCUAUAAUGUAUUUUUCAAUAAAAAUUAAAAAAAAUAACAAUCCAAUAGGUAUAAUGGAAAAUUGAUCAAAUUUCUUUACCCGUUUUUUGGUCCAAAAUUACUACCAUUCCUGAUUUAUUUUACGCAUGUACUUCUGUUAUUUAUUAAAAAUCCAUUUACUGAAAAUUCCUAGUCUCCUACUAAUAGUAUAAGUUUGACGCAAAUGUUAAAAACUAUUUGUUUGGGUUGCUCCUACAUUGAUGUGCAUUAGUUUUUACAAUGUUUUCAAUUGUAUUGUAUAUCAAAAGAGGUCUAAAAAAAAAACUAAUGUUGAAAGUUAGAAGCUACAAAAGAGGUAUUUUAGAAUACCUCAUUAUUUUUCUUCUCUCUUCCUCUCUCUACCAACCCUCGAACUCUUGACCUUAUGGUCCGCAGCACAUGCUAAUACCAACAAGGCACAAGAAGAGCCGGUACAAGGACAUGAUAAUUAAUCAAUGUAGAACGAACUUUCACGUGAAGGCCCAAAGCCCAUCUCCCCAGUCCCCACCAUAAAAUCUGGAUUUCUCUGGCUCAGCUCCAUACGCGAAAAUCGUAAGGGAGAAUAAUUACCUAUAUGCCUAAUUUUGUCUGCAUUACAAAAGGACAUAUCUAACCCUAUGUACAAGUUUUUUGUUUUUCUUUUCUCUAUUUUGGGAAACCGUAUAAGAUUUAGACCUUGUUUGAUAAUCCAAUUCAGUACUUAAAUUUAAUGAAUUCAAAUUGUUGAUAACUAAAAAUUGAACAUCUGAAUUAAUUAAGUGGCACUGAAUUUUCUAAACAAAAUUUAUUCCCAAAAUUAAGUGGUAAACUAUUCACUUAACACUGAAUAUGAUAUGCACUCAAAUAUAUUAAAUUUAAUAUUUAAUAAUUCAAUAAUUUAAUUGAUUCAAACUUCAAAUUUCAGAUUUCAACUUUAUCAAAUGCACCCUUAUUUUGUCUGCAUUAUAAAAGGACAUAUCCAACCUAUGUACAGUUUUUCUUUUCUUUUCUUUUCUUUUUUUAUAUUGGGAAACCGUAAACAAAAAUAUAGAAUCGUUGUAACAAAAAAAGAGAAAGUUGUACCUUGGGCUAUUAGCUACGAGAAGCCCAAAAUGGACAAUUUGCUUUUUACAAAUCAGAGUUGUGUGGUCCAACAAGUCUCAUAGGAUAGAUAAAGAAGUUUGUGGUCCAAUGUACCACACAUAAGCGGCUGGAGUCUAGCCAUGUAGUAAGUGAUUACCCGAAGGACCUUCAAUGUUGGACCAUUCCAUCUUUUUCUUCUUUCCCUCUUGGUCACCAAGAAGCCCAAGUUUGAAUAGUCUUUAUUGGGUACCAAUCCUAGUCUUUUUCGGGUACCCAUUUGGGUACCAUUUCCACAUUCCUUCCCUCAUUCCUUGUUUUAUUCCUUUUAACGCAUCCAGGUCCCUACUAGUACUAUAGGUAGGUUGGCUUGUUGUAAGAUGAAAACAUCUUACCGAAGUUGCACAUCAGUAUUAGUAUUACUUUAUAAUUUGUUGGCUGGUUUUACCUAAAUACUUAUUUAAUUAAUAAAAGAUCGAAAUCAAGUUUCAAUAGUCUCAAAGAUACAAGAAAUUAACCUUGGAAGACUUUUAGAUUGCAAUGAUUUAAGGAGAAAAUCUGCUUACUUAUCCUGAUUUUACACAAGACUUAGGUGUCAAUGUGGAGUGAAUAAUCGAAAUCCUUUAUUUCUCCAAAGUGAAAGAGAUUUUUUUUUUUUAGAGUGAAUUUUAUCUACACUGACAGUGCAUACACUAUCACGGUUGGAUGCAUGACACAUGAGCAAAAUUUGGAAUUUAAAUUUAAAUUUAGGUGAGUUGUCAUGCAUCUAAUCUAAUGAUGAUGGUGUAUACACUGUCAGUCGGUGCAUAAAAAAUUAAUCUUUUUUUUUAUCCAAAAAAGUUUAAGAAAAAGAUGAGACUCCUUUCGUUCUAAAGUCAGGGCAUAUACCACUAACACAUUAAGCGACUUAUAAUAUGAGAUGCGGCUGCUCAUUAUCUUUGGCCAAAUGGCUGUUACUAUGAAAAUGUAGAAUAACUUGGUGCCACCAAUCGAUUUGUAACGCCGCCUCCUCUAAUGAUUUGUAUGAAUGAAUGAAGGGAUGUUUUCUUUUCAAUUUCAAUAUAUAUAUAUGUGUGUGUGUGUAUUUGAACUUAAUUCAAGCACGUGGUACGAAGGAACAUCAAAGCGGACUGCAAAUGACAACUCAAUAACCUUUGAUCAAAUCAAUAAAAGAGGCUACCGAGCCGGUUUUGCUUUGUUUGGCAAACGGUUCAAAGAUCAUCAGCAGUAGAGAAAACGGCCGAGACAAAGAGACGUUUAACGGAGGAGUUUGUAAGAGAAACAAGAGAGACAGAGAGGGAUUGUGACAAAGAAGCAUGAGCUGGACCGGACCCAUGAACAAACGGAGACCGUCAGUUUAAUGCUGAAAAGUAUGGCCAUGUUUGUUUGCUUCAGAGGUUUCAAGGAAAAUAGGUAAUGUUAUAGACAAACAUCACAUGCAAAGAUGUUAGAACUAAAUAGUUUUAGAAAAUAUCACAUGCAAUGUCCCUUAUUAUUCUCAAAAAAAAAAACCUGUUUAACUAACAAACUUUUUAUUAUUGAUGGACCAUAGCCCACAAGGCCACAAAAUACUUUGGUAGGCAGAAGAAUCACUCUUCUUCAGACUGACCCAGCUUUUUGUAUCCCUCUGUCUCUCAGUGUUCAUUUAAGUUGCUUAACUGCCAAUUUGCUGAAGAAGGUAUUGAUUUCAACAAUGCUGUUCUGGUUUAUACUCCAUUGUUUUAUGCGCAUUGCAUUGCAUUUGGGUACGUUUGAAGGCAGACUUGAAUGAGGAGGUUAGAUCAUAAUUACUCAAACUUAAAUGCAUGCCACUCCCCACUUAUCAUCAUGUCUGUAUGCCUGUAUCAGAACAAAAGAUUUACAGUCUAAGAGAAUGGAUCCAUGCUCAUUUCCUAUAUUUCUCCAGACCAGAGAUUCCAAGAAUACAACUUGUUGAUCAAACAGAUUUGGAGUCUGCUGUUGAAAAGUACAAGGGCCAUGAAGGAAGUUCAACUUUGAAAGUAAAGUGGCAGAGAGAGCGAGAAGAUGCCGCCGUAGUAAGAAAAAGAACCUUCACAAGGCAUGUAAUUUUAAUCCAACAUAUACAAGAAGAAUUCCACAGGGCAUUUGCCUGAAAACUAAAAUCCUUAUCCGGGAAGUAUAUUCCCGCCUCAUCCUUUCGGAUUUCUAAAUAUAGUGCAUGAACAUUAUUAUGUAACAAGACACAGAAUGCACUGCUCACUAUUUUGACUCUCGACUAAAUUUCGUGUUUGAUAUUUUUUUUUUUUGGACGAAUUCUUCUUACAAAAGAAUAUACCAAGAAACAAAAGAAUCCAAAAACACAAAUGAUAGAACUGAAAAACAAAACCUAAGCUCUAGUCAUGAACAUCACCAUUUUCGUAAUGGCUUCCCCUCCUAUUCAGGGCGAUCACUUCUAUCGGUUUUCUAGCAGAAACUUGCUCUUAACGAGUGCCCAUUUGACAUCAGGCUCCCACUGGUCGAGGAAAGACAAGCGGCACCAUUCUCAUGCAGCAAACUGCCCAACACAUCUUCUAUUUCCAUGAUCAACUAACUUCAGCAUCCGGUAAUGGUUGAUUGAUUUCAUACUGGAUUUAUUUGAAGCAUUUCAUCUAGUCAACCUGCUCCCCUAUCAAGUCCAAUCCAACUAGGAGAAAUGACACCCCCUGGAAGAGCAGGAAGUAGAAAUGGAUGCCCUGGGCUGACAAUAGACUCCUCACUGAAGCUGUCAAAAGAAGAAAGGCUAACGCCAGUUCUUUUGUAUAUAUUCUGUUGUGCUUCUUCUUCUUCCGAGCCUUCUGCUCUUGCUGUUUAAUUUCCUCUCUCAUUUCAUCUAAAUCAGGCACCGAUGCUCCCCUUUGGUGCUUUGACUCUUUCUCAACCAAAGAGACGAGAUCUCCCUCAGACGAUCGUCCCGAUUUCUUGGUAACAACCCAUUCAUAUGCACUUCCAAGUUGGAAUAGCCCGGAGAUCAUUGCAUUAAACUUGGUAACGGACAUAGUAUUCUCAAACAGAAGAUACGGUACAAUGAAAGGGAAUGACUUUGGAGCUGGAAGUAUAUUGAGAAAUGACAUGGUGGCUGGGACGUAACAGACAACCCACGAUGGAAGUGUAGCCUCCGGUAUGAACAUUGUCAUGGGGAGAAUAAUACAGAACAAGGUGAAUGAAUAAAAUGGAAGUAUCAACUUUCUCAGAAGGAAGAAGAGGAAAAUCAUGUUGAAUUUCUUCCAAAAGCUUAUCUGCACCAUCCCAAAUUAUAAGAAGAUGAGUGUCAGUCAGCAAGCCAAGUCCAAGUCAGUUAUUCGGCUUAGUUGAGCAGGAUACAAUACAAACAGAAAACUAAAAGUUUCACAAGCAGAUAAAAAGGAAAUACCUUAGCUUUAAUGACAUCUGGCAAGCAGAGACGAAACAGCUGCAUGGGACCAGAAUGCCAUCUAUGCUGCUGUUUCCUAUAAGCUUCAUAAGACUCCGGUAGCUCACACUGGCACUGAGAAUUUCACAGAAAAAAACUCUGUUUAGUUCACAAACAAAUGCAUACUUAGCACGUCUGAGAAUUAAUUAGCUAGUAGUAGUACAAUACCUCAACAUCAUUAAGGAAGAUAAAUUUCCACCCAUGGAGAUGAGCUCGGACGGCAAUGUCCAUGUCCUCCACGGUAGUCCUCUCCAACCACCCACCUGAUUCUUCCAAUGCCUUAAUCCUCCAUACACCAGCAGUGCCAUUAAACCCAAAGAAAUUUAGGAAAAUUCCAUUAACCUGCUGCUCCACUUCAAAAUGAAAAGCCAAAUUAACGUUCUGCAGCCUCGUAAGCAGAUUUUCAUCCUUGUUUACAAAAGACCACCUUGCCUGAACCAACCCUAGUUCCUCAUUAUCCUACAAUUGAACAUAAAACAAGGAAAUGUUGGAAAUGUCGAUAAAAUCCAAUAACUGGCUACAUAUUUGCAUGUAUCUUGACGCUCGCAAACAAACAAAAGGUGGAUAACAGGAGGGGACACAUAAAUACGCUGCUUAUGUAAUCAACUAAAAAUAAAAUUCCCUUUGCAGUCUAAUUUAACUCAGAAAAAAACAACCAUAACUUAAUACAGAAAGUGAUGCUGGAUACCUUGAAAUGGGGCACCGUUCUUUUAAGAAAAUCCGGGUACGGCUGGAAAUCGGCAUCAAAAAUAGCAACAAAUUCAUAAUCUUUAACAUAGCUGCAAUUCAUUGCAGACUUGAGAUUGCCAGCCUUGUACCCUUCCCUAAUUACUCUAUGCCUGUAAACAAUGUUAGCACCUUCUUGCUGCCACUUCUGCACCUCUUCCUUAAUUAAGGACACCGUCAUCGGAUCAUCCGAAUCAUCAAGAAUUUGGAUCAAAAUUUUCGACUUAGGCCAGUCCAAGUUGCAUACAGCAGCAAUAGAUUGUUGAUAAACCUAUUACAAUCACCAAAAAAUAUCAACCCCAACAUUAGAAAUUCUCCCACUAAGACAAACAGUAAAAACCCAUUAAUCACCGACGGAACGGGAAAAAAAUCAAGUGAAUUUUCAAAUACGUAACAAUUUACCUCCUUCUCAUUGCACAUGGGGAUCUGAACUAAAACCAUGGGAAAGUAGCCACCACCAUCACCAGACUCCAGAUCCACAGAGUCCUCUUUGGCAGUUGGUUUGAUCCCUUUUAAACGGAUCCACAGACACCCCAAACAAAGCACUAACCUAUCCACACUCUGGAUAAGGAAGAGCAGUAUACAGGCAUUUGUCAACAGCUGGAGAGGGGGGGCUAAAUAGUCCACCCUAAUCAACACCCACUUCGAGUAAAUUGAAUCAAAUAGAUCCUUAACAGAUAACGGGUUGGUCAAUGUAUAUAGAUACUGUAAUUGAAGAUCUGGCGCACCAAAGUGCCAACCUUUAGCAUAAGCAGCCAUCUCAAACCCGAGUAGAAGUAUAGAUAACCAAAGAAAAACCUUUAUACAAGUGUAAAACCUUGAUUUAACUCUGGGAUUCUCGGAUGCUAUAGUGUCGGUGGUGUCAGUCCGGCCGGAGGCAACGCGGCGGCGGACGACGGAAGCAAGGCUGACCAAUGCCGAAGCUAUGGAUGUUAAACAACCAGCUGCCUUGUGGGCUUUAAGCAGCAGGACCCAAGUUAGCUGCUUUGCAUUCUUGUUCCUACCGCCCUUUUCCAGCCUCCUCUGCUGGCGCAUUGAAGAUAAAUCAUCAUCUUCAGGGUAAAGAAAAUCAUCCUCAGAUGGACCUUCUAGCUCCACCAUGGACCAGUUAUUAGGAUUCUCCAUUUUCACCACAACAGGUGUUCCUCUGUGGCUUUCCUUUCCCCACCAGUCAAAUGAUGGUGCCAUCGUUGGGCUGAUGGAAACUUUCACCUCAAAGAUUCAAACUUUGUUGAUAAAGAUUGCAACUUUAAUGGAAAUCAGGCCUCUAAAUAGAGGUCUAAAGAACAGCUUAAGACGACUAAACUUCGAAGUGGGAUUUUUUUUUUCCUUCUUCCAAGCUGAGCGUGGGAAGUGUUGUUGUUUGCUAGCAGUCGCUGCCACUAGACUUUCCCAUUUUGAAAAGGGACAAUGAAGAACAAGCAAAAAAAAAAGAAGAGAAGGGAGGGACGCGUGGGCUGAGUGGAAGCAGCUAGGCGUCUCUAAAACAAAGGGGCAUUUAGAUGAUGAUGCUUAUAAUGGGUUGGGAUGAGAGACUUGAAAAAUGUGGAGCUUCAAGAACAGAUGAGACGGAGGGAGAGGGGGUGUGUUGAGCGGGUUUAUGGGGUUGAGGAGGGGUGGGGGAGGGGGUGGGGGGUUUAGCGGGCAGGUUAUGACUGGGAGGGAGGGAUGGACGAAUAGUACAAAUGAGCCAACUCCACGAUCAAUUACAGCUUGCAAAUUGAAAUACUUCACAAACAAAUUGUGUAAAUGACCAAACGGGGAGAGAGGGGGAUAGAGAGAGAGAGAUUGAAAAGGAUGUUGUGAGAGACGGACAGAGAGAAAGCAUAUGGUAACAGCUCAACACGUCUUUGAUUUUGAUUCCAGCCCUCUAAAGAGAGGAGAAACAAAUAUCAAAACCCCAAAAAAAAAAAAAAGCAACCAACGCAAAAUUGAUAGCACGUUCUUUCUGGGUCAAUUCCAAAUAUCACCACCACCACCUCUCCGUUUCUAACCCUACUCGACGGCCCGUUUUCACUUUCACAGUCAACAAAAUCACCAGAAAUUUGGUUACUUUUUUUUUUUUGGGGGGGUUUAAAAAGGUAUUGGGGAAAAAGAAUUAAGGGAUUUGAAGGGUCAAUCAAAAGAAGAAUUCCAAUAACGAAAACAAAAGAGAUCAGUUAAAAGGGACAAAAGAAACAAAGCGCUCCGACAAAAACUUGUGGGCACUCGUUUUUCUUGAAUGGUUUUCUUUUUCCUUCUUCCACCCGCUACCUUUUUUUCUUGUGUAUUUUUUUUUUUAUCUCAGUUGUAUAUACAGAAAAAUAUACAUGUAUAACGGGGAUGCCCUAGACCUCCGACAGAAUCCUGGAAAGGAAGAAGGAGAAGAAAAUGGAAUUAAGGGAUGCUUUGACCUGCAUGACAAUAAUUUUACAGAGGUAAUUUAACAAGGAAAGAACAAAGAGAGCAAUGCAAGGAUUUGUUAACAUUAACAAAUAUAGACAUGUGACAUAUUUAGCAUGGGAACACAAGAUAUGGAAGAAUUGACCAAGGAUUUUUAGCAUAAAGUAAAUUCCAAAAAUUAAGGAACACAUGAAACUUCAAUCCACCUUCUUCUUCUUCCCCUUCCGGGGUUGGUUGAUUAUUUCUGUGUACACAUGAAAUCAAUGAAGGGCAAUUGCAAUAAUGGAUCACAAGUGGUUACCUUUUUUCUGAAUAUGGAUGGCCUUAAAAUUGCAAGUAUUUCCUUCUUUUCUCAGACACGGCAACAAUGCAGAGGAUUUGAUUAAGAACCCAUCUGAGCACAUGUGCUGUAAAAUGUUUAUACGAAGAAAAAGGGAAACAGAAUAUUGUUGUAAGCUUUUUCUUAUUUUUAUGUUCCAUUUUAAACGGAAGUUGGGCUUUUAGCUUAUAUUCCAUUUACAGUUUACACCCUUUAGGGUCUUUUUCUUUUUUGUCAAAAAACCCUUUAGCCUUUAGGGUCUUUUAAUUUAGGUCAUGUUUGGAUUAUAUUUUUCUAGAUUUUUUGUAGAAAAAUUACUGUAGCAAUUUGGUAUAUGUGAGAUAAAAAGGUGAUUAAAAAAUAUAUUUACAAAGAACGUAACAAUUUUUGCCUUCCUUUUUAUGCACUUUCGAGAUUUUGAGAUGGGAGAAAUUCCUGGCAGUCUUCUGCUGACCAGGUCGACCAGGGUACAAGGUUUUGUCACUAACUUAAUGUAAGGAUAUCUAUUCAACUGGGGAUUUGGAUAGUGAUUUUUUUCUCAAAUAUUAUUUUGUUUGUGUCAUAAUUAUAAUUUUUAAUUAAUUUUUUAUCUUUUCAAUAAUAUUUUCAUCCCGAGCUCAAAAUCUUUUACUUACAUUGAAAAAAAACUCAAUAAUUUUUUCUUCUCCGUAAAUUUUAUCCUGAACUAAUUACUCGGAAAGUCUAAUAGUUGGUCUCUGACUAAUGAAAAUGUUUCAAAUGAGAUUAUUGUGAAAUCUAUUAACUCCACAUCAAAUACAAUCCAAAUAAGAUAUGUGAGAUCCUUAUUUGUCUAAUUGUCAGUGUUACAAAUUAGUCAAAGACCAGUUACUGGCUUGCUACGUACUUGCUUCAAACCUGAUAUGUACUUGCUUCACACCAUAAUAAAAUUUCUCACCUCUCCUAUAAUAAAUAAAGACAAAGUCCAAACAGUCCUCUAAGUAUUUUGUUUUUCCUUUUGAUCAUAUGUUUUUUUUUUCAGAGACGACAACAGUAGUAUAACCUAAUCUAUUCUACACUAAGGGGGGGAGGGGACGGAUCUAAGGAGGUCCAGAAAUAAUUCGGAGGGGACUGAACCACCACCGGAUCAAAUAGGUGCACAACACACUCUCCUGAAUUUUUUGAAACAAACCACUUAAAUGAGGCAUUUUUGGUAGGAGGCAAGAUUUGCCUCACCAAGCUAGGUGGUGGCCACUCUCAUGAAUUUUUUGAAACAAAUCACUUAAAUGUGACAUUUUUUGUAGGAGACAAGGUUUACCUCACCAAACUAGGCGGUGACCACCGGGCCAAAGGCAGGUGGUUUUUUGGUCAUAUGCUAGUUGCUAGGUGCUAAUUGCUAAAGAGCAGGCGCGUUGGCUGGUGUUUUUGACUGGACUGCGCCAUUUGCGCUUCGCCAAAGACGCCACACAAAUUAAAACUUGUCGCUUAGUAAACGAGAUAACCUGUUAUACGAGCAUUCGCUACUGCUACUUGUAUUGGGUAUGAACUCAUUAUGGCAUGGCAAUUUUGCUGUCAAAUGAGAAAAAGGUAUAGGCCGUACACAAAUAGAUUUGUGUAAUGGUCAGCUAUGUUUAUGUCAUCUCUAAUUCAAUUGGGUAUCCAAAGAAUUGAAAAAGUUGCUUGAGAACAAAUCAGAAAUGGAGGCCAUUUUUCCACGUCUUUUUGCUGUUAAAGCCGUCUCCCCCCAACGUCCAAAACGAGAAGAGUACUUUCACAAUUGGGCAUCGAGGAAUAAAGCGAGUUAUGAACGAAAUGGAAACAUGCUUUGACCACAGCUGUGCAGAAUACCGAUAACGCAUAUUCCAGCUUACCAGUUUGUUGCUCAUAGUGUAUCUAAGAAAGGAAUGAAUGGUUUUUCUUUUCUUUUCUUUUCUUUUCUUUUCGUCUGUCUAAUGGAAUGAAUGGUAUUCAUGAAUACUCGUUGAAAUAUAUUUCAAAUAUUAUAUUUUUUUAAGACUUGGGAUCAAAUAGGAAAAACAAAUAAAUAAAAGACAUGAUAAAUAAGAUUAAAUAGAAAAAGUAUACAAAUACAAGAAAGGAUUUGCGCGUGUAUAUAUGUGAUAGAUGAAAUGAAUUUUAAAUACAUUAACGAGUGCCUAUUAAAAAAAUCCCUUUUUCCCCGCUUGAGACACUCAAGAAAGGAAGUUUGAAUAUGUUCUUUGCUGGAAAGAACUUAUUCAAUCUAUUUAAGACACUAAUCAAAAUCAAUCAUUUGAAUUAGAAUUUUUCUAUGAGCAUUCGUUAACACAUUUACAUUCUAUCAAAUCUAUCAUGUAUAUACAUAUACUAAUAAUUAUUACUUUUUCCUGUAUUUAUACACUUUUCAUAAUUAAUUUCAGUACAUUUAUAUAUUUUAUUAAUUAAUCUUAUAUUUCUAAAAGUUUAACACCUGAAAUACAUCUUAACGAGUAAAUUUUCUAGUUCCAUUUAUGACUUAUAGGAAGUUCCAGGGAAGUACUUAAAGGAGCUAUUUAACUAACAAAUACUUCUCCUGCUGAUAAAUUAUGAACUUUUUUUUUAUUAAUAAAUACUCCUCCUCUACAUACGUAAUAAAUAAAAAAGAACAUAAAAAAUUAUCUCCUCUCCCACUUCAAAGAGAAAAUUACAAAAUAAUUGUUAGUAAGUAGAAAUUCCAUUGGCAGUGGAUUAAGCAUCUCGAAUUUGGUUGCAAAGAGUUUUCAUUCUAUUUGACAAAUGAAUCUGAAUUUUGUACCCAAAAAAAUGAAACUGUCAAUAAAAAAUAGCUGAGUUAUCCCAAAUAAUAUUUCAUUUGUAUCAUAAAUAUAUUUUCAACUCAUUUUUUUAUAUUUUUAAUCAUAUUUUUAUCUCAUAUAUAUUAUAUUAUAAAAAGUACUAAAAUAAUUAUUUUAAAUAAUAUCUCAAAUAAUACUCUAUCCACGAGCACUCGGAUCAAAUAAAAAAGUAAUUAGAGGAUUUAAUUAGUGAGCAAAAGGAAUAAAUACUCGGAGAGUUGGUUUAAAUUGACCCAAAAAAGGUCUUAGAAGAUUGUAUACGUGUCAGACAGGGUGCAAGCUGUGGGUCUGUGCGCUUUUCCCGUCUCCCACGACAAAUUCAAUUAAUGAUUAGAUGCAGCUGAAUGGUCGAUAAUAGCCUCAUCUCUUAUCCCAAUCACCGACAAAUUUCUAGUCAGAAUGGGGCGUAUAUCGCAAUGUCCAAUUUGGGAAAACUGAAAAUGGCCUAGAGGAUAAGGUUAAAUUAUUAAGAACUGAAAAUGAAUACUGACCACUCACCCAAUCAGCUUUGAACAUAACAUCUGUUUGGAUAGUAAAUUAUUAGAGAUAAUUUUGUGAAAAAAUAUGUAGUUUUUUUUUUAUGUGAUGUAUGAGAGAUAAAAAAGUGAUUGAAAUAUAUAUUAAUGAUGCAAGUAAAUUAGUAUGUGUAAAUAAGGUGAAAAUAAUGUGUAAUUCAAGCAUAUAAAAUUUUUCUUUAAAAAAACCUAUCCAUCAUUAAAACCUAGUAAUUUAUUAGGGCUCAUACUUUUUUUUUGGGGUCAAAUAUGGGGACUCAUACUUGGAUACACCCGGUUUUCAAAGAUGUAAAAACAUAAAUUGUGUAAUACUAUCUCAUUAUGUGACGUGGCAUCAUCUGUGCUAUUUUUUUUUUUUGCCGGAGACGAUAAAUCUAAUCUAUCCUAUACUAAGGGAAAGGGGGCGGGUCUAAGGAGGCUCAGGGAUAAGUUGGAGAGGACUGAACCACCACUGGAUCAGACGGGUGCACAGCACACCCGUCUGAAUUUUUUUAAGACAAGCCAUUGAAAUGUGAUAUUUUUGAUGGGAGACCUCCCACCCCACCAAGUAGGUGGUUGCCACUGUGCCAAAGGCCCAGUGGUUGCAUAAUCUGUGCUAUCGAAUUUUUUUAAACUCGAUUUACCUAGAUUUUGACCAUUUAUUGGAACUUUCCACGAGUGUAGUUUGCUGUCGUGCAAUGGAGAUGCGUAGUCAAUUUUGCAACAACACAUGUCCCUUCCAGGCAGCUUGAUUGGCUGCGCACUCAAAUUAUAACGAACAUUGUAUGGAGAAUUUUCACCAAAACUUCCUGUUUGAAUUAUUAUUUUUAAGAGUUUUUAAAACAGUAUAGUAUAUUAAUUUGAUAUGUAUGACAUAAAAAUAUGUUCAUGAAAAAAAUAAAAUAAAAAAUUAUAAUUCAAACAAGACCCUUCCCCUUUGUCAAAUCACCGGCGAUCAGAAGUUUGUGUAAGUUGACUUUGGAAACCAAUGAAUGGGUCAACGUUUGCAAGAGGUUAGCAAAAGCGUGUUAUCACGAGUAGGGGCUCUCGUCAUUUGGCACAGUACGAUAUAUGAUUCAAUUGAGAUUGAUUUGAAACUCAUUUGAUAAAAUAAGGUGUGGAUUAUAACUUUUUAUGCUCUAAAUUCUCUUUUUUUUUUUACGAUAAUGUCUGUAGGCCUUGUUCUCAAUUGCUUCGAUUUGUGUAAAAGUUGAUUUUAAACAAUCAAAAUAAAAAUACGAAAAUAGAUGUUUCUAAUCUUCAGUUUUUUAGGGUCAAAAAAAUUUUAAAUCAAAUUAUGAAAAGCAGUUAAGAACACAAUAAAAUAAUUUUUUCGAAAUCAAAAUCUAAAACCAAGUCUUGAAAAUUAGUUGAGAGCAGGUUCUCGUCAUGGUGUCUUUAUCUUUCUCUAUGCACCAUUUAUAUGUUUGUGUAAUCGAAACAGUAAUAUCCUUUCAUUUACAGUGUAAGUGAGAGGCCCUUAUACUCCCUUCUCCUAUAUUGUCCAAUCCAUCCCUUCCCGUCUUUCAAAACAGUAAUAUCUUACUUGCAUUAAAAAUAUAAUUUUUAAUUAGAUAUGUCAAUGGGUGGGACGUGGAUUGGAUUCAUUUGAUUCAAAUCCAUCUAAUUAAUUUUAAUUAGACCUAGAUUUAGACCCAAAAAGAACUACUAUGAAGUUGAAUGCAAUCCAGAUCCAGACCCAAACUCUCAUGGAUUUAGGGAUCCAAUGAAUAUCCAUUAUAUUUUUCUAAACAUACUAAAAUAAAAAUAUAUUUAAAAUACAUAGAGUCAAAAAAUAAUGUAAAUAAUAUCCAAUUUUUAUUUUCAAAUAAUAGAAUUAAUAUUCAAGAAGUUGAAUGCAAUAUUAUGAACUCAAAAAAAAAAAAGAACUAUUAUCGACCACUUCUAUUUAUUUUCAAAAUUUCAAUUGUUUCCACGUUCAAUCUUUCGUUUGUUUGCCUUUACUUUUUCUGAUUUUCUUGAAAAUUUUUGUACCAAUUACAAUGACAAUUAUGAUUAGAUGGAAAAAAAUAAUCAUAAAAUCUUAUUGUAUUCAAUUCAAUAACCAUAACAUAUACAAUUAUUUUAAAAAUUUACUAAAAUAUAUAUAUAUAUAUGUUAUUUGCUAUUAUAUACAUGAUUUUAUAGAUCGAGUUUGAUAUAGAUUUGAAUAUGAAUCAUAGAAAAAUCAAACUUUAUCCAAACCCAUGACUCUUAUAAGGUUUGGAUGAUAGAGUUUGAAUUCGAAAAAUUCAUUUAAUGAUUAGAGGACAGCUGAAUGGUCGAUAAUAGCCUCAUCUCUUUUCCCAGUCACCGACAAAUUUCUAGUCGGAAUGGGGCGCAUAUCGCAAUGUCCAAUUUGGGAAAAUCAAGGAUGCAAAACUCUUAAAAAGCCUAGAGGUAGAGGAUAAGGUAUAAAAGUUAAGAUCCGAAAAUGAAUACUACUAACCACUCACCCAAUCAGCUUUUAACAUAACAUCUAUCUACUUUAAACCAAAAAAAUUGGGAAAAAAAAAAAAGUACCUCAGCAUUAAAACCAAGUGAUUUAUUGGAUCUUUCCACGAGUGCAGUUUGCUGUCUUGUAAUGGCGAUGCCCAGUCAAUUUUGUGACAACACAUGUCCAUUCUAGGCAGCCCACUCAAAUUUAGGGACUGUUGUAUGAAGAAUUUUCGCGCAAAACUUUGAUUUUGAUUUCCAAUUUCUAUUGUGAUGUUGCCUUUGUUAAGCGUUAAUGAGAUGUUUGUGUAAGUUUACUUUGGGCAAUCAAUGGACUCUUCAAUUGGCAGACCAAUUGCAAUAUAGUACAAUUUAUGAUUCAAUUGAGAUUGAUUUGAAAUUCAAUUGACGUAUGAUCUAUUGUAUUUGUUAAACUGUAAAUCUGUAAUUUCUAAUGCAUGUUUAAUAUGUUAUUAGGAUAGUGUUGACCUUGGUCGAUCAAUCCUUGGUUUUGAUGAUUAUCAAACCAAAAUGUAGAUUUGGGCUAAUGUUUUUAUGUGAGCAAUUUGUUAGAACAGAUUCUUGUGGCACAAAAGAAGAAACAAAAACAGGGCACUCAUGUGGGACGUCCGAAAGGAAGCUAUCGGACGUCCGAAAGGAUGAAGAACAUCAAUGGACGCACGCAUCGGACGCACAUCAAUCGCAUCGGACGUCCGAGAAAUUUCGCAAAAAUUUGAUGACUCUCUGACUACGUUCGGACGCAGGGUUCGGACGUCCGACAGGUGGUUUGGACGCUGGGUUCGGACGCUCGACAGGUGGUUCGGACGUCCGACAGGCCAACGGCUAGUUUUGACAGCAUUUAAUAUUUGACCGUUGGAGAGCAUUUUGGAGCCAUUUCUCACCUUCUAUAAAAACCCCAAAGCACAAGAAGACAAGGAACUUUUGCCAACACAAAAUACAAGCUUACAAGUGAGAUUUUUGAGUAGAAAGAUUCUUUGUUGGUUGUAUAAGGGGUUGGGAAAGUUGGGUUGUGAGGUUGCUCAAGUGAAAAUCUUGGUGAAGGUGAACCUAUCACUUGGAGUGGUAAAACCUUGGUGAAGGUUGCCUCAUUUGUAUAAAAUAGUUCUUAAUUGGGUGAGUGAUCUUUCAAGUGUAGGUUGUUGAGGGUUAACUAGAAUUGUUGUAAAACUCCUUGGCUCAACCAAAGAGUGUUUGGGGUGAGGAAGGAGUGAACCUUCACUUGUACAUCUUGGUUAGCAUCGCCAUCAAUUGAAGAGACUAUUGGAUUGAUAUUUGGUUUGCAUUUCUUAUCUUUUCUCUUUAAUUAAGUUUUCUUUAUUGUGCUUAAAUUUGAUAUAUCUUUGUGCAUCAUUGUGAAAUUGUUUGUACUCAUUGGGUUGCACCGGGCUCUUACAAUUGGUAUCAGAGCUUGGUCUCUUUUGAUCAAGCUUAACCGCUUAGAGUAAAGAUCAUGGCAACCAUAAAAGUUUCUUUUUUAGAAGGGCAAUCUAUUGAUAGACCACCUAUGUUUAAUGGUUCUCAUUUUAGCAUGUGGAAACAAAGAAUGAUGAUUUUCUUACAAUCCGUUUAUAUUGAAUUAUGGUAUGUGGUAGAAGAUGGUUCUUAUGAAACUAGAAUAGUUGACUCCACCACCAAUUUGAGUAGAUUAAAGACUAGACAAGAAUUGAAUGAAAAAGACAAGAGAUACCUUUCUUUGAAUGCCAAAGCCAUGUGUAUAUUGUACAAUGCAUUAGAUGUAAAUGAAUCUAGCAGGAUUAAAGGUUGUAAAUCAGCUAAAGAUAUUUGGGAUAAAUUGUGUGUAUUUCAUGAAGGUAACCAAGAUAUUAAAGAACAAAAGAAAUCUUUGCUUGUUUCUCAAUAUGAAUUUUUCAAAAUGCAUCCUCUUGAAAAUGUUGAUAAGAUGUGCAGUAGAUUUUGUGACAUUAUUCAAGAUCUUAAAUUGCUUGGAAAAGAAUAUUCUUUGGGUGAGAAAAAUAGAAAGAUUUUGAAUGCCUUGCCAAAAGAUUGGGAAAACAAAAUAAAUGCUAUAGAAGAGGCAAAGGAUUUAAAUUCUAUGUCCAUUGAAUCUCUUGUGGAUACCCUAACCUCUUAUGAAUUAAAGCUGAAAUUCAAAGUGCAAGAGGAAGAAAAUGCAAAAAUGUAUAAGAGAGGCGUAGCUUUUAAAGCAUCUCAAGUGGGGGAUAACCCAUCCUUCAUGGGUAAUGAAAUCAUGGAAGUGGACAAUGAUAUAACUUCUCACAUUAAAAGUUUCAAGAAGAUCUUCAACAAGAGAUGCUCAAGAGGAGAUUGCAAAAUUACAUGGGAUGAAUGCAAUUCAAAAAGAGAAAAAGAAGAGUUGGCCCAAAUGGCACUAAUGGCCGUUGGAGAAGAUGAGGUAAGUUCUUAUCACUUUUCUUGUGAUGAAGAUAAUGAAAAUAAUGAUGUGAAAAUUCUUAUGAUUAAAAUGCAUAAAAGUUUGAGAAAAUCUUAUGCUAAAAAUAAAGAUUUGAAAACAAAAAUAAAUGAUUUGUUGGAAGAAAACUCCAAACUGUUUCAAGAAAACAAAUGUUUGAGAAUGGAAAAUGAUGAUUUAAAAAAUCAAAAAAGUGUUUUUGAUUGCAAAAAUAAUUUGAAAAGGAAGUUAGAAGAGAAAACAAUGUUUUAUGAAAAAAUGUUGGAGGAACAAAAUGUGUUAAAGAAAAAAAUUAAUGACUUGAACGAGUUUCUCCAAAAUGAAAAACAAAAGUUUUCUCAAACAAAAGAAAGCAAAUCUUUUCAAGGCACAAAUAAGUUUGCUAUGAUAAGAAGUAAGAAAAUUAGUUGCAUUAAAUCCACCUAUGUGCAAAAUACUUCUAUCAUGUGUAACUUUUGUUGCAAUUUUGGACAUAUGCAAAAUGAUUGCUAUGUAAAGAAAAAUAUGAGAAAAGACAUGAAAUUCAUGUGGAUUCCUAGAUCAUGUCGUAUUAACUCCCAAGAACCCUAUAAAGAAAGGGUACCAAAUGAAAUUUCUCAUAUUUAGGCACAUCAUGAUGAUUUGAUCCAAGAAGUGCUAUAUGGUUGUAAGUACAAUUGAAAAUUUUGAUAUUCAAUAUGGUCUUGAUUUGAAAAAUAAAGGGGGAGUUUGUUUUUGAUUGAUGCCAAAAGGGGGAGUAGGAUUUAUUGAAAUUUCUUUGUAUGUUGGCACUUUCCAAGGGGGAGCUUUAUUUGAAUUUAUUUGAUAAAAGAAAUCUUCAUUUUGUUUGUCAUCAUCAAAAAGGGGGAGAUUGUUGACCUUGGUCGAUCAAUCCUUGGUUUUGAUGAUUAUCAAACCAAAAUGUAGAUUUGGGCUAAUGUUUUUAUGUGAGCAAUUUGUUAGAACAGAUUCUUGUGGCACAAAAGAAGAAACAAAAACAGGGCACUCAUGUGGGACGUCCGAAAGGAAGCUAUCGGACGUCCGAAAGGAUGAAGAACAUCAAUGGACGCACGCAUCGGACGCACAUCAAUCGCAUCGGACGUCCGAGAAAUUUCGCAAAAAUUUGAUGACUCUCUGACUACGUUCGGACGCAGGGUUCGAACGUCCGACAGGUGGUUUGGACGCUGGGUUCGGACGCUCGACAGGUGGUUCGGACGUCCGACAGGCCAACGGCUAGUUUUGACAGCAUUUAAUAUUUGACCGUUGGAGAGCAUUUUGGAGCCAUUUCUCACCUUCUAUAAAAACCCCAAAGCACAAGAAGACAAGGAACUUUUGCCAACACAAAAUACAAGCUUACAAGUGAGAUUUUUGAGUAGAAAGAUUCUUUGUUGGUUGUAUAAGGGGUUGGGAAAGUUGGGUUGUGAGGUUGCUCAAGUGAAAACCUUGGUGAAGGUGAACCUAUCACUUGGAGUGGUAAAACCUUGGUGAAGGUUGCCUCAUUUGUAUAAAAUAGUUCUUAAUUGGGUGAGUGAUCUUUCAAUUGUAGAUUGUUGAGGGUUAACUAGAAUUGUUGUAAAACUCCUUGGCUCAACCAAAGAGUGUUUGGGGUGAGGAAGGAGUGAACCUUCACUUGUACAUCUUGGUUAGCAUCGCCAUCAAUUGAAGAGACUAUUGGAUUGAUAUUUGGUUUGCAUUUCUUAUCUUUUCUCUUUAAUUAAGUUUUCUUUAUUGUGCUUAAAUUUGAUAUAUCUUUGUGCAUCAUUGUGAAAUUGUUUGUACUCAUUGGGUUGCACCGGGCUCUUACAGAUAGUGAUGUAGAUCAAUUCGUGUUGGAUGAUUUUUGAGCAAUUUGUUAAUAAAAUUUGCUUUUUAUCAAAAUUAACUUUUGUGCUCUAAAUUUUUUUUUUUUUUUUACGAUCACUUUAAUGUCUAUAUUUAGGCCUUGUUCUCAAUUGGUUCAAAUUGUGUAAAAGUUGAUUCUAAAAAAGGUUUAAUUACAAAUUGCCUUCUUGUGAUAUGGGAUGAGUAGCGGAUUACCCCCUAUAAUAUAAAAACUCACAGAUUAGCCCCUACAGACAACUAGUCAAACACACGGGCGGCUUUUCUAUGUAUAGAAGCUCUGAAAAGACAUUCAUGUCCGUAGAUACAUAAUAUUUGAUAGUUUUACCCUUUAUAGAUAAAUUUUUAUUGAAAAAAAAUUAUUACGGUUCGUAGAAAAUGAUGAUAUAAAUGGCCAUUUUAAGUAAAAUCAUACAAACUAUUUUUACUAAAUAAAUGUUUUAGUUUCUUAUGAUGAUUCAUAAUAGUUAAAAUUUUUUUUCACAAGAAGAUAUCAGAAGAUUAAAAAAAAUUAUUAAGAAGGAUAAAUAAAGAAAAAUAUAUAAAUACUUAAUUUCCAUUUAUUGUGAUAAAAAAUUAUUGCUAAAAAUUGAAUACUUUAAAAAAAAGUAUAUUAUUUUACGUGACACAGUAUCAUUCGAAUUUUAUCUAAUUCAUGUCAUACAAGUGGUGGUUUCUAAGUAACAUAGUACAUUAUGUAAGUUGUAUAGGAGUUUAAUUUGUAUUAGUAUGAUAUUUACAGAGGUACUAAUGAUUUUAAUUUUAGUUCUAGUAUUAACGAGAGCAAGGCAAGUGUCAGAUCGAGUGUCUUCCCAUCACUAAAAAAUUGAAAUUACAUAUUCAUAAGAAGUAUUUCACUUUCACUUUUCUUUCUUUUUGAUGUUCAAAUAUGUAUGAAUAUUUUGUUAUGGAAAAUACUUACAUGGUAGAAAUUAUCAUAAGUAACUAACUAUUGAUAUAGUAAAAAUAGUUUCUUUGAUUUUUGUAAUUAUUUACAUCUGCAAUUGUGUUAUCAUUUCCUAAACAUUACAAAAUUCUUUAUAGAAAAAAAAUAUCAUGACAUAAUUUGUCAAGGACAAAACUAUCAAAGUAUGAGGGCAUGAUUGCCCUUUCACCCCUCACAUGCACAAAAAUUUAACAUUCAUGUUUGACCAAUUGGUCAUAAGGACAAUUUAUAGGUUUUUGAAUUAUAGAAGGCAAUAUGCUAUUGAGAACACAAUAAAAAAAAAAAACUUUUUCAGAAUCAAAAUAUAAAAUCAGGUCUUGAAAAUUAGCUGAGAACAAAAGGCUGUCAUUGUGUCUACAUGCUAUUUUAUACACCGUUAUGUGGUUAUGUAAUUGAAACAACAUUUUUUCUUUUUAAAUAGUCUAAGUGGAAGGUUUCGAAUCCAAUAUCUCUCGCUUACACUACUUCCUCCCAAAAUAAUAAUAUUUUACUUGUAUCACAAAACAUAAUUAUCAUCAUCAACUUAUUAUUUUUUCAAUAACUUUUUUAUAUCAUAUAUAUCACAUAUUAGAAAGUGGAUAGUAUUUAUUUCGAAUAAUAUUUCAAAUAAUCUCCUAUCCAUACACACUAGUAUUUGCCUCUAGAUCCAUGUUAUCACAGUUGUAAGAUGGAUGAGUGACAGAAAGGGCGAACAAGAAAAUGGAGAUGCCAAAAUUAAGGUUCUUUUUUUUUUAGAAAGGAGAAAGGGCUACUUGUUUAUAUAGAAGUAAAUUGUAUUGGGUGUUUUUUCCUUUUUUUUUAUAAGAAAGAGUUCAAGUGAAUUCAAUUCUAGUUGCUAUCACAAGUCAUGAUGUGCCCGAUAUUAUAAAUUAUUUAUAAAAAUGUUUACAAAUCGUCCAUCAAGAGGCGUGGUCGAGGUCGACACAAACAUGGCAACGCAGCUUAGAUUAAUUGUGGACGAUUUAUUAUCCCAGUAUGCUGCUGCUGUCAUCUCAAUGUGGUUUCGAAGAAAGGAGUAUAACGUUCUUCAUCUUUCUAGCCCUAUAUGUAUUUGUGGAAUUUAAGAGCUUACAUCUAACAUUUCCCAACAGAAAUCUUUCUAUAUCUGGACACUUGCUGAUCUCAGUCCCUUCUAAAGCACACUCUCACUAAUCUCAACUCCCAGUACUUCCUUUUGUCCUUUACUCUUUGAAGUACGUGAAAAGUCGACAAGUUCCUUCUUUUCUUUCUUAAGGUAGUACAAAGAUAGAGUUGGUGAAGAACUAACAUCAUCAAUUCGCUUCCAUGAUGCUCUUGCCACAUGCAUAGAAACUAAUCCAUGUGAAGUUUUAUGCAGUGAAUCCACUUCAUAUGUAAGGGGAAAGAAUUUUAAUUUGACAGUGCCCCAUAGCAAUUUUUCAUCUCACGCCCGUCAUCACGUUCCAAAAAAGCAUUACAGUAUUAUUACUAAAACAAAAUUAUCUAAAUAAUCUUCAUUCCAAACAAACAUUUUCAUGGUUUUCUAGAAACAAAAUAUAUUAUUAAUUUCAAAGAUCAACCAAUAACGUGUCAUAUUCUACUUUUCAGUCUAAAAAGUAAAUGGUUAAAUGCUGGAUUCCUCCGCGCACUUAUCGUGCUUGAAUCGGAUUGGGGCGUUGGACUUGAGUCGCAGGGGAUUAGUCGGGCUUCAUAAAGAUUGAUCCGGAUACCCCUGUGUUGACAAAAAUAAUAGUAAUAAUAAAUAAAUGCUGGUUAUUUACUUGCAAUACUUGCACCGAUUGAGAAUUGUGUGAUCCUUAUUAAAUUCUCAUUCUUGCAGAAGUAUUCAAUAUACACUUGGACAUCUCGUGAAUUGAGAGCCCAGCAAAUACAAUAGGAGUAACAAAUGCAUUGAAUGAGAAAAACCGAACCGUUUGAUCAAAACCUCAAAGCUCUGACAAUUUUUGACAACGGCAACAACAGCAGUCUUGAGCAGAGUGGAAUUCCGCAGUUUUGGAUAAUGGAAGAGGUGGGCGGUGGAAUGUCGUGUAGUCAGCUUUUUUCUUGCAGCGGUGGCUGGAAUAGAAAAGUGUUUUUGUGAAAAGACCUUUCUUUUUUUUUUUUUUUUUAAAAAAACACACUAAAAUGUCUAAAGAUAACAAUCUACUGAUCACUAAUUAUUGCCCAAUGAAUUAAAUUAGAGUCAAAAUUUUAUUCGAACAAAGUGUUUGAAAUUUGAACCUUAGGAGCACUAUUUAGCGAAUGCCCUCAAUAAUCAGAUGGUAGGGAAUAUAUUUGCCCGUUGACCAUGCUGUCCUGAUCUGAGACUCUCAAGUCCACUCAUUUUUUUUAAACGAAAAAUAGUUGAUCAAGAACAAAGAGGUUAACUCAAAUUUAAUCGAAGAGUUAGGUGGUGUUUUCAUUAAAAUUUUUUUAUGUUUUCUGUAAAUAUAUUUUUUAAUUAUUUUAUUAUCUCGUACAUAUCAAAUUAUUAUAAUAUAUUUUUUUUUAUAAAUUUUGUUUUAAAAAAUUAGUAAACCAAUGAUCGGUCGACACCCAUUUAAAACCACUAUAAAAUGACAGAUCACACAUAAUAGCGCUGGUAGCAGUGGAAGGCAAGAUUUGAAUCCAUGAACUCUUGUUCCACGUAGGCUUGGUGGUAGCUCCAACAAUCGGUGGACUGUGGCAGGUGAUUGAGUGAGUGGGGGUGCCAAUCGAGGAUGGGAAAUUAUAAGUGUUAAAUUGGACGAUAACCCCAAAAAAGAAAAAAAAAAAACCGGGGAAUGAAACGUGGAUGACGCACGUGGAUAGGCCAGGUAUUAUUAACUCGGAAACCUUGAAGGGUGCAGAUGAUGACACGUGGACAAGGUUGGUGCUUUCCAACCGUUCCAGACAGUUGUACAUAGUACAGAUAGAAGCUGUCAAAAUCGACCGCCGGCUCAAUCAGAUUCCCUGUCCUUCGCCACGCCAACCUCCCCUUCCCUCCUCUUCUCUUUCCGCCCAUUUCCCGCAAAUCCCGCUUCCCCUUUACGUUAGAACAACUGCAGCAAAUACGACGUGGAAUACAUAUAUAUAUACAUACAUAUAUACACACACAUAUACAUAUAGAUAUCUGUAUAUGUGUGUGGGGGGCACGGAUCAAAAAAGAUCUCUAUAUUUUUCUUGAUGGUAUGUCUGGAAAAUCUCAUCUUGGACGGUGUCCAUGCUGAUUAUUUUGGUUCAUUCGAGUGGAAGAGAUGAAGUUGUGGUCGGUUUACAAAACAGAUUAGUCCAAUUAAUAAUAAUGUAAUUACUAAGGUGCUUAAAUUGAGUUUGGAAUUCUAAUUAAAGAGCACUCACUUUUCGACUAAUUUCGAAUUAACAAGAAAGACAGAGCAAGAUUAGUAAUUAUGUAAUUUAUGUCAUAUUGUGCUAUUGGUGAUUAAAUCUUGAACUUUAGUAAAUGUGAAUGCUUAUGGUCUUUUUUUUUUUUUUUUAAAAAUUCUUAUGGUGUCUUGUGUGAUGUUAGCUUUUUUUUUUUUUAAUAAAUUGCAUUUAAAGUUGAUAUUCAUGUGCAACAAGAUUAAAAAGCUUUUCUUCGAAAUAAGUUAUGAUUGGAAACAAAAUGGUAAUUCUCCUUCGUGCUGUGGUUACCAAUUUUAGAACAAACCAAGUUCUUAUUUUACUAGUCCUUAACACGUUUCUUGAAUGAGAAUUAAUAUGGUUUGUUAAAAGAUUUAGUAAAUUGGUAAAUUUACAAAUCAUAAACCUUAUCCUAUGUGUAAAUGUUGGAGAUAUUUUGUUCCGUUUAGGCAUCGAUUGACUAUUGUUAAUGAAAAUAAAAAACUUAAACACAUUAAUUAUGAAAAUUAAGAGGGAAAAAUGAUGGAAAGAUUCUUGUUAACAAAUGUAAAACAUUUAGAAGUUGGCGCUCAAAAUUUUUACCAAAAUAAAAGCACUCAAAAAUAUGGUCAAAUUAAAUAUUAAACAACACUUAGUGCUUGUUUGAUAACAUAAAAAAGUGCUGAAACUGAAUUCAUUCAGACAUUCAGAUGUUGUGGGUGUUUGAUAAAUAAAAUUUCACCUGCUGAACUUAUUAAGUGGUGCUGAAUUUGUAUGUAUUUUUUUCAGCACAAGAAUCGUAACUGAAUGUUUAAUUUGAUAAGAAUCAAGAAAUUUACUUCAACUACUUUAUCUUAUCUACCAAAUAUAUCACUGUUUGUUAAUUACAUUCAAAAUCCUUAUCUAAUUAAACAACCUAAUAUUUCCUAUUCAAAAUCCUUAUCUAAUUAAACAAAACAAGCUGAUAUUCUCUAUUCAAAUUUUUUUUUAACAAUAGUAUUUUUUUGCAGUAAUUUUCAUCCACAAACAUUUAUAUUUUGAUAUAUAUAUAUAUAUAUUGUGCAGAUAAAUAUUAUUUAUGUGAUGUAACUUAUCCACACACACGUGACUUUAUGACACCAUAUCGAAAUAUUAGAUAUUGGUUGUCUGAUUUUCGAAAUACUUUUCGUCCAAUAUCAAAAGAAGAACGCUUUAACCAAGCACAUGCAAGAUUGAGAAAUGUAAUUGAACGUGCCCUUUUCCCACACAAAGAAACAUUGUCAUUGUAUGCAUUGCUCUUCACAAUCAUUGUUAUUUUCAUACCUAACAAUUUUAAGUUAAUUAAAUCAUAGGUUCUAUUUCCUUUUUGGAUUAAAAGAUAGAAGGGCAAAAUUGUACAAUUUAACUUAUUAAGUAUUAAGUUAUGAAUAUUUAUCAAACAGUAUAAAUAGAUUCAGCAUUAAGAUUCAUACAUUCAUAUAUCUCUUUUCAGUGCUUAAAAUUCAGCAAAUUAAUUAUUUCAGUAUUCAGAAUUCAGAAUUCAGAUUCAGUGUUAUCAAACGGAGCCUUAGUACGAAAAUUAAGAAGAAAAAGUGGGUGGUAGAAUACAAGAUUGAUUCUUGUUAACAAAAAUAAAACACUUAAAAGUUAAAUUACUAUUAAAACAAAAAUACUUAAUUGUUGUCCAAAUUAAAUAUUAGAAACGAUAAAUAUGGAAUUCAGGGAAAAUGGGCGAAAAAAGUAUGGGUUUGAUUUCUUUUAUAACAAAAGUGAAACACUCAAAAGUUGACCCUACAGGAAUUAAGGAUAAAAAGUGGGCAAAAAAGAAUUGGAUUGAUUCUUGUUAAGAAAAAUAUACUUAAAAGCUGAUAAUACGGAAAUUAAGGAAAAAGGUGGGUUGUUAGUUCUUAUUAACGAAAAUAAAAUACUCAAAAGUUGAGAAGGAAAUUUGGGUGGAAAUUAUGGGUAAACAAAAACAAAACACUUAAUUAAGGGAAAAAAAAGUGGGUGAUUGAUUCUUGUUAACAAAAAAAAAAAAAGGCUCAAAAGUUGACAAUACUAAAAUUAAUAGGGAAAAAUUGAGCGGGAAAAGGAUGGAAUUGAUUAUUGUUAGCAAAAAUACACUCAAAUUUUUGACAAAUACGGUGGAUGGUAGUAGGUCAAUACUCUUAAAAAUCUCUCUUAUCAAAUCCUAAUCUGUAUAUCUAAGUUUUUUAUUAAACCUUAUGGAUUAACCUUAUGAGUUUUAACGCUCACCACAAAAAGUUCUCUUUUCGGGUUUGAAAUACCCAUCGGAUACCCUCUAUCUGCUAAUCUAAAUAAGUUUAAAAAAGGAAAUUAUUUUUAAUCAAACUAAAAUCAAUUUAUAUCAUGUUAAAUCAACACACUACACUGAAUUUUAAAUUUAGGUAUAGUUAUAGAGAAAUUCAACAUUUUAUGAAGGCAAAUUUAACAGCUUUUGAAAAAGAAGAUUCAAACUACUAUCUCACAUUUUCCAACAAGGACUUGUACAUAAAACAUGGCAAAUAAUAGUUAAUAAGGUAAGCAUGCUUCCAACUGAAUACAAAUUAAAAAGAUUAAGCAGGUUCCAUAAAGAUAUCAAUUCCUACGACUUGUACAUAAAGCUUGACAAAUAACGGUUAAUAAGGUAAACAUGUUUCCAACUAAAUACAAAUUAAAAAGAUUAAGUAGGUUCUAUACCAUAAAGAUAUCAAUUCCUACCCAUCCGCUAGUGAAAACUUUAUAUAAUUUUUUGGAUUUUUUGAAUGCAGGCCAAAGGAUUUGAUCCAUUGACCUACAUCCAAGGGAUUCGAAACCUUCUAGGAGUAGUUGGUUUUAUGAUUUUUAGGACUCUUUUACCAAAUUCUAUCAGAUUAUCCGUCAAUCACCUUUCAUCAACAUCAAAAUCUAACGGAUUAUUUAUUGGUCAUCUAAUCGAAUUAAUCAUCGACUUCCUGUCGGUAUCGAAUUUUACUUUAUCCGCUGCCAUCCCUAAAUACAUAAAUUAAGGAAAAACGUGAGUGAUUAAUUUUGAUUAAUAAAAAAAAGACACUUAAAAGCCGAGGGUACGGAAAUUAAGGGAAGAAAUUGGGUAGAAAAAUGAUGGAAAAACGAAAAUAGAACACUCAAAAGUUGACAAUACAAAAGUUAAGGGAAAAAAAGUAAGUGAUUGAUUCUUGUUAAAAAAGUAAAAUGCUCAAAAAUUGAUAAUAUGAAAAUUAAGGGGAAAAAUUGGGUGGAAAAAAGAUGGAUUAACAAAAAUAAAAUACUUAAAAGUUAACCAAAAUAAAUUGUAGAAUAUUUGUGCAUAGCAAAGAGUUUGAGCGUCUAUUUAACAUCACAUGAGCACAUAACUCAACAAAUUGUCAUAUACGCAACUAAACAUCAUUUUAUGAUAUAUACUAGGUGUGGUCCCCGCGCGACGCGCGGGCGUCAAGGGAUUUUUUUUAAAGAUUUUCUGGAUCUUCACUCAACAGGCAAUUGGUAAACAUAGUAGUAGUUAACGCAGUAGCAGGAGCAACAUGGACAAUUUCUUUAGUAUGUUCUGAUGUAUGAGCACCAAAAGAUAAGCGCAACUUUUUCCUAUGAUAAGCCUCUCUGGAUGGAUUUCCUUUUUUUUUGCCAGCCAAUCCUGUUCCUCUUCAACUUUUGUUUGGUCACAGUGAAUGCGAAAAGUCUCCCCAAUAAUCGAUUUUUCAACUCGUUUUAAUUGUUCAUGAGCAGGAAAUGCUAAAAAAUUAUUUAAUUUUCUUCUCUGAUAUGCCUCUCUUUGUUUGGCCAAGCGAAUUUCCUUUUCUUGAGGAGAGAGUGCAGCGUAUUGUUCUCUUAGUUUUUUAUUACGUUGGUUCUUUUUUGUAGUUAUUGAAUCAGUAGAAUCAACAACAAACUUGGAGAAGCUCAUUUUAUUGGACAACAAGAAUCAAAUAGCCAAUAAACAAAAGUGCAACAUGUAGCAAUUCAAAACCAAUAAGACAUUCAAUAAACAGCAGAAUAACGAAAAUAAACAUGCACAUAAAAUCGAACCUGUAACUGGUGAGGAAACUUGCACCGAUAACAAGCAACUAAUGAAGUUGUAGAUAUAAAAAGCAGGAAAGGAGAAGCUCAGCAAACGAAGCUAGAAGUCGACAAAAGAAAGAAAGAGCAUAUUGUUUAAGAGCUGCAAAUUGUUUAAAAGCUGCAAAGAAGAAAAUGGAAGAUGAUGAAAAGAACAUGCAAGAUGGAGAACAAAGAAACCACAAACAACGUUUAUAGUGUUUCAGUAGAACCUCGAAGAACUAUAGCUCUCGAAGGACAAUAGAGUCAUUAGAUACUGUGAUUGCUGUAGUGCUGUAGGCCAGUCAAAUAAGGAUUUCAAUGGGUUAUCUUCUUGUUAGGAUCCAAGCGCGGAAUAAACAACUAUUGAGAUAUCAAAUGCACAAUAAUUUAAUGAGAAACAAGCCACAAGCAUGAAAGAUAAACGACACACAAUAUUUAACGUGGUUCGACUCCACCAUUGAGCCUACAUCCACGGAGAGAAACCUGUUCUUUAUUAUGAGAGAAAAACCCUAUACAAGAAUACAAUUUGAACCCAAACCCAACCCUUGUAUACCAUCUCUCAUCUCCCAAGAACCCUCUCUCACACCCCAUGUAUAAGGCUACAUGAGGCCCCUUGUGUCUUCUUUUUGUGUGUCUUGUGUGUGUAUUAUGCCAACCCACCUAUUUAUAGGGAACAUUACUGCCAAAAAACCAAAUAACAAUUUGGAAACCAAUACUAUUUCCUAAACUCAUAUAGAAAUAGCAUCUAAUUCCUGCUAAAUAGGGCUUUACUUGACUACUAUUUCAAGUAACUAAAUCCAAUUAGAAAACUAGUCACUUCCCACACCAAAUAAGAAAUCUACAUAAAAGAAUUUAAACCAAUUUCCUAACAAAUCUCCACCUUGGCGAAAAUUUCUUUUAGAAAUCAUUUGCCUUCAACUACCAAAUAAUAUGGUACCAAACUACACAUCCGAAUCAAUACAGUCCUGAUACCAAAUUGAUUCAAUCGGCAAAUGAACAUGUGUAGUUACCCCGAGUCCAACCUCCAGUUGACUUGUGAGAAGGUGCCUCAAUUCACCGUCUCCCUUUGCAGGAUUUCUUCUCACCACCACUUGCAAUCUGGGAUUCCCUUCUGUGAGCUCUAACCCCAACCAUUGAGGCAAUCAAGUGGUAAAGUCACCAUACUUCUUCCCAUCCUCAGAACUGUCUCGCCACAUGUGGUUUCCAAGACUCCACCUAAAACGAAAAACUCGUAUCUGUCAGAGUCUUCUGGCGCAUAGAAAUUAGAUCUCCUUAUUUCUUUGGGACACGUGUCACACCACCCAAAAACAUAACCAAAAUCUAAAAUCCAUCGGGAUGAAGAAUCAACCAUUGGAGGUGUGAGAAAGUCUCCACCGAUUCACGUCCAAAAUCAACAUUGGACUCCACCUUUUCCUUGACCCUUGAAUCACCUGCUUAGAUUCACUGUCAAGUAUUUCCAUGCUUUUCGACUUCCCAUUCUUCACCAUCAAUGGUUUUUCCCAAGCCAUUGAAACAAGGAUACCACCCAUUAAAGCUUAAUCGGAAUGAAUCAUAAUUUUUAUUCUUGUUCAAUUGGUGACAACUACCAAUCCACUUGAUCUCAAUAGUUAACUAGGAUCCAACUAUGAACCUUGAGCAGCCCAGUCUCACAACCAAGCUCUGAUACCACUUGUUAGGAUCCAGGCGCGGAAUAAACAACUAUUGAGAUAUCAAAUGCACAACAAUUUAAUGAGAAACAAGCUACAAGCAUGAAAGAUAAACGACACACAAUAUUUAACGUGGUUCGACUCCACCAUUGAGUCUACAUCCACGGAGAGAAACCUGUUCUUUAUUAUGAGAGAAAAACCCUAUACAAGAAUACAAUUUGAACCCAAAUCCAACCCUUGUAUACCAUCUCUCAUCUCCCAAGAACCCUCUCUCACACCCCAUGUAUAAGGCUACAUGAGGCCUCUUGUGUCUUCUUUUUGUGUGUCUUGUGUGUGUAGUAUGCCAACCCACCUAUUUAUAGGGAACAUUAUUGCCAAAAAAUCAAAUAACAAUUUGAAAACCAAUACUAUUUCCUAAACUCAUAUAGAAAUAGCAUCUAAUUCCUGCUAAAUAGGGCUUUAUUUGACUACUAUUUCAAGUAACUAAAUCCAAUUAGAAAACUAGUCACUUCCCACACCAAAUAAGAAAUCUACCUAAAAGAAUUUAGAUAGAAAAGCCAGACGGCACAAAAACUAAAACUCCACCUGAAAUGCACAAAAACAAUGUGGCGACACAAAUGCAACUUUAAAGAUAUCAGAUGUACAAAGAGCAUGGUCUAUAAGCCGGUAAAGGAAGAAUAUUAAUGGCUUAUGACAUGAAAUCACCGCCUAUCCAUAUGAGAUGAUGAAUUUUCUAGAACAAAGGAACAAAGGAUGCUUCCCUCUGCAUGCUAACAGACACGUGCCUCCAUUUUAAAUUUUUUCUCACCAACAAAGCAGAUGAACCUUUGAUUACACAAACUCCAACCAUGUGGCUGUAAUCUGGUAAAAGAAGAAUGUUAAUGGCUUAUGAAGAAGAAUGUUAAUGGCUUAUGACAUUAAACCAUUGUUGUAUUGCUGUAAUGCCGUCAAACAAGUAUUAGUGGGUUAUGGCAUGAUACCACUGUCUGUCCACGUGAAUUUUCUAGAGCAGAGAAACAAAUGAUGCUUCCCUGCGCAUAACAAAGCAAAUGAAAUUUAUUUGUAGAUUUUCAAUUUUUUCUCACCAAGAAAACAUACAGAACUUAUCCCUACAUUCUCAAUUUUUUCUCACCAACAAAGCAGAUGAAAGUGCAAGGCGAAAACUGCGCCAAAGAGUAAACUACAACUGCUUCUUAUAUAUGUGUAUAGAUAAAUGAUACAGGGGCGGAUUUAAAGUGGGGGCACGGGCCCCCACUGCCUCCUUUAAAUUCCUAUAAUACAUCUACAAUUUUGAGAUAAUUUUAAAGGUGUCCCCAUAAUUUUUUUUUAAAAAAAAUGUGAAAGAAUAGGUCACCAAAUUUAUAUCAUUCACUUUCUUCCUAUAGUUCCCAUUUUCCCCAACAGCGCCAAAUACCAAUUAUAUAUCAUUCCUUUUGGACCGCACUCCCUAAGUUCCCUUUACUCCUGUGGUCCCCCAUUUCCCUUCACAACCGACUCCUCUUCUUCCACACCCAAGCCAACUAUUUUUUUCUUUUUAUCACUUCAUCCAAUUAUCAUUUACUUCCUUUGUUCCCACUCCCUAAUUUCCCUUUUCUUAUCUGACUCUCGGUUGUCCCCACUCCCCAACAUACAUAGGCGAGCCAUUUUUUUUCCACAACCAAAGUUUGUUACUCUUUCUUUUGAUCACUUCAUCCUAUUUAGAUAUUGCACCAGAAUCAAUUGAUUUUUUAGAACUUGGGUCCGCCACAUUUUGUAACUCUUUUCACCAACUUUAGGAGACCAUCAAAAUCAGGUUCUAAACAAUUACUUCUUAUUAUUAUUAUUUUAAAUUUGUUUGCAAAUAUAUUUCUAGAGCAUGAGACUAUUAUUGGGUCCGUUUGGAUUAGCUGUUUUUGGGGUUGUUUUUCAAAAACAGCACUGUAGCAUUUCGUUUUUUAAAUACAAGUCCGUUUGGAUUAGUUAUUUUUUGGGUUGUUUUUCAAAAAUUAUAUAAAAAACUUUUACUGUAGAUGUUUUAUGGAUUAUUUUUAGAUGUAUUUUAAAACAUAUUUUCGAGUAUUUUUAUAAUGUAUAAUUUUUAAAUUUUUAUAACAAUAUACAAUUAUACAUUUAUAAAUAUUUAUAAAUAAAUAUAUUUAUAUAAAAAUAUAUAAAUGUAUUAUAUUAUAUAUAAUACAUAAUAUAAAUAUAUUUAUAAAUGUAUAAAUUAUAAAUAAAUAUUAUAUAAAUGUAUAAUUUAUAAUUUAUAAUUUUUAUAUUUUUAUAUUUAUAUACAUUUAUGUAUUUAUAAUACAUUUAUAAAUUUUUAUAAAUAAAUAUAUUUAAAUAUUUAUAAAUAAAUAUAUUUAUACUUUUAUAAAUAAAUAUAUUCAUAUAUUUAUAUAUAAAUGUUUAAAUGUAUAUUACUAUAAAUAUAUAAAUUAUAAAUGAAUAUUAUAUAAGUGUAUUAUAUUUAUUUAUUAUAUAUUAUAUUUAUAAAUAAAUAUAUAAAUGUAUUAUAAGUGUAUUAUAUUAUAUAUAAUACAUAAUAUAAAUAUAUUUAUAAAUGUAUAAAUGUAUAUUAUUAUAAAUGUGUAUAAAUUAUAAAUGAAUAUUAUAUAAAUGUAUAAAUUAAUAUAUUAUAAAUAUAUAUUAAUACUAUGCAUAAAUGUAUUAAUGUAAUAAAUAUAAAUGUAUAAAUUUAUUAAUAUUAUGUAUAAAUUAUAAUUAAUAUUAUGUAUAUUAAUAUAAAUGUAUAAAUGUAUUAUAUUAUAUAUAAUAAAUAAUAUAAGUGUAUAUUAUAAAUAUACAUAAAUAUAUAUAUUAUGUUUAAAUGUACAUUUUUAUAAAUGUUCAAUAUAUAUAAUAUAUAUUAUGUAUAUAUUAAAUAUAUAUAAUAUAUAACAUUUAUAUAAAUGUAUAAUAACACAUUUAUAAUUUGUAUAAUUUAUAUAAUAUAUAAUAUUUAUAUAAAUAUAUAAAAAUAUAUUUUAUAUAAAAUAAAAUAUUUAUAAUAUGUAUAAAUAAAUAUAUUUAAAUUAAUAUAAUAUUAAUAUAUCCUAUACAUAAUUGAAAUAUAUAAAUUGAAAUAAACAUAUUAAAUAUGUAUUUGGAGUUGUUUUUGAUAUGGUGUUUGGAUAUGAUGUUUUUGGAGUUGUUUUUGAAAUACACAUUUACUGUAGCAUUUGGAUUGUGAAAAACAGUUUUUCAAAAACAAGCCCAAAAACAAGAAUCCAAACGGACCCAUUGUUUUAAAGAAAAUUGAAAAUUGAUUAGUUAAUGUAAUAACUAAUAAAUGGGUUAUUUGAUAAAUAUUUUAACUUGUGAAAUGGUGAUUUUAUGCAUGAGACAUUUUUUUUUUGCUUAAAAAUUAGAAAAAGAGUAGAUAAAAAAUUUUAGUGUUAUUUUUGCCCCCAUUAAGAUUUUUUUCUGCCUCCGCCCCUGAAAUGAUAUGACAUGGAAACGGCUAGCCAAACUCAUCAUACUUGAUUUCAACUGCAGCAAGAUACAAUUUUUAUCUCCUAAUGCAGCUUAAGCAAGAGAUUAGAGAACGGUCCAACUAACAGUGCGUCUUUGUCCACUGUUAGAAGUGUCCAACACAAUAAUGCAAGUAAAUAUUUAAGAGUCAAAGGUGUCAGGAGCCAUAGAUUACUCAAUCGAAGCAUAUAGGAUUACAGAAGUUUCCAAGAUCAUCCUCUAUAGAAUAUUUACAUUUGACCAAGAAUACAAUAAAGAGAAGUUAAAAGAAUUAGAAAAAAAGAAAAAAGGUCCAACUAAAGCAUGUAGGACCGAACGGAUGGACACUUUACAAUCAAUAUAUAUGUGUUAGGUGUAGAUUAAGGACAUUGGCGCUAAUUGGUCAUCGUAUUCAAAAGCUUAAUCAUCGAGUACAACUGGAGGGUCGAUUAGGAGAUCAAGAUUAUAUUAAUGUCGGUGCACUAAUUAAUUUGGCCAAACCAUUAUUAGUUUCUUUUAAACUGCAUAUGCUUACAGCCCAGAUGGGGCUCACAGGCCAAUGCCCAUACUACAUCUUUUGGAGUCUCUUAAUCAUUAGAGCAUAGUAGUUGAAAGAGACUCAAUAAUUGAGCAGCUUUUAUUCGUCUAAAUCUUUCAUUAUACCAUAUGAAGAAGUAUUUCCUUUAAUCAUGUAGGAUGAUUCAUGAACAAGUUCAUAAAUUAUCACUUAAGUCAAAUUAUUUCAUGGUAAACUACGUGUGAUAAGCUAAAAACAUUAACUUCGGAGAUAAUUGUAGCUUGAAUGUGCUGUGCUUGAAUCAAUCUGACCUGACCUAUCGCAGCGUGAAUUUGAGGAAUUAUUAGUAUUAGUAUUUGUAUAUGCCUAAAGGGUUGUCGGUGACAAUAAAGUUUGUCAUGUUUAAAUGGAAGCAUACGUGUGCAACUUCUUGACGCUAGUGUGAUGUUUGGUUCUUUUGCUACUUAAUUGUUUCUCUUUCUUGAGCUUGGGGUGUUAGGUUGGAUGGCUAAAAAUUGAAAAAUCAAAUCAUGCUUCAACCAUUUUAUCAAAUAUAAAAUAGCCCCAAAAAACCAACCCAAAAUUGUUACUGCUAAGCCAUGGUGGCCAUUUUGUUUUCCGAAACGUUUGAUGCCUCCUUUCCUUUGUUCAUCUUACUAAUCAUCCCGGAAAUUUGGUCAUCUCAAAAUCAGAGAUGAGUCAGUCUACUUUAUUUCCACAGUUUAUCAUCUAGUAUAGAGUAAAAGUUUCACACUACAGUACUGUUAGUCCAGAGAAUCUUUUCCAUUUACAACGGGAGAGUGUACUAGAUGAGGAUAGAAAAGAUUUUGGUCCUUUGUCAAUUGUUUGGCAGAUAAGUUUUUUUGCUAAAUUUGUCUAUUACAAGUUUUUUAAAAAUUUUAACUACAGUAAAUUCAAAAAACUUCUUAAAAUUUUUAAACUACAUACUUCAAAAUGUUCAAAAAUUUACGCACUUAAAAAUUUUUUUAAAAACUUCUACAGUAAGUUACAGUAAAAUUUUAGAUAAAUACCCAAAAAACUCACUUGCCAAACGAGACAAACUAUUGUCGGGAAAAGUGCUUAUAUGGUUACAUGUUUGAAAGAAGUACUCUUAACACUUUUCAAAAUUGAGUGGUCCAAAGCUUUCUGGUAGAACCAUUUCCAAAGGUGAAUUGAGAGAAAAAGGGGGCAAAAAAAAAAAAAAAAGAAGAAAGAGAGACAGCAUUAGAGCACUUAUUUUCCUGUGCUAAGCAAGAAAAACCUGAUAUUAGACCAGACGUAGUGAAAGUUACCUGAAAAUGGAAGCAUCAUAUCAUGUGCGAAAAAAACACAGAAAAAAAAAGUUUACAAGUAUUAAUGGCUUUGGUCUUUUUAGGUUUGGAUUCUAAUUCUCAUUCUCCCUUCCCAUUUGUUAAAUUCCACUCUUUUCCUACUUUAAAAAAAAAAUCUGAAUUCCAAAUCCAUGACCUUAACUAAAAGGUUGAGGUGUAAAUGAGUUUAAUCAAUUUGUCUAAUUAUUUUAACAAGCUCAAUAAUUUAUUUAAAUUUAAUUUAUUUAUUUACCAAAUCAAGGUUAAAUGACACUUCUAUUAAAUUUGAAAGUUAUUGAAUGUAAACUACUGUUCAAUUUUAAUUUGAUUAAUUGACAAAUUAAAUUCAAAAGAACUCUAAUCAAGUCAAAUAAUUUGAUUUAUUUUGCAACCCUAUUUAAAAAUAUCCCCGAGUAUGAUCUGUCCAUUACGGUUAAUAUGUACUUUUGUUUCUUUCUUCUCGAGGAGCCCGCCAAGCUGUAAUUAAAAAUCAAAUGUCAAAUUGUCAAACCUUCCUCAGGUAGCGCCAGGUGCAACGGAUUGAUAUAAGGCCUAAACACGGUUCCCACUAACUAUAAUGACUUUCCAACAACAGUUCCAUGUGUCUCAAGCCUUCUUCAUGAUUUUUCAAUAAACCAACGAAAUCUUCUUUCUUUAUUGUGUUUCUUUCUUUUCUUUUCUUUUUUUUUUUUGGUCAGGUGAAGUCAUUUCUUUCGAGUUUUGCCGACAGGCCCAUUUUGUAUUUUGUUUAAAAAAUAAUUCUGAUCAGAAAACAGGAAGCAAACUAAUUUUGUUUAAAAUUAAGUGGCCUAGAAUAAAAUUUGUAUGGAUUCUCUGUUCCAUCAAUUCCAAUAACGAAAAUGACAGUUAAAAUGUCAACGGCCUUUUCUAGGAAGUCAGGCAGAAAAAUUAGCAUGUGUUUAGGCAGUUAACAAGGUCAAUGAGAUUUCCACAUCAACUUCAGACGAAUCUUAUAAAAGACUAGUGAUUAUGAAGAACAUGAUACCAUAAAAUGGGACAUAAUUAAUGACGGACAUUAAAUUUCACACCUCAAUUGUCCAGCUGCUGAAAAAGCGAGCUCAACCUCCCUGCAAACUGCAUUAAAACGUAAAGCAUGAUUUUAAUUUUUUUCACAUUUAUAUUAAUACAACGAAAGAAAAGGGAUUAGGUUCGGAUUCCCACCUAGAUUUUUUUUUUGUUUUUGUUUUUGUGGUUGUCAGAACCAAAAUUUGAAUUCUGAACCUAACAACAGGAAACGUUCUAAUAUCCCUCCCCUGGCCAUUGGCCAACUCCAACGGCUGAUUUCUAAAUAGUUAAUUACUCUUUGCCUUUUUUUUUUUUUGGAGUAAUAUUUGUUUUUGUACCUAGCAUUAACAAUCUCCAUACCUUUGAAAGAAAAAAGGAAUACAGUUUUUCUACUUGAUGCUCAAUGGGCAUUCGUAAAGACAUUUAAAUUAUCUAACCAAAAAAUAAAUUUAAAUUACACUUUUAGCUUAAUUUAUUAUAAAAAUACAUACACUAAUAAGUAUUAUUCUACCUUGCAUCUAUCAGCCUUUUCUAUUGAAUUUUACAUUUUUAAGGCCGACGAUAAUGCGAGAACAACUAUUUUCUUGCCAGAGCAAUUUUUUCCUUGUAGAGUAAAAUCUCUCCAACGAGAAAAUAAGUGCUCUGGCAGCAUCACCAACCUAUUUCUAAAAGACUAGGCACUCACCCAAAGAAGUUAUAGAAUUCUGCCAAGUAAAUCUACGAAUAAAUUUGAAGCACUUCGCAUGAAUGCAUUUGGACUGAAAUCCAGUUUUUUUACAAGUUCCAACAUUGAUAUGUUUAACCAACGGAAAGUGGGUUUCUCGCUUUGUUUGACUACAAAAUCAGAGCCUGAACCUACGAUCAGGUGUACCAUUUGGAAUCGCGCCUUCUUUAAAGUCGUCAAAUAUAAUGCCCUCAAGAAUAAUUAAAAAAAAAAAAAAAAAGAUCGUCAACCAUAUAAAAUCCCAUUUCCCCAGCUAUGUCCUAUACCAUUCAGAUAGUUUUUAUUUACAAUAAUUUCUAACUGACCCUUAGUCACUCGACACUUGAGAAAAGAACGACGUGCAUCCUCGUUCACUAUUUGUUGUAUUGGACCACAUCUUGAAUGUGCAAGUUGGAAGUUAAAAGAAAAAAAAAAUGGUCCCAGAAAGAAAAGGUGAAGAAACAAAGUCAAAACGACGCCACUCUAAAUAAAGAAGCAUACGUCAGAAUCGUGCAAUGCAUGAUUCAUGCAAACAUGGUUGGUAAAUGAGGAACACAACAUGUCAGGAUUGAAAUACCUGUUCGUCAUUUGGCACACACAUUAAUACCUGAUACAGGUCAGGUAUCACAAGCCUCCCAAGUUGAGAUUCAUUAGCCAAGAACAGUACAUCAUUGCCAGGAAGAGAUUUGCAGAAACAAAGCCUGAUGUCUACAAUAGGUUAGAUCUGCAGAUGAGACUUGAGAGAAUCACUUCAGCAACGAUUAGUGCUCAUCUGACUAUGAUUUGCAGAAUUUAUAAUUGAUACAAGCCUGACUUACUUAACCGAAAAAGAGUAAAAAAAUGUAUAUGACAUUAGGAGCAACAGAAAUAACUCAACGCAUCAGACAAAAUGUUCAAACAGGUAUUUCAUCGAUUUAUAUGAAGACCACAAUUAACUAAUAACUAUAGCUCAUGGGAUUCCUUUGAUUUGCAUUUAUGACGAAUAUGGAGAGUGUAACAACAACAUCACCCUACUCGGAUUCUGCAGAGAGAAUCCAAGAAGCAAACCUAUGAAGCUCAGAUUUUUCUACAUGAGUGAGAAAAAACUAUGAAUUUUCGCCCUAACCUGGUUAACCAAAUGUACAGAUUAAGAAAAUUGAUUACACUUCAAAAUUUUAAAAAAGCAUCUAUGGAUGGCUGGCCAGCAAUUCACCCUACAUUUGAAUUUUAUGAGCCACAGCAUCUCCAGAACCAAGACAACACACCCAACUCAGACUGUCCAAGAAUUGCUCAUUUCUAGUUGAUUCUGGGAUUCUUUAGUCCUUUAAACGUAAAUUAAGGCUUUCAUUUUCUCAGGACUCAGAUUACCAAGUAGUGUGGCACUGGAUGUACAGGGCAAAUAGAAUCGAUGAACCUGAUAGUCAGUCUUAACCAAUAUCUGUAACCCUCUCCGUGUCUUCACUGCAUGACAAGUCUCCUAUAUCCUCUCUUCUUUUCAGGCUAUGUAUCAACUCCUCUACUGCUAAUAAAACUGCUGUAGAUGUCACUGCAGAUAGCCACACUGCUUGAAGACACAGCCAGGAGUAUCAUGACCCAUGACACAAGCCUGUCAUUCUUGGUCGCAAUGCCAUGAGUAUCUCUGCACAAGCAUAACCACAUAACAUGAAAAUUUGGAAACAUAAAACCAAAAAGGAAGAAUAAUAGUUGGCAAGUGAUGAUUCCAAGGUGAGAAAAAGGGAGAGAAUGUUUUUGAAAAUUUAUCUGUACAACAGUGUCAGAAAGGUAAUGUCUCCUUGUGUCCAAUCUGGAACUAACAGUUAAGGACAAUGAGUAUCCUUCUUGGGAAUGGAAUUACCGAUUUAGGAACAUAUAUAACAAGUGGAGUUGAGUUUAAACAAGCUCAUCAUUAAAUUUACAGCCCAUCUACAUUUUGAACAUUCCUAAUCUUCUGUUUUAAGCCUACACAAAUGACAGGCAUCUAGCUUAUAUACAGCAGAACUGAAAGCAGAGGAGCAACAAAAUACAGUAUUCUAUCACUUUCAGUCCUGCAGAUGUGGCAAUCUAAGAAAAAUCUAUCAAAUUAUAUUUUUUAUUUAUUAUUAUUUUUUAAUCUGUACCGAGCGCAUAGCUUGUAUACACAAGAUCAACUAAGAGAAUAGAUGUUAGCAUGCUUCUUAAGUGUAUAAUUCAUAGAAUGGAAACCAUUAACUCUCUACUCACCUAAGUGCAAUGGCAGCAGGAAAUAUGUAACCAACAGAGACUGUAGCUGUAGCUCCAGUGAACUGAAAAGCAUCCCAGAUGCUAGGUACACAAUUGGCUCCCACAAAGAUGAAACUGAUUAAGGUUGCAGUAAUUGAGAAGAAUCUUCUAUUAUCAUAAACAAUAGGAAUUGCGUGAUGGAACACAAGGCCAUCAACGUUGAGGCGAAGAGAAAAGAAUACAAUGGGAAAUACAAGCAUCAGGUGAACUACAUAGCUCACUCUCACCACAUCAUUAAGCAGUAAGCCAUAUGGGAUCCCAAGACUGCCAUCAAAAUUGGAGAGUAUAUCAUCCAUUGUCUGAUCUCCAAAGAGGAGAAAUCCAAAGAAGCUAGUUGCUAAAUAAACAGAUGUACACAAAGUGAUUGACGUCCUGACUAUAGAUUUCAUCUGUGCGGAGUCUUUUAGCUCAUUCUCUAUAGGAUGAACUGUAACACAUGUACAGAGAAGCAAUCAGCAAAAAGCAACUAGUGGCAAGAGAAGAAAAAGUACUUAUAAUGCAGCAGAAAAUCUCAAACACUCUAAGAUGAUAGUAAAAUCAAUUUCCAGGAUCACUUCUCGAGCUCUAUCAGCUGGCACCAUGCCUUGAUAGCAUUGAUUGCCCGACCAGGAUAAUCUCCUCAUUUCCACCAUGGUAAGUAAUAAAUUGCUAAAUGCCAAAAUCAAAUUCAUACAUUUUCCACCCCAAUAUUUAAGAACAUCCCAAAUAAUCCAACAUUCAAUCUGCAUACACUUAAAACUCCCCCUAUUUUAUUUGUGCUUAAAGCUUUCCCCAUGUGAUGUUUAGAAUUACACAUUGCAAAGAAAAUCACUUAAUUGCCCCAGAUUUAAACAUUUUCCAGCAUACUCAUUUAUGCAUAAGAAAUGUUUCUAAAACACAUGAAGUAUCCUUGUAAGAAGGCCAUCACUCAGACAAGAUAACACGAACAUGAUGAGGCAUUUCCUUGAAUUAUUAAAUAAAAACACAAACCACAUACAUAUUCCAAUUUAGACCAUGCAUAAACACACCGGGUACAUCUACUGUGACAUUAAAUUACUUUAAAAUGUUUGUAAGUUGUAACAACUUUCAAAGUACACAUGAUACCCAUAAUUACACUUCUUAAUUCAUCAUAGAUGAUAACAAUUUUCUUCUCAAAAAACAUCAAGGACUAUAAAUUUUCAUUUUGAAAAAUCAUUAGUUAAAAGUUCCAGACACAUCUACACUUGACAAUGGCAGUAAAACUAUGCAAAUGACAAGUUAGAAUUGCAUAGUGCUAUUCUUAUUUCAACUUUUCAGUCACUAAUAUGACUAUUUGUAAAGCAUUCAUUGCCAACACCAAAAGGCUAAAAAUGGACUAUUUAAUUGGAAGAGAUAGGCAACAGUGAUAUGCUUUUCUCCUGCAAGACACCCAAAUAAAAUACACAAGCGAGUUCCUUGUGCAACAGUAAAAUUAAGUAAAACAGCUCCAAAUAGAUUAAAGACCAGAACUUACCAUUGUGAUGACAAAUAUAGGCAGUAACAAGUACAGGAACAACGGUGAAAAGCCUCCAAAAAGAUGCCUGAUCAACAAGUUUUGGCAUCAAACGUGGUAUUCCAAUGCUGCCAUUUAUCAGUUUAAUAAUGGCUAUUCCUGCUGUGAUCACCACAAAUACAACAGCCAAAGCCACCGACAAAGCUGAUGUGUAUCUCAGUGAAUCUAGUUAAGGAAAUUACUAAUAUUAGCCAAUGGUGAUAAGCUAGCGUGUAUAUCAAAGAAUCUAGCUGGUAUGAUGCUUGUUAGAUGAUCAUGGACAAAACUAAAUGCUUGAGCAACUGCUAAUCUUCUACUAUGUUUACAAGAAAGGUUUCUACCAAAUAGCCGAAGUUGUACUACUAUCUUACCGAAAUAAAAGCAUUAAACUCAAUGGUAAUCAAAGGAGUGCAACUAGCGAUAUGCCACAAUCUCAAUCCUUUCAGAUUAAACUUGUGAUGAUUUUUUCUCUUUUAGGCUCACAGAGUUCAAUAAAGGGUGAUUGGAUCUUAACCUAGUAUCUCUUGUUUUCAAACUUUAUCUCAAUUUAAUUAAAUCUCUUCAACAAAGAACAAGCUCUAGAUUUACUCAAUUCAGAGGGAUAAUACUACAUUUCAUUGAGGAAAGAAAGGUCAGUUAGAUGGGUAUUAACUCCAUGGGUAAAAUUUUUCAUAGGAGCUUUUUCUCCAAACCAAAAUGAUAUAUUGAAUAUAAUGGAUCCCAAGGGGUUUAACAUUUCUGGAUAGCUAAUGAACCACCAUAACUUUCAGAGACGGGUGACACAAAAUGAACAACAUAUCUACACAAAUUGGGCCAUCACUUGAAUGUGUGUACGCUGUGAUGUAAAAUUAAACAAGAAUUCAAUAUCAGGAAACUUCUACAAAACCAGGCACUUAGUGUGAAGUUAUUAUAUACAACUCAAAGUAGAAAUAGUAAGAUUAUAAGACGGGAAAGAGUUUUGGAUGCUCACCAACACGCUUGAAUGAUAUCAGAGGAGCAAAAACAAAAAGGGUUGUUAGAAGCAGCACGAAAGAUCGUCUAGUCCACCAAUACUGACCGAACCAUUCUUCCAUUACACCGGAAUGAUGCACCCCAUCUGACGUAGACCCUGAUAGCACAUCACCUGUCACCAGAGACACCAGCUUAAAGUUACUUCCCAAAGGAUUCUUCGUCCUUCAGCAUGUAGCACCAAUAUUAUUCCCACUAGGACACCAUCUACAGUUGCACUUACCUCAUCCUCACCCCAGCAAAUACUGCCCCUGGUCUACCAGGGUGGCACACCUAACAUAGCUUAGCUCAAAUUGAGCCUCGUAAAAUUCAACGCCACCAAAAUUCUAAUCACAAAUUGAUGAAAACAUAUCAUACUUUAUCCCAGAAGGCAAAAAAAUGAAAAUAAAAACAUCAGUUUGCAAUGAAAUUGGAUUUUCUCCCAAAAAAAAAAAGCAACUUCAGCUCAUAUUAAAACCUAGCUGAAACCCAAUGUAUGUAAGCCCAUAAAAUUAGAUAAGAAAAGCCAAAAAAGGAAAAAAAAGAACAAAAAUGAUUGGAGCUUAGGACCAAUACCUAUGAUAAUCAUGUAGACAACAAGAGUGCCGACGUUGUUAAUCACAAUGCAGAACUGAAGCAGAGUCCGGCCGGCGCUGCCGAAUGCAUCGCAGGCUAAGCCGGAGUAAGAGGUGGCUUUGGAAGCUUUACUAAACCUUAAAAUAAUCUCAACAGACUUUUCCGUCAACAUUGCCGCAAGAACGAUGAAGAUUAACCCCGGGACCAUCCCUAAUUGCUUCAGCGUUUCGGGAAGGGCCAUAAUUCCGGCGCCGACGAUGGUGGUAGAGAGAUUGAAAACGGCGCCAGAGAAUGAGGCCCCAUCGACGUCGAAGCUGCCGACCUGGUGAAAUUCCCCAUCGCCGUCGGCAACACGCUUGCUUGGAAGGAGCGGCGUUGAUUUAGGGCUCCGGCGAUACUUGCGAUCGACGUAGGACAUUCUCGUAAAUUUCUGGUUAGAAUUUGUCAGAUGGAUUGAUCCGACUGAAUAUAUCAAACAAACGUAGACGGUGCCUGGACGAGGCUUUGUGUUAUGAGUUUACGCGGGAAGUAACGUGGACGUGGAAGCCAAUUAGAUGGUAACAAAUCGGCGAUGAUGGGACCCGAAACUGGCAGUUAGGACAUGGACUUUUCCUGUGUCUAAACUCUAAACUCUAGUGUGUGAAAUGAAGAAAUGUCUACCAACAUAUUCUACAGGAUAAUAACCAUGCUAAAUGCUAAAGAGUUUUUUCUUUCCGUUUUUUUUUUUCCAUACCAACAGAUAAAUGAUUAUUUAAUCAUUUUAAUUAGUGUAUAUAAUAAGCUUUUACCGAUUGUUUUUCAUUUUCGAUUAUUAUCAUUUGUGCACGGAUUAGCACUCAGAAGUAGUAAAUUACAUAUUUCCCUGUUUUAUCCAUCAUAAAAAACAUGUGACCCUUUCCGACAAGCAACUUUGAACUAAUACUACUGAAAUCAAGUUUUGCAUCUUUUUUCAUUACAAAGUUAGGUAUGCAUAAUCAAGUGCAAAGAGUAGCCCAAAGUUAGGUAGAUAUUUUGGCCAAAAGAUUUCUUUCCCAAGCUAAACAGCUUCUUCACCAGACUCGCAUUUCCAACCAUUAACAAAGGAACUAGGCAUAUGACAGCUAAACAAGUACCGUAUUAGAAAACCUAAGCCCCACCCUUUUGGCAGCUACGUCUGCUAAAAAGAAAUGAUCGAAAUGAACUGGAUAUUGCAGAUUGAAGCCAAUCUAAAUGGUAUCUAGAUUGAAGCCAAUUAUUGGCCCCCAGCCUAAGCCGAAAAUAAGCGAUAGCCCGCUAAGCUACACAUAUUUGGGUAAAUGUACAAGCAAUAGCCCAGGCUAAUGGUAGUUAAUGCAUCCGCGACCUCAUGCAAGUGCAACAAGUCUCAAGCAACCCCCUCGUUCUAAAACCUAGCGUUCAGGUUGGCCGUGCUGUCUCAAAUUCUAAAAAGAGUAAAGAUAAAUGCCCCUAGCAGUUUAAAACUGCUCUGUACUCAGCUUGUCUGCGCCCUUCAUCCUUGCAUUAUGAGGCAAUGCAGCAAUAGGUCAUCACGCUCAGAACGAUAAUCAGAGAUGACCGACCAGUUGAGAGUUUGGAAACCAGUAAUUAUCGCCUUAUUUUGUAGAUUCCAACCCAAUGGAAGGCCCAAGAGACCACAGAAAUUAGCAGUAGAUUUAUGAGCAUUGGUCAGGUUUCUCAUAUUAGAAGACUGCACAGCUAUGAGUCCAAGACCAUGAUGUCAACCUGAGGCAGAGCGAGAUAGACCAAACUGUACCAAAAAUUGUCUUGCAAUAGACAUAUUCCAUGGGAAGAAAAUCCAGGCUGCACAGUGCAAGAAUUAACUUCUGUGCUAGUUAGUACCAGAAUCAGACUAGUUAGUUUCCAAUCACCGCUUUCUCUUUCUUUUGGAAUUCUUGUCUAAGUCAACCUCAGCAGGCUUUGAUGAUAGAGCUCUUGACUUGGCAGCUACAGAAGAACUCCACAAAGCCCUCUCAACAUCUGAUGGCGUGAAUAGGUCCUCCUCGCUCGAAAGUUCCUAAGAGCAAUUUUUCAAUAGAUUGCAUCAAACAACAAAAGAUGCAAUGUCAAACAGAAAGAAAAUCCAACUCACGAUAAGAUAGCAGUUUGGCUAGGACCAAUAGUGCAGUUCAGUCUAUAUCAAGUCAUUCAUGUAAACACCCAAAUAUCACAUAUCAAAGUAGCUACAUCAGCAUGCAAGAAGUAAAUAGACGAUACACCAUCCUUCAUCAAGAGUUUCACCUUUCAAACAAGCCAUCAAAGAUGGUAUCAAAGCUAGGACCUCUGGGGCCUAAUGCAGCAUAUACCCCAGCCCCUUACUACCCCAAGAUCUUCCUAUGUAUUCUGGGCUGCCGUUUAGGAUGAUCAAUUCUGAAGGCUAAAAAAUUUUCUGGCAAUGUCUAAGUGAUUGAACCUAGUAAACAUUCAAGAAGAUUCGGAUACCCUCUCUGCCCAGAGAUCCAGGAAGAGUAAAUUGAAUUGAAGGGAAAGAUGUUGAAGCACAUAAUUAUAUUAAUAGUAAUUAAACAUGUAAAAGCACUAGCAUUACCGUCGACAUAAGAUGCCAGACGGUAACCAAGGCCUUCAUAUUAAAAAGACACUCCAGCACCACAAGGUGAUGGUUGCAAAGACAAAAAUAAACAGAUAAAUAAAAUCAUAAUUUCAUGAUUAUAUGGCACCAAAUCUGAAGCACAAGCCACGGCAAGAAUCAGUUCAAUAUGGCAAUGCAGAGCAAUUGGUAAUGUGCAUUGCGAUGCAGCCAAGUCGAAGGAAUCGCAUCAAUCAGCAAAAACUAACUUGUUGACGAAAAUAUGUUUUUCUAGAAUGCAGUGAAAAACAUUUAAAAAAAAAAAUAGAUGCAGUAGAUAAAUUAAUUGCAACUGAAUAAUUUUGAAUUCUGAUCAUUUUCUAUAACAGGAUACACUUGAUACCAAAAACAUCCGGAAAUAUAUUAGUUAGCUGCAAAAUUCAGCUCGAAGUUGCAGUAGCAACAAUCUCUGAUUAAUAAAAAUAAAACACAGAAAAAAAUAAAUAAAUUCAAACCAACCAUUGCCUUGGCCUGUAACUUCUCCACAAAAACUAGAUAACUCUUCAAUGUAUAGUCCUUCGUGUUACCAAUUGCUGCUUCCAUCGCCUAAUUCAACCACAUUCGCAGCCACCCAAAAAAAAAUAAUUAAUUAAUUUACAUAAAAUGUCUCCUUUAUUAUUAUUAUUUUCUUCAAGAAAAAUUACUCCACAAAUUCUCUUAAUUUUUGUACCUCGUCGGACAUGAAUGGAGUAAUAUGAGGAGCAUGGGCAGCGAGAAUAGCGGAGGCAGUGGCGGGACCCACGCCUUUCAAGACGGUGAGCUCCUUAACAGCUUUAGAAACGUCCGGCAACGACUCGAACGCUUUUCGCGAGGCUGAUUUGACAACGUCGUCGUUCAGCGAAGAAACGAAGUCCAGCAGCCUGGGCCUCCAUUUGCCCCUGCUCAGCUUCCACUGCAUUAAUUUUGAGAGUUCAUCAGUCGUUAUAUAUGGAGUAGGGUUCCUCUGCUUUACCAGUACCGGAAGCUCGUUCGUGUAGAAAUUGUCGAGCGAUAUAAGGUUUGGUUUGUUUAAGGAUUCGAUGCUGGACUUGUAGGACGACAGAGCCGCCUUCCAUGAGCUUAUUUCCGAGCAUUUCAACUCCAUGCCUGCCAUCACUCUGCAAUCCCCUUUUUUUUUUUUUACCCCAUUUCAAUUCACAGUUUGUGACUAUUUUACCUUGUUUGAAAGCGUCCGCGCAGAGUCAAAGACCAGAGGUGACGUCCUAACGGCGUCGUUUUGGUUUCGAACAAUGACUUUUUCUUACGCCUAUAGUUUGGAUCCAGUGGCAAGGAGGGAAAAUAAGAAUUCGUCAUGGAGCGGGCUUUUGGAAUAGUUUGGACCGAAGCCCAUAAAACUUAAUGGGCUUUUCCUUUCAACAUCUGCAUUUGAUAAAGCCCAUUUAAACUCUUGUCUUUUAUUAAAAUUAUACGCGCAUGGUAUUUCACUCGAAGUUCUGUCAAUUGGAUUGUAGAAUUCCCAGAAGUACCAUUUAUACAGGUCAAGACAUGCUUCCAGGAUAAUAGAUCACUUAUAGAUGUUCUUACAAAUCGUCCACUAAUACAACCAUUACAUCGAUGAUGAUGGAAUUCGAACACGCGAUUUUUUUGUAAGAAAAUAAUCUGUUCUUUUCAACUGAGUCAAUUUGUGUUCGCGUGCUCCAUGGGUUAUUUUGCUGCAGUCACAUACAAAUAAUCCAAAGAAUUUUGCUGCAACAACAGCCGAGUCCCAAGUCCGAACUCAACUAUUCACUCAUUAAUUGCAUCAUCGGGAUACAAUUUAUUACUUUUGUAAAUUUCUAAAAUGGAUCAGAUUAAAUAUGUCCCCUUGGAACGAAACGGACAAGAUCAGCAUGGCCCACCUGCACAAGGAUGACACGCACAAAUCGAAGAUUAGAUUAAAUAUGCAUUUUUCAGAAGAAUAACAAAAGAAGGUUGCAAAUAGAAAAGUAGCAGUACAGGUUGUCCCUGCAGCGAAUCUUUUCAUGGAAUUUUGUGCAGAGGUACCAGUUGUUGUCUUCGACUUUUAAGCUUAUCCAGGCCUAUUACGCGACAUAAAAGUCAUCACCUGUGGUACAAUGAUAUCUUAUUUAGACAGUAAAUUUUGUUAGUCUACGCGAUGAAUCUCAUGCAAAACCCUGUCCAACCUAGAGAUGCAACUGGAUAUGUGAGUAUAUUGUAUGUAUGUGUGAUUGUGUUCUAAGUUAAGGUCCGGUACAUUGGUUAAGGAUAACCCAACCAUAAGAUUCCUUUCAUCGCGAAACCAUCAUUAAUAUACAACCAAGAACAAAGAAAAAAUCCUUUUGUUUUUUUCUUAUUUUCUAGUUUGGUUUAAAAAAAAAAAAAAAAAAAAGAUGACGAGGACGACGGCAAGAAGCCUUGGCUAGCCAGUUUUGCAGAUUAUAUCUCCUUGCAGCCAUGUAUUACAUGGAUCAGGGGCAGGAGCGGUCAUCAGAUGGACCACUUCUGAGCUAUUCACGGUCAAUAUUUGGUCAAAAUAAAUUAUACGAUCAAAAUCACUUUUUGUACUUCGUUUUUAAUAACGUGUGUGAAUCUCUGCGCGCCUUCAACUGCGGUGUUGCAGAGUGUCAUUAAGGAACAAUGAUGCAUGCAAUAGCCUGUUGUUACGACUUGGAGGGGAUUUAAUGGAGACAAUAAUGCUAACUGGCAACUUUUAGUGCUGUCCAAAAUAGUCUUAAGUGAGUUGAUCACUAGUCGAAUCAACUAGUUAAAACUUAUACACUACAAGAUCUAAAGGGCGUAUAAUAAUGUACUCUUUUAAUCUAAACGUGAAAAUCACUCAUUUUAGUUGGCUUGACUCGAUUGUUGGGUCCUCCCCUAAAUAAAUUGAAGUGGAGUGGGAGUAAGAGUAACGCAGAAAUUGAUGAUUGAUUUUAAAAAAUUUUGAUCAAAAGAUAAUUUUUCUGCUACGCAAGCUGGUUGUUAUCUUAUGCUGAGUGUAUUCGCCUUAGGAAAGCUUCUCAUUUUGUACACUUAUACGGUCUCCCUUUAAUAUAGCAUUUUAGGUUCACCUAAAAUAAAUGUCAUAACAAUAAUCAAAUGAAUGAACUUUUGUCCUCUCGAAAUAUUUUUGUCAUAUCCAGACGCAUUUCUCUAUUCCUAAAGAUAUCUGAUAAUCAUUUAUUUAAUGUUAUAAUUAAUUAGAAUGCCAAUCACAAUACUGAUAUGCUUCUGAAAAUGUUUGUGGCCAAUGAGAUACUUAUACAAUAUCUUUAGAUAACCCAAAAAAAAAAAGAAAAACACAACAUUUUGUUGCACCACCACACCGCCUUCUUCAUCUACCAACCAUAAGUUAUGCACACGAAACUGUACCAACAACCAAGUGAAAGUCUUUUGUUUUUUCUUUUGGUUUCUGUGGCUGAAGAAAGGGGGCUUUUCUCGAUCGGGGCGACAUUGUGGAGUCCAUGUGCACUAGAUAUGGAACAGGGCAGACCGCCUAGCUAAUACCUGAAACUCUCAUUCCCUCUUCUUCUUCUUCUUGAUAGUUGAUAGUACUAGUUGCAUUUCUCGAUCAACAAUGAAAUUCACUUUAUGGGAAAAUCGUAUAAAGUAGAUUUGAGGAUCCCUUACGUUCAUUCAGUUCGUGAAUCGUGAGAUGUCCAAAUUGACUCUGGAAUCGAAUUUGGCAUCAUUCUUCGGUGUCCUUCCUUAUCUUGAGCAGAGUAGACUAGACAAUAUAUGAGUAUGCACGAGUCAUCAAAACUAUUGCGGGUAAAUUGAUGGCUGUGUAAUUUUCAGCAAGAAAGGUGUAAUUUACUUGGACCGUCAGCAUCAAUUGGGGUUACAAUUGUCAUUCAAAUUCGCCAUGCAAAAUGUGAAUCACGUUUUUAUAAAGCUUUUUUUUUCUUUUUUUUGUCAAUCGUAUUUAUCUAUUCUAGAUCUACUCCUAAUCUAUUUUAAGGAGAGGGUCCAACUAGCCCUAUGAAAGAAUCGACGGGAAUUGAAUCACCAUCGAAUAAGAUGAAUGCACUGCGCACUCGUAUGGAUUUAAGCCAUCUAAAUGGCAAAACACAUAUUGUGACAAGUGAUACGAAGCAAAAUUUAAACGUUUAACUUCCCACUGCAUCAAAACUUAAAAAGACUUUGGUGAUGACCAACACCCAUUACGUGUUUAUAUAAAGCUUCUACGUAGGCAUGACAAUUAUUGGAUUGAACGUUGCAAGGGAAUUGUAUGUACGCACGUAACAAGUCACAACUAGGUGCAUGCCUCAAAACGAAGAAACGACAUCAAAGUUUCGUUCGUGGACCCAAAAAAUUCCCGCAAGAAGUCUCUUUCUCCUGUGAUAGCUUUUUUUUUAUUUGGAAAAUGGCACUUUUUAAUGAUUAAAUAUCGCAUUCUUUGUUGCAAUUGUUGCCGGGCCUCUCGAAGGAACAGUCGGGUUUUAUCUAAAUGAUAACAUAGAAAAAUUGGGGAAGAAGAGAAGAGGAGAACAAAUGCAACGAAAUUGGCGCCGGAGCUUGAGUCGAAUUGAUUAGCCCAUGUGCAACCAACGCCCAUCAAUGAUGGUGGCAUACAACCAAAACGACUCCUGCAAGAUAGCCGCCCCCUUCUCUCGGACCAAAGAAGGUUUGAAGACGCUCGACCAACGGGAGAGGAAUGAAAGGAACGGUUUUUUUUUUUUUUCUUUUUCUUUUUCACAUGAGUAUAAAGCAAGUUAUUAUUAGUCAAGAAAUAUUUGUUGAUACGUCGUUUUGCAAAAUUUCGUAGGCUAGUAGUAUCUAAUCCAGCUACAAGCUAGUAAUAUUUAAACCCAUUUUUCCAUUCCGUCCCCUCGUCAGCUACCUCCAUUUUCAGAUGAACAGUCCUAUCCGACAUGCGUACGUGAAAAAGUAAAGUUAACACACUCAAAUCGUCAUGGGGUGGUCGAGUUCGUACAUGGUUGUAAUGGGCUAAUUAAUCUCCAAUUAAUUCUGAUUUUUGUAAGAGCUGAUUUCGAAAAGAAAAGCAAAUAUUAAAUGAAAAACAGUUGAGACUAUCACAUAGAAAUGUGUUAAAACUAAUUCUUAAAAGGAAAAAUUAGUGGAGAACAAAACUAAUGUCGCCUUUAGAAUUGACUAUAAGCGCGAAAAAGAAACAUAAUACAUCUUCUGAUCCACGUCCCUCAAAUGACCAUCCCGCUUCCCAUAUGCUCCUUGCAUGCUGCAGAAAAGGUCCGGUAGUUGGAUAUUUCUUUCUCGUCAAUUGACUAUAUAUUUUGCUGCUGUCCUAAAUUUCUUAAUUAAAUGAAUCGGGAGCACUUAUUGGGUGGCUUUUAUCAACCAAUGAAUUUGUAGUUGAUGAAGUAAAGUUCAAGCGCACGCAAGAAUAUAUACUAGGGACAACCCAUAAUAUAUAUUAUGGGGUUGGCAUUUUUCCAGGGCUGCUCGAUCAACUACCUAACCCUAGAUUUUGGUUAAAUGCAGAAAAUGUUUGACAUUAUUUUCAAGAAAGUCUUCAAUAUAAGUGUUUUUUUGUACUUUAAUUUGGUUAAGCCUAAAUUAAUAGGAGAACUAGGAAACAAGAAUUAAUGUAUAAUAGGGUCUUAUUUCGAGUAUUUACAGACAUGUCGGUGCAUAAUGUUUCUAGUGAUUGAUGCAAUGUCGCAGAUCGUUUUGAUCUGAUCCCUCAGAGUUUGAUAUAGCCGGUUUUUCAAGCUUCUUGAUCUUUCUUUCUUUUUUUUUUUUCCUCUGGUCUGAUCCAACAGUGGCUAUGUUUUUUGCAACUUCUUGUCAUUCUUGAAGAAGAGAUCAUGUUUCGUCUGCUAAAUUGCAUGCUCGCAAGGCUGUAAUUUGUGAAGUUUACAAAGGGUUGGACCAGUAGUAAUUGUAGUAGCAGUAGCGGCAGUAUUUGCAGUAACAAUAGCAAUAAAUUGAGUAUUAUUAGUAAAUUGACUCGACGAAAAAAAAUAUGAAAGCGGCUCCGUGGGCACACCCACAAGAGAUCAGGGCAGGGGGAUUGGAAUCUGCGGAUAAGGCGGCGGAGGUCGGAGGAGUUCUCUUACGACGCGGUGGGGAGGAUCUCUUGUUCCAUUGUCAUUCCUAACUUGAUGCAUGGAAGAGAGCUCUAAUUAAGAGACUCUCUGACUACUUAGAUUAAAGUUCAGCGGUUGCCUUCUCCAAAUGUGUUGAACUAUUAAGACCAAAAAAAAGUAUAGUAGUACCGAGUGAUUUAGAUAGAAAAAUUAUUUGGAAUAGUUUUUUGAAAAAAUAAUGUAAAACAUUUUUAAUGUGAUUAUCAUGUAUGUAAGAUAAAAAAAAUUAAUUAAAAAAUAUGUUAUUACUAUUAAUAAAUAAAAUUUGACAAAUAAAUUACAAUACAAACAAACCUAAGUCUCUAUUGGUAGUCGACGCCUCAUGAUCAUUGUCCAAGCUAGGGGUGCAAACGAGUCGAGUAGAGUAGAGUUUUGAUCUAAUCGAACCGAGUCUCCAGUUAAUUUUAUGAAGUUUGAACUCGAGUUUGAACUCAAUGAGCUCAAAAUGUCAAGCUCAAGUUCGAGCUUAAUAAAAAUAAUCAUUAUUAUUAUUUUAUUUUUAAAAAAUAAAAAUAAUAAUUUUAUUUUUAAAAAUAAAUAAAAUAAUAAUUUUCUUAAUAAACAAUAAAAUAUUAUAAAUAUAUAUGUAAUUUUACUAUUAAAAUAAAAAUAAAAAAUAUAUAAUCGAACUCGAGAGUCGCUCGCAAAUCAACGAGCUUAAUGUUUCUAAACUCAAGCUCGAAUUUGAGUUCGACUUGUUUAACUCGAACUCGAACUGGAAUCGAGUUCAUAUUUGAGCCGCUCGCGAUCAAUUCGAUUUCUCCGCAACCCUAGUCCAAGCACAUUCAAGAAGCCUUCGUCAUUGGUGGGUCCCGGGUUAAAGGAGCUUUCGUCUUGCAUGUUUAUAGCUCUGUUUUCAAACUCGGACCGGACCGGCCGGUCGAACCGGUUGAACCGGGAACCGGCCAGGUAGCCGGUCCGAGUCACAUUAGAAAACCGGAAAUUUAAAACCCGGUCAAAGCCGGUCAAAAACCGGGUUUGACCGGGUUUGACCGGGAAAAAACCGGUUUUUCCGGUUCAACAGUAUUUUUUUAAAAAAAAAAUUCAAACUUUUUAAUAUUAUGUUUUGACCCCCUAAAUUGUUAAAACUUAUUGAUAUACCUCAAAUAUUUGAUACUUUAUAAAUAUUGUCCUAAAAUUUGAUGUUAUUUUUCAAUUAAAUUCAUAAUUUUAAUUCUAAACUUGUUAAUAUUUAUUAAAUAAUAUAAAUUGCUACUUGAUUGUUCUAAUUUCUUUGUAUUUUCUUGUUAAAUAUAUUUGAAACAUCAAAUAUAUAUGAAUAUGCCUUUAUUAAUAUCAAUAUAUUAUUAGAUAUUAUAUAUAUAACAUUUUAAUUUUAAAAUAAUUUUUAUUUAUGACGUCAUCCGGUUCGACCCCUAUCGACCCCCGGUCGAACCCAUUGACCCCUGACCCCUGACCUCGGCCGAGUCGCUAUCCGGUCCGGUUCUGAAAACAUAGGUUUAUAGUUGAUGGCCUUUCAACCGGUUAUUCACGAUCUUCCCACUUGGGUGAAAGACGGAACAGAAAUGGUAAGAUCCCUUUUCGUAUUGUGAAACUGACAUUACCAGAUUCGAUUUAUUUACGUACAUCUGAAAAGUUGAGGGGAAAAAAAUGGUUGGAUUACAUCGUGGAUUUAAACAAGUUAGGUGAAAAAUAUUUUAAAAAACUAAUUCUUUUUUUGUUGUAAAAUAUUUUGUGGAUUUACAUUCAGUAUUUGAAUAGUUCAAACUAGCACGAAACUUAUAUAUUUAUUAAAGAAUAAUUAAAAAUUUAGAAUAAUUUAUUCAAUAUUAUUUUAUUAUUGAAAAACUAAUUCUUAUCAAAAGAUGCAGGCACCAAUUAAUCUUCAGAACAUGUUGCAUUGACGGAGGAUCUAGUGACUGAAUUGUACUUUGAGGAGUUGGAUAAUAAACGGGAAAGCAUGAUCUUUGCAUGAUUGCAUAUGUUGAAGUAAUAUCAUGCUGCACUUUUCUUGAAGUAAAAAAAAAAAAAAAAAGUGUAAAAAUGUAAGAUGUAUGCUAUAGAAUAGUGACAAUUGAUUUUUAUCCGAUAGAAGAAAAGCAAUAAAGGAUCAUUGUUGCUUGUUUAUCAUAUAAUAUAAAGUUUAAGUUGUAUGCAACCAAUUGAAUCUCUAAUAGUAAUGAUGAUGCAAAAUUUGUUGUACAAAAAUAAAAGUAAUUAAUUCUAUGAGAUAUAUCUUUAAAUUAAUAUUUAUAAUAUUCUUCAAUAGCAAUUUAUUUUAUGGAUAAAUAGUAAAUUAAUAAUCAGAAAUUUGUAAAAUAGCAAUUUAUUUAUUCUACAAUGGUAAAUUAAUAUUCAAAAAUCGAUUGGGUGCGAUAGCACUAUUUGAAAUUUGUACAGAUAAAUAAUCAAGUGAUUUAACUAGUAUCUUUAUAACAAAGUGAUCUUUUACUAAAUUCGCUUCCUUUCAUAUUCAUCCACCGCCACUUGCCAGUCACCUCGUCACCAGUGCCUUAUUCGAUUCGAAGUAUUUUUAAAUUUUUUAAAAAACUUAUGAGUGUUUUAGAGUAUCACCGCAAAUGAUGAUAUUUUAAAUUAAAUUUAUUUUUCUAAAACAGAUCAUCUAGAUAGUGUAUUAUAAUCGUAAGUUUUAUUUGUGCACGAUAAUUCAAGAGAAAUUGGACGAAAGAACUUGGCCCCCUUCCGAUUAAUCUCCAUGUUUAGACAUGAAUGAAUGAAAGAUCAUCAAUUUGAUUGCGCACGAAUGGUUUCCACCAUCUACAAAAGUGUUUUACUUUCUUUUCUUUUUUUUCAGAUAAUUGGUGACACUUGCGGUCGAGGAAGGAACGGCAAAAGUAGCUGUGGCUUUACGCGCUUUGGCGCUGUCGAGCACUCAUUGUAUCACCGUUCCAUCGAGGCCAAUAAAAGCGUUUGACUGGGACCAAAUACGCUUUUCACGGCUCUUUCGUUAUUUUAUGCCUUUUCGGAGCCACGAAUACAGAAAGUUCCAAAACCAAAUCAACGAACGUUACGUGUUCUCUUAAAGAUUACUCAUCCUUAACUAAAUUUUUUUAUCCUUUUAUUGUCACAUAACUAAAAUUUUUUUAUCCUUUUAUUGUCACAUAACGUGCAACACAAUACGCCCAAAGAGCACCCAACACUUUUAACUCUUACAUUUUUCAGCUUGACAUCAUACGAUUAGUGUCGUUAAAUGGAAUGAACAGCUCGAAAGCUCGAUUGAGCUCGAUUUGAUAAGGCUUAACCUCGACUCGUUAAUUAUGAUAAACGAGUCGAGUUCAAAAUUUGAGUAUCUCGAUUAGGCUCGAUAACUAAGGAUAUAUAUAUCAUUUCACAAUUCAAAAGUAUAAGAAUUGAAAAGUAUAUGUUUUUAUUGGGGUUAAUUUGCACGAGCUCGUGCAAGCUCGGCUCGUUUGUGAUAAACGAAUCGAGCUCGAGCUUCCAUUUGGCGAGUCGAGUCCGAGCACAUUUCAAAGCUUGUCCGUCGAGUGAGCUCAGCAGCCGUGGCUUUACACUAUGAGAAUAUUAUAUACAAUAAUAGGAAAAAAAACUCGUGUCACGAGUAAAUAUUUAAAGUUUAUACGUGAUUAUAUAUUACAAAUUAAUCAUUCCUACAUUAUUACCGUGUUGUAUACAAUAACAAAAAUAGACUCGUGUCACGAAUAAAUAUUUGGAGUUUAUAUGUGAUUGCGUGGUUUGCUUAUAUGUGAGUACCUUUAAAUUUUCAGUACCCUUCUAAGUUCUAACUUGAUUUCAUCUCCAUAACACGAAAAUUUAAAUGGAAAAAUGAGUGCAAAACAAUUGUUGCAAUUCAACCCAUUCAGACAACCAACAUCACAUUAAUUGUGAGACAGGAGCUUAGGAAUUCAAAUAUUGCAUCUCAUCAACGCGUCUCUUCAUUAGAAUGGUUCUAAAUUUAAACAAAUGCGUGAUGCAUUCGAUCUGAUUUGAUGAUAGUUCAGUACUUCAGUCCCUGUCAGGUUUCCUUGGUCCAUGUUAGGCUGAAUAUACGUACCGUUACCCAAAAAAAAAAAAAAACAUUUAGACACAUGGUAGAUUUAUGACAGCACCCACGUGUUUUAUGAUUACUGGACAGAGGAUUCCAGGUGCGUUUGACUCCCUGUCAAAUUGAGAUUUAGUUUACUACUGUUAACAUCGAAGCCUCUUCAAAAUGGUAUAGCGGUUUCUACCAUUUCUUUGGUAUUAGACUGACACAAUGGUACAUGGUAUUCUGCCUCACAUCAAGUCAAUAGGAACCAAAGGACAAUUGACAAGGCUGACUUCACCUUGAAAAUGAAGCACAAAAUAAGAGAGUAGAACUAAAAGAUUACCGGUAAGCUGAUAAAGAGGUGGGCUGAGAAUUGCAUCACAUGAUAGGCAGGUUAUGAAUGUGAAUGUUUAGUUAUAUAUUAAAAUGAUAAUAUUUCAAUAAAAAAAAUUUGGUCUCCAAAAUUUAUAAUUUUAAGCACAUUUAGAACAAUUGAUGGAACUUAACAUUGAUUAACAGUCAAAAUCGUUUUAGCAAUAAAAUCCUAUUUCAAUUUUUCCUAUACUAUAGCCUCUUAAUUUUUGAUCUAUAUAUCAUAUGUGUAUUAUUAUCCAAUUUUAACUUAUUUAACGAAGAUAUACUUUUUAGCUUAAAUGAUAAUGUUGUGCCUAUAUUAUUCUAUAUAGAGUACAUAGUGGUUAACGACACUAUGUUAUCUAAUUUGAAUUAUUUAUCUAUAGAACCAAAAAAGUAAAACAAUCAAAAUAUAUUUCAUAAAAAAAAACUAUAGUAGGUCAACUACAUAUAACCAAGAGACAUUUAAAUUACUUUGAACUCGUGCUAAAUUGCUCUCGUAGUGGGGGCACAAUUUAUUUACUUUUCUCAGUUUUCUGUCUAUUAAAUCCAAAGUUUCAAUGGAAAGUUUUAAAAUAGUUACUUUGCUCUUUGUUUACUUUAAUAUUUUACCACAACCCUCCCCCCUGUUACCUUAAGAAUUUUAUUGAAUGAUUCAAACAAUUAUACAAAAUAUUAAUUUCAUCUUAAAUUCAAUUGAUAAUCUAUUAAAAUUGAAAAAAGAAAACAAAUCUGAUUUACUUAUAGUUCAUAUUCUUUAUAGUUUGAAUGGAUAUCUAAUUGAGCGUUUAAAUAUCAAUACAAGUAACCAAAAAAAAAAAAUUCAUUAUCAAUUAAUUCUCCAUAAUGCAAAAGCAUACAUACAUAUAUAAUGCUACAUUUGGGACCAGUCAUGCAAGAGUAAAAGUCUAUGAGAAACAAGUAGGAUGAAUACACAAAAUAAAAGAAUAAAAGAAAGAAGUUUCCUGAACCUUUGCACAUUUUCAACAUAAUUUCAAUCUAAUUUGCAUUUCUUUUCCUUUGAAACCGUUAAUAUCACUAUUUAAAAUCUAAGAUACCAUGAUGAUCCAAAUUCGAAACAUUGCUAUAAAAUAUGCAAAGUCAAAACUAUUCAGUAGUGGCAACUUGACUUUGAUCUUUAAUCAUCAUUUUUUCGUCAAUUUACUAAAUAUGCUUAAGAUUUGAAACACUGGGGACCAAAUUUGUUUUGAUCCAAGCAUUAAUGAUCAGUCCUACAUAUGCAGAGUAUUAUAAACAAGAAUUGUAUUUCUUCCAAACUUUGGAUAUAUGUUAUGUAUUGAUUUAAAUUACAACUUUUAAACUUAUUUUCUUCAUAAUGGUUGGUUAGUGAUAAUUUAGUUUUAAUAUUAUUGUGAUAUCAUUUUCUAAUAAAGUGUAGGUGAUUUGUCACUUAAUCAUAAAUUUUUAUCUCCUUUUGCCUAAAAAUAUGUUCAAGUUCGGGAGUACCAAUAGUAAAAAGUUUUUAUGUUAUUUGAAAGAAAAUUAUUCAUUCAUUAGUAAAUUCAGGCAUGUCAUAUUGUAUUAUAUUAUCCAUGAAAAUAUAUGGAAUACUUUUAAUGUGAAGAUUGUUUGUUGUCCUACUUUUAGAAUAGACAAUGAGCAAUUAUAUUUUUGUAUUUACACCUAUUAAAAAUAUUUCUUAACUGUAUCACUACAUAGUUUAAUUAAUACGAAUAUUUGAUUUCAAGCAUGUAUACAUUAGUACAAAUAGCAUUAGUAUUACUAGUGAUAAAGGGCGCACUCAAUCUAUGUACAAUUUAAACAAUCACUUUUUAUAUGGAAGAAAUUAGUAUAAAAUUUUAAUAAACAAAAAACUUUGAUCUUUUAAAAGUUUUUUUUAAUAUUAUUUUCAUGAACUUGGUAAUUAUAAUGUUUGUGGUUGGUUAUUGGUGAAAGUUAGUUGUGGUAUUGGUUGACAAUACAUAAGCAACAUGUUAAUCAGAUGAUAAAAGUAUAAUUAAGUGAUGAAUUAAUCUUUCCUACACUGACAGUGUAUACACUAUCAACAUUUGAAUGAAUUACAAAUAUGCAAAAUUUAAAUUUAAAAUUCAACAUUUACAUGUAUAUCAUAAAUUCAACUUAUACACUAUCACUGUAUAUAAGAUUUGCUCGUAAGUGAUUGCGAUGAUAAUGCUGAAAAUUUAAAAGUGACAAAUAUGGUCUAAUUAAAUUUUACCUAUACGCACUGCAGUUAUUAUGUCAUCAAUUCAUUCUCAUUAAUUUGGUAUAAUACCAUUACAAAUGCAUUUUUAAAACAUUUCUUUAUGUUCUACCGGCAAAUAUAAAAAACAAUCAUGCAACAACAUAUUACUUUUGCUACAAAUAUUCCAUCUCAACUAAUUAAUUAACCAUUUGUCUACUCCUUUACAAUUAUUAAUUCCUAUGAUUGGUUUAAUUAAUUGCACAUAUUAAUUUACGAUCAUUUUCCUCCUACCCAUGAUUGGUUUAAGGGUUACUCACAUUUAAUCCCCUAAAGAUAUAUCUCAUUUCUCAGUUUACCUCCAAACUUUUAAUUUUACUCAUUUAACCCCCUACAGGACAAAAUUGCCCUUGCAUUAUUUUGAUUUUUUUAUUUACCUUAUUUUCCUUUCUUUUAUUUUGAUCCGUACCCCUUAUGAAAGUUAGUUGUGCUAUUGGAUGACAAUACAUAGACAAUAUGUUAAUCAAAUGAUAAAAGUAUAAUUAAGGUGAUUAUGAUGAUAAUGUUGAAAAUUUAAAAGUGACAAGUAUGGUCUAAUUAAAUUUCACCUAUUUGCACUCCGGUUAUUAUGUCAUCAAUUCAUUCUCAUUAAUUUGGACUAAUACCAUUACAAAUGCAUUUUUUAAACAUUUCUUUAUGUUCUACCUGCAAAUAUAAUAAAAGAAUCAUAUUAAUUACUUCUCAUAUAAUAAAACAACAUAUUACUCCUCCUACAAAUAUUCCAUCUCAACUAAUUAAUUAACCAUUCAUUUACUCAUUUACAAUUAUUAAUUCCUAUGAUCGGUUUAAUUAAUUGUAUAUAUUAUUCCAAAUUUCUUCCAAAAUAUUUAAAUUAUCUACUCUUUUGUCAAUUUAUGUAAUUAAAUGAAUCAAAAUUUAUCUAAUUCUGUACAUACAUAUAUUAUUUAUUUUUUCUAAUUUCUUUCAGUUAUGUAUCCAACUUUGCAUUUUCUUCAUUAUGUCUAUUGUAUAUAAAUUAGAAAACAAUAAUAAUGUCUUGGGUCUUUUCACAUGGGUUAACGUGGGUGAACCCAUGUGACUGACAAAUUGUCUUGGGCCAUUUCAAUGUGGAACCCACCAUCACAACACUCAUUAAGUUCCGGUAGCCUUAACCCACACCAAAAACAACCUUGAAUUUUGCUUUUCCUAACGUGUCUGGCUCCUACCACAUCCGUACCACAUCAAACCACUUUACCAAUGCAUUGGUACAAACCACUGUACCAAUCCUUAGAAUUUUCGCUGUUAACAUCGAUUAAUCAUUUUCUGCAUGCCUGUCCCGCUUUCCCCAACCCCACCAAAAAGCAGAAGCCGAGAGGGAAAAAAAUGCUUCAAAUUUUUGUAUUUUCACGAUUGAUUGGUCGUACUCACUUUCUUAAAAUUUCAACAACUUUUCCAUUUUAUAUGAAUGAUUAAAGCUGCCUUUAUAUAUGAAUAAUCGAUAAAAGCAUAUAUAUAUAUAUAUAUAUAUAUAGGUAUUGUACCCUUGCACUUUCAUUCGGACAUGAGUGGCAUAUAUCCGUAUUUAUGAUUGAGCCUUAAAUUUCAGCUUCGUACAUGUUCUGUUCUCGUUUGUUGUAAAAUUGUAAAGGUUAAUUACUGAGAAUAAUUAAAAUCAGCUAAGGUUGUUCUCGAGUAAAUUCUAGAUUUUAUUAUUUUGUCAUUAGAAAAUCUAAAACUUAAAUGAAUAAAUAUACAAGAAAAAAAAUCAAGUAAAUAUCCAAAAUAAGUAUCUAAAAUUAGGUGAAACAAUCGCACGAGAACAUAUCAAUAAAGAAAUUGUAAUAGCUCACAUAAAAUCUACGUUUCAACCAGCGUGAAAGUAUGAAUUCCCUUGUGAGGAAUGACACAUCGUUUUUUUACCUCAACCCCUUCUCAUCUUUAACGGUUAGAUUCAAGAUUCGAAUUCUAAAAUUAACGGUGGAAGGGAAUGGCACAAUUUUAAAUCUCUUGUGGAUCAAGAACAAGAUAUUUGCACGGCAAAGGAAAAAUUUUUUUUUUUUUUUUGCCGUUAUUUAAUUUGAACCACACUAAGAAGAGAGAGAGUGACGAAGAAAUUGUAGUGUGUGGUAGGUUGGAGUUGGGCCCUAUAAAAAGAGUGGGGGAGCAGCGUAAAUCCUGAAAUGUCUCGGGGACACAACUCAGCAGCCUCACACAGUCACACACACUUGGCGCUUGGUUGCAUUGUUCCCACAUAACCCCAAAAUCGCCAGCGAAGCAUUCAGUGGAGAAUAUAUUCCGGAGAAAACACAUUUAAACGAUCAAAUAAAAAAAUACAAAAUACAAAAAGAUACAAAAAUAAAAGCCAAGCACCGUUGCUUUCUCUCCAUUAGGGAGAGAGAGAGCAGAAAGCAAGCGAACAAGAAAGGGAGAGUAGGCCGCGGAGGAGGCUGAGGAUUGUAACAAAAGGAGCAGAGACGCCGUUUUGAUUCAACGUCGUCGGCGGCGGCAUUGUUGUAAUUCUCAUGGACCAAUAUGUUUGGGAAACGAUUUUGGCGGUGGCGUUAGGUUUUGUGGCCGUGUAUGGAAUUCUGGCCAGAAAUGCUAAUGCUCGCCGGAAAAGUUUUGGUAAAGGUGGGGCGGAGGAUAGGGAGCCUCGUGCCACCGCCGCCACCACCCCCAUUGAUGGUAUAUUUAGAUCCAAGAACAACGACGCCUCCGACGAUGCAGACGUCAUUAUCGUAGGCGCCGGCGUCGCUGGCGCCGCUCUCGCUCACACUCUCGGGAAGGUAGUAUGAAAAUUUUCCUCGUCUUCGUCGCCUUAUGUUAUAGAAUUAUUGUUAUAUAUAUAUGUGUGUGUGUGUCUGUAUAUAGUACUGCAUGAAUUCAGCGAUUUUUGUAAUGAGAGUUUAUUUGAGUGCGUGUUUGUAUUUCAGGUGAAUAAGACUGUGAUAUUGAUGACAAAAAUGCAUGCUAAAAAAAAUGAAUGAAAUAGGAAAAGGAAGAUUAUAGAUUGAUCUAGGAGUUGCGUUACUUUUUUCUUUUGCUUUUUUUUUUUUUUCGUGCUGUGCAUUUAAGAAUCUAAACACUAACUGACUAUAUUGUUUAUUAACUAAUUUUUCUGUUGAUGCAACUUAUCUAAUAGCAGUGUAAUUUUUUUUUCAAAAAAUUAUUUGUUUUUCAGGUGCGGCCGUUGUCAAUCUCAUUUUACGGGUUUAAAUCUGGUUUUCUUCUUUUCAUUAUUCGUUUCAAUUUUAUUGAUGUUUGGGCUUGUGAUCAGCGUUGUUUUGCGAGUUUAACUUAGCAGGACAAAGCCUUCUUUAGGUUUGAGAUCACAUCUAUGAUUGUUGAUUAUCGCAUAUUUGCCAUUUUGUGGUCUUCUGUGCAUGCGUGACGUCAAUAGGUUUUUGUAAAGCUUAAUUAUAUUUCUUACUGUGGUCCUUUUAAAAAAAAAUUGGAUGCAAAACAAUUGAACUUUGAAGUUUUGUCAUGGGCUUAAAGGAGGAAGUAGAAAAUUACCUAUUAAGCAUAUUCACUUUUCAUAUUGGCCUGCAGGAUGGACGUCGGGUGUAUGUAAUCGAAAGAGACUUGUCAGAGCCUGACCGGAUUGUAGGAGAGCUGCUCCAGCCGGGCGGCUAUCUCAAGUUGAUUGAACUGGGACUAGAAGGUAAAGUUUGCAGAACUAAUAGAAAAAUGUUGUCCUGAUAUUGAAUUGAGUGUAAUGCUUUGAGCUAAGUAGGGUCAACUAUUGCAACAUUUGACAUUAGAAGCCUCAUCUUUGCCCAUUUAGUGUAGAAUUACUGAAGCAGAUUUUUUUUUUUUUUUAACCUCGACUACAGAUUGUGUGGAGGGAAUUGAUGCACAGCGAGUCUUCGGAUACGCUUUAUUCAAGGAUGGUAAAAGGACUCGUGUGGCUUAUCCCUUGGAAAAAUUUGACUCUGAUGUUUCUGGCAGGAGCUUUCACAAUGGCCGCUUCAUUCAACGCAUGCGAGAGAAAGCUGCAUCUCUUCCCAAGUAUACUCUACUCUUGCUCUUGUACUUGGUGGUUGUUUAGUAUGUUUCCUGCAGUUUUAGUCAUAAAGUUAGAAGUGGCAAUUUCUGUAUUGCUGAUUGAGGAUACAUGUGCUUUAAAUUCAACAAGAAUCUUUAGAAGAUCUGAAUACAUGAAAAAUGAUUUAGUUAAGUUGGUGGCUGAUAGCACGGAAGCAUGUUAGUAUCUUAGAAGAGUCUUUUUCACCCUUUUUUUUUUAUGGUUUUUUACUUUUAUGGAUCUGAUUUUAAAUAUCAUACAGUGUUCGCUUGGAGCAAGGAACAGUGACUUCUCUUCUGGAAGAAAAAGGGGUUAUCAGAGGCGUGCAAUACAAAACAAAAUCUGGUGAAGAAUUGAUCAAGUAUGCACCUCUCACUGUUGUAUGUGACGGUUGCUUUUCAAAUUUAAGACGCUCUCUUUGUGAUCCUAAGGUGUGGAUGGCUUAGAAGCUCUCUUUAUUCUCAUUUAGUUAUCAAUAGCUGAUUAGUCUUCUCUGUCUUUCUCAUACUGUGAAUUACUUGAGGACAACAAAUCAAGUUGGUUGGUGUUUUACAUUUUUCGAACACUGAUGUCUCUGCCAGGUAGACGUCCCUUCUUGUUUUGUUGGCUUGGUUUUGGAGAACUGCCAACUUCCUUUUGCAGAUCAUGGCCAUGUUGUUCUAGCAGACCCGUCACCUAUUUUGUUCUAUCCAAUCAGCAGCACAGAAGUUCGCUGUCUGGUUGAUGUACCUGGUCAAAAGGUACCAUCUAUUUCAAAUGGUGAAAUGGCCAAAUAUUUGAAGACAACAGUGGCUCCACAGGUAGCACUAGGACAUAAAGUUUGAAUUUUAUUGUUGUUAUUUUUUUUGGGUGUACAAGCUUCAGUCUACUCUUAUCUCAAGGAACAAUAUGCUAUAUAGAUUGUGAAACUUCUAUCAUCUAACUAUUCCCUUUCUCACCAUCUUCUUGUAGGUCCCUCAUGAAUUGCAUGAUGCAUUUAUUGCUGCAAUUGACAAAGGAAACAUUAGGACCAUGCCCAACAGAAGUAUGCCAGCAGCUCCUCAUCCUACCCCUGGGGCUUUGCUAUUGGGAGAUGCAUUCAACAUGCGACACCCUUUGACUGGAGGAGGAAUGACAGUGGCUCUGUCUGAUAUCGUUGUACUACGUGAUCUUCUCAGACCUCUUGGCGAUCUGAAUGAUCCACCUACCCUUUGCAAGUAUCUAGAAUCAUUUUACACCUUGCGUAAGGUACAUUUAAUUAAGUUCAGGACUUGUUUUGGUCAUCAAUAUGGAAAACAAUUGAGCAAUAUUGAUCCAAUGAAUAUUGAGUCUUUCCAUAAUAUUCAAAAUUUUCCUUAGUGAUUUGAUUUUGACAUUGAACAGAGGAAAUGCAUUUUAUGACGUUUUCAUGCAUUUGUCUUCCCACACCCAAAUUCAAUGUUUUUGUUUGCAGCCUGUGUCAGCCACCAUCAAUACGUUAGCUGGUGCCCUCUAUAAAGUGUUUUGUUCAUCUUCUGAUCAAGCAAGGAAAGAGAUGCGUCAGGCAUGCUUUGACUAUUUGAGCCUUGGAGGUGUUUUCUCAAAUGGACCAGUAUCUCUACUUUCUGGUCUGAACCCUCGCCCAUUAAGCUUGGUGUGCCAUUUCUUUGCGGUGGCGAUAUACGGUGUUGGCCGCUUGUUGCUGCCUUUUCCCUCACCUAAGCGUAUGUGGAUUGGAGCAAGAUUGAUAUCAGUGAGUAUCUGAUUCUUUCUGUCAUUAAUUUCUCUUAAUCGAUUAAUAUAUCUGAUUGAAAACUAUUUCUAUUCUCAAUGCCAUAUUCUAAAUUUCAAGCUCACCUCUGCAGAGUGCAUCGGGAAUUAUUUUCCCGAUUAUCAAGGCUGAAGGAGUGAGGCAAAUGUUCUUCCCCGUUACCGUUCCUGCAUAUUAUAGAGCACCACCUGCUAAGUGAGGUUGUCCAGCAAAUGCUAAAACACUAAACUCCUCCAUUGCAAUUAUCACAUUCAAGUUUGUCCGCGGUUGCAAUCCGAUGUUCAAAGUUAGAGGAAAGCGGAUGCUUUUAUAAACUGGUGUGAAUUGUGAUAUAUUUUUUGUUCCUAGGUCUUUUUGUAUCUCAUUGUAUUUGUCCUUUUUUUUCUCAACCGUCUCAAGUAAACAGAAUUUUUUUUUUUGUGUUUUUUUGUUCUCUUUGGCGAUUUAAUUGCUUUGUAAAUAACUGGGAUGAUGUGAGCUUCAUUCAAAUUGUAGUGUGAAGAAGCGAAAAUUUUCCGAGUCACUGCAAUAUUAGUUUUAGUAAUGAGAUUUUUCUGAUGGUUAGCUUUGGAAAGCAAACGAGUAUCAACUUUCAAGCUAAUAGUCUGGGAUCACAUAUUAUUCUUUCUGGGAGUUAUUAGGGUAAAAUAUAGAAACCCCCUUGAGGUUAAGCGAAUAUAUAGAAAAAUCCCUUAUAAUUGGAAACAAAAAAAAUUAUAUUGAUAUAUCCAUUAUACCCUUUGAGUUAUAAUAUAAAAAACUCCCUGUGAUUAAGCAAACCUACAAAAAAAAAUUUCUUAUGAUUUCAAAUCAUACAAUCUAGUAUCUUGUGAUUUGAACUAAUGUGAAAAAUCGACAAAAAUCACUUAAAUUAACAAGUUUGAGGUUGCUGGACAUGGAAAAUAAUUUUUUAAAUCAAAAUUUUAGCUGAUAUACCUAUUAAAACUCAUAAAAUUUUCAAAAACAAUCCAAAACUCCUAAAUAUAACUCACCUUAUUUCUAUACACAAAUAAAAUAAAUAAAACUUCCAAAUACAACUAACCUUAUUCCCAUGCACAAAAUAAAUAAAUAAAAGCAGCAUAUAAUCACAAGGAGUUUUUCCGUAAGUUGGCUUAACCAUAAGGGGUUUUUCCAUAAGUUUGCUAAAUAGGAUGGUUGUUAGAAAGUCUUUUAUUACUUGUAUAUAUAGUAGGGUAAUUGUGUGUCAUUUCAUCUACCUCCGUUAGUUUUGACAAUUUCUGUUACUGUUUCAAAUUAAUUUAAAUCAUAAGAGACUGAAAUAUAUGAUUUGAAACUAUAAGAGAUUUUUCUAUAUGUUAACUUAAUCACAUGGAACUUUUUUGUAUUUUACCCGAGUUAUUAAGAUAUAAUAGACGGAGAAAAGCAGAUCGAUGGUUUUGGCAAUGAAAUUGAAUAUAAUCAUGUCACACAAUUUAAAUCAUCAAUUCUUGAUAGGUGUCUAGUGAGCACUCAUUAGUAAUUUAAUAGUCUCAUAGGUUAAUUCGAUCCCAAUAGUUUCUUGUCAGCUUAACUGGUUUGGCAUUUCUUCACUCUGUUUAAUUCAAAGGGCGAUGGACGGAGAGGAAAUGCGAUGGUAACGACAGAGACAAGCAGAAAAACCGAGGAUGUACGUACGGCUAGUACUUGAAUAAUUGAACUGUACCUUUUCACGCUGCUGUGAGGCUGUGAGCUCUCUCCAUUUGUAGGCAUUAUUACAUGGUCAAAAUCAUGUCGAUCCUCUUGUUUUUCCUUGGCAAAUUUUAGCGUUUUUCUGCACUACUAGUUGUCCAAUCUUUUAUUUUCUUACCAAGCCAAAGAAAAGAAGAGAGAUCUAUAGCUGUAGCUUGAUUUCCUUCCUCUUGUCUUCUCGCUGUUCACUUCCCAGUUCUGAGCAAUGUUUUAAAAACCGGACCGUUAAUUGAACCGGUGAAGUGAAAGGGUCGAGGUUCAACCGGUCGGACCGGUUCAACCUCGGUUCAAUGAAUUUUUUUAAAAAUAAUUUAUAUAAAUAUAUAUGUACAAAAUAAGACAUGUAAUGGACUAAUUUAAUAUUUUAUAUGAUGAAAAGUUUACUAUUUUUUAAUAACUUGGAUUUUUAAAAAUAAUUUUUUUAAAUUAUAAGUUAAAACAAAUAAAUUUCAUCUCAAUUUCAAUUAUAUCUAAAUUCAACCCCAAAAUAUCACAAUAUUUUGAAAUUAUACAAAAUUCAUGUCUCUGAGAAUUUAGAUAUUAUGAAUUUUAAUUUUAAUUUACGUUUUGGGAUUUAGAGAUUGCAAUUUAAAAAGGAAAAUUUGGAGUUCGAAGGAAAUCAAGAAAAUCGAAAAUAGAAAUGUAAACUUGAUAAGAAACAAAAAAUAAGAUAAAAGUGAGUGGUUGUGGCAUUAAAUAAUUUGGGUUAAAAAAAAUUCUUUUUUAACUUUUUUCAAUUUAAUGGACAAAAACAAAAUUAAAAGAUGGAAGAAAACAUCAAUAAAUUAAAAAUAAAGAGGUUUGAUUAAAAAGGGAGUGACAAAAGAAAAGAGGAUAGAGAGAGAGAGAGAGAGUUGAAAAUUAAAAAGAAAGAACCAUGAGGGGAUGAGAUUUUGUAAGAAAAAUGGAAAAAAGAAAUAUGAGUGUUUGUUUUAUAUAAAUAAGUUAUCAAAAAAAACUAAUAAGAUGUGAUGGUGCAACGGUUAAUACAUUGGUCUUUUAUUACAAAGGUCUUGGGUUCAAAUCUUGAUUGCUACAUUUUGCAAAACUUAGAAAAAAAAAAAAAAAAAAAGAGGGAAAGCUAAAAACCGGAAAACCGCCGGUUCGAUCCGGUUCGGCGGUUUUCACGGUUCAACCGGUCUUUGACCGGUUUUAUAGCAAAGUCAACAAUGUCAUUGAACCGGACCGGUGCCAUGGCCGGUUCGCGGUUCAACCGGUCGAACCGGCCGGUCCGGUCCGGUUUUCAAAACAUUGGUUCUGAGUUGUCAUCUCACCAUACCAAAGAUUCGAAACCUUAUUUCGCGUCGCUGAAAAAAGUUUACCAUUUCUUACCAUACUGUUCCAAAUAAUUUCACGAAAUCAAUAUUAAUCUUGAAAAAAAAAAAAACCAAGAAAGCCAAUAUGCUUCCUGUCCAUAGAAAAGACCAAGGAAAAAAAAAAUUGCCAUACCUAGAGUCAGCCUCGCAGUAUGCGCACCUAAUAAAGAGGACAUAUGCAGCAGGCAGUAGUUUAUAGAAGUAGCUCUUUCAUUUCAUUCGCGAAUUCUUAUUUAAUACUUCAAAUGAAUGAAAACAACAUAUAGUACAUCCUAGAAGAGCGAUCGCCAACUUCUUGUUCCUAUUCCUUGGACGCUACUGGAUAAAAUACUCAAAAUUGUUAUUUGGAUACAUGUACAAGUGAGUGAGCAUACGAUAAGGGACUUCUAACCAUCGAAUUGUCGAUUAGAUAGGGGAUGCUGUAGGCAUAACCAAGCUCUAAGCUGUCUGAGCUUUUGUAGAGGACGACCAAAAAUUUUGUCGGACUUUUCAAAUCCCAACUGACCGCUACAAGUGAAAACCAAACGGUGACGGCCUCCGAGUAUCAUGUAUGAAACCUUUUUACAUUCUUCGAAAAUACAAUUGGCAGAGUAUGGGAAGGUGAGAUGCAGAGACACCCAACCAAACUAGUUCAAAUCUUUCGUCAGUUCUUCUUGUUAUUUCUUUCCGUCUUUAUAGCCUCAUAAGAUAUCAUAACUUCCUUAAACUUUGCUUCAGCAAGCUCUGCAACCAAAGAGGAACAUUAGAAGUUAGUCCACAGGCAAGAAAGUAACCUAGCUAAAUGUCAUACUAGCUCAGAGAUAUAAAUGUGCGAUUGAGAAGAGUAAUGAUUCCAUACGUUGAUUAUCCUGAUUCUGAUCAGGAUGGAACUCCAUUGCUUUCGCCCUGAAAGCUGACUGCAAUGCAAAUAAAAGUGAAGAUACAUCAGGUCAACGUUUUCAAUUAUUUAAUAACCGACAGAAAAAACAAGAGCAGGAGCACAUAAUUAUGAUAGUUACGACCGAUAGCUUUAUGAUGUACAAAUACAGUUUUACAAUCGUGUCGAAUGGAUGUUGCCUAUGAAAGUUUGGAGCAGCUAUAAGAGAAUGAACUCAGUCCAUCUAACAGAAAAAACAGGUUUACAUGUACCCUGAUGUGAAAAUGAUUGCGAGUCGCAGCUAGUAUCCAUGGUUCUCAGCAAUAUUAGAUCGUAUAACAUAAAACUACAACUGCCACGUUCAACAAUUACACAACUUCAAGAAAAAGGCAUUGUGAGAAUCUACUGUAGCUUUAGAAUAAGAAGAACAAAUUGAAGAAAGUGAGGAAUUAAAAUUCGAUUCCAGAUUAUCCUUUCGUUCUUGUGAAAAGAGGGGUGUUUUUAGCAGAUGUAAAUCUAUUUGUGUUCAACAUAAUUGAAGAACUGGUCUACAUUUUAUAGAUCAGAUUGGUUACCUCCUCUCUUUUUACCAAUACAUAGUUGUCACUGAAGUUCCUUUAAUUUCUUCCUUCUACCCAUAAAGAGAAAUACAAGGAAAAGAAUUUUCCAUUUAUUCUUAGCCUCACUUCUUUUCAUUUAUGUAUGUAUAACUAAGGGACAAGUUAACAUCACCCCUUCACCUUCCCAUAUAGUUUUGCUAGCAAACUAUGACUCAAACCAUCACUACAUGCUUAAGGAAAUACAAAAUAUCAAAUGAAAUAUCAUAUGAAGAUAAAAUGGUAAUCAGUUAUGUGCAAUAAUACCCACAAGGUAAAUAGUACCUUUAUCUCGUCAUCUGUGUAUGGUUUUGCUCUUGCCCUGUUGCAAAGGAGACAAUCCAUGUGUCAAGUCUCACACAUUGAGUCUUUCCACAACAUAUAAAUUAAAAUUUCCUACACUAGCCAGAAUAACAUGUUGUGGAAAUGAACAAAACCAUUCUAGAGGAUAUGAUCUGAGAAAACAAAUUUUUGGCCAGGAUAAGAAAGAAUUUAAAAGUUAGCAUAAUAGCUUCACUGACAAAACAAUAUCUGAUAUGUAAUACAGAUUGUCACCUGUCAAGACCUAAGACUGAAUAGUGAUGUGAUAAUGGAUAGCUUGCACUGGCCCGAGGAGCCUCCCUGAAUUUAGCCCCUUGAUCUCUAUAUGAUGUAUCGCCCUUCCAAUACCAGUCAUUUCUCUGAAAAUGCUGGUGAUAUGCACCCUGACCAUUUUCUGCCCAGCUCUCGUAACUCCUUUUAUACUUAUUUCUCUCUCUAUUGAAGACACUUUGCAUGCGUCGAAUCCGCUCCUGGACAGAUCAACCAUGAAGCAAUGAGUUGCAUAUGGCCGCAAACUUCCAACAAAAUUAGGAAAAAAGAUUUGUCUGUAACCCUUUAAAAAGAAGCUUACAUGCUGCGUCACAUUAAUUAGAGGAUAAGUCCAGAUCAACUCAAGUUCUUUUGGAAGGCAACAAGAAGGUUGUAUCCAUAUUCAAAAGGUCAAGGCUCCGUUUGGAAUAGCUGUGUUUGGGGUUGUUUUUAAAAUAUUUUACUAUAGCAAUGUAUAUGAAAAACUUUUACCGUAGAUGUUUUUGGUGGUAUUUUUGAAAUAUUUUGGGGAUAUUUUUAAAGUUUAAAAACUUUUAGUGUAUUUUUUAAAAAUUAAAAUUACCACUCACCACCGCCACCAUCGCCACCCCCUCCCUCCUCCUCUCUCUUCCUCCUCCUCCCCCUUUCUCCUUCCCUCCUUCCCCUUCGUCCUCCUUCUCCCUUCCCCUUCCCCUCCCUUUUCCCGCCACAACCCUGCCCAAUCUAGGCACGGACAGCACGGGGAGAGGGAGACGGGAGGGGCGGGGGUUGUGGCGGGAAAGGGGAAGGGAGGAGGGAAGGUGAAAGAAGGGAGGAGAAGAGAAGGAAAAAGAGGGUGGGAGAAGAGAGUGGAGUGGAGGGGAUGGGGGUGGGGGUGAUAGAUGGAAGAAGAAAAUGGUGUACAUUUAAUUUUUUUUUGUAUAGUUGGAGUUGUUUUUGAUAUACUGUAUGGAUGUGGUGUUUUUAGAGUUGUUUUUGUUUGUGUAUUACUGUAGCAUUGCAUAUGAAAAACUUGUUGUUCAAGGUAAUUGCUUAUCAAAAUAUUGGUCAAAUAAGGCUACAAAGAUAGACACUUGAUGUGGGCAGUCAAUUGCUUAUUCACAAUCCACUGAAAAAUCCUGCCUUUGACAGCUUCUCUUUCUAUCAGAAGUACACAUCCUGCUUUCUACCCAUAAGAGACAAAUCACACAUAGUGACCAUCUCUAAAAUCAAGUUCCUUGUUUACUCCAAAAGAUCCAUUUCAAGAAGACAGGCUAAUACAUGCUUAAUGUCAAGUAUUAUCUGGAGAUGAUGACAAGCCAAAAACAACAGUGACUACAAACUUUUAGCCACUUCAAAAUGCAGUGAUACAUGUCUUACGGUUCUUAGUUUCUUAAGCUUGAAAUUUUGGUGAUGAAGUAACAUAAUCAUUUCAUUUUGCACCAGAUGUUCUCUUGUAAGAUGCUUAUAUGAAGAGUGGAUUUAAUUGGAAGAGCAAUUCUUAAGGAAUUAACAGAGUUAUCAUAAUCAGGUUCCACAAAGACAUCUGUUCAGUCCUUUCAAUCAGAAUGGCAAUUUAUAACUUUCAUGUCAUCCCAUCUGAGUCAGAUAUCUCAAACUUGUCAUAUCAUGCCAGUAAUAUGGGUUUAACGCUCUCAUGCAACUAGCCAACUAACAUUCAAAACACCCCCCCCCCCCACAACACUCUUCCAUUGAUAUGAAAUCACAAGUAUUACAUGCGUGACCCAUACCAUGGGACAAAACCAUUUACCUUCUUUAGAGAGGAAACCAAUGAAAAUAAACAGAAGCACCAGAAUAGUCAUGUGUGUAAAACAAAUGCACAGAAUGUAAAGAAAAACAACAUUAUCAUCUUCAUUAAAUUGAAAAAAGAGUUGCAGAAAAUUGUCACAUCAAAACGUUUCCAAAAAGGUCAACAAAAUUGUAAACAUUCGUCUGCUUCCUGAAAUGAGAUGACUAUUAAGCAUUUGAAAAAGGAAGAUGAAUCUCACCACUCUCUCCAUUUCUUCUUCAUACUCUUCCUGCAUCCUACGGUUGUAUCUUUUCCAUGCUUCCUCCUGAAAACUUGUCCUGGAAGUUUUACCAGAAGCACUUUUCCAUGAUGCUUUUGACCUGGUCAACUUUUCAGAACGACAUCAUCUAUCAUCAGUUCAACAUGCCUUCAUGUUUUCUGUUCUAUGGCAUUAUUAGCGAGAAAAUCCACCAUUGAAGAAUCUUAAGAAUCAAUAACUAAUGUGUUCAAACGUCAAACAAUAUGCCAAAAUGUGUUCAAACAUGUUCAACAUGCUUUCAUGUUUUCUGUUCUAUGGCAUUAUUAACCCAGUUUCCAGCACACAUGUCUUCAAACGUCAAACAAUAUGUCAAAAUAUUUACCAAACAUAAUUCUUUCUCUGCUCUCCCAUCAGUAUUGGGAAAACUUAUUCACAAGUCAAGAUAAAGUAACUGUUGCCAAUAUUUUCAAUUUUUAUAAAUUAAGUCACCAAGCAAAAGCUCGGUAAAAUACUUAACAAAAAUUGUUGCAGACAUAUAUCUGCGAACUAUAUUCAUGUUAGACCAUUCAGCCAGGAAUUGCAAAGCUAAAGGCUUCCGUAUUAUAUUUCCUCCACUAUCCAAGAGAAAAACUAAUUGAAGGACACGAGCGAUUUUUUUUUUCUUGUCAAAGAGGUACACAAGCAUUUAAUUCAUCAGUUUCAAAGAUUUGGGAGAGAGAGAGACUUUAAUUCCCUAAGGAAAGGGAACUAAGCAGCAAGAAAUUGAACAAGUAAACAAUUUUUCCCUGGCCUAGACAAAUUAAACAAUUUUUGCAAGUACAUCAGCUUGUAGCAUUAUCAUCAACUUCAGUCACCUGUUUAACAGUAUCAACUUAAAGAGAUGUGGUGCCAAAAAUCUAGUUCAUGCACCAGAUCAUAUUAAUUAAAUCUCACAUUUGAAAUAAUUAAUAUUUACAUUAAGUUUGCAGCUUCGUUUUCCAUAUGUGCCCCACAAUCUCCACUCUCCCAGAACCACACCUCCCACAGAGCUAUGGCCCACUCAAGACCAGCAGUCCUAAAACUUGGAAUGCUCUAUUCUUGUUUCCAUUUUUGUUUAUUUCAGUCUAACUUUCUUAUAGGUGCAAAGUUUCCUGUUCACCUUACUCUACCAGAAAAGCAGAAAUAUUUUAUAAAAGCUGAGCAUGUGCGCAUCUCACCAUGUUAUUCAUAAAAGAAUUUACAGAACUGGAAAGGAGCAUCAUUCAAAGCAACAUGACAUCAUCAUAGAAACUGAAAAGUAAUUCUAUGGUGAUGCUAAGACAGCUCAUCGCAAUCCCCCAACAGGAAACAAAAAGAGCAUCAGUAACUACCUGAGAGUAAACCCAAUCAACAGAUCUUCGCAAUUGAGUAACCUGCAAAAAAUUGCAACUGGUGUGAUUCAUCCACCAGAAAUGGACCACAAAGAAACACCACCUGAAGAUCUACUAGCACAAGUUUUAGCAGAAACAACAAUCAAAUACAUUUUAAAAAUUCAAUGAAGAAGAACAUAAAUCGAGUUGUAAGUCCCUGACAUCUGCUGACAACAGCAACGGAUCAGAUGUAUCACUCCCAUCUAACAUCUAAGGCGAUCAGUCUACUUCUUCAGCAUUACUUCAACAUUUAAUCUCAACCAUCCAUCGAAAGCAACAGAUCAUUCUACUUCCAGAUUCCACAAGUGUGUCUGGGCUUUACCAACUGUUCAAUGGCCCCUUCACAGAGUUCUUCUGAACUUCUACAAUUACCCGACCAAACACGAGAAAAUUCUCCCCAUACCAUAAACACCACCAAGAACCGCGCAAGGAAAUCAAACCUUUAAUUUGGUCCAACUCAAUUCUAAGACAAGUAAUUGCUAAAAUCAUUUCUUCAUCAAUAGCACUUCUCAUGUAUUAGUUUAAGUACAAAUGCUCAACUAACAGAUAUUUCUCCAACAACUAAUAUUAGCAAAACUAACUAAAUCUCUUCCUACAAAGUUCCAGUAAUAAUGUGCGGGAAAAAUAUCAUCGGAAGAAAUAAAUGCCAACUAAAUUGUGUACAUAAUUCAUUGGAAUUAACCUAAAGUAUUACAAAAAAAACAGAACUUGCACAAUCAAAACGAGAAAAUUGAAAACUGUAAAAGUAAUUAACCAAGAGAAACUUACGGCAGCGGUGGUGGCGGUGGCGCCAAUUAAUCCGAAAAGUAGAAUUCCCCAUAUUUUCAUGUCUUUUUCACUAUCUGGAGAAUAACCAGGUCUGCUUGGUUGCUGCGGCCAUGGAUUAUUAGGUUUAGGAUUUUUAUCCGCAGCAGCAUCAUCUUCCUUUGCCAUCUUUAUCAACUUGUAGAAUGAAAUUUGGGAUUUUAGCUAUCCAGAACCUGGAUUCGUUUAUUAUCUCUUCUUUCUUGAAAUGACGAUUUGGACUAAAUUGUCAAGUUGCAAAACAGCCUUAUUAAAGCGUAGAUUACCUUAUUCCUCUGUGGAUUGAAGAAUUAAUUGGGAAAAAACAAAAAGAAAAGAGCUCUGGGGUCUGGUUCUGAAGAAUUUGAGAAGACAAAUGACUACCUGAAGAAGGAGAUCGUAAAUUUGGGAAAAAAAAAAAAUGGAGAUCGUAAUUCUUUUUUUUGUAUAUAACAUUUACCUCCCUUGAGGUUUGACCAAACUACUAAAUAAACCUUGCAGUUUGAUCAAAUUACAUUUACCCCCAACCCCCCAAAAUAUGUAACAGCGUUGAAACUUGAAACUCCACUAACUCAUAUACCGAAAGGACAAAAAUGCCCUGACCUAAAAUAUUUAAAAAACAAAAAACUAAACAUGAUAAUUUAAAACAAAGAAAUGUGUAAAAGGAAAAUCCAAAAAAAACUUAAAUUAAUAAUUUGGAGAUCGUAAAUUGGAGUCGACAAUGGGAGAAGAAAAGGAAACCAAUUUUGUCUCAUCAUACUUUUUUUUUCAUUUUUCCUCUCUUUCCCCUUUUUUUUUUACUUUUUCCUGGACGAUUUUUUAUUCACUUUUUCCUGUUUCUUUUUCUUGUCUCUUCUUAGUCUUUCUUUCUUCAUUUUCCCCUUUAUGUUGUUGUAUACAUGUUCAUGUAGUUGAUUUUAAUAAUAACAUAUUGGGAUAAUUGCAGAAACCUCCCUUUAAAAUUUUUGAUAUUUGCAUCAACCUCCCCUAUAGUUUGAAAAAUUACACUGACCUCCCCUGAGGUUACUAAUCCUUUGCAAAUUCAGUCCAAAUGAUUAAAAUAUUGUUUUAGGGAGUGAAAUUAUAAUUUUUUUAUCAAAUUUGUCCUUUGUACUACAUGUCCAAUGAAUGACAAAAUACUACAAAUCAAUUAACAAUUAAUAAAUUUUAAGGAAUAUUUAUAGGCAAAUAUGCAUUACCUAUUUAAAGCACCGGUUCUUUAUGGGUAUUUUACUUUCAAACAUUUAAUUUAAUACAAAUAUUUAAGCUCAAAUACAUAUUUGUAUUUAUUUUCAAAUAUUUAAUUUUUAUUAAAUACAAAAACUACCAAUCUCUCUUCCGUAAAAAUAUUAAGAUAACACUUUUUCAAUUUUAGUUACAAACAUUUACGUAUUUAACAUAAAUUAAAUGAUUCAGAAUAGAAUACUCAUAAAGAGCCAAUACUUUACUCAUGUAAUGGAUGAAAUCCAUACAAAAUUAAUACUUUAUGGAUCAUUUUUUUAAAAAAAUUAUUUAAUUUAUAUUAAAUAAAUAACCUAUCGAUUUUCUUUUUGCAAGAAUAUUACUGUAACACUUUUUGAAUUUUACUAACAAACACUAAUAUAUAUAUAUAUAUAUAUAUAUAUAUAUAUCAUAAAUUAAAUGUUUGAAAGUAAAAUAUCCGUAAAAAAUCGGUACUUUAAAUGAGUAAUGCGUGUUUACCUAUAAAGACCUGGUAGAGUAUUUUACUUUCAAACAUUUAAUUUAAUACAAAUAUUUACGCUCAAAUACAUAUUUGUAUUUACUUUCAAAUAUUUGAUUUUUGUUAAAUACAAAACCUAUCAAUCCUUCUUCCGUAAAAAUAUUAAUAUAACACUUUUUCAAUUUUAGUUACAAACAUUUAUGUAUUUAACAUAAAUUAAAUGAUUCAGAAUAAAAUGCACAUAAAUAGCGAAUACUUUAUUCGUGUAAUGGAUGAAAUCAUAAAAAAUUAAUAUUUUAUGGGCCAUUUAUUUUUUAAAAAAAAUAUUUAAUUUAUAUUAAAUAAAUAAUCUAUCGAUUUCCUUUUUGUAAGAAUAUUACUAUAACGCUUUUUGAAUUUUACUUACAAAUAUUGAUAUAUUUAUCAUAAAUUAAAUAUUUGAAAGUAAAAUACUCGUAAAGAGUUGGUACUUUAAAUAAGUAAUGCAUGUUUGUCCAUAAAUUACACUCCUUAUAAUUUAUUAAUUGUUAAUUGAUUUAUAGUACUUUGUCAUUCAUUGGAUAUAUAGCACAAAGGACAAAUCUGGUACAAAAUUCUAAUUUCACUCUCUAAACUAAUAUUUUAAUUAUUUGGACUAAAUUUGCAAAUGAUUAAUAAUCUCAGGGGAGGUCAGUGUUAUUUUUAAAAUCACAGGGGAGGUCAGUGCAAAUGUCAGAAAUCUCAGGGGAGGUUUCUGCAAUUAUCCCAAAAAAAACCCAACUUAUCAAAGGUAAAUUUGCCACUUAAAGGGAUUUAAUCCCUAUAAUUAAAAAAUUGCAAUACUAUAAGGAUCGAUUAGAUAACUAGUUUCAUCCCAUUUCGGUUCCCCUCCCUUGUAGCCCAAAAUAGUAUUGGUAGCAUAAGAUAGUAUUGAUAUUGCCAAUUGUUAAAAAACAAAAAUUAUGCGGUGUGGAUUUCUUCAUCUAUAGUAUUAAAAAAAGUCAACUACUAAAUCUCAUUCCAUUUAGAAGAACAAAACUAGCGAAACUCAACUUACUCGUAUGAAAAUGCACACUUUGGUACUUGUUAAGGUAAUUAGCUUUUAUUGAUCCUUGAAUGAGCACUCGUUGAUAUUUAAAAAAAUAAAUAAAGUAAGUAAAGUAUAUAAAUAUAAGGCAGUGUAAUAACUAUUAGUGUAUGCAUUUAAAAAAUAGAUUGAACGUAAUUUAAGUGAUUGAUUUGGAGCACCCAUGCAAAAAAUCCUAGUAAAAGCAAAUGAAAGCCCUUGUUUUCAAGAGUCAGCUUGGUGAUUAAUUAGGUAACUAGUUUUAUAUAUACGUUAAUUGGCUAUAUCAAGAGCAAAUGCCAAUCUUUGUCCCAAGAUUUAUACUUAAAUUGGCUAUAAUAAGAACAAACAAAAGCCUUUGUCUCCAAAAUUUAGUCUUGUUUGACAAAUGAGUUUUUUUAAUAUUUAUUUAAAAUUUUACUGUAGCUUAUCGCAGAAAUUGUAGAAAAAAUUUGUAAAAUGAAAAACUUUUUUUUCUUUCCUCUCUUCUUCUUCUCCAUUCUUCCUCCCCUGCCACCUCUCCCUUCCCUCCCGCUAGAAAUUGCAAUAGAAACAAUUUUUUUUUUUGCUUUAUUCUCUCUUUCUUUCUUUUCUCCUUCUCCCCCGCCAUCUCUCUUCCCCCUCCCCCUCCCCCUCCCCCCAGUCACAAUUUAGUUGUGCGACCGGGGGAGGGGGAGCAUGGCAGGGAGAGAGAGGUGGCAGGGAAGAGGGGCGGGGAAGGGAAAGGAGGAGGGAGAGGGAAAGGGAGAAGAGGGAAAACAAAAUUUUUCUCUGUUGGCGCUAGAAAAGGUGUCUAUCAGUAUUGGCCAACGGCGAAGGUGGUGGUGGAUUGAAGUGGGGAAGAAAGAAGAAGAAAGGAAUAAGGAAAAUGUGUGUUUUUGGUAUUUUAAAAUGUGUAUUUUAAAAACUUUUGAGAAAAUUUUUGAGAUUAUGUAGUUAAAGUCGUUAAAAAAACUAGUAAAAAACAAAACUUGGACAAAAACUCAUUUGGCAAACAAACCCAUAAAUUGGUAUCCAACUCAACUUGCAGGAAGAUUAACGAAUGAUCAUGAGGUCUUACCUCAAGAUUUUUCGUUUACCCUUUUUCCUAGUAAAACUUUGGAGUAUGCAUUAUAAAAAAAUCUUCAAGCUAUCAAAAAACUCAUUUUUCUAGUAGAUAUGGAUAAAAUUUCUUAAAAUUUAUAUUAAAAAAAAUCAUGCCAUCUAAAUCAGCAAUUUCUAUUUUUGUGUAGUAAUUGAAAAAUUAAAAUUGAGUACUUUAAGUUAAAUAUAUAACUCAGUCGAUGGUUUCUUUUAAAUUACCGGCGCCUAAUGCAUACCCAAUAUGUGUGCAAUCAAAAAAUAUAUUCACGGUCAUAUGUUUUAAAUAAAAUUUUUAUUACUGAAGCAAAUUUUAAUCUUUUAAAUAUUUUUCAUAAAAUAAUUUUAUAUUGAUAGUUAUAAAUUAUAACUUAUAAUGUUUAGGGGUAGUUAUGUUGAACAUAUAUUUAAAUAGUUAAAAGUAAAAAUAAUUAUGAAUAAUUAUAGAUAAUUAAAAUAAAAAUAUUUUUUAUAAGAAUAAAAGAGAAAGUUUAUAAAGCCGCAAUGUUAACUUCAAAGCCUUUUCAUAUAGUAUAGAUAUAUAUAACUCUCAGCGUAAGGGUGUCGGCGUACACUAUACACAAAUACACAACCGUCAAAUAACAGGCAAACCCGCGCCAUUUACAGCUAAUCCCCUCUUUCCACAAAAAGUAAGUCAUUUCUCCUCCCAAUAUCUUCCAUCCUCCCCCAAUUUCAUUCAUUUUUCUACUGAACAAGAAAUCAAGUCCAACGCCAUCGUUGUCAGGGCAGAUCUAAAAAAAUGCGGAUGAGGUUGAUUUAGUUGCUUUUAUCAGGUACCAAUUAAUUAAUCAUUUUCGACCCAGAUAUAAAUCUUUCGGAUUGGUUGAAUAAAAUUUAUGCAUGCUGAAUAUGAAGAAUUCCUGAAUAAUAGUAGCUAAUUGGUUUAGGUGUUUAGGGUUUAAGAAUGAUGGCAAUGGCAAUGUCAAGGAGGCCGAUAAAUCCAUCUAGACGAGUUGCAGAUAUUGUAGGAGCUUCUCCAGUUCCAACCUCACUUCAUUCGAAAUCUCGAUCGUCACCAUUUCUAUCUCUUGGACUUAUUGUCGUGGUAAUGUUUAUGCUAGAUUCAUUGUUAAUUCUCCAUAAAUACUUUACUUAAUCUCAUUUCUUGUUAAAUUUUAUUUUUAUUUUCAGGGAUCAAUCCUUCUUAUUGGCUAUUUUUAUCGUGGCUCAGGUCCGUUCGACUCAGUUUCCAUUUGUAACUACUUGGUAUUUUCUUUAGUUGAUAAUUUUUGCGUAUAAAUUCACCAUCCCAUAGCCAAAGUAGCUAAGUUUUAUUUGGAAAGAAAAAAUAUGGAGAAUGGUGCAGACUUUGGCAGGCCAGAUUAUACUUCCCUAGCCAGUAGCUGGAACUUAUGCUGAUUGAAAAUCUUGAUAGAGUAAGGAAUCAAUAUAAUUAAGCGUUAUUACUAUCAAAUAAACAAGUGUGGUUUCUGACCUUUCUGAUAUCAGUGACUGUUAAAAUGUGGUAUUUUGUGAUUUCCUCUAAAGGCAGAGUGAAAUACCUAUACCCUACUUGGAAUCCAUGAGUCUGUGGUAGUACUGAACCUGGAGAUGAUUAAUACAAAUUCAAAUCAAUCAGGGGUUUCUUAGAAUAAGUGAAUAAGUGACCUUUGUUAAGGGCACUAUACCUUGGACACAAAAGUUAAUGCUAAUCACUUUUCAUCACACACUUCGGUUUUCCUCUUCCUCAAUGCUUGGACACAAAAGUACUGUGUUAGAGUCAAUGAGCAUCUUUUCUUCUUUAUGUAUCCAUAUUAUUCCUGAGAGCUCUCCCUCAUCCAUUUCUUGUCUAACAUUUGAAAUUAAUUGUAUGUUGCAUCCUAUUUCCUUAUUGAAUUUUAACUAUAUUGUUAAGCAUGCCCCUGAGACAAACACAACGUUGUUUUGUUUUUCUCCUUUAUUUAAAUGUGGAACAUUAAUUUGUUUCCACUAUAAGAAAUUGUGCCUGAUUUUAUGGGUUUCGAUAGUAAGCUAUGUAGACUAUGGAAGGUGCAACUAUCUAAGUUGGUACUUGGUUUGCAAAGUUAUUUGUUUCCACUAUGAGAAAUUGUGUCUGAUUUGAUGGGUUUCGAUAGUUACUUGGAGUAUCUACUAUGAUGUAGACUAUGGAAGGCACAACUAUCUAAGUUGGUACUUGGUUUGCAAAGUUAUUUUGACUUGCUGCAUUUACUACCCACUUGUCUAUUCACUGAGAACCUAUUUUGCCUGACAGGUGGCUUUGGUCAUAUAGGAGCUGUCAGCAGGGUUCAAGGUAAUUCACCUCUGAUUCAUUCACUUGAGUUCUGGCUUUAUUUGUGUGCCCUGUAUAACUUUUUCAAUUUGCCAGUCUUGCUGGUUGAUACAUGGAAGUUAAAUGUAGACUUGGCUUACAUUAUUGAUGAGAGUUGAAAGCUUUGGUUGAGACUAGAAUUUUGAAUUGUCUGUCUCCUAAUUCCUAGAAGAUCUCGGGGUUAUGAAAUGGAUCUAAAAUAUGUAAAUGGCUCUUUGUUUUGUGCUUGAGGUCCUUGAGUUGUCAUCUGAUGUUAAAUCAUGAACCAUGAAAAUUUUGAGUUCUAGACCUGCUUCUUGUUGGUAACUAACUAGAUCAUGGGCCGUCUUUAUUUUGGGUAAACAUUUAUACAAUUAAACAUGUGAAAUGAUAUUGGGAGUGAUGCUCUUCAACAAUAGAAAAUAUGCAAGAUUGGUUCAUUAACUACGAAAACUGUAGCCAUAGUGGAGAUCUGAGCUUUGCAUAAUAAACAGUCCCAUGCAUAAAAACUGCCUAAGUUGUUGAGGCUAUCAUAACAGUUAAUCAUUUUAUCACUUAUGCAAUUCUCUAGUGAUUCACUAUUUAGCAUGUUGACUGAUUAAAUUUUAUUUUUGAUGCUUAGAGGUGGGGACCCCUAUCUGAAAUUAAUGUAGAUGUCAGUGUUUGACAUACAGUCUUCCAUUUAAAAAUCUUGGACUUCUUUAUUAUGUGCAGGGGAUUUCUCAUGUACUACAGAGGUUCAACAGGCGAUUCCUUUUCUGAAGAAAGCAUAUGGUGACAGCAUGCGCAAGGUGUUGCAUAUUGGUCCAGAUACUUGUUCGGUAGUUUCCGCACUAUUAAGAGAGGAGGAUACUGAAGCUUGGGGACUGGAGCCAUAUGAUAUAGAGGAUGCUGAUCACAGUUGCAAGAGUCUUGUACAUAAGGGUCUUGUUCGUGUGGCUGAUAUCAAGUUUUCUCUUCCAUACAGGGCAAAAUCAUUUUCUGUUGUGAUUGUCUCAGAUGCACUGGAUUAUUUGUCCCCAAAGUAUCUGAAUAAAACCCUUCCUGAAUUGGCAAGGGUUUCAGCUGAUGGACUUGUUAUUUUCACUGGUAAGUUGAGAUUCUGCUACAUUUCGCUAGUUCCUUAAAAUUGUUAAAUGUUCUGGGAAAGGUCCUUUUUUACUUUUCUACUAAGUUCCCCUUAUAUUGUUUUUCAUCAACCUUUAUUAUGCUUUACUUUUUACCUUUCCUUUUAGAUUGUAAGAAAUCUUAAUCCUUUUAGGUGAGAAUUUUGUGAUCCUUGGGAAUAAUUGGGAUAGAAACCAAAUGCUGCGAUAUUGAGCUUAUUAGAUGAAUACAAAAUCUGCUAUCUUUUAAUUUAUUUUGAGAUUUUUUGCUGAAAUCGAAGUCAGUAUUUCUUUUCAAGAAGUUUUCUGCAAAUAUUUUGUUGCCUUUGCUGGUCAUUGGUUGGGAUUGUUGCUAUUGGUGUCUUUCCUCCUAUGUUGAUCGUUGUUUAGAAAGAUGCAGAAAACAGUCUCAUUGCCACUGUCAGUGGAGCAUAAUUGCCAUGGUGUUUUAUGGAAUUAAAGAAACAUUACAUCAGUUCCGGCAAAGUGCAUGCAAUUAUUUGGGAUUGGAAAAGAGAAAGCAGGCUGUGAGACAUUUUAUGAUGACACAUAUUAUCUAACUCUCCACCUGGCUGCAUCAGUAUUCCCUAUUUCUUAUAUAAUCUGAUUUUACAACAUAUCAGGUUUUCCACAGCAUCACAAAGCAAAGCCCACGGAUAAAUCCAAAUUAGGGCGAUCUGUAAGUAUCUUUGUAUCCUAUGCUACAUUUGUUUUAUUAUUCAUUGUUGUCUAUUUUGCUUAUGUUCACCUUUUGGAAAUAAAAUCCAUAGUGUCUAAAGUUUGCACAACAGAAGGUCAUAUUCUUUCUGAUCAAUGUUUGAGCAUGUUAAUAUCGUCUCACACUUGAAGCUUUUUUCAAUUAAUAUCAUUGUUAUCAAUUUUUGGUUGUGUUAUUUUUAUCUCUCAUGCAAAUUAUUCCGAGUCAUAUCCUGAUUUCUCAGGGUUUUAUAGUAUGUUGGCCAUAAUGUUCAUCUGUGCAAAUUCAGGUAGAUUUUCAGAAAUGGCACCAUCUGUACAAGUCUUCUUGUUUGUUAUGAUUGCUGCUUAAGGCUUCAGGUUUAAAUAAUGUUGUAGCAACACAGAUAGAAGCAUACAAAAUGUCUGCAAGAGUAAAACUGAAUAUGAGUAGAGAGUUGAGUCUGGAAAAUGGUCUUCUGGGCUUGACAUAUCUAAAUGGAUUAUUAAUUUCCUGGGGGAACCACUAAGGUGCUGAAUCGCUGGACAAUAGCAAAUAUAAAACAAUGAAAAACGAUGGGAUUAUACAAGGGCAUCAAAAAGAGAAACUAAAGACAGUGACUUUCAACCACCUAAUUCCCUCCGUUUGAUGAUUACAGAAACAAUUGAAAGCUUCUUCAAUCUUGUUACGCUUGAAGAACGCAGGCAUGUAUCAUUGAAAUUUCAAACAUAACAUACUUACUAGUUCUUCUCUUUUGCUGGCACAACGCUUACUUUCUCUUAUGGAGAAAUAAGUAUCACAAUUCAUGAUUUGUUUUCAAAAUUUGUGUGAUGAUUUAUGUUUAAAAUUAGGGACAUAACAUACUCCAAUAUAUUUUAUCUUCUUACUGAGAAAAUAUUUUAUACCUCGUGAUGUUUAAUCAUCCACUUAGGGCUGAAAGAAUUUCUCCCCCACUCUUAUGAUUUUUUUUUUUGGGGGCUGUUGGGCAUGGGGUGGUUAAUAGGCUAAACUAAGGAGCGCAACCUGGUGGGUUCGACAUUUUGUUCAGACAAGUUUGGAAGAAAAUGAAGCUGCCGUGAAAAAGUUUGAACAAGCUGCGUUGAGAAGAUCUUACAACCCAAGUUGCCAAAUAUUUCACUUGAAGUCAUAUCAAUAAAGUUUUGGAGUUUUGUCAGCUGAAGUGCCUUUCCAGUUUCCUCGACCCUUAAGUUACAACAUUUAUUUAGUUCCAAAAGGCCAUUGGACCAGUAACUCUUAGAAACGAUUUAAACAGUUGAGAUCUUUGGGGCAUUUAUGGACAAAAUAGGCCUCUGCUUCGUGAUGAAGAGGUUGGAUUUCGGCAGAUUAUUGAUCAAUUGUAAGCGGGAAAUGUAGCUAACAUCUGGUAAUGCGUACCUAUUACUAGAUUUCGAUGAUUAAAGCAGCUUACUAUAGCUUCUCAUUACAAUGGGCAAUGGUCGGAUGAGAACAUCACGGUCAUUGUUCAAAGCAUAAUCAAUGUUACAGCAGUAAUAUUAUUAACUGAAAAUUGACAGAAUCUCUUUUCUUUCUGGUCCUGAAACGGUGUAAAGGAUGUUGAUUUUACAAUGUUCUUCCUUUCAUGGAUUCUCUUUUGCCGGAAUCUACUACAAAAUACGAGCCAUUGUGAAGUCAGUAUUUGUUUACGUACGGGAGGGACAUCUAACAUGUUUACAGCAUCCAUCUUGUCUAUAAUCUAGCAGAAACGCACGCACACACACACACAUAUGGUAAAAAUAUUUUCUUCGGCAGUUGUAUUAGAAAUGCUAGAGAGCCAAUUGAUUUUACUGCCUGAAUUUGGUUGUAAUCCUCAUUUGGAUUCCUGUAGUUCUUGAUUAACAAUAAUGUUAUAACUUAAAAAAAAAAAAAAAGAAGAUUAACAUGAGUGUUAUCAUAGCACAGGACAUAUGGUUUGGGACAUUGAUAACUGAUCCGAAAGGGCUCCAAAAAGCUUAUGACAUAUACUCAGGAACAUUGAUAACUAAUCCGAAAAGGCUCUAAACAGUUUAUGCUUGGGAGAAAGGGUAAAUGGAUCCGUCCAUUUCUUCUCUCUCGUUGCAAUUCAGAGAAAUUAUCUUUAAAUUCCAGAUAAAUGACUGUCUCCUCUUUAAAUGAUGAGCGACCAUAUUGUCAACCCAUGUUGCUGUUCUUCUUGUGCUACUGCUCUCUUUUAUGCUAACAUUGAAUGGAUUGAAGUGCCCUCCAUGGAUGACUUUCACACUGAUAUGACUUUUCACGUUGAUGAGCCACAGAGGCUGGACCUUGCAGCCGUUGUUGGGUCUGAUGUGUUGAUUAUGCUUCGGUGGGGUGGGCUGGUAUCGCAAUUGUCAGCAAGAAACACCACUAAGCUAAAAUUCAACACAUUUGUCCCUCACAUCAUGGACUAAAUUAUCCGUCAACUCCAAAUUAAAAAGAUGGGGUGAUUAUUGUGACUAAAGUAAACAACCGAGUUCUUGUGUUUAUGCUAGUUACAUCUUUGACCUACCCAGAGAGAGAGAGAGAGAGAAAAAGAAUAGUAUAGUUUAGAAUUUGUGAGUGAGCCUUAAUUUAGUAGUACAUUUGAUGCAUGCAACUUUUAAUGCUUUAGGAACGAAGCGAAUACAGUCAGUUUAAAUAAGAGUAGCGAAAUGGUUCGUCUUACUUAUCGAGUACGUACGAGUAUUUGAUUGUCAUAUUCUCCAUUUUCCUUUCCCGGUUUCAUCAUUCCUCUCCCAUUUUCCUUACUUUUCAUAUACUGAUGGACCAAUAUCGCUGGUUGAAGAAAGAACACCAAUGCAAUGGAGCCAUCAAGAAAAAGAUGUUUCAGCUGUAAGUUCAGCUAGUCAAGUUUACGCUCCAUUACUGCCAUGUAGAUGAAAGACAGGAUCCAAUUAUUGGUUCCAUUUGAGGAGCAGAAGUUUUAUCCACUUACCGCCAAUAUUGAAUCUCUGAUAGACCACUUACCCCUUUUGCUUUAAACUGAAAUUACACAAAGCACAGCUGAUCUUUUGUACUUCUGCUUCCGUGUUUGCCAUUUUGGUGAAGGGUUGCGUGGAGGGCGAUGGAAGUCAAGUGAAACAUGCAACGCAUUAAAUUUUGGAUAGCUCGAGAGAAUUUUUGAGUUUCAUUAUUAACUUCUAGAUAAAUGCAUGCUUUCUUUCUAUCACAUUUCCAUGCAUGAUGAUGGUCGACUUGUAAGCUGGUGAAAAAGAAGAACUGGAAUUGACAGCCUCCUCUGCCUACUACUCCCAGUCCCAGUUCAUCAUCAAGUCUUCUAUUGCGAUUUUUCUGUUCUCACACAUGGAUGCUGCAGCAAAUUGACUGAAAUGUACUUUUGGAGGGAUUGAAUACCACCAAAGUCCUACUAUAUAGUGUGUGUCUUUCAUCUUUUUUGACUUUGCGUUUUCCUGAUUGUCCUGGUUGAAGCUGUGACCAGUCAUGCGUGUCGAGGAGGUCUAACCAGUCACUUAUUCCGCUUGCAGAUUAUUUUUUUUCAUUCCAUCGUUGGAGAUUUAGUGCUCGUUUUUUCUUUCAUUUUUUUUUGGGGUGUUAUGUUUUUCUUCUUUCUUGCUUUAUAAUUUCAAGCAAAAUUAUGCUAAUGUUGGAUCAACCCUGUUUCUACCAAUCUUCACUAUGAUUAUUUGCCUCUGCUUUUUCAUUGAAAGAAAAAAAAAAUAUAUAUAUAUAUAUAUAUGUGUGUGUGUGUGUGUGUGUGUGCAUAUUCCGACACAAUUUCCGUAUACAAUCAAGAUUCGUAACUUGAAAAUUCAGUGGUUGUGAGAGUUCUCAAAACUGUUGCAGAGGCAAGAUUUUUGGAGACAAAAUUGGAUUGGCUUGCAUUGUCGAGGGUGAAAAGCAUUUGUUGUUAUUAUCCGAAACCGAUCUCAAUAGUUAUCUGCGGGUUAUCAUGUUUACACUCAAAUGGCAAAUUUUGUUCUUGGGAUUGAAACGUGGUCUUAAAGCAUUUCGUGGCCAUUCUAAAGACACCCAUCCAUUUCUAUCCAGACUUUGUUAACUUGGAAAUUUUAUCUGUUAAAAAUUCAGUAGGCCAAUGUUAUUUUUUGCUCUUUGUUCUUUUUCCUCGCAGACAAGUAUUACUACUUCUUCCGUCCUAUAUUUUUUGAAUGUCCCAAAAUAUUUAUGGUUCUUUUAAAAUCAAAAUUACUUUUAAUCUUUUUCUCCCUCUAAUGUUAUCUGCAUGCACCUUUAACAUCAUCAGCUAGCACGCCAUUAAUUUUUUAAAAAGUCGAAAUUUUGAAAUGCAACAAAUAAUUUGAGAAGAGGACUAGAGGAGUACGUAGUAUAUAUUUUAAGUUAGCGACUAGCGAAAGGUGGUUUCCAUCCUUUCCUUAACUUAGUCACACCUACCUACCCAAAAUACAGAGAGCUUAGUGGUGGGGGGUGGGGCUGUGGGGUAAGGAGGCAGGGGGAAGAGGGGGAUUAGAUGUCAAUGGAAUAAGCAAUGUGCUCCCAAAGCUUCAUCUUCAGGGAUGGGGGGUGCCGGCCUUUUUGGUGAAGCAUGAAUCAUGGCCUAACAUGCAUAUCCUGUCGUAUGUUACAUUCUACAAUAAUAAUAAUAUCUUGCAGGUCCCCAAAAGGAUCCAACUUAUUUGUUCAAAAUUAGUGGAGGAUAACCUUAAACGCGGUGGGAUCGAUAGACCUAUUGAUAUUUGAAUGAAUAGUAUGCGUAUUUUCAAAUGUAGCAAAGCGAAAGAAAAGGAGUUAGCAACAUGGAAUCCAAUCCACCGGCCACCAAUACUAGUUAGUAUAUGGAUGUUCUUUGACUCUAUCAAUAUAAUAUGAUAGAGCACAAGAAUCUGAAGAUUUUCUAGUAGAUUUUGGGGGCAAGUUUCCAGAAAAUGAAGAGGGAUUAAUUAUUGAGAUGCCCAAAAAAUUACAUGCACGAUCAAUAUUUGUACAUUUAUUUAUGAUCGAUCAAUGUGAAAUCUAAAGCAACUCAAACUGUAUUCCUGGAAUUCUCCAACUUGAGAAAUGAUUGGUGUAAUUAAGGUCGAAGGAUGGAGCAAAUGCCAUAUUCCGACCUACAGUUGCAAAGAGGAAAAAGGACGUUUUCUUUCUGAAAAGCAAGCAAAUUAUGCAGUGCUAUAUUAUAUAUGCCAUCAAUAUGCAUUAGGUGUUACAAAUAAAUAUCUAGUAGGCUUUCCUGCUCUCUCCUAUUCCAGUACUCACAUGAUCACGAAUUUGUACUACUGUUGAAUGACUAAAGAUUUUACAAUGUACAGCCAUAAGGCAGCAUGCAUUUGUAAAUCUUUUGCGGGGUGUAACCUUUUGGUUUGGCUCUGGAAAUAAAUUGACCACAAAAGAAAAAAAGAAGAAGAUGGAAUUGAAUUUCACAAGUUGAGACUUGCCACGUCUAUCAGUGGCUAUUUUUCCAGUUGGAGGUGGAUUACAGUAGUGUGUGUUUGGAAUCCUGGCCUCAGUCUUUCAGACACAAAAAGUGCAUAUGAGAAAUGGCAGACAUGCAACUGACAUAAAACUUUAGAACCAGAAGAGGAAUGGAUAGUUGUAUGGGACAAAGUGACUCUCAUAAGGGUUGCAGUUCUACGCUCUAGCAAAUGCUUUUCGAAAGGAUUUUCUUUUUUUUGAAGUCUCUUCCAAUCAAUGCAUGGAAAGCCAAACAAGACUACCCAAGUUGUGGUCAUGGACCACCUUGGUUUGGGUUUUGGCAGGACACGUAGUAGAGCAAUUGCUACAUCAACAGACAGGAGAUGCAUAAUAUGAGCGCUGUCUCUCCUUCCUGUACUCUUGAAAAUUUGCAUGGCUUUUCUACCCCCCAAAAAGAUUUUUCUUUUUUUUGUUGUUGUUGUUGUUGUCGUAUGCCUUUCAAAUUCACUGCAAGCAAUGAUGAUGUCUAUUUGUUUUAUUUCUCUCCUUCUUGUUCUUCUCAGAAUUUGUGGUUGAGGAUCGGAUCCAAUACGAGUAGUUGAAAGCAGCAAGGAUCAGGGACGAAAAUAGGUUCCUUUGGUUGGAACAUCAAUUUCUUCAUUCCAAAUGAAGAAACUGUUUUUCUUUAAGUGUCCACUUACGGAAAAAUAUAAAGUCUAAAUUCCGUAGUUUCUUAAUCUCUUGUGCAGUCACCAAGCUACUGUUCACAUUUCAUCUUAAAACUAACAAGAUUCAUUGCAUUAAAAAUUUAAUAUCAAUCAAUCAAUCAAAAAUAUUUCUAUUUCUAGAGGGUAUACAGCUGUGUAUCAGGGCAAUUACUAAGCUGGCUGUGGCAGUGUGAAACAAGUACAAAAUGAUUGAUAUUAGAAAGAGUUACCGUUGUGCUGCAUGGAAUUAAUUUAGAUACCAUUCAAAUUCCAAAAGGAGGAAUUGUAUUGUAUUGUUGCAGAAACUUUUUCAAGUCCUGACUUGACAUCCUGUUGGUACAAACGUGCAAGCUAACGCCAUAAACCAGGUGACCUUGAGAAUUUAAGUUGAUGGCAAAGGACGACCUAGGCAGGUAUGAUGAUGGUCUGAAGCAAUCAUGUUUGAUUAUUGUACUUUAUUAAUAUAGAAUUUACUUAUGCAUAGACGUUUUAUAAGAUCUGGCGUAUUCAAACAAAAUUCACGCAUUUAACAGGUUAAGGUAAUGUAAACCAUAAACUGCAAAAAUUCCUUCCACUGAUGUUACCGGACAGCUCAUUUCAUGAAAGUAAUGUACUCGGGUAACAUGGUACUGCGCAGAUGUUCGUACACCCGACUUUGUCAAUAUACUUAGGAUAUUGUUGAUUAUUGCUUUAAUUUGGCUUAGUACUCAGUUUUAGAUCGAUGGCGAAUUCUACCUGAUAUAUGUAAAGAUUCUUUGCUGUAUUGAAGACGCAUACGAGUAUGCAGAAACUUUCUCAAGUUCAUAAUCCAAUCCAGAUUUGUAGCCCCAUACUUGUAAAAAAAAAUUUAUCGGUUUGUUUGGAUGGAGUAUUAUUUAAAAUAUUAUUUGGAAUAAUUACUGUAGCGCUUUUUUUUAUGAUGUGAUGUAUGUGAGAUAAAAAAAUUAUUGAAAAUAUAAAAAGGCAGAUUGAAAAAUGUGGCGUCUGCAUGUUAUUUCUUGGUAGAUGAAUUUAUGUCUUCUUUCUUUAGUACCAUCGCACCAUGCACAGCAAUCAGAUCCAAAGAAUUUCCUCUCAUUGUGUACCUAUGUAUUAGUUUGAAGGGAUACAUCAUAUGUAUUAGUUUGAAGGGAUACAUGAUAUGCUAGCAGAAUAGGCUGAAUCCAUCCCUAUCUCCUUCAUCCCCCCCCCCCCUUCCCCCGGGGCGGCCCCCAACAUCCCAGAAAAAAGAAAAGUGAAAAAGGAAUAAGAAAUUAAAUUUGCAGACUGCAAAUUUCCAUCUCUUUCCGUUUAGGGACCCGCAGGGAGGAAUGAAGGACUUGAGUCUUCAUAUCAUUGAAUCACCAUGGACCCGAGAAGUGAUCUAUAUAUAUUUUUUUUCUGAUUUUUUAUAUAUCAUUUUAUCGUAAAAUACCAAAACUGAACCAUUUAUUGGUCGGGCAACAAUUUUGAUCUGUUUGGUCAAAGAAAUAAUGAACACCGUCCACUACAUCCACAAUACCAUGUUAUUCUUUGUUUAGUCUCACAGAUGGAUCCUAUAAAUGAGUGCCAAUGUUGCAAUCAAACCCUACUCGACUCACAAUCGUUUCUCUUCUAGCUCUGCAUUUGUUUCUUCACUCGAGUUCAAAACAAACUGGUAGACUUUGAUAAACGAGCAUGGAAAUGUUGUCCAAGAAAGCUACAUGCAAAUCGCAUGGGCAAGACUCUUCCUACUUCCUGGGAUGGCAGGAGUACGAGAAAAAUCCGUUCAAUGAGGAUAGAAAUCCAUUGGGGAUCAUUCAGAUGGGACUAGCAGAAAAUCAGGUAUGUAAAAACCAUAAUUCUGUCACAAUUAUUGGAAAGGAGACUAAAAAAUAGAAAAUUUCAUGUGUAUUAUAUGGCCAAUUUUUUUUCCUUUUAAUUAUUUUGGUGAAGUAUUAUAUAACUACAGUUCUGAAUUCGUUGAAUAAGAAGGAAUGGAAUUUAAGCACAGUAUGACGUACGAAAUACAUUCCAACCAUGCAUGCUUCCGAAUGUCAUCUGUUGUAUGUGGAAUCUGCUAAAUUUCCAACCUUACCAGCACACAAAUGGAAUAUACUCUUCGGAAAAGUCUGACCACAAAAUGUUAAAAUAUGAAUUUUCUUUGAGAACCAAUGUUAAUUGAGAGCAAUUUUCCAUGCAUGUGACAUGUCGUACUUAACUCCCUUUUUCUUUCUCUGUCUCUAAUUGCAGCUCUCUUUCGACCUUCUUGAAUCAUGGUUGGCAAGAAAUCCAGAUGCUACAAUGUUUGGAAGCAAUGGAGGAUCCAUAUUCAAAGAACUGGCGCUUUUUCAAGAUUAUCAUGGCUUGCAAACUUUCAAGACUGUAAUGAUUAUCAUUUCACCACAUUUAUGAUUAAUGUGCUAUGUACUUUGCUCUAUUUCCACUGUACCAGAUUGUUUGUCUAAAACUAGGCUCCGCCAUUCUCAGGAGUUGGUUGAAUUUAUGGCCGAGAUCAGACGGAAUAAGGUAAGAUUUGACCCGCAAAAACUCGUACUCACAGCUGGUGCAACUUCAGCAAAUGAGACUCUCAUGUUUUGCCUUGCCGAACCUGGCGAAGCUUUUCUUAUCCCUACGCCUUACUAUCCCGGGUAAUGUCGUCAAACAAGCCAGGAGCUUUUUUGCAGGAAAAUGAUUCAGCCAGUUCCCCCCAUCAACUGUUUUUUUAACCCCUUUCUUUUUUCCUUAUGGUCAGGUUCGAUAGAGAUCUUAAAUGGCGAACCGGGGUCAAAAUUGUUCCUAUACAUUGCUCUAGCUUGAAUGGUUUCAGAAUUACCAAGGCUGCCCUGGACGAAGCCUAUGAUGAGGCGCUAAAACUUAAUUUAAGAGUGAAAGGGGUGUUUAUCACUAACCCUUCGAAUCCAUUGGGCACGACCAUGAAUCAAGACGAAUUUAAUCAUGUCAUCAGCUUUGCGGUGUCCAAAAAUAUUCAUAUAGUUAGUGAUGAAAUAUAUGCUGGAACAGUUUUUGAUUCCUCAAAAUUCACAAGCAUCAUAGAAGCUAUAAUGGACCGGAACCUGGAAAAAACCGAUAUCUGGAGCCGAAUUCAUGUAGUUUCUAGCCUGUCAAAGGAUUUAGGCCUGCCUGGAUUCAGAAUUGGUAUGAUUUAUUCCAAUAAUGAAACGCUAAUAGCUGCUGCUACAAAAAUGUCAAGCUUUGGACUUGUUUCCUCCCAAACUCAAUACCUACUUUCCAAACUUCUUGGAGACAAAAAGUUUACCAGGCACUACAUCCAGGAGAAUCAGAGGCGGCUUAAAAAGAGACAACAGGUGCUGGUCUCCGGCCUUCAAAGUUAUGGGAUCCCAUGCCUAAAAAGCAAUGCUGGAUUAUUUUGUUGGGUAGACAUGAGAAAUUUACUGAGUUCAAAUGCAUUCGAGGCUGAGAUGGAGCUUUGGAAGAAGAUUCUUUAUGAGGUUGGCUUAAACAUCUCUCCUGGAUCUUCUUGCCACUGUACUGAACCUGGUUGGUUUCGUGUUUGCUUUGCAAACAUGUCACAAGAAACAUUAAACCUUUCGAUUCAUCGACUCCAGGCAUUUGUCACUUCCAAUGGAGAUGGAAAUUAUCAGAAUCAGAAGCUGUCCACAAGAAUCUCUAGACGAAAUUCACUAGUGGUUAGCUGAUCAUUUUUCGUCAGUUGGGGUCUUAGUAAUACUGCAUGAACAUGUUACAUGCUUGUAUUUUCGUAAAUUUCUGGGUUAAUUUCACAUACCUCCCCUGAGGUUUUUCACAAUUACAGAAAGCUCCCCUCAAGUUUUAAAAAUUACACCUACAUCCCCUAUUUUCACUAUUUUAGUAACAUUCUAGGCCCAAAAGACUAUACUUUUUUCAAAAUUUCUAUAAUACCCUUGAGUUAUAAUUCACAAUCAAAUGGUUCACAGUCUCUAUUUCAUUUAUCUUUACUUGAUAUCACUAUUACCUACCCAUCAACAUCUAAAUGACCAUUAAAUAAAUACUUAUCUUUGCUCUAAUGUUCCUCUUUUACCUAAAAUUUUUGUAUGCAGACUAUUGUAUCAACUAUAAACGCUACAUCAGAUACCCAAAAACUUACCUACAAUCUCAUAUCAAUUUUAUAUUUUACUUAAUACAUAAUAGUAUUCAUCAAUAUCACUAAAUUUCAAUUCCACGACCGCCACCUUUUUAACACAAAAUAAUUUAAACCAUCACUACUAAUAUCAAUAUCCAAUAUAUUCCAUUGGCACAGAGUUCAAAAUCAAUCAAAUUCUCUCUGUAGGAAUAAUAUCAAUAAUUGUAAAUAAAAAAUAGAAACAUAAUGCAGUUAUAAAUAUAUACCAAGAACAAUUUUUUUUUUCAUGGCAACCACAACAGUAUAACCUAUAUUUAGUUCCUAUUUCACUUCUUAUAUUUAAUUUUUAUUUUUUAUCAUUGUCACUAUCUUCAUCUCUAUCUAGUUUGGUAAUGAAAUGAGUACUCAAUUUGUCAUUUGACAAUUUCAAUUUGUUAAUGCCUAUAAAAAAAAUUGGCAACAAAAAUGGACGCAAGGAAACUAUUUAAUGAUAAUGGAAAAUCGAGAACUGGGAAUAGAUACCAAGACAUGUAAAUAGUGGUGGUUUGGUGUGAAUGGUAAUUUUAUUGCUGGUGACAGUACACAUUUGGUUGAUAAUAAUAAACGAAUGGGUUUGAAAGAAAAAUAAAUGCAGGAGGAAGAUAAUAGAUAGUUAAAUAAGAAAAAUUGUAGUUUGAAUUAUUGGUUGAUAAUAGAUGAGAGAGCCUUAAUAUUUGAAAGAGUUUUUUAAUGAGUUGACAAUUAAUGAAGGGCAUUACUAUCUUUUUAUCACACCAAAGGAGAUCUUUAUAAUUAUGUAAAUAUCAAGGGAGCCGAAUGAAAUUAUUAAAAAUUUUAGAGGAGGUUUCUGAAAUUAUCCCUAAAUUUUACUUUCUAGUAGUUAUCAAUAAUGUACAUAAGAAAAUAGCAGAAGAAGCUGCCUUGUUCGACUCAAUGAUUAUGAUGGACCAUGACUUGUUGGUAAUAGUACAGCCAUGAGAUCCGAGUAGCAAUUUCUACUUGGUGACAUCAUGUUUAUUAUGUACAAGAAUAAUUGAAGAUAUCAGAAGAACUUCGUGGUGGAUGAUUCCUGUUGGGCAUCUCGUUUCCAUGUGUGUCACGAUUGCGAGUUAUUCUCUUGGGUAUAUAUCUUCUUCUUUUAGGAAGAAAGUGAAGUGCACAACUCAGUUGUUUGUCACAAGUCAAAUACAAAUUCAACUACGCCACGACAGCAUAUGACUUUGUAAGAAAAAUAAGUAAAUCUAUCCCUUAAAGAACCAUAAUUAUAAUCCUUAAAGAAAAAAAAAAUUGAACCAGGUACAUAUCGGUGUGUUACAUACGCUAGGAGGGCUGAUGGAUUGGGUGGUUUAGGGAAAGAAGAUUAAUUAUUACAUUGAGAGGAGGGAUGAACUGAGUGGUUUAGAAAAAGAAGUGUAAGUGAUAAGUUUCGAGUUAGAUUAAUUAUUAUCUACAAUUACUGGGAUGUAUAAGAGACUUUUAGAUAUAAUAGAAUAUAACAGUGGAACCCAGACACAUUUUCAGUGGAGGCACAAAUAAAAGAAAAACCUUUUUACUUUUGUAAAUAGAUGCAUACAAUUUUCUAUAACCUAUUGGAAAAAAUUUGUAUUAAUCCUAAACAUGUUUUCAAACAAUCCUUUCAUAUCACAAACAUUAUACAACAAAUAGUGUUACAACGAAGAAUGCAAAAAAAAAAUCCAAAUAAUAUUAACUCCAACGCUCACAUAAAUGUUCAUCUAUAGGAAUAGCAGUGGAUGAUCAAGUAAAAUACAUUACCCAGGGGUAUCCAAUCCAAUAGUUAAUCUGAUUAGACCACCAAUGAAUUAUCCAUUAGAAUUUGAUAUUGAUGAGGGAUUACCAAUGAGUAGGCAAAUAGAAUUUGGUAAAAGGAUUUCAAAACUCAAUACCGGAUACCUAAUUAUAUAUAUAUAUAUAUAUAUAUAUAGUUUGAUUCUUCUUUUGGAUAUUUGCUAAAAUUGCUAAUAGCCAAAGAUAUAUUUUAAUUAAAAGUCUCAAAUGGAGAUAAUUAUUUGCAAAAAUGAAAGAACGUUGAUUUAAUCCUUUAAAAUGUUGAAUAUUUAUCAUACAAGUUCUAUGGAUCCAUGAUAGGGUAUAAUUUGUUAGUAUUUUUAUUAUUAAUUUUUCCUUUUAUCCCUGAUAAAUAUUGUAUUAAUUGUUGAUAUUUACUCAUAUUUGGUAUCUGGACUUAAUUUCAGGAAUGAAGCAGAAAAUCAUCAAAAAGGAAGGAUUUUAUGGAAAAUAGGGAGACUUCUAAGGGUUUCAAUUCUUGGGCCCUUGAAUUGGUGGGGGACCACAAGCUAGUGGAAAGCAUCUAGUCAUUUGAACUCUUAAAAGAAAGCUACGGAAAAGAGACUUGGAACAAGAAGUACUUGGAGGGAUUUGUCCACAUGUGUGGGGAUCACCUAGAUAGCCUUUAGUCAUCUUCCUCUUGUUGCUUAAAUAGGGAUAACGUAGAGUAGCAGGGACAUCUGGAGUUUUAGUCUUUUAGUUUAGUUUUAGUUUUGCUUUCUCCGGACUGGCCUCUGACACAUGCCAGGUGUUCGACAAUAUUCCCCAACGGGGAGAGUUUCUCAUGAGGCGUGGUUAAGCUUUUCUAGUCAAGGGGACAACUGACGAUUUGGUUCGACAAUUACUGUGAGAUCGAAUCUGUUUUAAUUAUUUUCUUCAUUUAUUGGUAUUUAUAUGUUCCUUGAUUUUAAUUGCUAUGGCCUUGUGUAUGAUUGAUUAGUGCGCAAUAAUUAAUUAUUCAUAUAGGCUAUUUUUGUUAAAUAGGGGUAAUUGAAUCCGUAAUUGUUCAUUAUCUCUACCUCAGUAGCAACUGGCGUAAUUGGGUUUAUGUCAGGGGAGCAUAUGAUCUAAUUUAAAUAAACCCUCGUAGCGUGUUUGUUGGUUAGGAUUGGGCCUUUCUAAUUAUUAAUGCAAUCUAGAAAUUAAAUCCUACGGUCGUACCUAGGGUUAUUUUUGGGUUAGAGAAAUAGCUAACGGUCGUACCUUAGCUAUCGAGAAAUUAAAGAAGGGUUGGUUGUUUAUCGCGUGUAUGACAACUAUAACUAAUCUAUUGCUAAAUGUUGGAAUUAUUUCUGCAUCAAUGAUCAGUGCAUGAACCAUUUCUGAUGUGUACCCUUGGCUAGAGUUUCCCCAAUCAUUUCUUUUAAUUAAUUAUUUUCUGCAGUUAAUUUAUUUAGUUAGCAUUUAAUCCAAAACCCCCCAUACUUCGGACUCUAGAAGAAACGAAUUAUCCCCAGUCCCUGUGGAUUCGACCCUACUCACUGCUAUAUACAAAAUCUGUAUUUUUCUCGAGUAGGUUUUUAUUAUUGCACAGGUUCGGCACCUGUCAAUUUUUGGCGCCGUUGCCGGGGACUGGUGCCAGGUUAAUUUGUUUCUUUUUGAGUUCAUCUUUUUUUUAUUUUUCUUAUUUAUUUUUCUCUUAUUUUUUUUAUAUAGUUUAUGGCUUCUAACACUCCGUAUUUUGGUGAUAUAAUGGAUUUUGUUUCCGGGGAAGGCGAUGAGACUAGUUUUUUCGCUAAGUUUGCAUAUUCAGAGGCACUAAACUCUAUUAGAGAAAGAAUGGCUGCUGCAACCUGUAAAAUUUGUUAUGUCAGGGAUCAUUCAACCGGUAUGUGCCCCGAAUAUCAAGAUAAUCUGAGUGUCCCACUUAAUAAUUAUGGAGAUUUUUCACCAUGGUCUCAAACGUGGUAUAACCCUAAUCCAAACGGGUAUGAUCAAGGAUGGUGGGAUAACUCCAGCUAUAAUUAUACAACAGGGCCAGUGAAUUUUCAGCAGUAUGAGUCUCCAGAAUCAUCGUCUAUGUCAGGUAUGUCUCUUGAAGAAAUGGUUGAAUCAAUAGCUACUAAUACGUAUAAAUUCCAACAGGAGACACGAAUGAGAAAUGAGAUGAUGAAGGAUGCAAUGAGUAAUCUGGAAGAUCAAAUAUGUCUAUUGACAUCCAGAAUAAAUCGAUUGGUGGCUUCUCAAAUUGAAGAAUUGCCCUCAAAAACCAUUGUUGAUUUUGAAGAAAAUGAGAGUACAAUUUGCCUGACUAGUGAUGAGGAGCUGCAAGAUUUUCAAGAAGAGAGAUGUACAGAUGCAGUUGAAAAAGAAGCUGAAAAUGAAGAAAUGAAACCCCAACCGCAACCCAUUCAAGUGAAAGAAUCCAGUGAAGAAUCAUCAAAUGUGGUGACACCACCUCCAUUCCCUAACCCGCAUUUUCUUAAUUCUUACUCCAUGAUUUCUGUUAAUGGGAUUGAUUUUGUUAUACCGGAAGUUCUUGAGUCUCAUGGCAGGAAUGAGUUAAGAAUAGCUAUGGUCAAAUAUCUUGAACCGUCGAAGGCUCUUGAUGGAGGAGUGGAUGAAGAAUUGCGAUCAAUGCUUGAUUACUUGGCGCCAUCAACUAGUUCAUGGAAGACCGUAGCUCGUGUGCUCAAAGAUUACUCCAUCUAUGAGGGCUAUCAGGACUAUGUAGAGGAUGAAGCAAUGAGACGAGCCACAAGAUUUUAUCCUCCAUGAACAAAACAUGAUAAUGUCUAGCCAAAGACAUUAAAGAAAGGCGCUCAUUGGGAGGCAACCCAAUUGUUUCUUUUAAUUGUUUAUUUGAUUUCGUGUCUUAGUUGAAAUCUAUUUUCCUUGAAUUUGACUGAUUUUGGGUGUUAAUUUUCGUUUUUGCUGUUAUGUAGGUGGCAUUUCCUCUUGACGCGGCCGCGUGAUGAAGUGCAGGAAGGGGUCAAGAUUCAAAAAAAAAAAAAAAAAAUUGCGACUCGAAGUCGCGUUUACCUGCACAGUCGCGUUUCCAUUUCUGCAAGUUUUGUGCAGAAAACGCGACUUAGAAAACGCGAGUUGGAGGCGCGUUUUCAAUCGCGUUUUAAUUCCUGCGAGUUUUGUGCAGGAAACGCGACUUAGAAAAUGCGAGUUGAAGGCGCGUUUUCAAUCGCGUUUUCUGUGUCCCAAUAAAGGUUUCAGAAACGCAAGCUUUGGAGGCUCGGAUGGUCAAUGUUGACACCAAUGUUGCCGGCAUGGCACAGAAUAUAGCAGCAUUUAUACAGCAAGCCGGGUUCUCUCCUCAGUUUCCGCCUAACCCUCCCAUGUUCUGACGACUACAGGGAAGUACCGUUGCUCUUCUCCUUUUUCUGCUUUUUCAUUUUCACAUUGAGGGCAAUGUGUGACUUAGGUGUGGGGGGGUCAGUUUGGGUGCUACAUGUUUCCAGUUUUCCGUUUUUGGGGUGUUUUUCCUAUGUUUUUAGUUUAAGUGUUUUCUAUUUUAGGUGUUGUUCCUUUAUCCCUUUUGGGUGAUUUUUCCUUGCUUUUGUCUUAGUGAAUAUGUUGGCAGCUCACUUCUUUAUUGCUAGUUGUAGUUUAUACUAUGGGUUGAGUUUCGGUGGCUAGUAAAAGCAUGUUUUCUUGGUGAAUACUUUGAGUUUAACGACUUGGUGCAAUUUAUGGCUAACUUGUUUAGGCAAUAUAAAUAUUUUGCCGGCAUUGUUGUGUAGUUUGGUCUCCUGGUUACCUUAGUUCUCCAUAUUUAGGACAUGACGCAGGCUAUGAUCUGUAAUUAUUUGGUAUCUUGGUGUUUUUUGGUGAAUAACGUAUGGCUAUACUCCGCUAGUGUCGCCACCUAGUAACCGGGAGUCUUCACCACAAAUGUCGGCUCUCGCGUCAAAAAGUGGCGAUAUCCAUGAGUAAAUAGUCCUGGAGCUAUGAAAGGUCGAGUAACUGGGCUCUUUCAUCUAAAAAUGUCAUAGUUCACGUCAAAAGACUUGAAUAGCUCGUGACUAAGCAUUAUUCGUGCAAUUCAAAAAAAAAAAAAGGAAAAAAGAAACAAAAUAGAAGAAAAAAAGAAAAUCAGAUGUGGAGAAUAUGGGAGUUUAUGAUCAUGUUAGCCUGCCGAUCCUUGGUUCGUAUUGUUGAGAUUUUGGUUGCCAGUUGACUUAAUUACUGACUGUUGCUAGUUAAUAUUUGGAUUUCCUACGCGAAUUAGCCAUGAAUUGGACAGGUCUAUGAACUUAGAAGCUAACCGAGUGAGAUCUGACUUGACACUUAGCCGUUAAAUCUUGAUUUUUUGGUAUAAGCACAGCUGGCAAUGAAAGCUUGAAUGCUAGCCAGUUUUGAGUUGAGUUGUCCCCAUGCUUGAGGGCAAGCAUGAUUCAGGUGUGGGGGGAAUUGAUAGGGUAUAAUUUGUUAGUAUUUUUAUUAUUAAUUUUCCCUUUUAUCCCUGAUAAAUAUUGUAUUAAUUGUUGAUAUUUACUCAUAUUUGGUAUCUGGACUUAAUUUCAGGAAUGAAGCAGAAAAUCAUCAAAAAGGAAGGACUUUAUGGAAAAUAGGGAGACUUCUAAGGGCUUCAAUUCUUGGGCCCUUGAAUUGGUGGGGGACCACAAGCUAGUGGAAAGCAUCUAGUCAUUUGAACUCUUAAAAGAAAGUUACGGAAAAGAGACUUGGAACAAGAAGUACUUGGAGGGAUUUGUCCACAUGUGUGGGGACCACCUAGAUAGCCUUUAGUCAUCUUCCUCUUGUUGCUUAAAUAGGGAUAACGUAGAGUAGCAGGGACAUCUGGAGUUUUAGUCUUUUAGUUUAGUUUUAGUUUUGCUUUCUCCGGACUGGCCUCUGACACACGCCAGGUGUUCGACAAUAUUCCCCAACGGGGAGAGUUUCUCAUGAGGCGUGGUUAAGCUUUUCUAGUCAAGGGGACAACUGACGAUUUGGUUCGACAAUUAUUGUGAGAUCGAAUCUGUUUUAAUUAUUUUCUUCAUUUAUUGGUAUUUAUAUGUUCCUUGAUUUUAAUUGCUAUGGCCUUGUGUAUGAUUGAUUAGUGCGCAAUAAUUAAUUAUUCAUAUAGGCUAUUUUUGUUAAAUAGGGGUAAUUGAAUCCGUAAUUGUUCAUUAUCUCAACCUCAGUAGCAACUGGCGUAAUUGGGUUUAUGUCAGGGGAGCAUAUGAUCUAAUUUAAAUAAACCCUCGUAGCGUGUUUGUUGGUUAGGAUUGGGCCUUUCUAAUUAUUAAUGCAAUCUAGAAAUUAAAUCCUACGGUCGUACCUAGGGUUAUUUUUGGGUUAGAGAAAUAGCUAACGGUCGUACCUUAGCUAUCGAGAAAUUAAAGAAGGGUUGGUUGUUUAUCGCGUGUAUGACAACUAUAACUAAUCUAUUGCUAAAUGUUGGAAUUAUUUCUGCAUCAAUGAUCAGUGCAUGAACCAUUUCUGAUGUGUACCCUUGGCUAGAGUUUCCCCAAUCAUUUCUUUUAAUUAAUUAUUUUCUGCAGUUAAUUUAUUUAGUUAGCAUUUAAUCCAAAACCCCCCAUACUUCGGACUCUAGAAGAAACGAAUUAUCCCCAGUCCCUGUGGAUUCGACCCUACUCACUGCUAUAUACAAAAUCUGUAUUUUUCUCGAGUAGAUUUUUAUUAUUGCACAGGUUCGGCACCUGUCAAUCCAUUUAAGUUUAAGACUCAACAUUGCAUGUUGAUUUAACAUGAAAUAUGUGUCAAUUUAGUUGGAUAAAAGUUAAUUUCCUUUUCUUGAACAAUUCAAAUAAGGGAAUAGAGAGUAGCAAAUAUAUAAUCCGACCCCGUGAGCAAGAGAGUUUGAUAAUGGAAAUCAAAAGCGGUAAGGUUGAUAGGAUUUGGUAAUAGAUUUAGAUAAGUAGAUAGGGAUUAAUAAAAGACUUUUACCAGACUAUCCAACCCCGCUACCAUUCCUAUUCAUGUAGCAAGUAACAAUAUACAUAUUGGGCAAAAAACCUCAACGACUAUUGAAUUAUUAUUCGCAUCGACUUUUGAUCAUCAAACAAUUUUUCGUGUCAAAUUGGCAAUUAAACUAACUAAUUAGCACAACCGUGGCCAUUUCAUGGAUUUUGGCUCUUAGCCUACAAAAUAAUCAAAACGCCUAGGGGUAAUUUUAUCCACAACUAAGUGUUAAUUAUAUUGGAUGAAAUUUGAAUUUGCUGAAAAUACCACAUGCACUGAUCUUGAAGAACUGCAAGAAAUAGGAUCAGAUACAUUUAGUACUGUUUAUCUGGAAAGAGGAAGGAUGCAACUGUUGCCACCAAAAAAAUUUUUUAAAAAAAAACCUAUUUUGCUAGAACUUAAUGGAGCAAGGGUAUAGGAUCGAGUUAGUGGUGGACAAAAAUACCCUUGGGUGUUUUGAUUAUUUUGCAGAUUAAGAGGCAAAAUUCACAAAAUGGCCACGGUUAUAUUGAUUAGUUAUUUCAAUGGCCAAUUUAUGAUGAAAAUUUAUUUUAUGGUCAAAAGUCGAUGCGAGCAAUAAUUUAAUGGCUACCGAGAUUUUUUACUCUAUAUAUGUUUAGCACAUAAAAUAAUAGGACGAACCACAUGCUUUACUACAUAAAAAAAAUCUCAUUGUUGGACUAAAUGAAUUAUUACUGAUUUAAUGAAUUAUUUCCAUUGGAAAAAUUAUCAAAUUACUUGUGAGGAGAUAUUUAAAUUGAUUGAGAGUAAAAAACAAAAUUUUCUUUACCUCGUGGGGGACACAUGCACAAAUUAUAAGAGUGAAAUCAAAUUUUCUUGCAAACGCUAUACCUAAAAUAGUAAUUUUCUUUUGCUAGUGUGGUCUUGCCACCUUUGGCUUGCAAGUAGCUCCGCCCUUGACAGAAGAACUAAAGCCACGUAGAGAUUGUAGUAUUUCAAAGUCAAGUAAAGUUGCGUUUGACAAAAUUAGAAUCUAAAAUUUGAAUCAAUUAAAUUAUUAAAUUAUUAAGUAUUAUAUCUAAUAAAUUUGAUUAUAUAUCACAUUCAGUAAUAAGUGAGUAACUUAUCAUUUAUUUUUUGAAGUAAGUUUUGUUUAGGAAAUUCAUUGCCACUUUAUUAAUUUGGAUGUUCAAUUUUUGAUUAUCAAACACGUCUAAACAUAUUAAAAUUUGAAUUUAUUAAGUUUAAAUGUUGAAUUGAAUUAUUAAACGGGGUCUAAGUAUAACAAGUCUUCACGACAACAAAACAAGCACGUGCCAGUUACAUGCUACUAGCAAGCUUUAUGUCUAUGAAUGAUUAAAAAAAAUUUAAAUUUUAGAAUAAAGUAGAAUUUUGUACAUUUAUUAAACUCAUGUCUCGUGCCACGUAGAGAUUCGAACAUUUGAACUUAAGUAAUAUACAAUUAUCACUGGACAGCAUGAAUUUAUAAAAAUUAUUAAAGAAUAAAAUAAUAAAAUAAUCUUAGAAAAUGACACAUGCCAGAGCAUUGAAAAAAUAUCUUAACUAGUGAAUAUGUAUAUAGAUAGAUUUCCAAUCUCUAAAUUAAAAUUAAAAGAAAUUAUUGAGAUAUUCAAAGCAAAAUGAGAAUUACAACCGAAACCCCAUAAUUUCCUCAGACAUGCUAAACAUCUAUUCCUUGUAUUAGAGAUCUGAAUAGUCCUAUCCUCAUCACAAUAGAUUCAUAGAUCUCAUUUGACUAACGUAGGAUUGAAUGGCCUAUAAUUUGCACCCUAACACAUUAAUGAUAUACUACUAAAUUGUGAUGCCGCAAGCCACGUGCUACAAUCCCCAAAGUCUUCCUACCUAAGGGACCUUGUGGUUGUAGCCUUGUAGGUGCAUUACGCACAUAAUCAAAAUCAUACUCCCUUGAUCCCCCCCCCCCUCCGGGUAUAUGUUUAGGGAUACGUGCUUUUUAUAUAUGUUACACUCUAUAAAAAAAAUUUUCUUUUUGUUUCACUUUGAUACUCUAUGUCGUGUGUUGGUCGAAGUAAAAAGGCAAAAAACAAUCCCAUUAUAUUUGUAUUUGUGUAUCAUUAAUGAAGGAUAUCAGGGAAAUUUCAGAAUAUAAAGUAGUUAGAAAUGUCAAACAUGUCAAAUAUUUCGGGAUAAUAAUAAAAGGAAAGUAUGACACUUUCAAUGAGGCGGAAGGAGCACUUGUUUUCUUUAAUGGACACUCAUUAACAAAGAUUUCCGAUGUUAGUUUUAUAAAAAAAAAUAAAAUCAAUUUGACAAAGUAUUUAAAUGAGGAAAAGCUAUAAAUAAAAAUGCGUGCAUUCAUAUAAUAAAUUAAGUACAAUUCAAAUAUAUAAAUGAGUGAUCACGGGGAAAAUUCCUUUUUCAACAUAAUUUUCAUUCUCUUAGGCGUGGAAUCGAAAUUUUUUGCAUUGUUUUAAUUCAUCGACAAUUUAUCUUUUUUUUCUCUCUCUCUUUUUAAUGUUUUAGUUUAUUAACGAUCUAUGGAAAUGAACUAGACGGGCUUUCUAAUGUAGCACAUCUUUCAUGAAGUAGAUCGAGAAGGUACCAACGGAAAUGAUAAUUUGCGUGCCAAAGCAGAAUUCGGAGCAAGCCUUUCUGUCAUUAUGCUUGAUGGACACCGCUUUGUCGGUUGCAAAAUCCACGUAAAGGCGUACACAUGCGUGCUACUUGUUUCUCUAAAACAUUGAUUGAUUGAUUGAUUCAUUUAAGAGUGCACUUAUAAUUAAUUAAUUCUGCAAUUGAGAUUUAUCCAUCUGUUCUGUGAGUCUCCCACGCAACAUCACAGAUUUGAUGUAUUAAACAGGGUGUUGAUGACUUCCUUAAGUAAGUAAAUAACUUUCUAGAGGGUUCAAAUUGUUUUUCAUAUUCAAAAACUCAGCAAAUACAAGAGCACAUAGUUCAACCGACCGAAUAUAUGAGACAGACAAAAGAUCAGUCCUUAGCAACAAAAGAUGACUGUAUCUUGAUAUUCAGAUUAGUUUGAAGUGACUCGUUCAACAUGGUUCUGGUAUCUUGGUAUAUUUUCAAUAUCUCCAAUUUGGAUGGUUAUUUUUUUUGGAGUUUUUAUGACAAAAAUAUAAUUGUAACGAUUUGAUGGAUAUAAAUUAAAAAGAUGAUUAAAAAAUGUAAAAAUUUUCUGAAUGAAAAAUUGUAAUCCAAAUUAAGGCCGUUGAAAGGCACUUAAACUCUCAAUAAUCUCAGUUGUUUGAUCUUUUCUAAUUUAAUUAUUUUUCACUUAAACGUCUUAAAGAUUCAUCAGAUGUUGUGAUUCUUAAUUGAUAAACGGAUACUUGUUCUCAUCACACUAUAACCUUAUACAACUUCAACUCUAAUUUUUGUUUCUGAACACAUUUUUUUAAUUAUACUUUUAUAUCUCCAAGCAUUUUUUUCAUCUAAAAAUAAAAAAAAAAUUACUUUCGAAUAAUCUUCAAUGGAAAUGCAUUCUAACUAAACUAGUGAUACUGUGAUAAGUUAUGUAUAAAUUUCAGAGAGGUAGGACUAUAAAAGCAGCAUUUGGCAUGAUUUUUUUUUUUAAAAAAAAACAAAAACUGAACUUAUCAUCAAAAUUUUUUCUCGGGGAAGAAAGGAAAAACACAGAAAAAAAAAGAGACAGUUGGAGAGGGCAGUUUCUUUCACUUCAAUCGAUUUCGGCAGUCCACUCGCUUAUUCAUUGGCUUCCACGUGGCGCCUCCGUUGGGUCCGCAAAUCCUCUACCCAAAAUAAAUAUUCAGUAGACAAAUCGACGCAUUUCAUUGUUCGUACUGCAUGAUUUUCAUCCCGCGCCGAGACCCCCAUUCUCUCUCUCUCUCUAUCCUGGCUUUCUCGAAAAGUUUAUUGGAAAAGAAAAAUAAAUUCAGAUAUUGUGCGUAAAUUUGAGUCUAGGGUUUCCAUUUCUCCAAUCAUUCACGCAUUUGUUGAAGUUCAAGCCAAGUCUCUCGUUCUUCUCCUGCACGGCUAAAUUUCCUGUCCAAUUCCGGUUACAGGUAAUAGUUGUUUAAAUCUUUGUAUCUUUUUCUUCGUUUUAGUCGGCAACUUCAUCACGAUUUGAGCGUUUUUCAUUUUUGGUAGCUUUUUCUACUGAAUUUUUGGUUAUGCCGUUUGCACUGCUUUUUGAAUUCUUUUAAUUUAUUUAUCAGGUAAUGUAAAUUCUAUGUAUAAGAAUCGAAAACUGCUUUUUGUGUAAAAUGUUUUUUUUUUUGGUUCUACACAGUUAUGUUUAGAGUUUAAAGUAGAGUUGAGGAACUUUGCUUGAAAUUUGCUCAGGAAUGAAUUUUUCUUUUCUGCAUGAAUGUAAAGCAGAAGCAGAACUUACUCUGUUUUGUGCGUUUUUAUUAAUGUGACGUUAAUUAUAUAAUUUAUGCGUAUUCUGAAGCCGCCAUUAGUUGUUAUCGUGCAAAAUUGUGAUAUUGGCAUGUGAGUAUGAAUUUGAAGCACAAUGUUUUCCUUUUUUUGCUUGGUAGUUAUUCAUUUAAUUGAAAUCAUAAGUAGAAUUGCCGUGUAAAAUUGUGAUGAGAUUAGCACUUUUUCUCUUAUUUGCAGUUUGGAGACGAGUGUCAGGAAUUGCUGAUUGAUGACCUUAUUUGUGGCAAUUUUGUUCUGGGGGAACAUUUUGGAGCCUAAGAGAUGGUAUCCAUUUUAUUGAAGCUGGGAAAUGAGACACGUUUCUGUAUUUGGUUUUAUUGACUGAAGAUGUACUUAGCUGCUCUAUUGACUUCUGCUGGAAUUAAUAUAGCAGUUUGCGUGGUGAUUUUCUCACUGUAUUCUAUUCUAAGAAAACAACCACGGUUUAUGAAUGUCUACUUUGGUCAAAAGCUCGCUCAUGCGAAAUCAAGACGCCAAGAUCCAUUUUGUUUUGAAAGGCUAGUUCCUUCCGCUAGUUGGAUAGUGAAAGCCUGGGAAGCAUCUGAAGAUCAAAUUUGUGCUGCUGGAGGAUUAGAUGCUCUAGUAUUCAUCCGGUUGAUUGUUUUCAGGUGAGUACAUGUUCCCACAUAAUUUGUUGUGUUUGAAGUUCAUAAGAUUACUUUAUGGAUGACAUAUGCUGAAUUCUUGUCAGCAUUUUUGUUUGAUUGAUUCAUUCAAAUCAGUAUUUGCUUAAGCUACAUUGAAAACGUGGAUUCAGAUUUGUUUUAAGUAAUUUUAUGAGCACACUUCUUGUUUCAAAUGUAUCUAUGAAUGUUAAAAGUCCAAAGUUUGUUGAUCAGUGUAGAUGAACAUGACUUGAAAUAACACUGUACUCCUGAUCUGAUGGCAAAAGAACUUUCAGAUCUCAAAUAAAUUUGAUGGAAGACAAGGAAUUAGUACUGCUUCAUAGAUAAUGAUGAGGAUUUGGACUUCAAUGUUAAAUUUAUGCAACUUAACUACUUUUGUCAUUUGCACAUAGAAUAUUUGUUUCACUUGUUAACCGCACGUGUUCUUUGGGAUGCCUGAGCCCUAUAUUGGAAAAGAACUUCUAUGCUUCAUCUGUACAAUUGUAUUACUUGGAGAUACUUACAUCUUUUUUGCUAAAAAUUUAGCUUCUUGCUGCAUAUUUGUGCUUUGAUCCAAUCAUUCUCUUGAUUUUAUGAACAUGGUUAACUGAAGGAUUAGAGGUAAGUGGUAGACUGGAAUAAUGGAUGUCCAGCUUUAUGAAGGAGGACAAGUGAUGAAUGUGCCCCUUAACAUUAUAUGCCUCAAUUGGGCAGCACAGAUUUACAUGGUCACGAGUCAAUAGUAAGUAGAGUUGGCCAUAUUUAUCUGAGAAUGAUUGACAUUUCAAAUAAACUUUAUGCGCUUCAGGCUUGGGCCAUGAGAAAGUAGGAUAAUAUGACUUUUUAUGUAGUACAUUGUCAUGGUGAUUUGAACUGAAGGCCGGUUUUUUGAAUUUUGUGCACAAUAAGUGGUCUUCUGAUAUUUUGUGGUUGGUUUUUUUUUUCUUUUUUUUUUGCUUAGAUGUCAUUGUUUAAUACCUUGAAGCAAUACUAUUUGGUUCAUAGACAGGGUGUGAUGGGAUCAUUUAUACCAAGAUUAGCUUUUUUGAGAUUAUUUCAUCUAAAGUAGUCAUUUUAUAUUGAAAAAUCGUGGAUUAUUCAGGGGAUAUCCCAUGGGUAGCCCAAUAUUGUGUUUGCUAAGUAUAUGGUAGAAAUGAAUUCGAUAAAACUAAAAGCAUUCAUAGCAUUGCAUUUGUUUAUCCCAUCAAUUUGUCAUCCAAGGAUAAAUAGUACCACCUUGCCCUGGGAUUAUUAUAUUAUUACUUGGAUUAAAGAGGAUGACUUAUCCAUGUGUAAAUUUCACCCCAACGAGGGAGGACUAGGGUUAGUAAUUUUAUCACGUGUCAUCACUUGAACCAAAUGGAUGUUAUUGCUGAUAGUAAUCUCAUGUUGAGGAUAAGAUGUAAGAUGCAACAAUGAACCUGGAUAAAUUUAGUUUUUGGUGGAUUUCCACUUCAAUGCUUGAAAUGGUAGGACAGAGUAUUUCCUUCGUAGAAUAGCCAAUAACUAAGUCAAGUUAAUGUUUUGGCAAUUCAUGAAACUGAAUAUAUGCCAAACAUACUUGUUUUUGCUGCAGUAAACUUUUGACUGUAUCUGGAGAAUGCUGUUUACAAUGUGAUUUCUGAAACUGUUUCUGGAGAAUGCUGUUUACAAUGUGAUUUCUGAAAGGUUAGGUCCGUCAAUUGCCUAUCUAUGGUGACAAAUGGGUUGUGAAAACUAUAACAUCUUUUAAGAUUUUGGCUCUUCAUUUAGGAACCAUUAUUCUACAAUCAUCCCUGAAAAAGUAGGUGAUUAUCUACUUUUUAUUAAUUGUGUGUUUUUUUGCCUUUUUUUUGUGUUUUAAAUGUCCAAAAGCUAGUCAGCUAUGGAUGUUUAAAUGGGUUGGGUCAUUGCAGUUUAAGUUCUAUGUGCGAUGACGGCUAAUUGGUCUCACUGCCACAUGUUUUUCUUUUGAAUUAAACAAAAUGAGGAAUUAGCCUUUUUGCAGUUUUGUGCUUUUACAGUACAACCAAUCUGUCACCGCAAGGCAUUCAUUGAUGAAGGAAAAAAGUUCAAUAUACGUGAUGAAUCAUUUUGAUCAUGAUGUGUCGGGGAAUGACAAGUAUAAUAUCCCUGUUUUCUUAAUUCUAGUUUAUAUUUGAAAAAUUGUUAAAUUUUAAUAAAACUGUUUUGAAUAUCAUAAAAAAUAUGGGAUAUUCUUCUAUUUUCAGGGUAGAGAUCAACUUCCUAGUGGUUUGUGAUUUUAGGCUUUGUCAUUCUUCGCAUGGAGAAUUUGGUUUUGUUUUCUUGGAUUAUGUGCUUAUAUGUGCUUAUUUAUUUUCCAGUAUCAGGAUAUUCUCCAUAGCUGCUACCAUAUGCAUCUCUCUUGUGCUUCCACUUAACUAUUAUGGACACGACAUGGAGCACAAAGUCAUUCCAUCGGAGUCGCUUGAAGUCUUUUCCAUUGCAAAUGUUCAGAAAGGAUCAAAAAGGUACAAAAGAUACUUCAAUUUUUAUGCAAUUAGGAUUGCUUGCUCGUAUUAAUACAGAUGCCUAGUUCAUGAUAUUGCAUUCCAUAAUGUCACCACUAUUCAUCAGUAGUUGACAGUGAUCCAGAAAGCAGAAAUGUUCAUGCUUCGAUACAGUCAAUACUGAUGCUUGAUUAUAGACGGAGUAAUGCUCACUUUAUUGUUAUCCUUCUUCUCUUGAUGAUUUUUAGAGAUUGAUGGUCACUAUUGGGGAAAUUGCAUAUGUACCAACUUUAGCUCAAAACUUGUGUUCUUGCAGUUAUAUGAAAUUGCCUACUUGAUGCUGGAACCUGCAUCCAGAAGGCUUGCUUUUGGUCCAUAUUUUUUCUGAAUAGGAUUUUCUUCGCAUUUGCUUGGCAGAAAGUUCUUUUGUAAAACUUUGGUCAUACUAAGGGAUUGCACUAGAUAAGCAGCUUGUCUUAAUUGGAAUUUUGGACCUUGAUUGAAUAUGACCUUUUCUUGAUCCAUGAUAUACUUAGUUUCCUGACUAAUUUAUCUAUACGCAGAGAAAGAGGUACACAUAAAUUUUUCAUGCUUCAGAGUUAUUCUCAAUGGUGUUCCUGACUAAUUUAUCUAUACGCAGAGAAAGAGAUACACGUAACUUUUUCAUGCUUCAGAGUUAUUCUCAAUGGUGUUCUUGACCCAAUUAUGAUUUGUACUGUUUUUGUUUGCUUAUGAAACUUUUGUUGCUUUUUAUUUCGAUACAGAGCUUCUGACUUCUAGUUUAUAUCCAUUCACAGCACUUGGGCCCACUAUGUUGUGCUAUACAUCACAAUCAUGUUUUUUGUGCUGUAAUUUUAUGUUUAAGAAAUGCGUGUUGCAUUUUGUCCUAAUGUGGAGUAUCUGAUUUCAAGUAUAUAUCCAUUUUCAGGCUUUGGGCCCACUGUCUUGCACUAUAUAUCAUUUCUUGCUGCACUUGUGCUCUUCUUUACCAUGUAAGGCUGAACAACAUAAGUAACUAGUUAUUUGUGGGAUUACUUAAAAGUUUGUUCAACUGUUUCCUUGAAAUUCUAGCUUUUAAUCAAAAGCUUCCAUGUUUUACUUCCAGGAGUAUAAAAGCAUCACAAAGUUGAGGCUCUUACACAUUACUGAAGCUCUUUCUAACCCGAGUCACUUCACAGUUCUUGUUCGUGGCAUUCCGUCGUCUCAAACUGAAUCAUAUAGUGAGACAGUGGCCAAAUUUUUUAGCACAUACUAUGCCUCGAGUUAUUUAUCGCAUAAAAUGGUUUAUCAAUCUGGUACAGUUCAGAAACUGAUGGUGAGAUAAAAGCUUCAGUAUACUGAAAAUUUUAAUAUUGUUUGUAGCUUUUGAAAUACAUACCAGGCUUUCAUUUCAUUUUGUUGGUGCAAAAGGAAUAUGGAAUGUUGAUUAAUAACUUAGCUGUUUUGGAGUCACCAAAAUGUUUUAUUUGCUCGUAUGUAUACAGUAGAUAUAUACUGUAACUUCUGGACUAGAUAAUGCCAAAAAUUCAUAAUGCAAAUAGGCCUUCUAUGGUUCUUCCAAACAGUUGAUAACGAAUUCCACAAGUGCACUUUUUUGUGUUACAAACUCUAGUCUCCCAUCCUUAUAUUUCUUAGCAUUUUAGAGGGUUUGAUUUUGUACCUUUUGAUAUGUCCAUGCAAGUUCUUUCCCUUACUGUUUUUGACCUUUAAUUAGCAAGAGAGAAGUAGAAUGUGCAUUUAGAAACCACACAGUUGGAACACAUUUUUCACGAAUGUAAACUUCAGCACAAAGAAAAUAUUGGACCAAAAGUAUAAAUAAAACAAAUGGAUCAGUAUAAUAUUGUUUUUUUUUUGGGGGGGGGGGUGUGUGUGGAAGAAGCUGUUGUUGCAGGAAGACAUAUAAGUAGGAUACCAACAAGAAAGAAAAUGCUAUUAAGAUUUGGAAAUUUGUUUGGUAAUCAUACAAUAUUAUAUUUAUAUUGGCAUUUUUAACACGCAUUAGUGGUGCUGAUGAUGCAGGCUCGUGUCAGUCACUUACAUCUGCACUUGUAUUAUUCUAUACUUCUCUAUUCAAUGCUCAGUUUUGUUCUUUGCCCUUUUUACCUGCAGAGUGAUGCAGGGAAGAUGUACAAGAUGCUCAAGACUUGUACCAGAGAACAACAAUGUGGCCCAAAUUUGAUGAGAUGUGGUCUUUGUGGAGGGACUACAUCAUCUUUUAAGAUGCUUGCCAUAGAGUCUCAAAAUGACAAGGGGAGAAGUGACUUUGAUGCAGCAGAUUUGAGAAGAAAGGUCCAAAAAUUUUACUUUAAACGGAUAUCCUUGGUGCUUUGCGCCUGUAGAUAUAUGGUUAAGACAGAAAUAGAAGGAAAGAAGACCUUUAGUUUUGAAUAAUCUUUCAGUGUGGUGAUACCUCAUUUCCAUUUUUUUUACCCUUUCGCUUUCCUAAGUAGUUUCAAGACUCCUGGUAGAAAGUAUACAUUCAUACAUUCCUAACUUAGUUCAGUUUGAAACCUAACAGAAAUAUAGCUUGCAACUACCAAAUCUUGAAAGAUUUUGUUUUAACCAUAGACAGAGAUCAAGCGAACCUGCAACUGUGUGGGCUUGUCUAUUUACAACGAGGAACAUAAGAAGAGUUUGUACAUGUGGAACUAAUUUCAGGCGGUCUGGAACCUGGCAUAAACUUAGUUUGCAUUAACCAAAAUGUUUGAGAAUUCUAUCUUGAACAGUUUGGUUUUGAAGCAUAGGUAGAGAUUUCCUUGGAAGAUUCUUGCUUAAUGUACUUUCUCUAUGUUGAUGAAUAGAGAACAGAAAUGAUACAUUGCAUGAUGUGCAUCCAGCUUUGUUCUUUAUGUCUGAAGGAUUUGCUAGUCUACCUCUCUACUUUGAAUAAGCCCCUGUUUAUCUAUUCCUAGAAUCCAUUUGGGGCUCCAUAAAAUAGAAGGAAACCGAGUUGUUUAUCCUGUCUUCCCUGCUUAGGAUUCUAGGGUUUAAUGAUGCUUCAUUCAUGUAGAAUUUGGUCCUUGUCGUGUGCCUGGUCUUAAAUCUCCUGGGCUAAGAAUUUAGCCUGGCCGGAAGUAUUCCUCUUCCCUCUCAGUAGGACUUUGCUUUCAUGUCAACCUCAUUCUAUGGUUUUUUUUUUUCUUAUUGUGCUACUUUCUACUAUGUGUAGUAUUUUGUAAUUUAUGCCAUGACAUGCUUUUUAGUCCUUGUUUUCUUGUUGAAACUUAACUACCAAUAGUUUGGUUAGAACUGCAUCGUUGUCUGAAGUAUCUCUAUCUUUCCUGCAGGAAUGUGGUGCUGCAUUUGUUUUCUUCAGGACCCGCUAUGCUGCUUUGGUUGCCGCACAAUCUCUUCAAUCACAAAAUCCCAUGAAAUGGGUGACUGAGAGGGCUCCGGAUCCAAAAGAUGUCUAUUGGACGAACCUUGGUCUGCCUUAUAGAAUCCUUUGGAUUCGACGAAUAGCUAUUUUUGUGGUCUCCAUUCUUUUUGUUGCAUUUUUCCUCGUGCCUGUUACACUAACACAAAGCCUUGUGAACCUUGAUAAGCUGCAGAAUACAUUUCCAUUUCUGAAAGGAAUUUUAAAGAGGUAGGAUUUGGACUUGGAUUUGGUUUUCGUAUACUCAAGUUACCAGCUAUGCAUGACGGUUGUUGAAAUUCUUUUGGUACAGCUAGUAGACAUAUAAUGUCUGUUUGUUGUUUGGAAUCUGAAAUUUGUGAUAGGCUGUGUAUGGCUGGAAGAUAUAUGAAAAUGAAAAUGCAGGUUGACUGGAGAUGAUCAGUCAGUGGGAAUAUGGACGUGACAUCAUUGAACCAGCAAUUUGUGCUUUUAGUGUUUAUUUUUUGGCCUUUUACUUGGAUAUAGAUAAUGUUAGCUGUUAUAUUUCUCAUUUAAAUGUUAGAAGAAGGGUUUAAUUUAAAGGAUUCCUAGAACAUAAAACGGAUGUGACUUCUUAUCCUUCACUUGCUUUUGCAGGAAGUUUAUGAGCCAGCUUGCUACUGGAUAUUUACCAAGUGUCAUAUUGAUGUUAUUUCUGUACAUGGCUCCACCACUUAUGCUUUUUUUCUCUACCAUGGAGGGUGCUGUCUCUCGCAGUGGCAGGAAAUUGAGUGCUUGCAUCAAGCUUCUGUACUUCAUGAUAUGGAAUGUUUUCUUUGCAAACAUUUUAACGGGGACCAUUAUUAAGAAUUUGGUCGGCGAAGUUACUCGGAGAUUGCAAGAUCCAAAAAAUAUUCCAAACGAGCUUGCCACUGCCAUCCCAACAACGGUGAUUUUCCAUUGUUUCUCUGUUUCUUAAAUUUUCUGGCCUUUGUAAAGGUCAAGUAAUUUACCUUGGUCUUGGAAAAUCAUUAUCUUAUGCAAUUAAAAGGGUAAUUGAUUUGUAUAUUUGUUUAUGCACUUUUGGGCCUUGGAGAUGAGUGCUUUUCUUAAUGCUUCUCAUGAUGUAAUUGAGAUUGGUCUUGAUGAAAGUAUUUGCUUGCACAGAUCGACUUCUCUUUCUAGAACUAUUUAGUUUGUGGAAAUUGAAUUGAUAUAAUAGCUUUUGUCAUCUUUGUUCAGAAAUUUAAAUCAAUCCUAAGAAUAUAUAUAAUCACCUUAAAGAGAUAUCUAUAGAUUGUGAUCAUUGAUAAUCAUCUUAACAAUAUGAGAUUUGACAUAUUGCAGGCUACCUUUUUCAUGACUUACAUUUUGACAUCCGGUUGGGCAAGUUUGUCAUUUGAGAUUCUACAACCAUUGGCCCUGAUAUGCAACCUUUUCUACAGAUAUGCUCUCAGAAACAAAGACGAAUCAACCUAUGGGACCUGGACUUUUCCUUACCACACAGAAAUUCCAAGAGUUAUCCUUUUUGGAGUUAUGGGCUUCACCUGUUCCAUAAUGGCACCUUUGAUCUUACCAUUUUUGCUAGUCUACUUCUUCCUUGCUUACCUUGUGUAUCGCAAUCAGGUUAGCUUUCCCUCUUAGUGGACUAAGGAGUAGGCUGUCUCCGGUUUUCACUUUGUGUGAAUUUUCAGGUCUACACUCGUGUGUGAAUGAUUUAUACGUGGAAGUUGUUUUCUCUAUUUAUUCUUUUGUUAUCAGUUAGUAAAUUGAUACUUGUAUAGAUAUUAAUCUAAGAUUUUUGUAGUGUGCAUGCUUUCUGUCAAUUUCUUUGCAGCUUCCAAUGCAAGUUAUUUAGCAGUUGUCAUUACAUGCUUGCCGCCUGCCCAACUAUUGCACAUAGAGCUGUUUUCUAAUGUUUAAUGCAAAUUCAAGUUAUCAAAUCACUGAUUUGGGUAAUGUAGUAGGACUAUGGUCACAAAAGAGUGUUGAAACUUAAGCUGUAAUUCAUUCUUUAGAAUAACAGCCUUUUUUUAACCUGAAGUUCAUUAUGUUUCUGUAGAAGCAGCUAGUCAACGUUAUUCUGAGCUACAAAUUUUUGGUUUGUCAAAAAAAUGUUCAUGGAUGGGCAUGUUUAGCAGUAUAAUCAACUUCUCUGGUGAAUCUGUAUGUAGUUGGAUGUGCGUUACAGAUGGAUAUGUUUAUUGAGCUUUGAUAUCAAGUACCAAUGAUUGUUUAGGUUUUAUAAAAUGCAUUAAUUCAUGAAUUUGUGUGAUGGGCAUAGAGCUACUCGUUUUAGCUCAAUUGCUUUGUGAUCUUUUUCGUUGUUGCCUUUACCAUUUCAUGCUUGCAUUAUGACCAUCUAAUUAGUAAAAUGCUGUAAUGAUGUACCUCUCAGAUUCUUAACGUGUAUGUCACUAAAUAUCAAACUGGAGGACUCUAUUGGCCAACUGUGCACAAUGCUACAAUAUUCUCAUUGGUGCUGACGCAAAUAAUAGCUUCCGGAGUCUUUGGAAUUAAAAAAUCCACUGUUGCAUCCAGCUUCACCUUUCCGCUGAUCAUCCUUACACUACUGUUCAAUGAAUAUUGCCGGCAAAGGUUCCUCCCGGUAUUUAAGAGGAAUGCUGCAAAGGUAACUUGUAGUGGUUGAAGUUCAUUUUUAGAGAUGCUCGUGUCCUAUUAGUGUUGUGUCUGCUAAUAUGUGGUUAAUCCAAAGGUUCUCAUUGAGAUGGAUUGGCAAGAUGAGCAGAGUGGAAUAAUGGAAGAGACUCAUCAGAAACUGCAAUCAGCAUAUUGUCAAUUGACAUUGACUACUCUUCACCAGGAUGCAACCUUGCACGAGCAUCCCGGCGAAACAGUUGCUAGCGGGUUGCAAGACCUAGAAAACUUAGAUUCAGGUUUGGUUAGCUUAAUUAGCACCAUACCACAAUCAAGUCAUUUGAGUGGCUCUGGAAAGGUAUUUAUCGUUGUCCUGUUCGUCUUGCAGGAAAGACUCAGACAUCUGGAUUAUGGGCUGGGCAUUCCUCACCAGAAAUCAAAGAGCUUCAUGCGAUGUAGAUAGACGUAUUUCUUGUGUGUACAUUAGUUGUUUGUCAUGUACAAAAUGAUGUUCAUUGGAAGAUCUAUACAAUGUAAGGCAAAAAAUAUAGGUGUUUCUGCUGUAAAGAGCAACAUCAGGUACUCGAAGAUCUAUACAUUGUAAGGCAAAAAAUAUAGGUGUUUCUGCUGUAAAGAGCAGCAUCAGGUACUCGAAGUUCUUACACAUUACAACCAAGAAACUAGCACCAUUUCUCAAUUAGCAAACUCGUCCUCGAGAAGAUACCUCACUUCCUUGGGUUCUACUACUAGUUGUCACAAAGCUUAUCAAGAAGCUACUAUUGAUAAUAAAUCCUACUUGUUAACUCCUAUUAUAACAUCAAGUUCCAGCGUAUCAGUCAAGCAGUUUGUUAUAACUGAAACUCAAUGAACAAUUAUCAGUAGUUUUACAAGGCAAAGAUCUACCACGCUCGAUGGUUGGGCGCAAAAGCAGAACUGAGAUGUAGAUCAUCCAUUUGUAGAGCCCGAUAUUUCCAUUCAGAAGUGUAGACUUCGUGUAUAAGAAUUUAGGAAUUGAACAAUCAUUUGAUCAAUCCGAUCUAGUAAUCUGCACCUCGGAAGAACAACCAUCCUCCAAAGGAACAUUGUUUGCAUCAUUUCCCUCAGGCUGCAACGAAGUUCUCCAUUGCCAUAGGAUUUGCAUCAACCCACCAUUUGCAGCAUGCAACAGAAAUGACUGCGGCUCAACUGCGAUACAUAUGGCAAAGAUCCUAACUAGAACAAAGAAGCAACCUAUAACCAAAAGCUGCCAAUUCUUGCCCCUCUCCUGUCAAGCAGAUAGUCAAAUAAUAAGCAGCAUAUCAAAACAGGCAGAGAAAUGAUAAAGUUAUGAGUUGUGAAUCCAUUACCUGGGUGGAACGAAUAAGCUCGUGAGACGUUUCGUUUAAAAAGUCAGCCACUACACAACCACAGAAAAGACCAAUGGGAAUGACUAGCUCCUUGUUUUUAGAGAUAGAGUAUAUGAAGUCAGACGCAGAACUUAAGAUGAAUAAAGCCGUAAGAGACCACUUCAAUGCCAACUGCCCUAAAGCUAGCAGAUGCUGCAGAGCAGCAUUCUCUGCUUUUGCCCAUGGAAAAUUUUGGACCGAGGGAGGGAUGAACUCAGAUAGUUUCUUCACAGCAUAAUCAAUGUGCACCUUGAACUUGGCAGGCUCAUUGAACCAUUCCAUUCUGAACGAUUUCACUGGAUGACAAGCAGAAAUUCGGCAAAUGGAUACUUGUCUGACUAAUGGGCCUUGAAGUUGACAGGGCAGGCUUUUAAACAACAUAAUCUGAUUCAAAGAAGAAGAUGCAUUAUGUAGUUCAGCUCAUUCAAAAAAAAUAUUUGAUUCAACACCUAAAGGAUUCAAAUACAAAGAUCCUAAUUGUAAAUGAAAACCACUUGAUACUACCAAAAGAACACAUUAAAAGCACACAUUCACUUGAAGGCUCUCUUACCUUUUUCAUUAUAUAAAUGUAGGAAUUCCAUCCCAAAUGACAUACAGAUUGCAUUAUGUGAAUACUUUCUCAAUUCUGAGGUUGCAUUUGGACAAGUCAUUAUCCUAUUAAGGUAUCAGAGUGGGAAUGCAGGAUCCACUAGUAGCUUUAUCUUCUUAACAAAUUUACAACUAGACUAUUUUGGUCAUUACUCACUUAUAGUCAAAACAUCUGAAGCAGAUAUCUACAGCAUCAUUGAUGCUCAAUUUUUGGCACAAUAAUUUUUUUUGGGGAGCAAAAGUCUUAAAGCUAAGAGAGUUUCAAAAGUAUUGUGUGUCAUGAAACAUUCCCAGUUUAGUAGAAAACUACAUCUAUGCUAACUAGUUUCACCAAAACCAAUAUACAAGUACCAUUACUAAUUCUUACUUGGUUUAGACAUACUACACAACCACGCACAAGGACACGCCAACACACAUGUAUACAAUCUCCUUAAAUUUCUUUUCUAACAGAUGUAAAGCUAGACUCAUUUACAUAAUGUUAUUAUUCUAACCAAAAGCAUGUAAAUUUAUCCUUUUACUUGCGUUCCACAAAAAUAGAGAAAUUGAUCUCAACUUUUCAAUUGAUUCCCAUAUCCUCGUCUCUCUCCCUCUCUCGACCAUAUCCCUCAACAACAGAACCCUCAUUUCUCCCUCUAUCAUCUGAACAAAUACGCUUCCCAUUCCUCAAAAAUCAUCUUCUUCUCCCACGCUCCCAGAUUUAAUACCAAAAUUCAACCAGAGCCUAAGUUCCUCCACCCAGUUCAAUAACCACAUGCUCAAAAUAUUUAUUGUAGAAAGCAUCCGUAGAUACAAUUCAAUCAUCAAACUAAGAUCAAACCAAGACCAAUGAUCAAGAAUACACUAUUGGGCUGAAUAGACGCUACAAACUAAAAUGUUAAGAUAUACAUAUAUAUAUAUAUAUGGCAGCGGCACUCUGACGCUGUUAACAAUGAAUAGGUGAUAACAGCAGCUGAUUUGUUAUGGAGAAUUAAUAAAUAAGAGAAGCCUCAAAUUUUACAAGUGAAAAUUAGUGUCUAUGGACCUGUCUGGUGUUUUGUUUAAGAAGAAGUCAAUAUUAAUAUUGACUUUAAAGUCGAUUUUCACAUCUCCUUCUAUAUAUUAAGAAAUCAAAUAAACUUUCAAUAUUUAUUUAAUCUCGAAUUAUACACAAAGUAUUUUCAUAAAGAACCCUGAAAAGCAACAUAACAUGAAUUCAGCAAGCUAUCCGAAGGUAGGAGCAAAUUAAGGUGAACGAGAGUUCAAUCUCAACAUGACUAACAAUAAUAAACGUGUCAGAAAGAACUACAGAGCAUGAAAAUGGUCAAAAGCCUCACAGAAAACAGCAAUGUCAAUAUUUUUUUUCACUCCACAUUCUAAAGAACCACGCUUUCUCUUCACAAGAAAAGCAUCACAAGCUACCAAGUAUCAAGAAAAACAUAGAAAUUACAUACCAGAACUCAAGAUAAGAAUGCAAGUCAGGAAUUUAUUCAAUUUCCUCCAACACACACACACACACACAAAGUUGGACAGAAAACUGAAAGAACCCACGAAAUAUUUGAGCUUGUUUUCCGAAAUUGAAAAUUGUAGCAUACAAAGAAAUGCUCAACCAGUAGAACUUCAGCAGAUAGUGCACCAUUUCCAGCUGUUAUAAAAUACAUGUCUUUUUGACUACCUAGUCUGUCUAGCCCGAAAAAUUAAAAAUGCUAAAAAUAAGUAACUGAAAAAGAAUAAAAACCAAAAGCACUCAUAAGGGAACAAACUAGUUUUACCGGGCAACUUGACGGAGAGAUUGCCGCCGUCGAUAACGCCAUUUUUGCUGCUAUCUCCGCCGGUGUUGAUCAGGAUUCAUUAGCGGCAUCGUUCUCACACGGUAUUGUGGAGUAUUUGUCUAUUGCAACUACCACAUCUUGCCUUUUUUAUGUGGGCCAGAAGUUGUUCCCUCAUCUUUGACCCAAAAGGUGUUCUGUUUACAUGAUGAGAUUGGUCGGGUCCAUUUUUAUCUUUACAGUUGUUGGCCUUGACCACUCUGUAAUCUUCGACCCGACAAAAGUCUGGGCUUGGUACCUUACGAACAGGCCAUUCUUAAAAGGCCCGGCUUUUGCUUUUUGCGGACCAUGAACAUUGGAUUGGGGUUCAUCUAAAAUACGGCACCGGGCAAAAUUUGUAGAUGCUAGGUUACAAAAUUGUGACCUGAAAGUCUAUAUUUUUUAGGGAUAAUUUCAGAAACCUCCCUCAGGUUUCUAACAAUUUGAAUCAUCCCUGCUAAAGUUUGUAGAAUUACAUUAACCUCUCUAAAUAUUAUUAAAGGGCUAUAUUAUUAACCUUCAUAAAAUCACGACCAAGAUUUUUAUAGAAAAUUAAAAACAAAAACAAUAUCUCCUACGCACUUUUUUUUUUAGUAUACUAAACACCUCGUUAUAAGAUGCAAAAAAAAGAAUAAUUUUACAUUGAUCAUCUAGUGAUUUUUAUCUACAACAAGCAACUUUCAAAUCCCAACCAUGUGCUCAUCCUGUUAAAUUUAACCAGCCUAUUAUGAUUUCAUUAAACCUCAAAUCUGCACAAUUGAUUUUUAUUCCCAAUAAUCCAAUCGUCAAAUCCCAUCAAUUUUUUUCUCUUAAAUAGGGGUAUUUUUUCUUUUUACAAAAUAUUAACCUAUUUAAUUUCUUUAAGAAAUGAGAUGGGAGUAACAUAAGGUAUUCAUUAGAUUAUUUGUGUUUAUAUCAUCAAUUGUUACCUAGCCAUAUAUUUUAACGUAGGUUUCUAUAAUUAUUGAAAUUAAGUGCAGAGACUUCAAUUGUCAAAACCCUCAAGGGUGGUUUUUGAAAUUAGCCCAAAUUUUUAACACAAGAAAAUAUCUCAAACCCUAGUGCAAUAUAGCCCUAUCCAUUUCUUUCAAAUCUGAUGUGCAGUGUAUAGGUCUGGAUCUACUGCUUGGAUUACUCUGUCUGACACCAUACGGAUAAGGGUUUUUAUUAGGCUAGCUAGUUUGAAUAUACACAACAUCUGAAAAGAAAAUGAUUUGAUAUUGGAAUAAAAAGAAUCUUUAAAUCAGUCAUCUAAGAAAGAUUAAUCUUUUUUAUUUUUUCAAAUUAAGGAUAAUGAAACGAAAAAGAAAACAUCCGUGAGAAUACUGGACAGAAUUAUCAACCAACAGCGCACUUUCAAUUCCUAAUUAAAUAAUCUGAGUCUAGCAAUAGAAUAGUAGUUUUCUCUAAAUAGAAUUCAGAAUUUUCCCUAAAAUUAAGUAUUUUUAAGCUUAAAAAAGAAACAAAUUGAGCUCUUACAAUUUUGACUAGUACCGGCACUUAUGCCACCCAUGCUUGCCACUACCCUUGCAUGUUCCUCAAGCAAAUCCUCCUUUACCUCAUCGCUCUUGUUUUGUUUUGCUUGUAUCAUUACCUCUAUUCAUUAUUUUAGCAUAGCCCUUAAAUUGCUUCAAAAAAAAAAAAAAAACACAAUGCACAAGACAACAAAUGUAUCAUCUACAUUGUUCAAUACUAUAUGCUGCUUCCUUUUGAGGGGAUGAAAAGUUUAUUAGCCAGACAGACCGUCACGGAACUGUAUUGGAAAUGCAUGAUUGCAUAAGCAGUGCUUUACACCUAUAAACUAAUGGAAAUCUCAGUACCCUUCGUUUGAAAUUGAGUGAAGGCCAUUGACGGAUAUCUUCUUCUCCUUGGAGAGAGAAUAUAGGCCAAUUCUUUAAUCCGUUUUAGGUCCUUUCACUGCAUUUUUAUUUGAUGAACCACUCUAUCAGGUCCAAGAAUAGGACAAAUCUCAAGGAAUUUCUCAUCUUAGUGAGUGUCAUUAUCAUAAAAUAAACUAAAAAUUCUACAAAGAUACAUUGCUUAGCAUCCACUAAUUUAAAACUAGAAAGGUGGUGGGCAUAGUCGUCGUUUGCCUCUUGUCAUUGCUAGGGUAACCCUGCUCAUAUACCUCUAUCAAGAGCCUUAAUUUGGUUUUUAUUACCGUCACCAAGUUGCCAGAAUGUGCCCAUCAGUAAAGUCAAAUUUUGAAAAUUUGGUCUUUUGUUUAAGGCUCUUUCUGUUCUGUUCCUUCUUACCAAGGGAUAUUCCUUGUCACUUUACAGAAAUAAGCGUGUUUUGUUUGCAUACAUAUAGUUAAUUGUAAAGAAUUAUUUUUCUGGUUACUUGCAUAAGCAAUGCUUUUUUCUUGGAUGUUUAUGGCAGCUUAUCUGUAUUCCUUGGGGUUUCUUGUCUGGAAAAAUUCUAUUUGCUCAGUAUUUUAAGCAAUAAAAACAAGGCACAUGACUUUCUUGAAGAUAGGAAUGUACGGUGGAAUUGCAGAAUAUGAACCUGCUGAAUAUGCUCAAUAUUCCUGGAUUUAUUGGAACGUGACACGGGGACACCUAGGACACAUUCUAGGGCUUCCUCUAGCUUGAUUCUUUCUUUGAAAAAUUUUUUUUUUCCCAAGAGACCGCCACUCAAGAAAGAGCCAUAAAAACAUUGGCAGCAAAAUAUCAUAGCCUUUGCUACGAGGAAUUGUGUCUCAUUAUGUAUGGGGUCGGUGUUCAUGGAAGCUAGAAGUGUAAAUUACCUACCAGUUCUAAAUUAUGUCAACAAGUUUCUAACAAACCGUGACAAUUGCUUACCAAACAAAGGUUAGUAGCAGCAGCAAAGGUCAGCGCAGGAAAUAUAUAUUUGGUCCAAAGUGUUACAACUGUAAACAAUUUUCUUGAUUGUUUUGUCAGCCAUACAAAGAAUCCAUGUAAAAGUUCGCUUUUAUUAAGACCUCCUAAAGUUUAGAUCAAGAUGAACGCACAGGAUAUUUUCUAGAAUUGCAUUAUCAUGAAGAAUCUAAUUGCCUUUUGAAUGCGAAAUGAUCAAUGUGAAAUGAGCUACUGUGUGAUGGAUGCCUUUAUUUCAUGCUUGGAUCUCUUCUCAGUCUUUGUAUGGCAAGAAUGAAAUAAAAGGAGUAGGAGGUAUUUUGAAGAGGAAAAUGGGAGAGCUGAACUAGGAAAGAGAUGCUGCUUUAAAACAAGUGCAACUUUACACAGAUUCUAGAACGCAUGCAUGCUAGUGUUGGGGAUUAAGACUGAAAGCAAUAUUAUGUGUCAUGAAAUUUAUCAAUCGAUUGAAAUCCCUCACUCGCUUAAGGAUCUAAUUAAUACAUGUUGAACUUUGAGUGAAAGGGGAAUUAGAUGAUAUAUAGUUCUGUUCAAGAUUGUGAGGAAUUUUGUUUUUCCUUCUUCCACAAAGGUUGAAUCUAUCGCAUCUUACACUUUUUAACAAAGAUUUUUUUUUUUUUUAUUUAAAAACCCACGAUAGCCAUAACGCACAAACGAGGAGAAAAUUUAGGCCAAAGCUUGUUUUUUUUUUUUUUUUGUGUGUGUGUUAAUAACAAAAUAAUAAAAAACUAUGUGAAAGUGGUGGGAUUAGGCAUAGAUUCUGACUUGUUUAUUAAGACGUGUAAAAUAUCUCCAACAUGCUUCAUAUCAAUGUCAAUUCUCGUUAAUAACUGCAAUGUAAUUUGCAAUUUGGAAACAAAUACAUAUAUAUAUUGACCAUGCUCUCAAGCAUAAUGGGAAAACAUGUUUCAUUGAAGCAGUUUAAUGUUGGUAGAGCUUCUUCUUCUUAUUAUAUAUAUUCUACUUCGUCACUUUAUUAUACACCGUGUUCUUCUUCUGGAUAUUACAAGUCACAACAAACACGUAUGAUAACCUUCUGGACAUAGCUCAAUUGGUGCACAAUUAUACUCGUCUAAAUCUUAAUUGAUAAGCACGUUACUGGCGUCCUGUAUGCAUUUGUAUGAGAAAAUUAAAGUAUAUAAAGCCAUCAUGUCUCCAUUUCAGCCUCGCGAAUGCAUGGCUGGCUGGAUACACAUACAUGUUCAUGCCAUGCAAGACCUGCUGCUACACACAAAAUCCAGUAUUCCUAGCUGUGUAUUGUAGAAAGGAAUUAUACAACAUGCAAGUAACUCGAGGGUCGUACAAAUUAGGAUUUUAGCAACAUCAAAUAAAUCUGGAGACGAAUAUGCACAGUUUCAUUGUGCUGGCUUGAUACGGACAACUAGCAAGUAACAACUAUAUGUCAACCUAAGUUUAAGCUAGCUGGUGAAUUUCUUCUCCAUCUCUGAAUCACAAAAUUCUCCGGAGCUGGUUAAUUAAGGGAUUAUUCCAAGUCAUUAGGAUAUGUACGGAAUUACACUCAGGGAGAGAGAGAGAGAGAGAGAGAGAGAGAGAGAGGAUAAGGCAAAGCAAAUUAAGGAACGCGACAUUGUUGACCUAUGGGUUGAAGCUGGAUUAGUGUUAUGGUCCUAGUAUCUAACAUAGGAUUCUAGGUAGUACCUCCUAACUCUAUGUUAGCCUAAAGGACAAAAAACAUAAUUUACUUGGUAGUCUAGCACUUAUCAGACUCCAUUAACAUGUUAGAAUUCCUGCCUGCUUAUUUAAUUAAGACAGUUUGAAGAUAAUGAUUAACCUCAAGAUUCUCAGAUAUCUUUGUUCUUCUCAAGGGAUUGCUAGGUUAUAUAUAUAUAUAUAUGGCUACAUGACCAUUUUUAUUUCUUGUGAGAAAAAAUAACAAAUUUAUGUGAAUGAGUACCGAUAAUCUGAUAAUAGCUGAAUCACCUGAGUAAUACAAGAAUGAUUUAGUGUCAUACAAAAGAAAGGCAAAGUGAAUUUAAAGACUGAGAGGGCUACUUUCAUGGUACAACUCUACUACAUACUCUUUGAAGUUACUAGUAAUCAACGUAUAGACUUUAGAAUCAGGUAAUAUUCCAAUUAAUUCUACAACAUCUUUUCCAAGUUCCAAUGAUUUCAAAUGAUCACAAUCAUUAAAUUUCUUCUAAGAUAUCAUAGAAACAAAUGGCACUAAAAUAAUGAAAGAAGUUUGAAAAAUAGCCUACUCCACAAAGCUCAACCAAGUUGUUGCCAAAAUGUCAAAGGAAUUUACUUUACUAGUUAGGUUCAUUUUGUGGAGGCCACAAUGGAAGUUUGUGAGAUUUUUCAGCACAUUUAUGUCGAAGGAAAAACCAGCACUAAUUAAUUUGCACUGCUAGCUUCACCAUAUAGUUCAGCAGAAAAAAUAUACUCCCAAGCAACUUUUCCAUAAGAUGCUUCAGCCGGAGAACCAAAUAAAAAUCAAUUAUGCAUCCUGAGAAAACGACCCUAGCUUCCAAGUCCUAAGUUCUCCCAUUUCAACAUCAAGACAACUAGAUAAUUUUAGUCCAAAUGGACUAAAUGAAAGGAAAAGAACCAAAUUUCUCAAGAAGUUUAUUAGGGUUUCCGAGACAAUUAAUCCAAAUUCAAUCUCUCGUCUAAUAACACAAAUUUACAAAUGAAAUAUGCACGAACUUUAUCAUGGUCCAAGGUACCUCAAUUGAUCAAUUGCACAUUCUUGCAGCGUCCCUUGUUGAAGACCCUCAUAGCCGGAAGCAACAGCAGGAAGUACCAGAGAAUUCAUCUCCCCCCAAUCUGAACUCCCUCCACAAGUAUUCCCGGUCCUAUGAUUGAUCAAAAUAUCUCCGCAUAAGAACUCAAGACCAUCUAAUCUCUGAGGAUUGUUACAGAUCAUUUGCUCCAGCCCAGCUUGAAAGCUGUUUUGUCCUUGUAAAGUUGACAAAUCUGCUGCAUCAAUGGUGUAUAGCGUUUCUGGCAAAGAUGAAGUUGUAUUCAAGACAUCCAGGGGGGCAGAAGAUAGCAUAUUAAUCUGCUGAUCAUAAAGUGGUUGAACUUGCACCAGCGAAUUGGUACUAUCCAAAGGAUACUGAAGAUUGGUAUUCAUGGUGCCAUUUGUUGGUUGAUCAUCAUCGUCAGAAAACCUUCCUCCAAGUUUUAUCAACAACUUUCUAAUAGAAGCAUGGUCAUUAAAGCGUGGUUCUUCGUUUGAGUAGGGUACUGGAGGCAGUACAGGCAGCUCAGGCCAAUAGGGACUUUGGUUACUGUUAUAAUCAGAGGAAGAAGAAGAAACCAUAUGAUUAAUAUUUUCCCUCAUCCCCUUUCGCAGCAUUUCUUGCUUUUGGCUGGUACUUUUUCGAGCAUGUUGAUCCUUUCGCUGCUUCCCAAGGAGCUUCUUCUUCAGCCUUGUGUUCCAGUAGUUCUUUAUGUCAUUAUCAGUUCUUCCAGGUAAUUGUGCAGCAAUAAUUGACCACCUGUUUGUGCAAAUAAAAAAGAAAUGUUUAAUUCGGUAAUGGAAGAUACUACUUGCUUUACUCAACCCUUGUCCUAAUUAAGAAGAGGAAGACUACGGAACCUUAACUACGUCCAAUUUGGAGUAGUUAAGAGGUUGAAAAUUGUUAGGAAAUAUGCGACUUACCUGCUUCCAAUACUAAUAUAGAGGCUGCAUAUGAUGUUGUCUUCUUCUUCAGAGAAUCCUCCAUGCUUAAUGUUGGGACGAAGGUAGUUGAGCCAUCGAAGGCGACAGCUCUUUCCGCAUCUCUUGAGGCCUAAUUUUAGACACAAAACUCGUACAUCAAGAUGAUCAUCAUAUGCAUUAGAAAUUAGAAAAUCCAGUUAAGCAUAUUACUGUACUGUACUUAGGUUGAAGAAAUUAAACUUGAAAAUCAUUGAAGAUCUUUGCUAGCUACGAACCGAUUUUCUGCGGCAAAGCAAUCCAGUUGCCUCCAGUUCCAUGCUGCUCAAUAUAGGACUUCAGCUUAGCAUCUUCUUCGGGCGACCAUGGCCCCUUCUUCACGUUGGCUUUGUCACAGCAUGGAGCUCUUCCCAUUUCUUUUCACUUCUGCUUCUAAGCCUAACCCUUUUCCCUUCUUCCUUCUUGGAAUACUAGUUUUGUGUGUUUGUGUGUGUCUGUGAGAGAGAAAGAGAGGGGGAGAGAGAGACUAUAAUAGCUGGAAAAGGAUAUACAUGUCUCCUGGAGCAGCCAAUAUGAUUCAGAAAAUGAGGUAGCAAAAAGGAUGAAAAGAUGGAUAGAAAAGUAUAUGCCCGGAUAGGAAACCAGGGUUUUUCUUCUUGUCUUUCUCAUUCAAGAAUCAUUAUAUACAUUGACUGUAAAAACCAGUGGGGAUGUGCGCCCCAUAACCUUAAUUACUUGCGUUGGAAAAUGAUUUACACGUUAUAGGAUGUGUGUCAUGGUCCUAACCACGUUAUAUUUAUAGCUUUAAGGAGAUAUGGUGUAUCCACAUCAAAUAACAGCAUGAUGUUUACAAUUACAUAAUCCUUCCAAAUGGAACAGUAAUGCUCUCAUUCUACUCAAUUUUACAGCGAUCUUAACUCUUCUGGCUUGUGUAGAUUUACCACAAUAAUUAAGGUUAACGGGGGCUUCCUAACAGUUUCAUGAUGGAUGGUCCAAAUUGGAUGCGGAAAGACAUAUCCAGCUGCAGAUCUGCGGAUGAUAAAUUUUACAAGAGCUUAAAGCUGGAUUGUUUUGUAUUUUGCUGUUAUCUACAUAUAGUGCACCAAUUUGUAGAUGGUAAAAUAAAUAGUACAUAAAAAAUAUUCUUUAAAAAAAAAACAAAUUAAGCCUUGACUUGUACGAUUUAUGCAAUUAAUCAAACAUAGUACUUAAAAUAAGUACUUUGUAUCUUUGGGAUCAGAUAAUCAUAGCUGCUGGUAUAUAUUGCACAGGAAUCUGCAGAAAUGCGGGAUUAUUCAUCAAUGUAAAUGUGAAUCUCUUGCGUAGUAAAAGUUUACAUGGUUGCGUGAUAGGCCAAGUCAUCAAGGUAAUUACGGUAUUACCCACCUUCCAUCCUCCCUAGUUUUUUAGAGGAAAAACUGGGAAAAGGGAUUGUACCACAUUGCGACUUGGUUAAUGAUAGUCAAACAUUGAUAAUUUAUUCUUGAUCAUAACAACAUAUUUCAAACUCCAUCGGAAAUGUGAGAAAAAGCAUGCCAAUGAAACUUUUCUCCAAGAGUCAAAAAAAUGUUCUAGAACCAAAAGGACGAGACUUGAACAAGUGGAAACCAAAAUAUGAAGCAAGAAGAAAUUGCCCUUUGAGUAGGUGACCAGAGACGACCUGCGAAAAUGGAAUAUUACCCUAUUAGAAAAGUUGGCCAAGUCAAAAGUAGAGGACGCAUUGAUGCCAUAUCUUGAUAUGGUUCAUAUUUCUUCUUUCUUGUACCCAAUUCAACACCAAGCCUAAAGUUAGUAGUUAUCACUGUUGAGAAUGUAAUGUGUUUGACGGAAAAUCAUACAAUCAAUGCCACAUCUUGAUACGGUUCAUAUUUGUUCUUUCUGAGCAACAGAGCCUAGAGUUAGUAGCUGACACUGUUCAGAUGUCUUGGCAAAAAAUCAUACAAUCAGAUUCUUUUAUUUAGCAUGCUCUGAUGAACAAAUUGUCAUUGGUGAAAAAAAAGUUUGUCCGCAACGCCCGAAUUUUAGUUGUUAAAGGCUCCAAAACCCCCUAUGUCGUCGAAUGGCAAAAUCCACCCAAAACGAGCCAUUUGAACAAGGUCUUUUUCCUUUCCCAAUUGAUUAUUCUGGAAGAUAUCAUGUUCUCAACUUUUAUCUCUCAUCAAAGAUAAUAUAUAGUUUAAACUUUUAAAUAUUUUAACAAUGUUUAAUCUAAGAGUCAAUAUAUAACACUUUUUUCAUCAUCAUCAUCAUCAUCUAAUGCUGAAUUUCACUUAUCAACAUGAUACCUAAAAGGCACUAUAGAAUAUCUCCUGAUUAUAUGUCGAGGAGGAAAGUUAAAAAUAAAUAAUCGACUUGGGGAUGAAGUGAAAUAAUCCCACACGGGCACUGAGGGAGUAGGGGUGCGGUGAACUUAGCCGUUUUGAGGAGCUCAUUGUCACAUCGAUGCAUUACAUAAUUGACUUUAACGUGGGUGUUACAUAUGGUCUCCAAUUCUUGUCAUAUAUGCCAGAAAAAUCAUAGAGCUUCACAAAAUGGAUGUGUUUUUUUUGUUUUCUUUUCGUUGGUUGGUCUCCUAAUUAACCUUCAGGCUGAAGGCUUUCUUUUUCUUGGUUCUUUUCUUCCUUUUUCAUUGCCUCGAUUGCUGGAAUCUUUUAAGAUGACUAUCGAUCCCAUAUGAUUUGUAAAAUGGGACAUACAUGGUAAGGAAUUAAUUACAUUAUUUAGCAACUUAAAUGGUAAAUUAUAUCCUAUCUAAUCAUCCACUAGAAGAAACAUUAGUUUAGUGUGUAUCAAAUAUAUAUCUAGCUAGACCUUUUUUAUUAAUUAAUUUAUUUAAAAGUGGCCUCAAUAUCUCAGUUAGACAUAACGUGAUACAUAAGAUAAUUGAAUACCCAAUAAUCAACACGUCUUUCAAAUACUUUCUAAUAUUAUUAUACACUUUUUCCCCUUGAAUUAAUGGGCAUUAUGCCUCUCUAACGACGUACUGUUGUUGAAGACUAAUUUUAAUUUUGAAGUCAACUGAUGAUGCUAAUUCCUAAUGCUCAUUUUUGUACGAGUCCUUUCGAGCAACUUAAUCCUACCUUCAUAAAGGCACGGGGCCUUGGUCGGCAAGCCAAAGAGUUCAAAGUCAAGUUCUGUUGUGGUAGUACUCCAGUUUUUCUCCCUUUGCGAUUUCUCUCUACAUUUUAGAUGAAAUACAAGAUACUAGCUCCUUGUAAGGUUUUUAUUAUCUUAUUAUUUAUAUAUAUAUUUUUUUUCUAAUUCAAAGGGAGGCUCGGAAGUCGGAACUGCUCGCGAACGGCUCGAGUCGUUUGCAACUCUACUCGGAACCUUAAUUAUAAAAAGAAAGGGGGGAAGAAGAAGAUUUAAGACUUAAUUAAUUAAAGAGCUUGAAGUGAUCCUGGCUAAUGUCCCCAUUAAUUAUAUACUAUAUUGGUUCUUGAUGACUAUAUAACAUCCAUAAUGAUUCUGAAACUGUUCUUACCGUUUCCAGACUGCUAUAAAUUUUGACAAACGUAGUCAAGUUAGCUGUCAAGACAUGUACAUGCAUUAACUAUUUAACAACCAAUCAAGACUUGUAGCAUUAAUGUUUAUCACUUGACGAGAGAGAAACAGGAUUACGAGAGCAUCUUUGAACGACUAUGCUAAUAAAGUCGCUCGCUUUUCUUCAUGGACCUAUACGCUUGAAAUAUAUCUAUCAAAUUGACCGAGUUAAUAUAUAGUCCAUGACGAUUUCCAUCUCCAGGCAGUUUUAACUUUUAUCAUCUUGUUGUAAGUUGUUUACAUGAGCAAAUCUUUUACCAGUCUUUUUUGUUUUUCGAAGCUCAUCAACACUGCUACCAUUUUCCGUGCAAUAUCUACUACUAAAACUUUCGAUGACUACCACUACUUUUAAACAGAUACAUAUGUCAUUCAUGCUCACACCCUGCGUGGACCUCAUCAAAAGUUAAAAGUAGUACGUACUUGGAUUGGUAUCCGAGAUUUUUUCUUGUCUUUAAAAAAAAAAAAAAGAUUAAUAGAACUUGAUUAGCAAGUUUUACCCUUAUUAUGCACUAAAUCGUGUACUUGCAGAUGCGUACAAGAUAUUGGGUCAAUUUGACUGAAGAGAAAUCAUACAUUGAAGGUUCUAGUACAAAUUACUGGAUCUGAGAGUCUAAGUUUGUUCCAAAACUGUCAAGAUUUCUGUUAUGGUUAUUAAUAGCAGUCACAUUCUUACCAGCUGUAGUGAUCAUGUAUGUGGGAGGAGUAGUGCAAUCAAUCAGCCAAUUUUUGAGCUUAUCAAAGAAUGCCACGAUGCUGUGGAUGCAUCUUGUGAGCAGAUCAUACAUCACCAGUUUCUCAGCCAUUUUUCUAAUGGUUGGUGUAAGUUCGGUCGAUUGGGACUAUUAGCAGUGACAAUUUUCUGAUUGAUGGAUUAUGAUGGAGACGGUUGCUAAUUGAGUAUUUGAUCCCUGUUUUCUUUCUUUUUCAAUGAUAAAAAAGAUAAGCUAAUGCUGCAAAUAUCACGCAUUUUCUUCCUUUACAUCGUCAUUAAUCACUCUCCUUGUGCUGGGAGACGAUGUAAUUAGACUCCAAAACUAAACAUGCACGUCGAGUUUUCUGCUGCACUUUUUUCUACACGUAAAUUUCCUUCUUUCUCCAAAAUUAUUUCCAGUGGCUUUCGUAACUUGGUGUUCAUCAUGAUGAUGUCAAGAAAAUAUUAUUCUCUUACACCAAAUUUGGAUCCGCCUAAAAUAUAAAAGGAAAAACAAGAAGUUACGCACUCUCGAGAGUUUGAAAGUUACAAUUGUUUUUUGAGUUAAUCUUAUACGCACUGACUCAGAGUCUAUACAUUAUUACGAUUAGAUUCUUGACCCAAAUGCAAAAUUUAAAUUUCAAAUUCAAAUUCAGAUUAUGUAUCAUGCAUUCAACGGUAAAAGUGUAAACACUGUCGCUGUAUAGAAAAAUUAAUCCUUGCUCUUAACCACUAAUUCUCUCAAGGUUAGGCUAAUUCUCUCAAGGUUAGUGUUUUGUGGAGGAUGAUUUUGGUGCAUGAUUUUUUUACUGCACCUUUAUAAGUAACAAUUCUUAACUUUUGUGGAUGAUGAUUUUCAUUAUCUUUUGAGGUGGAUGGGGUGUCGGCCAAUUUUUGGUUUUAGUCUAUUGGAAAAACUUUGGGCUCCAGCCUGGUGAAAUAGUUUUCACAAACUAUCAUGGGCUGAUUUUUAACAGCUGCACCAAUAAAUUUUGGCGCGUCGAAUCUUAAGUCUCCAACUUCCAUCUGGAUUCAAAUUCAAUCAAAAAAGAUUAUUAUUGAGAACGCCGGAUCCAAUUUUUGUAGGGAUGACCAAUUUUCUGUGGACCAUUCACGUAAUAUUCCUGAGUCCAUGGGCUAAAAGCUUGAAGUAUAGCUAGAGUACGGGUGUAAACAGAACACAGGCCAGAUCUUCAGGGUCUCAAUAUGUGGUUACAGGUCAGGGCCCGUCUAGAUCCAAAUCCAGGUCAAGAAUAUAUGGAUUUUGAAAUUAAUUUAAUAGAAUUAUUUUCCAAUAGUUUUAAAAUUUUAAUUGAACAUAAAAUGUAUCAAUACAAUAUUACCAUUUUUAUAGAAGAUCUUUUCUAGUAGAAGAUAAGUGGGUUUGCAAUAAAUUUUAAUGAAUAUAUAAUUUUUUAUGAAAAAAUUUAUAUUAAUUAGAUUCGAGUCCAAAAUGGGUCGAAACAUGUAAAUCCAUGUCCGAUCCAUUUAUAGUGUAGAUAAAAAAUGGAUAUGGAUUAAGUCUAAGUAAAUGAACCUAUUACCUAUUCCGAAUACAAAAUAAAAAAAUAAAUAGGGUCUACAUCCAAUCCAAAUCUAAACCUAAUCCGUUGACAGUCCUAUGCUAGACGUUUAUCCUUUGGGCAUGGAGUGCUGAUUAAUAUUUUGUAGCAAUUUAUUUAAAACUUUUCUUUUUUAGAUUUUCAAAAAAAAAAAAAUACUCCAAGGGGAAGAAAUGGGAGCAAAAAGGGAGAUUGGUGACGCAUUUUCUCCGGGAUCCACCAGAUUUCUUGUGUAGCUCAGCUUAAAAUUGUUGCUGUGAGAUGUGACAUUUGGCCUCAAAUCAACCUAAAAAGAAAAGGGAAUGGUGAAUUGAAUAAAAUGAUCAUUGGACAAUUAUUCUAGAGUACUACUAGUAAACAAAGAUGGUUGAAUAUUGGGCUACAUCUAAUUUUCCUACAGAUUUGGAGCAAAUUAACCAAUUCAUUUUUUGGUAAGAUGGCCAGCGAAAAGGGUUUUAAAUCCCUUUCUGGGCUUUCUGCUUGGAUUAGGAAAGAAGUUUAACAGGGCAGUCUUAUCCUUUUAGCCACUUGAAUAACUCAGUUGGAGUCCACAAGAGUUUUCCAUGAUUACAGCUCAAAGCUGCAGAGUUACUAGAGACUGUUCAAGAAUGAAACAGACAUUUUUACAAACUAAAUAAAGACUAAUAUCUUCUGAUUCGAUGAUUUACAGCAGAAUAUGUCAAUAAAGCAACCAGAGUUGACCAUAUCUUUUAAUCAAUUUCGACAACCCAGCCCCUAUUAUCCUCGACAGCACCACUUUGAAUUCCUACGAGCCUCGAGUAAAGUUUCUUGCAGACAAGAUCAGGGCUGAUCUCGUAUUCAGUCCUGCAUAAACGGAAGAAACCAAUUACUGAUGACUCUCUAUACCUUAUUCAUCCAAACAAAGUUGUGAACCUUGAGAAAGCAAAUUAAAGUUCAGAAAAUGUUCCUAUAGCUCUUGAGUAACUUCAUCUUCAUGGGGGGGUUAGUCCUGCUUAAUCUUCUGCACAGCACGACCUUUUCACAAGAUCAUACGCUGGGAUGAAACAGUGUUGGGAUAACACUAGAAUAAGCAUGCAUGCUACUUAUUACCUUUUACCAUUGUAUGUGAUGCUUCCCACAGCGGCAACACCAACCGCAGUUCCUGUGCAGAAUACUUCAUCAGCAUCGAUUAGGUCGUCCGCCGGAAUGGUACGUUCUUCAACCUGGCAACAUCAUAGAAAAGGCUCAGAUAGCCCAUACACUGCUUCAGUCACAUUAGAGUAGCAAUAGAACACUUCCAAACCUUAGCAUGAUGGCAAUUAUGUGAGCCAAUACCACGAAUUCUCUUAUCAUUUUUUCAACUGCCUGCUUAAUUAGCAGUUAAUACAAGUUUUUUGUUUACCUGGUAUCCAAGAUCCUUUGCAAUUUCCAUGAUGCUUUUUCGUGUUACACCUUCAAGGAUGGUGCCAUUAGUUGCUGGAGUUGAAAGAAUAUUUCCCUGGAUAUAUGCAUUGGAGUAGUAAUAAGUUUAAUGGUCCAGACCCUUCAAAAUCUAGCUGCAGAUUGCGCAGGCUGCACUAAGAACAUUAUAGAGCCCUAUAUCUAUAGUUUCUACUUACACUCUCACAUGAACAAGAUUUUUCUUUUUGUUAAAGCUUUUGACCUUACGUCCAUAUUGUAACCCAAUAUGUCCGGGUUGUAUAGAGUUGUUAUUUGUAUUAACAUAUCAGCUACUGAAAUAGUUUGAUGAGGUAAUGGAGUAGAAUACCUUGACAAUGAAAAUGUUACAAGAAGAGACCUCCUCAAUGUUUUUCUUGUUCAGUGAAUCUAGGUACAAGACAUCAGAGAAUCCUCUAUCCUUUGCUCUAUGUAUUGCUUUUAAGACCUACGCAACACAAAGUAAAUGUGAAUCUGAAAGGAAACAACAAGAAGGUAAGCAAAAAACAGAGCAUUUCUGGUUGGAGGAAAUGCAUAGAAAGAUUAACUGGCUAACAAGUUCCAAAUUUUUAGGCAACAUAAUCAAUUUACGAGUUUAUUCAACAAACAGUAGCUUUAUGAUAUCAAAGGUUAAUAAGAAAAUUUAGAAAAUAAAAUAUGUAAACAAAAGCCUUUAAUUGGUCUUCUUUGACUUCCUUUGCCAUCAAAUGCAAGUUUAGAUAGGGCCAAUAUUGCGGUUUAUUCCAUUUCUUUUCAUUUUCUGGGGUUUGGAGAUUGGGCUGAAUAGUAACAUGAAGGAUCAUUUAGCUUACUGGAGCAUAAUUUGUUAUGCUUUUGACUCCUCCGGCUCCUCCACGUGAAGCGCGAUGAAACUCACCCUCCACAUAUAAGUUUAUCGGUGCAGUUCCUUCCUGUAUAACCACAACUCAAAAUAAACACAUUCUUCUUUAAUGACAGAGAAAUGGACAACUUAGGAAUAAGAAAGAAGAACAUGAAGUGUUUAUAAUGACAGGAAAGAAGCAUAUAAAGAAAAAGAUCUGAACCUUGAAGUAGUUUCCAACAGGCGAAGCAUAGACAAGAAAUGUAUAUUCAGGUGAUGGAGCCAAACCAAGUACAGGUCCUGUUCCUAUGAGCAGAGGCCUAACAUAAAGUGAUCCUUUUCCUGGAGGUGGGAUCUGCGCAAACUCAAAAGCAAAAUAGGUUACACGAAAGAAAGAAAACACACAAAACAAAAAUUUUGUUACUGACUGACAACACAAUUGUACUGCAAGAAUUUGGGGACUAAAAAUAAUUACCCAACGCCUGUUAGCCAAGGCAGUUUGCUUCACUGCAUUGAUGAAGUGCUCAAUGGAUGGAGAGGGCAUGCACAUUCUUUCAGCACCAAUUUGCAUUCGGGUGGCGUUCUGAUCUGGGCGGAAUAGAUAGAGGCCUCCAUCUUUUUUCCUGUAGACUUUCGUACCCUCAAACAAUCCCUGUUUCAAUUUUCACAGACAGAAAGAAUUAACUUACAGUUUGUGUGAGACGACCUGUAGUCCAGAUGUGAUGAGGAACGGAACGUACCUGUCCAUAAUUUAAUACCCCUGCUGAAGGGCUUAACUCAAUGUUCCCAUAUCGGCAAAGUUGGCCUUGCUGGAAAUAUCCAUCACUGGGACACUUCAUGAUGUACAUAUAGUCAGUUGGUAUAACACCGAAUCCGAGACCAUUCCAAUCAAUAUCAGCAUACUCGUCAUUGCUGUCAAUUAUCAACAUGGACAAAGAAGUGUGGAAGAACAAAUUAGAGUUGGGCAUGAUAAUUUGUCCCCAUUGCUCUUAUUACCAUUGCAACGAAGAAAUAGUAAAUGCUUAUGAUUGCCAUAUAAAACAUAUUCAACUGUCCUCAUAUUCCAAAAGGACAUGUUUAGCAAUGAGUUUUCGAUACAGGCAGCUCCUUAUACUUCAUGGCUUCCACUAAGACAGCUACAUAGGUUUAGCAGUGAGCUUGCUACAUAAAAGUGUGGGAUUGUCCAGGGAUGGCUGCUCUGGUUGGGCAGGUGGCUUGUUUCCACAAUACUUCCAUGCCUUUGAUGAUGCCGAGCGUUUUAUCAACAGAAGCUCUUCAUUGUUUGCAGACAUUUUGAAUCCAGGUUGUGUAAUCUCUUUCGUUUAUUUUUCCUUUGAUCUGUGUAUGCUUUAAGUGGCUUUCUCAAUAAUUGGAUUUACUAACACAAAUACCACUGAAUGAUGGAGUUCACAAAUGAAGAGACGCAAAGCAUAUGUAGCUCUCACCCAAAGCAUAUGAAGCAAUCAUAGAAGACAUACGACAAGGCAAACACAAAGAUGGACCAUUGACAAAAACUAAAUGACAUUUUGUUAUUUUCUCAGGUCGAUGAGGGAAGAUCAACAAUGGAAUGGCGCAUUCUGGGAUCAGCAUGGUUUCUGGUGAACGUAGAGGACAAAUAACAGAAUGAUUUAUAUUCAACAGAAUGACGCCCUCCUUACAUUGCACCUUGCUAAAAACCAAGUAAACACAGCAUAAUGUGCAAUUCUUUGAGAAAAUUAAUAGAACAACUAAAGCAACCUGCAGAAGGGGAUAUGAUAUUUUUGCAUGAAGAUUGUCGAGGUAUAAAAUCCAUGGAGUAAACUACAAAAUCUUGCAGAACCAAAUGAUUUGACUUGCAUGCAUUAGGGAAUUUAGUUAUGCAGAUGAGAGUCGAUUAACAUUUACCUAUAGGCUGAUGGCGGUUCACAGGCUUGCUGUAAAGAAGAUGCAGCCUGAGUUGCAUAGCUGCUAGCUCCCAACUACAAAACAAAACAAAACAAACAGUUUAUUUUUUGGUCGAGUAAAUUAUCAUGAUGUAGAUCACGAUUUGUUGUUUUUAGCUAAAAUUCAUCAAUCCAUCCUACUUUUUUUUUAUUAAAAAAAAUCCAGAUUAUGUACAGUAGCAAAAUAUAAAAUUUCCUUAAUUAAGAUCUUGUUUAGUCGCCAAAAAUUAAAAAAAAAAACCUGUUCCAAAUAUAUUAUUCUUUGGAUGAAGUGUACAUCUAUGCAAAUCUGUUUCAUUACUAUUUAUUCAACAUCCUUUGUUGGAUUAUCAAUAUUUGAAUCCAUAAUCACCUAACAUAUAUAUAUAUAUAUAUUUAAUUAUUCUAUUUAAAUCUCCUAAAUAAAUUUUUUUUGGGGGGUAAGUAAAGAUUUGUAAACAAGUUGACCAUUCUUAAUCGGAACAGGUGAAAUUAUUCUACUAAUCCUGUAGUUUUUGCUCGUCUUUAAUUAAAAUGGAUGAACUGUUUAAGAUAGAAAUUGUUGACUUUUUUUCCUAGUGGGUUUGGAUCUGCUAAUUAACCACUAAAAUAAAAUUAAGAAGGGAUUGAAUUUAAAAUAAUAAAAAGCGAUAAAAUUGACCACACAUCAUUAUCCCCAUUCGAGAAGUUUUGCUAGGUUUAAGCAAUAGUGACAUUUUGUCCUUGCUUUUUACAAUGACAUCAAUGCUGAACCUAUUAGCCUAAAAAAAUGUGUGAUUCACGCUGCUUUUGAAAAUUUCUUUCAUAAUCCACCAGCUCACUAAACAAUUGUGGAUAUGAAAAUCAUUUCAUCUAUUACUAGCAUAAGCAUUCCUUUGCUGUUAGAAUAAAUUCGUGAGUUUUCCAGACAAAAACAAAAUAAUAAUGUAUAUUUGAUAUCUUUUUACAUCAAGAAAAACAACGGCUGUUAUCAACAUUGCAUGCUGCUCUUCCAAAUAUUUGGAGGAUCAAACUCUUUCACAACCCCCCCCCCUUUUUUUUGGGUCCGUCUUCUCCAACCUCAAAUUCAAUUCUAUGUUCAAGAAAGAACAGGACAUCUACUCUAGUUUCUGACGCUAGCCAGAUUUUAUUUGUUUUUUUUUCCCCUCAGAAUUCAAAAUAAGUUGACAUAAUCAAAGACAGCAGAAAGAGAAACGAAUUCCAAAAUAUUAAAAAAAAAAAAAACAGAAAACUGAAGACAAAAAGAAGUUCUUUGACACUAACCUUUGAUAUAAGAGAGCUUAAUGCGGAAGGUUGAAUCAAAUUACGAAUGCUGGUAAUUUUAUGAAUCAUCUUGCUCUUCUUUUUGCUCAGCGCAGAUCUUCAAAGAAAACCCGUCAGUUGUAUUUCCGGCGAACGUUUAGAAAACGGGUAAAGAUUACAAGUGACUAUUCAGAAGAGGAAGAGCAGAAAGAAAGAACAGGGACGGAAAAAUGAAGAUGAUCGAAGAAUUGCAUAUAUUAAUUAAUGUUCCAUAAUGAUCACAAGCAGCGGUGCUCACAUAUGCAGGCAUGCAAAUGGGAACUGGCAAGAAAAGGCCAAAGAAUUGGAGAGGUUGAACACGGAACCAUGAGCACUUCGACUGCUAGUGCUAGGAUAUGCAUCAAAGGAAUUGGACGGAUAAAGAAUAGGAACAAUUGUAUAAGAACUCCUUUACAUUUCAAGUUAUUCUGUUCUAGUCCCUUAUAUUUACAAUGACACGUUUUCAUCUGCAACAUAUUGGAAAUGGUGAUAUUUUGAUCCCAAAUUUCAUUUUCACUUGCUUUUGUUCUUGAAAAUUUUUCUUUGAUUUUCUGUACGUUAUGAUGUAUAUUGAAGGGAAAAAUUUAAAAUAGAUGGUUCCUUAUAUUGAAGGACAAAAUUGAAAAUAGACAAUUAUUAUGUAAAAUAUAACUAGUAUUUCAUAUUAAGGCCCCAUUUGAUAACUCAUUUAAUCUUAAUGAAUUCAGAUUUUAAUAUGUUCAGACGUAUUUGAUAACCAAAAAUAGGACAUCUGAAUUAAUUAAGUGGCAUUGAAUUUUCUAAACAAAACUUACCUUCAAGAUUAAGGAAUAAACUAAUCACUUAUCACUGAAUGUGAUAUAUAUUCAAAUGAAUCAGAUUUAACACUUAACAAUUCAAUAAUUUAAUGAAUUCAGACUUUAGAUUUCAAAUUUUAAAAUUAAGUUUUCAGACUUCAACUUUAUCAAACGCAUCCUAAGUUAACAAAUCCUGUUUGGUGAAGAAGGAAGAAGCCACAGCAAUUACACCAAGCAUGGGAUAAGAUUUAACACUUAACAAUUCAAUAAUUUAAUGAAUUCAAACUUUAGAUUUCAAAUUUUAAAAUUCAGUUUUCAGACUUCAACUUUAUCAAACGCAUCCUAUGUUAACAAAUCCUAUUUGGUGAAGAAGGAAGAAGCCACAGCAAUUACACCAAGCAUGGGAUAAAAAGUCACACACUUCCCUUUUUUUUUUGUCCCUAAAGAAAUUUGACCGGAAAUAGAAUUCGGGCUUAUAAUUGAGAUACACUUUGAAUAGGUUAGGGUUCAAAAUGUAUAACUUAAAUGUGAAGGACUAGACGAUGGUAUUUUGUGAAUGGAGGGUUUGAUUUGUGCAAAACAUCUAGUUUUGAUUUUAAACGGAGAGGCAUAGUGUGUGAGUGCACAUGCGUAGCAUGAGUGACUCCAGGCCGACAAUUUGACGUCAGUCAACUCCAAGCGAUGAGGAUUCCUUCUCACCAACCCUUCAUUUUCCUUUCGUGACAAAAAAGGAAAGAAACAUAUGUAUUACUAUAAAAUAAGAGGAAUGCUUGCACAUUCACCAUCAAUUUUAUAAUACAAUUUUUUAUUUAUUAGACUAUAUGAUAAAAGAAAUUACUGAAGUGCGAUUAAUAAAGACUGGAAUGCGAUUCAUGAUUUUCUACAAUAAUUAGUCAUAGUUUAAUUACUUGUGUUGUGUUGUGAAGGCUUUGGAUUUUUUUUUUCUCGUUUAAAUAAAAUUAGAAAGAUCUGUUAACGGUAGGUGCAAUACAGACAAUCUACAAUUACAAUAUUACAGAACGUACAAAUGGUUCUGCACUUAUUGAUUUCUGUCAGCAGGUUGUUCGCUUUCAAACAACAAACGCAUCAAUGUGAGUAGAAACUCCAUCGAAGAAAACCAAAGAAAACCGUCACAUAUUGUAACAAAUUUUUGAGGGAGGCAGGGUUCAAACCCAUAACUUCUUUGCAUCACCAAACCUUAUAAGGUUUGGGAUGACCACUGGACCAAAGGCUCAAUGCCCAUCAAUGGUAGUUAGUGGCGCUGAUUAUAAUCAAUUUAAUCAAGCAAACAAUCUUUUGUAGACGUGCAAGUCUAUCAUACCUAAAAGUUGUACAACCAAGGAUGCAUUUGAGACGAGUUGAGAUUUCGAGUAGUGAACUACUUGAGCUCGGCUCGAGACAAAAUAAUUGAGUUGAGAAUCAACCUCAAACUCGACUUCAAUGUAUCUUAAUUGGAUUUGAGUUUAAUUAAAUUCAAUCCAAGUCUAAUCAAACUCACCUAAUAAAAAUUAAUACUUUACAUAUAAUUCUAAAUAAAGGAUAUAAUUGACAUUUCAUAAUAAUAAAUAUAAAAAUUUUUAAAAUAUAUACUAUAAAAAAAUUUGAUUUGGCUUGUUGAGCCUCCGAGUACAAGAAUUUGGAACUUAAACUCGACUCAUGAACCCAAACGAGCAGCUUGAACUCAAGUUCGAGUUCAAUCAAAGCGACCUCGAACCAACUUGUUGACUGAGUAGAUUGUGACUUCGAAUUGAACUAGUUGAUUCAGCAUCCCCUCUAAUAUAACCAAAGACAAUCAACUACAUAAAACAAAUGAAAUGGUUGAUUGUCAUGAAAAUAAAAAUUGGGAUCUACAAAGAAAAUUUUGUAGAAUUUUUAUCAGCUUAAAGUUAUGAAAAUAACUUCUUUCAUCAUUUUCGUUUUCUCGCCUCCAACAAGAUGUACAAUUCAGUCCAAGGCACAACCGUGCUCCUUCUGUGCGAGCUUCCUUUUUUUUUGGGUCGUUAAUAAUAGAUUUCUGCCAAUCCGCAAAUUUUGAUGUUAGUCCUCAUCCGUUAAAGGAGAGAAUUUACAAGAGGCACUGUUGGUCCACAGAGUUACACUAUGUUAGCCUCAGGCCCAACAUUCAACUGUAUGAUCGGUUGUCAGUGGACCACUCUUGGUGGACACUGGUCUGACAAAAUUGGGACCGAGCGGCUCUAUUAUUGGACCAACAGAGCUGAAACCCAAAUAUACACCACAAUUCAGUCGUCAUCUGUGUCUGGGCUUCAUUAGGCUAAGUUUUGAUUAAACUAGAGCUGCAAACGAGUCGAGCCGAGUCGAGUUUUGGCCUUAUCGAGUCAAGCCUUGACUAAAUUUUAUCGAACUCGAACUCGAGUUCGAGCUUGACGAGCUGGCAGUUUUCAAGCUCGACUCGAUUCGUGCUAAUUAUUUUUAUUUUUUAAAAAAAUUAAAUAAAAUAAUAUUUUUUUAAUAAAUAAUAAAAUAUUAAAGAUAUUUAUGUAAUUUUACUAUUAAAAUAAAAAUAAAAAAAUAAAUAUAUAUAUAUAUGCUCGAACUCGCGAGCCGGGGUUAAUGUUUUGAACUCGAGCUCGAGCUCGACUUUAGCUCGACCAGCUCGAGCUGGAGUCGAGCUUGAAUCGAGUCGCUCGCGAGCGGCUCGAUUCGUUUGCACCCCUAGAUUAAACCCUGGUUUGGAAUUAUUAUGUUUAAAUUUUAAAAUUAAUAGAUAAUUGUAGAAUGGUGUAUAAUGUUAAUAUAUAUUAUAUUACAGGUUAAGUCAGAAAUAGAUCCAGAACCUACAGAUCUUUAUAAGUCGAGUAUGGAACUUACAAAAUGGCCUCUAGCUCGUGCCAAAAGAUUCUAUUUGUUUUUUGAGUCGAAAUUAUGUUUAUCAAAACUCAAUUCAAGAAACCCAAUUGACAACCUUAUUUGUGUAAUUAGUGAAUUCCAUCACAAAACUCUUGCAAACAAUAUAUGUUGUGACAAUAAUGGUCUUUAGGUAAGAUUAAGCCUAAAUUUAUGAGUGCAAUUAAGCCAAGUUGAAUUCAAAUAGUUCUAGUGGACUACUCAACCUCAUUUUGAGUUAAAAUGCUUGAACUCGAGGUCGAGGUCGAGGUCGAGUUCGAACUCGUUGAACUAUUCGAUUUUACCUUAAUCUAGCUCAAACUCAAAUAGAUCUAAUUAAAUCAAGGUCAAUCGAGUGUAAAUGUUAUAAUAAUGUUUUAUAUAAUUUUAAAUAAGGAUCAAGAUAGACAAAUCCCCUACCUUUUCCUACUUCUUAAAUCCCACCCUUCCCCUAUUGAAUUUUUUUUUUAAAAUUAAAAAUACAUGCUCCCUCCAUCCCAAUAUUGAAGUCUACACAUGCAUCUAUUGAAUUUAAAAUAUUUCGAUGUUAAAUGUGUAUUGAGAUUUUAAAAAGUCGCUUUGUUCAGAUGAGAAGAUUGGAAAGCAUGUAUUGAAUUUGAAAUGGUAAUUUUUAUUUUGAGACACUCAACUCGAACUCCAUCAAUGCAAACUCGAGAUCGAAUUUUGAUCAAGUAGACUCGCAAAUAGUUCAAUUAACCUCGACUCUUCUGCAGCGCAUGCCUGAUUAAACUGGUAUCUCCUCAUUCGAACUCAUUUAUAUUUUGCUUAACUUUUUAUUCCCAAUAAAUUUCAUUUCAUUUCUUGGCGAAUUUUUGUGGCUCGAAACUUUUACUAGAAUAGGGCGUCAUGCUUCGUUGAAUGGAAAAUGCAAACAAGUACACAGGUAUAAAAGGUUAUAGUUUUGUAACGGGGACUUCUGCAUGCAACAUAGUAGUAUAUUAAGUCAACAAGGCGGUGAGAAGCAGAAAUUGCUCUCAAAAGAACAAUACCGAAAUAACGGUGGCUUUAUUUUCAUAGCUCUGCCAAAAGGCCAAGUGAAAUGCAAAUUGGUGACCAGGAAAAGCCAAAGACGAGAGGAUUUUCUCAAAGAAUAGUACAAUGGGAGGAGGAGGAGGAGGAGGAAUUUUCAGAACCACCCUUGUCUUUAACUCCCGGCCAAUCCUUGCACUGACAGUGUUUGCCUUGCGGAAUUCUUGCAUACACAGAUGCCACAUGCUUUCCACAGCCAACCCAAGUGGUCUUGCCACAUCUCGAGCACUUGUCUUCGUAGCACAUUUUCUUCUUCUUUUCGGCCUGCGUAAUCAAUCGAUCGAUCAAAUCAAAUCAAAUCUGCCUGCCCCUUUGCUCUUUUGUUUUCAGUGUUAAUAUGUAGUGCAAGUUUGCUUAUGAAGCAACGAUUUUAUACAGAGCAAUUGGUACUUUUAAAGUCAUCCAUCCAUCCUAGAACAUAACGAGAUGGUAGGAAAACAUUUCCCGUCGAUGCCACCGACAAUCAUUCGACAUUUCGUGACUGACAAUGUUAUUAAUUAUUAUUCCAAAAGAUAUUCCAACUUUCGUACAAACCUACGACGAUAACUAAGAAUGCCUGGUUUUCGGCCGCUUUGGUGGUAAUAUUUCUCCUCAGCUUGAAGGCGUUAUUAUCAUACCGCCCUGGAGCAACUUGUUCGAGUUCGUCAGUCUGGGCCUCCGAUUUCAAGAACCACUGGUGAAUUGGGCCAGCAUGUCAGAGUAAUGGAUCGUAUGCCAAUGCCCAAUUUGUAUAGGACUGCAUAUGUGUUUAUAUUCCCCGAUCUCAUAUGCCUCUCCUCAAGGCUCAAACAAUUAAGGGUGAAUAAUAAUAAUAAUUUAACGUUUCGAGUCCAAAGAGGGAAAAUAGGUUUAGAGUCUCUCUUUGAAUCGAAAAGAAAAACAAUGAUCAACAACUUGAUCCGACUGACUUUUGAUACGACCCCACGGGCAACUUCAACAUGGAAAAAUUAGUAGGAAAAAAAAAUGAGAGAGUUCGACUGUUAGAUAUUUUUUAUUUAUAUAUAUAUAUAUAUAAUCAAUGCUAUAUAUAUAUAUAUAGCAUUAAGAACAUAUAUAUACUCUAGAGUUUUUAUAUAAAAAACAGUUCGACUGUUUAAUGGAGGACCUGCUAUUGUUGUUUUCAAUUUGUGAAGCUCACCUCAAUUAAUUUUGAAGUAUCUCAUGCUAUAAAAAGGAACACCAACGACAUAGCCUAAACCUCUCAACAUGACAAUACAUUAAAAGUUUUAGAAUAACGGCCAAUGUGUUGUGGGGAGCAUGCAUCUAUGAGGCUAUCACAAAGUUUCGGCAACUUUGAGAUGUCGGCUUGGUGAUGACCAGUGCAAAUCGUUGAAGAUAAAUAUUGAAUAAGAAUUUAGAACCUAAGAUGACGGCCAAGAAUAAUCGAUCAUAGCCAAAUAGUACAUGUUUUCGUACAAUGAUAUGAAUUAGUUGGAAUUUUGGGUAGGUUUCUGAGAAUCAAACAUUAUGAAUUAUCCCACACUCAUGACUUCUAUCAAACGACUUGUAAAUAUAUUCUCUCUGCUGAUGAUUAGCAGCUAGGGGCAUCUAUAUCUCUUCUAGAAAAGUGGUUAAUUAUGUGUACAUGUUAUUGCGUCGUGAGAGCCUUUUUGGGAAGAGUAUUAUCUUAUCUUGUCAAGGGGAAAGGCUAAUCAACUAUUAAUUAGGUGCGACACUCAAGAAAACAAAUACUCAUUUUACCACGUAUCGUAUUCGCAACGGAUCUUCUGUCCCACUUUUUAUUAUAUUGCUAUUUCUCUUUCACAAACAUCAUGUUUUAAUUCCUUUUUAUUUCCUUAUGAUCCAAUAACUAUUAAUUGAGUAAAAAAUAAAUACAACAGUUUCAAAAAGCUAAUAUAUAAUAGAAAAUUAAAAAAUACAGCAGAAAAUUCAUAAAAAAUCUCAUUUUUUAUGCAUUUUGAUUUUUUGAGUUUGUUAAAUUUUGUGUAUUACUCAACUAAUAGUAAGUUCGCUUCACGUAUAGAUGAGUAAGUUUUUUUUUUUUUUUUAAUGUAUUGUCACUAUAUAAUAUUUUUAAUAUAUAAAUACAUUUAGAUCAUAUCACAUAAUAUCAAUUCAAAUUCGAAAUUCAAAUCACGCACGUUGACAUACAUUCAUAACCGUCACUGUAAAAAGAUCACUACACUACACUAUCAUAGUGUAUAAAAAGUUACUUCUAUAUCUAUAUGUAUAUAUACGCUGACUGAAAUGACAUCAAUUAUUCCACAAGCCGGCACAUCAAAAACUCGUGAAACAGGAAAUUAAGUACCUUAAGAAAAACUUUUAAUACACGUCUCUAGAUGACAAAUAAUGUUCAAGAAAUCAUAAACGGCUGCAAUUGCAUGCAUGCUCAAUCAAGAGGUGGAUUAGUGGUGCAUCUAUCUUUCGCAAAAUUCUUUAUGAAAGUUUGACUUUGUAAUAGUAAAUUGCAUUCAAUCAACCGAAUUUCAAGUUGCGAGUUGAUAGGUGCAGGUGUAGACGGUUCAAUUUUUUCUCAAGAAUCUAAAAGAUGCCAAGAGCUGAUACAGUAUUCUGGAUCCUCCCACAAUGUCUGCUUAACUUGAAACGUGGAACAUCAAAGGUUCUAGAUACUCGUGAUUUUCCAAUCAUAUAGAUAUGUGGCUCGAAUCCACUUGUGUGGCGAAUGAUUCUCUGAAGUCAGUCCGAUUAACCGAGUGUGGCUGAUUUCUUUAUCAUCAUCAAAUCAUAUCAUAAGGAGGUCAAAAUCAAAAAGGCGCAUUGUCUAGUAGCUAAAGCAAACAUAUUCUUCAUUCCUCAGUAAUGUAUCCUCAAGCUGCGUUCACACUUCACACUGCGUACAUUAAUCCCUUUUGCUUUAGAGCAAAGCUUCUAGACGUGCGUACAUAAUUAUCAGAUCCAGAGAUACACAUAAAGACAGAACAGGCCAAAGGAACAUAUCGGACUUGAGGUAGGUAUGGCUGUCUUGUGUCUUCUGGUUCAGUGUUAUACAUACAUAAUCUACAUACAUAUCGCACAUAACUAGGUCAUGAAACCACAGUCGUACGUACGUGCUGCCCUAACUCCAAACACAUCAAUAUCCAAAUAUUCACAUCAAAAUAUGGUCCCGAAACCUUUUGCUUUAAUUUCUUUCUUCUUCCUUGUAUCUUUGAUCUUCGGACUAAGGGGUGAAACCAAAAGGGUUGAAGCAUGCUCUACCCAUACAAGACCGCUAUCAUGCACGUAUCAUCCCACAGGACUUGUAGUUUCUGGCUUCCGAAUUCCAAGUUCCAGCAAUCAAAUAUGGGGUUUAUGGAAGGUUGGGGCCCCUGUGCCAUAUCUUCGAGACACUAAACCACCCGAUUUGGCAGCAGCACGAUAACCCUUUGCACUCUCCAGGACCAACAGGAUAUAUUACAUUACACCAUAUUUAGUGAGGAUAUGAUUGUCACCGAUUUUUCUCAUCCGUAUUGGUUGUGGGCCAAAUCCACUUAAAUAAAUAAGUAAUCACUAUUUUUUUAGCCUUUCAAUGAAGAGUGAGCUGACACUCAAUCACGAGGAGGUUUUUUUCAUGAAUUUCCCACGAACUUUCAUGGAGUUCAACUUUUUUAAAUUUGUGUUAUGAUGUCUCCAUAGAGUGGAAGACAAUCUCUGUGGGGUAGAGUAGGUUUUACUUUUUCACAAAGUCGGUGUCUUGCUGAUGCUUUCUCUUGGAAAUAAUAAUGAAAUCAAGGAAGGUAUCUCGCUUCUCAUAUCAGCUAGAAUGUAGCUCUGACUAGACAUUUUUUGUCUAGAGGGAGCUUAUUCCAUCUUUUGUGAGUCUUACAUUCAGCAUUUCUAUGAUUGUGGAGAGAAAUUUGUUUCACUAAUUCUUUCUUUACAUCUAGUCAGUGGAGUUAAAUCCUUGGUGAUUAAGGUAUAAACUUUCACAUUGAAAAUUUGCGAAAAUGGCUGUCAUUUUUAUUUGAUUCGUGAUACACUCACGUGCAUAAAAUAGAAAAACCCUAUUUCAAGUAAAUGAUUUCCGGUUCAAGCUUCACGAAUUAAUAUAUCUCUUGACUUCAUCUUAGCUAUUACUAGUAAGGCAGCAAAAAAAAAAACCAAAUGAUGAGAAAAAACCUCGGAGUUUGGCACUGCUGCUAGUGUAUGUUUUUUUUUCCCGAUCGAACAAUUAGUUUCAAAAACAUUUUCUUAACACGUACAUUUCAAUUCUCUUCUUCAUCUCACAUGCAUCGCAUCACAUCGACACAUUAUGAUUUUCUUUAAAAUAAAAGGCUCCCACAAACUCCAAUCCAAACGGGACAUUAGCAUUGCAUGGUGCGAUUGGCUAUAGGCUAAGUUACAGCAUUGUUAUUAUUAUUAACUUGUAUAAAGCGGAAAGUGGGAUGCACAAAAGCCAAACAAAGAGCACAAAAUCACACCAGCAGUAGCAGUGGUCGUCUGGCCGUAAAGCCCGGAACACAAUUUGAAACCUUAUCUCCAACAUCAUCCCCACCCAUCAUUGCCAACUUGUACGCUCAAUAAUCGCCCUCCUCAUUCCUGAUUCCUCAAGAAUCAAAUGCCCAUGAUGCCAAAUCAUUGGUGGGCUCUACAUGCCGCUCUGAGGCUUGUCCUCUCAGCAUUAGCAGCAAUGCUGCUGUCCACGUGUCAAGCAGAGAGGCUUGACACGUGUAUGCGGGCCCACUGCCGAUACACAACACAAAUGGGAAAAGAAUUUGCAUGCACAUAAUGGCGUGCAUUAUGAGGGGGAGGAGAUUGCAGAAGAACCUCUUUUUUAAGUUAGGCAUAUAUACUUAAAAAGGAGUGGAGUAAUCAGAUUUCUUCCGCUUUUUGCUGUCCGUUUAAAUUAAUUGUCCUUAAUUUGGCUUGGCUAAGGUGGGAUUAAGGAAAGAUGGGUUUAAUUACGAGCAUGAUGAUUAGGUUUGGUAUUUGAUUAUUCUGAAAUCAUCACUUACAGGCGUUCGAUUUUAUCCACUGUUGUCGAAGUCAAAUGUCUAUCUAUUGAUCACGUAAGGAAAACUUGUUAGUUAAGCUUUGGAUAACUCUAUUUACCUUAAUUUAAUGGUGCUCGACAGCUUUUCAUGGCCUAAUGUCCUGACCUCAUCUCCUCUACUUUUCAUCUUGUCCGGCCGCGUUCUUUACAAAUUUUUUUUUUUUUUUACUGUUAAACCAUUUGAAAAAGAACAAUUAUUGCCAAGACCUGAGAUAUAUAUAUGAUUCUGCAAUAUAAUUCUGUAUAGAUCAAUGGUUGCAAAAGCCUCCAAGACGUGGCCAUGAAUGCAUUAUCCCGAUCAAUGCUGAAUUAUAACUAGUGGAUGGAAAUAAAUCGUCGGUGAUGGAUAAGCCGUGACAGAUCAAGCAUAUACCUCAUUCGGUAAUUAUCUUCAUAGCAAAAGAUGUUUGUACGUGAAAAUUCGAUCAGGUUCUCUUGUAACUUGCCAUUCACAAAUAUGCUUGUUUGAGUAAGUGACAAAUUAAGACAAAUGUCGCACCGCAUUUAAUCUCAAGAUCUACUUACGUCUCAGCGAAGUAAUUGAUCUUGGAUUUAAUGAAUGAAAGAACUGAUGAGAUAUAUCGAGCGUAGGAAGGACUACAUGUUAUUUAAUAAUUAAAAAUAUACUCCAUAUUUAGUAAAUCUUUUUUGGUUUGCAUUCAUUCAAUGGGUAGAAAUUGGUAUAUAUGUAAUCAAACACGACCUAAGAUAGUUUGGUCUUAAAGAAAAAGGGUUAUAAAAUCGUAAAACUUGAUGGAUUAAUUAAUCUUUCUUACACACAACAAGUCUGUUCACUGACAAGAUUAAACGAAUACCAUAUCGUAUCAGUUCGAAUUUUGAACUCUAAAAUUUAUAAAAGUCACGAGCAUAUAGAUCUAUCAGCGUAUAUAUACAUUGAAAGGAUUUAAUUACCCUAAAACUUAUGAUUAGGCCGGGUAAUCUGGUUCUGUCCAAACCGGUCGGUUGGUGUACCCGAAAACUUAAAAGCAGAAAAGGAGAAGUACUACAUGAAAAGUGGCUAAUUAACCUUUAGAAAGCUGCCGUUGCCUGAACUGAACAAUCAAAAAAAAACGCAUUAGGGUACUUCAGCUAUUACGUGGGAUUCAGUCCUGGAGGAUAAUCUCAUCGCAUAUAUAUGAACAACAAUACAAAUCUGCUAUUCAAUUAAUAGACGCCAUGUUUGUUCAAACAGAGAUCGAUUUAUUAAUGGCAAUCGGUCGAUUGAUUUGUUUAGUCAAUAAUUGAAUAAAGAUAAUUAGCUGUAAUAGUGCAUGUAGGGUAUGCUACUACAUAUAGCUCCGGGAAGCAACCUACUCGCAUCAAAGUUAGAAAAGUAUAACAACCUAUGCAUGGGAUGGGAUGUCACUAUGAUUCACAUCCAAUUCAAGCCGCGAUAUCAUCAAUCUGAUGAAGCUGGCAUGGAUUUUUAUAAUAAUAAUAAUAAUUAAUGCCGGAAAUCAAAUAAUUUACUGUUAAUUAGUAGUACUCAAAUUAAGGAUGGACAUUUGCCAAACCAAUUCAUUUGGGUCCUAAAAGCAUAUAAUUUUCAAGCCAACUAACUAAUUUACAUGUCAGUAGUGAUUAUUGGACUAAAUUCACACCACUCCAUUUUAAUUUCACACCUUCAACGUAUCAACAUGCAACUUCUACGAUUAGUAUUGAAACGUGUGUGAAUUUAAAAUGAUCAGGGGUGUAAAUUUAGCCCUUCUCAGUUAAAAAUAUAAUGAAACGGAACUUUCUUGUUUGAGUAGGAUUACACAUUUUGGAACAGGAACUGCACAGGAUAUACCAACGACAAGAAGUCUAGAUUGUGUACUAAAGUUGCUGCAAACAUAUAUAAUUCACAAGCAAAGGGAAAAGUUGUAUGCCCUACUACAAUUGUCUCCUAUUCUUCCAUUAUGAUCAGUAUUAAAUGUAAACACUAAAGGUAAAGGUGGCGAACCAUUGUCUUCCCUUGUGUUCUUGUGUGCACCCACUUUUUUACGUGAUUCCACGUACCACGAAUGUCAUCUUCUCUAUAUACAUCAUCUUAUUACAAGAUAGAUUGGUUUGAUGCAGACUUGAACAGAGAGCGCAAGAGAGGGAAAGGGGAAAGAGGAGGUGGGGAGGAUAUGGUUCUCUUAUAUUUAGUCAACCUAAGAAGACAAAGGGAGAUGGUGAUUUUCAUAAUGUCAGAGUCUAGAUUCGUUUUCUCUACUCAUUCCUUCCUUUGAUUAAUAAGCAAAUAAGGCUAUCCCUCCACUGCCCUCCAUAAAAAAACUUCAUAUAUUCGAUUCUCCUCCACUGAUAUCAGCAACCAAACCACCCCCCCUUGUUUAUAUAUCUCACCCCCGUGUUGCAAUUUGACCUCAAAUAUCUUUCAAUAAACCAUGGUAUUUGAUAUCAAUAUUUGCAACACCAGACUUAGUCUUGGCCUAGGCUCCACCUUUACUACCAGAAAUAAUGAUCAAAAUCAUCUUCCUCAGUUUGAUCAUCAUGAGGAGUUCAAGAAUAAAUCAUCACCCAAAAUUGAUCACUUUUCUCUGACCUUAGGCUUGCCAUCAGAGCUUGGAAACAUUAGUGUUGAUGCUGGUGCCAAAGGUGAUCAAUCUUGUAAUAUACAUGGACAGCAGGCCUCAUCAGUUAGUGCGGUUUCAUCAUUUUCCAAUUCCAGUGUCAAAAGGGAAAGGGAGGCUAGCGUUGAAGAAGUAGAGGAAGAACGAGUUUCUCCAAAGAUUUGUGAAGAUCAAGACGAAGAGGGUCCGAGGAAAAAACUUAGAUUGACAAAAGAACAGUCUCUUAUUUUAGAAGACAGUUUCAAAGAGCACAGCACUCUCAAUCCUGUAAUUUUCUUUCGAACUCUCUCCUUUUUCUCCAUUUAUCGGUAUUUAUAUUUGGGAUUAGUCUUUAAAGGUGAAACCUUCUGAUAUGGAACCAUCUUUGCAUUUUUUAACCAGAAACAAAAGCAAGCCUUGGCAAAUAGGUUGAAUUUACGGCCACGACAGGUAGAAGUGUGGUUCCAGAACAGAAGAGCCAGGUAUUUCCUCGUUAACUUCUUCUAAUCUAAUCAUUUCUUUUCUUUCUUUUUUUUUUGUUAAAUGAAAGAAAAAUGGUUGAGAUGAAUUUUAUCAAAGAGAGAAAAAAAUCCCUUGACCGGAUUUUCUUUUUUCUUUUUAAUCUGCAAACAGGACGAAGCUGAAACAAACGGAAGUGGACUGUGAGUUAUUAAAGAAAUGUUGUGAGACACUAAAAGAAGAGAAUAGAAGACUAAACAAAGAAUUGCAAGAGCUAAAAGCAAUGAAGCUGGCGGCGCCACCGCCGUUGUACAUGCAGAUACCGGCAGCCACUCUUAGCAUGUGCCCAUCUUGUGAGAGGAUAAGCGGUGGUGGUCAUGUUGGUGAGAAGUCUUCUAAAAUUUCUUUCUCCAUCGGAGCGAAGCCUCACUAUUAUAGCCCCUUUGCCAAUCAUCCCUCCGCAGCUUGCUAGACAACUCAGUUAAUUAGUCACUUAGGCUCCAAUAUUAUUUGGCCAAUACUCAUAUAUUAAAUAGAUUGUAUAUCCUUUGUGCCUAUGUGAAAAUGUGUGAAAAUUGAGUUGUCUCUUUCCCUUCAACCUUACCGGAGCUUUUGUACAUAACAUAUAUUUGUGAAUUUUUUUCCAUUAGUAGUUUACUUGUGGUUAUGGUUCCUUUAACCAUGAUGGAUUAGAUCAGGAUUCCAAUUCAUUUUUUUACGUAUAAAUGGGGUUUUUCUUUCUUAAGAAAUAUUAGGACUAAAACAAUUGUAAUUCCGGAUCAAGACGGGAGAAUUUUUCAUCAGGCGGAUUUGCAACUGCAACUUCAUUAAAUAUGCGAGUAAUUUUUAAGAUGAUUUUCGAUGUAAUCAUACUACGGGAAUGAAUAUUCCCAAUUUAUAAAGAUUAUCAUGUGCUUCUUUUUCAAUUUAUUUGCAUUUGGCCGUAUCUACGCAGCAAUUUGUUGGAUUGAGGAUCAUCUGCAAAACAUUUUUUUCGCUUGUAUAAUAAUUACGUUUUUUUUAAAAAAUAUUUUUUCAUUUCAAAUACAUGACAUCACAAAAACUAUUGCAAUAUUAUUUCAAAAUUAUUUUUUCCAAAUAAUCUCCUGCCGCGGAAUUUGAAGAUGGACAUUGUUCAGGAAAUCUAUAUGUGCAACAGCCCUCCUAUGGGAACAACAUGUCAACAACACAAAUGUUUCAAGCAAAUCCACACUUCUUCUAUGCCAGAGAAAUCCCUUAUUUUCUUGGGGUAGCAUUUUUGGCCGAAAGAUGUCUGUAUGAUUUUGUUCAAAGCAUCGAUCUUUAGGCUACCAUCUUUUUGAGCAUGCACACAUUGGUUUGUGGAUUGCUAGGGUUGUUGAAAUUAUAUCGUUAGGCUACCUAUCUUUUCUAAAUCUUUGUCCUUCUCUAACCUGUCUUUAAUGUUCGCCUUAAUUAUUUGCUGUAUCGAAUAAUAGAAAUAGAGGUCCUCAUAAUGGAUUUACAACUUUAAGUGUGGUAAUUAGUACUCCCUCCCUUUCUUUAUAACUGAUGUUUAAGAAAUUUGCUCUAGUGUACUUUUAUCUGUCGUUUUAUUAUCCCUAUACAGUAUUAAUUAUUUUUUCAUAAUUUUACCCUUUUAUCUCUCUUUUCCAAUACAGGGUUCUUAAUUACUACUCCUAGUAAUUAUUACUUCUCUCUUUGUAACAACCUUAGUAAUUAUCUGCCCCUCCGUAUUCAUUUUAGAAACAUUUAGUUUGGUGGGAGUUAGUUUGCAUUGCUUUUGGCCUAGUAAAACAGCACCAUUUAGUACUUUAGUGAGAUAAAAUAUGGGUGAAUUGGACAAUUAAUGAGGGUACAAAAAGAAAAUAGUGUAUAGAUUUAAGCAAUGAAAAACUUUUCUUAAUUGGUGUGCAAAACCUUAAACGUCAGUUAUAAAAAAAGGGAGGGAGUACUUGCUUCUGAUUUGAUCUCAGGAUGUAUAGAUGUGAUCUGCAAUUAUUUUGCUUUGCAGAUUGUUUAAUUAUCUGACGAUGAGACUCUUUUUUUUUUUUUUUUUUUACCGUCCACAACUGCAUGCCUAAAAGAUACAUGUGAUUUAUCACAAUUCAGAAGCAUCCAGAUUUUAGAUUUUAAGUCAUAUCCUGCAGUGGAAAAUCUUUGACAAAUGCUUUUGGUGUUUUAGUUGGAAAUCUCUUCUGCACCGCUACUAUAUAUCUAAUUAAUAGUAAACAGAUGAGACCCUGACGAGGAACUAUAAUACCAAUAGGCAAUAACAAAAGAUAUGAUUUCAGCACUACUGUCUGCAAGAUAUCACCUCUCCAAGUUUUCUUUCUUGGAACCUAGGAACUAGUAUUCCAAAAUUUUGUUGCCCUCGAGAAGUUAAUUAGCAAAAAUAAAUAAAUAAAUAAAAUUCCUAAUUUGUCAUUGGAUUAAUUUGAACUCUAAAGUUAUGUGGUGAUUUAGUGGAAUACCUGAAUAGCUCCCAAUUUCCAACUGAUUAUUGUAUAAGAAUGUUUGGAAAUUUUUUUUUUUUAAAUAACAUUGCAGUACUUUUUGUAAUAUGAUAUAUGUGAGAUAAAAUAGUAAUUUUGUACAAAAAAAAUUAUUGAAAAUUAUAUUUAUGAUACAAACAAAAUAAUUUUUACACAAAAAAAAAAGUGGGAAUCCAAACAUUUGAAUUUUUUGGGGCAAGUUGUGUAGAAAAUCCAAUAUGAUAAUCAUGCAUGCAACUUGGUAGCAUAUGCUUGGAUGUUGAGAAUUAAUUCAAUCUACAACUUGAUGGCGAUGAUAUUCGUAUCUAGUACCUCCUCAUUCAAGCUGUCAAAUAAUGUACUACUUUUUCUAGCAAAUAAGUCAUCAUAUCGAGUUAGCAUCAAACUAGCAUUGUUAACAAUCAUAGAGCCUGUCUUUUUAGGUGAUCAUUAUCAUUUUAUCACCAAACUUUUCGUCAUCAUCCACGUUCAAAUGUGUCUGUUUACAUCCGGCAAUUGCACGCCUCAAUAUAAAACAAAUUUCUCGAGUAAACUGAAAAAACCUUAACUUUAAUCACAUAAAUGUUUUUGUUCUCAAUUCCUACUGGUGUGUUAGGGAAAUGAUCAAGUUUUAUGGUGCUAAUUGAUGAAGACUAAAAAUAAAUCUAUAAAGAAGUAAUAAAAAUCUUCUUAGAUAUGUUCUUUGUUAUCUGUGUAUGAUUCAUGAUGUAACUUUGGCCAUCAGUGCAGAUAUUAAUGAAAUUAUGAUGUUCAUUAAAAAAAAAAAAAAGUUGAUGAAGACAAAAGCCUUGUUUGAUAAUCCAAUACUUAAAUUCAAAAGUGUUUGUUAACCAAAAAUGGAACAUCUGAAUUAAUGUGAUACUGAAUUUUCUAGGUCAAAUUUAUUCCAAAAACUAAGUAAUAAAUAUAUUCACUUAUCACAUAAUAUAAUAUAUACUCAAACAUAUUAAAUUUUUUAAUACUUAACAAUUCAGAAUGGAUUCAAAUUUUAAAUUUCAAUUUUAUCAAAUGCACCUAACGUGUGCUUAUAUAAAUUGACAUCCCACUUGAACAUAAUUAACUGUAACAUGAAAGGCACGUGACUCAAUUAGCGACAAACGUGGUUUGACCGCUAUGUUGAUCAUUUCCAUUAAAAAAUUGGAAAGGUUAUUAGGAUUGGAUUUCAAACAUUUAAUAUGUAAACCACAUCAGAAUGUAAUAAUUGCGUACUAAGUUAAUUGAGUAAAUCUAAAUCACGAAGCAUCAGUCUCUCGGAAUUCAAUAAAUAAGUUCGAGUUUACAAAUAAUUGUCGGCUGCCCAGCCACAUACCAACACCACGCAAGUUAUUUUUAAACACAAAAGAUAAUCCUAUUCUUAACGUCUGAUACUUCCAUCAAGAAGAAUGUUUUUUUUUAAUUACUAUAUAAAAAAAAAGGGUUGAUUCUCUCUGCUUGUGUUGUCCCGGCUUAGCAUUAGUAAGGAGGAGGAAUUGUACGAGAGAAAAUUCUAAAUUCAAAACUUUCCACUUAUAUAUAUAUAUAUAUAUCCCAAAAUGAAGUGUACAAAAGUCAUAUUAAUCUUGCAUUUUUUAAUUCCAUUAUAGUUGUAUCUUUACCUUUUUACCAAAAAAGAAAGAAAAGAAAAACGUUACUUCCUACUUCAUGCGUUGGGGAUCACAAUUGAUUUUCUAUCCCACUUCUUGUGUCACUUUCUGUCUCAUUUUUAUUAUAUUGCUAUUUCUCCUUCAUAAAUAUCGUGUUUUAUUUCAUUUUUUCCCCUUAAAAUCCAAUAACUAUUAACAUAGUUAAAAUAUAAAUACAACAGCCUCAAAAAAGCAAUAUAUAAUAGAAAAUUUAAAAAUAUGGUAGAAAAAAUCUCAUUUUUUUAUGCAUUUUAAUUUUUCGAAUUUGUUAAAUUUUGUGUAUUACUCAAUUAAUAGUUAUUGGAUAUUAAGGAAACAAAAAAGAAAUAAAGCAUGAUAUUUAUGAAAGAGAAAUAGUAAUAUAAUAAAAAAUGGGAUAGAGAAUGGUACAAAAAGUGGGACAGAAGAUCCAUUGCAAGCUAAUACUAAGUAUACUAGUCAAUAAUUUAAAUAUUUGUACAACUCAUAACCUUCAUUGGUUUUUUAGCGAAAAAAAUUCUGAUUCAAUUUGGAUCAUUAUUUCUCCAAAUCUGCUAAUUAAUUGUUUAUUUACUUCUUUAUGCAGCGUGAGGCAUUAUGGCAUUUUCCUUGUAAUUGUUUUGGGAUAAAUUUCCUUGUAAUUUAGAAAACCUCAGAUUCUUUGUUUGGGAAUCAAUCAUGUAUCUAUCCUGGUGUGAGGUAUCAUAUCAGGGCUAAUCUCAUUUCUAAUUUUCUGCACAGAAAAAUCAAGUUCCAGACAUCCAUCCAAACGUUGACAUUAAUUUUGUGAUUUUGUUCUUGACCUUUUAAAAUGAAACGUUUACAGUUUUCAACUUCCAGUCUUUUACUAGCCGUAAAAUAUGUUGGAGGCCUAGAAAUUUGAAGCUGGACCCAAAAUUAUGGCAGGCUUGUUUCUGGCUUACUCUCAACCUCUGGUUGCUCCUGCUGCGCAUCCUCAGAGGUUUUAGACUUUUGAGCUGCCCGCUAUGGAGUACGGUUUUCAACUUUUGAUCUACGGAGUACUCUCCCCUCCUCUCUCUCCAAGGCCGCAAACCAGUCAAACUGCUCACGAGCGCUCUUGAUUCGAUUUGACCAAAACUUAAUUUAAGUUCAGUUAACAUCGAACUCGAAUCGAGUCCAAGGUCAAUCGCAAUCGCGAAUCAUUUGAAUAUAUAUAUGUAUAUAUAAAGUAAAAUUACAUAUAUAUUUUUAAUAUUUUAUUAUUUGUCAAGAAAAAAUUACUAUUUUAUUUAUUUUUAAAAUAAAAUAAUUAUUUGUUAUUUUUUUAAGCUCAAGUAGUAUCAAACUUGAAUUUGAUUAAACUCGAAUUUGAGGUCGAACUCAAAUUUUACAUUGAAAGUUCGUCGAGUUCGAAUUUGAUAAAAUGAAGUCUAAGAUUUAACUCAAUUGAGCAAAACUUAACUCAUUUGCAACACUACCUCCUCCCCCUCUGGGUUUUCAACAGACUCCAAAUUUUAUGAGGAGAAGAAAACAAAAAAGGAGAAAAAGGGCAAAAUUAACAUCGGAACCAAGAAUUGCAAAAUUAACUUGUUAAUAUCCCUACCGGUUGAAUUGAGUUAGGUGUUAGUCAAUGAGGACACAAAAUCAACCGGAAAUCAUUGAGGAAUAGCUAUAAACCCGCGAGCGUUUGGUAAAUUGCAAGCAGCUUUGAGGAUGGUCAAGAAAAUAUGAAGCGGACUUUAAUGUGCAUGCAACUGUGGAAACUGGUCGCACCUUCUGAGCUACGAAUUUGAUUUCCCAAGUCCAGAAUCCAUGGAGUUUCGUUCCAAGGUUCUGCGGAUAGUCUCAAUGAGGAGAAUGCAGGCAGUAGGCCAGGAUUUUUGUAGGAGCACCAAUGGCAAGACUCAGGUAAUAGAUUUCAGUGAAUGGAAAUAAAGAAAAAGAAUUAAAGACCAUAACACAUUGUAAAAUUUCAUAGGUUAAUACUUGAACUAUGAGAUUUAAGUGGUAAUCCAGUUCCAGUUUUGCUCUGGACUACACUUUCAGUUCAGUGAUUUCAAUCUAAAAUUGAAGAAAUAGAUGCUUAACAUUUAAUUUGCACGAACUUUCUUGCUAUUAAAUUAAUUUCUGUCAGAUGCUAAUUCUACUGACAAAGCAAAAGCCAUAGAAAGGUUUAAGAGUCCAAGAAUCCAUUUAAUUAUCAAAUCCAAUCUAGUAAAUAGUCUGCAAUAUCAUAGUAUUGAAACAUGAAACCAACUUUUCCAUUUGCAAAACAGAUAGCAGGCCAAUGCCUUGUCGGAUCAUUCAAACUGCACCAAUCUCAUGCUCUAUAAGUAUGCCUUUCCAUACCAAGACAAAAUUAUCAGAUGAUGGUUUUGUAGCACCUAUUUUAUCUUUAUCACUUAUUUAUAGAGAAUUUAGUCGAUCCGAGCAAACACGCCCUCGAUUUCGCUCAUUUCUCAGCAACGUUUGGCAAAACUUUGUCAUAGCAUCAGCAGCAAUCAUACAGCAGAGAAAUGAGCCAUUUUAAUCUGAACAUUUUCCCUAAUCGACACAAUGCCUUGAGAUGCUAUUCAAAUAUUCCAGCCACACGUUGAAACUGUGCGUAGCUAAUUUCGUACUAGUACUUAUUGCCAAGAACUUCAAAAACCCUCCUCCAGACAACGAGCAAACAACAAUAACAGCCAAUAGCGAUGGAGGAAUACAAAACAAAGGACCAAAAUCCAUGUUUACAAGUCAUAAUCACUCUUAACCAUAUACACUUGACAACUAGAUGAUAGCUUGCAGAGACCUAUAUAUUACAACAGUGGAGGCUAGCCACCAUAAGCAAUUUCCUGGAUGCAGACGCAUCAAGCGCAUAGAUAAUGCAUUCCAGACCCUCUAAAGAUCAGGCAGAAUGGGCACAUUCUAAAUGCACCUAGAUAUGACCUUAACGAAACUACCAAAUGUUGGUUGAUUUGAAAAAACACACACACAAAUUACCUCUUUCGUACUAAUAAAAAGAGCUCUGGCUGUCAAGAGGGCUUUACUGAAUCUUGUAACGAGGAAUCAGACAGUGUAACUAAGAACUUGCAUUCUAUACUGAGAGCUUAACCAACCUCAAUUUCUGCAACCUUGGAAACAUAUUCUGCACAUGCAUCACGGCCCCAAUCUGUAAGGGCCUUCGCCCAUGUAGUGGCCUUCCAUAUAGAGUGCUGUAUUCUGUGCAUGGAGGCCAUCCAUAACCAUAAAUUGCAUAUCUUCAGAAGGCUUCCAAUGUCUUUUCCUUUGGUUAAUGAACCAGUUAUUAAUCUGUUUUUGGUCCAAUCCAGUCGAUUCAGCCAAGGCCACCUUCUCUGUCUCCUGAUUUUUGUUAAACAUUCGGGAAAUAAGAACAAGAAGUGAGUAUAAUCAACCUAUCCAAUAGAAUUUCCUACUCCUUUUAAGUAGACGGGAUGAUAGUAAUGUAAAAUAAGCAUACCGAAGGAUAUGGCCAUUUAUAGUGCAACUCCCACCAACUAAGAAGCUUUUGCCGAGCAUCUUUAGGAAGUUUCCCUUUCUUUUUUUUCUUGGAAAGCUCUUGCUUGAGACUGCUUAAGUAGCCACUAUACUUCCUCAACAAGUGGUUCUUUAGUUCCCGGUCUUCUGCACGUGGAUCAAUCUCAGGCAGUUCUGUUUCUCCACCACUAUUGUCUUGGUCCUCUUCAGAUGAUCCAACACCCUCACAUUUCUCAUCUGCCAAUUUCUUAGUUUAGAAAACACAGACUAGCAAAAGAGUGCAAGCGAGUGGUACUUAAUAUUCAAAAGAUGAAUGCAUAGCACAAUUGCAUAAGGUGAAAGAAGAACAGUGUAGUUGUAUUACUUUCCAAAGACAAAACAACAGUGAUAAGGGACAGUAUUUGUGUUAAAAAAUUGAAGCCUAUUCUUUGCAUUCUACAUAUAUAUGCAAAAAGAGCAACUCCUUCAUUACAUACCCAGCCAACAAGAGCAAAGGAGAACUAAUUCUUUACUCAACAGAGAGAUAUACAAGUAUAACAAGAAAGGAAGUAGACAAAGAACAUUAUGCAAUUGUGUAAGAAUUUUGCAACUGGUUCAAGACACACAUAAUCCAUCACAGAAAUGACCUCUUUACUCAUAGGCACAGCUUUCAUGUCGUGUGGAAAUUCAUUAGCUAGGUUGACAAAUACGUGGUAUACAACUGCUUUUUAAACUAUGAUGCAAGAAAUAAUAAUGCCAUAUAAACCAUACCAUGAUGAUAGACGUGUACAGCACAAACACUUCUCAAAUAUGGAUUAGUAGUUUGGCUUUUAUUAUGUCUUCCUAGACUUUCAUCUUAAGUAGAUUCCUUGAGUGAUAAUAGUAGAACAAGUAAAAGGUUGAAUCUAUACACAAGAAGAUAGCUUUAUGAAGAUAGCAGUCUCAAGCAAAUUAUACCGAAUUAGUCAAUCAAUUUCUCAAUGUAUUUGGCCAGAAUAAUUGGAAAAGAAAAAAAGGAGGGCCAUCUCGUCCUCUACCACUAUUUUUACAUAUAUAAGAGACCAAAAUUUCUACAAAUCUGAAAUUAGCUAACUAAACUCAGUGAAGAUUGUAAUUAGCUCACAUCAAAUAUUAAUUCCUUCACACAAAUCACAGUAAAUAAAGUAUAAUCUCUACUUUGAUUUACUUUAAACCAUUGUGUUGCAUAUGAUAUCGAUCAUUAGACAAAGGAAAAACAAAAGAUUGAGCAAGCAUUAAGCAAACGCACCACUAUAGCCAAACUGUUAGAUUCAUGAGUAAAUAACUAUGUCCCACAUUAGUUUGAAAGAUGAAAAAAGAGCGGUUAAUAUGUAAGUAAGGACUCAAAACCCAAUAGCUUAAACUUUCAGGUCAAAAUUGGGUUCUUGACUUACAUAUUGCGCUCUUUAGUGGGCUCUCUCAAGGUUUUUUUCCCUAACAAGUGGCUACCUAACAAGUGGUCUCAAAACUAUUGGUUGCGACACUUGGCUACUCGUGAGCAAGUCGAUUCUUCUCAGAGAAAAUUUUCUUCUUGGUGAUGGACCAAAGUGUCGACAAGGGUCCAAAAUCUAGUUUGAAUAUUGAAGAAGAGUGGGUCGAUGAUUAAAAGAAAAUGUGACCUUAAGUGUUAAGGUAGAUUCGCAGAAAAGCUUGUAAACUUGGGUUCAAUGUAAAAGGUUACUCAUGAAGGGGAGAUUUGUUAAUAUGUAAGUAAGGACCCGAAACCUAAUAGUUUAAACUUUUGGGAUCAGAGUUGGAUUCCUGCUUUACAUGUUGGAUUCUUUGAAGGGUUCUUUCGACAUGUCUCUCUAGCACCAAGUGGGCUCUUUGAUGGGUUCUCUCGACCCAAGACCUAAUAGUUUAAGAUUUUGGGUUAGAGUUGGGAUCCUGCCUUACAUGUUGAGCUCUUUGAUGGGUUCUUUCGACGUGUUUCUGCCUAACACCAAGUGUGCUCUUUGAUAGGUUCUCUUGAGGUGUUUCUCUCUAACAUCAAGUUGGCAAGAAGAGAGCAUAUCUGUGAGUUAUCCCUUUAGAUUAAGGUCCAAUUUAGGAGGAACCCCCAUCAAACGUCAUAUCAAAUUCAACAAAAUCAUUUCACAGUCAUUGUUGAAUAAUUUAGGCAAAACAUACAGAGAAAAGUGUAGGACAUAUCAUAUUUGCUCACGUACAAUUUAUGUAAGCUACAUUUGUACUGCAUGGAUGGCACUAUUACUCAUGAUACCCAGUUAAUUCUGCUUGUAGAGUCCUUUUUGAAGUUUAGUUCUUUUUAGAUUAUAAAAAAAAAUGCUGAAACAUCGUUUUUCUUCUCAAUUUCUUACAUGUUGUAACAACUAAAUGUCGACAAUUAUUAGUGAACCAUAUGCAAUUAUGCAGUGUCAUAGAAUGUACACUAUUUUCUUUCCCAUUUUCAUCAAAAGCUAAGAAUCUUGUGAGCAACGACAUCAUGUGAUAAAAUAAAAGUUUCUUCUUGAUAAACUAGAAGGGGACGACAAAGGGCCAAAAAGAAAUCACAACCAAAAAAAAUGACACAGAUGUGGAAGGGCCCAAAUUCAAGAAGUCAGAACAAGAGAACAAACUGACCAUGCAAUUUAGAACAGCAAAAGAUGACUUCACAUUCACAAGACAGCAAACUAGAACGGUAGAGUAGCCAAGAUUUACAUCCAUGGGUCAAUUACAAUUGGAUGAAUGGCAACUAAUCCUGUACGCUAGAAUUCUCAAUGCCAUAAAAAUGCAAAAGCAAACUAACCAGAAACCCCAAAAUAUUAGGAAAUUUUCAGUUCAUGCAUUCAGCCUUAAAAGUACUGCUGAAGCUAAUCUACAUUGACAUAUGAUUAAAUCUCUUCUAUCAAAUCAAGCAAUGGGAGAAGAAAUUUUUUUUAAUCCAAAGAAACAAUCUUAAACGUUACUAGACUUAAUUCUUACAUUAACUAUUAUAACAAAACCUUACCAAACACAUUCAUGGCCAAAGUAGACUGCCAUUGCACAGAUCAAAAAAAUUUAUAAUGAAGCCCUAUAAAAUAUAUAGUGGAAACAAAUCAGAUGAUCAUGGGAAGGUGUUUUUUCUGUUUGGUGGUUUGGUUUGGUUCAUUCUGUUUUUUCUGUUUGGUUUGGUUAAAUAUCAGCAAUUUUCAUAUUCCUCUAGCAUCUUAAGCGUCAAGCAAGUAAGAUUACAUUAAAAAAUUCAUUAGUACAACAAGAACAAAAAUAGUUGGAAGGAAAAUGCACCUUUACAAAUCUAUUGUUCAUAAGAAAAUCAAAAUGAAAACAAAGGCCAUAAAAAAUUAAACAGUAAGAAAUAAAUGUGAACAGAAAUCUGACAGUGUCCAUACAGAGCUACAUGAAGUGGCACUGAUAUGAACAGCAUCCUAUGUGCUUCAUAUUUCCAAGGCCUAAAAGGUACCCAAAACCAAAUAUAAAUUGUUCCCACCGAAAAAGCAAAGCAGAAUCGGAAAUGACAACAAUAAUUUGAUAUUUACUCGAGGUGUAUAUACACAUACACAUCACUGACCACCAGACAGAGAGAGAGAGAGAGAGAGAGAGAGAGAAGUGGUUGUGUAAAGGAUUAUUAGCAUUGGGAAUAAACCUCAUUAAGAAUGAUUUUGUCAGAAGACUCAGAAGCAAUACACAAAAGCUAACUGAAAAUAGAAGCAAACCCAAACGUGCGAUUUCAUCGUUCUUUUUACACUAGAAGAUCUAUUAUUUGUCUCUGAUCCCUCCUCGCAAUCUUUAUUGCCAAAAAGGAAUAACAUCACAAGUAUCUUCUUACUGUAGACUCGUGAUUAGGGUUUUUCCCACUCUGACAAAGGUCCUCCUCUCUUGCUUGGAAGAAGCAUUAGCAAAGGAUAAUGUGUUGUUAAUAUCGGUCAAACUAUCCCUGGAAAUUGGAAAAAUGGCACGGGACAGCAUUGAUUGCACAAAAAUCUGGGCAGGCCUAGCUAACAAAGUGGUAAGACCAUCAAAAGAGUUAAAGACACUCACCACAUUCGUAGUCUCUCGACAGCUGAACUAUCAGUUCCAUACUGCACAAUGAAAGUUAAACCGCACCUAUAUAUCAGACCAGCCGAGCCCCCCAGCUACUCUAUAAACAAUACUGGUGAACAUUUAUUCUCCUAAUAUCCCGUGCAAUCCCUUUGAUUUCUUUCCUUGCUAGGCUGGACGAUAAAAAUGGAAACACUCGUCUUCUAUCCAUUUCAAAGACUCUAAAUUGAUGAAGAAUGAAUGAAAGUACUACCAGAGUUGAAGAUCCGGACGGGACCAUUUCCAAGCAUAUUUAGCUGUGUUUCGACUCUUCGCAUGAACUCCAUAGCUUCUUGUAACGGUCGAGUUAGCUCCUCUCGAUACUUCACCAACAUGUCAUAGUAAGCUUCCUAAAUUUCAAAUCACUGAUUAUGAGAUCAAACCCAUGAAAACCCUUUAAAAAAUUUAGAGAAUAUUAUCGAAUUAAAUUAGCAAAAAGUUAAAAAUAAUGAUCACACCAUGAAUUGGUCUAGUUCUGGAUCCUUAUUAACAUCUCUACCGGUCACCAAGGAAGCGCGUUGCCUUGCUUCAAACUCCUGCCUGGCUGCCGUGAGCCGUGCAACCACCUCGGGCGGAGCUCCCACCUAAGGUAAACAAAAGUAGAAAAUCGAUUGAAAAAAUAAAUUACAAGAAUGAAUAUUGGAAUGACAUUAUUGUUUCAGUAAAGUUGUACUACCUUUUGACAAUCCAUGUAAGCUUCCAAGAGGUUAGAAUACUGAGGAUGAGCAAUAAUCUUUGCUUUUAUAGCUUCUACUUCACCAGAAAUUUCGCUCUCUUGAUGGUGUGGUUGAUGAUGAUGAUCUUGGACAGUUUGAUGGCUCCUGAUUAUGGAAGGAUAUUGAAACUUGUGUUGUCCGUGUUGGUGAUGAGAAGAGGCUCCAGCUUCUGUUUUUACGAUGGGAUGGUCUUGGCCUUCGGAUUGCUGAUAACAUUCAGCACUUGAUUGAAGAUGAAAGCUACUGAUUGGUAACUGAUUGUUAGAGCCGCUGCUGGCUCUUGCAUACACUGAUGAGCUUGGUGCUGCUAGGACUGGGCCUCCAUACAAGAAACUUCCCCUUGGACCAGUGUUUUCUCCCAGAUGAUGAUUAUAUUCUUCCAUUUUCUCGCAGCAAAGUUUGAAGCUGAAAAUAAGCUACAAAUAUAGAGAAAACCCCCUGAACCCUGAAUCAAGAACUCAAAAAAGAGUUGGAAAAGUUAAAAACCCUAAAGAGUGAAGAAGGAACAAGUUUUUUUUUUUCUUUUUACUAUCAAAUGAUAAGGUUUAAUACACUCAUGAGUAAAGAGUGGAUGUUUAUAUUUGAAUUUCAGGUAAAAAGUCGAUGAUGAUCUCUUCUGUUGAGGUCAAGGAGGCCUUGAGCUGAGCUUGUUGCACUUGAACUUUACCAUCAUAAAAAGGAUCCUGAGGCACUAAUAGAAUUGUCUCUUCCAUGGUAGGGAUAAUAGUUACAUGGGUGGCAAGAGGGGGGCUGAGAAGGGACUGGCGGCGUUGGCUUUGGGGGUGGCUCUAGGCCGGAGACUGUGGAGGCCUCUGAGGCUUGAAUGAGUGACAAGACGUUGUUUGUUGUCGAAGAAUUAAAGAAAUAAAUUUUCAGGGUAUCGUACUCCUGAAUAGUAUAAAAAAGCAAAGAAGACCACAAGAUGAUAAGGAAACCAGUCGGAGUCGGAGUAGAUUUUUCCAAUUUCUUUUCUUGCGGCCUUUUUGUUCUCUCCCCUUUCCUCCCAUUACUUUAAUGGGGCUUUACAUCUUUCACCUCAGGUCUGUUUAAUUACUUCCUUUUUCUGAUUGUUCAUUCCCUCGGUCUCUCUGACUCUCUUUCCUUGAAUUAUUUUAUUGAAUUGUUUAAAAAUAAUUUUCUACCAUAUGAAUUGUAGUUAAAUUCAGUGGAAGAUAAUGAAGAAUCUACCAGCACCAUGGGGUAAACUUGAAUCGAUACUCUUAACACACGUUAUUGAUAUUAAUUGUGGAUUAAAAAAAAAGAUUAAUUGUGUGAUAGACAAACCAUAGGUAAUGUGGUUAUGAAUCUACAAUCUUUGACAUAAAGUUCAAUAUGGACAUGAUUAUCAUCAUGACAUGUAGUUUUGAUCUGGUCAAAUAUUUCAACAUUAAAAAAAUUUUUAUUCUUUCCCUAAACAUAUUAUUGUUUAAUUUUUUUAUAUUUUAUUUCAACCACAUUUCCAUUCUGUAGCAUCACAUUAAAAAAAAAAAAAGUGCUACAUUAAAUAACAUAAAAAGAAUUUUGAAUACUAUUCACUUUGAUUUGUGAGACAGCAAAAAAACUUAAAAGUUUUUAUUGAUUAAAAAACUUAAAAGUUGGAAGAUUUUACUUCUUUUUUCACUUACGUUUGAGAUAUCUAUUAGACUGUUGACAACAUUCAUGCUUUUACAGUUUUGUUUGAUCACAACUACUUUAACAUACUUUCUCUGAUGAUUCUUAAAGGAAAAAAAAAAAACUACUUUAACAUGAGAAUAUUCUAACAUCACUAAGCACAUCUAUGUCAGAUGAAAGCCAUCACAAGCAAGUUUGGACAGCCAUUUUCCAUCGAAAAAUGGUCUUGUUUGUUUUUCGUGAACACAUUUUUCUAUCACCUUUUUACCUCACAUACAUCAAAUCGUUACAGUAAUUUUCCAACAAAAAAUCCAUGAAAAAUGCAAUCCAAACACGCUCACUAAAGUAGCAUUCCAUUCCAUUUAUUCCUCAAAAUUUUGUCUUUUGCAAUUUUUUUUAUAACACAGACUCCAUUGUUAAAAAAUCAUGCUUAGUGUAUAAACAUUCUAGUUGGACAACCUAACUAAUUUUUGUGAAUUUUUACAAAAUUUUUAGAAAUACUUUCUUGAUAUAUUUUUUAAUUAAUUUUUUUGUUUCAUAUAUAUAUAUUAUAUUAUUAUAGUAUAUUUUUCUACGAAACCUCCCAAAACUCCAAUUUAUUAGGCAAGCUCUAACACUAACAACUUUAGAUCAAAGGGCCAAGGUGAAGUUUGGCUUCGUCAAGUGCUUUGGGUAGUUUGUUUUACGGGGUACCGUACCUUUAUCGACCUUCCAUAUUACUAGGAAAAGUACCACAAAUUUUUUUUAUUUAAACAUAUAACCAAAGGUCGUAGCAAAUGUCGUCCCAAUUAGCAGCCCUUUAGAAUCUUUGAUUUUGACUUCAACCAAUUGGCAUUCCAUUUUACUGGGCCCUUGUCAAGACUCCAGACGUGUGAUGCAUCCAUUUUUCCUCCUUUGCUUUUGUCUAAACCAAAAAAAUUCAAUUAUUAAAUCCAUCCAUUAACGACGAGCAAUCUAAGGUUUAGCAAACCUCUCUAUGACUGAGUAACCUUUUAGUGUUUUAAAGAGUAAAUAAAUGAUUAACACGUUUACUUUACUCAAGUUGGAAUUUGAUUUUCCGAAAUUUAUUUCAUUCAAAUCUAUAUCUAUGUAAAUUGCAAAAGGGGUUUUCAGAAUGAUCAUGUGAUCGUGCUUCCAACUAUUUAUUAUUUCAAUAGAAUUUUGAUUUUUUUAAUUUAAAAUCUAAGAAAUGACUCCACUAAUAUAGAAAUUUAGUUUGAAAUUUAUUCAUGGGAGGAUAAAUAAAGAUGAAGCAUCCUAAGUCCUACAAAAAGUAAAACGGUAAAGAACAAAUAUUUUACUCUUCAACUCAGCAAUACUAAUUAAAAAGGCAAAUUAUAUAAAAAUGAAAAAAAUCAAUAAUGGUAGUAUUCUUGAAACUUAAAUUAUGAAAUCACUGAAUUGAAAACAAAGUCCUACUAGCCCUUCAAGGGAAAAAAAAUUUUAUUUUUGAUAAACAAAUAAUAAAAACAACACCAACCUCGCCAAAAAUUUAAAAAAAAAGUAAGUAACAAUAUAAUUUAAGAUAAAGACCUAAAUCAAUUUGUACAUAUCUGAUUUAAAUUUGACCCAACCACUAAUAUUAACCUUCAGCACUAAUGAUUAUUUUGUAUAUUUAUAUUGUUUUUUUGCGAUUAUUGCAGGUAUUAUAAGAUAUUAUCAGUUUUUUAUUUGUACUUUCAAAUGCUAGUACUUGCCGCCAUUGUGGUCAAUUCUUGGUUUUAUAUAGUUUUUAUAUUGUGAAAGGUAAAGUUAAAUAAUAUUCCAAAAAUGUUAAACCAAAUUGCGGGUUAUGAGUUUCUCUUUUCUCUUGCUUCAAAUUUCACCUUUCAAUUUAGAGGAUGAAUACGGAAUCAACGAUAAACUUUUUGACACCAUUCAAUCCAAUUUUAUGUCACAACAUUUGUACGUUGUUCUUUUAUUUUGAAGAUACAAAAGUAAGUAUAUUUUAAAAGUGUAAAAUUAAAUUGCAAGUUAUGUCAGGAUGCCAGUGGUUCUAAAAAAAUUGUUUAAAACCGAAAUUUUCUUUCUGGAAUUUGGCGUAUUAUUAGCGUAAACACUCUAAACCCAAAUUUGCAGUGGUAUGACUAUUAACAUCUAGCUCGCUGGUUGAUUCUCAUUGAAAUGAUUCAUUCGGACUGUGACAGACAACAUGCUCGAAGAAGCUUGAAGCAUCUAGAUCCUCAUCAAUCCUAACCGAACGGUAAACUUGGAGUCCAAUCUAGCUCAAAGAAGCAGCUAACUUGAGAGUGUGAACUCUUGGUGGUACAUUUACAACCAGAGUUUCUGUUCAUGCAACUCCAUCAUUUUAUUAUCAUUUCAUUUCUAGUGGAAUUAUCCGUCUCAUCUUGCAAGCCUAGCCUUAUCUAAAAAGACGGUUACACGCUAUUGAUCGCACUUUCAUCUCAUCGCGUUGUUUCUGAGUUUCGGAUUGGAGUAUCAACUAUCAAUCAUUUGUUUCAAGAUUUUAAGAACUAGAACCUGAUCAUGGUGUCCCCCAACGGAAGCAUAUAGAAUUCGCAGCUCUCAAGUACUAAUAUUUUGGUUACAAAGUCGGUCCAAAUAUUUUUGUAUAUAAUUACAUAAGAACCCAUUUUAAAUAGUCUUUGCUAAUAAUUAAAAGAAAAACAGAAUUUAGCUUCCAUACAUGUAUUUUUUGAACAGGGUAUAGGCGGGUCGAUUUUAAUAAUCAAUAUAGAUUGGAGUCUUCUGUUUUAUAUGAGCACUGCACAAACUCUAUGCAAUCACUUGCACUAAUCAAUUUUAACGAUACAUAUGUCCUACACCCAUCUACCCAACAACCUAAUAUAUAAUAAAAUGUAUCACUUUCUCGUGCCAUUCAUUCGUGUUAUUGCAAGUAAGACUGCAUACGAGUCGAGCCAUUAGCGAAUCAAUUGCAAGCAAUAUCGAAUUCGAAUCGAGUUCUAACUGAUCAGAUCGAAUUCGAAUUCAAAAAUAUUCAAUUCGUUAGUUUGCGAGUUUCUAGAAGGAAUUUCACGAGACCUUUAUGAGAAUUUAGAAAUCCGGCAUUUUGAUAUUUUUUAUUUUAAUAGUAAAAUUAUAUAUAUUCAUAAUAUUUUAUUAUUUGUUAAGAAAAAUACUACUUUAUUCAUUUUUUAAAAUAAAAUUAAUUAUUUCUUUUAAACUUGAGUUCGAGCUCAACUCAGCUUUAAUUUGAUGUUGAAUUCGAGCUCGAGAUUUACAUUAAGAGCUCGUCGAAUUCGAGAUCAAAUCCGAAUUUGAUAAAAUUAAGUCGAGACUUAAUUUGAUUAGACCAAAGUUUGAUUUGACUCGAAUCAUUUGCACUCCUAAUUGCAAACAAAGUAUGGACAGGGAGCUGUAAGGUGAAGAGUAACAAUGCAAAGAAGCAAUUAAGAAAUAAGCUAAUUCUGGAGGUGGAAUUAUUUCUUAAAAUCCUUUGUCAAAUAUUUAUUAUCCCAAAGGGGGUUGGUUCUAAGAUUUUCAACCCGCAAAAUAAGAUCAGAAAGAAAGAAAGAGGAGAUAUGUUACUGUGAAAGAGGCUUGACUCUCGGAGGCAGAGUGUUUUAAAAACCUUUGUCGAAGGCUUCGUCUUGAGACAGUCAUACUUGAAAUGCCCCAAGGCAAUCCAAUGCUCUCAAACGCCCCAAAUAAUAUAGAGAAGUUUGAGACUCAGAUUAAUUCGGUUUGUUGCAACGAGAAAAUGGAAAAAAAAAAAAGAAUUAUAAAACCUCACAAGUAAUACAAUGAUUAAGAAAAACCUCACAGCUUUGUGGUUUAUUAACCUAUACAUUUUACGACCUUGUUUGGAUUGUGAUUUUUUGAAGAAAAAUUUUUGCGCAAUCUAUAAAUAUUCUUUCUAUCUAUUUUUUAAUUACUUUUGUACCUUAUAUACAUCAUAUCUUUAAAAAAAUACCAAAAAAGAGUUCUGCAGGAACUUCUGAAUUUUGGAAGAGUUUCAAGUUUCUUCUCAACUUUGAUCAUCAAUUUGUUGAUUAAAAUUUAUAUAAUUAGUUGAUAUUUAAUAAGUAUCGGAUUUUUAUGAAACAUUUUAUCUAAUUAUCUGCCUUUUUAAAGCCCAAAUCUCACGGUAAGUGAAAAGAAAUUGUAAGACCUAAAACGUGGUGGUACCUUGUACGUAAGUGUGAAAAGCUAGCGGUACUAUUGAAUAAGAAGUGGAGACAACCAGUGGCAAUGGGGCAUGCAAUUAUACGUGGUAUUAGUACGAAAAUUUCAACGGUUAACAGUGAAAAAAAGGAAAGAUCCAGACUGACCUUGGGUAUAAUUUCAAAAACCCCCUUGAGGUUUUUCAUAAUUUCAAUGACCUCCCUUAAAAUUUAAAAAAUUAUGUUGAUCUUCACUGACAGAAUAAAGGACCCAUUUGCUAACAUCACCUAACAUGAAAUUACUCAUGUAUCCCAACACAUCAUCUGAGACUAGAAACUAAAAUUUGAGAAUUAAGUAAUUAUGGCACAAAUCAAUUAAUUAAUGGUAGUAUCUGUGUUAAUAGCAUGAACAUUAAUGUGGAAUAUACAAAAUGGCGCAAAUUUGUUAGCAAUUGGUGUCAUUUUAUGAUUGACAGAACUUGACAUGACCAUAUUUCAAUCAUAUUCAAGAAAGGCUCCAGUAGAGCAAAGGAAGUGCAGAGAAAAGAAAUAAAAAACAAGUUUUUUUUUUUUAGCAUUUUCCCCCUUAAUUUGGAAACCAAACAGAUAGCCUUUGUAUUGAAGUACUUUCGUGGAAAUGGCCAAGAAAUGAGGUAGAAGAAAGGCAAAAUUAGAAAUUCUUUUCUAUGCAAAAUCACAAAAAGCAUAGCCUAAAUUAGGUAAAUAAUCUCUACUGUUAUCAGUUUAAUAUUUAAAAGUUAUACAUUAAAUUGAAAAUCAUGAAAUUUUUUGAGACAGUCAUAACUGUAACACUCCUUGACUGAUAAUUGUUUUUGCUAAUACAUCUUGACCAGAUGCAUAAAAGGGACAUUUGUGGAACAAGAUUUCCAUCUCUCUCUUGAAAGUAAAUUUUUUUAUCUUACUUUUUUAGAGAUAGACUAAUUUUGUUACCAAAUCAUAACCUCAAAGUAGGUUAAUGUAAUUUGUCAAACUUCAGAGAAGAUCAAUGAAAUUAUUAGAAACCUCAGGGGAGAGGUUUCUGAAAUUAUCUCCGGACCUUAUUAUACAAAAAAAUUGUACAAGUCCUUCGCUCAAACUGCUAGGAAGACCACCUCCAAACAAAAAAAAAAAAAAAAAAGCGAGGAAGACCAGGGACUUCAGAUUAUCUACUCAGAUUGAAGACAUUCACGUUUGAGCUUGUUGUUUCAGAAAUGCUCAUUGUAACAAAAAAAAAAAAAAAAAACCUCAUUUUGUCUGGCCACCAAUGAAAAUUUAAUCAAGUGGAAGUAAUUUGAUAAGUAAUUAUGAUUUUGGCAUACAUCAUAAGGAGAAAUGGAUUAAUUCUCGGUGUCAAGAGUACGCUUUUUGUUCGGUGUGCUUGAGACUUUGCUCGUUAAGUGUAAAGUUCGUGUAUUGAUAUCAACACUUCGCUCAGUCACUGUUGAGGAUAACCCAUGUUGCAGAACAACCACGUGCACACAGACUGAGAUCAGAGCCAAAGGCAGUAGCAAUAGUGCCAGGCUAAUAGUACUUGUUUAGUGCUAGUCCCCAGGCCCUGUUUGUUUCAAAAGAGAGACAAGAAUGACAUAUGAAGCUGGAUGACAUGCCCUCUGUGGCUCUCUCCCGGCUUUUUGAAUCAAGAAAGGAUAUAUAGCUGGCGGCGAUGACCAUUACCAAACUUUCCCCCACAAUGUUUUUCGAUCAUGGCAACAAGUACUUCCGCAUGUAGCUGCCCCCAGGUAAGGAAAGGCUGUAUCUGGUGGGGGUUUUGGUACGGCAAAAAAUUUAAAAUUAGCAGCUAAGAUCCAGUCGGGUUUAUGUUAUCUGAUUAAAGCCGUAAAUUAUACUGAGUUUGUUUGAAUAAGAGUUUAUUUGGAUGAUUUAUUUGAGAUAUUUACUGUAGCACUUUUUGUGAUGUGAUGUGUGUGAGAUAAAAAGGUGAUUGGGAAGAUAAAAAGGUGAUUGGAAUUUGUGAGGCAAAAAUUUUUUUCCCAAAUUCUCUCUAUCCAAACAAACUCACUUUGAUUGCAAAUGCACAGUUUCUACAAUUUAGAUUGAGACACAUCUUUGGAGGUGUAUACAGGGUACUCAUUUCACAUUAUGAUUGAUUUUUUGAAGGAAAAAUAGGUGUAUGGCUUCAUCAUGGCCAAGAGUCUAACUGUUCAAACCCAAUCUCAAAAAAGAACGAGUGACAGAGGCAGUGAGAGAGCACAAUGAGCGUCACAUAAGUUCAAGUUUUCGAUUUAUGAAGAUGCAAUAAAGACAGAAUUUUUGUUUUGUUGGUCCUUUCUGUAGGUCCAAAUAAAACUUGGCAAAUUUCUUUUAUAAAUUUCUAAACUAGAUUUUUAAUUUUUUUUAUGCAAAAAUAAUGAAGUUGUGAAUUUUCUUUUAUUAUUGCGGCAAUUUUGGUGCAAAUUAUCCCCUACCAUCCUUUGCAGAUAUGCAAGUAUUAGUGAUUUUUUUAAAUCAAUCUAUCAAGUUUAUUUGAAUUUUUUAAUCACCUAACACGAGAUUCUAACUCCCAAUGUAAAUUCUCCGAUAUUUGAUGAUUGCAUCGAGUCUCAACUUUUCCAGAAUUGAGCAUUAUUAGAUCUAGAGGUAAUAUCGAGUCAAAUCGAAUCUGAGUAUUACCAUACUCAAACUCGAACUUGAUGCUCUAUUUAUAUGCUCGAGCAAGAUGAAUAUUCCAAGUUGAGAUUGAGCUUUGACUCGUUAUAGUUCGAAAGAUUUUCAAAUUAUACUAGACUCGAGAAUUCAAAUUUAAUAAAGAGUUAUGAAAUAUAUGAUAGCUAAAUAUCAUAAAAAAUAAAUCUAAAUUAGCAAUUUGGGAAAUAAUAAUAUAAGAAUUAGACAUUUAAUGAAAAACUCAAUAGAGCUCGUUGAGCCGUGGAAUCUGCAAAAUCUGUCCUCAAAUUUGAUCAAUACCAAAUUCGAGUCGAACAAUUGACCUAACUGCUUGUGAGUUCUAGUCAAGUUGCUUCAUUAAGUUUCACUCAUAAUUGGACCUCUUUCAUAGGUGGCUCUCCUAACAUGAAUGGGUAAAAAACUUGGGGUACUCCUAAACUAUCGCCAUUGCUACUUUUGGUUAUUUAUCUAAAUUUUGUUUUCGAUUGAUGUUCGAACAAUUAAAAUUGCAUACUUUAAGGGCCUCUGAUGACUUUAGACUUAAAUAUAGUUGGAUUUAAAGGACAUUUUUGUCCAUUCAUAAUUGAAGCAUUGAGACCAGUAUAAGAAACCCUAAAAGAGGUAACUCUUCAAAUUUUCAAGCACACCAAUAGAUUUUUCUUCAUAAAUCAUUUAAAAAUUGAGUUUUAUCCAAAGAAUUUUGAUAGUGAAACUUUUAAAUGAUUGAAAAAAGCACCACAUGCAAGGCAUGGUACAAGGAUUUUUUCUUAUGAACGGACACAAAUGCCCUUUAAAUCAGGUCAAAUUAUACUUAAAGUCAUAAAAAAAUCCUUAAAAUAUACCGUUUUAAUUGUUUAAGGGGGCAAUUAAAAAUAAAAUUUAGAUAAAAGAGUCAAAAGUGGAUAACGGCAAUAAUUUAGUGGCUGCCCACGUUUUUUACUCUUUUACUGUUCGCAGAACGCGAAUUUGAGACCUUAACAUAGCUUUAAUAAGUUGAUUCAUUGAAUAUUCAUUUUUUGGACUGAUAAAUUGAUCAGGCCCAUAUCAUUCAUGAGAUGACACGAUAAGGAGCCGAAGGGCCAACGAGAAGGGGGACCCUACAAAACUCUGAAUACGCCCGGGAUACCCGCGCUACAAACGGUUGUGGGGUGGGGUGUCCUGUGGGUUUUCCAGUGAAUUUAUUUUUAUUAUUUUUUAGGACUGUCUAUCAAAGCAAGCUCUGUUGAAAGAGAGAUUGGACGUUUCCAACGCAGACCAACAGGUACUUCUACAACUUAUGUAGCCCCAGCCUCACUUAUGCCCACAUUCACUUGUCACUCACUGCCUCUCUGACAAAACACUAUUCCAAUCUUUCUCUCCGUAUUGUGCCUCAGUUACUGCUAAUUCUAAUCUCAGGCAGAGUGUGUAAAGAUUAAUAAAUAUAUAGAAAGUUAAUCUUAUGUGUGUUGACAAAGACACUUAUCUAAAAUUUAGAUUCUAAAUUCAGGUGUAUGUAGUGUCAAUAUAUUAAAAAUUAAUCUAAAUAUAAAUGUGCAUAUGUUUAUUAUACAAUCGUAAAAUAUAUCACAUGUUUAGCAUUUUUCAAUUUUAAUCUUCAGCAUAUAAUAAUUAUCAUCCAUGCAAUUGUGAUAAUAUAUAAACCAUCAGUGUAUAUAAGAUUAGUUCAAAUAUAAAUAUGUACAAAAUUUAUUAUACGAUGGUAAAAUCUAUCACAUUAUUUAGCAUUUUUCAAGUUUUAAUCUUUAAUAUAUUGAGUGUGUUUGGAUUGUAAGUUAUUUGAAAUAUUUUUACUGUAGCACUUUUUGUGAUGUGAUGUAUGUGAGAUAAAAAGGUAAUUGGGAAGAUAAAAAGGUGUAUUGGAAAUUGUAAUGGUGAUGUCAGCAAAUAUAUUUGGCCAAAUAAUUGGCUGUCCAAACACACUCAAAAAUGUCAUUCAUGCAACUGUGAUAGUGUAUAGAACAUUAAUUCCUGAUCAUAACAAAUUUAACAGCAUUUACCUUUGGUGCUAUAUGUUUCUACCGUCAUCACAGCUGAUGCAAGUAAUGCCUAAAACCUAGAUAAAAUUUUUUUUUUCAGGGAAAUUGAAUUUGCCAAGAUUAGAUUUUAUUUUCAGUAGCAAUUUCCAUUAAAAUGAUAAAUUACUCUUUUAAAGUCCAUUCGAAAACAGCAAGUUUGUCAUUUUGUCUAAAAAAAGUUGUUGAAUCGAAAAAUAUCGGCAAUCAAUAACAAAACGAACCUCCAAAGCUCAAAUUAUAAACAAGUCCCAUGAAAAACAACGUGCGCAGCAGCAGCAGUCUCAUUUCAUUCCCAAAUUUGAUUGAUUUGACGAGACACUAAACCCACCAAAUUCCAUCUCCAGCACCAAAACAGAACAGCUGACGAUCUUUUCAUGCAAAAAAAAAAAAAAAAGAGAAAGAACUAAUUGAAAGGAAGCAAGAACUAAAAAGAGAAUAAGUGUUUGGAAAGAGCAUUACAUCUAACAGGAACCAAGUUUUAGGUUCUUUAGAAUACAUUUGAAACUGGAUACUUCUUUGUAAACUCCGCAAUACAAAUACCCAAAGUGAACAAAAGCCUUCCGCACCACCGCUCUCAUUUAUUUUAAGUAUCUAACAAACAACAUUCCAAAAAGUUGACGAAUCUGAUAGUACAAAUCUAGCUGACUAAGCAUCUGCCUGCACAUAUUUUCCCCAGAGUCCAUAUUCAGAUUGGCAAAUCAAACUAGCGUCUGGUGUGGUCUGCCGGCCUCCAGUUUUUUUUUUUGGAGGAAAAUCAAACCCUACGGCCGGCUACUUCUGGUUCCUGGGGAGAAUUUCCAACAAAGACAGGCAGGAAAUCGCGUUGCUGUUAAUUUGCAUGUGCAUGCAGCAGCAACGAAGUUAGUAGGUGGAAGCUGAAAAUAAAACAGUACGUAGUUUCUUAUCGUGACAGAAAGGCACAGCCAAACAAAUUACUUACCUAAUUUGCGUCCACAAAAUGCCACUUCAUUAGCAAUAAUCUAUUUGAUUGCAAUCAUUAUCACCUUUUACUAGUCAAGAUAAUAAAAGAGGGUUAGUCGUUAAACACAUUUUUUUUUUUAUCUCAUGGGAACGCAAUGAACCACCACCGUGGAAGAUUAUUGGCGAUACCUCCAAAAAGUCUUUUGCUGCAGCCAUGCAAGAAUAUUCAAAUGUUUAUCACAGAAUAAAGUGGAACCCUUUUUUUAUUUUUAUUUUUUAAUCCACUGUAAUUUUUGGUCAACUCGAUUCAGUUAGAUAAUUAAACCUACCUAGUAGUAACCUUUUUAUUUAGAUAUAGUUUAAUUUUUGUCUCAUGCCGCCCCUUAAAUAAUGAUGGUUUAAGCGACGUGGCAAGCAGUCAUAACAGCAAGAAUCCAAGGAAAUCUGUGAUGCUGUAUUGAGGAUCAAUAAUACUAGUCUAUAGGUUAAGAGGAGCUACGUGGAUUAUCAUGGUUCAUAUGAUUAUCUUCUGCCACUAAUGAUACAGCAGUAAUUGACGAUAAUCCUCCUUCCAGCUGCCAAGCAUUAUUAUUACUACGUACGUAUCAAAGCUAAAGCGAGGACAACUGUCAUUCGCUUUAAGAUAAUGUAGUAAUAAUAUAUUAUUAUGCCCCUUCAAUUUGGUGACACAGUAAUUAAGAAAGUUACAGAAUCAUAUAAGUCAGUCAAAAAAGUAGCCUAAGGAAGGAAGAUUUGUUAAUCACAUCAGGUCUUGACAGGAAAGUUUAUCGUUUGUGGAAAAAAUUGGCUCCAAAAGUAAGAAUUAAAAUGUUUUAUCUCCCUGUUUGUUACAGUUAGGACCAGUAAUUUGAAGACAUUCACCAUCAAUUUGUUGCUGCCCCCUUAGUCAACAGAAAAUUGAGCGGUCAGUCCUCGUGGUAUAGAAUCACAUUAUUGAAAUCUAUGUUGUGCAUUGUAUCUAUCUAUCUCCUGCAGUUCGUUCCCUCUUCUUCUUUUUUCUUGACAAAAUUCAUGUUUAUCUUCUUCUUCUUCAGCUAUGUUACAUAAGAGCAAAGAAUUAUUAUCUUAUUUGGAACUGAGGUUAUUAAUUCUAAUUAAUUUUUUAUAUAUCGACAGUGCAUAAUUACUGAACAUAAAUGCAUGUUAUAUACACACGAAAAAUCAAAAUUCAAAUUCAAAUUAAAAUUAAAUGACACGCAAUCAAUCGUGCAUUAUAUAUAUAUACACACACACACAAACACAAAGAUUAACCUGAUUAUCAAUGCAUCGACCUCUGUAGAUGUUGAGUGACGUGAGGCACCCACAAUUUGACUUUCUCGGGAGCAGGUCAUGGCAAGAGAUCGGAUCCUCAAAAUGACCACAAAUGAUCCUAUCCUCUCAUCCCAGAGAAAUUCGUGGUUUGGAUGGAUGAACUGAAUCCCGAGUAUCCUUUUCCCAAUCAAUAUUAAAUAAAUAUACGAAUCUUUGUGAAAUGAAGCAAAAGCUCAAGCAAUGAUCGUCGCUCACGUUCUUUUGGAACUGCAUGAAAAUCUUUAUAAACUCAAGGCAACCAAUUGGGCAUGCAGUGUACUGAAUGAAACAACAACAACGAUUACGAAGCAAUUGAAUCAGAUUAGAUUAGAUUAUAUUAUAUUAUUACUACUAAUCCGUAAUGCUCCACUUAAACUUUUUGAUAAUCUGUUCGCCAUCCAACUCAACACUCGGAAAGUGCGCAAUUAAAACCAAUUGGCCCUAAUGACGGCCAAUAUCUCAACCACGAGAAUCUUAAUAAGUAGUGUUGUAUGAUUUAAAUAUACAAAUUGAGUCAUAUUUUAAGUACAUAUAGACACUUAGUCCGACAAAGAAUUGUCUGGCUUUUCCCCCAAUUCCAAGUCAUGGUAACAGCAGUGUAGAUUAUUUUUGGCCAAUGGCUUUUAGAUGUCAAUUCUUGUACUAAGUUUGAUGUGCCUCAAAUUUUAUUUUAUUUACUAUUUAAAAAAUUAUUAUUUUUUUUUUAAAGAAAAAUAAUAAUGUUGGUAUGUCGCAAAGCAAGUUAAAGGGGAUGGUAAUCUACUUUUUUGUCCUUUUUCGGUUUUGUUACAAUAUUCUUUUGUUUAAAAAAAUGUCAAAUAUCAUAGCCUCAAAUGGAAUGUUUACACGUGAAAUUGAUGGACUGAUGUUCAAAGAUUAUCUUGAAGGCGGUGCACCUGAUUGGAAUGUCAGUCCCCUGAUGAUUCGAUAUUCAAUUUCACAUCAUAAUAUUUGAUCCCCUUUUUUUUUUUUUGUUCACUCGGGAUAUGGUGUUGACACUUGACAUCCUACUCCCAUUGAAUUUCCAUUCGAAAAAGAAACAAGUUUCAUUGAUCCAAUUAAGAAAACAGAAGGCUUUCAUUGAGUCAAAAGUUGUUAGGUUCUACGUGACAGCGUUUGUCUUGAUCCUUACAUUUUUCUCUCCAUCCGGCAUUUGUAAUCUCAAGUUAAAGCAUCAAAACUGGUGUCAGUCAAGUCAAGUGGUUCCAAAAUUGGAAGCUGCAAAAACUCAACCUCUGUUUCCAGCAUCAAUAAUAUUAGGUUUGUUUGGAUUGUAAGUUAUUUGAGAUAUUUUUACUGUAGCACUUUUUAUGAUGUGAUGUAUGUGAGAUAAAAAGGUAAUUGGAAAGGUAAAAAGGUGUAUUGAAAAUUGUAAUGAUGAUGUAAGCAAAUAUAUUUGGGGAAAUAAAGGCCAAUCCAAACAAACCCAUUAUUACUACUACGUACCAGGUAUAGGGGUGCAAUGGUAUCACUAGUCACUACCGAGAGCUGUAUACUGCUGCUACCAUCUACUGGAAUUGCAUGGUGAUAACUAAGAAAAAUCCCUUUUGUUUUGUUUUGUUUUGUUUUUAUGAGAGAUUAAAAAAAAAUAAUGGGCAAUAAAAGAGUGUAAAGAAUGAAAUCAUAGAUUCUGCAACCGCCUUAUUAAUCAAUAUCCUACCAACUAAGUAAUACUAUAAAGCAAGUCGAUCUUUAGUGUACUGGGUAAACAAUUAUUGGAAGCCCCUUUCUAAGGUUGAUAAUGGCGAUGACUUAUGCAGCAUGGUUUAUUGGUUGAUUGUUCAGCCUAGCCUGCAUCCACUCCCAAAGCCCCACGAGGCCAUGAAUGAUGAUCAGACUUGUUGAGAGGGUAUCCUAGUAUAUAUACAUGUAACAUGGGCAAAAGAGCAGUAGUAGGCGUUAGAAACUAACUGUUAAUGAAUGAAUGCUGCAUGGAAAGUUAUACUAUAAUUUAUUAGUAGUCAUCUGCGUCAUAUCAUACGCUAACAGUAGCAGAUAGAAAUACUGCGCAUCCAGCCCAAUGGCAAAAGGCAGAGUGUUGGAGGGGGACGCAUGGUCUGAGAGCAGAGAAAUCUGAGAUUGGUUAGAGGGGUUUUAAAAGGAGGGACCCAAGUGAAGGGUGUCGUAUGGUUCAGGGCGCGCGAAAACAGCGCGGGAGCUGUUUCCCGAUGCGCAGAACAUAGACACAUCAGUACCCUCAUUCAUCCUCCUCCUCCUCCUCCUCACGCUCAAUACUCACUCACUGUCCUUUUAACUCUGUGAUCAGUCACCACCACCGCUCUUGCGAGCGAGUCUUAUCUUUCUGUUUCUCUCUCUCUCUCUGUCACACGCACACACACACAGAUUUGUGUGAACCAGUUUCAUUUUACGCCCCUGAACUUGUAUCACAUUUUUAUUUCGCACUCUAUAUUUUAGAUAAUUUAUGUUCCGACUUCUUAGAUUUAACUGAUAAUACCGUCAAUUGUUAGCAAACUUAUCGGAAUAGAGGGCCGUACAAAUAAAUGAUAAUAAUUUAUUAAAAGUGAUCAGAAUGAGCAAAAGGAUCACAAAAUGAUGAAUUGUGAUAUAUGUAGAGCACACGUUUAGAGGUGCAAAGUGAUCUUAUUCCUGUGCGUAUAUUUUUUUUUUUAUCCAAAGAAGACUCCAAAAUUUGACGUAGAGAAGAGGGAAAGGGAAAUGUUUGAGGGUCCAACGAGAAGCCUCUCACCACUUGACUAAUGUCUCUAUAAAUCUACGCAUAGACGUGCUGCUUCCCUCAAUUGUAAAAUACAAAUCUACGCAUGCCCGUAAUUCUAUUGACAACAGAGUUCACGUGAAAUCUUUUUUUCCCCCCUUUUCAAGAAGAUUUCAAGCUUUACAUGAAAAAGAAAAGUUUGAUACAUCAAACCAAAAACAUCAUGAUCAUUUGAUUAAUGUCUCUGUCAAUUGAAUUGAGUGCUCAAAUGUGAAAAUUAUAAAUUAAACUAAAAAAAAAUAAAAUUUGGUGGGCUUAUCAAUAAAAGUACGUAACUUUUAUUAAUCCAAUAGGACACAUGAACAUUUAUUUUUUUUAAAAAAAAAAAAAAACUGAAAGCAUAUAUAUAACUUUAAUUAAUAUCCAAUAGGAGUUGUGAAAAUUAAAAACUUUUGAUCCAAGCCAGUUGGUGCUAGUGCGGAGGAGGUCCGGCAGGCAAGGAUGCCAUGUAGCCAUGUGAGAGUAGGGUCAGCGGAACCAGGGUACAAGAGACACGGAUGAGACUGUGCCUGGACAAGGUAAAAUGGGGUCCUAUCAUACCAGCAGAUGGUGGGAGUCUAUCAAUGGAUGUGAUUUGUAGGUCCUUCCCAUGUCUCUCUCAGGAGUCCAUGGGACCCUGGCAAAUUGCAAAGGUGUCAAAUGAUUGUUGAUAACAAUAUAACAUAAUAUGCUCCGUGUGGGGAACUCAGGCUGGAGACCCAACUCCGUCCAUCUCCCCAUUUCCCAUACUGUUUUUAGUUAAAUCCUUAAUAAUAUCUUGGCUUUUUGGAGCUGCUUAAUCACUCAUCACAUUUGUCCCAAUACUAUAUUUUGCAGCCUCCAAACGCCAUGAGAUCAUGAUUGUAAAAAUACUAGCUGUUAGCAAUUAAGAAGGCAGUAAGUGUUAAUUGAUUCGCUGUGAAGCUCUCUUACUUGAUCACAGUAGUUCAGCCUUUAAGGGGACUGAUUAGAUGGAUAGCUUCUUCGGUCCGUUUAUUUUUAAACCACGUCUUUGGACCACCUAAACCCGAGCAGAAUCUUCAGAUAAUCGGACCGCAAGCGUCUAAUCUUGCUCGCUCAUUUGUGUACUGUCACUGGAUACUAAGAUGGUCGACAACCAAACGCUGCUGUUCACGCCUUCGAAGCAUAUGACUUGUACCAAACACUAUGGUGUAAUUAUUGAACGACACUACUGUGCAGCUAGUUUCUUGAAUUUUCGAGCUAAGUUUUUAAGUGGUGCACCCUCGCAUUAUUAUAUCCACGAUUUGACCAAACGCUCGGAAGAAAGCGUAGUCUAGAGAUUACAUUACACACCCUUCUUACAUUAAUCACGAAUAAACUAAACCACCCCAUCUUUGACCUGUUCUAAUGAAGUCAUAUUGUGGAUUAUAAGGUUUCGGGUCAGUUUGGUAAUCCUUCAUCUGACCUGAACUGGCUAGAAUGUUGACCCUUACCUCCCCAUACAGUCCAACUAGUAUUUUUUCUAUACAGCAGAAAAUUUUGUUAAGCCUCAUGCAUGGAUCAAGUAUUAGGUGGAGACUACAAUUAGACAUAUGAUUAAUGAGAAGUUCAGCAGCAAAUUCUGGGCCUGAGCUUUGUGGCCCUAGCCCCAUGUUUGUAAUGAAUUCUUGCAAAUGUUGAAAGCAUCAACCAUCCAUCGCUUUCAACUUUCAAGACAAGUUCAGGAUAGUUAUGUCUCCAUCAUAGAGAAAUACUACUGCACUUCUUGGCCCAACAGCCGCCCAUAAUCAUUAUAUAGGAGAACGGGUUACAUGGAUUGGAGGACACUGCCAAUAUCUUUAUCCAAGGUUUCCUUUCGGUUUUGUACUGGGCCAGGUCCAGGGUCGGAACAAUACCUCCCUGCAACAAAAUAAUUAAGCUGAAGGUAUAGCCAAUGUAUUAGCUUAACCUGUCAAUACCAUUUACUAUUAACUAACAGAAAUUCCGCAGUUAGCACUUAAUGAGGUGGCUUCUGCUGUUCCUGGUACUUUGAGAGCCAUGAAAACAUAUUGCAGUGUUGAGGAUGGAUUCAAGAUUUAGUCUCUUAAAAUUAUGCUUGAUUAGGCAGGAGAUGUUCUUCUUUACAACAGGCAAGCCACUCCGGCAAAAUGUGACCCCCAGAUCCUUGCCUAGUCUACUUGAUAUUCUCGACGAGAACUAGCUAAGUAAUUUUGAUGGAAUGAAACUGCGAUCGUGCUAAAAAAGAAAGAGGAAAAGAUAGAUCUUUUCUCAUUUAUUUGACUGUAAAAAGUAGGAACAGAAGCAACAUGUCAAACCUUUGCAAAAGGAACAUUUACAACCAUUUACAGACAGCAAGACCACCACCACAUUUUUGUACUUUACACCACAGUAUUACAGUAUUACAAAUACAGGCAGUCGUUAUCUUAAUUGUCUGAAUUAGUAAACUAUAGGUCUAUGGAUAUUAUCAGCGGUUCCUCGCCCUUGUCAACAGCAAAUGUCUUGAUGACUUUUCCUUUGGUGCUGAAAAUUUCCACUUGAUAUGAUCCCUGAAAUCCUCUGAAGGAGAAUUGUCCCUGUUCAUCAAUAUGGCCGUGAGCAUGGGACAACCACUCCUCCUUAAGGGCAAGAUAUCUCCGACCCGCUUCAUUUAGGUCACCUUCUGCAUUCACUAGAUGAGAGUUUUCCCUGCUCGUGAACAGUUCCCAGAAUCCCCACAACAUAACACCAUCUACUGCUGGAUGAGCAAAAGCUUCCCGAAGCAUUACUUCCAAAUCGUCGGCCCUAAUGUGCUCGUUGUCCGAAGACACAUCAAGUUCCGUGAACCAGAUUGGAAGCCCAAGAAUACCUAAAUCAUUAAGUGCAGAGCAGACAACAGGUCCCACUGGACUAUCUAUAUGCCCCUGAAUACCUAUUCCUCCAACAGGUGCACCCUGCUCCUGGAGGUCAAGUAUGUGCUCUAUGUACUUUUCUGGCGAUGACCGGGUGUCGCAACCAUCCUCGACAUGGUAAUCAUUCACAAACAGGAUAGCAGAUGGGUCUAGUUGGUUUGCAGUCUUGAACAUGUCUGCCCGGAUAUCUUUGCCCAACCGGUCUUGAUAGAAUGAGCCAUGCAUCAUCUCAUUGUUCACAUCAUAGUGUCGGAAUUUACCCUUGUAGCGUGUAAGAAGCCCUGUAAGACGGUUUUGAACGGCAGUCUUCAAGUCACUUUGACUCAAAUUGCGUAUCCAUUGCUGAACUGUGUUCUCAACCUCCCAGAAGAUGCAAUGCCCACGGACUUGAAUGUUGUGGCUGGUGCAGAGGUUCAAGAGUUCAUCGGCAUCCUUAUAAUUAAAGUUUCCUUGCUGUGCUUCCGUCCAAUACCACUUCAGUUCAUUUCCAAAGACUGCCCAAUUAAAAUGCUUCACAAAGAAAUCAACAAAGUCUUCAUUGUCCAUAUUUGUUCUCAUCAAACAUGAUCCGAAGGGAAAGCUGUUUUGAGUUUGUUUUACUCUGAUUAAGGUACCAAGCAAGCUGCCAGAAUCUGAUCCUGAUAAUUUCAAGAUGAUGUCAUGCUUUCGUAUCUGCAUUUUAGCAAAAGAUUUAGUUGGUAGUCUUAAAGGGAUCUGAUAAUAACAGAUUCACCAAAUUCAACAUAACCAUUGGUAUUUUAAUGCAGUAAGGUAAAGCGUAAAGCAAAUUAAAGAUGUGAGACAACACGAUGUCAGAACAAUAACCAAGUAUCUUUUGCUUGUGUUAGUGGGACCCAAUAAUUUUGGCCAAACGAUUCAUUGAAUAUAUGACAAAAAUUCAGUAAAAUCAAUUGCAAGGGCAUUGCUCAUAAGAAGAAAGCUAUAUCUCAGAAAGCUUGUAAAAUGCAUUUUAAGGAAAGAACAUGUGGAGAUUUGUCUGAUUAGACGAGUAGUGAUCACCAUGUGGCUACUAUACAUGUACAAAAUAAAGAAAAGCAGAAGAAAUAUAUACCUUAUCUGUUUGUCUCCUCAAGGAUCUAAACCUGGCAUGCCUGUCAACUGGAAAUAUUUGCAGUCCAGCAACCAUGAAGUCAAUGCCUGAAGCAGGACCCUGAACAUAAACCAUCACCUUAGCAGGUUUUUUUUCAAUUCUAAAUGACCCACCAAUUUCAUGCCAUCUAUCAUCACGAAUCUCAACUUGUCCGCCGUUAACCCAUUGGUCAUCCACACCAAGAGCAACGUUCACACUCUGGGGGCUAGUAGGGCCGGGAGCAAUUCGAAUCCACCCGGAUACUUGAUAUGUCACGUAGAGUUUUACUUUGUCAGUAAUCAUCUGAGCAGGACCCAUCCAUGUUUGGGUUCGUUUUGUCACAAGGAUGUAGCGACCACUUGGUGGCUGAUGAGCUCCUAGAGAAUCUCUAGCCAUGGGAGGAAUUAUAUGUGGUGAGCCAGUUCCAACGCUAAGAGUGCAGUUGCCAAGUGGAAACCACCCAUUUGUGCCAUCAUUAAGGUCACUGUUGGCAAUGAUAUUAACACCGAAAACUACAUCCUGAAAACAUUAAUGAAAUUAGCAUGCAAAACAUAACACAAUUGAGAAGGCAUGCAGAAGAUUUCUUCUUGACCAACAAAAUUCAAUAAAAAGGAUGUAAAAUAUGAAAUAAUUUUGCAUCAUGGAUGUGAACUCAAAACACCACAUCACAGGACCUAUUCAACCAACCUCGAUUACUGGAGGAGGUGAAGGAGGUACUUUAGCAGCAUGUUUUACCACCAAGCUAUUAAGAAGUAUAUCAGUGCCCGGAGGUGGACCUUCUAAGUAAAUCACUACUCUCGAUGGCGAACCGUUAAGAAGAAAUUUUCCUUGCAUCUGCACCCAUUCCUUGUCUGUUGCCUUCACUCUGCAGGUGAUUCAUUUAGCAUAUUUUUCAGAUAAUAUCCAUACAUGAUAUCUUUUCUGAUGAAUACUACAAGUCUACUAAAAAUGUUCAAGCAUAUAGUAUUUUGACCAAUGGAUCAACUAAUGGACACAACCAAGAACAUUAGGCCACGUGAAGGAUAAUGCCCUUCAGAUCAAUUCAUUGUAUCACUAUGAGACCUAAAAUAACAUAUCCAGGAAGACGAAGUUCCAUUCUAUAAAAACUAUUGACGUAAUUGAUGCUCAUCUCGUUGCUUUGUCAAGCAUACUGUAUGUGCAGCAACACAUUUUUAAAUAUGAUCAGUCAAAAUACUCAAUUAAAGUUUUCAGUAGUAAUAUGUCCAUUGCAGCAGUAUCUUUUAAGUACACUAGUAAGACAUCCCGCCUCACUGGGUGUUUUAACAUGAUACGGUGUAUAACCCAUAUAGCUGCAAAAUAAAAAUAAGAAGGGAAAACUUCUUUUUAAGGAUUGAUCCUCACAAAAGGAUAAUCUUCUCCCAGAAAGCACAUCUUCAACAAAGAUCACUAGCUUUUAAAGAUAAACUUCAGCUGAUUAUUUGCUAAUUAUAAUGACAUCCUCUGCUCCACUUUACCAUGGAACAAAAGAAAUCAGAUAUGGCAAGCACAUACUUACUUUGCAAUGCCUAUGUACUGCUCGCGCAUGUCUGCAGCCUGAACCCACAAUGUCGCCUGAACGUCUGCAUUGGUUACAUUGUUACCAUAGAUGCGAACUACCGAACUAACCUCAUAAGCAAGCUUCCGGUUUACUUUCCCUGUUAUCUCCUGCUGAAUGCCAUUCCAGCUCUGAGUACGUUCUGUAGCAGCUGCAAACAAUUUCCCGGAUUGUGGAACAAUUUUGCCAUCUGCCAUUGAGUCAUGCAAAACAACCUUGCAGCCUCUACCAGACCAACCAUUAAGACCAUCAUCAAACUUCCAAUUUGUUAUGAUGUUCUCUUCUUCAAACAAUGGAGAUCCUUUGCUCUGGCUCUGUCAAGUAACAAGUCCUUGUCAGUAACUUGAGCUGAUUGCAGAAGAAAUGGACACAUUUACUAUCCUUAACACACAAAUACAACUGUCCUUCACCCCAUCAUACUAAUCAUUUAUCCUACUAUUGGCUAGUUCUCAAUUAAAUGCAAAAUUCCUAGAAGAAGUGUCGUGGGAGAAUCAGAUACACUUACAUUACACCAACUGGAGCUAGAACAAGAGACUACUACUGAUUCUAUAAGCAGGUUCACACCGGGUGAAGGCCCUUCCAGAUAAAAUAUCACCCUAUCAGGCAUUGUCGACAGCAAGAAUGUGCCUUCUAAAUUCUCCCAGCAAUCUUUCGAAACAGACCUUCUGCACAAGGACACUGUCAUCAGAGCAAUGGCUCUAAAAAUAAAACAGGGCAAGUAAUCUAUGAGAAGGAGAAAUGUGUUGCCUUCCAAUGAACAAGUAGCUAGUAUCCAUGUUCCUGUAUUCCAGUUUUAAUGUUGCUAGGACAUCAGCAUAUCCCUGAAGAGCACCUGAUACACCAACACGUGCAGACACCAUAUAUGUGGAACCAGUAGAGACUCGGCUUGUGAUAUCUUGCUCCAAGCCUUGCCAAGGUUCCUUCCGGUUUGUAAUGACAGCAUAAGUGCCAGGUUUGGGCGAGUUUCCUUCAAUGGUACUUGAGUAAGCUGAGAUCACAUAGGCCUCACAACAAUUCGGAUGCCAUGAAUGAAGCCCUCUAGAGAAGUCGUGGUUAUCGAUGAUAUUAAUAUCAGAACUGUUCCUCAUAGUUCUCACAUUUUCCGCCAAAUUCUGCAGUCAGAAAUUCAUAAUGUAUAUAUUAGGAUGUAUUUAUGCAAGCUAAUACAUAAAACUUAACAGAUAAAAACGUUCCAUCACAAUUCACUGUCAUAUGAUCUCACAAAAGAAGGAAAAUGAAAGGGUAACUUUCUUAACAUACAACUUUGUUUGACUACACAAGUACAGGGUGUUACAUCCAGAUGAUUAUUAACCACCAAGGCAGCAGCUCCUUUUGCAUCCAAAUGCAUAAUGCCUCUUGGAGCAAAACAAGGUGGCCAUGUAUACCACAAAUAAUUUAGAAUAAAUGAAUGUUCAGGGAAUGUUCCUUACCUACCUGGUACCCCUGAUAGUUCUUGGAGUCAUUGACAACAUUAGCUCAAAACUAGCACUCUGUAGUUAUUCAAUUCUUGCACGACUUAUCAAAACAAAUAUGAUGCAUUGUCACGGAUAUCAUUGACAACAUUAGCUCAAAAAUGGCACUCUGUAGCCAUUCACUCAAAAUUAGCAGCUGACGUUCUUAUAACAAAUUGAGUUAUUAGUCAGCAUAAUACUCAACAAUUCAGUUCUCAACUGUACAACAACUCUCUGGCCACCAGCUCCAGCGCCCCAGCCACCAAGCUCUCCAAAAUCCACCAAAUAAGUAAGGGGAAUUAAGGGGAAAAGAAAGAUAAUACUACUGCACAAAGUUUGUUUAUUAAGAAUAUGAGUUAAUCAUAUAUACACUAACAGUACAAACACUAUUGUGGUUAGAUCCACGAUACAUAAACAAAAUUUGGAUUGAUGUACAACAUAAGAAUGUGACUUUCUUUGUGUGUCAAAGGGAGACUCAUCAAUUGAUCCAAGUCUGAGAAUUAGGAGCUACUAACAAACAACAAUUAAUUUAACAAUUAAUAAUGCCCAUCGGUCCAGAGCGAUCCUUCAAAAUUAAAAUGAGCUCGCCAGAAAAUUUAAUAAACGAAGGAACAAGAGAAAAGCUUUAAGAUAAGCAAUGCAUACCUCAGAUAGGCUUUAAAAUAAUCAAUGCAUACCUCAGAUUGGAACGCAUUAUUGGCAUUGCCCUCUGAUGGGUUCUCCAUGUCAACUUUCAAACUCUAAAACCCAUUAAGCAAGAUCACUACACCACACCAAAAAUAUCAGACAAAGACAGACUUCUAAGAAAAAUUUCAGUACCUGCGAAGGACUGUUCUCAGAAAAUUGCUUCGGAAUUCGACGUUUGAAGCAGCAACACAGCCGCUUCAUUAUAUACAGAUAGAUACAAACUACUGUAUGUUCGGAAGUUUUAUAAGUGAAGUCAUCGGAUAUGGCGGGACCAACUAAACCUACCGACCAAUCAAAAGUCUUCUGCCUUCUAACUGUUUGAUAUUUUGUCCCAAUAAUCUAGACAGCCUACAUUGCAGGAACAUUUGUUCUAGGACAUUUUCUUUCUGCAUUUUAAAAAUGGGUUUCUCCUGUUCCUCUUGAUUUUCCAGAUUUUUUCAUUAAAUUGUGUACAAUUUGGAGUUGGCGGGGGAUUUCUUUGUCUUGCAGACUGGGUUGGCCAAUUGCAAUUUUGAAUGCUUGAAUUGAAAUAGAAGAUUACCGGCUUUAGGGAUGCUGUGUUCAAUAAGUAAAUCAUAUCAUCGAUACCUUUCUUUGUCAACGGGUCUCUAAGUCUUUGAUUACAAGUCAGAUUUCAUUCUUAACAACUUGCAGGUUAGGUGAAAUCUGGCCUUUCUUUCGAUGCGUGCUGUUUAGUCUGUUCCUUUAACUGAUUAUUUAGAGAUUAUUUAGAGCCCACAUCUUUCAAGUUUUAGGUCUUAACUUUUUUUUUUUUUUAAAUAACGAUAACAUUUAUAUAAUUUAGUCUAUCUUGAAAUUCACACAUCUUUCAAGUUUUAGGUCUAAUUUUUUUAAUAACAAUAAUAUAUAUAUAAUAUAAUCUAUUCUAUUUUACAGGGAGGGGAGUCUAAAAAGAUUGUGUAAUGGAUUAGCAAGUAUACAUAUCUGACUAAAUCAAAGGGAUACUUUGAUACCUCUUUUGGAUUUUUUCACUAUAAGUGGAGUUUGAACCCUCGAUUCAUAGUCCAAAGAGGGAUUUAGUCCAUUUUUUAUGGCCACUAAACUUUGUUUUUUCAAGUUUUAGGUCUCAUACCUGACGUUAAAAUUCUACCAAUCCAUCUAACUCGCAUAUUUCAUCAAAAAUAAUUAGUUUAAAUUUUAAAUAUUUAACAUUGAGUGCGUUUGGAUGGGAGAUUAUUUGAAAAUAUUUACGGGAGCAUUUUUUGUCAUGUAAUAUAUAUAAGAUUAAAAUAUAGUUAUAAAAACAAAAAUAUUGAUUGAAAAAUAUGUUUCUAGUACAAGUAAAUAAUUUUUUGUAAAUAAUAUGAUAUCCAAACAGACCCAAUAUUGUUUAUCUAAAGGAUUAAUAAUACUUCUAUCACCAUCUAACGGUGAAAUUUACUCGUGGAUAUGCAGUAUUAAUUAGUUUUGGCUGUUUUCAUGGAGAUUUUUUUGAUUUCUUAAUUACUAGUUUAACCUUGAAGUCUAAUCUCAUCCUUAUUUCUUUGCCAGCAUAAUCGCUAUGGUUGGUUAUGACAAAUUGAGCAAUAAGACCUUUGCCAUUGUCUUGAUUUUAAUUUGGAGAAAAAAAUUGAUUAUUGCUUUAAUGGAAGUGAAAGGGUUUGAACAUAGUGUGGGUUAUUUUCAGAAAUUAUUGAGGAAGAUUCAAAUUUUUGAAGUGGGUGUAGUUUUUAAUGUUAAUUCAGCUCAGUUUUCUGUUCAAUUGAAAUUUUUCUGAAGAAACUCUCAAUGUACGCUAAUACUACAAUUUAUAAUAAUACAUACAAACCUCUUAUAGAAUAUUGCAUGCGAUUGAAUAGAGUAUUAUUUGAAAUAAUUAUUAUAUCACUUUUUAUCAUACGAUAUAUGUGAGAUAAAAAGGUGAGUUCGAAAAUAUGUUUGAGAUGCAAGGGAAAUAUUAUUUAAAAAAAUUUGUUCUUAGGAAGAAGCAUGAGAUUUCAGUUUAUUCGAUUUCCAUUCAUUUUUAUAUACACGGUUUAGAAACCAAAAUGAUUCUUCUCUACUCUUAGCUUUGAAAUAGGCUUAGGUUCAACAGACUGAAAGGCACAACACUCAGUGAAAUUGAAUGGUUGGAACUUGAGUUUUGGGUACAAAUUUGUUUACAUUUUUACAUGUUUUUAUAGUGUAUAUAUUUGUUACACAACUACCUACAUUGCAUGGUACAAUCAUUAUUAAUAAUUAGAAAUAACAAGAAGGAUGGGUGUCCACGGACACCCACUCUGUGACGGGAGAUAUAGGGUGGGGGAGAGGGGGCAGGAGGAGGAGGCGUUUCUUCUCCGCCUAAAAUGGGCCGGGUUAAGGCGGAGGAGCAUAGCCCCGCCCCAUCCCCGUAUUAAUUAAAUAAAUAUAAUAAAAUUAUUAAUAUAUCUAAUUUUCCAUAUUAUCUAGAGUUAAAUUAUUAGUAGUAGUAGAUUAUUUUUCCUAAUAAUAUUACUAUUAGUAGUAGUAGUAGUAGUGAUUGUCAUAUUAGUGGAACCAAAACAUAUUUAGACAACAGCAUUUGUCUGAAAAUGGCUAUUGUUUCUGCUGUCCUUGAACCAGUGCAAAAUGCUGUUGCAAGUUAGGAAAAGGUGCCUCGGACUAAGACAAACCUUGAGCUUGUUGUGAAUUUUGGAUAGCCUCAUUAGUGUUUUGCUCUUGUAUCAGUAGGCGUACUGAUGAUACUUGUAUCAGCUCAUGAGUAUGAUGUAACCAGAAUCUAAUGAACACCAUUGUAUGCGCUUAUUUCUUACUAGGAGGGGAUCACCGCGCGAUGCGCGGUGUUAAUUUCAUGUUGUCCAGAAAAUGCCCAGAUUUUCAAGUGAAAAUAUCAUAAAUUGUAUGUAUUGCAUUUAGGUUAUUUGGUUAUAAAAUGAUUAAGCUUUUAAAUAAGCAAGGUUGUAAGAAAAAUUUUGACCACUGCAAUUAUGUUGUUGCAUGCUUAAUUUCAUUGCAAUGCAGGCAUAUUUAGCAGGAACGUACAGUGCGCUUCAAUGGAAAAAACAAUUCGACUAUGUCUGAUGAAAAGCUCCAAGAGAAAAGCGAAUUUUGUUUAUAGAGAAAACCAUACUGCAGAAGUUAGGUACAAGCAGGACAAUUAGAAUAAAUUUUGAAGAUGCAAGACCAUGGAAAAACUCUCUCGACUUCAUUAUCAUCAAAAAUUAAAACUGUGAAGGUAGUUGAUGAUUCUGGAAUGAAGACAAGGACUUCAUUAUGCUGAAUUGAUGUUGAAGAACGAAGUUUCGCCAAUUUGUUUUUAGCUUUUUCCCUUUUACACCAAUCUCUGUAAGUUUCUCUCCAGUCCUAAUAAGAAGCAUUGGGGUUCUUUGUCCAUUAAUGAAGUGAUCGACGAAUCUUGGGAUUUUCUAAUGGGAUGAAUGAAAGACAGAUUGAAGAACACAAUAUAUAGAGUUCUUUUAAAGAAAUACAGUAAGAGAGGAAGAACGAAAUAGUGCAAGGAUAGGCUACCAAUGUGUUUGGGGUUGCUGUAUUAAAGGUUUGAUAGAAGGAAACCGAAUCAAUGAGAUUUUGGGUUAAAUCCGGUUUUAUUGAUGAAGCAACCCACAGCUGACCUAUCAUAGAAUCUGCACUAUCCGAAUCUAUUUAGCAGAUAAUAAAUUAGAGGGAAUUCUGCUACAAGUAACUGCAUGAUAUAAAGCGAAGCAUAAAUGGACCUUGUGCAUGAUCACCACCAGCCUGCAAUAAAUUUGGCAACGGAAUUGUCCAAGAUAGGUAAAUUUAUUUUUGCAGCUCGGAAAAAUGGAUGACAUCGAAGAUGAGAUGACCGAUAUGGCGUAGAAGCAACAUAUCAUGUUUGUUAGUGAUAUUCUCAUGGCAAUAUUCAUCCCAACCUUUUUCAAAUGAACGAUCACCGAACACAACCGACCAUUUAUAUACCAUGUCUGAGAAUGAUUGUAUUGCGCUGGUGCUGAUUAAGUAAUAGCUUGAAUUCAGCAGGCAGAAUCUGUGUUUUAGGAGAGAAAAAUAGGAAAUGUUAAAUGGAUUUAUAUAACUGUACUGCAUGCCAUUAACAUGUGCAGGAAAAAAUUAUACUUCUCCUAUGCGAUUGCAUUUCAGCAGAAAACAACAGGCCAUUGAGUUGCUGUUUGUUAAUCCAUAAGUAGAUAAACCUUCUGCCAUCGAUCUGACUGGAGAAGCUAAUAAAAAAGAAAGUGACAAAGAUGUAAUUACAUGCAGGCAAAGAAAAUCUCCAAAUGUUAGGUAUAACUCGAGGAAAUCAAGCAGGAAAGUUAACUUGCUGUAGUGCUUUGCCUGGAAUGUAUGAUGUUUUCAGGAAGUAGCUAUAUAUAAAGAAUUGGUGGUUAGCAGUUUUUUUUAAAUAAAUUUUUUUAUUGUUAGUCUAGCUCUCAUUUUUUCACAGCUAAGCGGAUUAAUGAUCUGUAAUAUCAACGAUGCAGAACUGGUUAAUAAUAAAAGGAGUGAAUGCUAGGAAUCGAGUCAUUACUACCACCGUGCAUUUGUUCUAUCUACCGUGUUUCGAAUAAAGCAAGGGCAUAUUUACUGCAUGAGACUGUAUUGGUCGAGGGAAAAAAGCAGUACUUCUUAAAUCUAUUGAAGCCUGAACAGCCACACACUUUAAGAAUAAUAGAUACCCGAGCCUGAGCUGUGAGUAGAGUAAGUGCAGUUCAUAAUAGUAGGUGUGAUAUCUAAUAACUCAACAGGCCAUCUAAAUAAAUCAGAAUCUAAGUUAAGUAAUGGCUAAGCUGAACCAGAAAUAAAUUCCAACCUGAUCUCUAUUUGCUCACAGAUCCAGGUACGAUGUGUUUUUUGCUACGAAAUUGACUAAUAGAUGGAUUAGCAGAAGGAUUAACUCUUCUCUUUCUCAUCUCCAAACAACCAGAUACUGGCCUACGGCUGCCAACCUGCGUUUUGCGAGCAGAAAGCAUGUCUGCGAAUUGCAAAAUUGAAUAAGAUCUCUAAAAUAGACCAAAGUCCCUUAAAGGGACAUGGUUAGCAAAUGACGAAGGCUUUCAGAAACCAGACUAUAAAGAUGAGCAUUCAUUAUCUAUAGCCUGGUCGAAACAGUUCAGCAUUUUUGCAAACAUAAGCAAUACGCUAAGGGAAGUCAGUACCUGUGCAAGAAGGUGCUAAAACAGAAUCUGAAAUUUCAGUAGACAAAGAAUUACUUUCACAAGGAAGUUUUUGUUGGCCUGAUUGUUCAAAGUUUGUAAGAGUCGAAUUCAAAGAAAAUGAGCCUAGUAUAACUUUUGGAUGUUUAUCGCUCAUCAAUUGUUCAUUUUCAGGCAAAAGUGACAAUAAGUUCAUAUGUUUUCCUGUAGUUCAUUCAUCUCUGAACUGGACAUCAGGAGAAGGAACGGGAAUUUUUUCGGCUCUGCACCAGCAGACGACCUCUGAUGUUUUGCUGGUGCAAGGGUAUUACGGAAUGGAAGCUCUACAGUUAUGAAUAGAGGCAGUCGUAAUUUGAGAGAUACAAGGGAAAAAACGAUAGCCAAAAAAGGUAAAUAAGGCUAAACGCCGGCAAAGAGCGGGAGUUAAAUGGAUCAAGGAACUGGACGGUAAGCAAAGCUGAUAUACCUUGAGGAGGAGGCAUAGUUUGCAAAGGGAUUUCUUUGGCAAAGGAGGAGGGAGCAUGAUUACUAAAGGCACCAGGUAGAUGGUGCGACAUGAACUCUAAUCCUUCUCUAAUCGCAGAAGCAUUAUCAGCGGGGAGCACAACAUCUGUGUUUCCCAAGGGCUGAGAAUGGACAGAAGUCAGAUCCUCACUACAACAUGGCAUACGAUGAGUAUUUGGGAAUGACACACCAAAUUCCACAUAUCCCAACAGAACCUUGCGAACGCGUGAACCUAAAGGUUUUUCAGCUUUCUUUGCAGCUCUAGUUUCUCUUCAAGAACGCAGAAGUUCCGCUUUCUUUAGAGGUGCCAUUUCUGCAUUUUUUUUGGCGCAUAGCAUUCCUAUGCAUCUGAUUGCUACAUAGUUUAGCAAGCGAAAGAAAGCCUAACGUACACCUCUAAUACACCACAAUAGGGCCAACUAAAUAAGCAUAAAGGAGGGCAGAGUUGAAGGGAAAAUUGUAAAGCAAAGAAAUGGCAUAACAAAGGCAUGAAUGGAACGCCUCUUAUCCAAACAAAAAAAAAGAGCAAAGAAAAUCUAAAGCACAGCUCUUACACAGCACCAUGAAAAUUGAGUAGAUAAGCACAAAGCAGGCAAAAGUUCCAGCAAAGCUUGUAACAUUUUUUAAAUGGCAUAACAAAGUUUGUUGGCCAGAAGCAAGCUAACAUGCAAAGUAAAAAAGCUAAGCAUAUAUAGAAGGGAAAGUAAGCGGUGUCACCUUAACCUUAGAUGUAUAUAACAAGUCUUGACCAGCCAACAGUAGAGCAACAGAAAAAGAGGACAGCACCUGGUUCUGUAUGCAAUAAAACAACAAUGGGGGAAAAAAUGAAGAAGAUACAAGGACAAAGAGCAAAUGAGCUACAACACGCACCAGAGGACAAAGGGGAAAAAAGUAUAAGGAAAUAAAGAGGAAAGCGAGGAGAGCUAACCUGCACGCACUAAGAAUAGCGGGACAACAGCUACAAAAAAAGUACAGUGAUGUUAGAGCUAUUGGCAGGAGGAAAAAGGAAAACGCAGUUCGAAAGACUUCGACAGAAAAGCAAAUUUAACCAAACUCAUUAAAAACAAAAAAAGAAGCAAAAUGAGCUGAAAGGCAAAGCAAACUGCCAUUGUAACAGUAACAGCUGACCAGGACAUAAGAUUUAAGGGAAAAAACCAAACAAACAUGACAAUGCAGGCAACACACUUAUCAGGAGCUACAAUACAGCGAUGUAAGAACUAUUUGCAGGAGGGAAAUGGAAAACACAGUCCAAAAGAUUUCGACAGAUAAGCAAAUUUAAAUAAACUCAUCAGAAACAAAAGAAAAGGCAAAAUGAGCAGAAAAGCAAAGCAAACAGCAAAUACAACAGUAACAGCUCACCAGGCCAUAAGAUUCAGGGGAAAAAACCAAAUAAACCCGACAAUGCAGGAAACACACUCACCAUGAGCUAAAAUCGAACAAUAACAGUGGAAUUAAAAUUGACACAAGAAGGCAGCAAGACAGCAAGCAGGAAAGAAAAGGAAAGAGCUUAUAACUCAGCGCAUAGAAGCAAGUAGCUGGGGAGCAAGAAAAGAACAAAUGAAAAAUGAGGCACAGUUACCGUAGAUCAUGAUGACGAGAUCUGGAAAAUGUGGCACUGGCACCAGAAACACAGGAACGUCUGCAUACAUCAUAGAAACAAAGAGUUUUCAGUCUUUUCAAUCAAAAGAAAGGAGCAAAAAGUCGGUUUUUGGCAGCUCUCUAGAGCAGAGCGGAAGGUUCUCUCACCGAAGCUCAAAGGCAAGUAAGAAGCUCAGCAACAGACAAUAAUGUUGUGUUUGAUUUUAAAAGAAGAGCAAAAUUGUAAAUCAUGCCAACCCACAUUGAGCCCACCGCCCAACACUUGUCAUCAAUCAAACCAUCACCAACCGUCAAAAGCUUAGCCAGCUGGUCAUCUGAUGACCAGAGAAAUGGCGCUUGUUGGAAACAAAUUUAAGCAAAGUUCCUCAUUCUUUUUCUCUCUAGUUGGCACGUGAUUUUGGCAUGCUGAGGACGACCACAUUUUCACCAACCACAGCUGGACACAUCAGCAGAGACGACCACUCUUUUGUCAAAUUGCAUUCAUGCUUUUACUAUAUAGGUAGAUGAAUAAAGUUUUCAUUUGUUAAAAAAAAAAAAAAAAAGAGAUAAACAAAUGCCCCCAUGGGUACUUGCUGGGAAACAGAACGAGCAAGGCGGAGGCAAGGAUAAUUUUAUGACAAGGAGGCUAGGAGCGGGGGAUGUUGAAAAUAGUUAGUGAUUAAUCGCAUAUUAAAAGUGUGUAAAGAAUGGAAGAAAUUUAUAGGCUCCAUUUGACAAGUAAGUUUUUUAGGUGUUCGUCUAAAACUUUACUGUAAUUUACUGUAGAAGUUUUUUAAAAAUUUUUAAAAUAUGUUUUUUUAAAAUAUUUUGAAAUGUAUAGUUUAAAAACUUUGAAAUUUUUUUUAAGAUUACUGUAAUUAAAGUUUUUAAAAAAAUUUGUAACAGACAAAUUUGACAAAAAACCUGUCUAUCAAACAAGGUCAUAAUCAAGUACACACCUAUUCAAAUAAAUUGGAUGGUGGGAAAUUUUGGAGGAAACUCCAAAAUUGCACAUACAUUUGUCAUGUUGACUAUUGAAUUAGAAUAUAAAUUUAAUGGUUAAAAGAUUGGCACUUGGACACUUAAGAACCAAAAUUAAUUUUAAUUAAUUUUGUUUUAAUUUUUCUUCUUAACUAAAUAUUUUCUAUUAGGAGUUGUGUCUAAUGAUACAACCCUUAAAUGUCCGUUAAGUAUCCAUUCAUUUUAAAAGGUGCCUAUUCCGGAAGAAAUAUAUUUUCAAAAAAGAUGAUAUUUCUUUUGGGAUAUCUAAACUUUAUAAAUAAUGAUGUCCAGAUGUCAGAAAACUCACUUUUUACUUUUAGUUUUACUAUUCUUCUACUUCUUUCAAAACGAUAUUCUCUAAAACCGUUCUUGGGAGAAUUUCUACAUACUAGUGUGUGAAAAUUUUUGGUUGGCUUUGUUAUUCCUGAAGAAAAUUGCCGCAAACUCGAUAGUAGAAUAGUGGAGACAAAUUUCCUUAAAAAAGUGAAUUUUCACGCCAAAAUCAUUUAUUGUAGUUGUAGUUAUUACUAUUUUCUAACAGGGGAGCCUUACCUUGUCCCAAACUGCCCCAUUGCCAUCCCGAUUGAUAAUUACAAGUGCCCUUUGUUGAAACCAAUAGUUUCACUGCAUAAUGCCAGGCUCUAAUUUUUAAGCCCUAUUUGGCGUGGCCUUUAGUACUAAAUUAAAAACACGCAUUUGACAUCAAGGCACCUUUGAACAGUUUUAGGUAAGGAUUUUGUGAAUUAGCAACCAUAAUGAAGACUAUGGAUCUAUGGGUAUUACUAGGGGUUACACACCCUUGUCAACAACAAAAGUUUUAAUAAUGUUGCGUUCAUUUGUAAUAAUUUUCACUUGAUACAAUCCCUAAAAUCCUCUGAAGGAGAAUUGUCCUUGUUCAUCAAUGUGGCCCUGAGCAUGGGACAUCCACUCCUCUUUUAGGGCUAACCAGCUUCAUUGAGAUCACCUUUUGCAUUCAUCAAAUGCGCAUUUUUUCUGUACAUGAACAACUCCCAAAAUCCCCACAACAUUAUACCGACAACUGCUAGAUGGGCGAAAGCUUCACGAAACAUAACUUCCAAAUCGUCAACUCUAAUGUACUCAUUGUUAGAAGACACAUCUAGCUCUGUAAACCAGAUUAGUAGCUCAAGAGUACCUAAUUUCUCAAGAGCAGAACAUACAAUAGGCCCUACCGGGCAAUCUAUAUGCCCCUGGAUACCUAUACCUCCCACAAGUGCCCCCGGUUUAUUGAGUUCAUCUAUUUGCUGGAUGUACUUCUUUGAGGAUGACCAGCUGUCUGAGCCAUCUUCAACAUUGUAAUCAUUCACAAAUAGAACGGAAAAGGGGUCUAAUUGUUUUGCAAUCUGACAGGUGUCGAAGCCUGUACAACAAUAAAAUUAAAUCUAAUUGUCAGUUAAAAUAACCAAAACCCGAUUUCAAGUACUGGAGCAGGAACUUUAGGUGUGCAAUGGGUUACUUGAUUCACUCUGUUCCCGAAGAAUUUGUUUGAUCCGAUAUACCCAAAUGGGAUAAUUUUUUUCACAAAUAAUUAUAAAUUUGUAGACAGGGCAAGUAGGAUCGUAUCCUCAGGGAUUGGGGAUAUUUGUCUCUUAAAAAAUUCAAAGUAAUACAGGAGGUGUUUUUGUAUAAACGAUGACAAUCAAAGAAAUUCAAAUAAGAAUAAAAAUAAAUAGCUAGUUAGAAAUUAAAUGACAAUUCACUAAAAUUAGAUUAACAAUAAUUAAAGGUCUAGCCAAGAAAUAACUUCAGCAAUGAUUCACCUAAUUGAUCAUCGAUGCACAAGCAAUUUCAAUUAUUUAUUAAUAAAUAGGUUAUAACUACCAAACAAGUGAUGACAGUCAACCCCUCCUUACUGUGUCGGUGAUUAAGGUACGCCCAUUAAUCACUGCUCUAAUUGAGAAAUAAUCUUAGGUACGCUCAAAAGAUUUAAUUUCCCAAUUGCCUUACGUAUUAGAGGAGUCCUAUUCUAACCAAAUAACGCACUAUCAGGGUUAUUUUAGAUUAGCCCCCGUAUCCCCCUGACACGAAUCUAAUUGUGUCAGUUGUCUCUAUUUCAAGGUAAUUAAACAAUUACGGAUUUAAUGCCUUAAUUGACAAUAGAUUAUCAAGUUAACUAAUUAUCCGGAUCUAAAACAAUCAAUUAAUUAAAUAAUCAUGAACAUUGCAAUCAAGGGAUAUGUGAAUACCAAUAAAUAAAAGAAAAAGAUAAAAUUAAAUCGAUCUCACAAGUUUUAGGCGAACCAAAACCUCCGUUGUUCCUUGACUAGAGUGAAGAAAUUAGUUCAUAUUUAGUGCGAAAAAAUCAUACAAAACUGAAGAGAAAGCAGCAGCCAUCGUUCUUUGAGAUUGAAAAAAUUCAAUUCGUCCGAAUAUUGAAAAGAUAGCAGGCUACAAAAGGUGAUUGAUAGUUUUCCCUUCGUUUGGCAUACGAAAAAGCUCAAAGAAAUAAAAGUCAAAGUUUUCCCCAAUUUUGCUCCUGACAUGCGUAGGGCAUGGCUCCUCGAAAGAAAACCAAAAGAAAAAUCAAAUGCUAUCUAUCCACAGUAGUGCUAAUCCCCUCAAAUUCUAAUUCUAAUUCCUAUCUAAAUAGCCUCUGCUACUAUGCGGCGGCCCAGCCUCUAAACCGAAGACUCCAAUGUCCCCUUUUCCUUCUUGCUGUCUUCGGCCAAAUUACCAAAAAGGGUUCGCGUCUCUUUUUGUUCCAAAAAUGUUCCUGAGACAAUCUCUAUCAUUUGGAUUUCUUUUCUGUCAAAUUGGCACCUUUUAUCAUAUUUUCGUUCUACUCCCUGAAAUAAAUGUAAAAUACUAAAAGUGAGUAAAAUUCAGUAAUUAAUCCACAUCGGAUCAGACAAUAGGGGAAAUUAAUAAUAAAAUAAAUGAUAAAAUCAUAACCUAUCACAAUCUUGAACAUGUUAGCUUGGAUAUCUUUGCCUAAUCGAUCUUGAUAGAAUGAACCGUGCAUCAUCUCAUUGUCUACAUCAUAAUGCUGGAAUUUCCCUUUGUAGCAUGUUAAGAGACCUAUUAGACGGUUUUGAACAGUGGUCAGCAAAUCGGUGUUGUUCAGAUUGCGUAUCCAUGUUGGAAUAAUACUAUAAUGUGGUCUACAUGACCACAUAAAUGUAAUGCUAUCCCACAUAAGGUGAAUGGAUUGGUUCAAGGUAUUAUGACCAAAGUCAUGUACUUAAUUAAUGAAGCACAAGAUUCGAUGACCAAGUCAUGAAUCUAGCCGAUGUGAUAAAUGAACUUAUCCUACCAUCCAUAGAACCCCACAUAAAUAAAUGUACAUACUAUUAAGGCUAUGUAUAUAUAUUCUUGAAACAAGUGAUUCAUGAUAAGAUUUAUCUUAUUCAGAAGGAAGAAUGAAUGAGCCUUAUUAAUGAGCAAUGAUGGGAAAUGUCACUUAUACAUCUAUAAAUAGGCUCUUGGUCCCUCCCUUCACUGGACAAGUUUGAAAACGAUUAUGCCAUCAUUGCAACAAACACAAGAGAUAGUAGGAGAGGGAAGAUCAAGAGAUAGUAUUGAGAGUCAGGUUCUUGACACAAGUAGAGACACACUCAAUGGCACAAGGUACAUUUAAAUGUUCCUUGACUCAUGAUUUAUAGUUCAUGGUUAAAGAUCCUACUUUAAUAUAUUUCUAAUAUGUGGUAUCAGAGCAAGGUUGAAAUCAUGACUUAUAAAUCAUAUCAUGUCUUCUAUUACCUUAUGCAUUUCUAUUAUGGAUGAUAUGUACUACUAUGGUCCUUGAUAUCUUAGAAAUGUGUAAUGUUAAUCUAGAAAUAUGGAAAGCUUAAUAUGUCACAAGAUUUAAGAAUAUAAUAGAAGCAAGAAGUUUGUUUCUAGUGUAUCUCAUAUUAUGUUUUAUGAGAAAUUUUAUAUAGCUCGUAUGGUUUGAUAUGAGAAAUGUCCAUAUGCAUGUAGUUUGGACAAUUUAAUAUAACCUUAUAGACCAUGAGUGAAACGACCCUAUUAUUAUAAUGGUUAUAAGGUUAAUCCCUUUUUAUCCCAUCAUUAUAGCAAACAUAAGAGAGAGUAGCAGAGGAAAGAUCAAGAGCUAUAGCAAUUGAGGGUCAAGUUCUUGACACAAGUAGAGACACACUCAAUGGCACAAGAUCAAGAGCUAUAGCAAUUGAGGGUCAGGUUCUUGACACAAGUAAAAACAUACUUAUGAUCUUUGUUUGUUGCAAUGAUGGGAUAAUCAUUUUCAAACUUGUCAAGUGGAGAGAGGGACCAAGAGCCUAUUUAUAGAUGUAUAAGUGACCAUUCCCAUCGUUGAUCAUUAAUAAGGCUCAUUCAUUCUUCCUUCUGGAUAAGAUAAAUCUUAUCAUAAAUCACUUGUUUCAAGAAUGUAUAUACAUAGCCUUAAUAGUAUGUACAUUUAUUUAUGUGAGGUUCUAUGAAUGGUAGGGUAAGUUCAUUUAUCACUUCAGCUAGAUUCAUGACUUUGGUCAUUGAAUCUUGUGCUUCAUUACUCCAUUCUUCCUUUUGGAUAAGAUAAAUCUUAUCAUGAAUCACUUGUUUCAAGAAUGUAUAUACAUAGCCUUAAUAGUAUGUACAUUUAUUUAUGUGAGGUUCCAUAAAUAGUAGGAUAAGUUCAUUUAUCACUUCAGUUAGAUUCAUGACUUUGGUCAUUGAAUCUUGUGCUUCAUUACUCUAUUGAUAGAUCUAACAGUUUUAAUUCAUCGUAUCUUCCUUAUUCGAUUUUCUCAGCCACACCAUUCUGCUGAGACGUUCCUGGCAUUGUAUGUUGAGCGAUAAUUCCAUUUUCUUGAAGAAACCUAGCAAAUGGUCCAAGAUUCUGACCAUUUUCAUUAUAUCUUUUAUAAUAUUUACCACCUCUAUCAGAUCUCACAACUUUAAUUUUUCUAUCUAAUUGGUUUUCAACUUCUGCCUUGAAUACUUUAAACAUACUCAAAGCAUCAAAUUUUUCUUUAAUAAGAUAGAUAUAACCAUACCGUGAGAAAUCAUCAAUAAAAGUGAUGAAAUAUGUUUCUCCACUUAUACAAGGAGAAAAUGGUUCACAGAUAUCUGUAUGUAUCACUUCAAAUAGUUCUGAACUUCUCAUAGCACCUUUCUUGGUCCCCUUGGUUUGCUUUCCUUUAAUGCAAUCUAUACAGGUACCAAAAUUUGUAAAAUCAAGAGUUGGUAAAACUCUAUCCUUUACAAGCCACUCAAGCCUUUCUUUAGAGAUAUGGCCCAAGCGUUUAUACCACAACAUAUAUGAAGUUUCAUUAUCACGACUACGUUUGGUGCAGACAUUAGCAUUUAUAUGGAAGGAAAGAAAAGAUUCGGAAAAAGUAGGAUCAAAAUUUACUUUAUACAAUCCAUCAUAUAAAUUGUCAUUUCUAAUGAAACUAUCAGUAUUAGAAAAGAUAAAGAAAUUAUUCUCAAAAAGAAAAACAUAGCCUUCCAAAUCAAGACGAGAUAAGAAGAGUAAGUUUCUAGGAAAAGAGGGUAUAUAAAAAGUAUUGGGAAGAUCUAAUAAAUUUUCAGAACCAAGAAUAAGGCGAUAGGUUCCAACGGCUUUAACUUUUACUCCCAUUUUGUUUCCCAUCAGAAUUGUCCUUUAGAUUAUCAUUGGUUGGCGGGUUGUAAAGAAUCCCUGCAUAUUGUUGGAAACAUGAAUAGUUGCACCAGAGUCAAGCCACCACGUAUUAGAAGGAAUAUCGAUUAAAUUGGUUUCAAAAUACAUACAUGAAAGGAGGUUACCUUUCUUUUGAAACCAAGCCUUACGUUUGGUGCAAUCCUUCUUCUUAUGUCCAUUCUUUUUACAAAAAUAUCAUCUAAAGUCAAAUCGAUCAUGGUCAGAUACUCCUUCUUGAUCGGCGUUAUUUGGUGUCUGCCGACUCUUCUUUUUAUUCUUUCUUGAUCCUUUUCCAGAAUGACCUCGUGAUACCAAAUGGACCGUUUGCAAUCCUUCUCGCUUUAAUCUUUUCUCCUUUUGUACACACAUAGAGAUAAGUUCAUUCAUGGUCCAACUUAUCUUUUUGAGUGUUGUAAGUAAUCUUGAAUGGACCAAAUUGAGGAGGAAGAGAAUUGAGAAUAAAUUGCACCAAAAAGGACUCGGAAAUAGUCAUGUCCAUAGUCUUAAGUUGUUCAACCAAAUUGUUCAUUUCCAUAAUGUGUUCAUGUACACCACUUACCCCAUUAUACCUUUUAGUAGUCAAGGUUGCUAUAAGUGUUCCUGCCAAGGCUUUAUCAGUUGCUGAAAAUGGUUGCCCAACUGAAGCCAAAAACUCACGUGCCCUCGUUGAUUCUGGAAUUGACUUCCGUAUAUGUUUUGCAAUCUUGCUUUUGAUGAUCAUGAGACUUAAACGGUUAGAAUGCUCCCAAUUCUCAUAAAAAGCUUUUGAACUUUUAGGAGUAGGUUGGGUAGGUUCAUCAAUCCGGAGACACAGAUCCAAAUCUAGGCAUUCCAAGGAAAUAAGUACUUGUUCAUGUCAAUCAGAAUAGUUAGACCCUUUCAAUUCCGGAAUGUUAGAUAUUACUCCUGGAAGUGCUAUUGGAGUGAGCUGAAAUUUUGUAAAACAUGUCACGAGAUAUACCAUAAGUAGAGUAAUCAAUUGCAUCAUCUUAUUUUAUCUUUGGACAGAAUAGGAUAUACUAGCGAUUUACUCUAGUAAGUAAUCAAUUGCAUCACCCUGUCCUGUUAAUGGACUGGUUCAAGGUAUUAUGACCAAAGUCAUGUACUUAAUUAAUGAAGCACAAGAUUCAAUGACCAAAGUCAUGAAUCUAGUUGAAAUGAUAAAUGAACUUAUUCUACCAUUCAUGGAACCUUACAUAAAUAAAUGUACAUACUAUUAAGGCUAUAUAUAUAUAUUUUUGAAACAAGUGAUUCAUAAUAAGAUUUAUCUUAUCUAGAAAGAAGAAUGAAUGAGCCUUAUUAAUGGUCAAUGAUGGGAAGGGUCACUUAUGCAUCUAUAAAUAAGUUCUUAGUCCCUCUCUCCAUUGGGCAAGUUUGAAAACGAUUAUCCCAUCAUUGCAAUAAACAUAAGAGAGAGUAGGAGAGAGAAGAUCAAGAGCUAUAGCAAUUGAGGGUCAGAUUCUUGACACAAGUAGAGACACACUCAAUGGCACAAGAUACAUUGAAAUGGUUCCUUGGCUCAUGAUUUAUAGGUCAUGGUUAAAAAUCCUACGUUAAUGUUUUUCUAACAAUCCAUUGUUGAACUGUGCUCUCAACCUCCGAGAAGAUGCAAUGCCCGCGAACUGGAAUUUUUUGAUUUGUAUAGAAGUUCAAGAGUUCAUCAGCAUCUUUAUAGUUGAAGGUUCCUUGCUGCGGUUCUGUUGAAGACCACUUCAACUCGUUCUCAAAGACAGACCAAUUAAAAUGGUUAACAAAGAAGUCAACAAAUUCUUCAUUGUCAAUGUUUGUUUUGCUCAGACAUGAUCUCAAGGAAAAGCUUUUAUGAGUUUGUUUAACUUUGAUCGAGGUUCCAAGCAAACUAUCCGACUCUAAUCCUGAAAAUUUCAGGACAAUGUCACGCUUUCGUAUCUGCAGGGAAGCACAAACUUUAGUUUGUAAUCAUUUAAGAAUAUCUGAUUAUUAAUUUUCACGAAUUCUCAAAAAAGCUGAAGGAAAUGUAGUUUAGCGAACACAUUAGAAAGUAAGACUACAUAGAUAGCUUUGGCCACUAGAUGCUAGCUAUGCUAAGCAUGAAGCAGCUAAAAUAUCCAUGUCCAAUGGUAAAUGUAAAAGAAGACAAUGUUAGAGAAUGAAGCAUCUUUCGCUUGUCUGGGUGAGAAGGAAGGAGAAAGCCUCAUCUCAGAAAGCUUAUAAAACACAUUUCUAGAUAUGAACAUAUGAAAACUUGGCUGACUAGAUGAAUCGGAAGGUAGUUCAGGAUCAUUUUUUAACUUUCUACUUGCAAAAGCAAAAAAAGCCAAAGAAAAUCACCUUAUCUGUUUGUUUUCUCAAGGCUUUAAACCUUGCUUUCCUGUCAACUGGAAAGAUUUGUAGUCCAGCCACCAUCAAAUCAAUACCAGAAGAAGGACCCUAAAUACAAACCAUCACCUUAGUUGGUAGUUCUUCAAUCCUAAAAGAGCCACCAAUUUCAUGCCAUCCGUCGUUGCCAAUCUCAACUUGCCCCUUGUUAGCCAAGUCAUCGUCCACAAAAAGAGCAACAUUUACAUUCUGGGGGCUAUUAGCUCCAGGACCUAUUCUAACCCAGGCAGAUAAUUGAUAUGUCAAAUAAAAUUUCACUUUAUCAGUAAUCAUUUGAGCAGGACCCAUUGAUGUUUCAGUGCGGUUUGACACAAGAAUAUAACUACCACUUAAAGGCUCAUAAGGUCCAAGUGAGUCUCUAGCCAUUGGAGGAAGUAUACGUGGUGAUCCAGUUCCAACACUAAGGGUGCAGUUGCUCAAUGGAAACCACCCAUUAAUGCCAUCAUUAAGGCUGCUAUUACCAACUAUAUUGACUCCAUAAGCUGGAUUCUGAAAGACAUCAACCAUAUAAGCAUUUGAAAAAUGAAAAAAACAAGUGAUAUUGAUUGUAGAAUUAUGCCCAGUCUAAAAAAAUUAAUGAGAAAUGAAGUCAGAACAAUUAAUAAUAUAUAAAAAAACACAUUCAUUUCAUGGAACCUGGCUAUUUAAACUAACCUCAACUACUGGAGGUGGUAAAGAAGGAAGUUUUCCUGCAUGUUUGAUGACUAAGCCAUUAAGAAGGAUAUCAGUGCCUGGAGGAGGACCUUCCAGAAAUAUUAUUACUCUUGAUGGGAAACAAUUGAGAAGAAACUUUCCUUGCAUCUGCACCCUUUACACCGUAGAUUUUUAACUUUAGAAAAUCUUUCCAAUAUUUUUACACAUAUAAAACAUGUCAUGAUGAAUAGUAGAAAAUACAAGACAGUGAAAGAGUGCAAAUUUAUGUUACCUAGACCAGACAAUCAAGAAUUGGCACAGAUGAAGAUGAAUAAGCCUGAUUAGAGAUAAUGCACUUGCAAGUGUUAGGAAAUUAGCUUAAUUUUUUUUAGUCAAGAUUCCUAUUUGGUGUGGGAAGUAACUAGUUUUCUAAUUGGAUUAAGUUACUUGAAGUAGUAGUCAAGUAAAGCCGUAUUUAGCUAGAAUUAGAUACUAUUUUCUAUUCUAUAUGAGUUUAGGAAAUAGUAUUGGUUUUCAAUUGUUAUUUGAUUUUUUGACAGUAAUGUUCUUUAUAAAUAGGUGGGUUGGCAUACUAUACAAGACACACACAAGGAGACACAAGGGGCAUCAUGUAGUCUUAUACAUGGGGUAUGAGAGAGGGUUCUUGAAAGAUGAGAGAUUGUAUACAAGGGUUGGAUUUGGGCUCAAGUUGUAUUCUUGUAUAGGGUUUUCCUAUCAUAAUAAAUAACAAGUUUCUCUCCGUGAACGUAGGCUCAAUGGUGAAGUUGAACCACGUUAAAUAUUGUGUGUCGUUUAUCUUUCAUGUUUAUGGCUUAUUUGCUAUUAAAUUGUUAUGCAUUUGAUAUCUCGAUGUUGUUUAUUCUACGUUUGGAUCCUAACAAGUGGUAUCAGAGAUUGGUUGUGAGACUGAGCUGCUCAAAGUUCGUAGUUGAAUCCUAGUUAACUAUUAAAAUCAAGUGGAUUGGUAGCUGUUAUCAAUUGAACGAUUUAAUGAGUGGUAUCAUUGUUUCAAUAAUUUGGCAAAAAGCAUUGAUGGUGAAAGAUGGGAAGUCAAAAAGCACGAAAAUACUUGACGGUAAAUCUAGGCAGGUGAUUCAAGAGUCAAGAAAAAAUGUGGAGUCCAAUGUUGAUUUUGAACGUGAAUCGAUGGAAUCUUUCUCACACCUCCAACAGUUGAUCCUUCAUUCCGGUGAAUUUUAGAUUUUGGUUACGUUUUUUGGAUGGUGUGGCACAUGUCCCAAAGAAACAAGGAGAUCUAAUUUUUAUGCUCCAAAAGACUCUAACAAAUAUGAGUUUUUCGUUUUAAAUAGAGUCUUGGAAAUCACAUGUGGAGAGACAGUGCUGAGGAUGAGAAGAUGUAUGGUGACUUUACCACUUGAUUGCCUCAAUGGUUAGGGUUAGAACUCAGAGAAGGGGAUCCCAGAUUGCAAGUGGUGGUGAGAAGAAAUUCUGUAAAGAGAGAUGGUCAAUUGAUGCACCUUCUCACGAGUCAACUGGAGGUUGGAUUCAGAGUAACUACACAUAUUCAUUUGCCGAUUGAAUUAAUUUGGUGUCAGGACUGUAUUGAUUCGAGUGUGUAGUUAGGCACCAAGAUAUUUGAUAGGAAAAGACAAAUGGAGUUUUUGGAUGGUUUGCUGUGUUUGCUAAAAGGAAUAUUCGCUAAGGUGGAGAUUUGUUAGGAAAUUGGCUUAAUUUCUUUUAGUCAAGAUUCCUAUUUGGUGUGGAAAGUAACUAGUUUCCUAAUUAGAUUUAGUUACUUGAAGUAGUAGUCCAGUAAAAUCCUAUUUAGCUAGAAUUAGAUACUAUUUUCUACUCUAUAUGAGUUUAGAAAAUAGUAUUGGUUUCCAAUUAUUAUUUGAUUUUUUGACAGUAAUGUUCUCUAUAAAUAGGUGUGUUGGCAUACUAUACAAGACACACACAAGGAGAUACAAGGGGCAUCAUGUAGCUUUAUACAUGAGAUGUGAGAGAGAGUUCUUGAGAGAUGAGAGAUGGUAUACAAGGGUUUGGUUUGGGUUCAAGUUGUAUUCUUGUAUAGGAUUUUCCUCUCAUAAUAAAGAACAUGUUUCUUUCCAUGGACGUAGGCUCAAUGGUGGAGUCGAACCAUGUUAAAUAUUGUGUGUCGUUUAUCUUUCAUACUUGUGGCUUAUUUGCUAUUAAAUUGUUGUGCAUUUGAUAUAUCAAUGUUGUUUCCAUGUUUGGAUCUUAACAACAAGUCACUUUGUUGCAUCUAUAUGAGAAGACAUGGAUGAAAACUCAAAGCACAUGCCAAGUAAUUGAAGACGAUUAUAUAUCACUUUCUUCAUGCAAAGGAACGGGUGUUUUGUUUUUGUGUUAAUGUUCAUGAGCAUGCCAAAGAAUUGCCAACAAAAUUUUUUUAUUUUAACCAGUCAACUCCUUAACUAUUUUCAUGUGAAUAAACCCACGAAACAGGUCUAAUUCACAUGAAGGAGAUUGUCAAUUGGGUGAAUAUGGUGUAUAACCUGUAUUAAAGAGAAACAAAAAAAAUGAAGCUAAUUAAGGAUCUUCCUCCAAAUGAUUGAGCCUUAACAAAGGAAGACUUUUUCCUCCAAGUAAUUAAGCACGUCUUGACUCUUGGAUGAGACCAUUAGCUUUUCAAAUUCAUAUUUAUAACGAUUGCAACUCGUGCUAUACAUUAUACAGACCUCUUGUAUGCUGCAUUUCAAACUACAAGAAAAAGUAUCAGACAUGGCAGGCGAUAACUUACCUCGCAAGCCCAAUGUAAUGCUCCCCCUGAUCAUCUGCAGCCUGAAUUAACAAUGUUGCACGAACCUCUGCAUCCGCCCCAUUGUUACCAAAUACAGAAACUACAGCAACAACCUGAUAAGCAAGCUUUCGCUGUACUUUGCCUGUAAUGUCCUGCUGAAUGCCGUUCCAGCUACCAGUGCGAUUCGUAGCAGAUGCAAAGAACUUGCCAGACGAAGGAACAAUUUUGCCAUCCGCCAUGGCUUCAUGCAAAACAAUCUGGCAGCCUCUUCCAGACCAAUUGUUAAGGCCAUCGUCAAAGUUGGGAUUGGAUAUGAUAUUCUCGUCUUCAGAGAAAGCAGGAUUUUUGCUCUAGCUCUGUCAAGUAAUAAGUCCUUGUCAUUAAUAUCGGCUGAUUUUCUAUCCACUGUACUAGUAAGUUGUCUUGUUUUUUUGACAAGUUGAAUAGGUACUUAUUAACAUAUCUAGUCUAUUGGGGAAUGCCCUUGUUUUCAAUUGGGUUUCAAUUGCUGACGUGGCUCGCUUUCAUUGGUUGAUUGGUGGUCGUCCGGCCCGUGGAAAUUCUCAAUUGAUGGUCGUCCAGCCCGUUUGCCAAUUGGACGUCUGUCUUUUUGUUUGCUUGGACUGGUAAACCGACGGCAGCUUCUCUUCUUUCUUCUUUCUCUGUCUUUCAAAACAUAGCAGCAUCAAUCGAUGUCAAGAGUUUUUCUUUGCUUUUGUCCUCUGGACAAAACUCCAUUUUUUUUAUGAGACCCAGAGGUCUCCCCUCAAUUUCUGGCAUUUGAUUGUACUUGGAAGAGAUUGUAAUCUCAAUUGGAGGGUCCGGAUUUUUCCUUCUGCAGAGUGGUUGCUUAGGAUUUGAUGGACGAUGGGCUCGAGACAGAAAAGGGCUGGUAAUCUUCUUCCCCUUCCACUCCCGGUUUCUCCCAGUUCUCCCUCUUGUUCUUCUUCAUCUUCCUCCCUCCCUCGAGUAGUUAGGGCUAAUUUUUUCUGUUUUCCUAUCAUUUUCCUGAUAUUUCUAUUUCAUUGGCUAAAAGCAGCAAAUCUUUUUUUUUUCUCAUCUCUGUCGUGUCCUUUUGUGAAACAGUAAGGACAGGGAAGGUCAAUAUUUCAUCUCCACUAUCUGAUGUCAAUUUCUAGAAUGCAGAUAUAUGGUACUUUUCUUCCCCUUUCUUUCCAUGAUUAAUGUCCCUGUUUCAUUUCUGUUUUAUCAUUGAUUUUUAAUUUUUAAUCAGAAAAAAAACUUUUAAUAUGGUCUGAGAUGAUGAAUAAUUGAUGAUUAGCUAGCUUUUAGAUAUUUAUUAACUUUCUUUUUUGUAUCUAUUUGGUGAUUUAUUGUUCCAUUUUUCGUUUUUGUCUUGGAUUUCUUCUGGAGUUCGGAGGAAAAAUGGCCACUUGUGAAAAACAAUUGGUGAGUGAAAAUGUAAGUUUGCUGCAUCAAUCUGAUUUAAUUUUUCCCUCUUCCACGCCUGGUUUAGGAUUUGAUGGAUGAUUUUUUUUCCUUUUUUUUUUGUUCUUUUGGUGCUACUUUUCCAAGUAUAUUAGUGGUUGUUGUUACAGGAAGGAAUAUGAAAACUUGAAGUUGACAUCUCUAAGAAGUAGUUAAAGCUGGUAAUAUUUAUUUGUGUUCUACUAUUUAUACUAUAAACCAUAGUUUUUUUUCUAUAAAUGGUUUCUCUCACCUAAUUUAGCCUAUUUUUGUUUAUUGAGGUUGUUGUCAGAGAAAGGAUAAAGGUAAAAGUGAUUGGAAGAAUGAGCAAAUUUCUUCCAGUGUUUUGUGUUUUGGAUUUUAUUGUGUUUGUCAAAGUAAAUUAGAUACAAGUAUCUUUUUCUUCUGUAUCUUCUUUUUUUUCCCUUGGCUGGGAAACAUAAUGAAUCUGUUAUAUAAACUACUUGGUAUUCUUCGUAAUGUCAAGAUUUGGGAAGCUGUAUGAUGAAAUCUUUAUUUCAUAGUCGAUUUUUCUGGUUUUGUGGUUUUAACGUGCAAAAUGAAAUCAUUAAUAUGACUAACUUCCUUGAAGAUGUUUUGAUCAGUUCAUGAUUCAUGAGAUACAUAGUUAUACGAAUUACAUAAAUGGAGUUUCAAAAGCAAAAUCCAUUUAAUCUACUAUGAAGAUACCAUCUUUCCUCUUUUAAAUUACUAAAAAAACUUGGCUCGAUCUUUGACUGGAAAAAUUAUGUUCAGAAAAUAGUAUUCCUGUGCGUCAUACAAUUGACAUUUGAUGUUGGACCCAAUAUUGCAUUUUUUUUUUUAAAAAAAAGAAAAAUUAGAAAAUAAUGCAUAGGAACUUCUCUAGAAUUUGCUUCCACGUAUAUGUACAAUGUUUUGUUCCCUUUGGGGAAAUUUCAUCAGUGACAUUAUUUUUAUUGAUUAAUUUCUGUUGGUAAAACUAGCUUUUAUACUCUCUCAAUAGAUUUCUUCUCUUGUUUCUGUUAUCGCCAUUUUUUUUUUGUGGAUUCUUCUUUCUUCUAAGCAACUUUAAAGGUUCUUUUCUUUAUAUGAAUAUGUUAUUAUUGGGGUACAUCUAAUCCUAAUCCUACUUCUGUAGCAGGAAAUGACCAUACAUUGGGUUUUGUUACUGGUGCAAAUGCAACUUAGCACCAAAGAGUGUGAGAGUCUGGGAUUAACUGAUCUGGCUCUCUGCUUAGACUGCAACACCUUUGCUGAGUAUGUCAAGGACCAAGGUUGUACCUUUAUUAUAUGAAUUUUGUUGAUCCUCAGAUAUUUAUGGUUUUUGGUGGAUUUUACUUCUGGGGUUUUGAUGGGUUUUUUGAAUUGAUUACUUGCUGGUAAGUACAUGGGUUGUAAAAUGGUAAUAUUUGGGAUUCUUGUUUCUGUACUAUAGCUGAUUGGUUGUCAAAAUUAACGAAUAGUGGGAGAGUGAUGCAAUUCUUAUAGCUUUUAGUUGAUUUAAGGUCUGGGUUUUUUUUUUGUUUGGAUUUAUAAAUUGCUUAUUUAUAUGUGAGAUGUCAAUGGUGAUAAUUUGGAAGGAGAACUUGAAAAAGGUUAUGUUUUUAUACAAAUCAGAUCGAGAGACUAUGCUUAUAACAGUAAAUAAGUGUAUUUUGAUUUUUGUUGUUUUCGCUAUAAUCUUUUGUGAUUAAGUUUUGUCAAAAUAUGGAUGGGUAAAUAGUAUUUUGGAAGAUUUCUCUUUUUUCUUUUUGUGCCUCAGAUAGCUUAAGGAUAAUCGCAGAAAUCGAAAUAAGAUCCUCAUUGGGAUUCUUAAAUUAUCUCAUGCAAUUAGUGGCGUUAAAUUGUAAUCUGUAGAAUUCCAAGUAACUAGCCUGGAUUAUGGUAAUGGUUCAGUUUUGUUGCUCUUGAGGAUGUUUUGCACCUGAGCUGACGAUGAUCAAGACAUGCAAGAUCAAUAGCUCUACGAUCAUGAUUUCCUAAGUUACGACUUGUAGUUCAUUAUAUUUGAUGAUUAGGACCAUACGCAUUAAAUUGGAAUAUUCUAUUGGCAUCCUUUAUUGUACCAAAUGAAGUACUAUCAAGACAAAUUCUGAAUGGAAAUAUGCCAUUUUUUGGAACCUAUACCAGAGAACCCUUAUUCUUCAACCCUUUUACAUCCAUUCUGGUGAAUUUGAGAAAUUUAAAUAGCUGAAACUUGUGUAACAGAAUUCAUCAAUUAUAUAAUGACUUAGAUUUGUUAAAGAAUUUUGGAUUGUAAGAUUACAAUAAACUUUUUGAACAUUCUGCAAUAAUUUACUUAAGAGGAAGAAAAUUGCUCAUGUCGUCAAGAAAUCCUGGAUGUUGGACAAGAUCUGCAUUUAACAUAUCCAGUUUAGAUGGCAACUUAUAUAGAUUUCUGUAUAAUAUUGGAAUGAUCUUUUUGAGCAUUCUGCAAAUAAUAUUCUCAAGUAGAAUAUGAUAAUCUGGAAAACCCGAUGUUUGAAAAGACUCCGGAUGCAGUUUAGAUUUGUCAGUGCCUCUCAGAAAUCUGCCCCUUGGCUUUACCUUAGGCUUAGAGAUGGCUUGCUGGAUUGGUCUUUUUUAUCUAUUGAUUUUCAUUGUGAAUUUUUGUGUCCAAAGCUUGGUUUUGACUUUCUUGGUUUUGCAUCUGCAUCACCGCAUGAAGCUGCAGUCGGGGAAAACUUCAUUGACAGAGUUUUCAUUAUGGGUCUAUAGAGACUGCAUUUUGGAGAUCUCUUUUGUAUGUGUAUAGGAUUAUAUGUUAUUUUAAAGUUUCUUUUAUGCAAAAAAAAAAAGAAAAAGAAAAAGAAAAAAGGAUGUUAAAUUUGUUGUAUGUUGUUGACGUAAAACAUAUCUUGCAUCUGAAAUAUUUUCAUUGUGUAAUUAUUUGAUUUGGUUUUUCAAAACUUAUUCAUUGUCGUAAUAAGAUUUUAGACACGAGAUAAUCGCUUGUUUCUCUUAUCAGUUAUAUAUAGAUCUUUAGUCUAUAUUGUGUUGAAUCUUGUAUCUCUUGCUAUUAUGUAGUCAUCUUUAUCGUGUUGAAUCCUAUUUCUCUUGCUAUUAUGUGGUCGUUUCUAUAUUUUACAAUUAAAUAGGCUUCUUAUCCGACAUAUUUGAGUAUUGCUCUCAAAACGUUGAGCUUCCUCUUGAAUUUGUUCAUGAAUGACACAUUUUUUAUGCACAUCAAAUCAUGGCAAAUACAGUUAGUCGAUGCAAGAUGACAUUACAUGGUAUAUAUUACUUUGAAAUUUAUGACAUUGCCAAUCCUAUUCAAUUAGUAGGUAAAGCAAAAAAUGACUUUUCGUAACUUAGUCACUAAGUUAAAAUUGUGGCUUAUUUUCGCUGCUUAAUAAAUUUACAAAAACCUAAUCCUAAAGAUUUUGGUGCACCUUUAUAUAACUUUUCAUGCUUAUUAUCUAAAUUUGAAUAAUUGGAUAUUUCUGGGCAAGUCUAAAAGUUACACCGCGCAUCGCGCGGUGUUAUCCUCCUAGUUACUGUAAAGCCCGAGUAACAUAUUGAUAUCUCCUGAUUGUACACUAGAAUGGUGACAAUUGCUCCAAAUUAGAGCAUAUAGUAGUUACUGUCUAUGGUGGUUAAACUAUUUAAAAUUCCUCAUUUUGGUAACUGUGGAGGCCAAUUGUGUAUUUGUCCGCCUCGGCACCGUCUUAGGCUAGGGCCGUGGUAGUGCUUGGAGGGGGGCCUCCCCAAGAUACGAUCCCUGAUCCUUUGGAUAAAGGGUCUUGGGGAUGCUUCCUGGUACCACUUGAGCUACCUAGCCUAAGACGAUGCCGAGACGGACAAAUACACAAUUGGCCUCCACAAAAAGGCCGGUAGCUCAAGUGGUAUCAGGAAGCAUCCCCAAGACCCUUUAUCCAAAGGACCAGGGAUCGAAUCCUGAGGAGGCCCCCCCUCCAAGCACUACCACGGCCCUAGCUUAGGACGGUGCCGAGGCGGACAAAUAUACAAUUGGCCUCCACAGUAACUAAACUUUUUCGUUAAUCAAAAUGGUCACCGUCAUUCUUCAGCUAAAAAACGUAAUUUUUUUUUCACUCAACUAAUAAAACUGUACAUUGUUUGGUUGAACGGCUAAUCGAUAUAUGCUUUUAAUUAGCCGAAUUACUAUUUCCUCAGUGACCGAGAUAUAAAAUUUUAAAUACUUUAGUGACCAUGUGUACCAUUUGCUUUUCAAAUUAAAUGUAGCAUUUCUCCAGCUGUUGGACUAUUUCAAUGAACUUUGCUAGAGUAUGGAUUGUAAGCCUGAAUGCUAAAACAAUGUAAGCAAACCAUCUGAUAAUCAACCACAUUGUUUCUUUGUUCAGUAUAAGAUGAAAAUCAGGCCAAUAGAAAAUCCCAGCCGGAGGAAAACUCUCAAGGAAAAUCUCCGAUGUCUGCUCAGGUUGAUCAAAGCCAUCACGGUGGACAUUGCUCGUUGAUGGGUUCUCCAUAUGCCCUCCUGAAAAUUUGGAUAAUAAGAUAAACAAGCAGCCUUAAUACUACAGACUCUGAAGACUAACACAUACCUGCAAAUCAAUGACUCUGCUGUGAAAAGUGCUCGAAGAAUCUAAGACUCGGCGUAAGAAGCAACAUGCAGGAUGGCGAUUCAUUUAUAGCUAGCCGUGAUGAAGAUUGUUGGAGGGUUUGGAAGUUUUGCAAGUUAACUAGACGCCAAGCGCGGGAUGUCACAUGCAACUCUUUGCUGCUUUCGACAUUUUGUCUCGGAAAUCCAAGAACCGUGCAUGACAGCGGUAGGUUUAUUUAUACAAAUAUGUUGUCCAUUGAUUCUACAAUGCCCUUGGAUGAAGAUCUUGCAUGCAACUCUUUGCUGUUUUUAUCUUGGUAAUCCAAAGACGGAGCAUCACAGCAUAUAUUUUUAGUACAAAUAUCUUUUGUCCAAGAUCUUGCGAGGACAAAACACAAGAAAGUUGAGACCCAAUAGAUAAGUCCAAACUCAUAUUUCACUUCAAAAUUUUAAGUUAUAAGAGGUCUUGAAUCUUUACCUAUGUAUUAAGUACUCGUUUUUCCUUUCCCAAACUAAUGCGGGACAAGUAUCUUACUCACAAACCUAGCAUUUUUGUUUCUUUGGUUCUCCUGACUUGCAAAUUUGCAAAUUUAGUUUCCAAAAUUGGUUUUUUUUUUCCCUUCAUCUCUUCCACUUGGGCUUAAAUUGGAUUGAAAAAUUCAUUAACUUUUGGGAUCCUUUGAUAGCAUUACUUUGGCUUGGUUUUGGAUGUAGCAGAUGAUUUCUGAAUAGUUAGCUUAGUGCAGUGCUACGGUGCCGUAAAGAAGCCUACGAUAGUUUGCCAUUGUUUGAAGUUAAAUCAACCAAUGAGCAGAUUUCAAGGAGUCGAAUCAGCCUUGAGAAGAUAAAUUCUUUCAUAAUCUAUAUAUUAUUAAGAAAAUGUUUAGUAUUAAUUAAAAAAAAAAAAGAAUAUGUGUAGUAUUUUUCUUCUUUGUGACGGCUGUUAUUGGCUUGAGCCUGAUGUGGCAAAUUUAGGAUUGGGAUUCCAAGGUUUCUAGACGUGGUCAUGGCCUUCAAUAUGGUAAAAAGUAAACCAAGGAAGGAGACUAGAGAAAAUCUAAGGGGUUUGGAUUAUGAAUUUUCGCCAAAAAAUUUUGGGAACAUUCCUAUCACACAUUCUUAAUUAUUUUUUCAUCUUACGUACAUCGUAUCAUCAUUGUAUUUUUUAUAUAAACUUCAAAAACUUAUAAUCCAAACGGAAAAUUUUAGUUGUACCAAUUUAGAUACAACUAAAAUAAUUGCAAAAGUACAUUAGGCUACAAAGCAGUUUUUGCACUUUUGCAUAGGAUUUUGUAUGCUUACUUCUUGUACAUUUUACAUGUUUUUUGAACUUAAUAGAUAACUCCAUAAUCUAUGCUAAUGCCACGAAAAUUAACUAUUAUUAUUUGAGAGUUUCUUAAUGAUUUUACCCAAUUUCUUUAUAAUUAACUCAAGAUGGUCCGUUGCCGAGAAAUUUAGCUCCGUUUGGAUUGAUCUUUUUUUAAAAACUCCAAUUUUAUAUACAAUACUACAGUAAUACACAAAUAAAAAUAAUAUCAAAAACAACAUUAAAAAUAUCAAAAAUAACCUCAAAAACACAAAAAAUAACCUAAAAAAAUAAAAAUAAAAAAUAAUUUCAUCUACAAUAAAAGUUUUUCACCUAUAUGAAUAUAAUAAAAUAUUUCAAAAAUACCCCAAAAAUAACUAAUUCAAACCGUAUAAUUUGUCAUGAGAAGUAAUUGAUCUUUAACCAGUAAAAGUGCUCCAAAUAACAUUAUUGAAAAGUUCGUAAAUUCUCCAUAAAAUACAAUCUAAAUAAGAUAAUUGGCCAGCCCUUGUUUGGCCAAUUGACAGCGUGAGAUUCGUCAAAAACAAACCUACACUUGCCAAGAUGUUGGUUUAAAUUUGCCUUGUGGGACUCGAAAAGUAGUUUAAUUCAAAUUUUCUUCAGGAUACUGAGUCAUUUAAGAUCCUUCCUUCAAUUCGCUGGCACCUGUCUGGAAUGUGGAUUCUAACCAUCUCUCCGUUUCUUUCCAUGUAUUCUUUCAAUCGCAGCUGGAAUAUUGUGGCUCAGUCGAAACAUAUGAUUCUCGACGAAUAAUACACUAGUAUUCAGGAUUGACAACAAGAAUAUCUCCACCAUUUUCCUUAGCACCAACUUGUUUUAUAUGCGCUUGAGGACUAGAUGGAUGUCAGCAUUGUUGUUGUGUGAUUUGGAGCUGGUCUUUGGUUGCAAGUUUGAUGGUACUCGUGAUUUUGUGAAUAUGCCAUGCCGAUGAAGUGUUUGCGCAUUUGUCUGAACAACUAGUCUGCGUUUAGAUGCAUCCUUUUCAUGUUAGCUUCAUAAAACCUUGUUAUUAGCGAAGAAGAAAUUUAGCUGAAAUUGGAAAAAAGAAAACAUCGUGGUCAUGGCUUUCUGGUACUUACGGUUACUAGAAAGCUCGACAUAUUCAGGAAUCAGAAAAUUUUAUUUCAUUAUUCUUUCUUGGAUUAAGUUUUUGUAGUAGAUUCUCCCAAUUCUGAUACUGAAAUGAUGGACAGGGUGUUCGUAUUGAAUUUUAUUUGUUAAUUACAUUUUCUUAACAAAAUAUCACUUUCUUUUUGUGCUUAGCAUUUUUCAGCUUAGACCCCUCUGGCUUCUGCAAUGUCAUAAUUCUCGUGUAUUUGCGUGAUGGUGAGUUUUUGAUUAAAUUGCACCUUUAUUCUUUUUCAGGUUUGCAUUCUGUGGUUGCCAUCCCUCGUUUCAUGGUUAUAAUAUUGCUGCUGAAUAGCUGCCAGAAUUGGAAUUAGAAUGCUAUGUGGAUUGCUGAAUCAUCUCAUUCUUGGAAAGGAUUAUGGUCUGAUUUCUAAUCAAUUUGAGUAGAUGAACUAUGCUACAUGGAGAAAUGAUAUCUUUGCGGAAACUGGCCUACCAUACUCCAAGACUAUCUUCUGCAUUACUUCAAUCACUUGCUACUGGUGGUUUGAGGACUUAUGAGAAAUUUUCAGUAGCAGAAUGGAGUUGCAGGCCUUCCACCCUGAUCAGGGAAUUAAAAUCAACCAACUUAAUAGAGAAAAGCAAUUGUUUGGAUUUCCGGACAGGCUUUACUCGUUCUUCACUACCUUUUUCUACUGUUGCAGGAACAAUUCUUGUCCAGGCUCGAGACCCAGGCAAACUGUGCCAGGAGUUAGAAGUUGCAAUCGAGGAACUCAGACUAAGUGAUGCUUGGAAUUUAUACAAGCAAUACAUGCAUAUGGAGGGAUUUCCUAGGAAAUCAAUUGUCAAUGUGCUUGUAGCUUCGUUGGUAGAAAGUUUAGAUGUUCAAUGGCUGGAGAAGGCUUAUGCAUUGUUUGAACAAGCCUCAGAAGAGCACAAGCAGAACCUUUUUGAAAAGGAGACUCUAAUUUAUCUCUCUUUGGGACUUGCUAGAUGUGGACUGCCUGUUCCUUCAUCAACUAUUCUGAGAAAGCUUAUUGAGAUGGAGCAAUUUCCACCCAUUAAUGCUUGGGCUACAAUCCUGGCAUAUAUGUCACAGACCUCUCCUGGAGCAUACAUUGCAGCUGAGUUGGUUCUUGAGAUUGGUUAUUUAUUCCAGGAUGGAAGGGUGGACCCACGUAAAAAGGUCAAUGCACCAUUGAUAGCCAUGAAACCCAAUACAACUGCAUUUAGCAUUGCUUUGGCGGGUUGUCUUCUAUUCAAUUCUGCUAGGAAAGCCGAGCAACUACUUGACAUGGUGCCUCGGAUCGGUUUAAAAGUGGAUGCUACCUUGUUGAUCAUUUUGGCUCAUGUGUAUGAAAAUAACGGACGAACAGAAGAGCUGAAGAAGCUUCAGAGGCAAAUUGACGAAUCUUAUGGUGUAAGUGACUUACAGUUUCUCCAGUUUCAUAAUUGCUUACUCUCAAGUCAUCUAAAAGUCGGGGAUCUAGAUUCUGCAUCUCAAAUGGUGCUGGAAAUGCUUCAGAGGGCAAAGAAAGCGCAAAGUUCUUUUGGGGCAACCACUUCAGCAUUCAAAAUGGUAGCAAAUGGUAAUAGAUCAUCCUCUGGACAUGUUUCUAAAGAGGAUUUAGACUGCAGAGAACCAGAUGGAGUGGAAUAUCCUACACUACGCCCUCUUUUGUCUUUUGAAAAUUUCUCUAGAGACAGGAAGUUUUUGAAACUUGAGGCAGAGGCCAAAGAAUUACUUGAUGUUUUGGUUUUCAAGGUACAGAGACAAGUAGAAUUAAUAUCUACUGAACAUGGUAUUCUCCAGCCAACAGAGAGAUUGUAUGUGAAAUUGGUUAAGGCUUUCUUGGAAUCACAGAGGACAAAAGAUUUGGCAGAGUUUCUAAUCAAAGCCGAGAAAGAAGGUUCUCCAGUUUCUGCAGAUAAGUCUACCUUAAUACAUGUCAUAAAAUCAUGCAUAUCCCUUGGAUGGUUAGACCAGGCUCAUGAUCUGCUUGAUGAAAUGCGCUUGGCAGGUAUUAGAACUGGUUCUUCUGUAUAUGCCGACCUCCUAAAAGCAUAUUGUAAAGAAAAUCGAGCAGGAGAGGUAACAUCAUUGCUUAGGGAUGCCCGUAAAGCUGGAAUACAGCUAGAUGCAAGCUGCUAUGAAGCAUUGAUCGAGUCACAGGUGCUCCAAAAGGAUACUCAAGGGGCCUUUUUUCUGUUCAAAGAGAUGAAAGAGGCUAAAAUACGCAGAGGUGGUCAUCAAGAUUUUGAGAUGCUGGUUAAAGGAUGUAGUGAGAGUGGUGAAACUGAUCUAAUGUCAAAACUCUUGCAGGAAAUUAAGGAAGGGCAUAAAAUUGAUUGUGGAGUUCAUGCCUGGAAUAAUGUUAUUCACUUUUUCUGCAAGAAGAGGCUGAUGCAGGAUGCUGAAAAUGCAUAUAAGAAAAUGAAAAGCUUGGGUCACUCCCCGAAUGCACAAACUUUCCACUCUCUUGUAAUGGGCUAUGCUGCUAUUGGGACAAAAUAUACAGAGGUUACAGAAUUAUGGGGUCAGAUGAAGGCUCUUGCCUUUUCCAGCAAGAUGAAGUUUGAUCAGGAACUAUUGGAUGCUGUGCUUUAUACAUUUGUGAGGGGUGGGUUCUUCGUUCGAGCCAAUGAAGUUGUUGACAUGCUUGAGAGGGGAAACUUGUUCAUUGACAAAUAUAGAUACCGAACCCUGUUCCUGAAGUACCAUAAAACACUAUACAAGGGCAAGGCUCCAAAGUUUCAGACAGAAUCCCAAAUGAAAAGAAGAGAAGCAGCUUUGAAUUUCAAAAAGUGGGUUGGUCUAAGUUGAAGAAGACAUCAAUGUGGUGAUAUUCAAGGAAUUAACUAUUUCAUCAAGGCUUUCCUGCUUUGAUGAAUUUGUUUUAGCUGGCCAUUGAAAAGAAAACCGUUAAUAAAGCCCCCACAAUUUGAAAAGAAGAUUUGCAGAUACCAAGUUCCCAACUGCCGAUUGUGGUCUUUGAACUCCACUUAUUUGGAGGAGUGGAGUUGGUUGAAACCACUCCCCAUUAGUCUUGUCAUGUAAUCUAAGUACUCAUCUUGGUGCCUGCGCAGAGUCCGCUCCGCAAUUGUAUUACCUAGUUGUGAGUUCAGUUAUUUUAGUUCUCCAAAUUCUUCAUUCAAAAAUUUGACUUGACAGUAGUGAAUGAUCUACUAAUUUGUCAAUGGUUUCCAUUUCAUAUUACAUGUAAAUUUGUACAUAUGUAGAACUCGGUUCAUGAUAGGACCGCUUGUUGAACUUCUCAUUGACAAUAACAGCAUCUGAUUUUAUAUCAACAUGGGUAACUAAAGGACUGCCCUGAUCUGCUGAUAAACCAUUUUACUGCCAUCUAUUUUAUAUACAUCUGAGAAUUUAUGUGUGCAGUACAAUUUCCUUCUGAACUUGGUGCAGAAUAAUCCAGAACACUAGAAGCAUGAAUAAUUUUCAUAUUUCUCAGCUGUACCUGCAGCAGUGCCUUCAUGAAAUUGUUAUUUGCUAGACUCUUGCUCCUUUCCUUUUCCUUAUUCUGAUGACACGUAUAAUCAUGUUACUCAAGGGACUCCUUUUUGCCGCAAAUUUUCAAAAGAAGAUAGCAAGGUGUUGUGCGUCAAAUUUGAGGUGCUACCUAAGGCUUACUCCUUUACGGAGAUUUUUUUUUAAAAAAAAAGCGAAGGGGAAUAUAUCCUGGUUUUCCUUGAAAAAACUUCUUUUCUGGGUGAAGAAUAUGUAAAAGGCGUUUUGGGAAGCGGCCAUUUGAAUUUUAAUCUGAUUGCUUCAAAAAAGCCGUCGAUUUGAGAAUGUAUUCGUUGUUCUUCAUUUUUGCAUGUUCUAUAGUCACCUGAAGCCCCGGGAACUAGACUGCGACAAGUCGUCGCUAAUAGUCAAUAACGAGUUAACACGAGUCGGCAUUAACGACCUGGUCUAGUCAGCCUAGGAAGGGAAGGAACGAUUUCUGCACACGUUGACCCAUGGAAGACGUUUAAAUGGAUUGUGAAUGAGCGGACAAAGAUAAGAUAUACUACUACUACUUAAAAGCACUCCUUGAGCGAAGAUUAAUAAAGAUUGCGAGCAAGUCACAAAGAAAGAUUUAAAGCUCUUACUGGAUUAGAUGUGAGGCAAGAAAUCAAAUCUCUUAAUUUGUAUUUUUUUCAGACUCUUUUGAAAGUAUUCCGCUUGUUCCAGUUGCGAUUUAAUUCUUUCUAAACCUUUCAUUGACUCUUUUAGAUCCACCUUUUUCACUUAAUGUAUAAUAAAAAUUAGGGUAAAAAAUAAAAAAGCCACCUGUGAUAAACCUAAUACGCAAAAAAGGCCCUCAUGGUUUCAAAAUAUACAACACGACCUCUCAUGUUUUGAACUAAAUUGUAAAGGUGACGGAAUCCGUUAAACUUAACGGAAAUGAACAAAAUGACCAAAAUGCCCUGAUAUAAUAAAGCAAAAGACAACUCAAAAAAAUUAUUUGUUUUAUUCUCUAAAUAGAGAGAAUUGAGGGUUAAGGGGUAGAAUAGGUAUAUUGGAUAAAAAUUAGGUAUAAAAAAUUUUUUUUAGGUUCCAAUAAAUCAUUUCCGUUAAAUUUAACGGAUUCCGUCACAUUUACAAUUUAGUUCAAAGUAUGAGGUGCCGUGUUAUAUAUUUUGGAACCAUAAGAGGCUUUUCUGUGUAUUAGCCUUACCACAGGGAGCUUUUUUGUUUUUUACCCUAAAAAUUAUUGUAUCGAAAAAAAAGAACAAAGAUAGCAAAUAGGUAAAAAUCUGUUAUUGCCAAUUUUAUAAACUUGGUCUUGUCUCCUGUUAUUGACUCAUUAAUUGUUUGCAAAUUGCAAAUGUUAUUUGAAAAGCAUUCCGCUGCCUGGUUUAUGUUGGCUUAGUUAACAUAUUGGAUAGCUCUAUUUUGUCAAAUAAUAUUUGGCCUGCAUCAUAAACAUAUUUUUCAACCUAUCUUUUUAUAUUCUCAAAAAAAUUUUUAUCUCAUGUACAUCACAUUAUAAAAAAUCAAAUAAUACUCUCUAUCCAAACAAACCCAUUCUUUUUUGUUCCCUCUUUUUUUUUUUUUUUGAGCUGCAUAGUUGACGUUCUUAAAAAGUAUAUACAUAAAUAAUAAAAUAGUUAGUUGAAAGACAAGUGUUCAGUGUUCUUAUUGUAAUUGAGCAUCUCAUUUAGAAGGUGCAUCAUUCUUCUAGUUUUGGAAGAUAAGGUCCUAGGCUCCGUUUGAUAACACUGAAUCUGAAUUCUGAAUACCGAAAUAAUUAAUUUACUGAAUUUUAAGAAUUGAAAAGAGAUAUAUGAAUGUCUGAAUCUUAAUGCUGAAUCUAUUUAUACUGUUUGAUAAAUAUUUACAACUUAAUGCUUAAGAAGCUAAAUUGUACAAUUUUGCCCUUCUAUCUUUUAAUUCAAAAAGGAAAUAGAACCUAUGAUUUAAUUAACUUAAAAUUGUUAGAUAUGAAAAUGACAAUGAUUGUGAAGAGCAAUGCAUACAAUGACAAUGUUUCUUUGUGUGAGAAAAGGGUAUGGUUUCAUCGUUUUGAGAAUGGGAAAACGAGCUUUUAAUACUCCAAAAACACGUUCAAUUACAUAUAUCAAUCUUGCAUGUGCUUGGUUAAAGCGUUCUUGUUUUGAUCUUGGACGAAAAGCAUUUCGAAAAUCAGACAAUCAAUAUUUAAUAUUUCGAUAUGGUGUCAUAAAGCCACGUGUGUGUGAAUAAGUUGCAUUACAUAAAUAAUAUUUAUCUGCACAAAAAAUAUUUAUAUCAAAAUAUAAAUGUUUGUGGAUGAAAAUUACUGCAAAAAAAUACUAUUGUUAAAAAAAAUUUUGAAUGGAGAAUAUCAAGUUGUUUUGUUUAAUUAGAUAAGGAUUUUAAAUAGGGAAUAUUAUGUUGUUUAAUUAGAUAAGGAUUUUGAAUGUAAUUAACAAAUAGGGAUAUAUUUGGUAGAUAAGAUAAAGUAGUUGAAGUAAAUCUCUUGAUUCUUAUCAAAUUAAACAUUCAGCUACGAUUCUUGUGCUGAAAAAAACACAUACAAAUUCAGUAUCACUUAAUAAGUUCAGCAGGUGAAUUUUUAUUUAUCAAACACCCACAAUAUCUGAAUGUCUGAAUGAAUUCAGUUUCAGCAUUUUUUUAUGUUAUCAAACAGGCACCUAGUCUUGUAGAACUAAAUACACAUAAAAUGACCUACGAAUAAUUUGUGCGAGUUAAAAAUGUAAGAAUUUCAAGAGGCAGUGGAGAGGGCAUAUAGGAUUAUAACCCCUUAGGUUUCAAGAAAUACAGACCUUAUGAGUUACAACUAGUCACACAUUUCAUAUUAGACCAAUUAUAAUUUCAAUUAGACCAAUCGUAUUCUGAUCAUGUAGCCAAGAAUUAAACGAAUCAGAACUAAGAAAGAAAACUGGUCUAAAAAAACAAUUUCAAUUUUUUCAAAUUCUGUUUUGCUUGCAUCAUACACAUAAUUUUCAAUCACUUUUUUUUUAUCUCACAUACAUCACAUCACAAAAAGUGAUACAGUAAUUAUCUCAAAUAAAUAUUUCAAAUAUCCUCCUGUCCAAACAAACCCAAAAUGUCUAGGCACAGUGAUGUUGCUUUCACGAGAACGUGUUCACGGUGAGAUGAGACAAAGACUUUGAUCAUAUUCAGAUAAUAUUAUUCAAUAUCAGAGAAGUGAUUUUCUAGGAUGGGACAAGGCUUUGAACAUAUUCGGAGAUUAUUCAAUAUUAGAGAAGGAAUCAAAACACUCGGAAGUCUCACACAUCUAUUUGUAGGAUUAUUAACUGACUUAAUUAAACUUAGUGUUGGAUUAAACUUCAUGGAAAAAUAUUUAAGGUUAUAGAAGAGUGUUUGUAAAAAAUAAAACACAAACUUUUUAGGAAACAAAUUCCUCACAACUCAAAGGAAAGAGUUUGCUUCUUAACUAGAUGCAAACCCAGAUUUUUUUUUUCUUUCUUUUUUCUUUCUAUUUUUGAAGGAAAGGUACUAGGAAAACAAUAAAAUUAUAUGUCAAUUUAAUUAAGUUUGAGAAGUUAGGACUGCAGUUUUUGGACCCGUUUCCUUUCAAAGCCAAAAAUAAAACCAAAAACAAGAAAUUUUUUUUGAACAUUUGAUGGCUUAUAUAAAACUAGAUUGCACAGCAUAUGUUUUAGAAAAGCUGAAUAACAAAAUUUUGUAAAAAAUAGACUUUCAACAAUACCAAACAAUUCUAGAGCAGGAAAACAUACAAAAAUUCAAUAUUCCUGAGACCAUUGAGUUGGAGUUCUUGAAUGUUCCUGGAACCUAUUCUCUCUUCCCUUUAUCAGAGCAACUCUGAUAUACAAAGUUCAACAAUUUAUAUUGUUUGAUAAUUUUGUUCUGCUUUCCCAUUCUCACCCUCAUUUUUAUACAAUAACAACGUGAAUUUUGAAAUUCUUAAAAUUAGGGGAUAAAACCACCUCUCUCUCUCUCUCUCUCUCUCUGGGGAUAGAAUAAUAGCAAUUUUAUUAAUGAGAUAGUUGAAAAUCAUCCAUCACGAUUUACUUGACAAAGUCACGAGAGAUAAAACUAUUUUAACAUCGAAUUCAAAUACAAAUUAAUUAUGAAUAGAACAUAACAUUCUUGAAUUUGGCUAAAACUAAUUGAAACCACCAGCCUCUUGGAUUAAUGUUCAAUCCAAUCCGAUUAAGAUUCAAAUUCAUCAAUUUGAUAAACAAAAUAGCUUUCCCAAAUGACCCAUAAAAUAGCCUGUGGAUGUUGAUCAAUUAGAGGUGCUAGAAUAAAUGCUAUUAAAAGUUCUUAUAGUGUUUUUGGUAAUUAAUUUUCCGUAUCUUAAGUGGCUCAAAUUUUGAUAACUUAAAAGUACUUUUUAUUAAAAACACUUGUUUCAGAAAGACUUCUUUAUAAGCCGUCAUAAUCCCAAAUGAGACCUUAGAUUGAUUCAACAAUAGAAUUUUGAGACAACAUUCCCAUCAUCAACUCCACAGUGGAAUUUUGAGGUAAGGAUUCCAAAAUUCCAUAUAUAAAUUUGCUUCUAUUUCUUUUGGUUCCAUUAAUGAACAAAAAAACAAUUAUUCAAUUUACAUUAACAGCAAACCUAAUCGUGUCAAUCAAGUUUUCAUGGUCCAAUGAAUAAGAUGACUAAAAGAAAUCAUGGCGCGCAAUUCAAUUUUCGUCUCCUCGCUCACUUCUUUUUCUCUUUCCUCUGAUUCGGAGACGAUAAAUCUAAUCUAUCCUACACUAAGAGGAAGGGGGCGGAUCUAAGGAGAUCCAGGGAUAAUCCGGAGAGAACUGAACCAUCACCAAACCAGACGGAUGCACAGCACAUCUACCUGAAUUUUUUUGAAAACAAACCACUUAAGUGUGGCAUUUUGACGGGAGGCAGGGUUUCAAACUGUGCCUCCCAUCCUACCCAACUAGGUGUAGGCCUGUCAACGAGCCAAGUUUGGGUCAAAAUUCAUUAUUCCGGACCCGGACACAGCAUACCAAAUCGGAUCCGGAUUCGAUCCGUUUAUCUGACGGUUCUUCUACUCUAUGUUCCGGAUCCGGAUCCGGGUCUAUCCAAAAAAAAUUAUGAAAAUUUACAAUUUCUAAUAAAAAUGAGAAAAAAUUAUAUUUGUACGCUAAUUUCUAACUAAUACAAAAAAAAACCAAAUAAAAAAAUAAAUCAAAUUGACUUUACUCAAAUACAUCACCCUAAUCAAAUUAUAUUGAUAAAUAUAUAUAUUUUAAAUUAUUAAUCCAUUUAUAUCCGAAUCCAGGUCUAAUACGGGUCAGAAUACUAUAUUCCGUAUCCGACACAUUUUUUUGUUUGACAAAACGGAUCCGAAUCCGGGUCCGAAUAACGGAAUUAAAUCCCUACCCAUACCCGCAAUAAUUUUACUGAUUCGGAUCGGGUCCGGGUCUAGACCGGGACCGUUGACAGGCCUAACUAGGUGGUGGCCACUGAGCCAAUGACCCAGUGGUUUCCUUCCUCUAAUCUCAUGUGACAAAAAAAAAAACAACUAUUAAGAAAAUGGUAGCAGGAUAGCAACGCAAUUUUAUGGCCAACAAAUGGAUUAGUAGUCAAAUCCCAUGACGGCAGCUCCAAAGACUUGGAAGUAUAGUUCAACAGUUGAAAAUUCAACGGACUACCAAAAAUAGCCAACCUUUGACUUUGUCGUAUUCUAGAAACCAAGCACAUUACUACCAGUAUUAUAUUUUAUUAAAUUAAGUGAGGGUACUAAUUAUAUUUAACUCUCCAUUUCAUUAGUUGGACCAAAUAAAAAGAUUGUCGACCAUUAUUCUUCUGAUUCUCAAAGCAUCUUCAAACUUGCACCUGCCCUGCAAAAUUGACGUUUCCCUUUUUGCCCUUUUUGCUAAAGGAAAAACUGGAUCUGAACAAAUAUACCACAUGGCAUUUCGAAAGACUCCAAAAAAUUAGGUGAAAAAGAAAACGGAUCAGCCCAAAGUGGAAAGCUAAACCAAAAGCAUUUAAUUAUACAGUAGUUAAAUUUUUUUUUUUAAGAAUAAACAGGAAGUCUCGAAAUUAGGAAUGUGAGUUUGAUAAAACUGAAAUUUGAAAAUUGAGAUAUGAAAUCUGAAGUUUAAAUCCAUUAAACUGUUAAAUUGUUAAAUACUAAAUAUGAUAUAUUUGAGUGUAUAUCACAUUAAGUGAUAAGUGCGAAUUUUGUCUAGAAAAUUCAGUGUCAUUUAAUUAAUUCAAAUGUUCAAUUUUUUUUUAUUAUCAAACAUGUCCGAACAUGUUAAGAUUUGAAUCCAUUAAUUUAAGUGAUGAAUUAGGUUAUCAAAUAGGGUUUUACACUUUCUCAUUUGGACCAUCUAACUCAUCUCUCUCCAUACACACAGCAUUAUUCUUGUUAUAGUAUAAAAAAAAUAAAUCUAGUAGUACUUAAUUAUUAGGAUUAACUCCAUUUUGCACCCUUCAACUAUAUUCAAAUUUUUGCUUUGGUCCUUUAACUUUAAAAUGAGACUCUUUAGUUUUUAAACUAUAAAAUUUGUCUCACUUAAAUAACAUGAUUAAGGAAGUGAGACAGAUUUUAUGUCUAAGUGAGUACAUUUUGAGGACUAGAUUGAGACAAAUUUUAUAUUCUAGGAACUAAAAUGAACAAGUUUUAUAUUAUAGGGACUAAAGUAUGACAAAUUUUAUAAUCAUUCUAAAGUUUAGGAACCAAAAUGAGAAUUCAGGUCCAGUUAAAGGAUACAAAGUGCAAUUAACCGUAAUUAUUACGAAUUGUCCGCCUUAUUAUUUUGACUGUACAAAUUGUAGCAUUUGGCAAUAGUUGCCAUGCACAAGCUCCCAGUUCCCAAAUAUAAUGAAAUAUUCUGAAUCUGGAAGCAUCUUCGAACUUUACAACCCUGCAAAAGGCGCCGAAUUUAGCAUUUGGCAAAAAAAAUAGCAAUUGAAAUAGGUUCAAUCAAACUUUACGUUUUUUUGUAAAUAUGUAUAAUUUUGCUUUUUUUUUUGUGGGAAAUUGGUAUUUAGGAUUUCAAUAAUGACACAGCAAAUUUUACCUCAAUUAGUAUUAAAUCUGUCUUUUCGAUAAAUCAUUCCCAUCUUGAAUUAAAAUUGAAAGAUAGUAUAAAAAAAUUUGUUAUGCCAUUAAAUUUGUUGUUUGAACAAAAGUUUUUGCGGGUAAAUGAAUACAAGAAGGACGAGGCGUGUGGUCCCAACCUUUUUAACUACACACCGGCGAAAACAAACUGAAACAGACAGCAUACUCAUAUUCCAAACAUGAGUCUUGAGUCCUGACUUAAUGAGCCCCUUUCUGCUGACAUUUCAUUCGUUCCUCCAUUAGUCGUCUCGUUUACACGUAGUCACACAGUAGCUCCGCACCUUCUAUUACAAUCAAACUAAUUGAACAGAUUGUCGAUCGAUAUUUGAGGUAUUGCGAGAUGGGUUCUGUGGAGGAGGAGAUGAAGGAAGAUUCUAAAGCUGUUGAAGAUAGCAACCUUGAAAUGGGUUCAGAAAAGAAGGAGAACAGAGCAGAAAUGCAGAAGAAAGGAAACAAGGAUAAAAGGAAGAAGAAGUUGAAACAGAGGCGAAAUUUUAUUCUGCGAAGAUUCAGUUGUAUCAGAAUGGACGAUGAAUAUCCGACGGUUGAUGAACCGACUGGCGAGGGAAGUUUUAAUAUGCAGGCUGUUACGGAUCGUACACCGACUCACUUAAUUGUUAUGGUUAACGGUAUUAUUGGAAGGUUAGUUUUUUGUUUUUUUUUUUUUGGUACUUCAGUUUUUCAUAUAUUUGGUGCGUUGUUAUUCAUAAGUUUAAAAGUUUCAAAGAAUUAAAUUAAAUUGGCAAAGUAUUAAAUGUUAACUAAAAUUAAUGUUUAGCUCUAGGCUUUUUUCUUCUUCUUUUUUUUUUUUUUUUUGGGCGGCGCGCGCCUUAGUGUUAGUGUUUUGCACUUGGAUUUUUAUUUGUGAUCCUUUUGUAUCGCAGUGCACAGAAUUGGAGGUAUGUUGCAAAACAGUUUGUGAAGGCAUAUCCCAAGGAUGUUCUAGUGCAUUGUAAGUUGUAUCUUCAAUAAAUGUAGUGCUUAGAUAAAUUUGCAUUGUUUGUUAUGGUGACUUACUAAGCUACAUGAGCUUAAAUUUAAUUUUGUCGAACAUCUGAUUUGAUUUUAAUUCAGCUGGAGCAAGUCAGUGUAGAUGCAUUAUACAAUCAUACAAAUGAUGUCGAAUUAACGUGUUAUUUUCAGGCAGUGAGUCUAACUCAGCAAUGCUGACAUUUGAUGGGGUUGAUGUAAUGGGAAAGAGGCUGGCUGAUGAGGUUUGUUGUUCAUGGCUUUUGUCUUAGCGCUUAACUAUUGCUUUUGCAAUUCAUUAUCGGGCUAAUUACCAAAAUCUAUCCAAAUUUUCAGGUGUUAUCCGUUGUUCAAAAGCAUCCAAACCUUCAGAAGAUAUCAUUUCUAGGUCAUUCGCUUGGUGGCCUGGUAACAAGGUAUGCUAUAGCUGUGCUUUAUGGAAAAGAUUUUACCAGAAAAUCCCACGAAGAAAAUGGAGAUUGUAAGCUUGACGAAUCCAAAGAAUCAUUAUCUGAAGACAAAUAUAAAGGCAAAAUUGCUGGACUGGACCCUGUGAAUUUUAUAACCUCUGCAACUCCUCACCUUGGUUCAAGGGGCCAUAAACAGGUGAAUAAUUGCUAGCAUCAAUUUCCUGGAUUUUGAUUUUGGUGAUUACCACCUCUAACAGAUACAGCAUUAUAUGUGCGUACAAAUGACGAGCAGGGAGAAGUGCUCAUAUACUACAUUAUGAACCUUUUCUGUGUGCACCUUCUGUUUUACAUAACCACUCCAACAAUGUAGCAGUGCCAUCAUGGCUGCAGUGUUUCUGGUUUAAGACCUGAGAUUUAUCUGCUGGUUUGUUCUUUAAUAUUUCUAUCAUAUGUUGUUAGAAUUAUAUCUCCUAGUUUAAAGGUAAUGUAGCAGUACCUAGUAGCCAACAAUUGGAACUUUCAUAGGUUGCAUGCAUUGCUUUUGUGUGUUCUUGCACUCCAGUACUCUAGUAAUGAUUCUUUUAUCAUUUCAUGAACUUACAGGUCCCUUUGUUCUGUGGAUUGUACACCUUGGAGAAAGUAGCAUCACAUACAGCAGGGAUACUUGGAAGAACCGGAAAGCAUUUAUUUCUGACUGACGGUCAUGAUGGGAAACCUCCACUUCUGUUUCAAAUGGUCAAUGAUUCUGAAGAUCUUCAAUUUAUGUGAGCAAACAUGAAUGAACUUAUUGUCCCAAAGAAUUAAACAAAGAAGAAUAAACUUUUUAUUACUUCUUUUUUCAUGUGUCCAACAGAAUAUCUGAAAAUUUUCUUCUAUUUCUUUACCAUUUAUUUCUUGUUCCUGGAUUUGCAGAUCCGCAUUGCAAUCAUUUAAGCAACGCGUGGCCUAUGCAAAUGUACGAUAUGACCGUAUCCUGUUAUACCCUUGAAUUGAUGGAGCUUUUCCACUUUAGUAGAAAUUAUUAGAUAUCUUAUGCAGUCAAGAAACUGUUUAAGUUACAGAUAUUGAAGAAUAACAUUGCUGCAGGUUUAAUUACUUUCAUUUGUUUUAAAAUCUCUGCCAUACUUGAAGAACUUAACUAAGUGCAGAUCUUGUUGGGUGGAGUACAUCAUCUUUGCGACGUCGGAAUGAGCUUCCAAAGGUAAACAUUUAGCAUUUAAACUUGGAAAGAUGUUUUCAUAUAAAAUGAUUUUCUGACUGUUUAAUUAUAUUUUCAGCGGCGCAAUCUGUUAAAAAAUGAUAAGUACCCACAUAUCGUGAACGUAGAGACUGCAAAAACAGCCAUUUCACAAGAAGAGACGGAUGUUCGAGUCGAGGGAUUUAGGAUUGCGGACAUGGAAGGUUUGUUUUUUCCUAUUCCUCCCUUAACCGAUAAAGUCUCUUUUUUAUCAGAGCUCUUCAAUAGGGAGUUUGACCUGCAAUCCAUUUAUCAUUAGAUAAUGGUGUUGAUCCUGCAAAGUGUAAAUAGUUAAGUUUUGGUGGAAAUAUGUUGAUGAUUUUGGUCUAAAGUGAUGGUUACACAUCAUGAUGAUACACAAGUAGUAGUUUCCAUGUAGCUUUUCAGACCAGGAUUGAGAGCCAAUCAUAUGCAAUAUUGCAUGAGCAAUUAAAUGUGACUUUGAAGUGUAAGCUGGUCUGAGUAAAUCAAUUUUAUGAACUCUUGGUGGAAAACAUAAUCCCUCUUAUUAAACUAUCCAGAACAUUAAUCCUAUCUGUAUGUUAGUGGCAUGAGAAAACUUCCAGAUUUUGGUAAUUUGACACAUCUCAACAGUGGGCUGUACACUCAGUGACAUUGAGAGAACUAAGUUUAAAGCAUCCUAUAUGCAGAUCGGUGAUUUAUAUUUAUCGAAUCCAUCUCAUGUUAUUGUAAAUUAAACUGUUUAAAAAUGAUGUUUUAAGUGGCUUCUCUGUAUUCUUGAGCUGGUAAAUAAACUCCAUGUGUCUUUAGGCAGUGCCGAACUGCCAAUCGGGCUGAAUAUUAUAGUCCGAUGAGAGAGUAGAUGAUGCUAUUGAUGUCGAAUGCAAAGGCAAUUCAAGGUUCUUAGAAAGGAUUUUGGAAAUUUCAGAAGAGAUUAGAGAUUGCUGAAGUCUUCAUGCAACUGAGAGUUCCAUUUUAAUCCUGUGUUUUACCAGACUUGGAUAAAAUGAAGUUGUGUGUCAAAAUGUGGGCUUAUCAAUUGUUGGACAAUUUAAAUUCUUUUGGUGGGAAGUUGGACCGGACCAUUUUACAGGCCAUGUUAUCUUCUUUCAAUCGUAUGGUCAAAUAUUCAGAAAUUAAACUUAAUCCUAUGGUGGAGGACCAUAUGAACUACUUUAGUUCUUUACAACUACAGCCACUUCUUUUGGUGACAUCAGGACCCAAAACACGGCAUGAUGUCAUGAGAAUAUAUACAUCUGGAAUUAUAUGCCAAUUAUUUUAUUGACAUGCUCGUUUGUCGAUUUUCUUAGCAUUGAGCUGUUUGCAUCUGCUUAAAUAUUUUUCGCUGAUUGUUCAUCCAUUUUAAUUUCGUGUGAUGUUUGAUUCAUUCAUUUAAUCUCUAUUCUCGAAAUCUUAGAGGUCAUGCUGAGAAGUUUAACAAAAUUGAGCUGGGAACGUGUUGACGUCAGUUUCAAAGGAAGUAAACAGAGAUAUUUUGCUCACACCACCAUUCAGGCAUGUAUUCAACCCCGAGCUCCAUAACGAGUCAAUAAUGCCUUUGCUCGCUGCAGGAACUUCCAAAUCAUGUGUUUUUUGCUUGCUUAGGUCUUUUAUUCUGUCAUUUUUGUCUCAUUUACGUUAGACGCGUGAAAGUUACCAAUUUGAGUUUCUCCAUUGAACAGCCAAAUAAAUGAACAUCCAAGCACUAGAAUUCCAGUUUACACAAAUCUCUUCCAUUGCUCUGAGUCCGUAGUUAGAUGCUUACUGCCUUACUGAUAAAACACUUGACAAUGGCAUCAUCUAUCUUCUUGUUUAUGAUGAUGUUAGAGGUGUUAACCAUCUAGGAUGACGCUGAAUGCUGCUACGGUGCAAUCAGCUAAUAUAAUUAUUUUCUGCCACCGCUGCAAGUUCUGUGGUUCAAGAAACUAUUCUUGUUUUCCUACUUGUGCGGGUAAUAUAUUGGCGCACUAAUUCUGAUGGUGCCGAUGUUAUACAAGACCUGGUUUACAGUUUCUUUAUGUUGUAGAAUUUGCCGAUUCAAGGUCUUACUCUUCAUCUUCAUAUAAUAAACUAAAAGACUUACGGUUACCUUUUCUCCAGGUACAGAGCCACUGUAUGAAUUCUGAUGGUGCCGAUGUAAUACAGCAUAUGAUUGACAAUUUCCAGCUGUAGAAGUCGAAAUUUUGUAUUCUUAUCACUGCACAUAUCUUAGAUAUAUCAUCAUAUAUACCGUAUUCUUGAGAAUCCUGCUGUCUUGCACCAGUAUCAACCCAUGUACCCUUUUGGAACUGGAUUUAGAGGAGUCAAAUUUUUGCUGUUUAUUGUCUUAUUCCAGAAGAGCCAGCAACACAAACAAAAAAUCAGAGGUCCGAUAUGUACAUACUUCAUUAAUUCUUUGAGGUGGUAUUCCACUACUGUAAUCUACUCUUUUGAUUGUGUAUACUACAUAAAUCCCUUUCUUUUUCACUAGAUUGUUUGAGAAAAUAAUCAGGUGGAUCAUGUACAAUUAUUGUUUCUUUCUGGCCACCCUGUACAAUAUGUACCUACCUAAAUAGGAGUAGAUACUGUUGUCACAGUUGGCACGAGGAAGAAAAUGAAAAUGCAUAAAGUUGAGCAUAGGUGAAGCUCCCACAUGGAGUCCUCUGUGCCCCAAAGCAGGUGAAAACGGGUAAAGCCUAUGGUGGGGAGAUGGGACCUUAUCUACUACUGGUGUCCAAAUUGCCAAUGUGGACAAAGCCUUGCAGGGUACGUACCUGCAGCAGGAAGCACUGCUGACAGAAUUAUGGGUAGGUAGGUGUCCACUGUCCCCGGAUCUCCAUUAUUAACUCGGUGAUUUGAUAAUUAAAUUCUGCAGAAGUUGGUUGAAUCACGAUGGCGUAAGGAUGCUACGAGUAGUAGAAGUAACUAAGAUGAAUCUGCAGCAGGGCAAACUGAAACUGCCCGUUUUACAGUACCAUGGUGUAGUUAGCAGCUCAAUAAAAUGUAGAAAUAGCCCUUUUUAGUUUUCAUCAUUGUACCUUUGCAUAAUUUGUGAGUGAGUUUAAUUGAAAUUUGACAAAAUCCAAUGCCCUGUAUUUGUUAGUACUUUUUAAGUUCAAAGGAUCUGAAAUCACUACAUUACUAUUGAGAGAGAAAAAAAAACAGCUAGCAAAACACCAUAGCAAACUGGCCGAGGCAUUGGCCCGUUGCAAUCAACUUUCUCUGGGGAAAACAGUAAAGAUGAUGGGAACUCCACUUCUUCUACCUCUGAUGUGCCAAAACAUAGAUGAUCAAUCCCCACAUGAUUCUCUCUAUUAGAUUGCAUACAAUAGGAACAUUGAGGAGCAUCUGGCUUUCAAAUACUCCUUUCAGAUAGUAGAGGGAAAAAAAAACAAAAAAAAAGGGUCAUAGACGCACGAGUGGUUUCACAAAAGCCCAAAAAUCAAACUUUGAAAAUGACCUUUUCAUCUACUCCUAUGGAGAAUUGCAAUAAUUGCUCUGCGUUCUCUGAGAAGGAAAAUCAAGGAAGAAAAGAAUCGGUACAAAACAAUUCUGUGCCUGCCACACUUACCGCCCCCCCCCAAAAAAUUUUUUUUUUUCUAUGACAUACCCAAUGCCGCCAAUGAUAGAUACUAUACAUAUUUGCAACAUUUGCAAGUCAGUUUCAACCAGACGAGUCCAAUUCUUUAUUCAUGAAUUUCUCAAAUUAUACAUGAUAAAGGAUAUCAAUUGUCCCUCAAGCACACAGAUAAGUAUUUAAAAAAAAAAAGAAACAAAAAAAAGAAGGUCAAAUUUCUUUAUGCAACUCAAGUUUCAGCAUAUUUUCCACUUCUAGGCCAAAAGAACAGCAGACAUUUGAGGUGAAGUGAUCAAAGAAGUAAUUCUUGUUCCAUCUUUUUGUCACAUUAAAAUGGCUUGUCGGUUCCUCUUUCUAAUUCCUACAUACAAGUUCACACAAAUAAGAGAAUUAGGAAAAUAUAUUCAAAAUUCCAAGAUUUACAAUAAUAUAAUAAUUUGUUUCAGAGUACUUCUUGGUAUGGUAAUUAUAAGAAGAGAAGAAAAAUUGGUCAAUCAAUUUGAUAAUACUACAGUAGUGUCUGUUUACGACUUCCAUCAUUCCUACUUUUGAUCACCACUACACAUUUCCUUUUUUUCAUCACAAGACUAGACAGAAAUUGAUUUGAGGCUGUGAUGUGACCAUAGGCGUCAAUGCCACCACUAGAUCGGAUCACCCUACACUAUAACGAUCCCGUAAACAAAAGAGUUUGCGUGGAUUCGGAGGUAAAAUUUUCUCAUCAAAUUCAUGAAUCAUUAUCAUAGUUUACUUGCAGAGACACAGACACAAAGCUAGCUAUAUGCAUAGCUACAUCAAAUCUACUAAGACUCAUCUCUAUAGUAGUAUCCACCUGCCCUAACCUAUAAUCUUUCUUGGAAACUCGAUAUACUGUUCUGAGGGGAGAAGACGAGAGAAUUUUGCGUGUUAAAUACAUAAAGUAGAGGCUAGAGAUCGCCAUUGAAGUUUACCGUGCAUGGCUGAUUGGCCUCUAAAUAAUCAAAAUCUACUACAAGCAGUAGUAGUAUUUAAUAAUAAAUGAGCUGCUCAAUAGCCAAGCGAAACAGUGAUCCUACGAUAUACGCAUAAAUGAAGGGGGCAAAAUGAGUGAAAAUGAAGGAAAAGGAAAGCCCAUAAAGCCACAUUCUUUGUGGUUCUCAUGUCUGAUAUCAAAUGUCCUUUUUGCCAAAUCCCUUUUAUCCAUCGUCACGUAUCAUACAUACCGGCUAUGAGUGCUUUAGUUGUGUGCGCGCUGCGUGCAAAUAAUUGGUAAACUACCUUCCCUUGUUCCUUUCAGCAGCACUGCACAUCAUUCCAAAUAGGCAAAUACUAGUAAUCUCAUUCUGAAAUCUGAAUUCUCUCCCACCUUCAGUCUCUCUAUCCUAAAUUUUGUUUGGAGUUCCCUUUUUUAGUUUUUAAAUUUUUUUUUCGCCCCUCUCCCCCUGGUCCCAUAAGACUAGUAAUAAAAAUUGGGUCUUUUUCCCCUUCUGGAUCAGAGUCUCAGAGCUUCUGAGUCUCGGGCUCAUUUAAAGAGGUUCGAGAUCUUUCCCUUUCAAAACACUUUUGUCUCUCAAGUAUUUUUCUUCCAUUUGGUAAAACUUUGCACUCCACAUUCUAUUAUUAUUUUGUCAAGAAAAGGACUGCUAGUUGUAGAAAACUGGUGUGUACAAAGUUGCAAACUGCAUAGAAGCUUUUGAGAGUAAUGGAGAGCAGGUGGCAGCGAUGCCAUGCAGUCACUUCUGAUUGACCAAUCUUUCUUCUUUUACCUCAAUAUAUAUUCCAUCUUUCUGACUUCCCGACUUGCUCUCUCCCUCUUUCCCCAACUCUUUUCACCUUUUUAGCUCAAUGGGUUCAGGAGGUGGCCGCAUUUUUCACUAUAGAAAUCGACAUCUCCUCACUUUUGUGCUCUUUCUUCUGAUUACAAGAUCGAACCCUUUUAAAAUCAUUGCUGAAGGUAAGUUCCUACUUUAACAUUUCUCCAAUUCUUUUAAAACCCUCUCAACGUUAGUAUUUUCAAGUGAAUUUAUUACUGAAGUCUCUGCUAUCAUUCACUUUAUAGGCAGAGCAACUCCUAAAUUGCAGGUUCAGAGCCUUGAAGCUAAUCAGGUACUGAGCUUUUUCUUCUUUUACUGGUUCUGCAGAAGGGUGAAAUGAACGUUUAGAAUCGAACCCUCGUCUUAAAACUGUUAAAAAUGAGAACAAAACUAUAUCCAAUUUUCAUUCAAAAAAAUCCAGAGUGGAUUCUUAAUUAGUGGAAAGUAAUUUGUUGUUUGUUUUUGUGAUCAUUAAGGUCUUAAACAAUUCUGACAAUUUUAUUGUGUUUGUCGAAAAUUGUGGAUGGUGGUGGCAGAAGAGAGUUGAAGAGAAGGUUGUCAUGGUGAGGUCUUUGAUAGGAUCAAGGCCACCAAGAUGUGAGAGAAGAUGCAUGUCUUGUGGGCACUGUGAAGCAGUUCAAGUUCCAAUUGUUCCCAGUCUAAAGCACCAAAAAAUAAGGAGCAAUCAGUUCUUUGCAACACCUACUAUAGCUUAUUCAAGAGGUGAUGAUAUCUCCAACUAUAAGCCUAUGUGUUGGAAGUGUAAAUGUGGCAACUUCAUUUUCAAUCCUUGAUUGUAUUUUUCAAUUAUUAGACCAAAAAAAAAAAAAAAAAGGACCCACAAGGCAAGCCUUUUGUAUGAAGAAAAUAAGUUUCUUCACUUGUCUAUAUAUGUAGUCUUGGACAAAAAUAUUUAGUUCCGGCCUCUAAUAUGCAUUGUUCCCAAGCUUAUAUCAAUUUGUAUAUCUAGUUUUGUAAGUGUUUUAGGAUUCAUUAAUGUCCAUUUAUCUUUUAAUUAUUAAUGUCAAGAUCUAUUUCCUACAUAUCCAACCAUAAAUGCACUUUGUUGUUACAUUCUUGUCAAACUCCAGACAGUCAGGAGUACUAGUAUACAUAGCUUUGCAAGUGUUUUAGGAGCCAUUAAUCUCCUUUUUAUCUGUUAAAUAUUAAUGGCAAGAACUAUUGCUACCUUAUCCAACCAUACAUGCACUUUUUCCUUGCAAUUUCUAUUCAUAUUCCUGAACUUCAAGCAUGAUCACCAAUUUGUGAAUCCCACAUGCACGUGUUGAAUCAUCCAAAUUCACGCGUGAUCAAAAGUUGAUGAUUCUCAAAUAUUUGUCUCAAGUGAACGUUAAACAUCAUGACAAGAUCAUUAUUCUUAAUGAUUAGAGAAUUGAUCAUGAUUCCCCAAGUAAUUAAUAGUGGAUAAUUGCCAAAUGGGCCAUUGUCCCAGUACAAAUGGAACUACUUUUUGGGAGCUGUAAAAGGAAAAGAACGAGGCAUAGGACUCUGAGGAAGGGGCAUUUCUUUUUUUCUUUUUUGUGGUGGGGGGGGGGGUGGGGAAGGGGAGUUUUGUUUGAUAUAUAUUAUUAACAUCUUAAUCAAGAUGAUUAGUACAAUCAAGAAUGGAGGGGAAUGUGAGGAUAUUGGAAUUGAAAUGGAGAUUUGGUACUAUUUUUAAUGCGAUAGAGAUGUGAGAGUAUCGACCAUGUCAGUUUUGCAGUCCUGUUUUCGUAUCAUACAAGAUUUUCAUAUAUAAAUAUUUUUUGCAUCAGAAUUCAGAAAAAGAGCUCCUGAGUUCUGAGUCCUCUCCUGCAGGCCUCCUCGAAUGGAUAAAUCUAUGGGUCUGCUUGGAUGCUAGCUGCUCUUACUGCUACUGCCUCAUUUCCUUCUUUGAUAUAUUAUUCCUAUCACUACAGUUUUUCUUGACACCCUACAUGAUUACUAUAAGAGUGAAUUUCACAGUUUGGCUUGUGGAUAGAAGGGACACCCCAAUGGAUGUUGGCGCAAGUGGAAGGAAUUUACGUCCUCGACAAUGUCUUGGUUCGAAACCUAUUACAAUGAAAAGAAUAAUGGGAGAACUUCUCCUAUAUAAGGGGUUUAAUUUGAUUCGAACAAAAUAUUUGAUUCGAACAAAAUUAGUCGCAAACUGAAAGUAAAAUAGAUGGACACCUGCAACUUAUACAAAAAAAAAAAAAAAAAGAAUAGGAGGGACAACAUUUAGCUAGUUCCGCAAUUGCUAUAUGUAUAUAUAUGUUAGGUAAGUGAGAGAAUUUAAAUAUAAUAUCUCUUAGUUACAAUUCCUUCCAUCUUACUUACUGCAUAAUCCAACCCUUGUAUAUGAAAGGAUAGUAAAGUUAGUUACACUCGUAGUAUUUCUAAAACAGUACUAUAAAGUAUUAUAUCCUAUUGAUCCUAAUUAGUGGGGGAAUUUAGGCACCUAAUACAAUUUUUGACGCAUCAAUGUUACUAAUUAUCGUUACCUAUGUAAUUGCUUUUGUACUUUGUGACCAUAUUCAUACUCAAGAUCGACUCGAUAAAUUCUAAGGAUAGUUUGAUCCUAACUAAGGUUUGGCACUAAAACUAAUGGUGAUUUCGAUAAUUUAGCUAUUAUCAAUGAACACUUAAUAUAAAGUUUGAGUUUGAAUUCGACUUCAAAUUUGAGUUAAGUCGAGUUUGAAUUUGAGCAUAUUUGAGCUUAAAAAAAUAAAAAAUUAUUUUUUAAAAAAGAAUAAAAUAGUAAUUUUUCCUUAAUGAAUAAUAAAAUAUUAUAAAUAUAUAUGUAACUUUACUAUUAAAAUUAAAAAAUAUAUAUAUAUAUAUAUAUAUAUAUAAUCAAGUGGCUCGUGAGUUAAUGAAUUGAAUUUUUCUUUGUUUAACUUCAAGUUCUAACUCGACUUGAUCCGCUCGAACUUAACUUGAGUUCGAUAUUGACCAAAUUCAAUUCAAGGUUUGAUCGAAUCAACUCAUGAAUGCCCGGUUUUAGUUGAAUCCUGAUCCAGCUACCAACUUCUUGGGCCCCCGUCAGGGAAGCUCACAGCUGCGCCUGUACAGUUCUUCUCAUAUAAAUGAUUCAUGACUGAGGAGAGAAUAUGGGAAGAUAAAAAAAGUAGACAAUCGACCCCAUUAUCACUAUAGAAGUUGCUAAUUUUCCAGUUAUCCUUCUCAAAAGCGAGGCAGUGAAACUUAAAAAAAAAAAAGAAAAAUUUGUGAAAGGGUCGUGACACAGGUUUGAAGAAAUAUAAAUAUUGAAUUGGAUUGGACUGAAAGAGAACAAUAGAUGGUUAAGGAAAGAUGGGCCCAAAUUUCAACUCAUUGGGCAACAUUAGUCAGCCCAGGAUUCAAAAGUGGGUUGCUCCGAUUUGGACUCCGUUAUGGAUAGUUCCAGCCUGAUUCAAUUUGCACUUUGGGUGACUACGUACUUGAAAAAAAUGUACAGAGAGAGAGAGAGAGAAGAAGAAGAAGAAGAAGAAGAUGUACUUGAAAGGCAAACCAAUCCCAAAAAAAAAAAAAAUUGCAAAAAGCCAAAGUGCAAUGGCUAAGAGAUCUUUCUUUGUCUUAAAAUAAAUUUUCAUUUGCACCAUGAUACCAUCCUUCUUCUAAAGCACAUAAAAUUGCUAACUUUGAAUUGAAAAUAUCUCGUUGAAAGAAUAGAGCCACCGAGGUAAGAAAGAUCUUGAAAAUAUCUCCUAAGUAAUCCAAACACUAUGUAUAAACAUAUUUGGAAGGAUAUAAAAUCCUUCAUAAAUCCCUCAAUUCGCCUCACCAACCAUUUUGCCACAAGAUUCUAGAGAAGUGAUUUUUUUUUUAAAAAAAAAAAGGUCUCCAAAUAUCCAAAAGAGAAAAAAAAAUCAUAGAAAGCCAUACUACUUAUACACCUUUACAAUGAAUGACAUCUCAAAGUCUCUCAGAGCCACCGAGGUUGAUCUAGUGGAAUUGGUUUAACGAUAAGAAGAGGGUUUUUAAAAUUCUUCUCACUAUCAGAUUUAGGAUUCGAAUUAGAGGUAAGAAAGACGCCAGAGAGAGGAUGGAAGGUAAAAAAAAAUCAUAUAUAUAUAUAUUAAAAAAAAAAGGCACCUCAAAGUCUCAUACUACGAAUUACAUUAAAUUCAAGUAAAUGUAAGGCAUGUUUAUGGUUCAACAAAUUAUAUCAAACCAAUCCAUCCCAUCCAAGCACUCACUAAACCAAAAAAAUAUGGUCACUAGUCACUCACCUUGGUCGCUACGCAUUGCUCGGGACAAUAACUGAAAUGAACUCGACAACAAAAUAUUGGUACUAGUACAACACUUGGGGCUGGAUAGCAAAAGACAGCCUAAUUUAAUUUGCUAAACUAUACUAUAAGUGUGUGUGUGUGUGUGCAACUGGUGGUGAGUCGGUAAAGCAGAAUCCUACGAUUCCCAAUGCCUAAUCAUAAACCCCACGGCUUAAGCAUUUUGUUGGGCGGUUUGUUACAAGAUGCGCUAAUGGCCAAAUGGAAAGAAGCCAUUUUUCCACGUACAUUUAUUGAGAGCUUUCUCUAUCGUUGAUUACUGUAGGUGCUCUAUGAUCGACACGGAUGGAUAAAGCUGAGCUGCAUUGGUUUUGUCUUCCUGCUACUGCUAGCAAACUUGUAUUGUACCUUUUUUGUGUCGGAACCAUAACAAGGCGGACGCAGGGCUGGAGAACAAUCGCUCCGAAGGGUGUAACAUCAUUUAUACAUGAUAUAACAUCAUCUGUACAAAGUGUAACAAUAGAAUAACAAUGAAUAAUACUAGAACAACAUUUUUGUGGGUUCCACACAACGUGAAAAUCAAGUUACAAGACGUGAUUUGGACCGCACAAAUUUUUGAGGUCUCAUCCAGGCCGUGAACUGCCUGAGACGGUUGUCACGGCCUGGGACGGUUGUUUCUGACAACCGUCCAGGCCCCUCGUCCAAGCCGGACUCUUAUCUCUUAUUCUAUAGAGAGAAGCUAGCAUGUAUACAAAUUCGAUCAAAUCUGAAAGAUUUUUUUUUUUUCGUAAUGAUAAUAUUUUUAUAAUUUAAUCUAUAUUUUUUUAUAAAAAAAAAAAAAAAAAAAAAGACUAACAGGUAUAUACAUCUGCCUCUAAAUCAUAGAGUUUUUUGAAUGGGAAUUAGUAAGUAUCUGGAUGGAUAGAUGGGGUUAUAACGUUUCACCUAAAGCGUAAAUACCUUUUUUGGUGGUCAUUGAAUGACCAAAACUAGGUGGUUAGUAUAUUUGUUUUUUACCUUGGCCACCAUAAAUAAUGAUAGCAAUAAAAACGUCACCGACACAUCCGUCCUCCAUCACCUUAUUAACUCCUUACCAAAAUAUCUCAUAAAUUCAUGAUAUUCUGAAUCCAACACAUGUGACUGCAACUUAAUUAAAAGUAUCAUUAGUAGUAUUAUUUUCCACACGCAUUCUCACUCGCCUGCAAGUGCAACAGCCUAGUUGCUUUACUGGUAUGUUCUUUCGUAGCAGUUUAUUUGGUUUACAGUAGUUUAUCGUAAUCUUGCUUUGUUAUAUAUGGAACCCUUAGUGGCUAGUUGCUGUUUUUUUGGGAUGGUUGGAGUUCUUUGAAGCAAUCCUUCUUGAGGUAGGGCGGCAUCUCCGGAAUCUGCUUAUCAAGAACUUUAUAAGAUUGUUGCCUGGCUAGGAAUGUAAAUCUUUGUUGAUCUGGUCAAUUAGUUUCUCUAUCUCUCCAAUGAAGUUUGUGUAAGUUGUGUGCUUUUUUGUUCCUUGCCAGUUGCAUUCAUUUUUGUUUUGAAGAGGAUUUCAAUGGACCUUGUUUCUCUGGUAGCAUUACUGCAUAAAUGCAUGAAUCGAUAGUUAGUUGUUGUGAUUGGUAUUUAACCACCCCCCGGAUUCUGCAGCAAGCACUGAAUUUGACUGAGGUCUGGUUGGUGGCUAUCUAUGUCAAAUUAAGUUUCCAGCUAAGGUUUACAUUGCAAUUGACAAAUUUUUCUCCAACCUCUUCCCUGCUUGUGAUGUGCAUCAAUUAGUUGAGAAGAAUGUGCUUGUACCCAAAGAAAAAGGGGGGCGGGGGAGUUUCUUUGAUGUUUUACAAUACUUUUAUGAAUUCCGUACUACUUAGAUAUCGUCAAAAAAAUAAUAAUAAUAAUAAUAAUUGUAUGCCAGUUUCUGAUUAUAGUCUAUAUGUUUUCUUGACACAUUUCCACUAACUGGAUGUAGUAUAUUUGGGUGGUGAUACAGGGGAAACUCCGGCAAAUCAAAUGUUCUAGGUUAAGGUGGAAGUAUUAAGUUGAUAAUGUUGAAGCAAUCAUCUAGUAGAAACCAAAGAGUGAAAGGGUCCAAAUUGAAGCUAGCUCUUCAGAUAUGUUUACUGCUUGCCAUAUGCAUUUGGUUGCUUUAUCAAGCCAAGCAAUUCAAUACCAGGAAGGUAGCUUUGGUGGAGAGCGCCGAAGUUGCAGCUGAAGAAGGGAAAAUAGGGUAUCCAUUAUUGAAGAUGGGGAGGAAGAAUCUUAAUCCUAGACUAGACGAACUAGCUGCAGAGUUUCGGAGAAAUCAGGAUGAUGAGCUCGAAUUUGAGGAUGAAGAAAACAAGCUCCAGGGGAAUGAGGAAGAUGAGAUUGCAGGUGGAAACGGUGACAUGGGUGUUACCAGCCAGGAGAAGAUUGAAGAAGGAGAGCAUGAGCAAUUAGAGGAUUUGAUUGAUGAAGAUGACAAGGAGGAAUAGGCUAGUCUUGGAAGUGACUAAAAGGUUGCAUGUAAACGGAAUUAUAGUAUACCUAUAUAUCUUGGAAUGAAGUGAUUAUGCUUGAAAGCUUGAUUAGAGAAUAAAGCAGAAACAUCAAAUGGUUCCAAAUGCAGGUAUCUUUUGAGGUUCAACAUCAAAAAAAGAAACAGUAGCUUUAGUAGAGGAAGAAGUUAGGUACGAAAAAAAUUUGGAAGAAUCAAUAAUUAGCUGGAAAAAUAUUGCAACAACAAGAUCCGGGCUCUGAUAUAAAGUUUGGAAUAAAGAGCUAUGUGAAAGUUGCACUUGCUGACAAACAACAUGCCAAUGGAAGGAAUCCAGAAUCCAUUUAUCCUUACAGCUGUUCAUCAGUUAAUAUAUCAGCAGAAACAGGAGGGAUACAUCAUAAAACACAAGUGGGAAUGGGAAAAGAUCUGACUGCACCAGAAGAUACGCUGUCCUCUCUUUCAACUUGCAAUUGCCAACCAGUCCACCGUGUUAUAAUACCAUCUCUUUUAGAACUUUCCACGAGAAGAUAUCAUAAUACUCCAGACUCCAGAGCCCUGCACCUAAAUGGAGGUAAGAUUCAGCGUAGAUACUUCUUGAACCCUCUUGUGGCUUUGAGCUGUGGUGUUUGGGAAUCUUACAGUUGGAUCACUACUGAAUAUUUAGGAUUACCUUCUUGUUAUUAAAAGUGCAUUGGUGUUGUAUAAUGUAGAGAAGGCGGCUUGAGAUAGUAAAUAUUAGAAUUGAGGUUCUCAGAGAAGAAUAAAGUAGCAGAGCUCAACUUCAUAUUCCAAGUUACCAACAUAAAGCGUCCUUGUGUCCUUGAAACGACAUGAAAUUGUCUUCUUUAGACUUCAAAUUGUGUUUGCUUAUUUGUCAUCUCGACAGAAAGUGUCUUGAUUUCAGGUGGCUCAUCCUACCGGAUAAACCACAGAAAAUAUAAAAAAGAAUUUGUGGAUCAGGAGAAAAGAAGAUGGCAGAUCACUUUUGAAUAUAUAGAAUGUGAUAUACCAUUACCAGGGACAACUACCUUCUUCUUCUUCUUCUUCUCCUCCUUUUAGUAAAAAUAGUGAUAAUCACAAUAAAGAUUAAAAAAAAAAAAAAAAACUAAAACCAAAAUGGCCUCCGAUACAGAAGGCUGCCCAAAAACGAGUGGCAUGAAAAUUUUCAACAAAGAGUUAUAAAGCUGGGGGGUUUUACAAAUUUUAAUUUGUGCUCAAUGGACGGUUCUGUAAUGUGUAAAAUUAGACUCAACUGCACGAGCAUACACACCUCCACACAAGACAAGAAAAUUUCCAUGGAUUUUCGAUAUCAAACUUUUGUAGAUUUUUGGUAUCAAUCAAAUUAGGAUAACUUUUUUAUACAUCGUUAGUGUGUGUAUAUAUAUUACACAAACAAAUUUAGAUUAUAUCACGUAACAUAAAUUCAAAUUAUACACGUGAUAUGUAUCCAAACUUGUUAGUAUAAAAAAUAUAUAUAUUCACUACGCCAUCAAUAAUGCAUGAAAAGGUAAUCCAUGGAACGACGACAUUUUCCUGAUUUCACGCCCAAGAGCAGAUUUGACGUUUUUAACUUUGUCAACAAUUUUGAGCGGCUGAAUGUACAGUUUAAGAAAUGAAACAUCUCUAGAUAGGAUUGCUUGCUAAUUUAAAGUGGAUCAUCAUUAUAAUCCUUUUAUAUUAGUCUAAAAGGAUUGCAACGUCCUGUCCUGGUUAUAUUCCAUACAUUCAUGCAGCAUAAAAUCAUGAUCUUUGAUUAGUUUAUCCCCUUAAACAUAUUUAUUACCCUGCUGCCGGGAGUGUCCUUGGGCUUCAAAAUAAUACACUUCGGCACAAGCCCAAGCCCAAGAAUCUGAUCCAGACUUGAUGGUAGACUUGUGACAUGAAAUCAUGAUGAAGGCAUUGGAGAUCUACAGAGUUCAUAAGCUGCAAAUUCAUCAACUACCACCAACACAAAUCAUGAUUCCCUACUUGAUUAACGCCCAUCAAUGUUUGACUAAAGAACAAUAGGGCCCCCAAUUGUAGCAAGAUAUCAGAAAAAAAAGUACAGAAAGAAUAAUUAACGCCAACAAGGUUAUCCAAAGAAGGGGUGCAAAAAGAUGAUGAGAUUGAAAGCUUAAUGCCAAGAAACACCCAAUAUCAAAGGUUCUUUGAGAGCUGAACCAUCAAAGCUAGUUUACCCAGCCAUAGCCAUGACGAAUUUCCUUCAGCAACUAAGAUAAAGCACAGAGCAACUAACUUGAACUCAUCUGCUUCAUGUGCAGAAUAAUAGCUUCUGAUGCUUUACAGCCCUACUUAUUCUUAGUCUUCACCGGCUGAUGUGCAUUCCAUUGCAAUAGCAUCCAUAUUAUGGAUGUGCCUGUAAUAACAGAACAACUUCAGUUUGAGAAAACUAGCGCUACAAGUACAUCAGGUGAAUCAACUUGACAAGCAAUUGAAAUACUAGCAUGCUGAUUGGAAAAAUGAUCAACUGUAACUAUUUCAAGAAAUGAAACCAUCCUGCACGAAGAAGUUAUCACAUAAUGCUCACAGAAAAUGUGUUUCAAAUAGCCUCAGAAAGAAUCUGAAUCUCUAUUAGGCCUAUGCUUGGCAUUAUCAUUUCUUGUUACAUCAUUUUCCUUUUUUAUAGAAAUCGUCAUUCAUGCUGGAACAGCAGAAAUAAGUCACUUGAGCAGCAGCAGCCAGCUCAUCCUACCAAUACUUGUCAGACCAGCAGAAUUAAAUAGGCAAGCAAAGAUGUUUUAUAUGAGUUUCCGAAACAAGAAUGAGGAUACACAACAUUCAGUUACAAUUAUGGGAAGCGCUAUUCCACAUCCAAGGCAGACACAAGCUUAAUUUCUUGUUCCAUUCUGCUCAGUUUCAGGUCACAUACAAAAUACAUUGAAAACAAAAUGUAGUGGUGACAAAAUAUGGUAUUUUGAACAAAUAGUUAGCGGUAUAAUGAGAAAUGAAUCUGUUGCUCAUUCCUUUGAGGGAUAGGACAGGCAGAACAUUCUUCAAAUCUUCUUCUGUGGAAUAGAGGAUUAAUGAAGCGGAAUCCGACUUAAAUCUCAACAUGUCAAACAAAAGGCAAAUUUUUAUCGAGAUGGUGAAAAUGGAGCGAAGGACCUCAAGUAAUUUCAUUCAAUAAUUUCUCUGGUUACCAUUGUUCACAGAUAAUGGAGUAUAAACAUUCAGAAGAAGUUAUAGAAUCCCGAAAAUAACCUAUUUCAAUCUUCUCAAACUUCAAAAUUAUGGCCUCCUAGGGGAAACUAAAAAGAUUCAAAAAAAAAAUUUACACGAUUUAAAGUUAUUGAAGAAGCAAAAAUACCAAGAUUGCAGAAUAUUUCAAGCAAAAUAGCAAUUGCAUAGAAGAUCAAGCAGAAAUUGAUGAUAUUUCAGACGAGCAUUGUAUAGCCAGAAGUACCUGCAAAGAUGCCAACAGUUGUAAGGUUCCCAAUGGCCAUGGUAUGAUAUAUCAGGUACUCGGUCAAGAAAUGACCAAAGGCAUAGAUGAAGGAUAAGAAUGUUGCCAAAUACAAAGGCUUAUUGUCAAGGUUAAAUGCACAAAGAAUGCACAGGGUGCAAGUCAAUAGUGUCCAAAUCCCAAAUGUCCUUCCAUGAACUUCAGUCACUACAGAAGAAUACAAGACAUUUUACAUUUUAAUUAGGAAGAUGCUCUAACUUCAAACCACUCACAAAAGUACACAUUUUCAUAUAAAUCUUUCGAAAUAUAGCAUAUUACCAAUCACAUCAAGAAAAGCAUGUGAAUAUAAAAACAUUUCAAUUUGCUGGUUAACAGGUCCAUCUCCUAGAGAAUUUCUAGUAGACUGCUAACCUAAUGCUUAAGCAUAUAAGUUUACAGUGACAGCAGACCAUUUACAAAAAGCCUUUUUCUUUGUUCAGACCUGCAUUCCAUAUUGAAACCCAUACAAAGUUGCCAAAUGUUGCAGUCAGAGCUCAAAUUCUGUUGUCCUACCAAAACUGAAUUGUUGUACUCAAGGAAGUGAUUGUAUUCUUCUUAGACUACGUGACAUUGAACAAAAGCAUUGGCAUUCUUUCAAAUCAAAUAAUUAAGUCCAUCGUCCAUGACUCAAUUAAGUUUCUGGCACCACUCCAUGCUCUAUCUCAAUAGCCCUUUUUUAAGUAUUACAAAAACUCUCUAGCAUUUUAAUUUCGUCAACAUCAGACAUCUUAUGGUUAAAACCAAUCGUCACAAUACCAUCCAUUCAUCCACUAUCUUAAAGUAAAUCAAUCAUUUGUCCCUCUAGGAUUAGACUAAGACGGAUCAUGAACUAAGAAAUAGACGCACAAAAACCAAUUUGGUUCACACAAUUUCACUGCAUAGGGAAAUUAGUGAAGCCCAGAAAAACGUUCAAAAUAUAAUUUUCCAGUGAAGAUCAAUCCUUUGAAUGAAAGCCGCUGAUACAACAUAAUUCUUCCAGCAAGUAGUAGUCCUAUUCCAUUACGAGGGGAAACAAAAUCCCGGUAAAUCAGCAAAAGCAAAUGAAGGAAAAGAAAUCCCAGUACAGAAUCAAGAAGCUUUUAGCACGGAGGAAACAUUCACUCCCUACACAAGGCGUAACUGAAGGGAUUUGACUGUUUUGGGAUCUCAAGGAAAAAUAUACUACUGUCACGGGUUCUUUAAUUUCCCAAAACGAAAUCACAUCACAAUCCCAAGAAGGAGCUGAAUUUGUACGUAAAUUCAAGCACUAGUAUUAUAUGAUUCACGAAAUCAUGCUGACCAAAAUGUACACUACAGUUUGCACGAUCCCAAUAAAUGGGAAUCACAAGUGGGAUCUCUUGUGAAAUGUGUAAAUGACAAAGUAAGUAAAGAACAAGAGUGGCGCUAUGCUAUUUGCUUAACUGGUUGUCUGAGAGAAAACGGCGAGGCGUAGAGCCCAAAUAUCCACGAAUCCGAACCAUACCGAUGCCAACCGAAGUGAACCCACUAACAUUAACCACCAUCCCAGUAGUUUCAUCUUCUCUUUCCUCCUUUUUUUUUCUUCUUCUUUUAAUUUUGUUUCCCUCUUUUCCUUUUCCCGUUUCUGGCCGCUGCUGCCCUGGGUCUGUGGCUACGCUCGUGUGUGUGAGGACUGAGUUAGUGUAAAGCAGUAGUACUACGGCUGCUUCUUUUUCUAAAGUUACUUCGUAGGCUAGAAUCUAGAUUUGCUUUUCUUUGCUGGAAUUAAAGUUGUUGACUUUUAUCAGUUAUUUUUUGGUAGGCCUUGUCAAAGUGGGCUUGAAGUCCACUUUUGAGACAAUAUUUGUGUGCGUGUAUAUAUAUGGUAUUGGAUCCAUUUGGGACUUGGCCCGUCUCAAUUUACAUCAAUUUCUUGCUUUCCUUUUACCCUCAUUAAAAAAAAAUUUUUUGUUUGCAAAAUUCAAGUAAUGGGCUUGUUUUACUUUAUUUUCAUAAAUUUGGUACUGGAAUUAGGUUAUGCCAUUUAAUAAUCCCCAACCAGAUGCCAUUCACCACAACGUGUGAAUUUGGAAUUUGAUUUUUGAUUAUGGUCACUUUUGACACCUUGCUUGGGAAGUGAGAAUAGGGGGCAAGAGAAAAGAUUCAGUAAUCAUUUAUCUCUCCUUUGCGAGUUAAAUCGAGGAAGAAGGCCAAAUUGCUUCCAAACUUAAAAUAGCUUUACUUCCAUAGUUGGAAAGAAAUGGGAGGGAACAAAAAAGGACAAUAGGUAUAAUUUCUGACGUAUCCAUUAUUACUAAUGAAUGUGAGAGUUUAUUCUAUGUUCCUUUACAAAAUACUAGAGUUGUGAGAUUUAACAAAUAAAAGAGUGGGAAAAAAAUGGAAACAUAGAAUGGAACAAAAAUUUUUUUUUAUCUUUUCUAUUUAUACUACGAUAGAUCAUCUAUAUGUAUUCUAGAAGGGGUUUUUAGCAGAAACCCUCUCAAUGGUUUCUAAACUUCUCAUUUUUUUUUCUAGAUUUUUGUAUUUAUUUUAAUACAUAAAAGUAGUGGGUUAUAACCAACAUUAUCAUCAAUCAAAUUUAAAUUUAAAAUAUUCCCACUAUCUCUUAACUCAUUCUACAACCACUCCUACAAAUCCUCUAAUACAUAAAAAGUAGUGGGUUAUAACUAACUCUAUCACCAGUCAAAUUUAAAAUUUAAAACUUUCCCACUAUCUACCAUCCUCUAAUCAUCCUCUCACGUUUCCUCCCACGUUUCUCACUCCAAUUAAGAGUCCUCCCAUUAAGAAUUUCACCUCAAUUAAAACUCCUCCAAACAUAGCAUCCUCAUUUCAACUCCGUCGUUUUUCUUUGUUUUCGGUUAUCUAUUGAUUUUAUUUUUUUUUUGUGAGCAGUUAUGGAAAAGAUUAUGUGUAGAGACAUCAACGGAAAUCAACCUUUUUGCAGAGAACUGGAAAUAUAUUCUUGCCGGCUUAAUUUUCCAGGUCGGUCCCCUCUGCCCCUCCUUUUUGUCAUGUUUUGCUUUUCUUUUGAGGUGAUUUGGCCUUUUACUUUGUUUUUUUUAACCUUUUAUUUUGGGGGCUGGCGGAUGGUUUUAAUUGCAUACAUAAUCAAUGCUUUAAAGAGGCCAUGUGAACAGUUGCGUUCUGUUUCUCUUUAGGCCAAUUGAUAUGGUCGACUGAUGACUUUGUCAAUAGUAGUGUCUUAGAUUUCUAAUAGCGGUGACAUACAUUGGAUAACCUGCAUUACAGACAUCUUUUCUUCUUUUUCUAUGUGGGAGUCCAGCCAUGCAAGAAUAUUCACGUUUUGAAAGAUACAUCCAUUCUCUUUUCUUUUCUCUUUCUCUCUCUCUUUCUCUCAGGUACGAAUUUUUUUUUCCUUUUGUUAUUUUAUGUCCUCCUAUCACUAGAUAUUAAUUUGGCUAAAUCUGAACACAAGGAUAUGACUUGCAUGCAAGGAAGAGGAAUCGCUUCUUUCCAUCUAUUAACCUUUUGAUGCACCUGAAAAUGCAUUCAUGAUAUUAAUGUGCAAAAAUCCAUAGUAGUGUUGCUUAAAUGAUAAAAUCUAGGUGUUAUCAUUUACAUGCAUUUUUAGUUUUCGUGUGCUAAUGAAAACAGUGACAUAAAAGAGUUUCUCUCUCUUGCCAACUUAAUGCAUGUUACUCUAUGAUAUGUUUGACGCAUCCAAGAUUUCUAUCCCACCAGGCCUUCUUCAUUUCAUCAUGGCGGUUACUUUAUUUUUUAUUUUUUGUAUUUUUAUUCUUCUCAGUUGAUUAAAACCUUUUUGUCACGUAGUGAUUCCAUGGACAUGAUUUGACAUUUAAUGAUGCAUGUUAUAACUUAUAAGGACAAACAUAACACAAUUUUGAUAAGCCUCUAUUCCUUUGCAAAGAUGCUACUCCACUUUGAUGUCUAUUGUUAAAGCAUAUUUCUAAAACUUAAAUUUGCAAUGUGUUAUUUCGAGUCCUGCCACUUAGGAUGAAGUCAUCCUAUACCUUCGUGUAGUAGGGAAUAUGAGUUCUGAUAGGUCAAUAUUUAUGUGUUUCCAUUUGCGUAUAGAGAGACCCAUGCUUCUUAAUACUUUUAGAUGUUAAUCAUACUUCAUUUUGGUAAGUCUUCUACAUGGAAUCUCUAUUGGAUGCUUGCACACAAGAACAUAGUGGGUUCAGGGAACCUCAUUGAGUCUGGAAUAGAAGCAAGACCCAAUAACAUUGUUUGUGGGAAUAAUAUUUGAAAAUACAAUGGAAAUGCCCGUGUACCAAAAUAUAUUUAUGUAGGGAAACCCAUGCAUACCCGUGCUACGCUAUGGUAUUUUUUAUUAUUUUCGAUUAUUCUCAAUACUGUAAUAUGUUCAUAAUAUUGAUUGAAUUAGUUUUAAUUCGAUCUCACCGUCCAAAUUUUUUAUUCCUUGAUCAUAAGAUCCAUGCACUUCACCACUCUGCUUAUUUUUGUUUUCUUACGUUUUAGAGCUUUCAUGGUUAGAAGAAUGAGUUAAUUCUAAAACGGAUGAAGACUAAAAUAAAAUAAAUGUUCGAAAUAUUUAGCGUUUUCAUCGUCUUACUUUUGAUCAUGUACUUUGUUGGUGCACUUUUAGUACUGUAAGAUUUACUGCUCUUUUAUAUGCUUUGGAUAUGAGUUGUACGGACAAGGGGCACAAACGGUUGCACCGUUUGUGCCGGUUGUAUUCAUUUUUCACUGCGCGUAACUUCCAUUGCACACGAUGUAACUUACUUUGCACACGACGUAAUUUUAUAACACUUUUUGUGGGCUCUACACAUAGCGUGAAAAUCGAGUUACAUGCUGUAAUCUGAGCCGCAUAAAUUUUUGAGGCCAUAUCGUGGCUGUGAACCUUCAAGAAUGGUUGUCACUAACAACCGUUCCUGCCCCAUUUCUGAGUUGUACGGUUGUUUUCUUUAUCAGUUGAACAGAUUAGACCAUAUUCCAUGCCGAGUUGACUUAGUUUGCCUAGCUUACUUGGAACAACAUAUGUUUGGUUAAAACCAAUGUUGACAACAACUCCUGAGGUUCGCCUUGCCACAAAUAAUGCUAAAACGGCCUAGAGUUAAUUCAGAAUACUCCAUCAGAAAAUAAAAAAAGACAAAUAAAUAAUUCUCAAUAAACUACUCUGCAAAUAACCAUUUGAAUUUACUAUAAACCAGAGCAUAAUUUAAACGAAUUACUGUUAUUAAAUUAUCUCAGACGAAAUCAAGACUUAGAAUUGUCUGGCAAGAGGGAGAUGACACACACUUCAAUUUUUUUAUGUGUCCAUUAGUUCAUGCCUAUAAAAUUAGUCCAGCGGCUUCCUUUUCAGGAUACAUCUUUCAAAAAAAGACAGUUCUUGAAUGAUAUACACAUUCUAUCAUAUUUCAAUCUAUUGUUAGACAGAUAUUACAUUUUUAUUUUAUUGGUACAAUUUUUUCACCUUUAUUUGUCCACCCUUUCAUUUUCAUUUUUUUCAAUAAUGUCAACACCGUGCGUAGCACGAGUAUUUCCACUAGUUUAUAUGUAUUGCAGAAGGGGUUUCUAACAGAGAUCCUCUCAAUGGCUUUCAAACUUUUCAUUUUUUUUUCUAGAUUUUUGUGUUUAUUUUAAUACAUAAAAUGUAGUGGGUUAUAACCAACCCUAUCACCAAUCAAAUUUAAAAUUUAAAACAUUCACACUAUUUACUUCAUGUUAUCACUUAUAGUUUGUUAUUUAUACUUUAAAUUCUUUUUACUCCUUAAUUAAAGACAAACUAGUGUGAAUACCCGUGCUAUGUACGGUGCUGAUAUUAUUGAAAAAAUAAAAAUAAAAGGGUCAAUUAAAAAAGAUUAAAAAAUUGCACCAACACAAUUAAAAUAUAAUAUCUGUCUAACAAUAGUUUGACAUAUGAUAGAAUGUGUAUAUUAUUCAAAAAUUAUCUUUUUUCGAAAGAUAGAUCCUGAAAAAAUAAUAGAAAUUAUAUUAGAAAAUGAAUAAUAUAUGAAUAACAAUAAAUGUAAUUAAAUGUUGUUAAAAUGAAAUACUUACAAAUAUUAUGCAUUCGAUUUGAUAAUCUUACACGAAGGUGCGAACAUUCUUCACACCAAUCAACUUUUUGUACGAAAGGUAAAAUUGGUGAUUUAAUUAAUUCUGUUGAAUUUUGUGGAAUGUGUACCACAAAUGAAAAUGCAUGAUCUUUGCAUGAAUUAAUUCGUUGGUUGAACAAUCUAUCACCAUUGUCCUGAGAAUUAAGUACGUGCAAAAUUCAAAAUUAGUGUAUUUUUUUUACAUAAUUUAUAAAUAGCAUUAUAAAAAAUGAACAUAUAUCAAGAAAUUCUACCUUCCUUUGUAAUUCUCUAAGAUAAGAAACAUCACAGCCAAAUACGAAUCGUGCAUGUCUGUCUUGUAGAUUAAGGUGCAUGUUACCACUGGAAUCUUUUAUUUGUAUGUUAACAUUGUACCUAUUUGACAAAUAAAAUGUCAUAUACAAUACAAAAAAAUUUGUUAAAAUUAAAGGUACAUGAAAUUAAUUAUCUAACAACAGUAUUGACCACGUCAUUACAAUACAUACACACUAUUUUUUAAAAAUGACUUUCAUAUAAUUAUCCACAAUUUUUGCAUAGCUCAUAGAAAAUAUUUUAUAUGUUAAUGUUCUAAAUGUAAGCAAGUAUUCGAAAAUAUUUAACCUAAUAAGAAUAAAAGAAAAUAUAGGUUAUGAUUAUAAAUUUAAAAAAUUUGUACAGUAAUUAUAUUAAAUAGAAUAAAUUUACUGUAUGCAUGAUUGUAUAUUCGAAUAUCCGUAUUCUUUUUGAAUUUGCUAUCAACAAUGCCUGUGAUUUUAUAAAAUUGCUUGAUCUCAACCACGUAACUAACUUUCGAGUACAUGUAUCAUUUUCAAACUUACAAUUUUUUGAAAUACAUGUUAAUAAGAGUAUGAAAUAACAUUAAAAGUUUGAUGUAGUAUUACUGAUGAAACUCACCAACUGCGCAGGUAUCGAGCAAAAUCUAAAUUGUGAUUAAUAUAUAAUUUGCUAACUCCAAUUGUACAAAGUGAUGGUCUUGCAUAAUAUGGUCAUAUUCGCUAAAAAACUAUUCAAAUUAUAUAGAGUAUAAGUAAAAACAUUUGAUUUACCUCUGAAAUUUCGUAUGCAAGUAAAAUAUUAUUUUUUGUAGAAGACUGAUAUUAUAGGAUUUGUAUUAUGUUGAAUAACUUGAUACUCAAAUCACCGAUGAGACAAAAUUUGCCUAAAUAAGUUUUACAGUAUCUUAACUCCUUGCAAAAAUGAAAAAAAAAAACACACUAAAUAGUCCUAAUUGGCAUCGCAAGUUAUGGCAACGUGUCAGUGGCAUCUAUGCCUAAUUUUUUUUUGGGGGUCAAAAUCUAGUUCUAAUUGGUUCUGCUGUUUCUUGAUCAUGUUGUAUGGUUUUGAAUUAAAAUUGUAUUAAAAUAGCAUGUGAAAGAGCAUUUAUCUUUAAUUAAGGAGUACAAAUGAUUUAAAGUAUAAAUAACAAACUAUAAACGAUUUAUGAAAUAAAUUAUGAAAAAGUUUUAAAUUUUAAAUUUGACUGGUGAUAGAAUUGAUUAUAACCCAUUACUUUUUAUGUAUUAAAAUAAAUACAAAAAUCUAGAUCCCACUACUUGUUCCGUUUUUUAGAUUUUUUUGGGUUAAAUAUAGUAAGUCCCUUAACUUUACAUUUAGCUGCACUUUACCCCCUCAAUUUUACAUUUAGUUGCACAUUUGUGAUUUUUUUGAAACGUGAUUAUAAUUUACAAAUUUCAUUUGUAGGGGUGGUUAUAGGGUUAGUGUGAUGACAAAUAUUUUUUAAUUAUAAAAAUGUAACAUUGUAUUAACAUAGCAUACGAAUGAGUAUUUGUCUUUAAUUAAGGAGUAACAAGGAUUUCAAGUAUAAAUAACAAACUAUAAACGGUUUAUGAAAUAGGUAGUGAGAAUAUUUUAAAUUUUAAAUUUGAUUGGUGAUAAGGUCGGUUUUAACCUACUACUUUUUAUGUAUUAAAAUAAAUACAAAAAUUUAGAAAAAAGAAUGAGAAAUUUGAAAGCCAUUGAGAGGGUCUCUGCUAAAAAUUCUUUCUGCAAUAUAUAUAGAUAUAGAUACUCAUUCGCAUGCUAUUUUAAUACAAUGUUAUAUUUUUAUAAUUAAGAAAGAUUUGUCACCACACUAACCCUAUAACCAUCCCUACAAAUGAGUUUUGCCAAUUACAAUCACAUUUCAAAAAAAUCACAAAUGUACAAUUAAAUGUAAAAUUGAGAGAGCAAAGCGCAGCUAAAUUUAAAGUUGAAAGGCUUACUAUAUUUAAUUCUAAAAAAAAAUUUCAAGAACAGAACAAGUAGUGAGUUAUAGAUUUUUGUAUUUAUUUUAAUACAUAAAAAGUAGUGGAUUAUAACCAACCCCAUCACCAGUCAAAUUUAAAAUUUAAAACUUUUUUCAUAAUCUAUUUCAUAAACCGUUUAUAGUUUGUUGUUUAUAUUUUAAAUUCUUUUUACUAUUUAAUUAAAGACAAAUACUUAUUCACAUGUUAUCUUAAUACAAUUUUAAUUCGGAGGCAUACGACAUGAUCAAAAAUAGCAGAACCAAUUAAGACUAGGUUUUAGCCAAAAAAAAAAAACUAGGCCUAAAUGCCACUGGCACGUUGCCGUAACUUACGAUGUCAAUUAGCACUAUUUAGCGUCUUUUUUCUUUUGCAAAGAGUUAGGACACUGUAAAAUUUAUUUAGGCAAACUUUGCCUCAUCAGUGAUUUGAGUAUGAAGUUAUUGAAUAUACUACAAAUCCUAUAAUAUUAGUCUGCUACAAAAAAUAAUAUUUUACUAGCAUGUGGUAUUUGUGUACAAAAUUUCAGAGGUAAAUCAAAUGUUUUUACUUAUAUUCUAUAUAAUUUGAAUAGUUUUUUAGCGAAUAUAACCAUACUAUAUAGGACCAUCACUUUGUACAAUUGGACCAGGCAAAUUGUAUAUCAAUCACAAUUUAAAUUUUGCUCGAUACUUGCGCAGUUGGUGAGUUCCAUCAGUAACACUGCAUUAAAUUUUUAAUGUUGUUUCAUACUCUUAUCAACAUGUGUUUCAAAAAUUAUAGGUUUGAAAAAGAUACAUGUGCUCAAAAGUCAUUUACGUGAUUGAGGUCAAGUAAUUUUAUAACAUCACAAGUAUUGUUGAUAGCAAAUUCAAAGAGAAUAUGGAUAUCCGAAUAUACAAUCAUGCAUACGGUAAACGUAUUCUAUUUAAUUUAAUUACUGCAUAAAUUUUUUAAAUUUAUAAUCAUAACUUAUACCUUCUUUCAUUCUUACUAGGUUAAAUAUUUUCGAAUACUUACUUACAUUCAGAGUAUUAACAUAGAAAACAUGUUCUAUGAGUUAUACAAAAAUUAUGAACAACUAUGUGAAGGUCAUUUUUCAAAAACAGUGUGUAUGCAUUGUAAUAACGUGGUCGAUACUAUUGUUAGGUAAUUAAUUUCAUGUACCUUUAACUUCAACAAAUUUUUCUGUAUUGUAUAUAACAUUUUAUUUGUCAAACAGGUACAAUAUUAACAUACAAAUCAGAUAUUCCAGUGAUAACAUGCAUCUUAAUCUACAUGACAGACAUGCAUGAUUCGUAUUUAGUUGUGAUGCUUCUUAUCUCAGAGAAUUACAAAAAAAGUAGAAUUUCUUGAUAUAUGUUUAUUUUUUAUAAUGCUAUUUAUAAAUUAUGUAAAAAAAAUACAGUAAUUUUGAAUUUCGCACGUACUUAAUUCUCAGGACAAUGGUGAUAGGUUGUUCAACCAAUGAAUCAAUUCAUGCAAAGAUCAUGCAUUUUCAUUUGUAAUACGCAUUCCACAAAAUUUAAAAGAAUUAAUUAAAUCACCAAUUUUAGCUUUCGUUCUAAAAGUUGAUUGAUGUGAAGAAUGUUCGCACAUUCAUACAAAAUUAUCAAAUCGAAUGCAUAAUUUUUUUAAGUAUUUCAUUUUAACAACACUUAAUUACAUUCAUUUUUAUUCAUAUAUCAUUCAUUUUCUAAUAUAAAUUUUUAUUAUUUUUCAGGAUCUAUCUUCCGAAAAAAUGUAAAUUUUGAAUAAUAUACACAUUCUAUCAUAUUUCAAACUAUUGUUAGACAGAUACUAUAUUUUAAUCGUGUUGGUACAAUUUUUUAACCUUUUUAAUUCACCAUUUUAUUUUUAUUUUUUUUAAUAAUAUUAGUACGUGCAUAGCACGGGUAUUCACAUUAGUUUUUAUAUGUAUUCAUAGAUUCUUUUUGCUUACAUAAAUGUAUAGUAUCAAAAGAUAUGCAAAUCGUUCUUGAAAUAAGAGAUGAAGGCUCUAGUGUAAGUGACAAUCAAACAAGUCUUAAUUAAAGAAUUAAGGAAUAGACAAAACGAGGCACGUUUCUAGCUACUAGAUAUGCUAAACAGAUUGGGAUUAUGAAAGUUGGUUGCCCGAUAACAUUGGAAGUAUAGACUUCCCUGCAAGCUUAGGGCAAACUCAGCUCAAUUUGAUUGAAGAUGAUUUACAUCAUGUUGUUUACGGACCUUAACAAAAUGUUCCUCUGCGUAUUAAUUUGGUACAUGUCUAAUUAUUAGUGGAUCACAUAUACAAAGCUAAGAUCGACGAGUGCGAUCUAAAUAGGGUGAUACGACUAAGAAAGAGCGGGCUGGCUUGCAAGAGAACCGAACCACGGUACUAACUCCUCGUAGUGACUCUGACGCUCAAGUCAGUCAAGAGUUUAAGGGUUUCAAACGAGUUAAAUAUAUUCAGUUGUGUACCUUUCCAUCGCUCAAUCCUCUAUAAUUUAUAGGACUUAUCUAGAGCUGUAAACGAACCGAAUCGAAUCGAGUAUCUCAUGUUUGAGCUCUAUUCGUUAAACUGUUCGAACAAUGUUCGUGUUCGUUCGUUAAUUUUCGAACUUCAAACCUGUGUUCGUGUUCAGCUCAUUAAGAAAAGUUCGCGUUCGAGUUCGUGUUCGUAUUCGGCUCAUUUAACAUAAACGAGCCGUUCGCGAACACGUUCAAAUAGUUCGAAUCCAGAUUAUUCUAGACCUUAAAUAUGUAACACAAAUCAUUAAUCAUCCUAAAAAAUAAUUAAAAUACUAAAUAACUAAAUUUCAUUAUUCAUUAACUACAUAAUCAACAUUAACAUAAAAAUAACCAAUAAAACAAAGUAAUUUGUCCACCAAGCUUUAGAAAUUAAAAUGAGUACAAUGAGCUACAUCCUUUCAAUCUGGAAGUAUAACUUCUUCAUAUGUCUUGAAGUCAUCAACAAUUGAUGAUUCCUACCAAAGGAAAAAAUGAAUUAGAAUUAAGUAAGAAUGGUGAAUUUAUAAAAAUUGUAGAAAUAAAGAAACAUAACAUAUAUGAUAUAUUACCUUUAAUUGCAUUUGAAGGCUUAAAUAUUGAACAGAUUUUGUAGAGAGAGAAAGUAGAUUUUGUAGACAAAUCUUUGAAGGGUUACUGAGAAAGAAAUUAUGGAGUGGCCUUCUUAUUUAGAUGAAUAUCAAAAGCUUGUGAUUCGUAUAAAUACUCCUAGGUAUGCUACUAACUUUACUCCCCUGUUUCUUCUUCACUUGUUUAUUGGUUGCUGGGUCUACUUUUCCAGAUUUUGUUUCGAUUCUUCAUCCGAGAACAAGAAGUUAGUAUGAAGAUUUUUCGAUUCUUCACUUGUUAUUGGUUGUUGGUUGUUGGGCCAGGGUCAGAUAACAAGAAGUCAGGAUGAAGAUUUUGUUGAAUUUUUUGUUGGUUCAUUCCUCUGUUUUCUUUGUUUUCUGGGUUGCCUUGCAGUAAACAAUUUUUUGGGGGAGAGAAACAAAAAAAAGAAAAUGGAAACUACUGCAAAUAUUUUCCUUUCCAUUUUUCCCAAUAUUCACUCCAAACUUCUUGUGAUUUCCAACCUCAAAAUAUUCAGAAGCUAGCUGAUUAUAAGCUUAAAGUAACAAGAAGUCAGAUGCCUUCAAGCUUGCAAUCAAAUUCAAUCUAAUGAAUUCAAAAAAUUCUAGAUUGAGAAACACAAAUUCAUAGAUCUGUCAAAAAUCAUACCGAAUCAAAGGAAGGAGGCACGUGAUCUCCGAAGUCAGCCAGCCACCAAAGAAGUUGAUUGGGGCAACUUGAACUCCAGUCUCUCUUAGCAGCUUAUGUGAUCGGAGAUAGCUUAUCAGCAGCAGCCAACGGGAAAUGAACGGUUUCAAUUUGGACUUUGGACGAUAGGAACUAGAAAGCCUAGAACAGCAGCGGCCAACGGGGAAUGAAAACAAAAGUGAGGUUGGAAAGAGGAAAGUCUUAGAAUUUCUUAUGAGUAACCCUAAAUUUGUCAAAUGAUAAUUAUAUCCAUGUUCGCGAACGUUCGUAAAAAUUCGCGAACAUGUUUGUGUUCGCUCGAUUAUUAAAUAAAUAAAAAAUUUCGUUCGAACUCGGUUCGUUUAAGGUUUCGAACGAGCCUUUAACGAACACAAACGAAUUGAAAUGAAUUGAGCUAACGAACAGUUCGGUUCGUUUAACAGCUCUAAGCUUAUCCAAUAAGCUAUGAAGGCAUUAAAUUUAUCCUCUUACCCCAUAGUAGUUAUCUCGUUCGAGAGUAUGAAUCUCUUAGAUUACUAGAGGUAGAGUCCUCAUCAAAUUCAAGCUCUGCCCUUAUCACGCGAGCCCCAAAUUGGGAUGUUUGUUGCUCCACUUAUGUUUGGGAAUCGCCCGAGCAAGACAUCUCAGCACUGACACGUGUCGUCAAAGGGUUUUUCCUCCUCACUAAGCAUUUAGGUAUUCUCUUCCUUUUAGUUAUUCUCUUUCUUUUUUUUUUUGAGUGAAAGGUUUUAAAUUCAGAAUCUUUUAUUUACAAUCUUUUCUAUCUUACCAUUCAACCCAUCCCCUCCCCAUUCUCUUCCAUCUAAUGCAUGUGGAACAUAUCUAAAUUGAAAAAGAAGGGCACAUAAUGAAGUUUUUUUAGGCUGACAUGAGAUGGCUUAGUUAAUUUAUACACUGUUGGAAGCCAAAAAAAAAAAGAAAAUAAUAUAUUAAAGUUUUUCUAUUUGAUGUGCUUGCAUCAUAUGACGAUGAGUGUAUGAACCAAAAAGGGUCGAUUCUCUAUAAAAAAAAAUCUAAAUUACCAUAUGUAAAACCUAAAAUUAAGGUUUUAAUAAUAUUGACUCCCCAAAGUUAUAGCAUUGAGGAAUUAAAAUCAUCACGCAAAGUGUAUAUGUAAGAGAGAAAAAGGGUAAAUAACUCACACUAUCAUUAAUAUCUCAAACAAUACAAAAAAAGUCAAGCUAUAAUAAAAAUAGCCCACGUCUCUCAUACCCUAAGCCAACAAUACUUGGAGAUUAAAAAAUGAUCAUAUAAGUAAUUACCUACUAAAAUACCAAUUAGUAAAUAUGAAAACAGUUACAAAACUGACUCCAAUAAACUAGUAAGUAAAUAAAUAAAUAGAAACUGCUAAGCUUCAUUUAUUAUACCAACACCCUCUACUCUUUACUUCCCCGUCACACUUUGAUAGUCCUGUUUCUUUUUUCACACAGUUUAAGAAAAAGGUAGUUAAUUUUGUUAGAAAAGUAAAUUUAGAUUGCUAUUUUCCUAAAAUACCCUCACAUUAAAUAGAGUACAAUUUUAUGAGAACUUGAAUUGAUGGUAAAAAAAGAAUAAACUCUCAUUAAAUAGAGUAGGUUUAUAGUAACAACAACUUACAUUAAAUAUGGGUAUUUUAGAAAAAUUUAAAUACAACUAGAUUUUUCAAUUGAAAAGUAGACUACAAUUUGGGACAGACAAAAAAGGAAAACAGAACUAUUAAAGUAGGACAGCGGGAGUAUAUUGCAACACUUCAUGUCGUGCACUAGUUAUUAGGGCCCUAAAUACCCGAACUCAUAAACCAAACAACUUAAUGCCUGAUAAUUUUCUAUUGUAUAUUAUUAGUCCACCAAUUGAUUUGAAUUUGACUUGAACCAUGGGGCAAGGAAGCGUUUGGUAGUUAACCUUCAUCUUGAAAUUUGAGAUAGUUAAUAUGUUCGUUAGUCCUUUGGAAACAUUUAUUUCAGUGUAGUUUCUUAAAUGUUUGUAACCUUCUAGUUUUAUUAAAUCUGCGGAAUAAUGCCAGCCUUGUACUGGGUCGAUAGGAGCAAAGGCCAUCGACCAAAUAGUCACUGGUGUACUGCCAAGGCGCAUGAAUGCAAGAGAAACCAAGAAGCCAAAGGGUAUUCUAUUCUCAAACUGCACAAGAUAUGACUUGAGCUUGAGGGCAAGUUAGUACUCCCUCCGUCCCAUUUACUUAGUCUUGAUUUUUUUUUCACACAGAUUAAGAAAGUGUAAUUAAUUUGGUUGGAAACAUAAAUUUAGAUUAAUAAUUUCCUAAAAUACCCUUAUGCUAAUAACGAAGAGUGCAUUGGAAAAGCUCAAUGUAUUCAAUGUAAUGGGUUAGUAUUUAAUAACAAUGUAUUAAUAACAAGAUAUUUAAUAAGGGUAUUGUAGACAAUUUGAAAGAUCAUUACAUUUCUUAAUGGGAAAGUGGACUUCAAUUUGGGACAGACCAAAAAGGAAAACAAGACUAUCAAAGUGGGACGGAGGGAGUAUUAUAGUAAUUAUUAUUCAUGCUCGUACUCCUAUAUAGUUUCAUAAUCAAUCUUUUUCCCCUUUCACUCCUUUAAUUUUCUUCUGUUAACAGUUUCCGAGCUAUCAACUUCCCAGAAAAAACAAACUAUAUAUGAAAGCUGGAAGUUUGGUUUAAUUAAGGCCUAGUGUGUCAGGUUGUUAAACGUGGGCUUAAAGAAAGAGGGGAAAAAAUGUAAAGGUUACAGCUAUAGAAAUUAAGGGAAGAAGUUGUUGAUCCACUUUGGGGCUGGCUGAGCAACAAUUUCUUCCACUAUUUUAAUACAACUUUUCGAUGAUGAUAACAAGAAAUAGGUCAAUCAUCCAUCAGUACCAACGUAGUAUUUGAUUAGUUCACCCAGCAACCAACAAUACAUAUAGGACAAGAGAGGUGACUUGUAGCUCUAGAGUCAGAAGUUAGGCAUCCCGCAUUUGGAUCAAUGGUCAGUAGAGCUUUUAGUUUCAGACGAAGUUUUCAUUUUGCAAUUUGGUGGGAAGGCAGAAUAACACAAUGCAUUUAAUUGGAGCAGACAGCGUUGAGUAACUACCCAACGCAAUUCAGUUCCCUUGCCAACAAUUGAUUCUUACAUGAACGAAGGGAAUCAAAAAGUAGGCAAAUUUUUCUUGAAAUAUGAACUGGCUGGUCAUUUAAAUGCAUAUGUAUGGCAAGACAUGAUACUAUACGAAGCGGACGGUCAUAAAGAAUGUAAGAACCUUCAUGCUAACAUGAGAUCUUGGCAUGCGGGAUCGCUUGGAAAUUGCAGCAAAUAGACCUAAUGAAGAACACUUUCUUCUAGUAGAAAUGCUAAACAGCUCGGGAUUUGUAUGAAGUUUCGAAAAUUGGUCGCCCGAUAACGUUAAAUUGUGUAGAUUUCCCUACAAGCUUACAACAUCUCAGCUCAAUUUGAUCGAAAAUGAUUUAUACCAUGUUAUUUAGAGAUGCGUAACAAAAUGUUUGUCCGUUUUAGGUACUUCAAUAUGCAUAUUAAUGUUGUACAAUGUCUCAAUAUUUGUCGAUUACAUACACCAAUCUGAGCAUUUAUCAGGGAAAAAAGUUCUUUUUUUUUUUUUGGUGUGAAAAGCCAGUGAGGAAAGUUCUUUUACGGAACAUGACGUAAGCUUUUUACACAUUGGAAACCAAAGAAAAAAAAAAGAGUAAUACAUUAAGAUUUUUCUAUUUCGAUGCCCUUUUUGUUUAAGUGUAAGUAAAAGAUUUAAGAUAUCUCAAUCGCACUCCCUCUUCUCUUUCUUGUGCCGUUCAAUUCAUUCCCUCCCCUCCAUUUCGUUGCUUUGCGACACAUGACAAAUACGUUGAGCAAAAAAAAAAAAAAGAAGAAGAAGCAGACCUUCUGUAAAAGGUCUAAAUUAUCAUCAUCUACUUUCUAAAUUGCACUAACUUUUUUCAUCUUAAAAAACAACACCAAGUCCACUUCAUAUCGGGUGACCGUCUAAUAUACAUUACUCCACUAGUUAAUGUCUAUUUGACCUAGACCAUCGGGCAAGGAGUUUGGCAGCUAAGCUUCAUCUUGAAAUUGAGAUGGGGUUAACAUGUUGCUUUAACCCUUAAUAUUAUAGAAACAUUUCAUUUUAGUCUUGUAUAUCUGUCGACGACGGUCUGUAGGAGGGGGCCUGGCUGUUAAAUGUGGGGUUAGAAGGCGUCUAAAAAAAGAAAACAAAACAAUACAAAAACACUAAACGUUACAGCUAUAGAGAUUUAAUCAAGGGAAGAAGUUGUUGAUCUACAAUGGGGCUGGAUGAGCAUCAAAUUAUUGCACUAAUGCAUGUGAUCAACAAGAAUGCUACAAAUUAGGUCAGUCAUCGAUCAGUGUCAACAUAUUUGAUUACUUAAGCAAGCAACCAACAAUGCACAUAGGAAAAGAAAGAGAGCGACUUUUUUAUUUUUUUAUUUUUAUUUUUUGCCAGCAAUGAUACAUUGUAUAAUCUAUUCUAUCCUAAUCUAAAAAAAAAUAAGAAUCUAAAAAGACUUGUGUAUUAAAGGCCAGUGAAUAUACAAAUCCUAUUGAAUUAAAAAAUGUUACAAUCGUUUUUUUUUUUUUCUGCAGUUGAGGAGGGGCUCCCUGGUGGCCACUGAGCUUCUUGUAGGGUCAGAAAUUAGGCAUCCCGCAUUUGGAUCAAUGGUCAGUGGCAGUUUCAGAUAAGUUUGCAAUUUGGGAAGGCAGAAUAACACAAUAUGAAAUUUGGGGUGCAGACAUCUAAGUAAUGCAAUUCAAUUCCCUUGCCAACAUGCAAAAAAGUCCCUGGCUCAGUCGCUGUCUCUAAGAAACUGACAGUGACCCUCACAUUUGCCCCAGCCACAAGUGUGGACUGCCUUGUGCAGCUUUGCAGCAGUGCACUAUUGCAGUUGCAGACUUGGAUUUGCUUGCGUUGCUCUACAGCUAAUGAAGCAAUCAUAACCAUACAUAAAUACUUCCCCACUGACAGUAAAAUAUUUGAUUCUGGUUCCAUCUAACCAUGCCAAGCCAAAGCCAGCAAAUCACCGCCCACAACCCAUGACCCACCGCCCUCCCCCCCGCCCCCGGUCGUCUAACCUGGUCCCCAAAUUGCCAGCACCAUACAAACAAUUAGACUACUGUUAAUAACAGUCUUGCAUGCACCGUUUACUGCAACGGUUUCUGGGCUCUAAUUUUUCUCAGCAUCUGAUUUUCUCAGUCUAUGCAAGCAGGAAAUUGCCAUUCCUAUACAUACAACUGUUCAGUCCUCAGUCUUCAGUCAUGCCAUGGCUACAUAAAUCAUGUUAGGAUCUAAAUGCGCAAUAAACAACAUUGAGAUAUCAAAUGCACAAUAAUUUAAUAGCAAAUAAGUCAUAAGCAUGAAAGAUAAAUGACACAUAAUAUUUAACGUGGUUCGACUCCAUCAUUGAGCCCACGUCUAUGGAGAGAAACAUGUUCUUUAUUAUGAGAGGAAAACCCUGUACAAGAAUACAACUUGAACCCAAGCCCAACCCUUGUAUACCAUCUCUAAUCUCUCAAAAACCCUCUCUCACACCCCAUGUAUAAGGUUACACGAUGCCUCUUGUGUCUCCUUGUAUGUUUCUGUAGUAUGUCAAUCUACUUAUUUAUAGAGAAUAUUACUGUCAAAAAACCAAAUAACAAUUAGAAAUCAGUACUAUUUCCUAAAUUCAUAUAUAGUAGAAAAUAUCAUCUAAUUCUAACUAAAUAGGGCUUUACUUGACUACUACUUCAAGUAACUAAAUCCAAUUAAGAAAUUAGUUACUUCCCAUGUCAAAUAGAAAUUUUGACUAAAAGAAAUUAAGUCAAUUUCCUAACAAAUCACGUGCCCUCUUUCUCUCUUCCACGCAUUCAAUACAAUUGACUAGCAGCAGCCAAGCUGUACUCUACUAUCGGCGGCAAUGGUACAGUAUUUAAUUCAGAAAAUGGGGUGGUUUUUUCUACCACUGCUUUUUUACGUUAUUUUAUGGUCCCAGACCAGAACCUUAUUGGCUUUUGGCACAGCUAUGCAAACAGCAGAGAGGUCCCAGUCCCACAACACACCCUACCGUAUGCACGCUGAACAAUCUUCUACCGAACUCCAUUGCCCCCUGCACCACUCCUGCAGGGGACCCUCUUACGCGCGGAGAAGAAACUAGAAAAAGGGUGUAAUUAAUUUGGUUCUCCCUCGUUCUAGAGCAUCACACCGCAUAGUAGUAUAUGACUUUCACACACAAUCCCUCCAACCUUGCUUCAAAUUCCAAUUUACUUAGUAACAAACUGUUGUACAUUUUUUUGAUAAAAAAAAAAAAGGAAAGUUUCAACUCCAUUCACUGUUGCGGUCAGAUUAUGCCUCAAAAAACAUAAGUCACUUACAUGAAUUUUUAUAAACCGGUAGAUCACCUGCACAUGAACAUGAUGUAUUUAAAAUUUCUUCAUUAAAUUUUUUUUUUAGAAAAACAGUUUUUUUGAAGGAAUAAAAGUAAUUGGGACAAAAAAAAGUGAUAUUUAAUAUUUAUAUUAUUUUAUUUAUUUUGUGAACUUGGUUUUUCCUGACCAAUACAAAUGCACAAGCAAUAAAAUAUUUUUUUGUUCCAAGAGCACUUUUAUUUUGUAACGAUAUCAAUGUUUUUGUUUUUCUGUUAAAUUUGGAUUAUGUUAUUUGAAUUAAAAUUUUGAAUUUUAUGAAUAAUUUAUCACUCCUUUUUAAGUCUAAUUAUUACUAUUUUUUUGCCAAUGGUGGAUUGUAAAAUAAUCUACAUUGCUAUUGUAAUUAUAAUAGUGCUUAAAUAUGUUGAAAUUCCAUUGUUCAAAAUUUAAAUAGCUUAACUUUAAAAAUAAAUGUUUUGAUACGAUGAAAUUUAUUUGUAUUUUUCAUCGAUAAUAUACUUUAUGAUUAUAAAAUUUAUAUGAUUAAAAAUUAUAAGUCGUUAAAAUUAUUUAUUAUAUAAUAGUCAAAUUGAACUCAUAUGUAUUUCUAUUCACCUUUUUCUUUGAAACUGGAUAUUGUGUGUGUGUGUGUAUUGGUUUAAUUCACCAUAAUUCAAAGGGAUGUUUCACCUUUGAAAUUAUUGUUAUGAUUGACAUUGGUGCAUAUAAUAUUCAUUAGUUGUAGUUUAAUGCUAUUAGUUCUUACUAGAAUAUCAUUAAUAAAGUUCAUCAAAUUUAAUUUUUGUUGCAAUUUAAAUAAAUAAAUUUCCAACAUAAAACUCUUUGCCUAUCCUGGUACUCCAUCUCUUAUUAUAUAUUUUGUGUUAAAAUUUCCUAUACUAAUAUAUGCAUACUAAAAAAUUGCUCUUAAAGCUUAACUUACUUAUAUCCAAAAAACAAAAAUACUCGUGGUACUUUUUAAAAGAUCCGUAGUGCCAAUUUAUUAUGUUUUGUUUCAUGUUUGAAGUAUUAUUUAAACUUGGAUAUUUUAUAAAUAAAAUUUGUUCUUCUUUCUUUUGGUAAAUAAAAAUGUAAGAAAUUUUCCAUUUUUUUUUUUUUGUAAUUGCAAGCAUAUUUGAUAUUAUUUUUUAAUGAAAUGCAAUGUAGCUUAUCCAUUUAUUAGAGAGGAGUGUAAUUUUGACAUCGCAAAAACUAAUGUCAUUUUUUUUGGCUUACACUAUAACCACUAAUGUUUCACCAUAUUUUGUUAUAAUUUAUAAAUAAAAUUUGUUCUUCUUUUUUCGUUUUAAUUAACCAUAACUCAAGGGAAUAUUUUUCAUUCUUGUAAUUGUUGUCAUACUAAGCAAUGAAUUAGUUGUUCUUUUUUGUUGGCUUAAUUCAACAUAACUCAAAGAUUGUUUCUUUGUAACCGUUAGCAUAAUUCUUAUUAAUUAUUAAGAAAAUAAAAUGUGAUUUGUCUAUUUAUUGGUAUUAAGGGCAAUCUUAAUAUCCAUAAAACUUAGAUCAACAGUCACUUAUACACAAUUACACACCAAAACUCAUCAUACUCCUUUUUUUAUAUAGUAAUGAUAACUGUAACGAUUAUUUAUCAACACAAUUCUCACGUCAGGUAUCACUCACUAAUACAAUUUACAUAUUGAUAGGACUAGAAUCGGUAUUUUUAUUUUUGUUAAUCGUCACUUUUUAUCUAUAUAAUUAUACUCUAUCUUAACCUAAAAGGAAGGUCCAAUUGAGCCUACCGAUGGAAAUUAAAUUAGAAUCGAAUCAGACGGGGUGCACUACGUAUCCAUCUGAAUUUUUUAUAGAAGUCAUGUAUUGUGAUAAUUAAUAGGAGGUAAGGAUUGAAUUCUUAACUUCACGCUGCACCAAACUUUAAAAUUUUGAUGGUGAUCACUGACCCAAAGAGUAACCAGUCAAACGCAUCUUUAUAGGGCUAGUAACCAGUCCCACUAUUGUGCUAUUGACAACUUGUAAUGUCAACAGACCGGAAACGGUAGUUUAAAUGAUUCAUUGGGUUCUAAAUAGUAAACCCCGUACUCUAUUAUGCAAAGAAAGACUUGGAAAGGACUGGUAAUGAUUUCCAUGCCCACUGAAAGCACCUCCAGAUUUGGUGCGUACAGCUAAGCUAAGCCAAAUUCAAAUGGUUGUAGCGUAAUCUAUUACUUUGAUAUGCUAAAGCAUUACAGCUAUCUCCCAACACCCUUAAUGACAUGAUUUUAAUUAUCCCAACCCUUCAGUUUUCAAACCUUGCGUGCAGGCGACAUCAUCCUCCAUCUGCCCAAUCGUCAAUUGACAUUACUUCAUUUCACAAUUUGAUUAUGAUUAGAAACUUAUCUCUCUGUUUUUUUUCCAAUUUUCAACUGACCUACUCCACAAGGACAACAACAAUAAUAUCACAUCUGUAGUGGAGUCAAGCUCGCAUAACGCAGAAGAAUGCUCAGCAGAAAAGUGUAAUACAUUACCUCAAGAAAAGACCGAACAAAAGAAUUACGUACCAUCUAGAAAAUCACUUCAACGUAUGCUCAAAUUAACGCAAGCGUUAUUCAGUUAGGCGAUCAACUUGGACAGAUAUUAUCACAAGAGAAGAAGAAACCACCCUUGACAAACCAAGAAAUGGUAAAACCCCAGAAAAAAAAAUACAUUUAAUUAGCCACACACCUAACAAAAAAACAGGGGUGCCCUGUCAGUCCCAAGUUUUCCACUCUCUCUUAUACACAAAUCAAAUGCUAUAUAGGCUAUAUAGGCCUAUAGCAAUCUCUCGUUAGUAGUACUACUACUAAAAACUAAUCGCCAUUAGACAAUCUCCUAAACGACGACGGAUCACAAAAAACCAUCAUCAUCUUUUUAAUUUCUUUUUACCACUCGCAAAUACCCCUAAAAAAUUAUGUAAUGCAAGUAAAAAUGAUCAGCAGGGUAAAUCCUGUGGAGGGCACAAUUCUUUGCGCAACUUUUGCGAGAAAAGCCGACACGCAUCCAUGCUAAGAUCAACGGCAGCUGACAGAGCCACGUACGCAGCUGCAUCCUCCGUGCAGUUCACGUGCUGCACACUAACUUCCACCGUAGGUGGUCUAUUACAUUUGCUUUUUCUGCCGUCACCCUCCCCUGCCACCCUGGCAGACAUCACAAACCCCCUGUACACGCAGUAGGGCCACAACCCAUAUCCGAAGUCCCCGCUGCUCCUAGGGCUACACGCCGGUGACGCCACGCUCCCAGGGGUCGACCUCCCAUUGGCCGUUCCGCCGGCACCACCCGCGGGUGACCCUGAGCCCAGGUCUAUCACGAACUUCCCGCCUUUGCUGCUGCUCAAAGUCGACUCGGCUAAGACUAUCCCGGCAGCAGCGGCUGAGUCGGGGAUGAGUUCGAACCGGUAGCCGAGGCCGUCCGCUGAGCCGCGCUCUCGCCAGGCCUCCAGCCGGCCCCACGGCUUCCAGGUGCCGUCCCCGGGGCGUAGGAUGAGCCACGAACCGGGAUUGGACCGGCUCACCCGGUCUGAACCGGGUGAAGCCACAAAUGGAGUGACCAUUGAAGCAGCUGCCACGGGCGAACCGGACAGGUCGUGGACCGUAAUGGACCAUCCUUUUCGCUCCUUUCCGGGCCUCUCCCUUUCGCUCCCAAAUGAACUUAGCCAGCCCCGUGAACAACUCAGCUCCGACGGCAACGACCUAUAUUUAUUUAUUAUAUUAUAUUAUAUAAUAAUAACAAUAAAGCCCAAACAGGACCCAAAAAAAAAUUUAAUUAUUACGUGUAAAACACUAAAGAUUAAUCAAACAAAGUAAACAGUAGUAAUUAAAAGCGUGACAGAAAAUAAAGGUAGGGAUCUUUGCUUUAAAUUGAACCUAGGGAGCUCGAACAAGAUACUUGUAUAAUUAGGCCCUGUAAAGAUAUCUUACUAAUGUAUUAAGUACCCUUUUAAGCUCUAAUUUUCGUUAUAAAAGAAGAGUAAAGUAAGUUCUACCUAGUAAAAAUUUGCCUUUAUCGUACAAUUCCAGCAAGCAUUUAUUCUUCACUUUCACACUUUUUUUUCCUAUUUUUUACCAAAAAUAGUACGCAUCGAAUUAAUACUACUUUGGUAGAGAGAUUAUUAAAUACUAGUAAUGCUCAACAACAGGAAAGGCCAGUAGAGUUUUAGUAACAUUAUUUUAAGUACUCAUGCAAAAUUAAAAGCAAAUUGUUGAAACACAGAAAAGAAAAGGAAGGGAAUUAGGGGGGAAAAAAAAAAGAAGUAAAAACUGACCAGGAACGUUGAUUGCGGUCGGGGGCGGAGCGGAAGCUGAAUUUGCAAGUGAAAACGGGUUGACGGAUGCUUCCUUGAAUCUGAAACACUUGCGGGCUGCAUUCCGGUUCUCCGUCGAACUGGAAAACGAACCUCGGGUCGGGUUCCGACUUGACGUUCAGGUGAAACUGGGCACUGGAGUUUUUGGAUUCUUUGCCCACAUUAAUCCACCCGUUAUGGAAAAUCACAGCCCUAGUCUCGGUUCCCGCCAGAUCCAGCGGCACUCUAAUUUUCCCCAAUAAUCUCCCGGAAUUCACGCCGCAAGUGGUGCCCCGGCCGCCGGUGUAGAUCGAGACUGUGAGGUGAAGCCUUUUCGAACUCCCACCGAAGAGUGAUUUUCCGGCGAGCUUCUCGAGAUCCGACUUGCCGAGAUUGAACGUCGCCGCGGCUGCUGAGGCCUGGACUUGUGCGGCGCCGUCAGGGGACUGAGGCUCCGGAGUAAUGUACGGGACUACAGCCGUCUGGAGAGGGAAAUUCUUGAGCUUUAUCUUACAAUAACACGGCGACGACGAGGGGUGAACCACGGACCUCGCCGGCUUCGCCGCCACCGGGAUUUUCAGCCCCAGAUUACCCACAGUAAGUCGCACGAAAGGACACGGAUCCAUGUGAAACACUCGUGCCCUCCGGAGCGAGUUGAGUCAACCCAGCUCGGAGAACAAACCCCAAGACUAAAGCAGCUACGACUUCAGGAGGGUUUUUAUUGUUAGGCUCUAAAGUGAGGAGGCAAAGGAGAGAAAAGGGCUGAAGGGAAAAGGAAGGAGAGUCAUGGGAAAGCGUGAAGUCGAGCUCCUCUAAAUGCACCAAAACGAUAACCAAAAUUUGACGUUAUAUCAGAAACUUCAGCCAUGUUUUUGGAGAUAUCGUCGAAGAGUUACUUAUCUGGAUUCUGAUUUUAGGUCACAAGCAAAAAAAAAAACGAAAGAAAAAGGAAACUACGGGAUUUGUAUAUUUUGAACAGUAGGAUUUUCGUUGGAGGGUUUUGGAGUUUUGCUCAAUCGGAUGAGAUGAGUGUACGGGGAAGCGGAGGAGGUUACCAAAUUAAAACGAACUGUAGGGAAGAGGGAAGUCUUGGGGCGGGGCUGUGGAUUACAGCUGUGUACAAGCUGGAAUUUGGAAUUAAUUAAUGAGUGGGACCCAUGAUGUAGGGCAUCUCUUAUUCUCAGCUAUGUUUUCAGAAUCGGAUUUGAGUAUCAACUAUCAACUCGGUCAAGCUCAGACGUAAAGGUCAAUGGUUCAAUCGAAUUCGAUAGGGGUUUAACCGAAUGAUAUUAUAAAUAAAAAUUAUUUAAAAAUUAAAAUAUUAUAUGUAAAAUACCUAAUAAUAUGUUAAUAUUAAUAAAGAUAUAUUCAUAUAUAUGUGAUAUUUUAAAUAUAUUUAACAAGAAAAUACAAAGAAAUUAGAACAAUCAAGAAAUAAUUUAUAUUAUUUAAUGAGCAAUAAGAAGUUUGAAAUUAAAAUUAUGGAUUUAAUUGAAAAAUAAUACCAAAUUUUAAGAAAAUAUUGAUAAAGUAUGAAAUAUUUGAGAUAUAUUAAUAAUUUUUAACAAUUUAGGGAUCAAAACAUAAUAUUGAAAAAGUUUAAGUUUUUUUUUCUUUUUUUGAAAAAUUUAUUUGAACCGAAAAAUCCGAUUUUUUCCGGUCAAACCUGAUUUUUGAUUAGAAUUUUACUUACCUGAUUUUUAAGCAUGAUUCAGACAGAACCGAGUUUUAAAACACAUCUUAUCAGUCCACUCUUCUUCUUCUCUUUUUUUUUUUUCUGGGCCCGCAUUUUUUUAUUUUUACCAAAUCGCUCCUGCUUUGUCUGGCAAUGCUUUUAAUGUCCUCCCACUGAUAUAAGCUAUACUCAUCAAGUUUCGGGUUGCAAGACCCUUUUGAGUAAUUUUCUUUACCCUUUCCACCAAUAAGAAAUGCUAGUUUUCAUUUCAUGCUUUGAAUCGUACAUGCAAGUUUUAAAUUGAUGCUAAUUGAAUAGCGUGCAUUCCUUAGACGUCUGUCUAAAAUUUCUAUUAUAUAUAACAUGCAAGUAUUUCUAGAAAAAUAAUGGUGUGUUUACUCAAAACAUUAAAAAAUAUAUUUUUUUUUCCGGAAAACUCCCUACCACCCUUCACUCGCAUGGCAUCCUUCGCCACCCGCACUACUAGCAGCCACUAAUAUUCUAUCUAAUACAUUUUUUAAUAUAUUAUUAAGGAUUAAUCUUAUCUAUAAAUGCUGAUAAUAUAUGCAUUAUCACCGUCAAAUGUUUGAGAACUAGGACUGCAAACGAACCAAGCCGCUCGCGAGCGGCUCGAGUCGAUCGAGCUCAAACUCGAGAUCAAGAUAUUAUAUCUAUAUAUAUAUUUUUUAUUUUAAGUAUAUAUAUUUUUUAAUUUUUUAUUUUAAUAGUAAAUUUACAUAUAUAUCCUUAAUAUUUUAUUAUUUAUUAAGAAAAAAUAUUAUUUUAUUUAUUUUUAAAAAAAUAAUUAUUUUUAUUUUUUUUCGAGUUCGCUCGAAUCAAGUCGAGCUCGAACUCAAGUUUGAAAUUGUCGACUCGUCGAGUUUGAAUUCAUUAAAAUUAUGUCAAGACUCAAUUCGAUUAGGCUAAAACUUGACUCGGUUCGACUCGUUUGCAACCCUAUUGACAAUUAAUGUGAAUUUUAAAUUGUAAUUCAAAUUUGGGAAAAUCAUUCAAAACGUCCAUCACAUUUUACAAGAUGACUUUUUUCGUCCCUCACAUUUAAAAGUGUAAUUUUACAUCCAUUACAAAUUCAAAUUGACCAAAUUUGGUCCCUACCUAGGUUUCUGACUAGUUUUUUACCAGAAUUCACCACGUGACUUACAUGUGAUCAUUUUUCAAUGGCAAAUUUGUCAAAUCAAAUUUUUACAUAAUCUGAUUCAUAGUUUCUCACAUUUCACAUUCCCUACCUAAGUUUCUGACUAGUUUUUUACCGGAAUUCACCACGUGACUUACAUGUGAUCAUUUUUCAAGGGCAAAUUUGUCAAAUCAAAUUUUUACAUAAUCUGAUUCAUAGUUUCUUACAUUUCACAAAAUGAAUUUUUUCAUCCCUAACAUUUUACAAAAUGAAUUGUUUCGUUCCUCACAUUUCAAAAAAUGAAUUUUUCCAUCCCUUACAUUUUUUAAAAUGAAUUUUUUUAUCCCUCAUUGAUCAUGUGUAUGAAAAGAUUUUUUUCUAUAAACCCACGUAUAUGUCUAUUUGAUUUUAUCUGAACAGUACGAAUAACAUGUAAUUUAUCUCUAUUGGAUUUCAUCUAAAUAUGCUAAUCAUAGUUAUACACAUGCUAUACAAUAGAUAUAUAUAGAGGUUUAAAACUAAUAAUUUUUUUUGAAACCCAUGUAUAUAUUUAUAUGAUUUCACCAUUUAAACCUAUUCAAUAUUCACCUGCUAUUCAUAUUGUUCAAGUGAAAUUAAUAGAUAUAUACAUGGAUUUUUAAAAAAUUAUUCACACACAUGAUCAAUAAAAGAUGAAAAAAUUCAUUUUAAAAAAUGUGAAUGAUGAAAAAAUUCAUUUUGUGAAAUGUAAGGGACGAAAAAAUUUAUUUUAUGAAAUGUGAGGAAUUAUAAAUCGAAUUAUAUAAAAUUUGUUUUGAUAAUUUUGUCCUUAAAAUAUGAUCACAUGCAUGGCACGUGGUGAAUUUUGAUAAAAAAAAAAACUAGUCGGAAACCUAAGUAGGGACCAAAUAUGACCAACGAAAAUUUAUAAGGGACGUAAAAUUAUAUUUUUAAAAGUGAGGGACGAAAAAAGUUAUUUUACAAAAUGUGAGAGAUUUGAACGAUUUUCCCUUCAAAUUUUAUAUCGUUAUCAAAUAUUCAACAAUUAUAAUAUUGUAUAUGCUGUUAGUUAGUGUAUAUAAGAUUAAUUUUAUUCUUAAAGGAUUAAUCUUAUGUACAUUGUAUGUAUCAAUAGUUUAUAUCUAUUUAUCGUUGGAUGCUUGAUAACUAAUUUAAAUUUGAAAUUGAAAUUGAAAUUUUGUAUUGUUUUAAGUAUCCAAUCGUUAUCUUAUUACACCAUUAGUCAGUGUAUAUAAGAUUAACUCAUUCUUAAAACUUGUAAGUAAUUUAAAAAUGUAAUUGUAAAUACUGCAUGCAUUAGGAUAAAAGCUCGUUAUUUUCAUCUAAAUUACUCAUGCGGACAGCAUGUGCCAAGAUUAGGUAUUUAAGUGGCGAAUAAAUAGGGAUUGGAGUUGACAUAACUCAUCUUGUUUGCAAAAAAUGAAUAGUUCUUGCAUUUGUUUGAAUUGCGAUUUUUCUUCCAAAAAAUUUUGAACAAGUCUUUCUUAUGCUGCUGCUGUCAUUGUAUACACCACAGAGUUGAAUAAAUAUCACGUUAUUUAAAUUUGAUAUUUGAACAUCAAAUUUUAUAUACGUGACGUGGUACAGCGUAUUUUUGCUAUAAAAGUUUUAUAAAAAAUAGCAAUCCAAAACCAUGACCUCCCUCGGAGUUUGUGCUCCAUCGUCCGUGACGUGAGCCGAAAACAGAAAUAAGGGUCUACGAGGUGACAAGUGCACGUGCGACGCAGGCUGGUGCGAGAACUUGAGUACUGGUAUAAGAGAGAGACCAGCGGAUGUGAACGUGGGGAUUAGCUGCCUUGAAUGAUGGUACGUAGCUGCGUCACCAUGGUGUCACGUACUUGUAGUGGCGUUGGAGUUAUAAUAAUAAAAAAACAGAAUGAAUAUUAGUACUAGCUUGAUUUUAAUUUAAAAAAGAAAAAAAAAAAAAAGAAGAAGAUGAUGCAAUAGCUUAACAGGGUAGGGACUCGUAUGCAAUUAAGUGAUUCAAUAUGAGUGUGAGAUACCUAAAUGCUAUGUUUCUCUUUCCAUAAUGAAUCCUAUCUUGUUUCAUCGUCAAUCCAAGCUGUUUAUGGUUCUUUCUAUCUCUCUGUUAAUGGCAAUUUAAUCAUUUUAAAAUUCGUUGAAGUGGGAAAGUCAGCAAAGAUUGAGGUUUUAAGUUAACCUGAGAUUUGCGUCUUGGUAUCUGUAUCCAUCUGUACCGUUUUGGUAAUAAAUAAACAAUUGAUAUUGGAUUUGGGGCUCUGGCAAACAGAGGAGCUGGAUACAAACUAAUGGAUUUGUACCAGUAUUUCUUUGCUGUCACGAUGGAGCGUAUAAUUGCUAGAAGAUCCGUUGGUCACCAAAUUGCUGUUGUCCUAGUAUGAUUCCUCUUUUUUUUUUUUUUUUUCCUUUUUUAAUAGAAUUUUUCUAGCGGGUAACACUCAUUAUCACGUCCAAAUUUUACAUAACCUAUCAUGUAUAUAUAUACACACUAAUAAUUAUACAUUUUAUCUAAUUAAUUUUAACUUUUCAAAAAUCUAACACCUGAUAUAUAGCUUAACAACCGUUAGAGAGAUCAUUUUCAAUUAUAUUAAUCCAUCUAGGUUGCUAUUUUUUGAAAUUGUUAUAGAAAAAUAUAUUGUAACGAUUUGAUGUAUAUGAGACAAAAAAAAGGUGAUCGAGAAAUGUAAUCACAGAAAGUAUAAAAAAAAAAUUUGAAGAAAAAAGGCGGUCCAAAACAGGUAAGAGUACUAAAGUCACGAGAACCUAAUGUGAUACUUUUGUAUUUUUACUCUUGACAGCAGGAAUAAAUGAGUUUGGGAUUGGUAAAAGGUUUUUGUUAUUUGGUAUACCCUUUCUUGAAUGCUCUAGAAUGGUUAGUUCAUGUGACAAAAGGAAAAGGGUGCAAUAUUGGCUGGUGCAUUGCAUGGCCCUUCGCAUUACACCCCUUUGAAAUUCUAGUAGAUUAGGAUGCGCAGUCUCCUUGCUGACCGUCAGAUUCAAUAUGAAAAUAUGAAUUCCCCCACUUUUUAGUAAAUUAUUUCGUCUGAAAUGUGCAACUCCUAGCCAACAGUUAUUCUUGAACAGCAAAAUGUUGGAAAUGGUAGAUUAAACAUGUGAUUGAGAUUUUGAGUUAUAGCAAAUUUUGCUUUUUCGAGUGGCUAUUGCUUAGAUAGGUUGUCGUGCCCAUAUUUAAUUCACCAGUUAAACUACUUGCAAAGGGCUAUAAUCUUGCCAAUUAUCAGCACCUCACCUGCUUAUAAAUGCACCUUAAAUCCUUGCCUGCUCAUUUUUCUAAUUUGUUGCUUUUAUUAUUGUUUUAAUCGUAAAAUCUCCGAUUUACGUGGUAUCGGAUGCAAAUGUAACCCUCUUUGGCACAUAAAACAAAGUAACAUGUAGGCGUGACAAUUUUCUGAUACGACACGACACGAAUUUAACACGAAAUUAAUAGAUUUUGACUGAGAUUUUACGGGUUCUAGGUAGAAUUGGGUCAAACCUAAUGAACUCGAAAAGAAAACAGGUCGGAUUCAGAUCAUUCACGGGUUGACCCGAUAACCCGUUUAUGAAUUAAAAAAUAAUUUAAUAAAUGUAAAAAAUACUUUAUUUAACUAAACUAAGUUAUUCUUUUUUUUUUAGAGGCAUUAACCACUUAGGUUCCGUUUGAUAAAACUGAAUCUGAAUUCUGAAAUCUAAAAUCUGAAUGCUAAAGCAAUUAAUUUGCUGAAUUUUAAGCAUUGAAAAGAAAUAUAUGAAUUUCUAAAUUUUAAUGCUAAACAUAUUUAUACUGUUUGAUAAACAUUUAUAACUAAAUGCUUAAUAAGCUAAAUUUGAUAAUUUUGUCCUUAUAUCUUUUCAUCCAAAAAAGAAAUAGAACCUAUGAUUUAAUUAACUUAAAAUAGUUAGAUAUGAAAAUGAUAAUAUUUAUUUUUAAAUCAAAUUAAUAUAAAAUAUGCAAUAUAUUAUACGAGGAGUAUGAACAAGAUUUGAAAGACAUUAAAAAGGGAGAAAGGAUAAAUAGAAAAAUGUUAGAUAGAAAAUAUCAGAUUGUUUGAUUAGAUAAAAAUUUUGAACAUAAUUAUCAAACAAGGGUAGAUUUGGUAGAUAAGAUAAGGUAGUUCAAAUAAUUCUAUUGAUUCUUUUUAGAAUUAAGCAUUCAGUUAGGAUUCUUGUACUGAAAAAAAUAUACAUAAGUUUAGCAGACGAAUUUUUAUUUAUCAAAUAUUCAAAAUAUCUGAAUAUCUGAAAAAAUUCAGUUUCAAUACUUUUUUAUAUUAUCAAACAGACCCUUAAUCCUAAAUGAAUUUAUUUAACUUGUAUGAAGUUGGGAUUGUUAUGUUUGGACAAAUGAUGUAUUAUAUUAUUUUCUACUUUUAUAGUGUUUUAAUUUAUUUCAGUUCUAGUUUGGGAUAAAAAACAUUUACUGUAUUUUAAUUUAUUUCAGAUCUGGUUUGGGAUUGUUUUAUCAAGAUUUUUAUUGCUUGAUUAUGUAGUCUUGUGCGGAAUAGGUUUUGUUAGAAAUUAUAGUGGCAAAUUCGUAAAUUGAAAUUAUGUUUCGAGUCAUAUCAAGUCAAUCGGAUAACCCUUCAAAUCAAAAAUUUCGAGUUUAGGUUAGAUAUCCUGACCCGUCACGAGUUGGAAAGUCAGAUUCAAGUCAGCAGGUUUCUGUUGUACCUGUCAUCCACUUGAUUGCCACCUCUAGUAAUACGUAGUUGCACCUAUAACUCACACCACUUGUAUACUUCUCGUAGCAGUUAGACCUAGCUUCCUCGUGAAUUUGUUCACGAUAUUUGUCCAAAGUAAUAAAGCAUUGAGAAGCUAUUACUUGUCUCUUUGUUACCCCCUCUUCAUUUUUUUUGGCGGAAAUUCAAUCAAUUUUGUUCUAAUUCAAGGUGCAAACAAGUCAUAUUUAAUCGAGCCGUUCGCGAGCUUAUUUGGUUGAAACUCAAGUUGAUUUUGAAACACUUGAACUUGAGCUUUACAGAUGAAAGUCAAAAUUUCGUUAGGUUUAAUAGAGCUAAAUCAAAUAUAUUUUGGAGGUUUCUUUUUUAGUAUUUAUUGCUAUCAAAUGUGUAUCAUAUGCCCUGUUUAAAAUUAUACAAAAUAUUUAUCAUUUAAACUUGAUUGAAUUCAAAUCAACUUGAUUGGACUGAAGUUUGCUAAGAGUUCAAACUCGAGUAAACUGAAAAUUAAUUGAGUUCAAUUUCGAGUUCAAGUUUUAAGAAUUUGACUGAGAUUUUGAAGCAUUUUAGCUCGAGUACACGAUUCAAGUAGCACCCAUAGUUACAAUCCUCUCUGCCUUUCGUUUGGGCCAAGUCAAUCGCAAAUCCAAUUGGUGACUCGUGACAUACCAUGACCUACAGAAAUACUGAAAUAGAAGCCGUCCAUUGCAGGCAAGAAACGAAAACAACAACGUUGCUCAAUCUGGUGUGCAUAAAAAGCCCAAGACCGAAAAGGCCCCAUUUUCAACUCAACUACGAACGUGCAAUCCAAUAUUUAAAAAAAAAAAAAACAUAUAUUAGUGCCCCAACUCCAUUAUCCUCUCGGGGCUGUGGAGGAGGAAAACCAGACACAAAAGAAAAUGUCAGUCUCAGCCAUAUUCGGUACACGGAUGGUGACGAUGCCGAACCCAGUUGCGAUAAGCGGUGGCGCCACCAAAAACACGGCGGCAACAAGAAUUGUUCCUGCCGGCGAUUUCAGCGGCAGCGGUGGUGUUGGGUUGGUGAUAGAAUGCUCGUCGAGGCCACAGAAGAAGGCAACAGCACAUCACAAGAAGACUCGCCCGCGUAAGUCUCAACCGUGGGACAUCCGCCGACGUGGGCCCACUGUUUACCCGCCUCUCCCUCCUCUGCCGCCGGAGUGGACGUUUGUCAGUGAGACCACGGCUGAUGGUCAGUCUACCGCUCCUACUCCUCCUCAGCCAGCUGAGUCCUGAUAGUGGCUUCUUUGGUUCAUUGGCCUUCUAGGUUUACCAUUUUAUGCCAACAUGCUUGAGGGUAAAAUUGCUUGAGGUUGUUAUUUAUUUUACUCCAACUUUUAUUUUCAAACUUAAAUGCAACUUUAACAUAUGUCGGGUAUUUUAAAGGAGGACCCUUUUUUUUUUUUUUUCAUUGUGCACAUUGGGUGGAUGGUAAAUUUGUAUCUGCAAUCAGUGAUACCAAAUGUUUUGUGUGUCAGUCUCGGCCUUAUCACUUGUACCAUCAGCUUUGGCGCAACAAUUGGUAGAGAAUAUAUUACAGAUCAUUCAUUCAACUGAAACGGUACGCAGAAAGUUGCCUCUUAAACGGCUAAAACUCUGGGACUUGGUGGCUGGUUAAUUGUUUUUUUCCCGCAAAUGAGGAAAGGGGGGAAAAAGGAAAGAAAUACUUAAAGAAAGACAGACUGGUUGGUUCAUUUGCCUCUGAAGGACAAACAAAGGACGUGCCUGCAUUGCUUCCUGAUGAUUUGAAACAUUUAUUUUCGUCCAAAUAAGUUGAUGUUUUGAAACGUGUAAUGUAGACUUUCUCUCGAUGCCCAACAAAAAGAAAAAGGAAAACAAAAGAGAAAAUGAAUUCAUCGACUCAUCUUACAUAUUAACCACAAAAAAGUAAUGUGGGUUCUAUUGCCUUAGGAUCCUCUUUUCUGCAGUUUUUUUUUUUGUCGCACUUUUCUGAGUUUGACGUCCAAACGAAGAGUUGCAACUACUACUGACAUGAUACGGAAAUUCUUCUGCUUUUAGUUUUAGCGUGCUUACUGCUGACGAACCUUUCCAAGUUGAGGGCUUGAAUCGGGCCAAUACGGAAAUUCUCCGAACGAGCAAGCAACACUGACGAGACCAUGCUCAGGUUUAGUUCCAUGUGUCCAGCUGACAGGAUAACUGCUUGCCCAUCAGAUGAACCUUUUUGAUUUGCAAGUACAGAACCCAGAUAGUUUUAAAGCGAUGGACACAGUUCUCCCUACUGCAGACCUGUUUUCAGUUUUCACUUGUGCCGCUAAAUCCGUGCUUGACACAAAAUCAUAGUAAGCUGAUGAACCCGAAAACAAAUACGAAUAUGCUACAGAGAUGCUACAAGUUCAAAACCGCUCUUCCAGAGGUGAUUCGAACCACAGGUUCUACACAGAAACUACCACAAAAAUGAAACCUCAUGAAGGCGGGCGAAAACACCAUUGCAACACAAAAAGGAAAAAUUCUCUGGUAAAGCUUCUUAAGACGUAUACAUUCCACUAAAAGGAUAUACAGUUGUGCAGCAUUGGCCGCCCACUCCAAAUUAGAUAAUACAUAAUAGAGAAUGUAAACCGAAGAAUAAGAAGAAAUCAAAAAUACAAAAAGAGAUCAACAAAUAGCAAUGGCUAAGGUGGUUGGUUAAUUAGGACUGUACAAGCUGGAUCAGCCAAAUUCUUCCCUCUACACUAGCAGGAUCAGAAGAUAACUUGGAAAAUCUCCUUCAAAUUUCCAGCAUAGGAACUGCUUUGCAGCAGCAUGAAGUCCACCACAUGUACAGUUGGGAAUUUCUUCGAGUUGUACAGCUUUGCUGAUAAGCACUCUCUCUCAAAAGCUGCUUCCCAAGCUUUCAGCGCAGUCAUCAUCUCUACUUGCUCCUUGCUAGACUCAGGAGAAAAUCUGUGAAUAAAAGAAUCAGCCAGCUACUGGCACCGAAUUAUUUAUUUGGGAAAGGAAAUGCUCGACAGCAACUGCGAUGAAAGGGCUGUAGGAGAUGAGCUAUAGCUUGAGACUUGAGUUGACCGGGGACAGCCGGCCCAGCUACCCCGCUAAGCUGCGGAAUAAACGUAGAAACUUCUCACUGUACCGUCAGCAACUGCACUCAAAACUCACGUCGUCACAAACCAAACACCACCACAUAUUCCACCGGAUACACAAUUUUGCUCCUGCUACACUCUUUUAACUCAAAGGAAUGAUAUAUUUCCAAUGCGGAACUGGAAAAAACUACCACCGACAAUAUUUUGCUCCUGCACAAAGAUCCUCGACGUUGUGCACCAGGCUCCAACCAGCGGCAGCGGCAGUUCCCCAAAUGACGCAAACUGCAUGACUUACUGAGACGGAGCAAAACUCUACAGACGCAAAAUACAACCAAGCGAAGAAACAGUCGGGGGGAAAAAGAGACCGUGCAAGCCAGACCAGCCGGCCUCCAGGUACACGUGUCGCUCAUGUAACACAUGCUGCCAAGCAUGAGAUGUCUUGAUGACCUUAAGAUGACGCUUGAGAUGAUGGUAUAUUCAUUGAAUAACCAGAACGGUUGAGGGACCAUCCGCCAAGUCACUAAACUAGGAAAAAUUGUUUGUUAAUUAAAUUUAAUGCCUAGCCAUUUAUUCAUGUGCUUUCCACUACUAGAGCUCCAAAAAAGAACUAAUUACGCAGAUUGCCUGCUAAACUUGGUCUUAAGAGUAUCAAUCCACUGGGUCCUCUCCUCGACACUUAAAAAUAUUUGAUGGAUGACUACAAAAUCCCUGCCACUUAUCAUUCAAAGCAGAUCCACUGCCAAACUUUCCAUCUAAAAGCCACUGCAAAAGAGUCAACAUCCGACUUAACAUUUGAAAGAAAAAAUAAAAUAAAACCCAACAGGAGUUGAUUGAGUCAGGCAAAUACACCCUAAACAAAACAAAAAAUAAAAAAAAAUGUUACAGGACUCUAGAGCUGUUGAAACGCACUUCACGUGGAGUCUACUCAAGGUCAAUGAACCAAACAUCCAACUCAAUGACUGCAAGAACAGGCCAUGCCCACAGCAACAGAUGAUACACCUCGCCUAAGUUGUCUUUGAUAAGUGUGUACGAAUGUAACCAUAGAAGUUGCGCAAGCAUGAAAUUAUCCUCACUUUAAACAUGCCAGAAAGACAUUAACUUCAACAAAAAGCCACAACAGGAGGAUUGUUAAGGGCAUUUCCCUACCUAGGCAUCAUAAGUUUCAAACUGUCUGCCAUCAGUAUUUUGGUAUGCAAAUCAUCCAAAUGUCACCAACCUGCAUCUUUAACCAGUGUAUUGACUUGUUAAUAUAACCUCCUAAUGCAGUGCACCCAACCUCUUAUAAGGCUUAAAAUUUUAAUUCUUUUCAAUAUUUCCAGAAAUCCUUCACCUUCAAAGUGCUAGUGACAUUGCAACGUGUUUCAGUUAACGUGUUUCAGUUUUAAUGACCCUUCAUGAGUCAUGGCAAGACAUUCGCCAGCAAUCUACUGUAGUUGCAACAAGUUUAUAAUUUGACUAACAAGAGAAUAUUCACAUAGCAUCCCUACACCAUAUAACUUGAUCCCAACAUAAGAAGUUCUCCUCAAAAUUGAGAGGAGGAGGAUCAUAAUGCCAAUGAAAUUACAUAACCGAGCUUUGCUCAAAACAAGUUCUAAAUAACUAGAAGCAUCACAACAACAACAAAUGUGACCAUAACUACAAAAGGAGUUGCGAGAGUAAAAUAGUAUAAGCCUAAGUUUUCUGCUGUAUUUGAGGAUUCCCUCCAUGAUCCUAUCACAGGUAACAUUACACGGUCUCUAUAAAAAGGAAACUCCAAGUAAGGAUAGUUUCUUUGUUUUCCAACAUUUUAAAACUAAAAGGACCUCAAUCUCAACCACGAAUUUCAUUAAUAGCCGAGCGCAGCAUUUCGUCUCCCACAACUGAUCUCAACUGUUCCAUAAACAUAUCUUUCCCCACCUUCCCAUCCUGUAACACAGAUUUCAGGACUAAAAUCAGUCAAAAAUAGGAAAAGAAAUCAGGUGUGCAUAACCAAUUAAUAUUUUGCUUGAACUAAUAUAAUGUCUUGAUCACACUAUUUCAUUGCAAUACAUACCUUGAGUGAGCCACACAAAGUUUGUAAUUGAAGAACUUUGAGAGGAGGAAGAGAUCUCCCAAGCUUGGCAAAUAACUUUGCAACAAAGGGACUUGGCACAGGAGAAUCCAACUUAACACAUGGAGUACCAGUAACUUGAUCUGAAAAGACACAAGCAGUUAUUUUUGCACGAACACACAAGUCAUCCAGACUGAGAAGAUAUGGAAGAAUAUCUACCUUGCACAUGAUUGGCAGAUUUAUAGCUGACCACCAGCUCUGGAAGAAUGUGUGUACUCAUAUUGGUAGGCCAUACCACAUACCACUUAGGAUCUGUCAACUGAUCCACACCAGUAUCAAAAUCCAAACUUGAAGGCAACUUCUGGUUAGAGCCAGCCUCAAUUUUCUCACAUUUGCCCAACAGGACUCGGCACAAAAUUACAUGCUUUUCGCCAUUAUCAUCUAUGUCUGACAUCAUGGCACUAAAAGUGCACCCAAGCAACAAUCAGAAGAAAAAAAAAAAGAAGAUAGCAGAUUAACGUGAGAACAGCUAAACCUGCUCUGCAUGGUCAGAAUACACCUAUAAAAAAAUCAAGUACCUGAUAUGCGGUAACUUAGCAGGAGAUAAAUAUACACCAACUCCAUGAGGUCGAGGAGUUUGGACCUGAUCAGGCAUUCCAAACCCAUGAGCCAAAAUACUAUCUACACCCUCUGCUGACGUCCCAUGCCAUGCAAAAACCAUGUUAGCAUCUCCUCUAGCUUUCUUCAUUAUCUCCAUCUGCUUCAUAAAAACUUCAUAUCGCGCCUUGUCCAAUACCCCCGUCCUUGUACACUGAUGAAUCCUAGUGAUUGUAGCAUCAGGCUCCACCGAUAGCAACCCAGACAAAAACAAAUUUUUAACAAUGGUAUACUCCUUCUCCCCUUCCUUCAACAGCUUAGUCUUCUCCCACCUUGCCUUAUCCACUUCAUUCGCAACAAUUUGCCGCCUUUUAGCGUCUAGAUUCCUGACAUUGGACGAACUCCCUUCCGAUUUUCCCCUCUCAAUUUGCUCGACUUCAAUUUCCUCACCGACUCUCUUUCUCUUGCCCGAUAAACUGUCCAAAUUAUCAGAAUCCUCCAAAAUCUUUACCUCAAUUUCAAUUUUGGGACACUUAUUCCCCAAAAUUUCCUCAUUUCCAUCAUAACUCACAAAAGCCUCACUAGAAUUAACAAAAACUUUAGGGAAAAAACACUUCCCUUUCACAUCAAUCCAAGCAAUUGACUUUUCAUCGCCACUAUCAAAUUGAAUUUCCAACAUCCUAUAAAAAUCAAGCAAAAAAUCACAACCUCGAAUAUUUACCUCAACCAUUGGUUUACCUGCCAAGAAGCUUACCUUCACCAAAUCCAAAACCUCCUUCGGAUAAUCCACCCACGACCCGUUCACGUCGUAGUACAUGACCCGCACCGGUUCAGCACUCUUCCUGAAAUUCUCGUGAUUCUGAACUAGGAGCUGCGCUUGGCGGUCACAAAACGAAGAUCCGGAAGCAAAUCUCCGCUGCGGAGGAGAAACCCUAAUUCUCAUUUUAUUAUUGUUUCUCAUAUUCACAAUUUUUUCCGAGCAGAAAUUCCCAUUUCCCGACAUCGCCGAAUCGGAACUCAUAUAAUUCAUGUCCGAAGAAAAUAAAAAACAAAAAAACCGCCCUUUUUGAGAAGUUCUGUAACAAAAUGAGAUGAACAAAAGAACUUCUGGAAUGAAAGGGCUUCGCCGCCUCACUAUAUAUACACGAGAUCAGUAGACUAUCACGGGUCAGUGAAUUUACCGUUUAGACACUGGAUUUAGGUCGGUUGUAGAGAAAUGAGUUUGAUAAGGCAAGGGUUUUUAUGGUAUUUCAUAGAAGGAGGUAGGAGAAUUCUGAUACUCUGACUAGGCAUUAGAGAGGUGGAGUUUUGGCGUGGGGUUGGGACUAGGGAAGGUUUGACUUGUGGAUUAAGUAAGAGAAAACGGUCCAAUGUUGAUGACGGCUGAUGUGGGCUCGAAUGCAUGUUUAAAGAGGGUUGCUUCGGCCCAAAGAAAUGGGUGUUCUUACUUUGAUAAGGACAGCAUUUGCUUGCCGGGCAGGUAGAACAUGGAGUCUCUUCGUUUCAAGGGAUUUUAAAAAGUCAAUCUUUUGACUUUUCCUUUAUUCUAUGUUAGACAAUUGGAUCGACAAGUUGUAUGGUACUUGGAUUAUUUUGGGUUUUAUGCUUUUAUGUUAAAUUAAUGGAAGAAGAAGGCAUAAAUAAAGGGUUCAAUGAUUUGACGGCAAUGGUGAUGAGAAGAAUCCAAGCGGGAGAGAUAGGCAAAAGGGGAGAGCUAUUUUGUAGUAGUAGUGUGUUUUUGUGUGCUUUUUUGUAUUCGUCUUUGCAUGUUUGAUUCUCGAGCAAGAAAGAAAUAUCAUAUGGCUUUUUACAUGGCGUAGUUGGGUAACCUAGGGCUAGGUUUUGUAAUUAAAUUGGGAUUUGUUAAUGUGAGCACGAAAUUCCUUUCAUGUACUCAGCAAAGUAAUUCAAUUAAUUUCUAUCUCUAUUGGUCGUUCACGAAUUCGGAAUCUAGAUUUGUGUCUUUCUUGGUCAAAAGAAAACACGCUAAUUAAACUUGAAGAAGGGUUUUGUAGCUAAUAUGAACUAUUAUUACCUUUGGAUUUGUUACGGAUCAAAAUGUUUUUUUUUUUUUAAAUAAGAUUUGCAUGUGUUUAUAGUAGUGUGUUCAAAGGAGAACUUCCUUGAAAGUAUAAACAUCUAAUGAGGAAUAUUAUGUAACACCCUAAAUGAUAUUUGACUUGUUUCUUUUGUUUGGUGAAGGAUGAGCCUUGCAUGGUACUAUAUAGGAACAUAUAAACUCAAAGUUCUACGUAACAUCUCUUCAUUAUUAUAAAGUAUAAAAUAUCACUUUUCUAGAAGCUUGCAGUCCUUUUAUUUAUGUAAUAUAACAAAAAAUUAAUUAUGAAUAUGUAAUCAUAAUUCAGAGUUUGAUUUAUGAGCAGUAUAGUCAUAUUCACGUGAAAUUGAAAUUGUUCUUCGAGAAACACACCUACAGAUACAGAAACUUUGCUCUUUUUUUUUUUUUUUUGCAAUUUUUUGGAGUUUUUUUUUAUAUAGAAAAUGUACCAUAGUCAUUUGAUAUUUGUGAAAUGAAAAGGUGAUAACAAUUUGAUAUAUGCGAGAUAAAAAAGUGAUUAGAAAAUGUAUUCACAAAAAAAAAUAGAUUUUUUUUAAAAAAAAUGACUUUGCAAAAAAGGUAUUUAUUGCCUAUGCAUCUUUGUGGUAGGUACAAACCUUAGAAAGGGCAGUUAUGUUGGCAAUACAUCAAAGAAUUGGGUGUUAAAAGGUUAUACUUUAGUUCUUAUUAGAAUCAUUUUCUAACAUUUCCGUAACCUUUAAUUUAUUUUCUCUAGCUGUAGAAAAAUAUAUAUAGUGAAUGUUAUCAUCCCCAAAACAGUAGAAACAAGUCCAAGACACACCUACUACGGAAAGCUACAGUUGGCUGGUCUCGAAAUUUAAAGCAAAAUGUGUGUACAUGCUUAUUGAGUUCAAUCAUUUCACUAAUUUUUAUUUUGUGACUAUGGUCAAAUUUUUGGCUUUUCUAUUCAACAAUUAUAUUUUUCUCUCUCUAAGCAAUACGAAGAGAUAUAUAUAUAUAUAUAUAUAUAUGUAUGUAUGUAUGUAUGUAUAUAUGUAUGUAUAUAUAUAUAGCAUGCAUUCUCGAUCGUAUUUGCAUAUGCAUGGGAAAAAAUAAUUUUUUUUCCUAAAACGGCAAAAAUAUAUUCAUGAAGUAGUAGUGUGUUUGGACAACCUAAAUAGGUUGCUCAACUCUAUUAUUCUUGAAGCAAAUGAGUACAUGUAUCUAUGUUUAAACGAACUACUAAUAAAAGAAUUCUGGGCCAUAUGUAUCAUUUGUGAAAAACUUCCACCUCAUUUAGAAAAUUUUUGAGUGUCAAAUUAAGACACUAAUUAAUUAAGUUAGUCAAUGUGAAAUGGCAGUUAUUUAUUGUUUGCUUAUUAGAAAAUACUACUACGUAAUUUUCCUCUAUUAAUGGUUCUCAUUUUCAAACCCCCAGGACAAACUCUAGUGACUAAAAAAUUAAAAGAGAAAAAAAAACUCUAUUUACAGAACAGCUUUUUUAUUUUAUUUUCGGUGUGAGAAACAGGUGAAUACUAGAGAGGGAAAACAGGUAUGCUCAAGCCCAGCCCAAUUAUUCAAUGCAACUAGAAAUUCGCAGUGUGCGAAAAAACUGCUGUGAAUUUUUGGUCUUUCCAAAAAAUUUGACAUGGUUAGUUGGACCAAGGAGAAAAUUGAAAUGAUUUUAGUUAUUUGAAAGUCUGAAUUACAAGUGGAGUAAAAUAUAUAUUUUUAAUUAAAUUGCAAAGCCAAUUUUUUUCUCAAUAAUCAUUUGGCCGGAAGCUUUUCAGCUCGUGUAAUACUUUUUUUGUGAUGCGAUUAAUAUAAAUGGACUCGGGGCAAGUUGGUCGAAUUAAGUACAAAUAGGUGCAAUUUGUUGUAUUUCAUCCACAACGUGUUGUACAUUGUUAAUAGAUGCAGUUGUAUUUUAUGCAUUCAGUUGAUAUACACGAAUAAAAUUUGUGUGUACAAUAGAGUCAUAUAAAAGAAAUACACCUUAUCACGUAUAAGAUAUAAUUCUGACAAUUGUACCAAAAUUCCAACUGCACUUGACCCAAGUUCGAUAUAUUUAGUCAAUACUUUAAAAAAAAAAAAAGAGUUAGCUGGAAAACAUGGAUAGACAAUUUUCAAUUUUAUUUUCCAAAUGCUUAAUUUCUUGCCAAAACAGAUUCACGACCUUUUUCCUUCUUGGUUAUAAAAUGGAUUCCUUCAUGUACGCUAGUGUACAUAGAAAAUGAACGUCAGUUGUACGGUAUAAUGACCCAAUUAAAGGGCUGUGAGGGCCAAGAUAGCAAUGAGCCCAAAGGGUAAAACUGGUAGCUUUGGUAGAUUCCUGAACAGCGAACACAGUCGAACCGAAUGAAACGGGUCGGUUUAAUUCCUGUAAACAGUUGAACCCAUAUAAAACCCUUUGCCUUCAGGAGGGUUUCACAGUCGAAGUGUAAUUCAUGCAAUUUUCCUGCAAAAGCUCCCCUUCCUGAUAAGAAAUCUUAACACACUCUGGCCAAAAGCUCAGUUGAAAUCCAAAUCAAAGCCGACCCAAGUUAGACCCGUAAGUCACCUUACCUUUCUUGAUUAUUGAAGCUUUAAUCAGUAUUUUAAUUCUGCAUUUUUUUCAAUGAAUAUCCGUUUUUUUUUUUGGUUGGGUUCGGAAUUAAAAGUACUUUUUUUUUUUUUGGGAAGGAUGUCUGCUCAAUUGACACCAUCGAAGAGACCGAAUGAAACAGAGGCAAACGGUAGAGGGAAAUGGCGAAAAUCUGGGAAUUUUAGUUCACCAAAUUCUUCAGUAAAUGGGACUAUGUUGCGGGUGCUUUGCCCUAGUAACAAAAUUGGUAGUGUUAUUGGAAAAGGGGGCAGCAUUAUAUCCCAAUUGCGCGAAGAAGCCGGUGCGAAAAUUCGAGUUGAGGAGCCAGUUCCGGGAUGGGAUGAGAGAGUAAUUGUUAUUGCAAGCCCAGAUAAAGGAAAGGAAAAUGGAGGAGCUACUGCUGAAGAGCAGCAGCACCAGGGGAGCAAGGAGGAGGAUAAUGAUGAAAAUGGGGAGUCUGAUAGAAAGGAUGAUGGUGGGGAGGAGAAUAAGAAUGAUGAUGAGAAGGAGGCUAGUCCUGUUGAAGAAGUUCGAGGAGGAGGAGGAGAAGAGGAUAAGGAAACCGCUUCUGCGGUGCAGAAAGCGUUGUUUCUUGUUGUUGAAAGAAUGUUUGAAGGGGAUUCGGAGGAGAAGGACGGAGCAGGGGAGGAUGAGGGCCAUAAAGAUACCUCUUUUGUUGUGAGGUUACUUGUUUUUUCCAGUCAGAUUGGUGGUUUGUUAGGGAAAGCUGGUAGUGUAAUUAAGCAGAUGGCUUUGGAAAGUGGAGCCCAGAUUCGGAUUCUUCCCAGAGAUAAACUGCCUCCUCCUGCAUCUCCUUCUGAUGAACUGGUUCAGGUAAUUUACAGUUGCUUUUUCAACUGCUAUCGACUACUGCAGUCUCACCAUUAACUUGAUAUGUGGGUUUAGUUUUAGUUAUCUGAAAGUUCAUUAGAAUUGUUUAUGACUACUGCUUUCCACUUUUUCCUACCUGUUUCUGCCUUGUUUUGAGUUGUCAAAAAUAGUCAUUCAAGAGUAUUGAUUCUAAUGUUGUUGCAUGGGUGAUUGAAAAAGUGACCUUUUUCUCCCCUGUACCUUUGGUUGAAAGAAACGACGGUUCCUAGUUUCUUAUUUGGUUCCUUUGCCUAGGAUGUUGCUUGUCUUUCCUAUAAAUUUGGAAAUAGUGGGAAGCAGAAUUUUCAUUGCUUUAUAAGAUAAAUUACCUUCCAUUUAGAUUGGUUCUACCAAAACAACAAGGGAUGCUGCAUUAGUAGACAACUGUACUACAAAGACCUACUUUUGGUGCUGAAGGUGCUUGUUCAACCUUUUAUUUGAUGAGUUCAUUGCAGAUUUCUGGGGUGCCAGAUGCUGUUAGAAAAGCUCUUACUUCUGUUUCUCAACAACUACUUGGGAAUGCCCCUCGGGACCAACGUUCUCAAUCCUCUGGACCAUCAUCCCAUUCACUUGGCCGUCCUUACAGACAGGAACCCUUUGUACAAUCAAACCAUGCUUUCCAUGGGCAAGGGAUGCCUUAUUCUGCUGGAUAUCGUGAUGCUGAAGGCAGUUUUCCUGAUCGUAUGUAUCCUUCUCAGGACAUAUUAGCAUUCCGUUUAUGGUGUCCUCAUGACAAGAUUGGAGGUGUAAUUGGAAAGGGGGGAACUGUAGUCAGGGCAAUUCAAAAUGAGACUGGCUGUGAGAUUAAAGUUCUUGAUGCUGCAGCCGACUCGGAGGAUCGCAUAAUUGUAAUAUCUGGUCCAGCGGUAUAAUCUAGCACUUCAACCUUUUCUGGAUCUGUAGAUCCACAGUUUGCUAAUAUUUUUGUUUCUUGCCUUAUGAAAUAGUCAUUAUUGGAAUUUAUUUUACCAUUUCAGCACCCAGAUGAAAGGAUAUCUGCACCUCAAGAUGCAGUGCUUCGUGUGCAGUCCAGAAUAUUUAGGUCAUCAUCUGAAAGUCAAGAAAAAAAUGUGACAGCUAAACUUCUUGUCUCCUCAAAUCAAAUCGGAUGCCUCCUUGGCAAAGGAGGAUCCAUUAUUGCUGAAAUGAGGAAGUCUACUGGAGCUUAUAUCCGUAUACUGGGAAAGGAUCAAAACCCUCAAGGUGCUUUAGAAAAUGAAGAAGUAGUUCAGGUUUGUUUUUGGGUAUCUUUGAACGGUGUUUGUAAGCUUUAUUGCUUAUGUGUUUGAUGUAUCUGCCCCAGUCUUAAACUUUUUGCAGUUUUACAUUUUUUCUUUAAGGUAUUAGUCUUUCUGCUUUAGAUGUAUCUAUUACCAUUACAGGUAAAUGGAGAGCUUGAAACGGUGCACGAGGCCCUUUUGCAGAUAACUUCAAGGUUACGGGAACACUUCUUCCGAGAUGCAUUUCCUUCUAUGAACUAUCCUUCAAAUCCUGCCUUUCUUGACCAAGUACCUCCAUUUCCACCAUAUUUGGGAAGGGGAGAACAUUCACCUCCAGGGAUGUAUCCGAAUCUAGGUCCAUCAUUUCGCAAGUUUGAUUCUGUCGGUGGCCUGCCUCCUCCGGGAGGUUUUCAUCCACUUGAUGAGCGACCUCCUUUUAUGCAAAAUUUCCACAGACCAGGAUUCCCACCUCAUAUGUCAGAAAGAUUUCCACCUUCAGCAGCAUGGGGGCCUCAGGUUGUCCAUUGAUGCUUGUUACUGUUAUUGCCAAGUACUUUGUACUUCAUAUCUUGGAAAUGAUUUUAGUCAGCAUAUUUUGCAUCUACUGGUGCUUUUGUGAAGUUUUUUGCUGACUGGUCCAUUGCUUCUGUGGCUGUUAUAAUUUUGACUCUUUUAAUUGUUAAAGCUAUAGGCAAUUUCCUACAAGAUCUAUCUUAGGUUAUGCAAGUGAAAGGUCAUUCACUUGAGGUGUUUGAUCCAAUGCAGGGGCCAAUUGAAGCCGGUGGUCCAAUGGGCUUGCCUGACUAUGCAGGACCUCCUCCUAGGAGGAUUGGUGGAUUUGGAGGGUCUGUAAAUUCUACAGUGUUUAUGCUCUUCUGUCAUGCAGUUUUGAUGCUUUAAUAUGCGUAUUAGUUAUUCCACACAUAAAUAAACAGAAUAAGCAUUAUGUCCUUCAUGAUGCAGAGGAAAUCAUGCCGCUAUUAUCACAAGCACUACCGUGGAAGUUGUGGUUCCGCGUUCUGUUGUUCCUGCAAUCUAUGGUGAGGAUGGUGGAUGUCUGAGACAGAUACGUCAGGUAUAAUCAUUAUGAUUUUCCAUUCAUCUUCAGAUUUUUCUGUUGUGGUAGAAUUUUUUUUUCUGCCUUAGUUUUAUGCUGUUCUCAUGUGAAGAAAGCUGGUUUUCUUUCCAUUUAGCUAAAGAUCUCAUCUAGCAUAAAUUCUACUGUGUAACCUUUUGUAUGCAUGGACAUAAAAUGCAUUAGAGGAUAAAUUGCUUUCUUUUCAGAUUAGUUUUCCCAUUUUUUCAUUGCUUUUGUGCAUAAUAGUUUCUUCCAGCCCCUGGUUCUUCUAAGAGAAUGUUUAUUCCUAACCACAGGAAAAGAUAAUGUCAAGAUAUGCUUUGCAGUGUCCUUAGGAUGACAAAUAAUAGUUCUUACACUGAAGUUCUAUAUCAUCCUGUUGUUCAAGCUGUUUUUAGGUUUCGAAUUAUUGUUCUUGGAAGUUUCUGAUAGGUUAAAACUUCAAGUAGUCAACCUGCGAAAUUAUUCGUGCCUUCAAAAUUUUGUACUCAGUUUUUUGUAUAUAAACAGUAGCUAAAAGGAAACUCAAGAUGCUUGAUUUCCCCUAAUAAUCAUGCUUGCAGAUAGGCUACAUAUUGUUUGAGCGCUAUUUUUGUAAUUUUUCCCUGGUAGAUCAAGAAACUGACAUUACCCACCUGUCCAGAUUUCUGAUGCAAAAAUUACUAUUACUGAUUCUAAACCUGGGGCAACAGAAACUGUGAUCAUAAUAUCUGGAACACCAGAACAGACUAAUGCUGCACAGAGUCUUAUUCAAGCAUUUGUAAUCAGUGAGACAGAUGCCACUUGAUUUUUGAUAUUAAGGUAAUACUUCAUAGUUGCAGGAUGCAAGUUAUAGUUUCUGUCAAGGAAAUAUGGAAAAGGCUUUAGCAAGGAUCUUUUAGAUGUUCACCUCUCAUUGGUAUCUGUACUGUUUCAUCUGGUUGUUCAGGGAGAUCAAUGUACUUUCUCCUGUUUCCAUCUGUGACCCCAAGUGAAGAUUGUAUUGACAGACUGAUGAUGGCCUCUGCUGACAGCAGGAUGCACUUGAAAUUUUGCUUGAGUCAUUUUCUACCUUGCUGAUCAAUUUUUCUACCUUGCAAGAUGCCCUUGACUUUUUGCUUGAGCCAUUUUUUGACAGCAAGAUGCACUUGACUUUUUCACUCCUGGAAAGCGUGGUGUUCGGUAAACAUAGCAGUCAAACAGUACUUCUGGUGGUUAUCAAAUGUUAGAAAAGGGAAAAAAAGAAAAUUAUGUUAACUGGGAUAUGCUUGGAUUGGAUGAUUAACUUUAGGGAGUGAAAUUAGAUUUUUUGUUUGUUUGUUUGUUUAAGUUUGUCUCUUUAAGCUUUGAUGGCUUUGCAUAAUGUAUCUGUGAUUAAUACUAUUAGCUCAGGGGAAAAAAAGAAUUAGAAUGGUCAUUUUUAUUAGAAUUUCAAGUGGUUUGAGUUGACAUUUCCAGUCUUGUUUGAUCUGACAAGUGAAAACAGAAAACCAGAAAGAAUAAGACGAAUAAAGGAAUAACUAAGGACUAAGUGAUGCUGUACCCGUCUAGUUCAUUAAACUUUGAAAACUUUUCCUUUGUGACGAAAUGCAUCAGUUUGACUUGGUAUUUCUGUUGCUUUUGAUGAUGUGAAAAAAGGUGCAAAUUUGGGUCCAUUACUUGGUCCUCUAUCUAGUAUUUCUCCAUAAUCUAUCAGUUUUUCUUGUCUUUCUUGGGCCAUUAGUUGGGUCAAUAUGGCAGUGCACAAAUACUAUAAAACUAGGGACUGUUCUCUGUCUACAUCUUGUCCCUGCGUCAUUUUCUGGCUUAUGUUGUGCUAGCAACAGUUGGAAUUAAGCAUAGGCAUACAAGGCUGUAGAUUUUAGAAAUUUUUAGUAUGAGCACCUUAAGGAUAAGUAUGAUCUCGUUGGUACAUGUCAAGUUGAAAGUGCGUUCUCCAUUCUACCCCCUAAAGCAAAACCUGCUUAUGGUAAAGAUAGUGAAAUGACAUGGAUGCAUAUUUUGCAAAAUUCUUAUUAUGAAAUGCUACAUCAAACACAUUUCACAAAUUGACUAUGUUGCAGAAAUUAUUGCUGUGUUUUAAAAGGCUUGUAUGUCUUGACCUCCUGGGAAAGCCCUUGUAUGGAUCCUGCAGCAGCAACAAGUGAUACAACCAGGCAAGCCCAACUGAGUACUUUAAGCCAUAUCCAUCUGACAGAAUACUUUGGUAUCUUUGCCUGUGCGAUGUGCAUUUCUAUGGGGAAAUACACAGUCAAAGGAUAGAAAGAGCCUGCUCCUAUCAAGCCCAAGAAGUCAUUGAAGAAUGGGAAUAUCAUAGCUAUUACAGCUGUUAGUAUAACGUAUACUGUCCUCCACACCAAUCUGAACAAGUUAAUGUAGUAAGUACCAUACAGUGGCACAUUAACUGCAUGUUCAGUGUUUAUGAAUUUGUUUUCUGGCCAUAUGCUACUGCAACGAUUCUCAACAAAGCCAAAUAUUGGCUGUGCAAAAACCUGCAUGAUGGUCAAGUGUGUUGAGAUUAGAUGGUUGAUGGGAUUAGAUCAGUGUAGUUGUGCCUUGGGAAAUGAGGAUACAGUAAUCCCACCUGGUAAGCGCCAAUUAGGUGAAUGGCAAUGCAAACAUUUGCAAAGUCAAUUAGCCAAAAGGGUUCGUAGAAGCCAAAUCCGGUGAGGAAAUUUCCUGGAGCAUUGUUUCCAAAUGCUGCAUAGCCAGUACAACCACACAGGACAUAGAAUAGGGUAGUCGUUGAAACUCCAACUCCAGAGGCCCAUUUCAUGACCUUGCUUUCUGGUGGGUGUGAUCUCAGCGUGUCCUGCAGCAGAUAUAGGUCCACCAUUUAGCAACAAAAGCCUUACAGCUUUCUUGUUCCUUAUUUUUGGUGAUCGCCAGAGAAUUACCAGAAGACUAGCAGAAGGUUUUCAAAGGGGGCAACAAUUUCUUGCCUUCUUUGGAGUGUAAGAUUAAACUAUUAGUGGACAUGGUAACAUUGCCCAUGUAAGCCCAGAAGUGUAUCUGGCAAACUUAAGAUUGAGGGAAGCCGCUUACAGCUGCCUUUAGUGAUGUGAGCACAAGCAGUUUUGCCAUAUUGGUUUGAUCAAUGAAAGUGUGUUGAUCAACAAACAAUACUGCUUGAUACUGUUGAUGGAAUUAAAGCCUUCAGCAGUGACCCUAAAUCAGGUAAUGCAAAAUGUCGCGAUAGAGAAUGAUAUGGUGUCAAUUCUAAAUUGACAUAAAGAUGCGACGUAAAGAAAGCCUUAAAGAGGUUGCAGGGACGGCCAGUGGGAAUGUUUGGACCAAAUUUUAAAGGGCUUCCCGCCCUUUUGCGAGGACCGCCAAUUGCUUCAACAUUUGGACCAAAUUUGUACAUUUGUGGUCCGUAAGGAACAAAUUUCAGUGUCAGUGCCAAAACGCCUUUACAGUUUAGAUAGAUAAAAAGUAUAAGUCCCGAUAACUAAGCCGUGCUACCAUAAUUUGAGCAAAAAGCACAUGACAACACGUAUGUUCAUGUUUUGUGUGUGUGUGUGUGUGUUUUUUUGUUUUUGUUUUCCACAGCCCAACUUUGUUUAGCGGUCCUUAUCAGGUCGGCGCGGGCACAUGGCCGAAAGAACUAAUUUUUGUUCAUGUUGUUAACUGGGAGCAGUCAAUUAUUACGCUUCUGGUUCACUUCAAAUGGCGGUUUCUUCUAGUUGACAAAACAAAUUAGUUCAUGAAUCUUCUUAAUUCAUCAUACUCUUUCUUGCUUAUGUGGGACCUUUUAUUUUGUAUCUUCAGAAUUAAUAUAUAUGACAAAGGUGACAUGGGACAUGCAGGGCAUGCAAUCAUAGAGUGCAAACAAACCAUUUGGGAAGCAAUAUGGUGGAACGUAAACAUCCCACGUUGCCAUAGGGUUUGUUUCAGUGACGCCAUAUGCAGCUAUCCUUACAAGUUGCAACAUCAUUGAAUCAUAGAGCUCAAAAAUCUUCUAAAUCUGUGCCUAAGCUCUGCAUCUUGAGAUGCGUGUCAACUGUCAAGACUCAAGAAAAGGAAGAUACUCGAGACAAACUAGCAUACGCAUAGAGGUUUGAUAUGUUACGUUCCGUCCUUAUGUCUGAGCUGUGGUUUGAAGCUGUGAUAUAUUCUGUGCAUAUAUCUUAUGUUUAAUCAGUGGAAUUUCAACAGGUUGUGUCUGCAAGUUCUGAAGGCAUCCAAAAACCAAAAGGGAUAAUUUCAGAAACAUCCCAUCCCUUGAGGUUUUUCGCAAUUUCACUUGGUACCCUUGAAAUUUUUAAUUAUAUUACACUUUCCUCCCUUGACCCUAUAAGAUGACCAUAACAAUCUUAAUAUAUUAAUAUUUUUCAUUCAAUUAAACGACACGCUUCUAACCUUGUGCAUAGGAAUGCACCACACAAUUAAACGUCUAAUGAAAACAAAAACAAGAUGCACUCAUAGAAUAACUAAUUACUAGUCCUAAACACAAUUCCAAUAUAUUACAAAUUAAUUUUAACUUUGCUUGGAGGAUCUGAAGAUGAAUAGAAGAAGAUGUAAGCUAAAGGUUUAAAAAGGACGGAGCAUGUGUUGGUACUCCAACGUUUGAGGUACAUGAUGUUAUAUUAAUAAAAUUAGUGAAAAUUUUUAAGUCUAAUAGUACCGAAUUUUUUUGCUUUUGUAAACAUAGAUUGAGGUUUUAUAAUUUAGGGAUUGAUAAUGGUGGUGAUGAUAAUAAUACUAAUUUGAAUCAUAGGAAUAUAAAAGGUUUAAAAUAGUAGGGACGAGGGUUGAAAGUGAAUUUGAAAUUUUGUGCAUAUUCCAAUAUUUUUUUAAAGAAUUUUAUAAGAAGGUAAAAUAAACUUCACAAUUUCAUGAGGGCGUUUUGCAUUAUUCAUUCAAAAUUUUGACCAUUGAAUAGUUUUUGUUAUUAAAAUGAUAAACUCAAGGGAGGUAUGCAUAAUUUUCAAAACUUGAAGGGCAUUAGGUGAAAUUGUCAAAAACCUCAAGGGAGAUUUCUGAAACGAUCCCAAACCCUAUGUUUUCAGAACGGACCGGAUAGUGACUCGGCCGAGGUCAGGGGUCAGGGGUCAAUGGGUUCGACCGGGGGUUGAUAGGGGUCGAACCGGAUGACGUCAUAAAUAAAAAUAAUUUAAAAAUUAAAAUAUUAUAUAUAAUAUCUAAUAAUAUAUUGAUAUUAAUAAAGGUAUAUUCAUAUAUAUUUGAUGUUUCAAAUAUAUUUAACAAGAAAAUACAAAGAAAUUAGAACAAUCAAGUAGCAAUUUAUAUUAUUUAAUAAAUCUUAACAAGUUUAGAAUUAAAUUUAUGAAUUUAAUUGAAAAAUAACAUCAAAUUUUAUGACAAUAUUUAUAAAGUAUCAAAUAUUUGAGGUAUAUCAAUAAGUUUUAACAAUUUAGGGCGUCAAAACAUAAUAUUAAAAAGUUUGAAUUUUUUUUAAAAAAAAUUACUGUUGAACCGGAAAAACCGAUUUUUUUUCCGAUCAAACCCGAUUUUUGACCGACUUUGACCGAAUUUUAAAUUUUCGAUUUUUUAAUAUGACUCGGACCGGCUACCUGAUCGGUUCCCGGUUCGACCGGCCAGUCCGAUCCGAGUUUUAAAACAGAGCCCAAACCAAAAACAAAAACCUUGUGGGCUGCACCUACCUAGGCGAUUUUAGUAUUAUGUAUUUGCCAUAAAUUUAUAGUACUGUUGCUUUAUGCUUUUAUUGAAACGAAUUAAUAAAUAUGAUACAUAGACUUGGAGUUUUGAAGGAAAUUUCCACUGGUCAAUAAAAGUUAGGAAGGUUUUGACUCCGAUCACUGUCACAAGAUUGCCAACCAAUUGAUUUCACACACUGGAGGCGAGCUUUGAACAUUCAACCUAAAAAGAAGUAUAGCCAACAUGUGUUUGGACUUCGGUCUGCUAAAAUUAUCUGCCAGACUUAACUACGUGCCAUACUUCAAUUGAUUAGGCACACAAUUCAAGAUACGUGAGGGAUGCGCCAUAUGUUUAGAUUUUCCAUUUCCCCCCUUCCUUCCUUUGUUAUCUAUUUCGGCCUCCAGGUCGGCGGGGGAUGGGGAGAAGGUAUACAGAUCUCUGCUAGUUUAGAGCAUGGAGCCAUGCAUAGGCAGACACUUGUGAGAAUCAUAGAUGAAGGAAGAGAAUUAGGAUUACCUGAAUUUCAAUAAGGACAGUUGAAUAAGCAUAAGCAAAGGCUAUAUCUCCAAUGGCUUGGAAACUUCUCCAAACUUUCUCUGUGCCUGACACGUCUACCCCAACUGUUACCCCCGUCAAGGUUGUCUUUGCAAUCCCGUCCCCUUCACAAAAUCCAUGGACCACAAGAUUUAGGAUCCAAAGAUAUCAGCAAAUUGUUGUAAUAAUAAUUGGUUGUGAUGUUGGAUUUUACCUGCAACUUUAGCUAUGGAGAGUCCAAGGCCAAUUGAAGAAUAAGCAAAAGACAUCACGGCAGCCAAAAUAGAGAGCCAAGAGAGUUUGUGAAAGUUUGGUAUUUGGCUGAGAAAAAUUUGGAUUGCGGCAAAGAUGAUCAUGAAAGGGUUGUUUGAUAUAUGGCAUUUCACAUGGUGGCCGUUCCUGUGGAAACAAUUUGACCUUUUGACCGCCCUGAAGACAACCGUGGAAGAAACCGUGUCAGAAAACAGGCCUCGACUUCUUCAAUUAUUGAGCAUAGUCAUUCAUUCAUUACUCCUUUUCACCAAGCUAUUUUCAUUAAAUAAAUUCAUAGCUAAAAAGGGCAAAAAUCUUGAGUAUGUAACUUGAAUACUUACACCAUACUAAUGGAUGCCGUAAUUGUGUAGCCAAUCGUAACUCCUAUGAGAUUGCCAUACUGAGCAAUUCCACAAAGCUGAACCUUGUAGCCUCCUAAAUUCAGCACAAAGAAAAGGGCAUAGCAUAUUUGGCUUUUACACAGUGAGAAUUUUCUUUCUAGUUUCUUCAAGCAUGCAUAUGGUUAGUAUUUCAUAAACUUACCCAAGUGAGACCUGACAACAUCCAUGUAAGUGUAGUUUCUUCUGCCGGUUAUAGGACCAGGAGACCGGUAAGAAUCCGCAAGCAUAGUUGAAGUGAAGAAGGUGAUGAAAGAAAAUGCCAUGAGAACAGCAGGACCAGCCACCCAUCCCAACUGAGCUAUAGCCCAUGCUAGAGAUAGCACUCCAGAACCAAUCACAGCAGUUAUGAUGUGUGCACUUGCAGUUAUCACCGUCCCUUCACAAAUUUUAACAGAAAAUAAGAAGAAGAAGAUAACUCAAAAACUUUUGGUUAACCAGGAUGACAAAGAAACCUUUUUUUUUUAAUCCUUUAUUGCCAUAACUUUAAGAAUGUCAUGGCAAGAAACUUAUAUAUAUAUAUAUAUAUAUAUAUAUAUACACUAUAUAGAUAUAUGUACCUGUUCGUUUUGGACGGCCGUCAUCAUCAAAAUUCUUAAGAUCGCCAUUCUCUGGAGCUUCUGGAUUUUGUUCGAGGUACAUGCCAUUAUUCUGAAACUCUUCCUUCAUUUUAGUGUGUGUGUACGUGUUUUUACUUGUGGUGUAUGGUGGGUAUGUGUUAUGUUGAGAAGUGGAAGGUAGAGAGGUUAUAUUGGGAACGUUCGCGGGAGGAGACAGGAGAGGGGCCAAUGAGUGAAGGAGCAGAAGUGGUCUGAAUUAAACAAAGGGUAGGGUGUGUAUUUAAGUCAAAGCCAAGUGUUUGGAAAUUGAAGGUAGACAAGUUCGAAAGGCAACGUGUUAAUAGAAUAUGAAAGUCCGUUUGGCCCUUUUAGCUUUCAAGGGGGUGAGAGUCAUUGGUUAAUUGGAGUACGUAAUUAUGGCAAUGGUUGAAAAAAAAACUGGGCUUAGAUUUUUCAUAUUGUGAAUGUUCAAUCCAAUUAUUCCGUUUAGACCAUCUUUCCCAAUUAAGCAUCAUGAAACCCAAAGUCUUCGGAGGCUGUGCACCCUCCACACACAAUGGCGCAAAUGGUAUGCAGUGAAGAUUCAGUGGACAAAGCCUCUGAGAUUCCAUGAGUCUCAACUAAGCAAAGAUCACCUCAACUAUCAAAGAAUGGCACCAUGAGAUUGUGCCAAAACAAAUUGGUGAGUGCGACAAAUGGAUCAGGAUAUUACGUUUUCGGCAUAAAAAUAUUGUGACAAUAAAAGAAUACGAGUAAAUGCAAUAUUUCAUAACUUAAUUUUUACUUUUAUUAGUUGGAUUUUUCCUAACGGGUGCCUUUAGGACACUCACUAACAUAUCGCGCAUUUACAUAACAUAUCAUACACACACACACACACAUACUAAUAAUUAUUAUCCUUUUUUGAUUUUAUAUACUUUUUCUAUUUAAUUUCGCCUCCCGUACCUUGUAUUUAUUUACUUUUUUCUAAUUAAUCUUAUAUUGUAAAAAAAAUAACACAUGAAAUAUAUCUUAACGAGUACCGUAUGAGCGCCCGUUAGACAAGCCAUUUUUAGUUAAAGUCUAGGAAUUUCUAAAGAGUCAUAUGGACCUCUGGUUACACAUAGGUGAGAGUGCUUUUCACGAUUAUCUAAGCUAUUUAUUUGAAUUCGGUCCAAUUUAAGUUGUUUAUUUUGAAAUGAGCAGCUUAUUUCGGACCAAACUCUAAUUUGAUGCAGUGCAUUAUGUAGUUACACGUACAAUCACGCGUCCCCUUUUAUGUGUUGUUAUGCUCAUAUUGAGUUACGCUCUAUUCGUAAUUAUACUCCACACAACUCCACCUUAAAUUUAAUAAUCCAUGCAUUACUCACCUGUGGUAUGCAUCAAAGCAUAUGCAGAGGUGAAUUCAAAAUGGAGGGCUAGACAUUCGGACUGUUUAAACCUUUAAAUAUCCUACAUAGGUUAAAAGUCCAUUAAACGUUCCCCUAACCAACAUAAUUAAUUAUGCUUCCCCAAGCUACGCCCGUAAUAUCAGCAAACAAAAGAAUUUAAUGUCACAAAUCUUAACACAAGUGGUCAUCUCUGUGUCCACAUUUCAUGAAACGAAAAGCAGGUUAAGACAUUUGGUUCCAACUUAUAUAAGAGCCGUACAAAGUGAUCGGCAUGAUGGUGCCUGAGCAGAGGAAAUGUGGCUGCAAAGAACCAAUACAAAGUUGCAAAAAUCUGAGCAUAAUUAUGAAGAGGGUUUAGAGCAUAGGUUCGGUUUAUAAUGAUUGUCAGCUCUCUCCGCCUCUGAUGGUGCUUCGUCUGGAUCUUUUUGGUCACUACAAAAAGGUCCCCACUGGGAUGUUUGCUUUGGUCCGAACCACUGAAUUUGUGUUAGCCAUUCACUGAAUUCUGAAAAGCAAUAAGCAAAAUCUUUUGCUCACUACUGCGCUGACUUUGGUCUCCUUUUCUUGUUUUUUCCCUCAUCUUGCUAUUUCGAAGUCAAAUGCCCAAUUCUUCCCGCAAGCAGGUUUGCUUUUUUGGUAGAAUUUUGGGUAGUGGGAUGGAGUACCUUCUCCUUCACUAACUUAAAAAAAUGGAAACUAAAGAAGUUAUUUUGACUUUAAAAGUUACCAAGUGUAUUUAAUGACUAAUUUUCUUAAGCAAAUGACUAUUCUAUCUCCUAUUCUUCAAACUUUAGAUAUUUUCACUCCUUUUUUUUUUUAAACAGGCAAGCAAAUGUUGACAAGUAAAGAUCUGUGAAAGUUUUAUAUUCAUCUGAAACUUUCAAAGUCGUAAUGUCCUGGAUGCUACUAGCUAGAAUACUCAGAAAAUUAACAAACAAGAAGAAACACAGCCCUUCCCAUGAAUAUAUUAGAGAAGCUCUUGGGCAAACAAUUUAGAAAUGUAUCACAAUUGAUUAGUUAGUAGAGAGAUAUUUGUUAGGGACUCGCAAGAUUUACUGUUACAUGUUGACAUAUUUCGAACUAAAGCACUGCACAAAUGAAUAGUGUAUCAAGGAUUUUGGUUGGAAGGUGUUUUCUUAAAAAUCAACAAUGUACCAAAAAAUUUUGCUGCAAUCUUGAUCUACAUUUUAAACACUUCUCCUUAGUUAAGAUCUGUCCAUAGCUUAAGACUAAAACACAACUUCUCAUGUUACUAGCAAUUAUCUCUUUACAGGUAUGACAAACACACUAGGAAUACAGCGGAGACCUACCUCUUUUAAUCCCUCCCUAUAUAUGAAAUUUUGUCGUUCCCUAAAUCAAGCUCUUGAUUUGCUUGGUGUCUACUCCUCCAUCAUAAUUAAUUAUAUGCUUCUAGACAAGCUCUUAGUUAAUCUUGGCCGUAAAUUUCUGAAUGUUAGACAAAGAUAAAGAUAAGCAUGCCAUAGAUCUUGGAGAAAAGGGAUUGUAAAUCAUUGCUUGUAGUUGUAGGAUAUCCCCAAGUGAAGUCCCAAAUAACCAAAAAAAAAAAAAAAAAGGGAGAAAAAUAAUAAGGACCUUUUUCUUCUUUUUUUUUUUUUUGGGUCGUAGUGUGUGUUGUUAUCAAUGCAAAUCAAUUGACAUGAAUUAUUCUUCUUUGGUAUAGACUUCAGACGAAGCAAUUAGAGUUUCUUUAGCUGAUCAAUGAACUGCUCGAGACUUUGAUGUAAAAUCUGUGUCGAAUGGAAGAAUUGCUAUCCAUUAAAAACGGUGGAGAAUUGUCUCCUAGACUUUCAACUUCUUUUGUAUUUUGUCCGUGAUGAUGCGUUCACGUCAUCACAUCAUAGUUUCAAGAAUUGGUUCAACAUAAAAUAUGUAUAAGAUCGAGUUAGCCCAACAGAGGAAAAAGAUGUAUAAACCCACCCCCCUCCCCAAACCAAAAAAAUAAUAAUAAUAAAGAGUGGAUUUCAGUUCGAACUUAAUCCAUAUUAUAAUGAUUAUUCAUCUAAUAAGGUCAAUCCUUUUCACAUGAACCACGAAUAAAAAUUAAUCUUAUGUACCUAAAGACAAAAAAAUUAAUCUUGUGGCUGUCAUAUAUAAGAUUUUUUGGUAUUUUAGUUAUAUAAACAGAUUACUGAAACGGAUUCAUUGCGACCGCACAAGGUAUAAUUGUACUGUUUCAUAAAUUAAACCUACUCUUUGCCUGUUUUGCAUGAGUUGACCAUGUGUCUUAAUUAAAAGCAAAAUAAAAGGUAGGAAAGGAAUAGAGUUUAAGAAGGAUGGUGGAUAAGGAAGAAUAAAGCUCAACAGCUCUAAUUUCUAACAUCUUAAUUUUAACCAUUAGAUCAUGACCUCCUCAGCGUUAUGUCCUUAAUUUUUUAUUUUUUUUUGUAAAAAAAAAGAAAGGACCUGAUCCCACUUCAGACUCCAACCCUUAUUUGAGUUGUUGGGUUAUUCCCCAUUUUUGUUACCAGGGUCGAACUCUGAUGAAUGUCCUAACUAGGGACUACACCACCAGGUCGGCUACCUUGGAGGGACGCGUUAUGUCCUUAAUUAACAUGUCCAUGAAUAUUUCGAUUUCGUGGUCAAAUUUUCUGCAUAAUGACCUGAAUUGAAGGUACAAGUAUACAUCGAAAACUAUUAGUAGUAUCUUCUUUGCUUCUGCUAAUCAGGUUAUCUUCUUGUAUGACGGACGCAUAGCAUCUUUAUAAGUUUAUCUUCUGGUACCUACCUUGUCUAAUGUUGUCAUGCCCUCUAACGUUUUCACAUUGCUUGAUUGCUGAUGACAAUUAUAUAAUCUAUGAUGAAGAUGUAACUAAGGAAGAAAUGACAAACAUAUGUCUGAUUAGAUAAUGACAGAUGAAAUACACUAGUUUAUCCGCUUAAUUAAGCACACAAAUAAUUGAACAGCAUCAAUUCUGCAUUCGAGAACGUACGUAGAUGCUGUUCAAAUUAAUAAGUAAUUAGUUAUAUCUUAGACUAGCAAAAGAAAUCUAUAAACGUUGUCCAAGCUCGAUAACUGAUACGGUUUUUUUUUUAAAAUUAGAUGAUAAUACUAUUAUAUACGCCAUGAAAAGAAUCCACGGGACGGACGCUUUGACGACAAGGAAGGCAACCCAUAGUCCAAAUUUGACAACAACACCAAAGCACAUAGGUAUUAAAUAUUAAUCAAACUAGGAUGAAUAUCCUCAUGUAAAAAACCGGCCAUGUACUCCAUGAUUUGAUCUUUGUAGGGUAAGAGUUGAUCUUGAUUGUAUUCAAUUUCAGUAUGUUGGCUCUUGAUUCUUGUCACAAUAAAUGCAGUGAAGCAUCUUGCCGGAUAAUUUAUAGAGGGGCCCUUGAAGGACCUGAAAUUAAGGUAGCUACUUUAUAUAUAUAUAUAUAUAUAUAUAUAUAUAUAUAUAUAUAUAUAUAUAUAUAUAUAUAUCCAUAUCCUUAUACUAUAUAAGAAUGAGUUUAAGACUAGAUUUCAACCGCAGGGAUGAGGCUAUUUUGGGAAUGUGAGAGUGUUUGAAGAGUAAUUGGAACACUGAGUACAAGUCAUUAUAGCUUUAAUUUCACUAUAAUUACUUAUAUAACCUUUCAGACAUUUAAGGUUAGGGGCAGGUUUGGUAUGCUACAAUGUUUGAAACCAAGUUGAGUGUCAAGUACAACUGAAUAAAGCUUGUAUUUUGAUAGAAUUACAUAAAAGUCAUUUUAAUCAUUUAUUAUACUAACAUCCAAGCCUUCCAAUUUCCUGAAACAUUUCUCAUAUGUUAAGGAAUUAAUUGGAUGUUUACAUAAUUGGAUUUUAAUUGUAAUUAAUUAACUUAAUUAUUAUCUGAACAAUCAUUAUCAUAUUUAUGUCCCCAAGUUUAACCGAUACCCUUUCUUCUUUUUUCGAUUUCACCUCUUUGAUUUUAUUAUGGCUAUUAAAUAUUUGGUGGAAUGCAUAGCUUUUCCUUUAAAUUGAAGUGAGUUCUUUGGGUUUGUCUUCUUCAAUUGUAGUUUUUUUUUUCCGAUGAUUGGUUUAUUCAAGAAUUUCGUAUAGUUUGCCUUUUGAUACUUCUAAUUUAAAAAACUGACUAAUUGUAUUUUUUUUCUUAAUAGAUCCCAGAGAUUCUGUGUCUGGUCAAUGUACAAUUUGAGAUAACGUUGUCACUUUCUAAAAUAAUCAGAAAAGCAAUUUUAUCAUCUUCUCCUCCUCAGCCAAGGUAUUAUCUCUUUAUUUAAGUCAAAUAACGGGCUCCGUUUGGAUUAGCUGUUUUUGGGAUUGUUUUUCAAAAACAACACUGUAGCAUUUCGUUUUUGAAAUACAAGUCCGUUUGGAUUAGUUAUUUUUAGGGUUAUUUUUCAAAAACUAUAUGAAAAACUUUUACAGUAGAUGUAUUUUGGAUUAUUUUUAGAGGUAUUUUUAAAACAUAUUUUUGAAUAUUUUUAUAAUUUAUAAUUUUUAUAUUUUUAUACUUAUAUAUAUUUAUGUAUUUAUAAUACAUUUAUAAAUAUUUAUAAAUAAAUAUAUUUAUAUAAAAAUAUAUAAAUGUAUUAUAUUAUAUAUAAUACAUAAUAUAAAUAUAUUUAUAAAUGUAUAUUAUUAUAAAUGUAUAAAUUAUAAAUGAAUAUUAUAUAAAUGUAUAAAUUAUAAAUUAUAUAUAAAUAUAUAUUUUUAUACAUUUAUAAAUAAAUAUAUUUAUAUAAAAAUAUAUAAAUGCAUUAUAAAUGUAUUAUAUUAUAUAUAAUACAUAAUAUAAAUAUAUUUAUAAAUGUAUAAGUGUAUAUUAUUAUAAAUUUAUAAAUGUAUAAAUGAAUAUUAUAUAAAUGUAUAAAUUAAUAUAUUAACAAUAUAUAUUAAUAUUAUGUAUAAUGUAUUAAUAUAAUUAAUUUAAAUGUAUUAAUAUUAUGUAUAAAUGUAAAAUUAAUAUUAUGUAUAUUAAUAUAAAUGUAUAAAUGUAUUAUAAAUAUAUUAUAUUAUAUAUAAUACAUAAUAUAAAUUUAUAUUCUAAAUAUACAUUAAUAUAUAUAUAUUAUGUAUAAAUGUACAUUUAUAUAAAUGUAUAAUUUAUAUAAUAUAUAGUAUAUAUUAUAUAUAUAUAAUUUAUAUAAUAUAUAAUAUUUAUAUAAAUAUAUAAAAAUAUUUUUUAAAUAAAAUAAAAUAUUUGUAAUAUGUAUAAAUAAAUAUAUAAAUAUUUAAUAUAUAAUAUACAUUAAUAUUAAUUAUAAAUAUUAUAAUAUUAUAAAUAUGGUGUUUAUAUAAUAUUUCAAUUUGUAAUAUUUAUUGUAUAUUUCAUUAUAUAAAUAUUUAUAUAAUAUAUAAUUUAUAAAUAUAUAAUAUAUAAUUUUCAAUUUGUAUAAUAUACAUAAUGAGGAAUUUCUUCUGAUUUUAGUUACCAUUUUCUACAAUUUCAAAUUUAGAAAAUAUUAUUUGUACCAAUUUUUUAUAAUCAAGAUAGUUUCAAUUCAGAUCUUUAAUAAUUAUGCAGAUUUGAACUUAUUUAUGAGAUUAUAAAGAAAUGCUCCUAGCAAAAAAUACCAAAUCUGAAUAGUUUCUACAAAACUUUGAAAAAGAUCACUUAAGUUUCUUAUCUAUUUAUCAUUUUUGGGCAUUAUUAUCUCUAUAAAAAACAUGUGAUUAAGUCGUAUUAUACCCACCAAAUUAUAUAAAUAGUUAGUCAAAAAUAAAAUUAUUUUAGAUUAGAUUGGACGCAAAGUGAUUGAUGGAUAAAUUUGACUUGAUAAUUCAGGUUAAGUUUAAGUCGAAGGAGAAAUUAGAAGCAUUGCUUGAGGGAUCUUUCACGAACAUAUAUAGAUUCGAGAGAUGAAGGAUCCAAUUGAUACUUUAAAAUGUUUUAUCAUCUUGGAUAAGUUUUAGAAGAGACCUUUGGAUACUUUUCAAUUGCACUUCAAACAUUCUUACAUUUUCAAACUACCCUUAUCUUUGCAGUUGAAAUUUAAACAUAACUUUUGAUUACAACGGAUUCUUAUAUAGUAUAACGAUAAGGAUGUCUUAUUGCACAUUAUUUUUAUUAACUCACUAUGUAACUUAUGAUUUUUCUAUUAAAAUUACAUGAUAAAAUCAUCAUACUUCAGUUCCUAUACUACAAAAUAUUAAACAACAAUUAUUAAUUAUCUUGAAUUACAAGCACCAAAUUCCCGCGCGUCGCGCGGGUUGUCUCUCCCUAGUAUUAUACAUAAGCACGAGUUCUUGAAUCUAAAAUGUCGUACUUACGAUGUCUCCCACCUAUCAUCAACUCAACUCUUUCCUAGAUAGCUACUUGUUUACUUGUCAUUUGGUCGAUGUUUCUUUCUUGCAUUUUGCAAAAUUGUUUGAUGUCAGCUGAUCUUUUAUAAAGCUUCUGCUUUUCUUAUUCUCUUCAGAUUUUGUGUUUGUUUUCUUGGUCAGUGUAGUUAAACGAAGACUCCAUUUGUCACAUAGAUAGGAAUCAACUUAAUGUCUAGUAGUAUAAAUUAGUUAAAAUAUCUGGAGAGUCAACAAAUUUGUGAAACCUAAAUAAUUAACCAAAAUUAGCAAAAGAAUAUACAAUGGUGGUUGGGUUGGCCUUAAUUUUCAUUUUCUGUGAUGUUUUUCGCUUUUUCGGUUCAAGGAUUUUGAAGUUUUUCACUGGGAUGUGGAGACCCGAUCGAAUUGGGCUCCUUUUUUAUUACGACAUCCUUCUCGAUUCACCUCUAUAUUCUUUCACAUCUCAAUAAUUCGAAAUACAAAAUCAUCUCACCAUAAUAAUUACUAUCAGUAGUAGUUUGUGUUUUGAAUUUUGAUGAGUAUUCAAACAAAUAUCAAUUCCGUCGCAGAGGUUCUUGCUGCGAUUAGACUAUUAAGAUCACUCAUAAGUCAUAACCCGCAAUGGUAAAAUAACUACUAAUGUGUAUUCUUAUAUUCUAAUAGUAGUAGAUAUCAUCAUAUUUCAACUCAUAUUAUUAUUCACCAAACUCCCAUAUAAUUAGCCUUUGUUUUUUCCCUCACCAAACCAAGAGUGGCUUUGGUGUAUAAAGUCUAUUUUAUAAGUUUUUUCUUCUAUAAUAAUUUCAUAUUAUUCGAAGCACAUUCAUGAGAUUAGGCCUGUCAACCGGUCGGAUCCGGGCCAAAAUUCAUUAUUCCGGACCCGGUAUACUAUAUCGGAUCCGGAUCCGACCCUGUUUACCUGACGGGUCUUCUACUUUAUGUUCCGGAUCCGACGGGACCCGAAAAAAAAUCUGACAAAGCUUAUAAUUUCUAACAAAAAUGAGAAAAAAAUAUAUUUGUAAACUAAUUUCUAACUAAUACAAAAAAAAAAUCAAAUAAAAAAGUCGGAAUACUAUAUUCCGUAUCCGAUCUGUUUUUUUGUUUGACAAAAUGGAUUCGAAUCUGGGUCCAGGUAACAGAAUUAAAUCUCUACUCAUACCCGAAAUAAUUUGACGGAUCCGGUCCGAGUCCGGUUGACAGGCCUACAUGAGAUGUAAUUGGAGAGGUCCCAAUCGUCUAAACUCAGCAUUGGACUAGUUCCAUCUUCUAUAUAUGCGUAGUCCCCAUCUAAAAAGUAAACAUGACCAUAAAAUUUACCAUCUAGAAACUGAGAGGAUCUGAGAAAAACAUAGAAAUCCAAAUGCACAAGCACAAGAAGUCUUUCUCAGUCAAAAUUUACCAUUUUUCUGGGAUGCUAAAACGAAUGGAUCUAUGGGACGAUGGUGGAGGAAGAAGCGACAAGGAUCAUUAAAUGCAGAUGAAGAGUCCUGCUUCCGUCAAUAAGAAGAGGCCAAGGCCAUGACCAUCACCCACAAUUAUUUAAUUUUGGCACCUUAAUAUCAAGACCAAGUUGAAUGAUACUAGUAUCUUAUCAGCAACGAUUGUCUAUGGCUAUUCAGGGACAACGACAAAUAUGCCAUGGGGUCACCCAACUAAUUAAGAGGAGCAAAAUAUGCCUGGAACAAUGAUUUUUUUUUUUUUUUUUUUUUUUUUUUUUUUUUGUCACAGGUUAUUCUUGAGCCCUACUCGUUCUCAAGGCCCAACUUUCAUGACCAGUCUUAAGUUCAACGUAAGACAACUUGGCUAUAAUUUUCUUUCAACACUUUGUUUUUUCUCCUUUCACUUUAAGAUUUUUCAAAGGGGGCCAAAGUCUUGUUGAGAUUUGUCCGAGAAGACCCGGAGUCCUGGUCCUCUAUUAUUGUACCAAUUUCAACGUAUGCUUUUUGUGUUAAUCGGGUCCAAUCCCAACUUCUACUCAAGACUUUUAUCAGCGGUGUUUUUUCGCAUAAUUUGAAGGGAUAAUUUCAGAAACCUCCACUAAAGUUCUUGACAAUUUUGCUGAGCUCACCUAAAGUUUGAAAAAUUACACUUACUUCCCUUGAUUUGAUAGUUUUAGAAACAAAACCUUAAAAUAAUAUUGAUUUGGUCAAUUUUUUUAAAUGAAUACCCAAAAAUGCCCUUAUAUAAUGAGUUUUAAUUUAUUUUCCUAUACAAUUAUAAGAUUAUCUAGUAUAAUUAUAAGGAAAAUGUGCCAAAUUUUUCAUGUCCAUACUUACUAUUUGAUAAAUAACCAUAAUAAUAAUUUUAUCACUAUGAUAGGUUACUUUAUUAUGAAUUUAGAUUUAUAAGAUAGAAGAGAAAAUAUUGAAAUAAUUCAUUUAGAGUUUAUGAAUUUUUCGAGUAGUAGAAUUAUCAUAAUUUAGUAGUAGUUUUGGGCCAUUUCUUUUUUAUUUAUUGUUAAUUUUAGUGCCAAAAAAUAGAAAACAAAGAUCAGCAGAAAUAUUCGAUUACAUAUAAAAUUAACUCGUCAAAAAAUUAUUAGUUCGACAUUUGGUUACAAUAGAAACUAGAAACAACAGUGGUAGUUUUAUAGUUAUAUUGGAGAAAAAUUUAGAAAAAAAGGAAAAAAAUAAUUUUAAAACUCAUUUUAAGUAUAAGCAUACCAAAUAAGGGAAUUUUAUUAACAUAUUUAAGGGUAAAAUUAUCAUUUUAAAUGAUAAGGGAGGUAUAUGUAAUUUUUUAAAUCUUAAGGGAGCUGAAUAAAAUUGUCAAAAACCUCAGAGGAGGUUUCUAAAAUUAUCCCUAAUUUGAAUUAUUGCGAAGAUGUUUUCCCACUUCAGCAGGGCAGCAGCCGGAGGAAAGAGUUAAGAAAAUACUAGGCAGGACAUCCACGGGAUGGCAAUUGAUUUUUUUGUUUUUUCCUUCCAACCUUCUUCCCUCUCCUAAUCCCUCCCUGUCCCCAAACUUGGCAAUUAGGUGCGAAUCUUGAUCUCAGGCGGAACUCAAAUCCUUGGCUAACAGCCCCAAUGGAACAACUUAAUAUGUGGGUCACGUGACAAUUUUCUUUUAAGACGAUAAAAGAUAAGAUAAAUUCAUCAUUUUAAAAGGAAUUACUAUGGCAUUAACACGAGCUUAAAAUAGACAUGCUAAACUUUUGGAUAGCUAAAUUUUUUUAAAUAAUAUUUCGCUUGCAUCAUAAAUAUAUUUCUGAAUUAUCUUUUUAUCUCAUACAUAUCACAUUAUAAAAAGUACUAUGAUAAUUAUUUCAAAUACUGAUACUCUAUCCGAACACACUCACAGUUAUUUUUUGAAUAUCUGAAAUUUCUAACCUAAAUGGAUGAAUUUUUCAUUUUGUUUGGUCAGCAAAAUUUCUGUUGAUUUAUUAUCAAUGAAACCACCCCAAAAAAAAAAAAAACCCCAGUGCAUAGCGAAGACAUAUGACUUUUGCUGGUUGAUUAAAUUAAAGAGGAUAACGUUUGGAUUACGCUAUUGAGUGUUGAUAAGGGAAACUUGUACGUUCCUUUGUUAACUUGGUUAAAUAAAAUUAAAAGGGUAGAAUAGACAGUCACAGGUGUAAUUAAGCCAGAAAAUGAUGCCCCAAUAAUUUAUAUGUUCUCAAUUGGGAUUUAAAGGGACGAAAGACCAUGGAAAAAUCCUUACCCUAAACGUGGAUGCACCUUCCUUCUGUCUAGUUAUUUUCACAGAAGAACUACCAUGCAGUUUCUGCUAUCUUUCCAGGGUCAAUUUGGGCGAUUUGAUGGAUCAGAUAUAUCUCCAACAUCAAGUUUCAAAAGCUAGUCAGCCAGAUUCGAGUCCACAGGUUUGGUUUGGCAAAUUGGAGAAAAGUUGUUGCAAUUUCUCAUUCACGGCUUCUCCUAGUGCCUGUAGCUGUUUCAACCUGACCCCAUUGCUUUCGAAUUCGAAGCCACUUGGCAAUGUGAAUGUAUGCGUCUUUUGAAUAGGAAAGCAACCUAAAGCAGUUUGAUGAUGAUCUGCAACUCUAAAGCUUGUGCAAGUGUUCAAGAGAAAAUUAAAAAGCACAUGCAGUAUUAGUGUUUGAAUUGCAAAUUUUCAAAGAAAAAUUGUUAUAUUUUUCGUGAACAGAUACUUUCUUAUCUCACGUAUAUCAAAUUGUUAUAGUAAUUUUUCUAAAAAAAAAAUCUAGAAAUGCAAUCCAAACAAAGCUAAGCUUCAAGAAUCAUUUCUGCGGCAUAUUUUGGUAUUCAUUUUUACCUUAUCACACUUCCUUAUCUUUAUAAAUAUUAUUCUGUGUAUUCUCCAAAAAAGAAAAAAUAUAUAUAUAAAAACUGAAAGAGAAGAGGUUCAACCGUGUAUAUUCUUAUUGUAAGUAGUUUAAAGUCUUGAGUAUGAGAUCAUAUAUUGAUUAGUGAUUGUACCGAGCAAGACAAAGUUUUGUUCAACUUUUCAUGACUAAUCACAUUCAACUCCAAAGAAAUUCUUAGACAAACAAGGAUGAUUUGAAACAACUAAUCUAGAUUGUGUUUGACUUGCCAUUUAACAAGUAAGUACCUGUCAUUGCGGGCAGGGUAUCUAUGCUUUGUGGUUUCCAAUUUCUACUUCCUACUACCCUGACCGUCUAGCACAGGUGUGUUGUCUAACAGUAACUGGAUACUAGUCAAUCAUCAUUAGAAUAAGCAACGUAAAUACAUUCUUAGUUGAUAAUGAAGUGAUGUGGAUACCUCCAUUAAGAGAUAGAAGAAGAUGUACGCUAGCCAAAUCUUCAUGCUGAUCAUAUUUACAACUCCAAUGAGGGAUUCAAGCUCAGUGAACAAAAUUAAGGGACAUCAUUUUCUUGAAAUAAAAAAAAAAAACUCUUGUUUCAUCCACAAUUACAAGUUUUAGUUUUGAAUUAUUAUUUUGUUUUUGAAGAAAUUCCUUUUCUUUUUUCUUUCACUAAAUCCAAGAUUCAUAUGAUCCCUAAUUUUUGUACAAAUGCAAUUUUUUUUUUUAAAGUAAUCUAUCAUAAGUAAUGAGUCGAUCAUAUCAUCACUAGAUACAAUUAAUUUUAGAGUUCCUUCAAGAAAAAUCUAAAAAGAAUAAAGGGAAAAAAAGAAGGGAGAGAUCGGAUUCGGAUGCAUUUUAGUUUUAGUUCUCAACUUCUCAUCUCAUUCUAAUAUUCUGUGUGUCAUGCAUGUAGCUGUCGGAUGGGACCGCAAGAGAGUUAAAAAUAGAGUGAUAGUCAAGGUCCUUGCCCUUGGCCUUGGCAAUACAAAUUAAGGCCAUUGCCGCAUCAUGGUUGAAUUUCUACCAACUAUUUUAUGCUAAAAUUCUGUAGACAGACAAAAAGUUACAAAAUUGGCCUGCUCAAAGCGAGAACCCAUCAAUAGUUUGCUAAAUAUUCAAUGGGAAAGCACGUGAAAUUGAAUAGAAAAGUUACACGAGGAGAGUAAUUUUAUAGGAUAUGGAAUGAAGAGUGGAAUUCAAAGUUAAGACAAAUAUGAAAAACGGUACGUAGUUUUGGACCCUUGCUGAAGACUAUGCAUUAGGCAUAUUCAACUGUGGAAAGUCCAUCUGGAGACUAAAACAUUUUUGGACAGAGCAUUAGGAUUUAGGACUUCUCAAAUUUGUGCGAAGGGUUGACUCAAAAUAAACUUUGGCAUCCCUAAGCUUUCCCUAAUGUUUCAUUUAGUUCGUUGAACCACUGAGUGUUAUUAAGGAGCAUAAGCUAAAAAUGCCCGACUCGAUUUUGUUGGCCCUAAAUAUUGGAGGAUGUGGACUCUACUUUUGAUCACAUACAUGUUCAUAAGUUUUCAAGUUAAUGAUGAGAAGAUUCUCUCUACAAAUAUGGGACAAUGAACAUGUUAAAUCGGUCUUCUUCUUAGCGCAUUCCUGACGGAUAAAGAAAGGAACCGACAGCUGACUGUGAUAUAUACAUACGAAGUUCCAUUGCUAAUGCUACCUAAAGGAGUAUGUGAUGGCAAUGUUUGGUGAGUGGGUGGGUGGGUGGUCCAUUAUUCAGCAAUUCUUUUGAGUGGUCUAUUAUUCCUUUAUCAUAUUUUUCAAACAAUUUUGCAGCAAAGGUUGAGGCUGCAGGCUGCUGUUCUUAGAAUUUCACCAGCCGAUAUCAGAUAUGGUCGAACCAAUCAUUCCAUUCUCGUAAUCCCAUGUUCAAAUCCCUUUAUUCUGUGUCAUGCAAUGUAAACACACGCCAAAUAGUUCAUCUUUUAGGCCAAGCUUAGGAGUUUUUUGGAUCUCCGCUCACCUAAGCUAAAGUGACUUUAAAAAAAGUAUGAUAUGGCUAAUUGAUAGAUACAAACAUGAAAAUUAGGACGUGAGCCACUUUUUAAUACGUCUCUGUCGUAUUACCUGCAUGUCACUUAGAGUAAAAUUUGCCUAAAAAGAAGAGCAAUAUACGGAAACAUCUCUUUUUCUUAAUUAUGUUUAUGCGCGUACAUUUUUGCAUUUUUUUUUUGUUGCUAAUAAUGUAGCAACAAGUAUGAUGUGUCACUUCUUUAUUUCUUGUCAAUUUUGCUGAAAUGCAUCAAGAGAGAUUUUUAGGAAAUAAGGAAAAAACGAACAUUUUAUUGAGUUAUAAACCUUGUCUGAAAUCAUUAGCUUGGAACUUGUAACGAGUAAACAUCUUGAAAAGCAAUUGAGAUUCUCUGUGCCAUCAUCAGGUACCAAAUUCAGUUCUAAUCCUAUUUAUCACAUGAGGGUAAAGAAAAUUUAAAUAAAUAGCACAUGACAACUUAAAUAAUAGAACACUUAGUAUAAAUAUAGAAAUUAACACUAACUUGCCACUGAAAAGUGACACUAAGAAUCCCAUGUGCUUGAAGAAGUUCACUUAGUGCUCGAAAUCAUUAAUUCGGAACUCGUAAUGAGUAACAUCUUGAAAAGGUUCACUUAGUGUUAGUGCUCGAAAAUUAUAAUCGCCUGGUCUAGUAAUUUUGUAGAAAACGGAGAUAAAUGGUUUUCGCACAGUUGUGGGCUGGAUAGUCAAAAUCGUAUAAAAUGGAGAGUUGUCGGCUAGAAACUAAAAAGCCUUUGGGCCAACGAAACGGAAACAUGACUUUUGCAAUUGGAUAUUGGGCUUUGUAGUUUGCAACUGUGGGCAAUCUGUAGCCAGAAACUAGGGGAUCAUUCUCUAACUAUUCUUAUUCUUUCUAUGGGCCUACUUAUAAGCUUUACAAAUCUAUCGACCUCUACCUUUCAUCCGGUGAAUUUGAAACGGAAUUUUUACGCAAUCAAAUAAGACAGGCUGUUUCUCUCUCCUUCUUUUCCCAUGCUUUUUGCUAUUGACAAUUUAUCUUUUUCGUUUUUAUAACUUCACUCAGCUCUUUCGUAAUACAAUUUUAUCACUUAGACACUCACUAAUAUUUUAGAUGAUUUGUUAUUGACUUACACUUUCAUAAUAAAUAUUUUUUUUUACACCAGACUUGAGUUGCAUGGAUGACAGACACUCUUUGUCCAACUAUAAAGAAAUUCAUGAAUUAUAAUUAUUAGAAAGGGCAAAAUAUUUAUAGAGUCUCCAAACUAUUCAAACUAUAUACUUUUAUCCCCUUAUCCAUUUUAAUUUUAAAGUUGAUCUCUUAAUAAUAAAAGUGUUGAAUUUUGAUCCUUUUGUCCAUUUCCAGGGUUAAAGUUGAUGGGUGUAAAAAACAAUUGAAAAAUCAAAUUUUCAAAUAGUUGCAUUAUUGAAAGGGCAAUUUGCGAUUUGAAAUAAAAGAGGGGCCAAAAGUUAAUAGUUUGAAAACUAUUGAACUAGCUUACCUAUACUAGAAAGGUUAUCCCAAUGUAUCUAUAUCUAUCUAUCUAUAUCUAUAUUUUUGAUAGAAAACUAGAGAAAUUCAUUUAGGUGAGGAUAAGUCCGCCGAAAUUGCGGAAGAAAGAAAAGGUGGUGGAGAAGAACUCCAACUACAAAAAUCUGAAAUAGACCUACCAUUCCUAGCUAAUAAGUGGGCAGGCACAUUUGCCUGCCUAGGGACCCAAUUAGCCUCCCGUGCGGCGAAAUUCUGUAAACUAAAUAUCUAUAUCUAUAUUUAUUUAUAUAUAAAGCGUGAGUAAGAUUUGGUGUUACAAAAAUAUGUCACUUUUUGAAUUGUCAAUUUAACUCUUAUCAUUAUUAAGCGUGAAAUGAUCACAAUAUAUAGUUACAAUUUAAAACUUAAAACCACUUUUUCUUCUAAGUUUGUCAAUACACUUGCAGUUCCAAUUUCUACUUCCUACUGCCCUGACCGUCUAGCGCAGGUGUGUUGUCUAACAGUAACUGGACAGUAGUCAAUCAUCAUUAGAAUAAGCAACAUAAAUAAAUUCUUAGUUGAUAAUGAAGUGAUGUGGAUACCUCCAUUAAGAGAUAGAAGAAGAUGUACGCUAGCCAAAUCUUCAUGCUGAUCAUAUUUACAACUCCAAUGAGGGAUUCAAGCUCCAGAAAUUAAGGGACAUCAUUUUCUUGAAAUUAAAAAAAAAAAAAACUCUUGUUUCAUCCACAAUUACAAGUUUUAGUUUUGAAUUAUUAUUUUGUUUUUGAAGAAAUUCCUUUUCUUUUUUCUUUCACUAAUUCAAGAUUCAUAUGAUCCCUAAGCUUUGUACAAAUGCAAUUUUUUUUUUAAAGUAAUCUGUCAUAAGUAAUGAGUCGAUCAUAUCAUCAUUAGAUACAAUUAAUUUUAGAGUACCUUCAAGAAAAAUCUAAAAAGAAUAAAGGGAAAAAAAGAAGGAAGAGAUCGGAUUCGGAUGCAUUUUAGUUUUAGUUCUCAACCGCAACGGAUUCAUUCAACCGUGGAAAGUCCAUCUGGAGACUAAACACAUUUUUGGACAGGAGGACAAAGCAUUAGGAUUUAGGACUUCUCAAAUUUGUGCAAAAGGUUGACUUAAAAUAAACUUUGUGACAUCCCUAAGCUUUCCCUAAUGUUUCAUUUACUUCGUUGAACCACUGAGUAUCAAGCAGCAUAAGCUAAAUAUUGGAGGUUGUGGACUGUACUUUUGAUCACAUAGAUGUUCAUAAGUUUUCAAGUUAAUGAUGAGAAGAUUCUCUCUACAAAUAUGGGACAAUGAACAUGUUAAAUCGGUCUUCUUCUUAGCGCAUUCCUGACGGAUAAAGAUUUGAGAAAUUUUUAGUUUGAGCACCUUAAGGAUAAUUAUGAUCUCUUUGGUACAUGUCAAGUUGAAAGUGCGUUCUACCUUCUACCCCCUAAAGCAAAACCGGCUUAUGGUAAAGAUAGAGAAAUGACAUGGAUGCAUAUUUUGGAAAAUUCUUAUUAUGAAAUGCUACAUCAAACACAUUUCACAAAUUGACUAUGUUGCAGAAAUUAUUGCUGUGUUUUAAAAGGCUUGUAUGUCUUGACAUCCUGGGAAAGCUUUUGUAUGGAUCCUGCAGCAGCAACAAGUGAUACAACCAGGCAAGCCCAACUGAGUACUUUAAGCCAUAUCCAUCUGACAGAAUACUUUGGUAUCUUUGCCUGUGCGAUGUGCAUUUCUAUGGGGAAAUACACAGUCAAAGGAUAGAAAGAGCCUGCUCCUAUCAAGCCCAAGAAGUCAUUGAAGAAUGGGAAUAUCACAGCUAUUACAGCUGUUAGUAUAACGUAUACUGUCCUCCACACCAAUCUGAACAAGUUAAUGUAGUAAGUACCAUACAGCGGCACAUUAACUGCAUGUUCAGUGUUUAUGAAUUUGUUUUCUGGCCAUUUGCUACUGCAACGAUUCUCAACAAAGCCAAAUAUUGGCUGUGCAAAAACCUGCAUGAUGGUCAAGUGUGUUGAGAUUAGAUGGUUGAUGGGAUUAGAUCAGUGUAGUUGUGCAUUGGGAAAUGAGGAUACAGUAAUCCUACCUGGUAAGCGCCAAUUAGGUGAAUGGCAAUGCAAACAUUUGCAAAGUCAAUUAGCCAAAAGGGUUCGUAGAAGCCAAAUCCGGUGAGGAAAUUUCCUGGAGCAUUGUUUCCAAAUGCUGCAUAGCCAAUACAACCACACAGGACAUAGAAUAGGGUAGUCGUUGAAACUCCAACUCCAGAGGCCCAUUUCAUGACCUUGCUUUCUGGUGGGUGUGAUCUCAGCGUGUCCUGCAGCAUGUAUAGGUCCACAUUUAGCAACAAUGGUCCACCAUUUAGCAACAAAAGCCUUACAGCUUUCUUGUUCCCUAUUUUUGGUGAUCGCCAGAGAAUUACCAGAAGGCUAGCAGAAGGUUUUCAAAGGGGGCAACAAUUUCUUGCCUUCUUUGGAGUGUAAGAUUAAACUAUUAGUGGACAUGGUAACAUUGUCCAUGUAAGCCCAGAAGCGUAUCUGGCAAACUUAAGAUUGAGGGAAGAUGCUUACAGCUGCCUACAGUGAUGUGAGCACAAGCAGUUUUGUUGAUCAAUGAAAGUGUGUUGAUCAACAAACAAUAUUGCUUGAGACUGUUGAUGGAAUUAAAGCCUUCAGGAGUGACCCUAAAUCAGGUAAUGCAAAAUGUCGCGAUAGAGAAUGAUAUGGUGUCAAUUCUAAAUUGACAUGAAGAUGCGAUGUAAAGAAAGCCUUAAAGAGGUUGCAUGGACGGCCAGUUGGAAUUUUUGGACCAAAUUUUAAAGGGCUUCCCUCCCUUUUGCGAGGACCGCCAAUUCCUUCAACAUUUGGACCAAUAUUUUUUAAAGGAUUUUAUAAGAAGGUAAAAUGAACUUCGCAAGGGCGUUUUGGAUUAUUCAUUCACAAUUUUGACCAUUGAAUCGUUUUUUUUUAUUAAAAUGAUAAACUCAAGGGAGGUACGCAUAGUUUUCAAAACUUGAAGGGCACUAGAUGAAAUUGUCAAAAACCUCAAGGGAGGUUUCUGAAAUUAUCCCAAACCAAAAACAAAAACCUUGUGGGCGAUUUUCGUAUUAUGUAUUUGCCAUAAAUUUAUAGUACUGUUGCUUUAUGCUUUUAUUGAAACGAAUUAAUAUGAUACAUAGACUUGGAGUUUUGAAGGUAAUUUCCACUGGUCAAUAAAAGUUAGGAAGGUUAUGACUCCAAUCACAAUCACAAGAUUGCCAACCAAUGCAUUUCACAAUUCACACACUGGAGGCGAGCUUUGAACAUUCAACCUAAACAGAAGUAUAGCCAACAUAACUACAUGCAUACGUGAGGGAUGCGCAUAUGUUUAGAUUUUUCUUUUCCCCCCUUCCUUCGUGUGUUAUCUAUUUCGGCCUCCAGGUCGGCGGGGGAUGGGGAGAAUGUAUGCAGAGCUCUGCUUAGUUUAGUGCAUGGAGCCAUGCAUAGGCAGACACAUCUGAGAAUCAUAGAUGAAGGAAGAGAAUUAGGAUUACCUGAAUUUCAAUAAGGACGGUUGAAUAAGCAUAAGCAAAGGCUAUAUCUCCAAUGGCUUGGAAACUUCUCCAAACUUUCUCUGAACCUGACACGUCCACCCCAACUGUUACCCCCGUCAAGGUUGUCUUUGCAAUCCCGUCCCCUUAACAAAAUCCAUGGACCACAAGAUUUAGGAUCCAAAGAUAUCAGCAAAUUGUUGUAAUAAUAAUUGGUUGGUAUGAUGGAUUUUACCUGCAACUUUAGCUAUGGAAAGUCCAAGGCCAAUUGAAGAAUAAGCAAAAGACAUCACGGCAGCCAAAAUAGAGAGCCGAGAGAGUUUGUGAAAGUCAGGUAUUUGGCUGAGAAGAAUCUGGAUCGCGGCAAAGAUGAUCAUGAAAGGGUUGUUUGAUGUAUGGCAUUUCACAUGGUGGCCGUUCCUGUGGAAACAAUUUGACCUUUUGACCGCCCUGAAGACAGCCGUGGAAGAAACCUUGUCAGAAAACAGUCCUCGACUUCUUCAAUUAUUUUCAAUAAAUAAAUUCCUUUUCACCAAGCUAUUUUCAAUAAAUAAAUUCAUAGCUGGAACAAUAAUAAAAAGGGACAAAAAUCUUGAGUGUGUAACUCGAAUACUUACACCAUACUAAUGGAUGCCGUAAUUGUGUAGCCAAUCGUAACUCCUAUGAGUUUGCCAUACUGAGCAAUUCCACAAAGCAGAACCUUGCAGCCUCCUAAAUUCAGCACAAAGAAAAGGGCAUAGCAUAUUUGGCUUUUAUGCAGUGAGAAUUUUCUUUCUAGCUAGUUUCUUCAAGCAUGCAUAUGGUUAGUAUUUCAUAAACUUACCCAAGUGAGACCUGACAGCAUCCAUGUAAGUGUAGUUUCUUCUGCCGGUUAUCGGACCAGGAGACCGGUAAGAAUCCGCAAGCAUAGUUGAAGUGAAGAAGGUGAUGAAAGAAAAUGCCAUGAGAACAGCAGGACCAGCCACCCAUCCCAACUGAGCUACAGCCCAUGCUAGAGAUAGCACUCCAGAACCAAUCACAGCAGUUAUGAUGCGUGCACUUGCAGUUAUCAUCGUCCCUUCACAAAUUUUAACAGAAAAUAAGAAGAAGAAGAUGACUCAAAACUUUUGGUUAACCAGGAUGACAAAGAAACCUUUUUUUUUAUCCUUUAUUGCCAUAACUUUAAGAAUGUCAUGGCAAGAAACUUAUAUAUAUAUGCACUAUAUAGAUAUAUGUACCUGUUCGUUUUGGACGACCGUCAUCAUCAAAAUUCUUAAGAUCGCCAUUCUCUGGAGCUUCUGGAUUUUGUUCGAGGUACAUGCCAUUAUUCUGAAACUCUUCCUUCAUUUUAGUGUGUGUGUACGUGUUUUUACUUGUGGUGUAUGGGGGUGUGUUAUGUUGAGAAGUGGGAGGUAGAGAGGUUAUAUACUUAUAUUGGGAACAUUCGCAGGAGGAGACAUGAGAGGGGCCAAUGAGUGAAAGUGCAGAAGUGGUCUGAAUUAAACUGAACAAAGGGUAGGGUGUGUAUUUCACUUGGGAUCCUCGGUGACAUAUUUUGAGUGUCAAUCCAAUUCCACCUCUAAUAUUACGUCAAGUGUCUUGUUAUUAUUUGCAUUUUAAUUUUUUAAUAAUUCAAAUUAAUUUGAUUUAAUACAAAUUUUCUCUACCAUCUAAACCUUUGAACCAAAAUUAAUGGUCCGGUCUAAUUCAAAUACCAUCACUUUUGAGUUAACUACUCACGAUCUGGGGAAAAAGAAAAAGAAAACCUGAGCGAUUGAGCCACCAAAGUCUUUCAUCGGUGAUUGCUUUGAACAAAGCCAAAAAGAUAGAAAAGAAAGUGUUGAAAUAAUUCAUUUAGAGUUUAUGAAUUUUUCGAGUUGUGGAAUUAUCAUAAUUAGUAGUGGUUUUGGGCCAUUUCUUUUUGAUUUAUUGUUAAUUUUAGUACCAAAAAAUAGAAAACAAAGAUCAGCAAAAAUAUUGGAUUAUAUAUAAAAUUAACUCGUCAAAAAAAUUAUUAGUUCGACAUUUGGUUACAAUAGAAACUAGAAACAAUAGUGGUAGUUUUAUAGUUUUAUUGGAGAAAAUUUAAAAAAAGGAAUAAGAAUGAAAAAAAUAAUUUUAAAACUCAUUCUAAGUAUAAGCAUACCAAAUAAGGGAAUUUCAUUAAAAUAUUUAAGAAUAAAAUUAUCAUUUUAAAUGACAAGGGAUGUAUGUAUAAUUUUGCAAACUUUAAGAGAGCUCAGUGAAAUUGUGAAAAACUUUAGGGAAGGUUUCUAAAAUUAUCCCUAAUUUGAAUUAUUGCGAAGAUGUUUUCACACUUCAGCAGAGCAGCAGCCGGAGGAAAGAGUUAAGAAAAUACUAUGAUAGCUAAAUUUUUUCAAAUAAUAUUUCACUUGCAUCAUAAAUAUAUUUCUCAAUUAUCUUUUAUUUCAUAUAUAUCACAUUACAAAAAUCUCUACAAUAAUUAUUUCAAAUGCUAAUACUCUAUCCAAACACAUUCACAGUUAUUUUUUGAAUAUCUGACAUUUCUAACCUAAAUGAAUGAAUUUUUCAUUUUGUUUGGUCAGCAAAAUUUCUGUUGAUUUAUUAUCAAUGAAACCACCCCAAAAAAAAAAAAAAAAAACCCCAUUGCAUGGCGAAGACGAAUGACUUUUGCUGCUUGAUUAAAUUAAAGAGGAUAACGUUUGGAUUACGCUGUUGAGUGUUGAUAAGGGAAACUUGUAUACGUUCCUUUGUUAACUUGGUUAAAUAAAAUUAAAAGGGUAGAAUAGACAGUCACAGGUGUAAUUAAGCCAGAAAAUGAUGCCCAUUCGAAUAUAGUUCCUUUAAACUUGUAUAUUGUCAAUUCGAAUUUAAAGAGACGAAAGACCAUGGAAAAAUCCAUACCCUAAACGCGGAUGCACCUUCCUUCUGUCUAGUUAUUUUCACAGAAGCACUACCAUGCAGUUUCAGCUAGCUUUCCAGGGCCAAUUUGGGCGAUUUGAUAGAUCAGAUAUAUCUCCGACAUCAAGGGCCUGUUUGGAAGGCCUAUUUUUUACCAAAUUUUUAUUAUAUUAGUUUUUUAAUAGCUUGUGCUACAGGAACCCAAAAACUUAUCAAAAUUUUUAACUUACACACUUAAAAUAUCCAAAACACAAAAAAAAAAAAUUCCCUUCCCCUUUUCUUCUUCUUCCUCCCUCACCACCACCUCCGUCGCCAGCUCCGGCGCCGAUUUCCGAUACCGGUGCCGGUCUUCUUUUGUUUUCCCCCUCCCCUGCCAUCCUCCCCUCUUGUCUUUUUUUUUUCUCUUUGCGUCUCCCCCAUUUCCUCCCCCACCUCUCUGUGAAAAGAAAAGGAAAGAAAAGAAAAAUGGUGAGAAGCGGGAAAGGAAACGGGGAGGCGGGAGUGGCGGGGCAGAGGGAUAAGGUGCAGAGGGGGGUGGCGGGGGAAGGGGAGGAGAAGGGGAAAGGGAGGAGAGGGGUGGCGGAGGUAACGAGAAAUGGGGAGGGGGAAAAAGUUUUUCACCUUACAAAAACUUCUACAAAAUUUUUUCAAGAACUUCUACAGUACACUACAGUAAAGUUUUAGAUAAACUCCCAAAAAAUUCAGGUUCCAAACAGGCCCUUUCAAAAGCUAGUCAGCCAGAUUCGAGUCCACUGGUUUGGUUUGGCAAAUUGGAGAAAAGUUGUUGCAAUUUCUCAUUCACGGCUAGGGCUGCAAACGAACCGAACCGCUAGAGUCAAGCUCAAGUCGAGCUCGAGUCGAAAUCGAGGUCAAAAUAUUAAGCUUGUUAGCUCGCAAGCUCGAGUAUAUAUAUAUAAUAUUUUUUAUUUUAAGUAUAUAUAUAUUUAAGUAUAUAUAUUUUUUAUUUUUUAUUUUAAUAGUAAAAUUACAUAUAUAUCCUUAAUAUUUUUAUUAUUUAUUAAAAAAAUAUUAUUUUAUUAAUUUUUUAAAAAAAUAAAUAAUUAUUUUUUUAUUUUUUUCGAGCUCGAUCUUGAAAUUGCCGGCUCGUCGAGCUCGAGCUUGGUAAAAUUUAGUCGAGAUUUGGCUCGAUUAGCCCAAAUCUCGAGUCGAUUCGACUCGUUUGCAGCCCUAUUCACGAUUUCUUCUAGUGCCUGUAGCUGUUUCAACCUGACCCCAUUGCUUUGGAAUUCGAAGCCACUUGGCAAUGUGAAUGUAUAUGUCUUUUGAAUAGGAAAAUACAGAUAAAGUGAAAAAGAAGAGGUUCAACCGUGUAUAUUCUUAUUGUAAGUAGUUUAAAGUCUUAAGUAUCAGAUUAUUUAUUGAUUAGUGAUUGUACUGAACAAGACAAAGUUUUGUUCAACUUUUCAUGACUAAUCACAUUCAACUCCAAAGAAAUUCUUAGACAAACAUGAAAAUUAGAACGUAAGUCAUUUUUUAAUUUGUAUCUGUCGUAUUAGUUGCAUGUCGCUUAGAGUAAAAUUUGCCUAAAAAGAAGAGCAAUAUACAUAAACAUCUCUUUUUCUUAAUUAUGUUUAUGCGCAUACCAUUUUGCUUUUUUUUUUUUUUUGGUUGCUAAUAAUGUAGCGGCAAGUAUGAUGUGUCACUUCUUUAUUUCUUGUCAAUUUUGCUGAAAUGCGUUAAGAGAGAUUUUUAGGAAAUAAGGAAAAAGUGAAUUUUUUUAUUGAGUUAUAAACCUUGUUUGAAAUCAUUAGUUCGGAACUUGUAAUGAGUGAACAUCUUGAAAAGUAAUUGAGAUCCUCUGUGCCAUUAUCAGGUAUCAAAUUCAAUUCUAGUCCCACAUAUUAUAUGAGGGUAAAGAAAAUUUAAAUAAAUAACACAUGACAACUUAAAUAAUAGAACACUUAGUAUAAAUAUAGAAAUUAACACUGACUUGCCACUGAAAAGUGUCACUGAUCCCAUUCCCAUGUGCUUGAAAAAGUUCACUUAGUGCUCGAAAUCAUUAAUUCGGAACUCGUAAUGAGUAAACAUCUUGAAAAAAAGUUCAGGGAAAAUCGUCCAAAACGUCCCUCACAUUUUGUAAAAUAACUUUUUUCGUCCCUCACUUUUAAAAGUAUAAUUUUAUAUCCCUUACAUAUUCACUUCGGACAAAUUUAGUCCCUAACUAGGUUUCCGAUCAUUUUUUGGCCGGAAUCCAUCAUGUGCAAGGCACGUGAUCAUUUUUAAAGGGUAAAUUUGUCAAAUUAUAUUUUACAUAAUCUGAUCUAUAGUCCUCCACAUUUUAUAAAAUAAAUUUUUUCGUCCCUCACAUUUUAUAAAAUGAUUUUUUUCAUCCCUCACAUUUCACAAAAUGAAUUUCUCCAUCCCUCAUAUUUCAAAAAAUGAAAUUUUCAUUUCUCACUAAUUAUGUGUGUGAAUACAUUUUUUUAAACACAUGUAUAUGCUUAUUUGAUUUUGCUUAAUAAUAAUAGCAUAAACACAUGUAUGUAAUUGGGCCCAACUUGUGGGCUAUCUUCUCUUUUUGUAUGAUUAUGACUAAUAUUUACCAAUAGAACCUUAAUUUGCAUAUUUUUAUUGUAUUUUGACCGAAAAUAGUUUUAUUAGCCAACUUGACAAUGAAUGUAAGGUUAUUUACUAGCUAAUACCAGAUGAAAUCAAAUGAUCACGUAUAAUAUAUGGUAUUCGUAUUGUUAAGUGAAAUCAAAUAGACACAUACAUAUAUUUAUGCUAUUCGUAUUAUUAAGCAAAAUCAAAUAGACAUAUACAUGUGUUUAAACAAAAUGUAUUCACACACAUAUUUUUUUAGGAUUUCCCUCACAUACAUUAUUAGUGAGGGAUGGAAAUAUUCAUUUUUUGAAAUGUAAGGGAUGGAGAAAUUCAUUUUGUGAAAUGAGGGAUGAAAAAAUCAUUUUAUAAAAUGUGAGGGACGAAAAAAUUUAUUUUAUAAAAUGUGGAGGACUAUAGAUCAGAUUAUGUAAAAUAUAAUUUGAUAAAUUUACCCUUCAAAAAUGAUCACGUGCCUUGCACAUGAUGGAUUUCGGCCAAAAAAUGAUCGGAAACCUAGUUAGGGACUAAAUUUGUUCGAAGUGAAUAUGUAAGGGACAUAAAAUUACACUUUUAAAAAUGAGGGACGAAAAAAGUCAUUUUACAAAAUAUGAGGGACGUUUUGGACGAUUUUCCCAAAAGUUCACUUAGUGCUUGAAUUAUUUAUGUUUUAUCUAAAAUAUCUUCCCAUGUCAAUACAGUUGUUUUAAUUUGAUUUUUUCAUGUUUAUCUAAACUUUCACUUUCAAUUCAGUUGUUUUAUUAUUUUUCUUUUGCCUAAAAUAUGCACACACAUUACACAUUGUUGACCGUGCGUCAAGGAAAUCAAUUAAGUGAAAAAAAGAAAAAGGGUAAGCAAUUAAGUAGAUAUUCAAACUAGUAGUAUCCAACAUGCUGCAUUAAAAUUUCAAUCUUCAUACUUAUCCCGUUAUCCAUACUUUUUUGAAUAAUUUUUUUAAAAAGUUUUUUUGUGAAUAAUUUAUACAUAUCAGUACCUAAUUUUAUGUCUUAAGUAUCUGUAAUUAUCCAUUAUCCACCUCAGACUUUGCAUCUUCCAUUCAUCCUGAGCCUCUGAUAACGUAAAAUCAGGUUUACCUUCUUAGCCAUUUCCUACUAAAACUGUCAAAUAUCGUCAAAAUUUAUUCCUGAACUUAUUUUUACUUUCCUGCUCUGCUGUUUACCUUUGCUCAUUCGGGCUCCAAUGGCGGAUUACUCUCUUCCUCAAGGUUCACUCUUCCUUGGCUUCGAUAGCUCCACUCAGUGAGUGAUAAUUAUUUCUCAAUUUCAAACUUCAAUGCUGAUUAAGCAAUCAUUAGAACCCAUAUGUGCUAAUGGAUGAUGUUCAAUGCCUCCGUCUCACUCAUGCAAUUGAAUUUUAGAUGUUGAAAAUUGGUCACUUUUUUAGUGUUAAUUGUUCUGGGUUUUUGAAUGUUUAUUUAUUUGUGAUCAUAGAGGGAAUAAAGAAAUUCCAAGACUGAACUUUUUCUCAUUUGUUGUUUUGGGAUUAAUUCUGAUAUUUGUAAUCAUAAAGAAAGAAUUGGCAAGAUUGAACGCUGAAAAUGACGAAAUUUGUUAUGCUGUAGGUCGUUAAAAGCAACCGUGUUAGAUGGCAAUUUCAACAUUGUUGCCACAGAAAUUGUGAAUUAUGAUUCUGAAUUGCCCCAUUACAAAACCAAGGAUGGUGUCCAUAGAGACCCAACAGUCAAUGGUAGGAUUGUUUCUCCCACUUUAAUGUGGGUGGAAGCAUUGGACCUUGUGCUUCAGAGGUUGAAAAAAUCAAAUUUGGACUUUGGAAAGAUUGCUGCUAUUUCUGGUAGCGGACAGCAGCAUGGUAGUGUGUUUUGGAAGAAUGGAAGCGAGGCAAUAUUGUCAACAUUGGACCCAAAAAAACCAUUGUUGGAUCAAUUUGGUAAUGCCUUUUCGAUUAACGAAUCACCUAUAUGGAUGGAUAGUAGCACCACUGAGCAGUGCAAGGACAUUGAGAACGCUGUUGGAGGUCCAAUGGAGCUGUCGAAAUUGACUGGUUCCCGUGCCCAUGAGAGAUUUACAGGCCCUCAAAUUCGAAGGAUGUACCAGACAAAGCCUGAAGUUUAUGAUUCUACUGAAAGGAUCUCACUUGUUAGCUCAUUCAUGGCUUCACUUCUCAUUGGUAGCUAUGCCUCUAUUGAUCAUACUGAUGGGGCUGGGAUGAAUCUCAUGGAUAUUAAACAGAGAGCUUGGUCUAAGAAAGCCUUGGAGGUCUGUCAUUUAAACUCUAAACUAGCAGUCUUUUAGAUAUUGGAAGAAAAAGUACCUGUAUACUGCAUCUAAUCGCUUAAUGCUGAUAAGGGCUUGUACUUGGCUGACCUCGGAACUGCAAUAUUUACCUGGUUUAUAGGCCACAGCACCGGGUUUGGAGGCAAAGCUUGGAACUUUAGCACCUGCACAUUCCGUUGCAGGUCUUAUUUCCCCUUACUUUGUGGAGAGGUUGGUGACUAUUCUGUCUUUUAUUUUCUGUUAAUGUUCUGAUAGAUUAGUAAAGAUAAGUCAUAGUUUAUCUUAAGAAAAUCUGGAUUCAUCUCGCACUGCAGUCUUGAACAUCAAAUUAACCGACUAUUGCAGCAUGGUGUUUCUUUGGGACGUUUUUCCUAAUUUUUGUCUUACAUUGUCGAAUGUUGGGUUGGUCAUUAUUUAGUGUAAAACAAGUAGUUGCUUCUUCUUCUCCUGUGUGUCUGUAGCAAUUGUGUGCUGGCAAAAUUAUACAUACAGAUAUAUCAGCUAAAGGAUGAAUACUUUUUUAGACAAUUAAGCACCAGACACUUGAUGAGAAUGAUUUUCCCCACAAGUCUCAAGCAACUUUGGCUUAUUCUUUCAGGAGGAUCUCUAUUGCAAUAUAUCACUAAAUUUUGCAUAAACUGUUUCCAGGUACAAGUUUGACAAAGAUUGCUUGAUUGUUCAUUGGUCUGGUGAUAAUCCUAACAGCCUAGCAGGUAAUAUUUAUUUCAUGUGAAAGCAGUUCUCGUAUAGCUUCUGAUAUAGAUUCUGCUAACAAUAAACACUGAAAACCCAUUGGUGUAUUAUGUUAGAUAGCUCAGUUUGAGCUAAGUUGGUAAUAUACUUUUUUGAAAUAUUCUAUUCUGUGGGGGGCAUUAGCAUUAUAACUUUUUGACAAUAUUGAUGCUUUCAAUUUUCUUGAUUAAGUUGCAGUCAGUGAAGCUAUGAGCCUAAGCCUCUAUGAUUUCUUUCUCAGUUCCCUGGUGCUGAGCAUUAUAAAUACUAAGCUGUUGCGACAGCCUUUGCACAAUAAUUCUAGUUAGUUAUUUCACUUGGAUAGGAAAUUUAAUGGCCAUGUCUUCAGGGGAAUCUAGUUGAGGCAAUUCGUUGUUGGAGCCAAACAAAACCACUCAAGUUUGCAUUUUUGUCUUUUCAAGUGUACCAAUGGUCAUGCCAGUAGCAAUUUCAGCUUUUGUGCGCGAUUGAUUGAUGGAAAAAGUACUUUUGGCUAAUAUCCAAUAUGUACUCUGUUCCAUGCUUAAAUUGCAACUUCAUUCAAGUCCAUUACAUCUUCAGUAUCAUCAGUUAGAGCAGAGCUUUCUUCCCUUGCUGUUUCCAAUUUAAAAUUUUGCAUCUAUGGGUUACAUUUUCCUGUAACUUUUCAUAACUGUCUGUUUAUGUAUUUGAAUUCUAGGAUUGACCCUCAACACUCCGGGGGACCUUGCAAUUAGUCUUGGCACCAGUGACACUGUAUGUUAUCUCCUACUUAAUAUGAGUAUGAAUGUGCCUCUAAGUUUGAUGAUAUCCUGGCAAUGAUUGGUGUUUAUGUGUUUUAGUUCAUGUUUAAAUAUCUUGUACUGGACCUACUGAAUGUGCUGAUGUUGCUUGGACUUGUUUCUCUUUGUUAAGGCAGUCCAGGGAGUUGAAUCACUUCAUAGAAUUUUUUUCUAAACCACAAUUCUUGGUAGGGCCUUAAAAUCAAAAUUCCGCCUUCGUUACAGAAUUAAGGGAGAAGAUCUUGUUUGCAUUAAGGACAUCUUUUCAGAUAGCCAAAGAGGCAUAAAAUAUUGUGCACAGAAAAGAAAGAAUGAAACAAAAACCAAAGCAUAGCCUAAUAAACAGUAGAGCGCCGAAAUGUGAGUCAGGAUUAUUUCCUUUAUGCACUUAGUUUCCUAAUCUCUGGUAUUCGAUAUAAUUAUGUCCCUUGGGUUUUUUUUUCAUGUAUAUGUCGUUAGGUCUUUGGUAUCACUGCUGAACAUAAUCCAAGCUUAGAAGGACACGUUUUUCCUAAUCCAGUGGAUACAAGUGGCUACAUGGUGAUGUUGUGCUAUAAGAAUGGGUCUUUGACACGUGAAGGUACUAAGAUGAUAUUGAACUCAGUGGAGCACAUUUCAGAUAUUUAAUAUCAUGAUGAUAACUUUUGCAGAUAUUCGAAAUCGUUGUGCUGAGAAAUCUUGGGAAGUUUUCAAUAAACUUCUGCAGCAAACACCACCUCUAAAUGGUUACUGGAAAUUUCUCUGAAACCCUUCUGUACUUGCUUCCCCGUUAAAGAUAAGAACAAAUUUUUUCCCCAUGGUUUUUUCUCAAUCUACUGCUUCUACAGGUGGAAAGCUCGGUUUUUAUUACAAGGAGCACGAAAUACUUCCUCCACUUCCUGGUUAGUUUACUGGCAUCUAUUUUGUAGUGUCUUCCUGUUCCUGGACAUUUCUUUGUUUCUUUGGAUUCUGGAAUAAUGUACUUAAGGGUAAUCCAGAGAUGUAGAUGCUAUUCAAUUCCAUCCGAUGGUGUGAUGAAUCCCGCACUAAGAUGUUAUGAAGCUCAGUAUUUAUUAUGACCAUUCUCAUGUAAGAUUGUCCUAUGACUUGACUGAAUUAUGUGCGUCUUCAGUUGGUUUCCACCGUUACGCCCUUGAUGGUUUCAAGGGUGACUCUGUAGAAGGACUAAAAGAACGUGAAGUUUCAGAGUUUGAUCCUCCAUCUGAGGUGAGUAAUCACAAAAUUAAUUGAUUAGAAUAUUGCAGGUGGAUUCUGCAAAUACUGUUUGACAUACCUGUUUCCAGGUGCGAGCAUUAAUUGAGGGACAGUUACUCUCCAUGAGGGCUCAUGCUGAGAGAUUUGGAAUGCCUUCUCCCCCAAAGCGGAUUAUUGCAACAGGUGGAGCAUCUGCAAAUACCACCAUCCUGAGUUCGAUAGCUUCCAUUUUCGGGUCAAAUGUUUAUACAGUGCAAAGGCCUGGUGAGUACUGAGUGUACAGUUCUUUGCGCCAUUCAUGCAUCAAAAGCUCAAGGAGUUGAGAUUCUUUUGACAAUAGUGUGUUUUGGUUCUAAAAAUGGAGUUGAUCAUUUAUAUGUUUUUUUCUUUCUGUACAAUCUCUAGCAAGUACUGAUUCAACUUCCAUUUUUAUUGAUUUACAACCUGUAUUCUGCUUGGUAGACUCGGCUUCGCUGGGAGCUGCAUUGAGGGCUGCUCAUGGCUGGUUGUGCAACAGGAAGGGCAGUUUUCUACCCAUCUGGUUCAUGUACAGGGACAAAUUGGAGAAGUCCUCCCUAAAUUGCAAGCUUGCUGUGACUGCUGGAGACCAAGAACUUGUUGCAAAGUAUGCUCUAUUGAUGAAGAAGAGAGUGGAGAUUGAGAAGAGUCUUGUCCAGAAGCUGGGGCGUCUCUAAAUUCGAUAUAGCCAGUCAUUAGUUAAUAGCACUUCAAGAAAAGAAAAGCACAAAUUCUAUCUUUUCAUUGGGAUGGUUGGCUAAAUGCCUAGUCUCUCUCUUUUUAUUAACUUCUCCAACACAGGCGAUCUUCUUCUACAUUUAGUCUGCUCGUCUGUAAAUAAUUAUAAGAUACUGACGAAGUGGUAAUAAAAUUUAUCAUCAAUAUUCCCGAUGUAAGUUGACGUAUGUAAUUAUGUUCUGUAGCAGUUUUCUUACUGUUGUUGAUUUGGUGCACAUGCUCUCUCUCUCUGGUUUAAUUCAUGCUGCUGGUAUACUUAGAAUUUUCAUGAUUGCAAUGUGGUAGCAAAUGCAUGAGUUUUUACCUGUACAACUUGAGGAUCACAUCAAACUUUAAAAUCAACUUUGCGCAGCUGUUGACAGAGAUCUUGGUUAUGCUCUCCAAAUAUCGUAUAUUAUUCAUUACAUUUAUAUUCCAAUUAUCAAAUUGGUUACAUGCUUCGAUGGUAACCAAUAUUUUGAGCCAUCAAGGGUAGGCGGAAUCACUGUUGCUUCUCUUUAUUCAAAAAAAAAAAAUUUUUUUGUUAAAGAGAAAAACUAGCAUUCAUCAUCCAAAUAUAAACUAAAAAUCCUUGUUCAAAAAAAAAAAAGAAGGUGCAAAAGCCAAGAAGUGAACAUAAUACCAGUGUGUCUGAAGUAGCCCCAGUUCAGGUCACUCGUCAGCUCUCAAUCCUAAAUGGCUUCGACUGAUAUCAAUAUGAUAAGUUGGUGACCCACGAGCUUUUCUAUAUCAGCUGUGAAGUCAGAGUUUUCAUUUUCUCAUUCAUUUCUCAGCUUGGCUGGCUUAUUUUUCCAUGGAGGAUUGCUCCAUUCCUCAAAACUCUUUAUUUCUUGGAUUUGACUGUUCUACUCAGUAAGUUCCUCCCUACUUCAAAGUUCAAACUUCAGUUCUUGAAUUAUACUAGUUCAUUCAUGCUUUUGGAUAAUCCUUUUUGAAUAUUCAGGAGCCACGAGAUAGUAUCAGAACUGAAUCUCUAAUAAGAUUUUUGAUUGCUCAGGUCAUUGAAGGCAACUGUUUUGGAUGCCAAUCUGACUAUCGUUGGUACAGAAAUAGUUAAUUUUGAUUCUGAUUUGCCCCACUACAAAACCAAGGAUGGUGUCUACCGGGAUCCCUUGAUCAAUGGGAGAAUUGUGUCUCCAACUCUGAUGUGGGUGGAAGCUCUGGACAUCAUACUUGAGAGAUUUAAAAGGUUAAAUUUUGAUUUUGCAAAAGUUGCUGCUGUUUCUGGGAGUGCACAGCAGCAUGGAAGUGUGUAUUGGAAGAAAGGAAGUGCUAAAAUGUUGUCAUCAUUGGACCACAAAAAGUCGUUGGUGGAUCAACUUCACGAUGCAUUUUCAGUAAAGGAAUCUCCAAUUUGGAUGGAUUGUAGCUCAACACAACAGUGCAGAGCAAUUGAGGAAGCUAUCGGAGGUGCAUUGGAGUUAUCCAGACUUACUGGAUCUGUUGCUCAUGAGAGAUAUGCUGGACCACAAAUUCGUAAGAUAUUCGAGAUGCAGCCAGAAGUUUACCGUGAUACAGAGAGAAUUUCCUUAGUUAGCUCCUUCAUGGCAUCUCUCUGUAUUGGGGGCUAUGCCUGUACCGAUCAUACGGAUGGAGCAGGGAUGAACUUAAUGGAUAUCCAAAGCAGAGAUUGGUCUAAAUUAGCUUUGGAGGUUCGUCUGUUGCACUUUUACAUAAAAUCCUGAUUUUGUCGUAAAUAUCUUCAAUGUCUAAAGCCAUGCUGUAUAAUCUAGAGGAAUCUGUUUCUUGUUUAAAUUACCAUGUCUCAGUUUACAGGCCACAGCACCAGGCUUAGAGGAAAAACUUGGCAAGUUAGCUCCUGCACAUGCUGUUGCUGGUCCUCUUGCAUCCUAUUAUGUGGAUAGGUGGGUUACCUGACUUAUGAACAGUUUUGUUAAAGCAGUAUCCUUUCCUUCUUCCUCUUUUGGCUGCUAUCAGGAGAGCCCAUUUAAGUUCUUCUGAAACUGUCCUUCAAUUCAUCAUCAUUUCAGUGAUUCUGAGACUCAUUGCUGACGUUUAUAAACCAUUUUUUGAACAUUCUGUAAUGAACUGAAAAACAUUAACUACUGCAUUUCAAAUUUAUGGCAAGCAUACCAAAGACUUCUACACUUUGGCAUGAAAUCCUGCCCCCAAGCUGAUAAGCAGAUUAUGUAGUUGAUUCUUACUUAAAGGAGUUACAGAACCGUUUACAUGCCUAUUAACUUUUGAAGUGGAACAUUGUUAAUUAUUAUUUCCUUAAAACAAUCAAAUAGUUAAUCUCGUGCAUAAUCAACUGCAAAAGCUGCUUUAGAUUAGAAUAUCAACUUUAUACAUGGCUAUUUACUAGUGGAACAUUGUUUAAUCAGGUAUAACUUCAGCAAGAAGUGUUUAGUAAUUCAAUGGUCCGGAGACAACCCUAACAGCUUAGCAGGUAAAGCUCUGUUAUUAAUUCGUACAUUUUGACAAUCUAGUGGGUUGCUUUGAUCCUUUGUUGAAGUUCCUAUUUACUGUAUGUUUGAUGCAUGCUGAAGCAUAUACAUAUCAAGGUGGUAAUUUUCCUUCUCAGCCGUAAAUUGCAUCUGUGGAAUUCACUCCCUUUUCCAACAAGCAAGUUUGGGUUUCAGUUUUCAAGAUAGUUUAUUCUACAGCCCUGUUGAGUAGUGAUUAAAAAUGAAGUUUCAUAAUGUUGUACCUGUCUUUUAACCUCUUUUAACCUGACCUUGACAAAUCUACAUUAGCCAAGUCAACCCAGAUCUCCUAAUCCAUUUUCAGUAGGAAUGCCUCAACACAUCAUGCUGCACUUUGAGUUGCAGUGCUAACAAUUGCUUUCUCUAUCUGUCCCUUUGCAUUUGAGACUAACCAAACUAUUUGAACUUGUAGGUUUGACUCUAAAUACUCCAGGGGAUCUGGCAAUUAGUCUUGGCACCAGUGACACUGUAAGUAACAAAACAGUCCAGAUGGAUGCAAUGAUUCUCUAUAUUUGUUAGUAUCCUCUGAGUCUGGUCAUGUCCUCAUUUGGGGUCUAAGUUUUAGAUUAACUACUCUACAUGUGUGAUUAACUUGUGCCUCUCGGGCCUUUGGGACAUUUAAAAUGGUGGUAGCCAUUAGCUUGCCUCGUUUUGGUUAAUACAAGGACCUGUUUUUGAACAGUUUACCGAGAUUACACCUGUUGCAAUUGGAUUGAAUGAUGAUUCUCUUGUUUAUGUUCAGGUAUUUGGUAUUGCAAAUUAUCACAAACCAAGCCUAGAAGGACAUGUUUUUCCUAAUCCAGUGGAUACAGAGACCUACAUGGUAAUGCUAGUCUACAAGAAUGGGUCUUUAACUCGUGAAGGUAUGAUUCUGAGUUCAGUAUAAAAUGCUUUUUAUCUUGGAUAUGAUUUGUCAAUUUUAGCAGUAUAUUCUAGGAUCAGUAUCUUAAGUUUGUUUGACAAUGGGGCAACCAUCUCUACUUUUAGAUGUGCGCAAUAGGUGCGCAAAUGGAUCCUGGGAUGUUUUUAGUGAUUAUUUGCGGCAGACACCACCUCUCAAUGGUUAGCAUGCUUUUUGUGCAUUCACAAUUUAACUUGAAUGCGGAUUGCCUUUCCUCAAUUCUAGCUUUUAUUAUGCUACAGGUGGUAAGAUAGGCUUUUAUUACAAAGAACAUGAAAUACUCCCUCCACUUCCUGGUAAGUGGAAUUCAAUGUUCGUCAUUCUAUUGCUGCAACUAUCUUUAUUCCGAAGAAACUCGAAUGGCGGUCUUGAGUCAGUAAUAAUAAGGAUUUGAUCAAUGUUUUCAUCUUCAUACUUAUAACUUCUUGUGGGAGGAGGAAACAGCAGCAGGCAAGGACUGCUAAAGUAAGGUUUUUAUCCAGAUCUUCUGUAUGAUCCACUGUACUCAUCAUUCAGCUGCCGAUGCUUUUCUAGCAAUCACUGAGAUAAUGAAUGACUGAUUGAUUGCAGGUUGAUUGAUCAAGCUUGAUCUUUCCGCUUGAGGUUGGGCGGGAUUGGUUGAAGGACGAUAUGUUCUAGUUUUUUAGCUGUACUUUCUGAAUGAUUAACAAAUGCUAAUGAGGUGUCUAUUAUGGUUCCAGUUGGUUUCCACCGCUAUAUUCUUGAUAAUUACUCUGACUCUCAUGCGGGAGUAAAUGAACACGAGGUAGCACAGUUCGAUCCUCCUUCAGAGGUUAGCAUUUCAGGAAUGUCUGAAUUGUAGACAAAAACAUUCUUUCAAGUGUCUAGGAUGUACUAUCAAAAGAGAAUGAAAGUAGGACAAAGUUUAGUGCAGGUAAGGGCGCUAAUUGAGGGUCAGCUACUGUCUAUGCGAGGACAUGCUGAGAGAUUGGGAUUGCCUCCUCCAAAGCGGAUAAUAGCUACUGGUGGAGCAUCUGCCAACAUUUGUAUCCUUAGUUCAAUAGCUUCUAUUUUUGGAUGUGAUGUUUAUACAGUCCAAAGGCCAGGCAAGUACUCAGUGCUCAUAAUCUGCAAUUGAUAUAUCAUCUGAGACCAGCUAAUCAUACUGUACAUCUAAAUUAAGGAAUUUGCCACGUAGAAAGUCUCAAGGUGUGACAAAUUAAUCCUCUUUUUCCAUACUUUAUGUGAAAAGUUUCCGUGUUUGACAGACUCGGCUUCUUUGGGGGCUGCACUGAGGGCUGCUCAUGGUUGGUUGUGCAAUGAGAAGGGAAAUUUUGUACCCAUCCCAUGGAUGUACACUGACAAGUUAGAGAAAACAUCUCUCAGCUGCAAGCUCGCAGAAACUGCGGGAGAUGAAGAACUUCUCUCCCAGUAUACCUUAUUGAUGAAGAAGAGACUUGAAAUUGAGAACCGGCUUGUCCAGAAACUGGGGCGCCGCUGAAAUUUAUGAGGACGCAUGGGUGUGAACAAGGUGCUAGGUUAGAAGGCAUAAAUUAUCAUCUUGAACCAGAUGCAUUUUGCUCUGUUCUCUGUUUCUUUAUCUUUUUAUUUUCCCCCAUUUUCCCCUUGAAAUGCAAACAUACUAGUUUUAGCCUGUUUCCUUAAUUAAAUUGUUCCCAUCUCAACUCACUUUAUCGUUCAGAAGAGAGACAUUCUGGCCGCCUGUACGACUAUGAGCUAAGUCAAGCAAAUAAAAGAUGCGAGCAAAUAUCAAAGUCUGUGCAUGUAGGCAAGUAGCACUUACCGAAGAAUCUUUUAUUCAUCAUUAUAUACUUCCAGAAAAUUCAGUACUACGAAGCAACAACCACAGAGAUAUGGAGAUAUGUUUGAUACAUAUGUAAGGACCAAGUAGAAGUGGUAGCACACAGAAAUUGAAGGUUUAAAAGACCAAACAGUAGUAGUACACGCUCCAAGUGGGGGAGUAGAACUUAGAGCAACACUUUAAUAGUCCCCUCCAUCUCCUUCAUCUCCCUCGGGAGACUCUGCACCAACCUCCUCAUAAUCCUUCUCCAAGGCUGCAAGAUCCUCACGAGCUUCACUGAAUUCACCUUCUUCCAUGCCCUCACCGACAAACCAGUGCACAAAUGCACGCUUAAUAUACAUAAGAUCAAACUUAUGGUCAAUCCUGCUGAACACUUCGGCAACGCUGGUUGAGUUAGAGAUCAUGCACACAGCCCUUUGCACCGGGGCAAGGUCACCACAAGGUACAACAGUUGGUGGCUGAUAGUUGAUACCACACUUGAAUCCGGAGGGGCACCAGUCGACAAACUGGAUGGUCCUCUUGGUCUUGAUUGUUGCCACAGCAGCAUUAACAUCUUUUGGCACAACAUCACCACGGAACAUCAGGCAGCAAGCCAUGUACUUCCCAUGGCGGGGAUCACACUUGGCCAUCAUGGAAGAUGGCUCAAAAGCACUGUUGGUUAUCUCCGCAACUGUAAGUUGCUCAUGGUAGGCCUUCUCCGCUGAAAUAACAGGAGCAAAUGAGGAAAGCAUAAAAUGUAUCCUCGGGUAGGGCACAAGGUUGGUCUGGAAUUCAGUCACAUCAACGUUCAAGGCUCCAUCAAACCUCAAGGAUGCAGUGAGUGAGGAGAUAACCUGCCAAAAACACAGCAGUGGCAUAACCAUAAUAAUUGCUACAGAGCUUUUAGCAAUCUUAGAACUCGUUAACAGAUGGGUUCAGUUACCUGGGAAAUUAGGCGGUUGAGAUUGGUGUAUUUCGGGCGUUCUAUGUCAAGCGAGCGCCUGCAAAUGUCAUAGAUGGCCUCAUUGUCAAGAAGUACUGCAACAUCAGUGUGCUCAAGAAGGGAAUGGGUCGACAGCACACUGUUGUAGGGCUCUACAACAGAAGUUGAGACCUGGGGAGAAGGAUAGAUGGUGAAACCAAGCUUUGACUUCUUGCCAUAGUCAACAGACAACCGCUCCAGCAGAAGUGAUCCAAGACCAGAACCAGUGCCACCACCAACAGCAUUGAAAAACAAAAACCCUUGAAGACCAGUGCAGUUGUCGGCC